GCUCCGUCUCCUAUGCCAGGAGAUUCUGACAAACCAGUUUCUGGUAUUUCCUCACUCUUAAAUACUGGAAAUAUUGUACACCAACCAUCUGUUGCACAAGCACUGGCUCCAUCCCUUGCAAUUGGCACUCCUGGGAUAUCUGCAUCACCUUUGCUUGCAGAGUUUACCAGUCCUGAUGGUGCUCAUGGCGGUGCUUUGACAACUGUUUCUGGCAAGUCAAAUGUUACAGAGCAAUCACUUGAGUGCUUGAUUAAAGCGGUUAGUGAUGCUCUCCUUUUGGUUUUAGUCCACCCCACCCUUAUUUUGGAGGUUUCUGAAAAAGAAAGAAACUUCUUUGUGAAUGAGAUGGUGAUGCUGCAAUUUUUUUUCCCAGGUGAAAUCUCUGUCUCCCAAAGCACUUGGUGCAUCUGUCGGUGACAUUGGCUCCGUUGUCAGUAUGAUUGACAGAAUUGCUGGUUCUGCAGCUGGUAAUGGAUCUAGAGCUGCAGCUGGUGAGGAUUUGGUAGCAAUGACAGGAUGUCAUCUUCUUUCGUUUUUGUCUUUUUUAUUUUUCACGUGUUUCUCACAAGAUGGGAACUCGAGGGAAUAAGAACUCGAGGGAAUAAAAAGUGCUGGGAAGUAAUUUUUGUUGGAACGUCUUGUGUAACAUCUUCUUUCGAUGAUGACCUCUUGGAUGGCUGCAUGAAGCUUGUUCCGCUUUAAAUUUCUAGGUUAAUCUAUUGCUAUGAGCACUGGUGUUUCAAUUUGAAACUUGAGUUGCAACUGAACUUAAAUGAAUAGUGUUGGAUUUGGGGCCUUCUAUUUGUUUUAACUUGUACAGGGUUGAAGUGAUAGUGAUCUUAAAAGUACAAAAGCAGCAGACAAAAAUCAAUUAGCCACGAUAUAUAGUGUAUGGUUUCCUACUUUCUCAGUAUAAAGUAGAAUGUUUUGGUGAUAUCUCUACAUCCAAAAUCUUAUAGACAGGCACAGCUACUGCUGGCACUUGCAGUAGCCAAUGAGCACUGAUAUAUAUUGCAGAGUGAACUCGUUGCAUUUUCAUAAAUUAAAGGGUUUUCUCUUCUUUUCUUUGUCAAUUACAGUGCAUGUGUAAAAGUUUUCUUACUCGGUGUAAAUGCUGUUGUAAUGUUUUCACAGAGACUCCCCUGUUUUGCAACUAAUUCACUUCUGAAUAUAUCUUGGAAACAGAAAGGCAAUCAACAAAGAGUAAGGCAUCUUCUGAUGAAACAAAGAAAUUUAAUACCCUAAACUAAGCAGCAGGUAGAAGGCGAAAACUGAGCACAAAUUUUCAGGAAGGGACAAACGAAAAAAUCCAAAAAGAAAGCAGAGAAAACUACAGACUCAAAUUCACAACACCCAUUUUCUUUCCAUUGGAACACUUUAAAUAGUUUAUUAAAUUUAUAAUGAUCUGAUUUCUAUGCAUAUAAAAAAAUCAACUUAAUGAUCAAUUCUCUAUAAUUUCAGCAUUACUAAAAACAUCCAAACUAAUAAACUAUUAGUUAUUAUAGCCAUUUUAAUAAACAUUUUAGUUAUGAAUUCACCAAUCAUUUUGAACAAUUCAUACUGAUUAAUUAACAUUUAAAUUUUAGAUUUUUUGACUUAUUAGUUCCUUCGUGAGUUACUUUUAAAGUAUGCUAUAUAUUUCUAAGCAUUUUUUUCAAUCAUCAUUCUAAUAUCUUUUUUACAAAAUAAUUUAACUUAUAUUUAUUAAGAUUGUUUCCAUAUAUUACAAAUAUUUGCUUUAUCUAUUUACUAUUAUUUAUUUUAAAUGUUAUUAGACUUUUACUUUAAUUGUUGGGGAAAACAAUCGCCUAAUAAUUUAUUGUAUACAUUUAAUAAUAACUCAAGGAUGGUGGAAACUAAAUGUCGAUAAUCCAAGUCUCCAACUCACAAUGGCUCAUGUUUGAACCCCUGAACACUUGAUUUGUUCACUAAUUUUCAACGAUUCCAUUCUGCAUUUUGUAGUUUAGUAUUUUUUGUCUUUCCAAGACUAAUAAAAAAUUGGCUCUUUUAACAAUUGUAUAUGCGGUAGAACCUCCAAGAGCACUGAAGAAAGCCAUGGAUUGGUCAUUUAAAGCUUCUGCAGAAUAGUAAUUGUCUUGCUGGAUUGUGGAUAAACGUGUGACCUGCACAGUUUUCUGUUGUCUUUCGCAGAUAAAUAUACUCGUCAGAAAUCAAGAAAAUGGACGAAGCUGGCAGCUUAUCACAAAAAUAAUAGAGCUUAAUAUGGGAAUGGAUAUGAAUCUUACUUGUAUGCAAUGUAACUUAAUAAGUAUAUUUGUCAGAAAAAAAGAAAAUGAAUGCAGCUGGCAGCUUAUCACAAAGAUAGUAGUGCUUUAAUAUAUAUGGGCAUGGAUGUGAAUUCUUACCUGAAUGUAAUGUAUCGUCUUCUAUUUUGUAUUGUAUUUCUUUCUUAACAUUUGAGAAUUCAGUUUUUAUGAAGUUAUGUAUAUUUCAGAGACUAAAUUGAAGUUCCCACCAUAUCUUUUAUGCCCAUAUUUGCAUCUUCUGAUGAGAUUGAUUUAUAUAAUUCUACAUCACAUUAGCAAACUACAAAAAAAAAAAAAAAAAAAGAACUGGCCAGGCUCGAGGUGUUAAUUAACAUAUUAAAGAAAGAAUAGUCCUGCAAAUACUAUACUGAGCAUAGAUUAAUUAAUCCACGUUUUUUUUUCAAAGAGAUAGGAUACAAACAAAUCAAUAUCCCUGACGAAUAAAUCCUUGCAAGUGUGGAUUUUAUUUGUUAUCUGGGCUUUGCCCUUUCCUAAAUUAAUGAAUUUUGUUACUGUUUAAAAAAGAACACAAAAAAAAAAAUUCAUGGUAGCUUGACAUACUUAUGGCAUAGACUGAACCAUAUUCACCUAAUCCUCAGAAAAAAAAUGUGUCGAAUUGUCAAGAACACCAGAGUGUUCUGCCUUUGUUGUCGUCUGCACUUGAUGAGAGAACAAAAAUGCCAGUUAUGGCUCUCAGAAAACAAAAAAGAAAACACCCAAAAACAUGCCAGCCCCCACGGUUUUGAUAUGAGCUACAACAUGGGCAGCCAUUGGUUUCCUAACUGGUCAAAAUUCAUGUUUUCACUUGCCCCAGACUCUUUUCCUUGUUGAGUUAGAAAUAGAUGGCAACUUCCUCUUAGUUAGGAAGUCUAUGGAGAACUUCUUUGGCUCAUCAGCACAGCAUUAUAUGUUAGUAAGAGAGUACAAUAAUCCUUCCAUCAUCAAGCCUAUGAUGAUAGUAAAGCUCAACAAAACCAUGAUUUUUUUUUUUUUGAUAGUAAACGAGUGAAUUAUAUAUUAAACAGCCCCAUCAAGUAGGUGGAACUAAACGAAAGAUAAAUACAAAGGGAAUAUAAAAGAAAAGAGAAGACCUAAGCGACGAGGGACCUAAUUAAUUAGUCCAGUUCAUAAUACAUUCAGGAUUUCUAAAAAGAUCUGAGCCUGUAUAGCUGAAAUUUCUAACUGAAGACUUCAACCAGAAGGCCAAACGGUGAAAGGUGAGAUCAAAAAUCAUAUCCCAAUCCGGAGCCUUGGAUUCAAAGAUUAGGCGGUUGCGCGCUAUCCAAAUUGACCAGUACAGACCUUUGCAGAGGAGGGUAAUAGCACGUCGCUGAAAAUUUCCAUUAAUCAAACCGGACCAUUCCUGUAGAUUUUGAUAUGGGUCUUUGUGCAGACAACCUGAACACCCAAACCAGUUCAAGAAACGACCCCAAAGAGACCAUGUUAUAGGACAACAAUGGAAGAGAUGAUUAAUUGUCUCAAUUUCCUUGCAGCAGAAUGGGUAGUGAGAUUCCUCAUAUUUAAUGAUUCUCCUCUCAGCUAAAAAACUCCGUAUACUCAAACUGCCAUGAAGAAGAAGUCAUAUGAACACAUCCACUUUUGAAGGGGCAUAACCAUUCCAUAGCAGAACAGGGGAGUGAUUAUUUUCAGUUGCCGAUAGACUAUCAAAAAGAACGCAACCUGAUUGAGCUGAGUACAUGCUAGAGCUGUGAAAUUUUCAUAACUUGCGGUCUGCACCAUCUGAGAAAAUGAGACCACGCUGCACCUCUGCAAUCAAGCUCUCCCUCAUGCAGUUUUCACGAGGCUGGAGGGGUCUUCUCCAGGAUAGGUUGAAAGAUGUAUCUGUCAAAUCACAUAUAUCUGCAAGGCUGGAUUUUUGCUGCAGGGAGAGGUUAUACAGUCUGGGGAAUAAGAGUUGGAGAGUGGUUAUAGAGCCAAGCCAAGAGUCAGUCCAAAACCGGAUGUUCCUCCCAUCACCCACCUUGAACCCGACAUUUGCAUGUAAAAGAUUGGAUAUGUUUUGUGUUGAGAAGAUCGCCGAAACAAUGCUAUGCCAAGUUGGAGAUAAAGAACCUGUAAACUCAGGGAUACCAUUAAUAAAGCGGGGUCGGUAUUUUAGAAGAAUGUGUUCUUGCCAGCCUCCUACCACUCCAUUAUCCAGAUUCCAAAGCCAUUUAAAUAGCAGAGCUAAAUUUUUGUUGUGGAUGGAUCCCAGCCCGAGACCACUAGAAGAUUUACUCUUUAUUACCUUGUGCCAGGCCACCUUAAAAAUCCCAUGAGAUGUUGAGGUUCCUUUCCAGAGAAAAGACCGGGUUAGAGAAGAGAUGACUUUAAUAAUACCCUUUGGCAUAGCAAAAACUGACAUCUAGAACAAAGGAAGAGAGCAGACUGAUUUAAUUAGACAAAACCAUGAUUUCUUAGCUUAGAUUUGACGUGUUCAUACUUGGCAUUAACCGCUGCAAGAUUGUCGUUUCCAAUGUCUUUAAAAAUGUCCCUGAAAACAAUCUCGAUAAACUGCUCGGACCAUCUGGAGCAGCUGCUGCACCAGACAUCCAUUACUCUAGCAAACAUCAUUUCACUUUUGAUGGGUCGUUGGUGAUUGUAUUAAUUUGGCUACAGCAUCUUCUGUGAGGAAAUACUUUUGUGUCCUAUCUUUUCAUUUAAUUAUUUAUGUAUUGAUUCUUUAUUUGCAUUUUGCACACUUCCCUUGUACUUGAAAAGGACCUUGAUCACUCUAAAUAAAACACUUGUCAAGAAAAUUAACGAAAAGAUAUGAACUUGUACAGAAUGACCAGUGAUGAAGUGGGGACACACUACACACACGUGUGUACAUGCAUAAAUCCACACACUUAUGCAUAUGUAUAUUCAUGUCUAGAGAAUAUUGAAAUUAUUGAGCCUAGCAUUAGCUGAAUACCUGAUCGGUGGCGGCAGUAUAAAUCUUUUCCUCAAACCCUCUUGUAAUCCCUCUUGACCAGAAAACGGAAGAUGCCUCUUUAAUAUCACUAGUCUGCACAUGUAAGACAUUACAUUUAAAUUUUAACGACAAGGCAGGUAUAGAGAAGUUAGCAGCAGUGAGAAAGAACUGUGAACUCAUACACCACACCAAUAUCAGAAAUGCAUACAACGGAAUCAUUGGCAAAAAGUAAAAACAACUAAUGAUAUAGCCGAGUGUCGGUCAAGUAAUAUAUGGCAUCAGAAUACUGACAUCUAUUUUUACUUCCUUUCCCCGUAUUAUUCCAGAGGUACAGGGUAUAGGAGUUCACUUGGCCACCCUUCUGUCUAAAAUUCUAGUUACGAGUUUCAUGGUUAAUUUUCUUGAACUGGAAGAACCUUCCAUUUAUGGCUAUAGCUAUGCUCCAAGAUAUACAAGUGAAAACAUUAUAAUAGCAUUUACUAUGAGUAAGAAAACUUUUAUACAUCAUGCACUGUAAUUGACAAAGAAAAGAAGAGAAAUCCUUUUUAAUUUAUGAAAAUGCGAUGAGAUAACCUUAUCUCACGCUGCAACAAAAAAUUACUUCCCAGCACUUUAUGUUCCCUCAAGUUCGCUUCUUGUGAGAAACACGUGAAAAAUGAAAAAGACAAAAACUUUUAUACAUGCACUGUAUGAUACUUGAGGUUGCCUCAUGGCAGUCUUUUUCCUUCUCUUUUCUUUCAUUUAUAUACAAGAUUUACUAUUUUGCAGCACUUGCACAUAUUAGGAAACAGAUUCUUGCAAUUUUUCAAAAUAAAAACACUGUAAAUUACUCCAAUAUUUUCUCACAUUAUUUUUUUUUCUUGAACACGUGAUUUUUUCCUAUUUCAUUUUUUUGUUUUUUGUAUUUAUAAUUUUUUUAAAUUAUUUUUAUCGAUUUUAUUUUUAAUAUUAAGAUGGUUAAGAAUUUCACUUUGUAUUUUUUUUCUUUUUAUUUUAUCUUUUUAUGUGGUUUGUGAGUUUAUCGAGGUAACUCGAGUUGCCUCAAUUUAUGGAUUUGAUGGGGUUUUCUUUAAUUAAACUUGGUUUUCUAUGGUAUAUUUGUUUUCUCACAUUGUUAAAAAAAAUAGUUUUAUACAAAAACCAUGUUAUUAAACUUUAUGAAAUAACAAAAAUUAAAGGAUGUGGGGGAAACCAUUAUUCACCUAACACCCAUUACACUGUGGAUUAGAAUAGUAAUCCACCAUGUUUUGCUUUCUUUUUUUUCUUUUUGAAUUUUUGCUAUGAUUUUUUUUUCAAAUCUAUUUUUGUCAAUUUUAUCUUUUAAAAUUGAGAUUCGUAAUUUGCUUCUUUUGAUUUUCCUUUAUAUGAGGUUAGUGUAGUUUAUGGGUUUGCCAAAAUAACUUAGGUUGCCUCGGUUUACGAGUUUUGUGGGUUGUAUUUAAAAAAAUUGAACUUGAUUUUUUUUAUAGUCUAUUUUUUUCUUAUAUAGUCCAUUGUUCACCUACACACAUUGCACUGUGAAUGACAAUAGUAGUAAUCCAUAGUAUUUUGCUUUCUUUCAUUUUUCUUUUUGUUUUUGAAUUUUUAUUAUGAUUUUUUUCUCAAAUUUAUUUUUGUUGAUUUUAUCUUUUAAUAUUGAGAUGGUUGAGAAUUUAGUUUUAUAAUUUAUCUCUUUUUAUUUUACAUUUCUAUAAGGUUAACAUGAUUUGUGGGUUUGCUAGAGUAACCUAAGUUACCCUGGUUUACGAGUUUGGUGAGGAUACUUUUUUUUCUAAUUAAACUUGAUUUUUUUUAUCGUCUAUUAUUUUCCUCAUAUAGUUAAAAAUAUAAUUUCAACUAUUUCAACCUUAGAAACCUCAUGAAUACCUUUAUAACACCCACAAACCAUUCCAUCAACUCCAAAUACCUAAAAAAUGAUCUAAAAACCUAAAAUCAAAUCGGUUUAGUUUUAGCUCUCAAAUCUCAUGUAUGGUUUUUCAUGCAACAUCGACACUCUAAACAACCACCAUGAAGCCCUUCUUACCUCAUGGGACCUGUGGACACCAAUAAAACUUAUUUUGGUGGCUGAAAAUGAAAUGAUCGAUGACUUUCUCUCAACGCUGGAAUCGAACAACUUCUCUAUCACAAACCAUCUCACAAACUCCAAAUACCCAAAAAAUGGUCAAAAAAUCCAAAAUCAAAUCAGUUUAAUUUUGGCUCUCUCGGCUCAUCUAGUUUUUUAUGCAUUAUCGAGGCUCUAAACAAUCAUCAAGAAGCUCCUCUCAUCUCAUGGAAUCCGUGGACACCAAUAAAACCUAUUUAGCGGGCAAAAAUAGAGUGAAUUGUGACUUUCUCUCUCAUCGCUAGAAUCCAGAAACCCCUCUAUCUAACCAGGGAUUUAAAAAAAAUCAACUUCUAUACCAAAAUUGAUUUUUUAAAAUCUAAGAAGAUCUAAAUUGUAUACAUUGCGUUAUUUUUAAAGAUCAAGGAUCUAAGUGUAUUUUUCAUGUAAUCUCUAGCAUGUCAUCCAUGUUUAGUGUCUUUUUCAUUUUGAUCUUUCUUCUUUCAAUUUCACUAUUGACUAAGAAUUAAGAUGUAAUUGACUUUGAAUUAGGAUUAAAUCACAAAAAAUAAAACUUCAAGGACCAAAAUGAAUUAUUAAAAAAUACACAGUAUGUCCACACUAUUUUUUGAGUGUAUGAACUGCACGUCACCCGCACGGUGUCGGUUUGGUGAUUUUUUUUGUUUGCCUAGUUGAUUGGUUCAUUGGAGUCGCCACCUAAUAUUUAAUUGAGGACUACUAGGAAACCUAGGUGUACUAGUCUUGUCAUAGAUUCACAGGUAAGGGACUGGUUGUGGUUAGGAAAGGUAUUAGUACCCCUAAUACAUCCUACCCGAGGUAAGCUGAUUCGUAGCUUUGAUGUGUUACAGAAGUUUUAAAAAUUUUAUCUUUUCAUCGGAUAUUAGAAAUAUAACUUACGUGUAAGUAAGGGUGAUCAUUUUCAGUUCGGUUCGGUUUUUAUCAAAAAAAUAACCAAACCGAAAUUUUUUUAAAAAAACCGAAACCGGGUCAAACCGGUUUGGCUCAGUUUUUCCAGUUUGGCUCGGUUUUUUUUUUCGGUUUGGUUUUUUCGGUUAUUUUUUUCCGGUUUUCUCAGUUUAAUCGGUUUUUUUGCUCAUCCCUAUGUGUAAGUUCAUAAUUCUCAACCGUGAACAAAUCAAAAUAUUAAAUUCUUCUUUAUUCUUUGUGAUUUUAUCAUAAAAAAAACACUCAAAAAAAAAAAAAUACAAACAACACAUUCACUUUUACUAUGUUUUUUUGUUUUUUUUUACAUCUACACUACAAAUUAUAAAAAAUUCAAAACUAAACAAAAAUUAUAUUAAGCAAUUUAAAAAUUACAAAAAAUAGCCCCUGAAACUCCAGGAAUUGCAGGGAAACUUUUUGGAAAUUCUGGUUUUUUCCAGUUUCGGUUCGGUUUUUUGCUUAUAAAAUUGAAACCAAACUGGCCGGUUUUUUCAAAAUUUUAAUCGGUUUUUUCAGGUUUUUUUCGGUUCGGUUUUUUUGGUUUUUUUUUUCCGGUUUUCUCAGUUUAAUCGGUUUUUUGGUUUUUUUGUUCACCCCUACAUGUAAGUUCAUAAUUCUCAACCAUGAACAAAUAAAAAUAUUAAAUUUUUCUUUACUCUUUGUGAUUUUAUCUUAAAAAAAAUACUCACAAAAAAAAUUACAAACAAUACAUUUACUUUCAUUAUAUUUUUUUGUUAUUUUUUUACAUCUACCCUAUAAAUUAUAAAAAAUUCAAAACUUAACAAAAAUUAUAUUAAACAAUUUAAAAAAUACAAAAAAUAGCUCCUGAAACUCCAGGAAUUGCAAGGAAACUUUUUUGAAAUGCAGGAACAAUGGUGAGGAAGGCUUCUGGACUUGUGAACAGUGGGGCCACUGUCACUACGGCGCUUGGCUUCACGCGCCGCCGCAAAAAAUCCAGACAGCAGGGGAGAUCCAAAACGACUUCCUCCCUUCUUCUUCGCCGGCGGUGACCUGCACAAACAGCAAAAUCCCAACAACCAGUUGAUUUUAAUUUUUGUUUUGUGCAGAUCCGUUCUUGGAUCUGUUGCUUUAUUCUGGUCUUGUUGUUCGUUCCUUCUUCAAGCGGCGGAUCUGGUGGCUGAGGAAGGAGUGCUGGAGGCCGGAGCUGCAGAUGCAGCCGUGCGUGGGGAGGAGCUGUUGUGGGGCCGGCUUUGCUGCGGGAGGCAGAAGACGGGCAGAUCUGUGGUGUUGGCCAGAUGAGGGAGACCGUAGGUCUGAGGAGACGGUAGGGACAGCUCUGUGGUAUGCUGCUGGUUGGUUGAAGGAGAUGAAGCAGAGAGCGGGGUUGCUGUUGUGUUCGGUCGUUCGGGGAAGAAAGGUUACUGUUGGGUCUGUCGGGUUAAAUUUGGAGGAAUGGCUGUUGAGAGGGAAGGGAACCAAGAAUCCCGAAGGAGGGGGGCCGGCGGCGCUGGCUGGUUCUGGUGAGUUUUUUUUUUGUCAAGGUAGAGAAGGAAAGGAAAUGGCGUUGGGCAGGGGAGAAUGUGGGGCUCCUGGUGAUGAGCUGAAGAUUUGUGUUGAUGAGGAGGGUGAGUGAGAGGCUCUGGUUUGGUUUCAAAGAGAAGGGAGAGUGUGCAGCGGCUGUGGUUUUGGAGAAGAAGCUGAGCCGGUCUGUGGAGAAAUGAGAGGUUGGUUCGGGUGAGGCCAAGGCACCGGAGGGCUCUAAUGGCAGGGGGUCAUUGGCUCUGUUCUGAAAACAACAACCAAGGACCCCGGGGGACGGCGGCUUUUCUAUUGGCUGGGAGAGGGGAGCCUGGUGAGGGAGACGGCUGGUUUGUAUUGGUAGAGAUAAGUUUAGCUUUAAGGUUUUUUAUGUUUUUUUUAAAUGUGUAAAAUUAUUUUUUUUAUGUGUUGAAAAUUAAUAUUUAUAGAUAAAAAUAUUAUUAGGUCUCAAACUUGAUUCCUCAAGUUUUUUUUUGUAAAUUUAAAUUUUUUAUUUUUUUUUAUUUUUCUUAUCAACAUCGACUCGAAUGAGGAAAAUCGGUAAUUUUAAAAUAUAACGCGUUAAAAGUCUAACACGUUCUAAAGAUCUUUAAAAAAUUUAAAUUCUUUUGAGAUAAUGCUGAAAAUGUUAAAAAUGAUGCAAAUAUAUUAAAAAAUAUAUUUUUUAGAUUUUUGUUAUUUCUUACUAUUUUUGAAUUUUUUUAAAAAAUUAUCAAAAAAAUUGAUCAAAAAUUGAAUAACAACAUGAUCAGCUCAACAAUGAUCUUUAGAACCAUCCUGCUCAUGUUUUAAAGAUUUAGCUUUUCUAUCUAGUAAUUCCUUUUAUUUUAAUGUUAAUUUUGAGUUUUGUACUAAUUUUUUUUUUCUGUUUAGCUUGUGAUUGAAUAUGAAAAACUAAUUGAACUCUUUUUCUUUGUUCUUUUUGUUAUUUGAAACUCAAUAAUCAAUUUUCUUUGUUCUUUGUGGGUUUUUCUUUUAGUUUAUUGCUGUUUUCUUUUUCUAGGAUUUGUGUGUUGAAUAAACCUUGUUCCUUCAUGAAGUUAGUUUAGGUGCUACGUGGCACAUUAAAAGCAAAUAGCCAGCUAAUAAACUUACAAUGGGCUAAAACUAGACUUGAGAGAAGGCCACCGUAUAAGACCAAUUAUGGGCUUCUUUUAUUAGGUCAACAAUCUAUGGGCCUCACUAUAGCCAUCAAAAACAAAAAAACAAAAUACGUCCAAAGCAGAUUCAACGAAAUCAGGUCUCUGCCCAACUUGUUUAGACAUUGCCAUAAUCAGUUCCAUUUGAUUAGCAAGAUGACUAGAAGAGCUAAUAUUAAGUGUCAUCAUAGCUUAAGCUUCAGACUCUUUAAUGCUUGCUGGACAUGAGAAGAUGCAAUGAAAAAAGUCUUUUAUGAUCACUUAUAGAGGCCUAUUGAUGCAAUUACACUUGUGAAAACUGAAGUUUCAGAGUAUUUAUAUGAGAAUUUAUCACAGGUAGACUGUGGAUAAUCUAGUAAAUUUUUUUUCUAAAGAAUCAUUGAAACAAGUUUAGGUCCCAAAAAAAGACUUGGAUAUGCUACACUAUAGUAGUGACUAAAAGAGGCUAUAAAAAAAUAUUCAACUAUUGGAUCGAUUUUAAAUUUUUACGAGGUUUUCGAAGCCCAUUUCAAUUGGAAACAUACUUUGUUGAUCAUUCGAAGUUCAGAUCCCGUGAAAUUAGGUUCAUAAAAUCCUGUUUGAGCUAAUUUUGUUAUUUUUCUUUGAUUUUCUUGAAUUUAUUGUUUUAUUUCAGAUUUUAUGUAGUUUGUGUUUAUGCUUUUGGAUUCUAAUUUUGUUUUCAAUGGAGAUAGGUUUUGUAGCAUAUUUAAAUGUUUUAGAAACCUCUUUGAGAGGCAAAAAUCAUUUUUUUUAGAAUAAUAAAUUGCGAAUUUAGAGUUUAAUUUUGCAACCCUGUUUGCUCAAUAAAUCUAUUUUCUUUGUGUUUGUUUGCUGCCUUUCUAGUUUAUGCCUGCAUCACCAACUAUUGCCCCCAGCAGAGUAGUAGAAUAAGGGAGAAAAUGGGUUUAAGAAGGAUAAGAUAAAUUGUUGUGUUGUGAAUCUUUAACAGUUGCUGUUCGUUAUUUUUAUUGUAUUAUAUAUAUAACUCUAAUGAAUUUUAUAUAAUAGAUUUUAAUAUAAUAAACACACAAGAAUAAUACAAAGCAUAGUGGAUCAUAAUGCUUCAAUACAGAGGACCCAUCUGAAUUAUAUUUAAAAGCACCUCAUGGAGGCCUACUGCAUGAGGUAAUUUGCCAGCAGUUAUGCACACAUCAUCGAUGCAAUGUUUACAAUGACAAACUUGCAUUUGUAUUCAUUGUGGUGUUAGGUUCACAGAUUCUGAUCAAAUAGAUAUUUAAUGUUCCAAAAACAUUGUAUACGCAUUUAAUGCUUUACUUCAAUAGAUAGAUCAAGUUAUAUCUCUAGAUAUCAGUAAAUCACAUCUUCAAUAGAUAGAUUAGGGCAUGUUUGAAUUUGAAGAAGACGUGUUUAUUUGCAUCUUCUCUGUCAACGUGUGUUUCCGCAGCAACUAAAAUGAAAACGAAGACCAUCCAUCAUGGUGUGGAACUAACUAAUAUACUGUUCCCGUUAUGGGGUCAAUCAUUACUAUCAGAAGAAAUUAAACCAUUUUGGUGUCCAUUGUUUUGAUGCACUGAAUACCAUCACGACCUGUUAACUGCCAAGAACAUCUAUUUUCCAGGCAAUCAAUUUGAAGAUGAAAACUCGAAUGCACAACUGUAACUGACACUGAUUUUUCAAGAGACCCACUACUAGAAAUUCGCUAAAUACCAACGGAUUUACCGACGGAAUAUUUUAUGUCGGUAUUUUGAGGUCGAAAUUACCGACGGCCAGUUUCCGUCCGUAAUUCAGUCGGUAUUUACCGAUUGAAUUACGGACGGAAAAGUUUCUGAAUUUUAAAAAAGGCGGGCCGCUGACAUGGAGGUUUUGGCGGGUUUUUUUUUUUCACCGACGGAUUCAAAACGACUGCCCGUACAGUGCCCGUAAAGUGAUGUGACCGGUUCGCCGUUUAAAUUUUUGACGGACUCACCGAGGGAUUUGAAAUGGCAGAUCCGUACGGUGACAUGUCUAUGUUUCCGUCAGAAUCACCGGCGUAAUAACCGACGGAGUGUCCGUCGGUAAAACCGUCGGAAAAAGUUAAUAUAUGACAGCUCUGCCGACCCUUUCAUCCCCUAUUUCUCCUUCUUCUUCCUCAUCCCAACUCUCCCCAUCUGCAAACAACCAGCCCCCCCUCCCCCCCCAAAAAAAAAUCCUCAUAGCAGCACAACAAGUUAUAUUUCUUGAAGUUUUGUGGUCACAGCAUCCGCGCGUGUUCUGAUUUACCGACGGAUUUUAUCAAUUUUUGUAAGUAAUUAUAUCUUUUUAAAUGUUAACAUUUAAUUAAAUGUGAUUUUUUUUUUUAGUAUAUGUAUUUUGUUAGUAGAUGUACAUGUUUUAUUGUUAUUUCUCAAACAAACUUGUAGUAUAUGAAUGUAUAAUUUUGUACCUGUUAUGGUUUGUUUUAGAUUUUGUAAGAUUGUAUUUGUUUGUAAAUUGUUAUUUCUUUAUGGAAUUACCGAAUUACAUGUGCUAUUUUGAAAUAAUUACUAGCUUGCUUAAUGGACCCAUUUAAAGUUUUAUCAAUGGUAUUGCGGAGUGGUAAUUUCUGUAAAUUUAUAUUUUUUAAUUCGUAUGGACGUUGAUAAAUGAUAAUGAAUAUUUAAUAUUUAUGAGAAGUUGUGAUUGGUUUGUUGGAUAAUCUCGAGUUAAAGUAAUAUUUGUACAAGUUUAUUUACCUAACUUAGUUAAUUAAUACAUGAUGUCAUCAUAAUUUUAUAGAGGUUCGAUAUAAGUCAUGGAUGAUCGUUCAUGGAUGUAUCGAGAUUCACCCCAAGGAUUGCGGAGGAUGGAUUAUUGUAAUGGGGUUCAGGGUUUUAUUAAUUUCGUAACAUCUAUUCCCAGAAAUUUUACUGGAGGCGGUAUUAGGUGUCCAUGCAGGAAGUGUGAAAAUAAAAAGUAUCUGCAUCCAGAUGUUGUAAUGAUGCAUCUUCUAAACAAAGGGUUUAUGGAGAAUUACCAGUGUUGGUAUGCACAUGGAGAAGUAUUUGUUAGCGAGAGUGAGAGGAGAAUGGAAGAAACGGUGGUUGGGUCUACUUCUAGUGCUAGUAACGUGCAUGAAACGACAAAUGACAACACUAAUCCUUACAGAAUGGUUAUGGAUGCAAUGAGAAUGAAUCAAGGUAAUGGCAGUCAAUGUCCAAUCGUAGAAGAAGAACUUAAUGUAGAUGCAGCUAGAUUUUUUGAUUUGUUGAAAGAUUCUGACGAACCAUUAUGGGAUGGCUGCACGAACCACAGUAAAUUAUCGGCCGUAGCACAGGUGUUCACCAUCAAGUCAGAUCACGGGUUGAGUGAGGCCGGGUAUGACAAGAUUAUUGAAUGGGCAAGAAGCAUUUUACCUGAAGGGAACAAGCUGAAAGAGAACUUCUAUGCUGUGAAGUCCAUGAUGAAACCCCUCGGUUUAGGAUACCAGAAAUUUGACAUGUGCCCUAACUUCUGCAUUUUAUACUACCUUGAAAAUGCUGAGAUGACCGAGUGCAUGACAUGCGGGCAUUCCCGUUACAAACCUAGAACUGGCAGGGAAAGACUCUAGUGGCAUAUAAAAAACUUAGAUACUUCCCGAUCACACCUAGACUGCAGAGGUUAUUCAUGUCACCAAGGACUGCUGAGCACAUGACAUGGCACCAAGCACACCAUGCGGUUGAUGGAGUGAUGGUUCAUCCUUCUGACGGCGAAGCGUGGAAACGCUUUAACAGUGUUCAUCCUCACUUUUCAGCUGAAUCAAGGAAUGUGCGUCUUGGGUUGUGUACAGACGGAUUCAACCCAUUUGGGUCAUUUGCUGCUCCUUAUUCUUGUUGGCCGGUCAUACUCACAGUUUAUAACUUGCCACCGGGAAUGUGUAUGAGGUCGGAGUUCAUGUUUUUAUCUACUGUCAUAUCCGGUCCAAGAAGCCCGGGGCGGAAUAUAGAUGUUUGUCUUCGACCGUUGAUUGAUGAGUUGGCGCAGUUGUGGUCCUCCGGAGCUCUGACUUAUGAUAUAUCGAGGAAACAAAAUUUCCUUAUGAGGGCGGCAUUGAUGUGGACUAUCAAUGAUUUUCCAGCUUAUGGAAUGCUUUCUGGUUGGAGCACGCAUGGGAAACUCGCAUGUCCAUACUGCAUGGAAAACAACAAGGCAUUCAUGCUAGCAAAUGGAGGUAAAGUUUCUUUUUUUGACUGUCACCGUCGCUUCUUGCCACUUCAUCACAUGUACAGAAAGAACAGAAAAGAUUUCUUUGUUGGCAGAGUUGAAAAAGAUGUUGCAUCCCCGCGUCUUUCUGGUGAAGAAUUGCAUGAUGUUGUCUCAGAGUACGGUGACAUUGUGUUUGGCCUUCAAUCAGGAAAGCAAAAGUUUCCUGGUUUUGGUUUGACCCAUAAUUGGGUAAAGCGAAGUAUCUUUUUUGAGCUUCCUUAUUGGAAGACCAAUCUGCUUCGCCAUAACCUUGACGUCAUGCACAUCGAAAAGAACAUGUUUGAGAAUAUUUUCAACACCGUCAUGGAUGUGAAGGGGAAGACAAAGGACAACAUCAAGGCUAGAUUGGAUAUAGCUUUAUACUGUAACCGAAAAAAUAUGGAGUUGGUUUAUGAUGAGUCACGGGUCGCAAAACCAAGAGCAAGCUUCGUGUUAGAGAAAAACGCACAACUACUAGUCUACAAAUGGCUUAAGAGUCUGCGUUUUCCGGAUGGACAUGCAUCGAACAUAUCAAGGCUGGUUAAUAUAGAGGACUGCAGAUUGUAUGGAAUGAAGAGUCAUGACUGCCACGUGUUUAUGCAAACACCCAUCCCAUUAGCUUUUCGUGAUUUGUUGCCAAAGGGAAUAUGGGAUGCACUCACGGAGAUCAGUCAUUUCUUCAGAGAUAUAUGCUCCAGCAAGUUGAAUGUUGAUCACAUUGAGAGGCUUCAAACGAAUAUCGUCGAGACACUAUGCAAACUUGAGAUGAUAUUCCCUCCAUCAUUUUUUGACUCAAUGGAGCAUCUCCCUAUACCUCUACCGUUCGAGGCAAAAGCUGGAGGACCGGUCCAAUAUAGAUGGAUGUACCCAUUCGAACGGUUAGAUAUUACAGUUGCAAUGUAAUUCAUAUAUAAAAGUAUUUUAUAUGUUUUUCUUAAUUGAAUAUACUUGAUUAAUAUUUCAAUGCAGGUACUUGUUUAAUCUCAAGAAAAAGGUUAAGAACAAGGCGCAUGUUGAGGCUUCGAUAUGUGAGGCCUAUAUUGUUGAGGAGAUCUCAACAUUUAUCUCGUACUAUUUCGAACCUCAUAUGAGAACGAGAAUCAAUCGCGUUCCACAGCAUGAUGAUGGCGGUGAAGUGCCUUCCAGUGGGAACUUGUCAAUAUUCUCCAAUACUGGACGACCCACACCUAAAAAUGCCGUAAGAGGAAGAUAUUUGUUGGAAAUAGAGUUCAAACAAGCACACAACUAUGUUCUAUUUAACUGUGAUGAGCUGAGACCUUUUAUUCAGUAAGUUUAUACUAAUUAAACUUUGUUAGUAAUAUACUGUUAAUUAUAUAUUGUAAUAUCAUACACUCAUUAUCACUUGCAGGCAACAUCGUCAAUAUUUGCUCUCCAAUAACUCACAGCUGACUGAAUCCCAGAUCUUUCAAUUACAAGAUGAGCAGUUUGCCACGUGGUUCAGAACACAUGUAAGCACUAUCACAAACUCAUUCUAACUUGCAAAAUUACUGUACGUAUGCAUGUCAUUACGAGAUUCUCGUUCUUUUACUGUUUAUUGAUGUACAUUACAUGCAAGGUUUAUCAAAUGGGAAGGAGUGCACCUAAGUCAUUGUCUUUACUAAGCCUGGGGCCUGAAAGAAAAUGUAAGUGCUACAACGGGUAUUUUGUCAAUGGAUAUGUUUUCCAUACUGAAGAAUACAGGCAAGGAAGAAAGACAUACAACAGCGGUGUUUGUGUUAAGGGAUCCACUAGUAGUGAGUUAGAAGUUGACUACUAUGGUAGAUUAGAAGAGGUUGUCGAACUGCAAUAUCAUAACGAGCAGAAUAUAGUGUUUUUAUUCAAAUGCUAUUGGUAUGACACGACUGACAGAGGAAUCAGAGUUGAUCCGCACUAUGGUCUGGUCGAAAUCAACUCAAAAGCUAGACUCCGCAACAUAAACGAUGUCUUUGUUUUCGCAAAGCAAUGUCAACAAGUUUAUUACACAUACACCCCUUCAUUUAGAAAGGAUCGAUCAAGAGUGGAUUGGUUGUCCGUUUUAAAAACGAAACCCCGGGGUCGUGUCGAGGUUGUUCAGGAUGAGAACGAAGACACAAGUGUGCGAGAUGAAGUCUUUCAAGUUAGUGAGGUGGUUGAACCAUAUCGUGUUGCUCCUUCGAUUGAAUUGGAAGAAAAUUCAAAUUUUCGUGUUUUCGAUGAUAGUCUUGUUGAUGUUGACGCAGAUGAGUUAAAUUUUGUUUUGAGCUCUAACGGACAACCAAAUAUCGAUGAAGAAGAUGAUAUUCAUAUUGAAGAUUGCGAUGAAGGUGAUGACAAUUCAAUUGAUGACGAAGAAGAAGAAAAUUCUGACUAACUACCAAAAUGAAGCCCUAUGUAAAACCCUUUUUUACAUGUAAUUUAGAUUAUGAAUGAUAUAUAUAUUUUGAAACACAAAAUAUUUAUUACUUGAAAUAAUUAGUUGAAAUGCCACACUUAUGAUGGAUGAUAUAUUUUGUGACAUGAAAUAAUUACUUGAAAUGCACCCUAUCACCGACGGCCACACCGACGGACUUAGUCCGUCGGCAUUUCACAGAGAGUUCGAAAAUAAUUACUUGAAAUGCCACCCAAUUACAGACGGCCACACCGACGGACUUAGUCCGUCGGCAUUUCACAGAGAGUUCGAAAAUUAUUACUUGAAAUGCCACCCAAUUACAGACGGCCACACCGACAGGACUAAUUCCGUCGGUGUUUCACAGAGAGUUCGAAAAUAAUUACUUGAAAUGCCACCAAAUCACCGACGGCUACACCGACGAACUUAAAUACGUCGGUAAGUUGUCGGCGGUUCAAUUUUACCGACAACAUUACCGACGGACUGCGCGAAUUUCAAAGGGUUGCGCAUUUAAUGCGCCUCUGACCGCGUAAUAUUGCCGACGGACCACAAAAAAUAUGGAGGGUCAUUAAAAAUUUUAGUGCGAAAUUCAAACUUUGCCGACGGAUUUUUAACAUAUCACCGACGGAAUAAAUUAAAAUAAUAAUUAAUUUUAUAUCCGUCGGUGAAUCCGUCGGUAAAACUGCCAUAUAAGUUCAAGUGACUGCCCGUUCAGUUCAUUUUUUCUUCUCCUUCGUUUCUCACCUUAAGCUUUUGAUUUUUUUCCUCUCCAUUCUUCAAAGCUUUCACCUCCAAUCUCUAGCAAGUUUUCUUCAUCAUCUUCAUCAGUUUAAAAGGUUAGUGUUUUCUCUAUUUCAUUUUACUUUAAUAGUUUUUUUUUUUUGCUAUUUUUUUGGUUAUUUUUUUUGUUUUGGUGUAUUUUUUGUAAUGUAGAUAAAGUCUAUAGUUGUUUUUUGCAUAAUUCAUUGCUAAAGUAUAUAGUUUUUUUUUUUAAUUUUUUGAAUAUUUUUUAUUGUUGUAUUGGCAUAAUUAUUAUUAGUUAAUUUGUUGAAUUUUUAUUGUUAAUGUUGAAUUUACCAUAGAAUUAGUAAUUGAAUAUGUUGGAAUAAUUAUUAAUUUUACUUUAUUAUUGCAUGAUUUGUGUUUAAUUUGUUCCAUUUAUUUUGAUUGUUAUUCUAGAGUUUGGGGGUGGUUAUUUAUUGUUUUGUUGUUUGGCAUAAUUAUUGAAUAAUUACUUGAAUUGUAAUUCUUAAUGUUGAAUUUACCUUAGAAUUAGUAAUUGAAUAUAUUGGAAUAAUUAGUAUAUAUUGGGUAAAUUGGUUGUGGCUAUUGUUAAUAUGUGCAGGUUUGUGGAUUUGGGUAGUAUCCGGUAUAGGGGAGGUGCUGUCGAAUUUUUUUUUUACAUUUGAAUUUAAUUAUAUAAUUAUUUGUAUCAAAUUGUGUAGAUGCGUAGAACGAAAACCAGAGCUGGUCGCUCAGGUGCGGUCGCAGCUAGUUCGUCUAGCAGCGAGGAUGAUAUUUUCUUAGGUGCCUCUCAAGAAGAGGCACCUACGCCACCUGCGCCGUCAACCGAUGCUGCCUCUUCCAGCGGUACUUCACAGCGCAGAGGCGGCGUGCCUUCGCAGCGGAAUCAAUUUACCCGUAAGUACGAGGCACAGUGGAAGGACGACCUUUCAAUGUAAGUUUGUUAAGGUUUUAGUUUUUUUUAAAAAAAAAAUUACAACAUAAUUUAUCAAGUAAUCACUAUUGAAUUUAUUUCAUUUAUUUUCAGGUUCACAAACAUUGAAGCCGCCCGAGUAAUAUCAUCGGCGUUUAAAUCGUCGAUGGAGAUUCCAUUGUUUCAAUGGAGUCAGAUAUCCAAGCAUCCUGAAUAGAUGCCUCAAAUCAAUGCAUGGUUUAACAGGUUUGAGGUUGGUAUUAAUUUAUAAUUUUCAGCUUAUUAAUAUAAUUGUAUUAUUUUUAUUUAAACUUGUUUAUUUAUACAAAGCACAAAUUCUGCUGGGACAUUGAGCAUAAAGCUGUUGUGAGGAGGGUGUGGGAAAAUCACGCGGCAACUAGGUAAGAUCGAAAACAAUACAGGAUUUUUUUUAGACAAAAAUUUAUGUUUCGAAAUAUAAUUUUUGGUUGCGUGAAGCAGGUUGCGUGAUUUUUGGUAUGAAGCACAGAAAAAGGCAAAAAAAACCGCGAGGGAUAGGGGUUUCCAAGGCUGGAACGAUGUUGCGGUUUGGAGGGAUUUCAAACCGAUAUACAUCCUGGAAGAUAUAUGGCCGCACUAUCUUGAGCACGUGACGUCUGAGCGGUUCACACGACGCUCACAGUCCGGUGCUGGCAACCGGAAUCGGCCAAUUCAUGGCGGGGUGACAACUCACACUGGCGGCUCCGUUCCGUUUGCUGCACAUGCGAAACGGAUGGUAAGAUUAAUUUAAAUGAAAUAUAUCGUUAAAUUCAGUUGUUGUUAAUAUAUCUUUUUUCAUUAUAGGCUGUGUCUCUUGGACGUGAGCCGAGCCCGAUGGAGCUGUUUGUGGAGACGCACGUGCGGAGUCAAGACCGCCAGAAGGGGGCGCAACAGUUCGUUGAUAACCGUGCUCAACAUUUCGUGGUAUGUUUGUUCAACCAUUUUAUUUUGUAAGUUAUUAUGUUUAUUGUAUUGAAUAUGAUGAUUACUUUUUUUAUUUUUUAUUUUCAGGAGACCUAUAAUAAUCGGUUGAGGGAGAGAUACGGGGACGAUACUUUGACCCAUCCGGAAUUCGAUCCGGAUUUGUGGAUGGAGGUUGGCUUGUCAGGUGGACCAGAUAAAAAUCGGGUUUACGGGCUCUCCAACACUACGGCCGACAACUUGCGGUCGACCCGUAGUGUUUCAACCGUUGGGAGCUCCCAAUCUAAGGAGUUCGUGGCUUUGCAGCAACUCAACGAGAAAUACGACAACCUACAAGCGGAGUACGCACAACUCAAAGCGUCUCAUGCACAACAAAGAGCGGAGUCUGAGCAAUUCAAAGCGUCUCAAGCACAACAAAAAGCGGAGUAUGAAGCGGCUCAGGAACAGCAAAAAGCAGCUUAUGACCAGCUUUACGAAAUGAUUAUGAAAUUGUCAAAUAGCGGAACAUGUGCGCCUAAUCCUUUUUGGCCGUAUAACCACCAGCCUCCGCCAGGAUCUCCUCCUCCUCCUCAAGCUCCAUCAUCUUUAUAUUAAUUUGUAAUCAACAUUAUUUACCUUUAAAACUUCAUUUAUUAUUUUUCUUGGAACAUAUUCAGUUUGUAAUGAAUAUUAUUUAACUUUGUUUUUUUUUAUGUUUAAUAAAAAUUUUAUUUGCAUAAUUGGUUUGUAUAACAAUUAAUUUAUAUAGUUUUAUAUUAUAUAUCCUAAAUAAUUUUUUAAAAACAAAUUAAGAAAAAAACUAUUACCAAGGAUUUUACCGACGGAUGAAUUCGGUCGGUAUUUUAAACUUUCACCGACAGAAUUACCGACGGAAUUAAUCCGUCGCCAUUUAACAGUAGCUUCCACCAGUACCGACGAAUUUACAGACGGACAUAUUCCGUCGGUAUUUUCAAUUUCACCGACCGAUGUAACGACGGAUAUUUUCCGUCGGUAAUUUCAAUUUCACCGACGGAAUGAAAAUCCGUCGGUAGAUUUCAAGCAGGAAUCUUUUUUUUUGGCGCGCACGUUCCGUCUGUAAAACCGUCGGUAAAUGAUUUUUUUGUUUUUCCGACUGAUAUACCGACGGAAUGAGGAAUCACCGACGAAGGUAAAGCCGACGGACGUAUUCCGUCGGUGAUGACAUCAGUAAAAAAAUCACCGACAAACUUCUAAUCACACACCGACGGAAUUUUGCCGUCGAUAAAACUGUGAAAUCUUGUAGUGGAAUUAGCCGUGGUGAAGUGCAAGAACAGCAGCCUGUAAAAAUCAAAUAAAAAUGGCAAACAUUAGCACAGAGAUUUACUUUCGCCGCUAAUCUUUGCUUGCGAACUUCGUUCUUAUACUUCACAAUUAAUUAACUAACAAAACAAAAUCUCAAUACCUUUACAGGUUCCGUGUUUUGGUUUACAAUUAUACUUGAGCAUAAAUUAAUUUUUAAUAUUUAAUGAAAAAAUGAGUUAGAAAUCAUUUUAUGGUCUUUGGAUAUAUCUAAGAAAAUAAGUUGGAAAAUAAUAUAUUUUGAGUUAUUAACUUUUUUAAAAUAGUAUAAAUUUUAUUUUUAUCAAAUAUUUUUUGGUGCUUGGAGAACAUUGAAAAUUAAUUUAUUUUCUAUGGUAUUUUAAUUUUAUAACACAAUUUAUAUGAUUUAAAAUGUAUAAUUAUUGUACAAUAUAACAUGUUUUGUAUUCAAAUAUAUUUUCUAGUAAUAUUAUCUAAAUUAAAGUAUUAUAUGCAUUAAUAUAUCAAAUUAAUAUACUUUUAUAUUGUAUAUUAAUAUGUCCUUCCUAUAUAAAUAUAUUAGUAAUUUAGUAUAUUUUCGACUCGAGACAACCACAGAUGCAGGCUCGUUUCAUCAAAGACUACCACAGGAUUGUUGACUUCUUGCUGUCAAUAAAGAGAAAGUUGUGUUUGAAAGGGAGGAUGGUUCAUACGAGGAGCCAAUAGGAAGGGAAAGCUUGAGAAGCCUUCCUAUAUAAAUAUACAUUUAUUUGCUUAAAUGCAUUUUGUUCCUUUAUUAGUUUUCAUUUUGGUAUUUGUGUUGAUGAAAAUUAUGCAAUUGGGGUUGAUUUUGUACGGUAGACAAAGUGGUUGAUGGAAUACCAUGUUUUAAUUCUUUUCUAAUUUUUACCAAAGUUGUAAUGUUAUUUUGAUGGUAAUCUUGUAAAUAAUUAUAUAUCUUUUUAUUAAUUUUUUUUUUUGCAAGGAAGUUAAGUGUUAGCAUGCCUAUAAAGUUCAAGAUAUAGAAUAUAAUUUUUUAAAUUAUAGGGUGUAAUCGCAAUGUGAACCAAACUAUAAGGAUGUUAAGGUUAGUUUUUCCAAUAAGAAAACAUUAAAAGGAUUUUUAUAUCCUUCUUUUUUCAGACAUUUUUAUAUUAAAAAAACCACAUUCAUUGAACUUCUUUCGAAAACGAGAAAUCUAUUAACAUAAAUAUUAGUCUUUUUAGUGGUCAAAUGUUGACAUCCAACCAUUUUCUCUCUCCUUAACUUUUUUUGAUGACUUUAUCUUUCAUCUUUCAACACCUAGAAACUAAAGAGUAAAGACAAUGAAGUUUGAUACCAAAAUAUAAAUCUCUAAAACAAUAUGGACCACAUGAUAAGAAAUUCAAAAUUCCAAUUACCAAACUGGAGUUUUUCACACCAAAAUCUAAAUGGGGCAUGUGUUUUCAUUCAUCACAUAUAAUCCUCGUUCUUUAAAUUUGUAUUUACAAUCCCAAUAAAUUUAUGAUUUUGUAAAAUCAAAACGAAAUCUAUCUUAAAACAUCUCUUAAAAGUCACUACGAACCACACAUAAAAGAAACCAUGAUAUUGUAAUUUUAGAGGAUUAAAUUUCAAUAAUUAGAAGUUUGAGGAACAGAAUGAAAAAAUAAAUAGGCAAAUUCACAGUAGUUAAUGCAUGGGUGAACAAUGAAUCACCCAUCUAUAUAUACUAGUUAUUUGACUUAUGCUUUACUGUAGGUUGGAUAAAAUUUUCUUUUUAACACAAAAAUAAAUGUGUAAGGUUAUUAACGUAUUUUUUAAUAUAAAAAAAUUUAACUAUGAAUUGAAAUACUGAUUCAUAAAUAUAUCAAAAUAAAAUGAGAAUUAUAUGUGUUAAUAAAAUCCAAAAAGAGUUGUUAACACAACACCGUCUAUAUAAUCUCAAGUUAAUUUUUUAACAUAGUAGAAAAAUACGCAAUGUUGCUAGUGCAAUUCAACAAACAUAUAUCCUACACACGUGAGAUUUUAUUUUUUUUAUAUGGAAAUAGGAUUGAUCAUAUGUCCUCUUGGAUUUUUUUUUUUAAAAGCAAACUAUGCCUUGUCUUCCUUCCUAGUUUCCAUCUACUAGGAAAUUGGUCAAAAAAUUAGGUAAGGUGUUUUAUGGCUCAAAAAUGCAAUUUUUAACCAAUUUUCACUCUAAAACACCUAUAUGUGAAUAAACCAAAAAAACCCCAAACAAGUUCAAAAACAAAAUCUUCUUUAAAGCUUGAUUUGCUUUUUCAAUCAAUAUCAAGAGAAAAAUAUCUAAAUAAAACUUCUCUGUUAAAUGAAAGUUAUUGACAUUGACACUAAUAUCAACAUUUUUCGUUGUUAAAAUUGAUAUCAAUUGAGACUCUCUUUCUCUUCAAACCAAAUAUGCCAAGUCUUUCUCUUUCUCAUUUUCUCAAACCAGUGAUUAAGAAAUAAGAUAAAUUAAUUUUUAUAUUAAAAUUAGAUUUAACAAAACCCAAUGGAUAAAAAAUGUAUCAAUUUAAAAGUAGAAGGAUCAAGGUGAACUUUUCACAUAAUUUGAAAAUAAAAAAUGCCAUUUAUUUUUUAAGCCUUUUUCACUUUGGUUCUUUUUCUUUCACUGUUAUCCUUUCGUAACAAAUUUACUUAAAUAAGCUAUCAAUUUGAUCCUAUAAAAGGAAAAUAAAAAAAAUUUGAGGAUGAAAACAAAAUAGAGUGCUAAAAAGGAUAUGUUUAAUAAUGUAGUGUAAAGUAUUUCUCAAUUGAAAAUAUAUUAAAAUGAUGUUUAAUUUAUUUUAUUUUUGAUAUUAUUACGUUAAAACAUAUUAAAACUAUUAAAACACAUAUGAAAAAAUAUUAAUUUGAGACUUCUUAAUCAUUUUAAAAAUAUUUUUCAAAUAAAAAACUAUUGCAUUGUAAUACACCUAGAUUAUUGAUCCAAGUGAUAACGAACUAGGAGAUUCAUUUUAGUCUGUGUUCUUAGGUUCUAGGAAUUGUGAAACGCUGACGUGUAUUCGUUUGCUUCAAAUAUUAUUCUAAACUUCAGUUCGAAUAUAAAUAUGACGGGAUCCCUUCCGAUCCACACGAGUAUUAAAGAUUCAAUAUUUUUCUACAUAUUUGUCAUCAUACUAUCUGAACACCACAUUUUUUUAAUUAAAAAUAAUUACCAGCCACGUAAUUGAUUGACUAAUUUUUAUGUGGAAUAUAAUUAAUUAUAUAUACACUCGCGCACGCGCGAGGAUGUUGUAAAGUACAAUGGUUAUUUUAUUUCCAUGGAAUAUAUAAAUAAAAAUAAACAAAUACACUUGCUUUUACAUUAUUAAUUAUGAAAAUCAAUGAUUGGUUUUAUCAUCGUAAGUUGAUAAGGAAAGAAAUUCAACGUGAACAAUGACAACCAUUAAAGCAUCACUGAUCGAUCGUUAUAUAUAUUUUAGGUUAAUUAUAUUUUACCUCCUUGAAGCAUAUAAUAACUAUCAAUUUUUACUUAAAAACUUCUUCUUUUUUUUAUCAAUUACCCCCAACAUUUAUCCAUCUAUCAAUAAGGGCUUUUUGUUUCAUAUAGGAUAAAAUAAAAAUUAACCAACUCAAGAGGAUAAUUGAUAAAGAUAAAUUUUAAAAAGAAAUUGACAAAAUCAUAUAAUUCAAGAGAGUAAAAUAAAAUCAACCCUUAGGUUUAGGAAAUGAGAUGUUCUCACACUCUUAACCAAAAUCGAGGAAAAAAAGGUUGGGAUGGUUCCUAGGUUGUCUUUAAAAAUUGUUUUAAAUUCAAGGAGGAGGAGGAGGAGGAGAGGAGGAGGAGGAUAGUACUAUUUGACACUGCGGUCGGAAAGUGCUUUUGAAAAAAUUAAAAUUUAUUUAUUUAUUUUUUGCUUUAAAUUAAUAUGUUUUUGAUGUUUUCAGAUUAUUUUGAUAUGCUGAUGUCAAAAAUAUUUUUUAAAAAAAUAAAAAAAUUAUUAUUUUAAUGUGUUUUGGAAUAAAAAGCACUUUGAAAAACAACCGCUACCACAUUCUCAAAUAUUCUCGAAGAAGCUGAGAGAGGUUAGAUUUCGAAAAUUUCCACCCUCAAAUUAAAGAUAAAUUUUAAUUUACCUCUUUGAAAUAUAUGGAUUCUAUUGACUCUAAGUUUAUUCUUUAUCAAUUACCCCUAAGAUGAUUAUUUUCAUUUUAUCCCAUGUGGAUAAAAGGAUCUUAUGAAUAAUGGGUGAAAUGUUAGGGGGUAAUUGAAAAACAAAAUAAGAAGAAUUUGAUAGAAUUCAUAUAUUUUAGGGGUUAAAAUGAAAUUUACCCUUCCACCAAUGAGUAAAAAGGUUUCCUAUCCUUAGGUCGGAAAAGACUAUUUCUAAAAAUUAUAUAAAAUAUUUUGAGAAUUUAUUUUUAAAAUAAAUAACAGGAUUACUAUUUCAAUGGACACUUAAUUAAUUGGAUUCAACUGUUUUAUUAAGGAUUUAAAUUAACAUGAAAAUCUUCGAAAGGUGAGAUUAGGGGAUGAGAAUGCCCCAAUUUUAUCAAUUAGAACACUUAAUAAUGUAUUUAAGCAAGCUAUUAAGUACGUAGAGUGUCAUUAUCAAUGGCGCCAAUUUUAUCUUGAAUGUUUUGAGAUUGAUAAUACCAAAGUGGUUAUUAAUUGAUGAUGAAGAGGAAAUUUUAUAUAUUUCCUGUUUGUCCUUUUAUACUUGUACGAUAUUUUCAUGGUGAUCUUCGUCUUCCUCUCUCCCUUUCCAUGUAGAAAUUGCCGCACAAGAAUUAAAAGUAAACUUCUAUUAGAUCUUCUUAAGAAUAAAGAUGUUCGAUGGAAGUGUUAAAUAAAAUGAGAAACUUAGGAAUUCAUUAAAGGGUGUUUGUGAAAGUUAUAAUAGUAAUUUUCUAAAGUAUUUUUUUUCUUGUAAAUAAAUUAAAAUAAUAUAUAUUUUUUAUUUUUUAUAAUUUAUUUUUAACAUUAAUAUAUUAAAUUAAGAAGGAAUAAAUCAAAUUAUUAGGUGAUUUAAGUUAUUGAUUCAACUAAUAAAUUAUUGGUCAAACUGUCAUAAACAAGAAAUGAUAAAGUGGCAAGUAUAUAACUUGCAAAAGCUGCAAAUUUUUAUUAAAAAAAAAAAAACCAAUUCAAUGUUAAACUCACUAGUCUAACUAGACGGGUUUGAUCAAAUCCGUUAAAUAUAUAAUAUUUUACAUCAAUCACGACUGAUUAAAUUACUAGAUCAUUAAGUUUUUAAUUAAAUCGAAUGAUUCAGACUUAAUAAUUUUUUUUAAUUUAAUAAUAAAGAUAUCAUCCUCUAAAUUUACAAAUCAAUUAAGUUAAUGUUUGUUUUUUAGAAUUCACUUUUUAGAAAAUUACUUUCAAAACUUUUAUAUGUUUGUUUGUCAUUAAAAAAAUUGGUCAACGGAAAACACUUUUCAGUCAACAAAAACACUUUUCGGUCAACGAAAAACACUUUCCAGUCAAAGAAAAAUUUGGUUUGGUUUUCAAGAAAGUUUUUUUUUUGGCUGUGUUUGUUUUCCGGAAAGUGGUUUCCGAAAAACCACUUUCCAAACUUUCCCGUGUUUGUUUGUCAUUAGAAAAAAAUUAAUUAAAAAAAAACAUUUUUCAAUAAAAAGAAAAUUUGACUUGAGGGUAGAAAAGUCUAUUUUCAAAUCAUCUUACUGCAUGUUUACGCAUUCGUACAUGUUCAGGGUGUCCUCAGGCCUUGUUUAUCACUAUUUGGAUACGCGAAAGUUGACUUUUUAUUAAGAACAACCCGCAAAUGUUGAUUUCUGGGACACCCACAGUUUGUCUCCUCAACGACAUUACGGUAAAGACCACACCAUGUGUCCCAGCUCCUUCCCUGUUCGAAAGAAAACCAACAACCUCUCUGCCAGGACAAAUUAUCCUUGGCAGGCGGCUUAGCUGAUUCUAGAUCAAUGAUACAAAGAACACGAAAUCAUGCCAGCCUUUUCGUGUUUUUUCAGCUCUCCCCUUUUUUGAUUCGGAAUACACUCACGUUCUCUUGAUCAAUUCACUCUCUUUGAUUUUUCCUAGUGGCACUCGCAACUUCCCCUCCUAUCUUUCACCAUCCCUGCCAUCCUCCCUUUCUGCGACGACCCUCUUGGGGUGGUCUUGUGUUUUACUUUUACAAGCAGUGUUUUCCUUUUCUUUGUAUAUUUUUUUCUUCUCUGGGUUUUGCUUUUAGAGCUUUGUUGACCCUUUCUCAAUAUUUUAUUACGACGACAGCAUUUUUUUCAAGAAAAGGACGCAAUGCAAAAUGAAAAAUAAAAAAUAAAAACCCGAGUAACUCGUCAUCUUUAAAAACCCCUCCUACAUUAUCUUUCCCUCCAACCACCUUACUCUCUUUCUUCCUUCUCUAAAAAAACAAACGAAAAACAUUGUUUCUGUCCCUGAACUACUGCUCUUUUUCGUGUUCUUUGAAUUAUUUUUUUUGGAGAAUUAAUUACCCCACAAUUAGAGAAAGAGUAACUGUGUUCUGCAUGCUUAAAACAUGGCGUUUGUUCAAUCACUGUCAAAGACUGUCUCUGUUUUUGUUUUCGGUUUUGUGGUAUUGAAUUGCUUGGUUGUGGACAAAUUUAGAUCUCAUGCCCAAGGAGUGACUCCACUCUUGCCACAAGAUGAAGGUAAAUGGUCAUAAUUCAACAAUCUCCUUUUUUUUUGUCAGCAAAUCAAAAUAUUUGGCAGAAUAAAUGGUUUUUCUUUCUGGGUUUUCUUCGUGUAAUGGCCAAGUGUUCUUGUUCUUAACAUUAGUUGACAGACAUGCUCUUGUCUUGUUCGUCGGGGGAAACUGCUGUUUUGACUUUCAGAUUUUUCAUUUCUCUUUAAAAACGUUUUUUUUUAUCUCUUCUUGUCAUAAAAAAAUUGUGUUUUAUUUAUUUUUUAAGAUUAAUCGGGGAAAUAUAUUGCAUGAAUUGGGCAAUAAUAGGAAAAGAGGAGGAAUUCGGAAAAAGUAUUUUUGAAAAUGUUACUUAAAUGCAUGAUUUGUAUAGUUUUCUUAAAAAAGAAAAAGAAAAAAACUGUUCAAUUUCUUGUUGCAAUCAAACAAAAGAAAUGAAGAAUAUUAAACAAAAGAAAUAAAGUACAAGAAAUUUGAUAAAAUAUUAAACAAUUCAAGAAGUGAGAAGGUGAUAUUAUUAAAAAAUAUAUUUUUCAUUUCUUCGAUGUGACAUAUUUUUGGUAUGUUCAUCGUUUCAACUUUCAAGGAGCAACUGUUGCUUGAAAGUUGCAUCUGUUCAACACUGCAUUCAUUUAUGGUAGAAAGAUUCUUGCCUCCCUGAUAUAUUUGUUAAAAUAAAGUACAAGAAAUUAUUGAAAGGUGAUAUUAUUAAAAAAUAUAUAUAUUUUUCGUUUCUUCGAUGUGACAUAUUUUUGGUAUGCUCAUCGUUUCAAGUAGCAACUGUUGCUUGAAAGUUGCAUCUGUUCAACACGGCUUUCAUUUAUGGUAGAAAGAUUCUUGCCUCCCUGGCAUAUUUGUUAAAAUAAAGUACAAGAAAUUAUUGAAAGGUGAUAUUAUUAAAAAAUAUAUAUAUUUUUCGUUUCUUCAAUGUGACAUAUUUUUGGUAUGCUCAUCGUUUCAAGGAGCAACUGUUGCUUGAAAGUUGUAUCUGUUCAACACGGCUUUCAUUUAUGGUGGAAGGUUCCUGCCUCCCUGGCAUAUUUGUAUUGUUAGCUAAAUUUAUUUAUGCUAGGUUUUCCAAGUGUGCAAAGUGUUUUUACUAUAACAACUGGGUGGCAUUAUUUUCUCUUGUGUAAUGUGAUCAAGGAGUUACCUAUCACUAUACUUUAGCAAGAUUUGCAGAGGAAAGCUCUGGGAGGCACAUGAAAAAAAAAUGGCUUCUAAAAUAUGUGCGAAAUAUUGGGUGAAAAUCGAGAGUUUCGACCAUGUCCAUGUGAUAUAUCCCAAAAAGGAAAGGUCUAGUAAAGUAAAUCUGUGCAGGUCUAUCUCACCCAUGAACAGUUAUGCUGAUCGACGUGAAAUUAUGAUUUGUUUUACUAGUAAUUUCUAACAUUAUUGUAAGCAUUUUUUCUUGGUGUUUCUUAACAUGUAUUGUUACUAUCUGAUGCAACAGUGCAAAUCCUUCAAACAAUAUCCGACAAGCUGAAAAACAACAAUUGGACGACAAUCGAUCGAACUUCCUGCAGUAGCGCACAGUGGAAGCUGUACAUCAGCGACCCCCCCAAAAAUGACAGAAUUCAAAGCAACGUUACAUGUGACUGUACAUUUGAAAAUAACACCGUCUGUCAUGUCAUCAGCUUGUAUGCACUUGUUUCCUUAUAUCCCUCCUUUUUCUUCAGAUAUAAUAACCACUCAGAUAGAGAUUAGACUCGUCUCAAGCAAUGCUUUGAUUAGAAGAAUAUAUUUGUAGCAAACACUCUCUCUUGGAUUUGGUACUGGUCCAAUUUUAUAUGAACACUGUAUCAAUUCCUAAACCUCAGCUUAUGGUAACGACCGCUUGGUGUUGUACGAAGACUUAUCACCUCUUACCUCUUUCUCUUUAUAAUCAUCUUUUUUUUCUCUUCUUCUGACAGCAAGCUGAAGGGUUUUAAUCUGACUGGAGUUCUACCAGUGGAAUUUCGAAAUCUUACCCAACUGCGCGAAAUGUGAGUGGCAAUUGCGUAUAUAUUUCUUGUUAGUCAAGUUUUUUGUUGGACAGCGGAGAUCAGUUUCUAUCUGGAUUUAUGGAUGAUUUUAAUUAGAUUUCUUAUGAUCUCAGUGAUUAGCUCUCUCCUUCAAUGGGCUAUCAAUGUGCAAGUUUCAAAUUCUCCAGGGUUACAGUGUCUUAGUUGAUAGACUCCUGUCCUGUUUUUUCUUGUUCUUUUUGGUUCUCUAGAAUGGUUUAGUUGCCAAAUAGCCCAUCCACAUUCACUCAGUUUGAUAUACAUUUACGUGUGAAAUAAUUUCCAAGUUUCAAUGCCUCUUUUCUCAAACACAGACAGCCCUGUUCACUCGCAUUUUUGAAGUUUUUUUUCCCCUUUAUUGUUAUCGUCUUAGCAAGAUUUUGUUACAGCUGCAAUGUGCAAUGUAGAAUAUUACCAUUCUUUUUACUCUGUGAGAAUUCGAAUUUUAGAAUGACUGAAAUGAAGCAUCCUGCAUUGUACAGUGAUCUCUCUCGCAACUACUUAAAUGGAUCAAUCCCAGGAAGUCUAGCUGAGCUCCCAAACCUUCAGAGUUUGUAAGUUUGUUUGUUCACUUGUAUUUCUUAUGGAGUUUUCAAUUGUGACAUGGCCAUUCAUGAAUAAAUAACCUGUUCAAUAUUUUUUCUUUUAUACCUUAGGUCUCUUCUGGCAAACCGUCUCUCCGGUUCAAUUCCUAGGGAAAUUGGCAGCUUUGCGACUCUGAAGUCCCUGUAAGUCUCAAAACAAAGUUCUCUACUUGUCCAGUAAAUGAAAUUCUGAGUUGCAAUAAAAUAGGUAUUGCGUCUUGCAGGGUCCUGGAAGAUAAUCUACUAGGAGGGUCUCUUCAUCCAGACCUUGGAAAUUUGAAAAGCUUGGAGAGACUGUAAGACAGAUGCCUUCAUCUUCUAUCUGAGUUUAUUUAUGUAUCUACUUCAUGAUAUUCAAUCUAAGUCUUUUUAUGUAUGGUACCAGUAUUUGAUGCUCACUCAGAAAAAAUUAUUUGUAACUUUGUAUUAUUUACCCCUGCAGUCUUCUUUCCGCCAACAAUUUUUCAGGAACAAUACCAGACACAUUUGGCAAUUUAAAGAAUUUAAAUGAUUUGUAAGUGAUGAUGCGGGUCACAAUUUUUUUUUAUAGUAAUUACUGUGCUGAGCUUAAAUAUUCAUAUGUUUCAUAUGCUCCUGUAGUAGGAUAGAUGGAAGUGAACUGUCAGGGAAGAUACCUGACUUUAUUGGGAACUGGACCAACAUUACGACAUUGUGAGUAUUUACUUUGUUCCAUUUAUCUGCUAAUGUGUCCUCGAGCACAAGCUGAAUGGAAUUCCAUUUUCCUUUCCCUCUUGCAUUCCUAACAAUGGUAUAUUUCUUUUGCAGUGAUUUGCAAGGAACAUCCAUGGAGGGUCCUAUUCCCUCUACCAUUUCACUGUUAAAAAACUUAACAACUUUGUGAGCUUAAGUUCCCAUUCAGUUCAAAGAAUUUUGCCUCGUUGCUUUUCGGUAAGUCUAUAUUUGAGAAAACUGAUUUUUUCUGUUGUCUUGAUUUUUCAGGAGAAUAUCUGAUUUGAAAGGAUCCAGUUCAACUUUCCCUGAUCUGAAAGAUAUGACAAAAAUGGAAAAACUGUGAGUUGAAUGAGACUGAUCAAAUAUAUUGUUACAGCAAUAUUACAUCAGUAAUUGAUUACAUAUUAUUUUUUACUCAGGAUUCUGAGAAAUUGCUCAAUGACUGGUUCAAUCGAAGAAUACCUUGGAAAUAUGGCAGACCUAGAUACUCUGUAAGUUUCUCUAACAGCUACCUUCAUGGCAACGCUUAAUUUCAUGGGCGUCAUAUUAUGUUACUCUGAUUCAAAAUGACAAGAUGUGUAAAGUGAUUGACAUCACUUUACUCUAUCGUUUGGUUUCAUUUAAAGUAAGAUAAAGCAAAGUGAAUCAGUAAAGGUGUAGCAAUAAGUUGAUUCCUUAUUUAUCCUGGUUGAACAAGGAUAUUUCCUAACCAUGAAGCUCCAGCCUUUUCCUCUUUUAAAACCGACAGUUUUGCAUUUCAUUUUUCCUUAUUUUAGAUUCUCAUUGAGUGAGGUCGGGAUGUUUUCAAACCAAUCUUGAUUUGUCAUAUGAGAUGCUGUUGGUGAUGUUCUACAUUAUAACAAUGUAAUAAGAUAAGUGGAAGACAUCUUAACAUUUGGAAGGAGUGGAAAUUCUGCUGUAUAUGUAUGUGUGAGGUUCAUAUGUUCUCUGUGAGCAUGAGCUAGACCUGCAUAUAGUCUGCAUGAUUCAAAAUCAUGAUGGUGGGGGCUCAUGUUUUUCAUAAAAGCCAUGCUGCAGAGGAUGUAAUAGGACCUUGAAUAUUAUUAGUCUGACAACACGGACUGGUCCGACAUUCCGUGAAUUAGAUUGCAGUGUGUUUAUAUUGCCCAGAGCUAAUUUUAUCUAGUGCUUUUUUCACGUGCUUUCAUUAAUUUGUAUAUAUUUCAUUGCAGAGAUCUGAGCUUUAACAAGUUGACAGGCCCGAUUCCUGGCCCAUUAGAGAGUUUGACAAAAAAUAUAAAGUUCAUGUAAGUAAAUAAACGCAUGCUAUCUGAAAGCACAGGAUCAUCGUUUCUAAUAUAUUUCUCAUAUUGACAGCUUGCUGGUUCAUUACCUGUUUAUUAAUGUGUAGGUUUCUGAAUAACAACUUACUAACUGGAGAAGUGCCUGCUUGGAUACUGGGAAGCAGGAAAGACUUGUGAGUCUAUUGUGAAGCUAUACAUAAUUCUUUAUACAUGAAAUACACCAAUCUUUGUUCUCCUCAAUCAACAACUAUAUUACCCCUGCCGUGAAAUUUUAUUUCAGGGAUUUAUCUUACAACAAUUUUACUGGGUCAGCUCAGCCAAGUUGUCAACAGCUACCAGUGUAGGCAUUAUUUUUUCCCGUUACUUGUUUCUUCUCCUUUGUCUCAAGUUGAUUGCUAACUUCUAUUUUGAAAUCAUAUAGGAACUUAGUUUCUAGUCAUGUGUCAACUGGGAGUAACAAGUAAGUUCCUCCUUCACUAAGAUGCCUUUUAAGAAAUCUAGAAAUUUGACUUAUCGACAACCCUCAUUCUUCUCUACAGGAUUUCUUGGUGCUUGAACAAGGACCUUGUUUGCACAAGAAAACCUCAACGUAAGUGUGUAAAAACAGUACUCUGGUGUUUGAUGAAGGUGUAAUUACAUAAAUACAGUACUUGUUGUCCUAGGGAAGGCAGCUUAUGAUAUUAAUACUUCGUUCUACAGACCAUUCCUUGUUCAUAAACUGUGGAGGGAGCAGUGAGACUGUUGGUGAUAAUGAAUAUGAAGACGACACAACUCCAGGGGGGGCAGCUGAUUUUGCAUCUAUAUCAGAAAGAUGGGGUUAUAGCAGUACAGGGACUUAUAUUGGCACUGAUGACGGCGCUUACAAAGCAACAAAUUCUUAUGGUCUGAAUGUGACCGGUGAAGGUUUUUACCAAACUGCUCGCCUUGCCCCUCAAUCACUCAAGUACUAUGGCCUGUGCAUGCUGGCGGGCAGUUACAAAGUGCAGCUCCACUUUGCUGAAAUUAUGUAUUCCAAUAAUCAGACUUUUAGCAGCCUUGGGAGGCGGAUAUUUGAUAUAUCAAUUCAAGUGAGUAAAAUGAUUUUCAAAUUAGCGCAUUUACUUAGGAUUUUUCUUUUUAUCUAUGAUUGUAUUUCUAAAUAACCUCAUGAGACCUACCAUGUGUUAUGGAUCCUUUUCAAGUUUCCAUAGAAAACGGUGGUAACACUCUUUAAAACCUGCAAAAGUCAUGCUCGGAACUUCUUCCUGCAGGGGAAGGUAGUUGAGGCAAAUUUCAAUAUUAUGGAGGAAGCUGGAGGUGUUGGUAUUGGCAUCACUAAGGUAUUUGAUGGUAUAAUUGUUAAUGGUACCACACUGGAGAUACACUUAUACUGGUCAGGCAAAGGUACUACUGCUGUUCCUGACAGGGGUGUCUAUGGACCUCUCAUAUCUGCCAUUACAGUGACUCCAAGUAAGUCUUGACGAAAUCAAGAGGAUUUUUUGUUUCCAUCAACGGUCUUUUUGUUUAAUUCAUUUCUCUCCUUGUAGACUUUAAGGUGGAUAAUGGUGGCGGAUUAUCAGUUGGAGCUAUUAUUGGCAUUGUAGCUGCUCCAUGUGUGCUUGCGGCAUUGGUUUUGCUGGUCCUCCGGAAGAAAGGUUACUUGGGAGGGAAGGACCUUGAAGAUAAAGGUAAGAUUAAUGGCACAAGUAGGAUGUGUCUUAUUUGAUUGUGUGCAUGCUGUAAACUUUUGAUUAUCCUUGUCAUGCUGAUUUUGAGAUUCUGCUCAUCACAGAACUCCGUGCUCUAGAUCUCCAAACUGGUUAUUUCAGCCUAAGGCAAAUUAAACAUGCGACCAAUAAUUUUGACCUUGCAAAUAAGAUAGGAGAAGGAGGAUUUGGUCCAGUUUACAAGGUAUUUAUGAAUGUUCCAGUUUACUAUUUAGUUAGGUUAUGUGCUGACAAAGUGUUCUACUGUAUGGCGCCUUCUUGUAUAAAAUCACAUGCAAAAGCUUGUGAUAAAAGGGAUGUAAUAUCUUUUAAAACAUUCUGAAAUCUCAGUCUAUUUUAUUUCAGGGCAUGUUGUCAGAUGGUUCUGUAAUUGCUGUAUAGCAGUUAUCGGCCAAAUCGAAACAAGGAAAUCGUGAAUUUGUGAAUGAGAUAGGCAUGAUAUCUGCCUUGCAGCAUCCCCAUCUCGUGAAGCUGUAUGGUUGUUGUAUUGAAGGAAAUCAGUUGUUGUUAGUAUAUGAAUACUUGGAAAACAAUAGCCUUGCUCGGGCUCUUUUUGGUAAAUGCUUGACCAACUCCUUAAUGUAUCAGCUUAUAUAUAGUCUGUAGAAUGAGAAUGAGAUUAAAUUGCUUUCCUGUUCCUCUGUCUCGUCUCUAUCAGGUCGUGAUGAACACCAGAUUAAACUGGACUGGCAAACAAGAAAGAAAAUAUUGUUAGGUAUUGCAAAGGGAUUAGCUUAUCUUCAUGAAGAGUCAAGGCUGAAGAUUGUACACAGAGACAUAAAGGCAACUAAUGUGCUGCUUGAUAAGGAUCUAAAUGCCAAGAUAUCUGACUUUGGUUUAGCUAAACUGGACGAAGAAGAAAACACUCAUAUUAGCACGCGGAUUGCUGGGACAAUGUGAGUUCUUUCUCCCCCUUGUUCUUUCAAUUUAAUUUCCUUGCUUGUGGUAAAGGGAUAAAUAAAUUUUUAUUUUUUUUGGUAAUGAUACUUUGAACAAUAUGGAUAUCAAAUGGAAAUAUUGUGAAACGCAGACAUAUUAUUUGAUGGCAUCUCAUAACAGCAGCACAAAUGAUUAUCGCCUUGGACAUGAGAACAUAUAAAUUUAUUCCACUAGCUCAUGGCCAAUACUUACUCUUCUGGUUCUUUCUAAUUUCUCUUCAGAGGUUAUAUGGCUCCAGAAUAUGCUAUGAGGGGUUACUUGACAGAUAAAGCAGAUGUUUACAGCUUUGGGGUUGUUGUUUUAGAAAUUGUCAGUGGGAAGAGCAACACGAAUUACAGGCCGAAGGAGGAGUUUGUUUAUCUUCUUGAUUGGGUAACUUGUAUCAUUUCCUUUCAGAAUUCUGUCUACACAAUUUACAUUUACACUGACCACCAAUGAGCAUGAUUGUAGACUGAUGGAAAAUGCAUGUUACUGAUAAUUGUAGGCCUAUGUCCUGCAAGAGCAAGGAAACCUUCUAGAGCUUGUGGAUCCAAGCCUUGGUUCAAACUACUCAAAAAUAGAGGCAUUGAGGAUGCUUAACUUGGCUCUCUUGUGCACCAACCCAUCUCCCACUUUAAGGCCAUCAAUGUCUUCUGCAGUGAAGAUGCUUGAGGGACAAAUUCCAGUCCAAGCUCCGAUAGUCAAGCGCAGUACCAUGAACCAGGAUGCAAGGUUCAAAGCCUUUGAGCUUCUCUCACAUGAUAGCCAAACAUACGUCUCAAAUGGAUCUCAAAACAGUCAGAUACAGAAGAGCAUAUCAAUGGAUGGACCGUGGAUCGAUUCUGAAUUUUCUAUCGAAAGUAAGGAUGAGAUCAUAGAUUCCUCAUCGACCAAGCUUCUUAAGGAUCUUUACGACGUCAACUUAGAUUGAUCAACGGAAAUUGAUGAAAUAGUCCCUCCUUUUCUUUUGGUCUGGUAGUAUUCUGAGUUUGCAAAUAGGAUUGCUGAGGAAUCAAGAAAUACAUUUUAAAUGAUUUGUUCUGGUAUAUGUUGAUUCUUUUGUUAAAAAAUAAAAAACAUUGGAGAGCUUGGUCUUUCGAAUUGGACAAAUGUUGAUGACAUGAGUAGAAAUUAGACGAAGCAUACUUAUCUUUCUUCGUCCUCCAGUAGUAGUAGUAGUAAUUUAAUUGUUUUUUUUUUUUUGAACUAGUUGAGGUGGUGGAAAGGAAAAGGCAAAUAAAGGGGAAAAAAAGAACUUAGAGGGAGAAGGUAAGGCAGGUUUAGGCCCCGUUUGUUUGCCGGAAAGUUGUUUUCUUUUGGAAAGUGAAUUCUGGAAAAGUGAAUUCUGGGAAAGUGAAUUAUUUUUCGAUGUUUGGUAGUGUAAUAAAAAAUAAGUUGGAAAACAAUUUCUAGUGUUUGGUUAUGUUAUAGAAAAUGAGCUGGAAAAUAAUUAUUAAUGUUUUAUUUUUUUCAAAUUUAUUAAAAUAAUGAGGAACAAAUCUUACAUUUUUAAAUUUUUAAACAAUUUUAAAAGUUUGAAGACCAAAUUUGAUAUAAUCAACAAAUAAUAUGAUAUUUUUAAAUUUUUCACAACUUCUAAAAAAUGUUUUCUGUUUACCAACUUUUCUAAUGACAAACAAAUAUAUAAAAAUUUAAAAAAUAAUUUUUAAAAAAUCACUUUCGAUCAAACAAACAAGACCGAAAGAGAACACAACACUACAAAGUACGGAGCCAUCUUGGCAAGACUCACGUUGCCACACACAUAUAUUUUUCUUAGCUAGUUGUAAGUUUUAGACUCACGUUUGCACAUUGUGUAGCAAGACUCACGUUGCCACACACACACACAGCUAGUUGGUUUGGCAAGAAGGAUUAAAAUUCUAGAGAAGAAAGAGUGGCAGCACAUGAAAAAAUAAGGGAAAACAUGUAGUAAGAUAGGGCAAAAAUCUAAAAAAAUCGGUGUAAAAAAAUAAAUUACAUUAUCGAGAAGAAGAAUAGUGCAUUAGAAACAGGUCAGAAACCAACAACCAACUCAAGAAACAAAGAUAGGAUCCUAGGCAACAUACAUAAUAGGUCAGAAAUAGUUCUAAAGAUAAGAAAAUAACAUGAAAAAUUAGAAAAAAAAAAGGAAUAAAUGCAUUACUAGGACAUCAUCUUUGUACUUUUUCUCAAUCAAUUACAAAUAUUUUGAUUUUUUGAUAUCAAUUUCUUUUUAAAAAUAUUUAUUAUAAUUUAAAAUAUUUUAAUUCAUUAAAUAUAGAAUUAUUUAAAAGGGUACUUUUAUCAAGAUAGAACCACAUUAAAAAAUAAGAUAUUGAUAUAAGUACUAGAUUAACAUAAUAAAAAAUGUUCGUGCACUAAUUUUUUAUUUUUUAAAUUAAAUGUACGUACUCUCGAUUGAUACAAAACCUAAGUUGGUGUACCAAAAAUGGAUUAAGGUCGAAGAAAAUGGAAGGAAAAAUUUGAUUGGAAGUUUUGAAAAAGUUAUAACGUAAUUAGCCCUCAAAUAAGUUAACAAGUAUGAACAGAAAUGAUGAUAACAAGGCAAAGUAUGAACAGAAAUGAUGAUAACAAGGCAAAGAAAUACGCUUAAAAACAAAAGUAAUAAGAUAAUGAUGGAUGGACAGUUGAUGAAGCAGUAAGUUAUUAGCACUCUUUUAUAUAGUGCACUUUAUUUUCAUAACUUAUUAGCAUUUUGUUUUUUCUUGAAUUUGUUUCUUUUUUUUUUUUACACUUUCAGAUUGUUUUGAGUUAUUGUCAAACCAGUUUCAGUAAAUAAAUUCACUUUAGAAUUUGUUGCUUACAAUUCACGCAUAUGAGAUUGAACCUCAAUUUGCAAGUGUGUUUGAAACUGAUCAAAGGUAUAAUUAUCUGUAGAAUGCAACAUCUUCUUCCUAUAUUCAUUCCAGGAUGGAGGAAGUUUUGAUAAAACAGCCCCAACUUGAAGUGAAUCAGGAACUUUGAUAUCCAAAUCACUAAGUUUUGAUUUCAGCAUUUGAAUUUCAUGGACUUGAUCCAUGAUUGCUUUAUUGUCAGUAAUCUCAUACUCAAAAAAUUUUAAAGCAAUAAAACGAUCAGAACUUGAUUUUUCCUGCUUGUAGUGUGUCUCCAAGACAGCCCAAAUUUCUUUUGGCGACUUUAAUUUGGAGAAGAUGUCAUAAAGUCGACUAGUCAGAGUAUUCAAUAUAUGCCCUUGACAAAUCACUUCAUCUUCUUCACGUUUUACUCUUGCAAUCUUAAUAGUGGCAGAUUCAUCUUCUUGUGGUUCAGGUAGUAUAGAUAGAUUCGGAUCAAGAAUGUAGAAAAUCUUUAAUGAAGUAAGCAGGAAUAUCAUCUUGUCCAUCCAUCUUGUGUAAUUUGUACCAUCAAACCGAUCUAGUUGAAUUGACAUCCUUAGCAACUUUGACUCUAGAAUUCAUAUUUGUCUCCAUCAAAAUAAACACCUUAAAAUUGUUAGGAAAAUUUAGGAUGAAACAAAUAUGAAGUUGGCUUAGAGGCAUGAAAACACUAUCUUUAAGGUGUUUAUUUGUCUCACACAAAGACAACACCUUCAGGAUACAACUAAGCCCUCUAAACCUCUAAAAGAAUGAGAAGAUAAGACCAAGAAAAUAAUAUAUGUAUUUUUUGUUGUUUUUCUUUUCUGUAUAGUAACAUGUUUUUAUAGACUUGAAACAUAACGAUGAAACAGUAUGACUGUUCAUCAAAUAAUAUGACUAUUGAUGAAACAAUAUGACUGUUCAUAUUAAGUUCCAAGUUUCAAGUUCCAAAUGCUAUCUUUUGAUAUUAUAAAUAUCCAUAUAAUAACAUUAGGAAGCCAAAUAAGAGAGUUUGUCCACCAUUGUUUAAUUUACUACACAAUAGAAACCCACACUUAGAAACAUUAGGAGGGAGUGUUUCUUUCCAAUGUAGGAUAAACAUCUUUUCUUUAUUUAAUUUACAAACUACACCAACAGUUUGUUCUACCCCAGUAGAAUCUUGAUGGUCCGGCUGGAUCUGUAUCAUCUUAGUAUAUUUUCCCUUCAAUAGUUGCUUCUUUUCCUCCACAAUUUAUGUGGAGGGAAUAGAAUUAUGGUGCCAAAGCAACAACAUAUCAAUCACCAUGGAAUACUAACAUGCACAAAUCAAACUAACAUGGCAAAGAACAACUUAUGUAUGUUGAAAAUAUUAUUGUUACCUUGUAGAAGCUUAAUUUUGUUAAGCUACUAUGUGAAUGCUUCUUUUACAAUUGAUCGUAUUCUUAUGCAAUUCUGUUCCUUUGUAAUGACAAGAACCAUGACAUCAUGGUAGAAGGUAUACUUGAUCUUUUAACUUCCAGAACAAGACUUCUGAUUUAUAGAUAUUUGGUACGUAAAAGGAGCAAAUAAUUUUCUAUAACACAAUCAUAAGCCUGACUUACGUUUUGGACAAUGAAAGCUUCUUAAGCAUGGAACAGUACUUCUGCUGCGAUAUAAAAAGAAAAUAAAAAUAAAAAACAGCAACAUAUCUGAUUAAAAUUUAGAAUAGGAAAGGCCUAGACCAAAUUAUCAAACAUCUCUCUAGAAAUAGAUAAGAUUGAGUUUUCAGGAGUCUAAAAACUUACAAGACGUUGCCCAUUGAAGCGCUGCCAAAUAAGUUUCUGUAGGAAAUCAGAGAAGUGAGAAAAAUUAGCUCUUACGCAAAUUGCAAGUGAAUGCAGGGGAAUGAGGGAUAGAAAAGAAAUGGAGAGCAUAAAACUUCACUUUCUUACACUUUGCACUGUAGACAUGAGCUUUCAUUUCUGAAAUUGUUGUAGGAAAGAUCACUGCCAGAAGAAAGGUAGAUGUCAGUUCAAAAUGUAAAUCAAUCAAACAAUUUGUUGAUCGCAUAGUUGGUUAAGUGUGCCUAAUUAGUCUUAGUGGCUAUGAACCCUUCUGAUGUUCUCAUUAUCCCUUAAUGCAUGGAAAUUUUAGUUUUAGGCAUCAAAUCUAGAAAAAGUCGCUAGAUGACUUGGUUUUCCAAAUGCAAUAGAUCAUCAAUGAGCUGCAAUCGAAACCCCAAACCAAGUUUAUUAUCUUCUGAACACAAUCUAGGGAUGGUAUGGAAUUGUGUUCCUCAAAUGGCUGCGGUAUCAAGAGAACAAUAGGUAAAUUCUGUAGGAUAUUUGUAAAACUAAAUAAGUAACUUUUAGACGUAUCAGAAAUAAAUCUAAUAGGAAAAAAAACCUUGCACAAAUUCUCCAUCCAUAGUUAUCCAGUCUCGUACGAUUCCACUUAGCUUAUUCCCCGUUAAAUAUCUAGAAAGAAGUAGUGAAUCAAUGAAAGUGGAUUUCAAGCAAAGGUAACAAAACCGUAUAGAACAAUUGUUCCUGUAGCUUAUAGAACAGUUGCAAGACUUGGUUUGAAAUAUGAGAACUGCUCGGGAUCUUCAAGCUGAAUGUAAGAAGGAACAAAUAUAAAGCCAUUUGCUUACAUGUAAUCAGCUUUUCUUAGACCACUAAAGCUGCUUGGAAUUUCUCCGAUAAGUUUGUUAAAGCUGAGGUCUCUGCAAAGAAACCAUAAGGAGAGCUCAGCAUAUUACUAGGAAAUGAAGAAAAAUGGUCAAAUAACUAAGAGAACAUCAGUGUAUCACUGCCAAGUACGCAAAUACAAGACAGGGUAAAUGCUAACAAAGUCCAAAACGGUAUAUAAAGAAGCUGACAAAAGGAACUGACAAGGUUGUCAUUUUAGGCAAUUCACCAACAAAGUCAGGUAUUGGUCCAAUAAUAUUGCAACUCCUCAGUAUUCUGCAACAUAAACAUUAAUUUUCAGAAUCACAUAAAGAAGAAACAACAACGCAAAACAAUAAUCACAUGAUGAUUGAUAAGAAAGCAUCUAGCUCACAGUGUCUUUAGGUUUUUCAUAUUAUUAAUGGUGGGAAUGGGGCUUCAGUUCCAUUUCCCUGCAGAUCACUGAUUCUCCUGCAUAUAUGCACAGUUAAGGAUAAGAGCUUUUAUUAUUGUUCUUAUAAAAGUUAUCAAUCAACAGAGCUUUACUCAUAGAUCAACCAUCUUUUCUAGAAGAGCAAUGCCUGAUGGAAUCGGCCCGCUUAGACCACUGCCUUGUAUCACUCUACCAUGCAGUUGAAUAUUGGUUCAAAUAAAUAAUCUGAUAGGCCACACAAACUGUAAAAUAAUUCAUACAAUUACAAACCAUAAAAAAUCUUACAGUUUUUCCAGGUUGGUCCAUUUCUGAAUAAGAUUCGGUAUCUGACCUGUGAAGCUGUUAUCACCAAUUCGGCUGCAAAAAACAAUAAAAUCAUGUCGUUUGAUUCAAAGUUGAACAUUUAAUUUGUGUUAUAAUUAUAAUAAUACUUCAAAAACUUACAAAUCCUUCAUUGUGGUAAGCUUUUCAAAUGUUGCUGGCAACUAUCCAGUAAAGUUGUUAGAGGAUAGAUGUGUUAAAAUAAUUGAGAUCAAAUACAAAAAGAAGGCUAGAAUUCUGAAUAAUAUGUAUAUUAUGAAUGCUUAGUCUUAACCUAAAUACAAAUAAAGUAUAUAUAGGUUAAACUGAAAGUACUAUUCUACCCUUAAUAAAUAAGACUACAUAAAUAUUAUUUAACAUCUCCCCUCAAACUCAUGAUGCGGCAGCUACAAGCAUCGAGAGUUUGCCAACCAGAAAACGAAAACGAGAGAUGGAAUGUGCCUUGGUAAAGAAAUCUGAAAUCUAUAAGGAAGAAGGAACAAAAGGCAAAGCAAUGGUGCCAUGUUUGAGAUGAUGACAAGUAAGAUGACAAUCAAUCUCAAUUUGCUUAGUGCGCCCAUGAAAAACCGAGUUAUGAGCAAUCUGAAUAGAACUCUGGUUGUCACAAUACAUAGGAGUAGGAUAAGAAAAGGAAACUCCUAUAUCAGCAAGUAACCAAUGUAACCAAACAAUCUUUUUGGUAGUAGAUGCCAUGGCACGAUAUUCUGCUUCGAUGGAUGAUUGAGAAACAAUAGAUUGUUUCUUGCUCUUCCAAUAAAUAAGAGAAUCACUUAAAAAGAUACAGAACCCGGUAACAGACUUGCGAUCUAUGGGAUCACUACUGUGAUCAGCAUCAGAGUAUACACGCACCUCCAAGGAAGAGGUGGAUGAAAGUAACAAACUCUGAAAAACUGUACCCCGAAGAUAUCGCAAAAUACGAAGAACAACUGCCCGGUGAAUAGUAGUAGGAGAAGCAACAAACUGACUAACAACAUGAGCAACAUAUGCAAUAUCUGGACGAGUAAUGAUGAGAUAUACCAAACUCCCAACAAUAGUGCGGUAUAAAGUAGGAUCUAUCAAAGGUAAACCAUCAGAAGAAGAGUACCUUGCGUUAACCUCAAUAGGAGUAUCUACAGUCUUGUUAUCAGUAAGUCUAACCCGCUCAAGAAUAUCUGCAACAUAUUUCGACUGAGAAAGAAGGUAACCUCUAGGUGAGUAUGUUACCUCAAUACCCAGGAAAUAUCGAAGAUAACCCAAACCCUUCAUUUCAAAUCGUCUAGCCAACUAUGUCUUCCAAACUGAAAUACCAUCAAUAUCAUCACCAGUAAUAAUCAUGUCAUCAACAUAUAAAGACAGAAUGAUAUGACCUGCAUCAGUGCACUUAAUAAAAAUAGCAGAAUCAUAGCUGCUAGAAACAAAGCCAAGAGACGAGAUCACAAUAGAGAAUUUCUCAAACCAAGUACGAGGUGCUUGUUUGAGACCAUAUAAUACUUUUUUAAGCUUACACACAUAUCCAGAGUCAUGUGAAAUACCAGAAGGGGGUGCCAUAUAAACUUCUUCUUAAAGAUCUCCAUUCAAGAAGGCAUUUUUAACAUCAAGCUGAGAAAUAUGCCACUGAAGAAUCGAAGCUACGACAAUAAGAGUACGAAUAGUAGUCAUUUUUGCAACCAGGGCAAAUUUCUCCUCAUAGUCCAUACCAUAUUGUUGUGAGUAUCCUUUUGCAACAAACCUAGCUUUGUAUCGCUCAAUCAACCCAUCAGAAUUAGUCUUGAUCUUAUACACCCAACGACAACCAACAACACGCUUACUAGGAGGUAGAGGAACCAAAUCCCAAGUAUCUAUCUUAUGCAAAGCAGAAAGUUCUUCAUCCAUAGCUUGCUGCCAAAGCGGAUCAAGAAUUGCCUCUUUAUAGGAAGAGGGCUCAAAGAGACAAUGAAUAGAAGCUAAAAAAGAAGUAAAUGAUGAAGAAUAACAAGAAUAAGCAAAAUCUGGUAGUUUUGUGGACUUAUGAAUGCGGAUGGACUGACGUAGAGGUGGAUCCACAAUCUUAGAUGAAGCUUGAGGGGCUGUAGAUGAGAAUGGAGCUUUAGGUGUGCCAGAGAGUAAAGUACCAGUACCUGCAGAGUUAUGAGUACAAAUUAAUCGAACAUAGGGAGAGGUAUCAUUACCAGAAUCCUCAAAAAAAGGAUUUAUACGAAUAAGAUCAAAUUUUAUCAGGCUAUGAGUAGUGGAUGGAAUAGAAAAGAAAGGUAUAUGCUCAAGGAAGACAACAUGACGAGACACAUAAAGUUUCUGAGUUAUUGGAUCAAAACAACGAUACCCCUUUUUACCUUCACCAUAACCCAGAAAGACACAAAUAGUGGAUCGAGAGGAUAGCUUACUGCGUUCUACAUGAGGACGAAGAACGAAACAAGUACAACCAAAGACUCUAAAUGAGGAAUAAUCAGGGACAUACCCAUAUAACUUUUCAAAAGGAGAUAGACCCGAACUAUGAGAAGAUGAAAUUGUAUUAAUCAAACUUACAGCAAUAAGAACAGCUUCUCCCCAAAGCUCACUAGGAACAAAAGCAGACAACAAGAGAGAAUGAGUAGUUUCGACAAUGUGCCUAUGUUUUCUUUCAGCAACACCAUUUUGCUUAGGAGUAUUUGUACAUGAAGUUUAGUGGAUGGUUCCAUCUAAGGCAAGCAAUUGAAAAAAUUUAUUAGAGGUGUAUUCCCCACCCAAAUCACACCUAAAACAUUUGAUCACAGUAGAAUAUUGAGUUUUGAUAAGAGCUCGAAAAGCUGCAUAUAUCUCAAAGAAUUCAGAACGAUAUUUCAUUAAAUAAACCCAACAAUAACGAGUAUGAUCAUCAAUAAAAGAGACAUAAUAUCGAGACCCUCCUUUUGUGGCAACAGGAGAAGGUCCCCAUACAUCAGAAUGAAUCAAAUCAAAUGGUGAAGAUGAAACAGAAAUACUUCAAUUAAAAGGUAAAGCAGAAAAUUUUCCAGUUUACAUCCACUACAAUCAGAAAUGUCACACGUUUUCAAAUUUCCUCAAGCUCCUGUAGAUGCCAAAAAUCUCAAAUGAGAAGACGAAACAUGACCUAGACGGGAAUGCCAUAAAAAAAAACUAGAAGAUGAAAGACUCAAACGAAAGGAAGACAAAUCAACAGUAGUAGCAGCAGCGGCAACAGUAACAACUGGCACUUUUAACUUAUCCAAAAUAUAUAGUCCAUUCUCCCUGCGACCCGUCCCAAUUAGCUUCUGAGACUGCAGAUCUUGUACACAACAAAAAGAACCAGAAAGCAUGACUAAAUAAUCACCAGAAUCACAUAUUUGACCAAUAGAUGCAAGAUUCAAUUUGAGUUUUGGAAUAAGAUAAACAUUAGGGAGAGACAAAUGAGGUGUGACAAUAGAACCAACACCUGCUAAGGGCAUAAGAGUGUCAUCAGCAGUCAUAACAGGAAUGGAAGACAAAGGGGACACAAAGGUAAAAGAUGAGGAAUCUGGAGACAUAUAAUGGGAAGCACCAGAAUCCAAGACUCAUUCAGAGUGUGACAUACCUGAGGAACUAUGAGCAACUGACCUAUGGAAGAAGCGGACAUUGCUUGUGGCUGCAAGGAGAGAAACUUCUGAAAUUGCUCAGCCAAAGUAUUAGGAUCGGUAAUAGAGCCCAGGGAAGCUACUGCUGCAGUAUUGUGGUGUGGUGGUUUAUAACCCUGAGGUGGUCGAUGAGCAUUAGAUUGUGACUGGCUGCCAGACUUCCAAGCUUGAUUCUGCUGUCUCAACUUAGGACACUGAGCCUUCCAAUGACCUUUCUGCUUACAGAAACUACACGCAUCGAAGCCAACCCUUGUGUAAGGCUUGUUCUAAUGAUUAGAGAAUGGCUUAGAAGGUACUGCUAGUAUAGAAGGAUUUGAAGCAGAAAGAAUUCCCUUUUCAGAAUAAGAUUGAAGAUGUAUUUCUUCAGCCAAUAACUCAUUGACAAUAGAGUCAACAGAAGGCAGUGGAGAACGAUGCAGAAUUGAACCUCUUAAGUCCUUCGAAAUCACUGUAAAGUGCUGUUAAAAAUUGUACCAAUCGUUGCUGCUCUCUACGUUCAAUAUAAGCACCACAUGCUUUUAAUUCUGCCGAUUCUGUAAGAGCCAAUUAAUCCCAAAGAUUUGUCAUGGCAGAAUAGAACUCCUGAAUACUCAUAUUUUUCUGGUGAAGAGCUCGUAUGUCAUUCUCUAACUGAUACUAUUUUGCAAAAUUUGAUUGCGUGAAUAACCGUUGCAGAUGAUCCCUAACCUCCUUUGUUGUCUCAUACUUUGCCAACUGUGUACCUAUAGAAUGCUCAACAGAAUUGUUGAUCCAAGUAAUGAUCUUUGCAUUGUUUGCUUCUCAUGCAUCUAUCGAAGCAGUAUCUCAUUCUUCAGUAUUCUUAGAUACCACAUAAGUUCCACUAACAUAUCCCCACAUCUUCUUACCCUUAAAAAAAAUUCUCAUUACAUAGCUCUCAUAUGAAUAGUUCUUCUCAUUCAACCUCGACUCACAGACUAAAGCGAAUCAUCUCUUUCAGUAGCCAUAAUCAACAGUCACAGAGAACCAGAAUGCAAAAGUAGCGGAAAACAAAAUACCAAAUUGCAGAAACUGAACAGAGAUUGCAGAAACUAAACAAAUAUCUUUUUGAUAAAAUACCAAAAUAAUUGCAGAAACUGAACGCAAAUACCAAAUUGCAGAAACUGAAGGGAAGACGAAAUACCAAAAUAAUUGCAGGAACUGAACGCAAAUAUCAAAUUGCAGAAGUUGAAAGGAAGACAAAAUACCAAAUUUUGCAGAAGCGGAAGACAAAAUAUCACUCUAAAAAGUAACUUAAAAAUUACAUAGUACAUAAACUUGUAGCGAAAGGUCUUACAUUUUUUCUAAGCGAGUCAAAUUUCCAAGCUCUGGUGGCAGAACUCCUGAAAGCUGAUUAAACUCGACAGUGCUGCAUGAUUGUUUCACUUAAAACAUCACAUCCACAAAAACCAUUACUUAGUAAAUAGAUUGAAGGAGGAAAGGAUCGAUCUUGUUUAUCUUACAAGUUUGCAAGAGUGCUGAUGUUUCCAAUUUCUUUUGGGAUUGGGCCGGUUAAUCGAUUUCCUAUAAUAGAACUGCAUAUGAUAUGUAUAAACUCAUUUUUUCAGUUAAUUUCCUGUACAACUAAACAUUGUUCAAGAACUCAUGCAUGUAUAUGAGAGAAAAAGUAUCGUACAUGGUAGCUAGUGGCGUGGCUCCCCAUUCUGCAGGGAUGGUACCGUUGAGGUAGUUGCGUGACAAGUCACUGUAAAGGUUACAACCAUGAGUUUAAUGAUAUUAAUAUUCCAUAUCAUAUGUUUAACAAUGAUUUUGGGCUAAAUUUGGUAAAGAACUUAAGAGGCAAUGCUUACAUUUCUUGGAGGUAAGGGAACCUGCCCAAAUCCUGUGGAAGACUGCCUUCAAGAUCCUGGGUCUUCAGAACUCUGUGCUUCAACAAUAUUUAAAGAUCUUAACCUUUAUUUAAACAAUAUUUUAUUUUAUUUGAGAAUUGAAACCGCGAAAAUAAUUGUUUUAUAAUUUCUCAAUAAUUUAUCAACACGAACAUAUAAUUUCUCAAUAAUUUAUAUACAUUUUUAUACAUGCAAACACAUGCAUGAUGAUUGGUGUUACAUCCAUUAUCAAAUUUGGUUUUUUUCUUAUCAUUAAUUCAUGACCUAAAUCGACUCAACUAAGCCACUAGCUGUUUAUCAUUAAUUGUUUGAUUGUAGGUACUGAAUCACUUAUGAAACUGUAUCUAGAAAUCAAUCUAAAAUAAUUAAAAUACAUUGAUGAUAAGACAAUAAAAAAUUAAAAAAUAAAAUAAACAACUGUUAGGGUGAUGGCAGUAAGAUGAUGGAGAACAUGGGGAUGAGAUUUUCAUGGCGGUGAAAAAAAUGAUAGUAGAGGAAAAGAGAAUGGUAAUAGUUGAAAUAGAUAGAUUAUAUUAUAAAUAAAUUGUUAUUUCUAAAAUUUUAUAAGUUAAAAAUAUUUUUUAGUAAAUAAACUGAGUUUAAAAGUUAAUUAUAAAAUGUUUUUCGUUGAUGAUUUUUUAUAUAAAAUAAUGUAUGGGAUAUUAAAACAUAAAUAUAUUCUUUAGAGAUAAAUAUAGAAGAAUUUAAAAAACAUUUUUCUGUAAAAUAUUUUAUGCGGACCCAAAAGAGAGUGAAUUUUUCUAUAAAAAACCAAAAUAAUUAAUCGUAUUUAUAUAUAUAAAAAAGACUAAGUUGAAAGAAGCUGGAACGUUAAUACCAUAUAUUGUAAGGAAGAUGUAUCAAAAUAAAUUCUUAUUUUGAACCCUAAAACGCCAUCAUAAUUCCCCCGAUAAAUUAAAAUGACAUCACAAAAGCACAAGAGCCUUGUUACUUUUUAAUAAAUAGAACAUGUUUGUUUUUUUGGUUUAAAAAGGGUUUAAAUUUUUUUAAUUAAUAUUUAUUUGAUGUUUUUACAUUAUUUUAAAAUAUUAUGUUAAAAAUAAAUUUUAAAAAAUUAAAAUAAAUAUAUAAUUUUAAUAUAUUUUCAAAAUAAAAAAUACUUUCAAAAAUAUUUAUUACUAAAAUACCAAACCAACUCAUCAAAUCCAUUGUAACGAGAGUAUUUGAGAAGGUGCUGACUUUUUUAUAAUAAUAAUAAAACAAUAAAAAAAUAAAGUGUUUAGUCUUACUUGAUCAAUACCAUGUGUGGUCGAAACGCAAACACAAGACCAUGUCAACAUUCUUACUGGUUGGAUCCAGAACAGCGGUGUGGUGGGAGAUAGUGCAUGUAUCCUUUUGCAGCAGGAAUGGUGUUUUUAAAAUUUUUGAAAAAGUAUUUUUUAUUUCAAAAUAUUUUUUUAUUUUUAAAUUGUUUUGAUUUAUUAAUAUUAAAAAUAAAUUUUAUAAAUAAAAAAAAAUAUUAUUUUAAUAUAUUUUAAAAUAAAAACCACUUUAGAAAAUAAUCCUUAUCCCUUCUCUAUCCGUCACUUGAUCAUUGAGUUAACUAAUAAAUUUUCAUAGCCAUGACUAGCGGUCCACAAAGUUAUUGUUCUUGGCAUCUAAAUUGUAGUGAUCCUCCAAGCUAAGGUUUAGAUUUGCGUAUUACAUAAAAUAAACACAUACAAACAAACUUCGUCUGAUAAUUAUUUACUAUUCAAGGAAAAAAAAAACCCAAUAAUUUCUAUGUAAUGAGAAAAAAUUAACCCAAUUAUAUAGCUUCAAAUUCCUUUAAACUUUGAGAUGAAUAUAUAUAUAUAUAUAUAUAUAAAAGCAAGGAUAGGAUAUGGACUAGCUUGCGUGUAUAUUGAUUAAUUCUCAUGGGUCCUGAAGUUAAUAACCAGAUAAAUAUCCAGUAGCUAUCAAUAUUAGCAACUAUAUGGCUCAAAUUUAAAAUUAUAAAAAGAAUAAAUCCUUUAAUUCUAAACUUUUAUCACUAAAUUAUCUACUUAGAUAGUUAUAAGAUAUAAUAUAAUAUUGCCAUCAUUGGUUGUCAUUUGCAAGUCAAAGUCAACACCAGCGCAUAGGUACAGUACGACUGCAAUCUAAUCCGUUUCUAUAAUUGUGACAGAAAAUAAAAACAAGGAAAAUAAAAUUAAUUACUACACAACUUGGCCAUUGGGCCGACAUAUACAGCCCUCUUCUUUGUUUUGUGUCUCAUUUUUCUUAAUUAACAAUCUGAUUUUGCACAGCCUUCGUUUCACAUGCCCACGUUGUAUUGUCAAGGUAGAUGCUAUCAAGUUUGUUAAUUUUCUUUAGUUUUGUUUGAAAUAAUCAAAUAUAUCAUACUAAUUCAAAAAACAAAACAAAACAAAACAAAAUAAUUUUUAUCUUAUUUCAAAUCUCGAUCCAUUUCAAAUUUUUCAGCUAAAUUUUGACCAAAAUGUGCCGGUUUCAUUUCACAUAUUUCAUUCUGGUCUUGAAAAGCCAUUGAAUCAAAUUGAACCUGGUUCAAUUUAAUUAAUUAAACCAUCCAAAUAUAAAAAACUCUUUUUCAUUAUUAUUUUCAAUAACAAUGAUAUUAAUAAUAAUAUUGAAAAUUAUUAUUACUAUUUUCAUUAACAAUGAUAUUAAUUUUUUAAAAUUAGAUUUAUCACUAAUAUAUAUGAUUUAUAUUCAUGUUGUUUUUUUUCAUGUUUAUACUUUGUAAGAAUUUUAGCAAAACAAGGGAUGCUUUAGAUCUCAUUAGCCUUGAUAACAUUGACCUAGUUUUAUAUUUAAAAUAUUUGUGUUAAAACAUUUUACUUUCAUAAUAUUUUGAUAUUUUGUUUAAGUUGAAUUACUUUAAGUUAAAGAUCUAUUUAAUCUUGACUAUUUAGAAAUAUUUUAAAAUUUGAAAUUAUUUGUGACAUUGUGUUUGUAUUGCAUAAUAUAUAAUUAAUUUAUUUUGAAUUUGAAUUAUGUUUGUUGAUAUAUAUAUAUAUAUAUAUGAACAGUACAACCCCGAAACGGCACGCAGAAACACUCCAAAACUGAAACAUUUCAUUCCAAUUGAAAAAAUAAAACACCUUCCGAAACGGAAUUGACAAUCUUGAUAAAAACCAGAGAAAGGCCAUGACACAAAAGGGAAGAGAGAAAAAACAGAGGAGGCACAUAAGAAUACCAGAAAAAGGACAAAGAGAAACAGAAGGAGACCACAUUAGACGUAUAAAGACAUAGGGGAUAUAGAACAGAGAGAGACUAGGAGGAACUACACUGAAAGAGUAGAGACAUAUGGCAUUCUUUUCUUUGAAUUGUUUAAGGUCGCUGCGAUAAAAAACAGAUCCAUGCUAGUUAUGGAUAAUAAUUUUAUUACUCACUUUAAUAUAAGGAUAAAAAACCUGUAUGAGGUUAAUAUUCAAAAUAUUAUUGUGAAUAAUACAACUCAUUCACUUUUAAUACAAGGAUAAGAUCCGCAAAGAAUUUUAUUUAGAAUAUUAUUUGGAAUGAUGCGAUAGCAAAAAUUCCAGUUUUCCCUAAAAAUAAGCCUCAACAUUAAUUGAGGAUAUUUCACCUUCCCAGACCGAGUUCUUGACCUAGAAAACCAGGGUUUGUUCAUCAUAGCAAACCUACCAUAGUAGGACGGUAGAAAUAGACAUCAUCAGACCAUAGCAAACAAAUAAAAAAAACAAUGCAGAUUACCUUAGGUAAGGCGUACUAGGGAUGUUAAUACAUUUUCUUUACGCAAUCAGUUCCUUACCUAGAAUCUCUAGAAAAAAACAUGUUAGUGUUCCUAGUAGCUGUAGUACUAGGUGGUGACUCCCCGAAAAAAAAAAGAAAAAAAAAUCAAAGACCGUUCUUGACUACCCUGACCCAGAAUGAUGAUCAUUGCGACAAUGCACACGUGCGACGAUAAGAAAAUUCAAGUAUUGCGAUUCCUCGAUCGCAACUACAACAUAAUGGAACUUUUUUUUGCAGUGAACGUAGGAUCUUCUCUACCACACGUGUCUCUUCCAUCUUCUCCCAAUAUCUCUUCAUUUAAUUGUAUAUGACUAAAACUCUAGUAAAGUAAUCUGAAAUAUUCUUCGAUUCAAGUAUAUAUAACUUUUCAAAGUCACCAUGUAACUUUUGUAAACGUACAUUUCUCACAUUGCUAGCUUCUUGGUUUGAUACUUGCAAAAAUUUUCAUGCUUGCUUGGCGGUGGUUGUGUUAACCACCAUCUCAAAAGUGACAUCAUCCAAACAUUGGUGGAUGAUUGUGAGUGCCUGUUGAUCAUUCUUUUGUGUUUUUGCACAACCUCCCUUUGGAUUGAAGUCAACGCUCUCCUUUCAUAGACUCUUCAAAGCCAUUCUCAAUCAUUUCACACACAUCUUGGGAACCUAACCAAGCUUUUACACGAAUACACCAUAUUUCAUAGUUGUUCUUUGUCAAACGAGGACAUUGAAGUGAAAAGUUAGGAUUGGCCAUGGCAAACAAUCAACCUAAACUCUGAUACCACUUAUUGAAGGUAAAACAAGUAUGGUAUGAGAUCAACAUAAUAAUGCAAGAUAAAGAAAAACUCAAGAACAAAUCUAAAGAAUAAGAAGAAGAAUAAGAGAAAUGUUAACUUUAUUGAAGUGUUUCUCUCUUUGAUUUAUCUAUGUAUAUUCACUUAAUAAUGCCUUAUAUUACAAGUCUAUUUAUAGGCAUUAAGUCCUAGACUAUAAAGGAAUUAAACUAAUACAAGGAAAUCUUAAUCCAAGCAAGAACUGUAUUUUGACGAUUGAAUCGGUCGACCGUUUCCGAACUGGUUGACUAGUUCAACUAAUUUCUAGAAAUCAGUUUACUGUCAACAUCAUACACACCUCCUUCCUUGAUAAAGAGUGUAUGAUAGUGGUUGACUAGUUCAACUAAUUUCAUCGAGGCACCAAAAGUUGUUGCUGACCUGUAGAAGCAGUUAUAGAAGCAAUAUAUAUUGAUAAUAAUCACUUUAUUGACAAUAUAUAAGAAAUAUUAAAAAAGCAUCAUGUGGCCAAACCAUAUAAAAUGGGUGAGAAAAAAACCUUAAAGUUAAACUUAUAGGUUCAUACAAGGAAAAUGGAUUAUGGAGGUCUUCAUCAAAGGUCAACCUGUAGGCAAAAGGAGUAUGCCAAGAAGGAAAUAACUCAUAAUAGGGUAUACAAUGGUGUAUUGAAGAAUAUUAAUAAAGCUUUGGAAGGCGAAGAGCACACAUAGGCUAUUAAGGUUUGUUAAAAUAUUGAUUUUAGGGACUGUACUGCAUUUUCAGUUUAGUAUAUAUUUCUAUGUCAUUCAUAUUUUGAAAUCAAAAGAUAUUUUUAUGAAAAUAUCAUUUAGUAUUUUAUUUUCAUUCAUAACUAGAUAAAUGUAACGUUAAAAAAUGGUUGAAUCCAAGGGCAUAUCAAACAAGCGCUAAAUGCAAUCCCCUACCCUUUUAAAACUCAUAAAAACAUUAAUCCUCAAUAUUUUGCAUGAUCUUAUAGCUCUAAUCAAAAUAUUGUGAUCAAAUGGGUGUUGUGAGAAUACUUUGCUAAAACAAUUCUGAAAAAUUAAACUUGCCCUUCUAUUUCAGAAGUAAUUUAAUGUUGGUUUAAAAACGUGUUUUGGCAUCCUGCUCAUAUGAUGACAAAAAAUAAAUAAAUCAAGCAAUUCUAGUUUUAAAAUGACCAACAUACCUCAAUCAAAAGACAUGAAAUUAAAAAACAAAACUUACAGUCACCCACACUCUACUUUUUUAGGCUAUAUUCUAGUUGUAAACAAAAUGGUAUGACCAUACUAGGUCCAUCAAGAUGGUUUAAUUUAAUUAUAUGAUAAAAAAAGGAUAAUAAAUGUAUUGAAUCUAAAAAGAAAAAAUGAUAAUGUCGACGACCUGCAGAAAAAGAAUAUUGCCAAAAGAAAGAAAUUGUUAUAACCCAAUUUUGACCCAUUUGCUUUUUAAUCUAAUUUUAAGGAGGUUAAAAUUUGAAAUUAAAAGAUCAGGUUUUGAAUGCAAAAUUUGGAAACCUUAAGAACCAAAUUGAGAAAUGGUCAUUCGCGGUACAAAACGAUACCGUUUCAAACAUACACUGUUCUUAUUCUUCUUCCUCAGACGCUGAAAGCCCGCUUGCAAAGAAGGAAAGGAAAUUGUGAAAUAUCAGCAUCCUAGUCCAACGAGAACUCAAAUUGCAAAUCUUAUCUGUGUGAAGAUUACAACCCUGGGGAGAUAAGGAUGAAUUUCUCAUGCCCUCAUGCUUAUAAAAGGGAGUCCAACAUGGGCAGGACUGUUGGUGCCCCAAUACAAUAGAAACACAAUGUCCCCGGGCCUUAUCAUGGUCCUAGGGAGGUAAGCAGCAUGGAAGCCUAUAAAAGGUAGAGGAGGAUCUGUAAAAAAAAAAAAAAAACACAAAGAGGAGAAAACAAAGAGAAAAUAAAAAGAAAAAAGAGCAGAAGAGGGAAAAGGACUGGCUUUUGAGAAAGUAGAAAUAUAAAGAAAAAGAAGAGAAGACGAGGAGCAAAAAGGGAAUCCAAGGAGUGCUUCAUCCAGCACUUGCAUCUUGCUACUAGAAAAAGGUAAGUCACUUUCAAUUCUCCCCCUCCUUGCAUUUUAAUUACUCUCCUCCUGUAGCAAGCAUGCGUGAACAGUUCAUGCACGCUUGCAAAUAAAAAAAGGAAAGAAAAGGGAGUUGGGUCAUUGGUCUGAACAAGUAACCCGGCCAGUUGGCUGGGUCUGGCCCAGACCAUACUGCUAGGUUGGACCCAGCCCAAUAUAUAUAAAAAAAAGAGAAACAAGACAAAUCUGGACCUCCAGCCCAGCUGGCCCAAACUGUGCUAGCUAAGGGUGUGUCUGGCAAAACACACCCUUAUGCUUUGUCCAUGUAUGUUAUCUCCUUCUAUUUUGAUAUCUAGCCAAACAAGCCCCGUUUUGAUAUUAGAAAAGAGACGAAGAGAGAAUUGACUGGAGAAGCAGUAAUAGAAGAACAAAAAAGAAAGGGCUGAAGGCAGAAAGGAAGUCAAACAUAGAGGAUCCGCUGACAACCAACACCUGUAGAUUUCAUCCAAACCAAGUAAGUCAUUUUAUUCCCUCCUUUUCACUUUUAAUUACCCUCUUCCUGUAGCAAGCGAGCAUGAUUAGCCCACGCACACUUGCAUAGGAAAAUAUACCAGCCGGGAUACUGGUUUGAACCAGUAACCGGGCCGGUUUGCCUGGAUCUAGCACAAUAAAUAAGCCCUUUUCAAUAUAAAAUUUUUUUAAAAAUAUUUAGGGAUCUUUAUUGAUUUAUUAAUGAGCCCCUCACACUUUGUUUUAUUAUUUUUAUUCUUUGAGUUUUGUAUUUUUUCUGCUAUAUACUCAAUCUGUGGAUCAUUACUUGUCAAAUGCAAACUCUGUUGUGCAACGUUUCUUUUAUUUCCAUCUAAAAAGGACAAACAACAAUAAAGGGUAAACAAAAAGAAAAUGACAUAGAAAAAUUCUUCUUCAAAUUUAAUUUUUUGCAAAAUUAUUUAUUGACGGUAAAGUCAAGAAUGUCGCAUUUUUUUAAGGUUUGUAUGAUAUUUAUCAAUGUUAGAGUUGAAAAUAUUCAUAAGAAUUGUUCAUUGACGCCAGAGUUAGGAACAUGAUGAAAAGAACAAAAAAAGAGAAAACAAAUUCUUAGCAAUUUUAGACAAAAUCACCAUUGCAACCUGCUUUAGAUAGGACGCUUAAGGAGUGAUAGCAUAUUUCUUUUUGUGUAACCAGUCUCAUACCAUAUAAUCUCUGUUGACCAGUUAGGGUUUCUAGAAACCAUAAUAUUAGGUGGCGACUUCUUGAACUAGACCUUCUCCUUCCCCUUCCUCUCAAAUAACAAAAUGUCAAAUAUCUAUUUUUUUUCCAUGAAAUUUUUUUUAUUAGCCGUCACGGUGUAGUGUUGAUAAAUUUAUAAGAUGAAAAAACAAAAUGUUUAUCCUUUUCUUUUUAUCUUUAUAUGGAAUGCUUUUUAGUCAAUUUGCAUGUUAACAAAUACCAAGUUUUUUCUUCGAAGAUUUUUAAAACGCAUCGCUUCUAUCAGGAUUUUAAAACGCUGGUUUUAAAGUUUGGAUUAAAUGCUGGUUUUAAAGUUUGGAUUAAAUAAAAAAAAUAAAAUAAACAUGGCUGCUGAUCCUACCCGUUGAAGUUAAAAUAAUGUAUACCUAAUAGCUAAUCUCUUUAAUUUUCGCUUUUGAGUCAUCUUUGAUUUUUCUCCAGCAGCAACAAUGGACUUUCCUAAGUCAUUAUCCUCAUGCAGCUCUCUCCCUCCCUCCCCCUCUCUCUCUCUCGCUCUAUAAAACACGUUUAUGUUUCACCAACCAACGAGCAGAAAUUUCCAAAAGAACUAGGGGGAGGCAAGCAGGCGCCCAGCCCCUGCAAAACAUUUUAAUUUUAUUUUUAUUUAGUAUUUAAAUAUAAAAUAAUAUAAUAUUUUUUAUUUUAAAUAAAUAAGCUUUUUAAUUAUCAUAUUAUAUUAUUUUUGACAUCCGUCAAAUACUAUCAGCGCCGCCCCCUGCUGUUGAUCAUCUUUAAAAUCUCCUUCCUGGUGUUUUUCUUUCCCUCAAGCAACCCACCUCUCAUUAUUGAGAAAAACACGCCGUUUCUGCUCGUGGUUUGUUGUUCUUUGAUCACCGUUCUAAAUUUCUCCCAGAUAAUAUAGCAAUUACCAAGAGAACGAGUUGUGCUUUGCGCAUGGCGUUGUGGCCACCACUACUGUCGAAGACUUUCUCUGUUUUGGUUUUUGGAUUUGUGGUGUUGAAUUGCAUUGCUGUGGACAAGUUUGGAUCCAAUGCUCAAGAAGUCACUCCACUCUUGCCACUAGAUGAAGGUACGUACGUGCUCCUAGCAAUUCAAUAAUCUCACUCUCUCUUUAGCAUGAUUGAAGGUUCCCUUUUUCCUGGAAAAUAAUUUAUUUGCAGAGAUUAACGCUUCUUAGUUUUAUUUACUAUUCUUAAAUAAAAUCAGAAUCAUUUCAAUUUGUGAUGAUUAGUGAGAGAAAUUAGUAUAUCUACUGAGAAAUAAAAUAAGAAAAAUGGAAAUUGUUAUCCACUUCGUUAAAUUGUGAAUUAUAUUUUUUAUUUUGGAUUAUCCUCUCUCUUUCGUGAUUAAGAAAACUUAUUAUAUGAUGUUGACUACCUUUCCAUUCUAAUCAUUGAGCUUCUUAUAUAAUAUUUUAAAAUAAUAAAGGAGAGCGUUAUUAACGAUUUCUUUGAGGAGUGAUAAUAAUAAUAAUAAUAAUAAUAAUAAUAAUAAUAAUAAUAAUAAUAAUAAUAAUUGGUAUGUUGAUGUCAUCGAAGCAAUUAUUGCUUGAUAUUGCAUCUUUACAAUACUGCCAAGUGACAGAUAAUUUUGGUGGAAAGGUCCUACUACCUUUAUGGUAUAUUAAUUGUACUCGUAACUAGCCAUCUAAACCGCGGGGCCUUUUUUUUUUUUUUUUCAAGAAAACAUUAUAUUCAGCACUUUUAAAAUAGAAAGAAACUUUUGCUACUUUGAUUAUAUAUACUCAACUGGAAAAAAUAUAUUGGUUUUAUUUUAAUUAGAAAAAAUAAAAUAAUUAAUUAUAGUAUAUGGACAUAAUAUUAAAAUUUUAAAAAUGAUAUCAAUAACCUAGAAUUUAUUUUUAAUAAAACAAAUAAUAUAUCUUCAUUCACAACUAAUUAAUUAUUGAAGAAUAAAAUAGGAUAAAAAAACCCUAAAAAAAUCAGUCAUAAUCAACCCGAAUUAGUAUGACAAACCUGUAGUUUUUAUUAAGUAGGGUACUUACCAUACUAGGUUGCGUGGACCCAAAUGUUUUUGAACAUAGGCCAUAUGAAUUAUUUUUUUAACAUUGCACUAAACUUGGUAUAACAUAUCAAAAUUGAAAAAUAUUCUUCACUUAAAUUAUAUGGGAGUUAUCAUGAUAUAACCUUGUCAACUUGACUGGUUCAAAAAAAAUCAAAGAAAAAAAAAACAGCCUAGGUUAACAUACCAAACUCGUAACCUAGGUCAUGGACUCUACUGAAUUCAAUUAGAUUUUUUUUAUCUUAUUAUGUGAUAAAAAAAAUAUAAAAUCAUAGUUAAAAUUAAUCAAUUAUUGAAUGAUAAAAUAAAAAAAUAAAAAAAUAAAAACACCAUGUUAAAUGAUGAGAUUAAAAAAAAAACUAAAAAAACCCAAAGAGAAAAAAAAAAGGACCAAACAUGCUUAUUUUUUUUAAAUGGGCGAGCAAUAUACAACCCGUCUCAAUUAAAAAAAGAAAAAGCAGCGCAAGGCGAUGUAUUGCCUGUUACUGCCCAAAAUCCAGCCACCAUUGUGGUGGCUGGUGAUUCUAAGGGUGGGAUUUUGAGGGUGAAAACCUAUUUUUCAGUCCAUUUUACUUAAAAACACAUAAUAAAAACCACUUUAAACCAUCAAAACCUUGAAAUCACUUAAAAAAAAUCAAUUGAAUGAAAAAAUAAAAACGAAACCAGAUCCUCUUUUUUAGACAUACUUGUAGACAAAACCCAUAAGAAUUCAAAUUCUCUCAUCGAAUAGAACCCUUUAACACCAAAAAUAGUAAAUAUAUUCACCCAAAAGUAUCCAAACUGAUCAUUUUCUAUCUUCUCUUUCUUUUCAUCCGAGUUUCUCUAUUAUCUUUCUUACUCAAGGAUUGAUAAAAAAAAAUUGAAUUUUAGAACCACAAUGAAAAGUGUCUCUAAUGUGAGAUUAACUAUAUGUUUUUUCGUGUUUUACAUUUUAGUUCCAUAUCUUGUAAUUUUAUAUUUUUUUACAUAAUUUGAAGCCUAAUUUAUUCUAAUUGGACUAUAAAAGAUUUUGAUUAAAAACAAAAAAAAACAAAAACAAAAAUUUAAUUUCUUUGUUGUUCAUAUAAAACCAACCACAUCUCUUUUAAUUAUUUUGUUAACAAGCCAUAAUUAUAAUACUGACCUGGUCAGGGAAUCAUCAUAUUUAAUGGAUUAACUUGAUGAUUGAGUUACUUAGGUUCUAGUUAUGGAUUGUUUUUAUUAAAAUGAUAUAAUUUCUAGUUUUUUUUAAAAAAAAUCUCAAAAAACAUAGUUUCAAAAAUUUUAAAAAAUCUUGAUUAAUGCAUCCAACUCACGAUCCAACCUUGAAUCAAAUCAAAUCAAUAUUAGAGUCUAAAAGCCUUAUAAUUAUAUAAUAAGCAAGAGAGCCCCAAUGUUAUAUUGUUCUCGCCUCUUCGCAAUAACCGAUUGUCUUAGACUAUCAGGGCACCAACCAAUCUUGCACUAAAUACAAUAAUUAUUCAAUUACUUAGUUGAGUUGUUUGUGUUUGUUGCUCUCGUACAAAAUUGUCUUAUAUGUAUUUUAAGUCUUUAAAAUAAUAUUGGAAUUACAUGUUUUGCUAAUAAAUUAAUAAGUAUUAAACUCAAUAAUUAUUAAAGAAAACCUUAUUAGCUUAAUUUUAGAAAUUUAAACGUUGUUGAGACUAAUUUUAAGUGCGCUAUUAUAGAUUAACAUUUCACUAUGGAUUUAUAAGUGAAAUAUUGAUUUUACCUUUUGAUGGGCAAACUAACAAGACUUGAAUUUAGAGAUAGGAUAGUUUUUUUCACAUGCAUAUUAGUCAUUACUAGAAAAGAAGGGGUUAAAUUGUAUUUUUAUAUUUUUACUUAAUUGCCCAUGAAAGACAAAAAAAAAAAUAACUUGGAUCAAUGGGCUUUUUAAUCUUUGAUGUAAUUCUUAAAUAAGUUACUUCAUUGCUUUUGAAAAAUAAAAAUAAUUGUCUUUGACAUAGGAAUUCUUUUGUCAUUUAGAUGUGGUGAUUUAAUAGUUAUUGAAUAUUAUUGGGACAGUAAGGGUAAUUUGAUAAAUAAAAAAAUUUAAAAAAAUUCAGAAAUGUGUGUGAAGUGUUCGCUACUUUUGCACAGUGUAUGUGACACCAUUCAGUGGCCAAAACCAUGAUUCCAGAACGGUGAUUGAAGUGUCUUGGUGUUCUCUAUACAAAUAAGUGGUGUGUGUAUCCUAAUGGUAGUAGAGAUGGCUAGAGUAACCUUUUGUUUUUAUUUUUUUCUUUUUCCUACUCAAUUUUUAUUUUGGCCUUAAAAAAAAUCAAAUCAACCCCUAAGAUUUGUUGUAAUUGAGACUUCAUUUUUAUUCUCUUUAAAAAAAUCAAAUCAAUACCUACACUCAUGCUUUAAAAAAAAAAAAAAACCUUCUCAUUCCUUGUAUUUCUCUAACCCUAAAAUACCUUUUCGCCUAUUUAUAAUGGUCAAAACGUUGAUGAACAAUGAAGAAAUAAACUUAGUAACCAAGCUUACAAAGCUUUGAGGUUAUUCCUCUCAUUCUUGGAAGCGACUGCACUCUUUCUUGAUCCCUCUGAUCCAUUACAAUAAACAUUUUCUAACUUUUCCCACAUUAUAGCUACCAAAAUUUCAUAUAUAUCAUUAUUGAUAGUGUUAUCAGCAAUACAAAAUCGAUCCUCCUCCAUGUCCUCUAGCUUCAUAUCCUUCUCUUUCAACGCUUUAUCCAAGACUUAUUGAAUAAGAAUAUUGUCGUUCACCCUUUGUUGCCAAAGAGUAAAUUUUCUUUUUUUUUUAAAUUUAUUUCAUGAUAAAUUUUAGCUUUUUAUCUUUUGUAGACAUUGAUCAUUAUCAAAAGCUGAAUCUCCCAAAAUCAAAUCUUCAUAUCCUAAUUUUAGGAGAAAUUAAUUUAAUACAAUAAUAUAAUUAUGAUUUUUAUGCCUAAAACCCAACCUUGUACACCCACUCUCACUUAAAAAAAUCUUAACAUUUGUGUUUUUCAUACCCUAAAAUUGCUCGUCUUUUCACCUAUUUAAAGAAAAAAAACAUAAUAUAUGAAAAGGGAAGGAACAAAUUUAGAAAACAAAUGAGUCUCAUCACCAACAUAUAUAAUAUUCAAUUAUUCUGAGAAAAAUCUAAUAUAAUUUAAGGAGCAUGUAUCAUAAUUAAAUCUAAAAUGUAUUAUAGUUAUUAAAUUCAUAUGAUACUAUUCAUCAAAAUAUUUAAAUAUUAUUAAAAGUGAUAUAUAUAACUAAUUAUUUGAAUUAAUCAAAAUAGAACAAAUUAAAAACAUAUAUAAAUAAAAGAAAAAUUGAAAAUUUAAAUAAAAUUUUGUCAUUUUGGUGUAAAAAUAUUGGCUUAAAAUUUUUGCGAGUUUUGAUAUCAGACAUACAAGUACUAAAUUGAAUAGUUUAUUUUAGCCUUAAAAAUAAUAAUUUUCUUCCAGUUAAUAAUAAUUUUCUUCCAGUUUUUUGUUUUUUUUAACUAUGUAAUAAUUGUUUUGGUGUUGUGUACUAUUUUAUUUUAAUAAAAAAGAACUAAUUCAUUCCUAAUUUAAUGAGUAUUUAAUUUGUGAUUUUUUCUGUACAGUUAGUAAUUGAAUCAUGUGAAUGCCUAAAUCCUUUCAUAAACUGGAGGAAUUUGUUAGGGCAUUAAGAAUCAUGGUUACAUAUAUCAUCAUCAUCAUUAAUAUCAUCAUUUUCUAGCUGUGUUUUAGCAAGGCCUUCAUUCAUACAUUAUUUUAUGGAUAAAUAAUAUUAAUAUUAUUAUUGUUUUUAUGGAUGAUUGAAGUUCCUGAAUUGUAUGUAACAGUGCAAAUUCUUCAAAACAUAUCCAGUUGAACAUCAGAAACUGGGCCACCAUCAAUCGAACUUCUUGCGAUAGUGCACAGUGGAAGAUCAACGGCAACGAAAUUGAAAGCAAUGUUACAUGCAACUGUACAUUUGAGAAUGGCUCCGUCUGUCAUGUCACUCGCAUGUAUGUAUGUUUUCUUUAUAGGAAAUAUUCAAGAAUCGUAAUUCUUCCCCUUGCAAAAGCCAUGAGAUUUAUAUAUAUCAUUUUCAUAAUAAAUUUUAUGUUUUGUUAAAGAGUAGAAUACAGCUCUUGGAUUAUCCGAUAACUUUUUUUUUUUUUUUUAAUGAGGUCAUGUGAAUUUUUGGUGUUGUGUAGUUUUUAAGCAUGAUAUCAAUUCAUCUUGAAUUGAUAUCAUGGUUAAAAAUAAAUCUGAUUAAAAUACUUAAAUUUAAUCAUGCAUCUUGUAUAUUUUUUUUGUGUAAAUAUUAAAAUAUAUUAAUCAGCAGAUUGGAAUUGAUAUAUUGCUGUUCGUCAAAAAAAAAAAAAAAAUUAAUGGCGAUACGUUCUCCAAGUCUUUGUAUGGUUACAUUUUCUUUUCUUUAUAUUUACUAACCAGUUCUUAUAUUUUGUUUCUGACAGAAGAGUGAAAAGAUUUAAUUUGAAUGGAGUUCUCCCAGAGGAACUAGGAGACCUUCCUCAUCUGCUUGAAAUGUAAGUGAUGAGUUAAUCAAGUUUAUUAAUAUCAUUAUUGAAUAGAGAUCAAUUGCUAUGUAUUUGGGUUUCUUUUCUUCACAUUUCCUGGCACUCCAUGUGCUUCACAGAGGAUUUUAAUUUAUUUAUCAGAACAAAUGAAAGUUUUUAUGAUGAUUCAAAUGGGAAAAGGUCUUUGUCUGUGUGGCUAAGAGAAACAGUGACUUGUAAACAAAAGGAAUUAUGCAAUGACUAAGAUGAAGCAUUUUUCAUUCGACAGUGAUCUGACUCGCAACUACAUUAGUGGAACAAUCCCUCCAAGACUUGCUCAGCUCCCUAAGCUUCAGAUUUUGUAAGUCUUUUUGUGCAUUCUGUUUAUGUGAAGGGGUUUUCAUAUCCCGAUAUGGAAAUUCAUGAACAUGUUAACCGUCUCACCGGCCCAAUUCUCUUCCAUGUCUUAGGUCUCUCAUCGUUAACCGUCUCACCGGCCCAAUUCCCCCGGAAAUAGGCAACAUUACCACACUGGAGGAGCUGUAAGUCACAAAGCGAACUUCUUAAAUGAAACGCUAAGCUAGAACGUUAAAUCUUGAAUUGGAUCUUGCAGGGUCCUGGAAGAUAAUUUGCUAGGAGGGCCUCUUCCUCCAGACCUUGGAAAUUUGACAAGCUUAAGAAGACUGUAAGACAGAUGCCUUCAUCUUCUAUCUGAGUUUAUUUAUGUAUCUACUUCAUGAUAUUCAAUCUAAGUCUUUUUAUGUAUGGUACCAGUAUUUGAUGCUCACUCAGAAAAAAUUAUUUGUAACUUUGUAUUUUUUACCCCUGCAGUCUUCUUUCCGCAAACAAUUUUACAGGAACAAUACCAGACACAUUUGGCAAUUUAAAGAAUUUAAAUGAUUUGUAAGUGAUGAUGCGGGUCACAAUUUUUUUAUUUAUUUAUAGUAGAUACAUAAAUGUUUUUCUUUAUCUAUGCUGAGCUUAAAUAUUCAUCUGUUUCAUAUGCUCCGGCAGUAGGAUAGAUGGAAGUGAAGUGUCAGGGAAGAUACCUGACUUUAUUGGGAACUGGACCAACAUUACGACAUUGUGAGUAUUUACUUUGUCCCAUUUAUCUGCUAAUGUGUGUCCUCGAGCACAAGCUGAAUGGAAUUCCAUUUUCCUUUGCCUCUUGCAUUCCUAACAGUGGUAUAUUUCUUUUGCAGGGAUUUGCAUGGAACAUCCAUGGAGGGUCCUAUUCCCUCUGCCAUUUCACUGUUAAAAAAAUUAACAAUUUUGUGAGCUUAAAUUCCCUAUCUUGUAGAUUCCUAUUCAGUUCAAAGAAUUUUGCCUCGUUGCUUUUCGGUAAGUCUAUAUUUGAGAAAACUGAUUUUUUCUGUUGUCUUGAUUUUUCAGGAGAAUAUCGGAUUUGAAAGGAUCCAAUUCAACUUUCCCUGAUCUGAAAGAUAUGACAAAAAUGGAAAAACUGUGAGUUGAAUGAGACUGAUCAAAUAUAUUGUUACAGCAAUAUUACAUCAUUAAUUGAUUACAUAUUAUUUUUUACUCAGGAUUCUGAGAAAUUGCUCAUUGACUGGUUCAAUCCAAGAAUACCUUGGAAAUAUGGCAGACCUAGAUACUCUGUAAGUUUCUCUAACUGCUACCUUCAUGGCAACGCUUAAUUUCAUGGGCGUCAUAUUAUGUUACUCUGAUUCAAAAUGACAAGAUGUGUAAAGUGAUUGACAUCACUUUACUCUAUCGUUUGGUUUCAUUUAAAGUAAGAUAAAGCAAAGUGAAUCAGUAAAGGUAUAGCAAUAAGUUGAUUCCUUAUUUAUCCUGGUUGAACAAGGAUCUUUCCUAACCAUGAAGCUCCAGCCUUUUCCUCUUUUAAAACCGACAGUUUUGCAUUUCAUUUUUCCUUAUUUUAGAUUCUCAUUGAGUGAGGUCGGGAUUCUUACAAACCAAUCUUGAUAUGUCAUAUGAGAUGCUAUUGGUGAUGUUCUACAUUAUAACAAUGUAAUAAAUUAUGUGGAGGACAUCUUAACAUUUGGAAGGACUUGGAAAUUCUGUUGUAUAUGUAUGUGUGAGGUUCAUUCAUAUUGGGCUCCAAAAGCAUCCAUAUGUUCUCUGUGAGCAUGAGCUAGACCUGCAUAUAGUCUGCAUGAUUCAAAAUCAUGAUGGUGGGGGCUCAUGUUUUUCAUAAAAGCCAUGCUGCAGAGGAUGUAAUAGGACCUUGAAUAUUACUAAUCUGACAACAUGGACUGGCCCGACAUUCCGUGAAUUAGAUUGCAGUGUGUUUAUAUUGCCCAGAGUUAAUUUUAUCUAGUGCUUUUUUCACGUGCUUUCAUUAAUUUUUACAUAUUUCAUUGCAGAGAUCUGAGCUUUAACAAGUUGACAGGCCAGAUUCCUGGCCCAUUAGAGAGUUUGAAAAAAAAUAUAAAGUUCAUGUAAGUCCAUAAACGCAUGCUUUCUGAAAGCACAGGAUCAUCGUUUCUAAUAUAUUUCUCAUAUUGACAGCUUGCUGGUUCAUUACCUGUUUAUUAAUGUGUAGGUUUCUGAAUAACAACUUACUAACUGGAGAAGUGCCUGCUUGGAUACUGGGAAGCACGAAAGACUUGUGAGUCUAUUGUGAAGUUAUACAUAAAUCUUUAUACAUGAAAUACACCAAUCUUUGUUCUCCUCAAUCAACAACUAUAUUACCCCUGCCAUGAAAUUUUAUUUCAGGGAUUUAUCUUACAACAAUUUUAAUGGAUCAGCUGAGCAAAGUUGUCAACAGCUACCAGUGUAGGCAUUAUUUUUUCCCGUUACUUGUUUCUUCUCCUUUGUCUCAAGUUGAUUGCUAACUUCUAUUUGAAAUUAUAUAGGAACUUAGUUGCUAGUCAUGUGUCAACUGGGAGUAACAAGUAAGUUCCUCCUUCACUAAGAUGCCUUUUAAGAUAUCAAGAAAUUUGACUUAUCGAUAACCCUCAUUCUUCUCUACAGGAUUUCUUGGUGCUUGAACAAGGACCUUGUUUGCACAAGAAAACCUCAAUGUAAGUGUGUAAAAACAGUACUCUGGUGUUUGAUGAAGGUGUAAUUACAUAAAUACAGUACUUCUUGUCCUAGGGAAGGCAGCUUAUGAUAUUGGUCCUUCGUUCUACAGACCAUUCCUUGUUCAUAAACUGUGGAGGGAGCAGUGAGACUGUUGAUGAUAAUGAAUAUGAAGACGACACAACUCCAGGGGGGGCAGCUGAUUUUGCAUCUAUAUCAGAAAGAUGGGGUUAUAGCAGUACAGGGACUUAUAUUGGCACUGAUAACGGCGCUUACAAAGCAACAAAUUCUUUUGGUCUGAAUGUUACCGGUGAAGGUUUUUACCAAACUGCUCGCCUUGCCCCUCAAUCACUCAAGUACUAUGGCCUGUGCAUGCUGGCUGGCAGUUACAAAGUGCAGCUCCACUUUGCUGAAAUUAUGUAUUCCAAUAAUCAGACUUUUAGCAGCCUUGGGAGGCGGAUAUUUGAUAUAUCAAUUCAAGUGAGUAAAAUGAUUUUCAAAUUAGCGCAUUUACUUAGGAUUUUUCUUUUUAUCUAUGAUUGUAUUUCUAAAUAACCUCAUGAGACCUACCAUGUGUUAUGGAUCCUUUUCAAGUUUCCAUAGAAAAGGGUGGUAACACUAUUUAAAACCUGCAAAAGUCAUGCUCGGAACUUCUUCCUGCAGGGGAAGGUAGUUGAGGCAAAUUUCAAUAUUAUGGAGGAAGCUGGAGGUGUUGGUAUUGGCAUCACUAAGGUAUUUGAUGGUAUAAUUGUUAAUGGUAGCACACUGGAGAUACACUUAUACUGGUCAGGCAAAGGUACUACUGCUGUUCCUGAAAGGGGUGUCUAUGGACCUCUCAUAUCUGCCAUUACAGUGACUCCAAGUAAGUCUUGACGAAAUCAAGAGGAUUUUUUGUUUCCAUCAACGGUCUUUAUAUUUAAUUUAUUUCUCUCAUUGUAGACUUUAAGGUGGAUAAUGGUGGCGGAUUAUCAGUUGGAGCUAUUAUUGGCAUUGUAGCUGCUCCAUGUGUGCUUGCGGCAUUGGUUUUGCUGGUCCUCCGGAAGAAAGGUUACUUGGGAGGGAAGGACCUUGAAGAUAAAGGUAAGAUUAAUGGCACAAGAAGUAUGUGUCUUAUUUGAUUGUGUGCAUGCUGUAAACUUUUGAUUAUCCUUGUGAUGCUGAUUUUGAGAUCCUGCUCAAUACAGAACUCCGUGCUCUAGAUCUCCAAACUGGUUAUUUCAGCCUAAGGCAAAUUAAACAUGCGACCAAUAAUUUUGACCCUGCAAAUAAGAUAGGAGAAGGAGGAUUUGGUCCAGUUUACAAGGUAUUUAUGAAUUUCCAGUUUACUAUUUAGUUAGGUUAUGUGCUGACAAAGUGUUCUACUGUAUGGCGCCUUCUUGUAUAAAAUCUAUCACACAUGCAAAAACCUGUGAUAAAAGGGAAGGAAUAUCUUUUAAAACAUUCUGAAAUCUCAGUCUAUUUUAUUUCAGGGUAUGUUGUCAGAUGGUUCUGUAAUUGCUGUAAAGCAGUUAUCGGCCAAAUCGAAACAAGGAAAUCGUGAAUUUGUGAAUGAGAUAGGCAUGAUAUCUGCCUUGCAGCAUCCCCAUCUCGUGAAGCUGUAUGGUUGUUGUAUUGAAGGAAAUCAGUUGUUGUUAGUAUAUGAAUACUUGGAAAACAAUAGCCUUGCUCGGGCUCUUUUUGGUAAAUGCUUGACCAACUCCUUGAUGUAUCAGCUUAUAUAUAGUCUAUACUCUAUAGAAUGAGAAAGAGAUUAAAUUGCUUUCCUGUUCCUCUGUCUCAUCUCUAUCAGGUCGUGAUGAACACCAGAUUAAACUGGACUGGCAAACAAGAAAGAAAAUAUUGUUGGGUAUUGCAAAGGGAUUAACUUAUCUUCAUGAAGAGUCAAGGCUGAAGAUUGUACACAGAGACAUAAAGGCAACUAAUGUGCUGCUUGAUAAGGAUCUAAAUGCCAAGAUAUCUGACUUUGGUUUAGCUAAACUUGACGAAGAAGAAAACACUCAUAUUAGCACGCGGAUUGCUGGGACAAUGUGAGUUCUUUCUCCCCCUUGUUCCUUCAAUUUAAUUUCCUUGGUUGUGGUAAAGGGAUAAAUAAAUUUUUAUUUUUUUUGGUAAUGAUACUUUGAACAAUAUGGAUAUCAAAAGGAAAUAUUGUGAAACGCAGACAUAUUAUUUGAUGGCAUCUCAUAACAGCAGCACAAAUGAUUAUCGCCUUGUAUAUGAUUGAUUAUACAAGGAAAAGAACAUAUACAUUUAUUCCACAAGCUCAUGGCCAAUACUUACUCUUCUGGUUCUUUCUAAUUUCUCUUCAGAGGUUAUAUGGCUCCAGAAUAUGCUAUGAGGGGUUACUUGACAGAUAAAGCAGAUGUUUACAGCUUUGGGGUUGUUGUUUUAGAAAUUGUCAGUGGGAAGAGCAACACGAAUUACAGGCCGAAGGAGGAGUUUGUUUAUCUUCUUGAUUGGGUAACUUAUAUCAUUUCCUUUCAGAAUUCUGUCUACACAAUUUACAUUUACACUGACCACCAAUGAGCAUGAUUGUAGACUGAUGGAAAAUGCAUGUUACUGAUAAUUGUAGGCCUAUGUCCUGCAAGAACAAGGAAACCUUCUAGAGCUUGUGGAUCCAAGCCUUGGUUCAAACUACUCAAAAAUAGAGGCAUUGAGGAUGCUUAACUUGGCUCUCUUGUGCACCAACCCAUCUCCCACUUUGAGGCCAUCAAUGUCUUCUGCAGUGAAGAUGCUUGAGGGACAAAUUCCAGUCCAAGCUCCGAUAGUCAAGCGCAGUACCAUGAACCCGGAUGCAAGGUUCAAAGCCUUUGAGCUUCUCUCACAUGAUAGCCAAACACACGUCUCAAAUGGAUCUGAAAGCAGUCAGAUACAGAAGAGCAUAUCAAUGGAUGGACCGUGGAUCGAUUCUGAAUUUUCUAUCGAAAGUAAGGAUGAGAUCAUAGAUUCCUCAUCGACCAAGCUUCUUAAGGAUCUUUACGACGUCAACUUAGAUUGAUCAACGGAAAUUGAUGAAAUAGUCCCUCCUUUUCUUUUGGUCUGGUAGUAUUCUGAGUUUGCAAAUAGGAUUGCUGAGUAAUCAAGAAAUACAUUUAAAUGAUUUGUUCUGGUAUAUGUUGAUUCUUUUGUUAAGAAAUAAAAAACAUUGGAGAGCUUGGUCUUUCGAAUUGGCAUUGUCAGCAGUGUAUGUCACCAUUUUUCCAAAUCUGCAGAUUCUUUUUGUAUAGAAGCACUUUUUCAUGAUCCUAAAGAGCAUUUGAACAAAAACUUGUCUUCCAUUACAUAUUGAGAAGGUGGGGUAUUUCUAGAAGAAAGCACGGCAAUCGAUGGGAAAUAUAGCAAUUAGGUUUGGCCGUGAAUUCUUCUGGUCAAGCUAUGCCUUUCUUAUGCUUUUACGUUUGCUAGCAUCAGGAUUUGUAUUUGGGGGUAUAGUGAUGAGAAACCUGGUUGAGAAGCCUGUUCAGACAACAGAAACCCUGAAUUUCGAUUUCAUUAAGACUACUCCAGUAGCUUUCGCGCCCCUAAUGCCUUUCUCUGGCAUGGGUGAUCUUUCUAGCCUGGUUGCUAAAGACAACGUAGAAGCUGGGAGGCAAGUCGGGGCCUCAUGAUCACAAGCUGCAGCUCACAGUUUCCUUAGUGAUACUCGAGUCUGUAAAAUCAGAAACUUGGCGUAUUUGAGGUAUUACUUCUUUAUCCUUUUUUUCAGCAUUUUGGAAAUUAUAAAUCUUGAAUAUUGCAAUACAUUCAUUGUCUUUCUUAUCAUUGAAUGUUAAACCAAAUAAAAGCUUCUUGAAAUCAAAAGACAUUGUCUAUAUCAUUGGAAACUUUAACAAGCCAUCGUUAUGUUUCUACAGAUUCUGGGUUCCUAGGUAGUUUAUUUUUCCAGAACCCAAUUGCAGUGGUAUUUUACACUUUGUUCUCUUUCAUUUCUUCGGGUGAGGGUUGAGCUCCUGUCAGAAAGGGGUAAAGUCACUUCAAGUUCAAGUCAGCCAUGCAUAAUGCGGUUCAAAAGCCAGCCCAUCCGUGUUGCUGCCGAAAGACAUAGUAUGAGUGGAGUCAGGAUGCUAUUCAGUCAACACCAUAAGGUUCAUAUGGGAGGCCUUUGUGUUAGUCUUGUGGAUCUAGGCAUUUUAGCGUGGUUUGUUAUAGGCAGACGUAAGUCUAUUUAGUUGCGGACAGACGGAUCAUUUAUUGAGGGAUUUUUCAAACAGACAUUUGUCCACACCUGAUGCAUUUGAAGCGGUUGCAUGUCCUGCUUAGUUAGUCUGUUUGAAAUUGUGGUUACAGUUGUAAUUCAAAGUGUUUUAUAUUUAUAAAUAUAUUAAAAUGAUAUUUUUUUUAAAAAAAAUUAUUUUUAAGAUCAGCACAUCAAAACAAUUCGAAAAAUAAAAAAAUUAAUUUUUAGCAAAAAAAUAUUGAAUUUUUGGGAAACGCGGGUUGCACCGCAUUUCCAAACGAUUCUUAAGUUAGCUAGUCAUUUUGUGCAUAGUUUUUAAACCCGGCUCGGUCCAAGGCCCGGGUUCUGGGUUUUGACCGGGUCACCAGGUCGUCCGGGUCAAUUCUUUUUAAAAAAAAAAAAAUCAAAACGACAUCGUUUUAGUAAAAAAACAAAAGUCAACGGGUCGCAACCAGGUCUUGCCGGGUCAACCAGGUCGCUGGGUCAACCCGUUGGGUCACCCUGGGCUUUUCCUUUCCCUAUUUUUUCUUAAACUCGACCCGAUUCCAGCCCCGGGUCGGCCGGGUCCAGGGUCGACCCGCCAGGCCGGGUUUCAAAACUAUGAUAAUGUGUUUCAGGGUGGUCGUGACCAAUGGGACCAUGGAGCAGGUGGUAGAGGUUUUGUGCCAGCGAGUCAAAGACAGGCGCGAGUUUUUGCCCUUACUCAGCAAGAUGCCCACGCAUCCAACAUUGUUGUCUCAGGUACACUCUUUAUAUGUUCUUUUAAAGCUAAAGUUUUGUUUCACACAAGAGCAACUCAUUUUUUCAUUUCAUCAUAUUUUACUUUGAAAUUUAGUAAACAACCUAAUUUGUUAGAGAGACCUUUGUGUGUGGCUACCUCUUCGAAUGAGGUUUUGUUUGAGGAAUAUGUUUAUAUUGAUUAUAAUUGAUUAUAAGGUUAAGGUUCAAGGUAGAAAGCUUUUAGGUGAUUUUAGAAAUAAUAGGUUUUAAUGUGAUACUAGAUAUGGAUUGGUUGUCAAGGUUCCUUGCCAUAAUUGAUUUCUGGAAUAAAACAAUGGUUUUCAAGCCUGAUGAGGAGAUAGAGUUUGCUUUUCAUGGAGAUGGGUUAUCAUCUUCGUCGCGUAUCCUCUCAGCCAUCACAAGAAAGAUGGUACAAAAGGGUAUACAAGGUUUUUGGCUUAUGUGAAGGAUAUGAACAUGGAGGUUCUGAAGAUGGAACAAGUAUCGAUAGUUAAGGAAUUCAUCGAUGUUUUACCUAAUGACUUACCUAGACUACUUCCCAAUAGGGAUAUAAAAUUAUGUAUUGAUCUAGUUUCUAGUACAAAAUUAAUUUUGAUGGCAUCGUAUAGGAUAACGUUAGUGGAAUUAAAAGAGUUGAAGGAGUAGAUUUAAGAUUUGUUGGAUAAAGGGUUUAUCUGUCCAAGCAUGUUUCCAUGGGGAGCACCUGUUUUAUUUAUAAGAAAGAAGGAUGAUUUGAUGAGGAUGUGUAUAAACUAUAGGCAGUUGGAGAAGGUCACCAUUAAGAAUAGAUACCCACCCCCUCGCAUUGAUGAACUUUUUUUUUAGUUACAAAGAGCUCAAUGUUUCUAAAAGAUUGAUUUACAAUUGAGGUAUCACCAAUUGAUGAUUAGGAAGGAGGAUAUUCAUAAAACUGCCUUUAGAACUCAUUAUAAGCACUACGAGUUCUUAGUGUUGUUUUUUGAGUAACGAAUACACCAAUGACCUUUAUAGACAUGAUGAACAAGGUUUUUAGGUUGUUUAUUGAUAAGUUUGUUAUAGUGUUAAUUAAUGAUAUCUUGGUGUAUUCAAGGAGUGAAGAGAAACAUGAAAGGAAUUUGAGAUUGGUGCCUCAAACUAUGAGAGAUCAUCAGUUUUAUAGGAAAGUUCUUGAAAAGUGAGUUUUGGUUAGAGAGUGUUGGAUUUUAGGACAUGUGGUGUUCAAGAAUGGGAUAGAGGUUGAUCCAAAGAAGGUAGAGACAGUUAAGCAGUGGCCUAGACCGACUAUGGUAUCUAAGAGUAAGAGAAGGAUUGCUUUGAUAAUUAUAUGAAUAUCUAUUAUGUCUUAAUAUAGGACUUGUUAGUAACUUCAUGCUAACAAAGAGUAGUUAUUCUAUAUGCACAUAUAUAGUAUUUUGUAUACCUAGCUGGUGAGAGAGACAUUAGCUUGUGGCAACUUAUCCUCCCAUUGUGGUCACCUUCAGAUGUCAUCUGAUCUCAGACAUGUAUUCCACUAUUUUAUGAUAAUAUGCUUAGUAUAUAUAUGUAUAUCAAGAUAAAUCAACUUGCAAACUAUUAAUAUCUAAAAUGUAUAUUAAAUGUUAUUCCCCUACUUAAUUUGUUGAACUCACCUCUUAUUUUUUAUAUUAUUUCAAGUUCUUAGUUUAUGUUAGCAUGUGGACUUUGUUCAGUGUUCCUACUUCUUCAAUUUUGGUCAGUAUGCUUUGCAUGUUUCGCAAGACUUUCCUUUUAGUUUUGAUUUAAUAUAUUAAACACUCCAUUAUUAUUCUGUGUUAAUUAAGUUUGGAUUUUGACAAUGUAAUGAGUAUUAUGAAUUCUUAUUUUUAUUUCAAUUAUCGAUGAGAAGUUUUGAAAUAUUGUGUAUUUUUAAAUAACUUGUUCUUUUGAUAUGUCCAUUCUGAGGUUUAGUAUAAGUGGGGUGUCCCGCUGGCACCUCUCCUACAUUUACCGGUAAUGAACCCGAGAUUCAGGUCGUAAUAGUAUUCUUUUUAAUACACUAUCAAACUUAAAGGGAAUUAGCUUAAUUUAUCCUUGUGUUUUAGAUCUAGUUAGUUUAUAUAAAUCUAAUUGAUUUCAAUAUUAUAUCCUCGUAUUUUACACCAUUCUUCAAUAUAUUCUUCUAGUUAAUAUUUAUAUGAAAAUUGAUAUCACUACCCUUACUCUUACUUGAGAAUUACACUUCCAUCUAAUUUAUUAAGACAUAAUUUUGAAAAAGCAAAAACUAUAUUUUCAUAUUGGUUAAAAAAUUUUCCUUUUUCGUGGCUAUUUUUUUAGUAAAUUAGAUUAGGUUUGAGUUUUUCAUGUAAGAUCAUUUUCUUCUAUAUGGAUGAAAACAUCUAAAAUAAAAUUUGAUUAGAAAAUAAUUUAGACUUGUAAGGGUAGAUUUCAACUAGAAUAAAAUAUAAGAAUAAGAGCUGAUUUUCCCUAAUUUAAUGAGCAUAGAAACCAACCUAAUUUUAAUGAUUUGCAAAUAAAUCAUGUUUUCAAUUUAUUGAUUUAUAUAUAAAGUGUUUACCUUUUUUGGAAAAUCUCUAUAUAAAAGUAUUGUUUUUCUACAAAGACAAAUGUGGGGGGUUGUUAUGAUGGCGUUUUAGGGUUCAAAAUAAGAAUUUAUUUUCCUGCAUCUUCCUUACAAUAUAUAGUAUUAACAUUCCAGCUUCUCUCAACUUAGUCUUUUUUAUUAUUAUUAAUACGAUUAAUUAUUUUGGUUUUUUAUAGAAAAAAAUCACUCUGUUGGGUCUGUAUAAAAUAUUUUAUAGAAAAAUAUUUUUAAAAAAUUCUAUAUUUAUUUCCAAAGAAUAUUUUUGUGUGUUAAUAUCUCAUAAAUUAUUUUACACAAAAAAUCAUUAAUGAAAAACAUCUUAUAAUCAACAUUUAAUCUUGGUUCAUUUGCUAAAAAAUAUUUUCAACUCAUAAAGUUUCAUGUAAUAUUUUACAAAUAAUAAUCCAUUUAUAAUAUAAUCUAACUAUUUCAACCAUCAUCAUCAUCAUCUUGAAACACCCCAUACUUUCAUAUGCAUUUAUAAUUAUUUUCUUAUAAUUUGGUACGUAAAAAUACGAGUGAUUUUUUUUUUUUACAGUUCUCAUAUAAAAGUCUACCGAAAUUUCCACCGAAAUUUUGGCAGAGUCUCCCCUACACCGGGAGGUCCCAAGUUAUUGACAUAUACCAUAUUUACACUUCUAAUAUCUCAUAACUCAAUCACGACUCAAUCGUCCUGGAUCUCAAUCCCACAAACAUCAUCAUCAUCACAACCAUAAUAUUUAUAACAUACAUAUUGAACAAUAAAUAUAAUUAUAGAGGAAUAAAUGAGAUAAACACGUAUACANNNNNNNNNNNNNNNNNNNNNNNNNNNNNNNNNNNNNNNNNNNNNNNNNNNNNNNNNNNNNNNNNNNNNNNNNNNNNNNNNNNNNNNNNNNNNNNNNNNNCAAAAAGCUAGGAUGUACUCCUGUCGUGCAUGCGACGGUCCUGAAAAAAAAAUACAUAUUAUUGAAACAUGAAUAUCACAGUAAGUAUAGUAACACAAAUAUCCAAUAAUUUAAAAAGACAAACAUGUAUUCAUAUUCUAUUCACUUCUCUAUUUUUGUUACCAUUGAAACUCUUUCUCAUUCAACUACUAAAACCAUUUCAUCUUUCAUUUUCAACUUCCAUUCAAGAUUCCAUAAGAUUAACCACAACUAUUUCUGCCUAACUCAUUAUCAAUACCAAUUUCACCGGUAUCAUCAUCACCUCGUAUGCGUCGAUGCUUAGUGAUCCCUUUACCCGGGACCCUAACAUACACUAAAUGUAUGUUAGUCGAUGCAUGGUGAUCCCCUUAUCCAGGAUCCUAACAUACACUAAAUGUAUGCUAGUCCAUGCCCCAUAGGCAUCGAAGAAUGGUGUUCCCCUUACCCGGGAUCCUAACAUACACUAAAUGUAUGCUAGUUCAUGCUAACUUCACCCAUUAAUAUUGUCAUUCUUUGUCUUACCAUAUAGUUAUUAUUACAAAUUUUCAUUUCGAACAUGGAUUGUUUCUUUUCGAAGCUAAGAUAUAAUAUCACAUGUUCCCCAAAGGGAAAGGACCUAUAUUUUCACCCUUUAAUGCGUCUAUGACAAAUAACUUCUUCUCGGAGUUUCUAAUCCAGAUCUCCACCGUUAAUAAUGAAGAGCUCGUCAGUAUAACUCACAUAUCCAAAAUUGAGCAGGAUCCAACGGUGGACGAAUGCAAAAAUGGCUAGCAACCAUGACUGACCUGCAGGUAGAUUUUUCUUGAAAUGUUGCGAGGGCUAUAUCUCUCACACCAAACCAGAACAUUCUGAUCCCAACGGUAAGAUAUUAGAGGGUAGUGAGAACCAUAAUAUAUCCAAACACCAGACAAAUCCAACGGUGUAAUACAGAGAUAUGACUGUUUGAAUGUCUGCUCUCAAGGUACUCUCUCUUUCCCUUUCUCUUUUUUUUUUCCUUUCAUUCGGCCCUCGUAGUUAAUUUCUGCACAAUUUUGCUAUUUAUAUAGCAAAUAUAUCUAUAUUUAUUAAAACACCCUUAUAUCAAGUUUAGGUAUAUUUUCAUUCAACCAAAUGCCUUUUCUCGAUCCGCUUUUAUUUUAUUUUAACCAGCUCAUUCCAUUCUCGGUUCUAAAUUAUCAAUAAUUUUAUUAAUAUCAUAAAAUUUGAUUGGGAGUUUACAAUUUACCACCAUUUUUAUUUUACUUCUCAUUAUUCAAUUCAUCAUGGUGAAAUCUUUUGUUAGGGUUUUACAUAAUUUCCACUGAAUCAUCUCCAUAUCUAAAUUAUAAAUUUUUGGGGUUUCACAUUAGGGGUCAUUUUAUCAUUUGUACAUAAACUCCUAACCUUCUGUUAUUUGAACAUUGACCCCUCUUGGUCUUACGUAUUUAUUUUGUCUCAAUAAUUUUUUCUUUCUAACAAUUUAGCACUAUAUUCACUUUUCAUUUACUUAAUUUCACCAUUUUUAUCUUGAAUUAGGUUUUUUUAAUUUAAUUUAACCCAUUUUACUAUCGGUUAAAUUUCUCUUAUUUUAAUAGCCUAGAAAAAUUAUAACGGGGGUUUACAAUCUUCUCCUCUACUACUAUUUUUUUCAUCAUCACCAAUCAUAACAACCACCUUAUCUUCAUGUUCCCCAUAGUCAAACCACCACUACCCUCACAGUUGUUUAUUUCAAUUAUUAAUUAUUAAUUAUUAAUUAUCUUAUCAUCAUUGUAUUUUAAUUAUUUUAGAUUGAUUUCUCUUUCAUAAGUGAUUCGGUACUUACAAUCAAACAAUUAAUGAUAAAUAGUUGAGUCAAUUUAGGUCAUGAAUUAAUGAUAAGAAAAAAAAAACCAAAUUUGAUAAUGGAUAUAACACCAAUCAUCAUGUAUGUGUGUUUGUGUGUAAAAAUGUAUAUAAAUUAUUGAGAAAUUAUAUGUAUGUGCUAAUAUGUUGGUCACCUUCAACAAUAUUUUUGGUGUAAAUUAAAAGUCAUAGCUAGUAGCACAUUGGAUGGGAGACAUUAUGAAUGGAGUUCCUAAAAAUUGCAACGAGUUUGAAAAUCGUUGUUACAGUUUCAAUUCUUAAAUAAAAUAAAAUAAUGACAAUGUAAAAACCUGGGUGAACCUUUUGAAGGUUAAAAUCUUUAAAUAUUGUUGAAGCACAGUGUUCUGAAGACCCAGAAUCUUGAAGGCAGUCUUCCACGAGAUUUAGGCAGGUUCCCUUACCUCCAAGAAAUGUAAGCAUUGACUUUUAAGUUCUUUACCAAAUUUAGCCCAAAAUCAUUGUUAAACAUAUGAUAUGAUAGCCCAAAUUUAGCCCAAACUCCAACCUUUACAGUAACUUGUCACGUAACUACCUCAACGGUACCAUCCCUACAGGAUGGGGAGCCACGCCACUGGUUACCAUGUACGAUACUUUUUCACUCAGGAGCUUUAGGAAAUUUGAAAAAUUGUGACAUUUCUUAUUGUAGUGGAUCUAAACUGAUAAAAUUUCCCGCUUUACCUUUUAAUCAAAGUAUUUUUGUUUCUUCUUCACCAUUUGACUUGAUUCAUUCUAAUGUAUGGGGACCUUCUCCUGUUGCCACAAAAGGAGGGUCUCGAUAUUAUAUCUCUUUUAUUGAUGAUCAUACUUGUUAUUGUUGGGUUUAUUUAAUGAAAACAUCAUUCUGAAUUCUUUGAGAUAUAUGCAGCUUUUCGAGCUCUUAUCAAAACUCAACAUUCUGCUGUGAUCAAAUGUUUUAGGUGUGAUUUUGGUGGGGAAUACACCUCUAAUAAAUUUUUUCAAUUGUUUGCCUUAGAUGGAACUAUCCACCAAACUUCAUGUACAAAUACUCUUGAGCAAAAUGGUGUUGCUGAAAGAAAGCAUAGGCACAUGUCGAAACUGCUCGUUCUCUCUUGUUAUCUGCUUUUGUUUUUAGCAAGUUUUGGGGAGAAGUUGUUCUUACUGCUGUAAGUUUAAUUAAUACAAUUUCAUCUUCUCAUAGUUUGGGUCUAUCUCCUUUUGAAAAGUUAUAUGGGUAUGCCCUUGAUUAUUCUUCAUUUAGAGUUUUUGGUUGUACUUGUUUCAUUCUUCGUCCUUAUGUAGAACGCAGUAAACUAUCCUUUCGAUCCACUAUUUGUGUCCUUCUAGGUUAUGGUGAAGGUAAAAAAGGGUAUCGUUGUUUUGAUCCAAUAAUUCAGAAACUUUAUGUGUCUCGUCAUGUUGUCUUUCUUGAGCAUAUAUCUUUCUUUUCUAUUCCAUCCACUACUCAUAGCCUGACUAAACCAGAUCUUAUUCAUAUAGACCCCUUUUCUGAGGAUUCUGAUAAUGAUACCUCUCCCCAUGUUCGACCAAUUUGUACUCAUAACUUUGCAGGUACUGAUACUUUACUCUCUGGCACACUUGAAGCUCCAUUCUCAUCUACAGCCCCUCAAGCUUCAUCUGAGAUUGUGGAUCCACCUCUACGUUAGUCCAUUCGCAUUCAUACGUCAACAAAACUACCAAAAUUUGCUUAUUCUUGUUAUUCUUCAUCAUUUACUUCCUUUUUAGCUUCUAUUCAUUGUCUCUUUGAGCCCUCUUCCUAUAAAGAGGCAAUUCUUGAUCUGUUUUGGCAACAACCUAUAGAUGAGGAACUUUCUGCUUUGUAUAAGACAGAUACUUAGGAUCUGGUUUCUCUACCUCCUAGUAAGAGUGUUGUUGUUUAUCAUUGGGUGUCUAAGAUCAAGACUAAUUUUGAUGGGUUUAUUGAGUGAUAUAAAGCUAGGCUGGUUGCAAAAGGAUACUCUCAACAAUAUGGUAUGGACUAUGAGGAGACAUUUGCCCCUGUUGCAAAAAUGACUACUAUUUGUACUCUUAUUUUCGUAGCUUCGAUUCGUUAGUGACAUAUUUCUCAGCUUGAUGUUAAAAAUGCCUUCUUAAAUAAAGAUCUAUCCUCUAACUACUUUACUGGACAGUUGCCAGCAACAUUUGAAAAGCUUACCACACUGAAGGAUUUAUAAGUUUUUGAAGUAUUAUUAUAAUUAUGACACAAAUUAAAUGUUCAGUUUUGAAUCAACCGGCAUGAUUUUAUUAUUUUUUGCAGCCGAAUUGGUGAUAACAGCUUCACAGGUCAGAUACCGAAUCUUAUUCAGAAAUGGACAAACCUGGAGAAACUGUAAGAUUUUAUGUGGUUCGUAAUUGUAUGGAUUAUUUUACAGUUUAUGUGGCCUAUCAGAUUAUUUAUUCGAACCAAUAUUUGACUGCAUGAUAGAGUGAUACAAGGCAGUGGUCUAAACGGGCCAAUUCCAUCAGGCAUUGCUCUUCUGGAAAAGAUGGCUGAUAUGUGAGUCAACCUCUGUUGUUUGAUAACUUUCAUAAGAACAAUAAUAAAAGAAAUUUAAUCCUUAACCGUGCAUAUAUGCAGGAGAAUCAGUGAUCUGCAUGGAAAUGGAGCUGAAGCCCCAUUCCCACCAUUAACUAAUAUGAAAAACCUAAAGACACUGUGAGCUAGAUGUUUUCUUAUCAAUCAUCAUGUGAUGAUUGUUUUGCGUUGUUGUUUCUUCUUUAUAUGAUUCUUAAAAUUAAUGUUUAUGUUGCAGGAUACUGAGGAGUUGCAAUAUUAUUGGACCACUGCCUGACUUUGUUGGAGAAUUACCCAAAUUGACAACCUUGUCAGUUCCUUCUAUCAGCUUCUUUAUAUAUCGUUUUGGACUUUGUUAGCAUUUACCCUGUCUUAUAUUUGCCUACUUGGCGGUGAUACACCUGAUGUUCUCUUAGUUAUUUGACCAUUUUUCUUCAUUCUAUAGUAAUAUGUUGAGCUCUCUUUAUGGUUUCUUUACAGAAACCUCAGCUUUAACAAACUCAUUGGAGAAAUUCCAAGCAGCUUUAAUGGUCUAAGAAAAGCUGAUUACAUGUAAGCAAAUGGCUUUAUAUUUGUUCCUUCUUACAUUCAGCUUGAAGAUCCCGAGCAGUUCUUAUAUUUCAAACCAAGUCUUGCAAUUGUUCUAUUAGCUAUAGGAACAAUUGUUCUAUACGGUUUUGUUAGCUUUGCUUGAAAUCCACUUUUAUUGAUGCACUACUUCUUUCUAGAUAUUUAACGGGGAAUCAGCUAAAUGGAACCGUACCGAACUGGAUAACUAUGGAUGGAGAAUCUGUGUAAGGUUUCUUUUCCUGUCUAGAUUUAUUUCUGAUACGUCUAAAAGUUAUUUAUUUAGUUUUACAAAUAUGCUACAGAAUUUACCUAUUGUUCUCUUGAUAGAGCAGUCAUUUGAGGAACACAAUUCCAUACCAUCCUUAGAUAGUGUUCAAAAGAUAAUAAACUUGGUUUGGGGUUUCGAUUGCAGCUCACGGAUGAUCUAUUGCAUUUGGAAAACCAAGUCAUCUAGCGACUUUUUCUAGAUUUGAUGCCUAAAACUAAAAUUUCCAUGCAUUAAGGGAUGAUGAGAAUAGCAGAAGGGUUCAUAACCACUAAGACUAAUUAGGCACACUUACCAAAUAUACGAUCAACAAAUUGUUUGAUUGAUUUACAAUUUGAACUGAACAUCUACCUUUCUUCUAGCAGUGAUCUUUCCUACAACAAUUUCAGAAAUGAGAGCUUAUGUCUACAGCGCAAAGUGUAAGAAAGUGAAGUUUUAUCCUCUCCACUUCUUUUCUAUCCAUCAAUCCCUCAUUCCUAUACAUUCACUUGCAAUUUGUGUAAGAGCUAAUUUUUUUCACUUCCUGAUUUCCUACAGAAAGUUAUUUGGCAGCGCUUCAAUGGGCAACGUCUCGUAACUGUUUAGACUACGGAAAACUCAAUCUUAUCUAUUUCUAGAGAGAUAUUUGAUGAUUUGGUCUAGGCCUUUCCUAUUCCAAAUUUUAAUCAGAUAUGUUGCAAUUUUUUUUAUAUAUAUCUCAGCAGAUGUAUUGUUCCAUGCUUAAGAAGCUUUCAUUGUCCCAAACGUAAGUUAGGCUUAUGAUGGCGUUACAGAAAAUUAUUUGCUCCUUUUGCGUACCAAAUAUCUAUAAAUCAGUAGUUUCGUUCUGGAAGUUAAAGAUCAAGUGUACCAUGAUGUAAUGGUUCUUGUCAUUUUGAAGGAAUAGAAUUGCAUAAGAAUACGAUCAAUUGUAAAAGAAACAUUCAAAUAGUAGCUUAACAAAAUUAAGCUUCUACAAGGUAACAAAAAUAUUUUCAAAAUACGAUCAAUUGUAAAAGAAGCAUUUGUUGGAAAAGAAUGAUAGGGUGUGAUAGUUAAUUUAUAAGAACAAAGCUAAAGAACAAGAAGAAGAAUGAGAGGAAUGAUGAUUUUAUUAAGAGUUUUCUCAAAAGUUACAACUUUAUAGCUCUUCUCUAUAUCUCUCUCAACUUGUUUUUAAUGCUUAAGAUUACAAGCCUAUUUAUAGGCCUCAAGUCCUAGAUAAUCAAGGAAUUAAACUAUUCAAAGGAAAUCCUAAUCUAACAAAGAUUCUAAUAAACUAAUUUAAACAAGGAUUAUAAUAAACUAGUCUAUUGCAAAUCCUUCUUUAUCGAGGAUUCCUACAUUAACUAGGAUUCUUCUUUUAGCUAAUAUUAAAAACUCUUAUUAACUCUAAAUUCUAUUAGUCUAAAUCCUAGUUGAUAUUGAAUUUCAACACUCCCCCUCAAUAUCAACUGUUAACAUUCUUUUAUCUUUUCUUUCUCUUCAUGAUGUCCUGCCUCAAUAGUAUUGAUGUUGUUCGUAUUCAUCAUUAUUAAAAGGAUUAGUUACCUCAUAUAAGUCAUCAAGGCUCCUCAUCUUUCUUGGUGGAGUGCCACUACUUGAGCUUUCACUAGAAGAAGAAGAAGUUGAGCUUGUUGGUGUUUGUGGAGGUGUGACUAUAGGUUUUUGAUGAUCUUCAUAUUUUUCCUCCUCUUCAUCAAGAAUUGGUAAGAGGUCAUAUUUCUCACCAUCAUUUAAGCAUUUAGGCAUAUCCAUUUCUAUGUUUAGCAAGACCAUUUUAUCAUUUGUCAUGGCUACCUUUGCAAUCAUAUCUCCUUUAGUGUCAAGUAAUGUCAAAGUACGAUCUUUCAUCGUAAUCUCAUACCCCUUCUCCAACAAUUAUCCUAAGCUCAUUAUGUUGCUUUUCACCUUUGGUAUAUAAUAGGCAUCACCAAUAAAUUGAUGACUUCCAUCUUCCAAUUUAAUCAAGAUUGUACAUUUUCCUUUGAUGGCAACCUUUGAAUGAUCUACAAAAGUGACAUUACCUCUAAUUGCUUCAUCAAACUCCAUGAACUUGUCUUUGUCUCCACACAUGUGGUUACUAGCUCAAUUGUCUAGGUACCACAUGUUCUCGUUUUCUUGCAUUUUCUCAUUAUGCACUAAUAGUAGAGUGGCUUCAUUCUCUUUUUCUAUUAUAAGAUUUGCGUUCUCCUCAACCCUCUUGGUUGGACUCCAACAAUCCUUAGCAUAAUGACCUGUCUUUUGACAAUUAUAGCAUUUAACUUUUGAUUUGUCAAACCUGCUAUCAAAUCUAGAUCUUGAAUUGCUAUUGCCAGUUGAAAUGAUCGACCGGUUCUCUUCAUUCUAUCGACUGUUUGAUUUGUUGAGGUUGUCUCGACCUCCUCUUCUAAAUCUUCCUCUUUCUCCUCCUCCUUGGGAAUAUCUAGAACCAUCUUGCUUUGAAAAAAGUGUUUGUGCACCAACAUCCUUUUGAAUCUCAUUGACUCUUUCCUCAUGAGCUUAUAAUUUCCCCAUAAAACCUUGUAGUGAAAGAAAAUCCAUAUUUUAUGACUCCUCUAUCGCGACUACCACAUAAUGAAACUUCUUUUGUAGCGAGCGUAAGAUCUUCUGUACCACACGUGUCUCUUCCAUCUUCCCCCUGUAUCUCUUCAUUUGAUUAUAUAUGGCCAAUAUUCUUGCAAAGUAUUCUGAAAUAUUCUUUGAUUCAAGCAUAUGUAACUUUUCAAAGUCAUCACGUAGUUUUUGUAAAAGUACAUUUCUCACAUUGUCAGCUUCUUGGUUUGAUUCUUGCAAAACUUUCCAUGCUUGCUUGGCAGUGGUUGCGUUAUCCACUAUCUCAAAAGUGGCAUUAUCCAGACAUUGAUGGAUAAUUGUUAGUGCUAGUUGAUCCUUCCUUCGUGCCUUUUGCACAGCCUCUCUUUAGGCUGAAGUCAACAUUGCUUCAUCUAUAGGCUUUUCAAAGCCUUUUUCAACUGUUUCCCACACAUCUUGGGAAUCUAACUAAGCUUUUACUUGAAUACACCAAGUUUGAUAGUUAUUAUUUAUCAAUCUAGGAUAUUGAAGUGGAAAAGUUGAAUCGACCAUGUUAAAUAAUCAAACCUAAGCUCUGAUACCACUUGUUGGAAAAGAAUUAUAGGGUGUGAUAGUUAAUUUAUAAGAACAAGAAGAAGAAUGAGAGGAAUGAUGUUUUAUUAAGAGUUUUCUUAAAAGAUACAACUUUAUAGCUCUUCUCUGUAUCUCUCUCAACUUUUUUUUAAUGCUUAAGAUUACAAGCUUAUUUAUAGGCCUCAAGUCCUAGAUAAUCAAAAAAUUAAACUAUUCAAAUGAAAUCUUAAUCCUAAUCUAAUAAGGAUUCUAAUAAACUAAUUUAAACAAGGAUUAUAAUAAACUAGUCUUCAUUGAGGAUUCCUACAUUAACUAGGAUUCUUUUUUUUUUUUGAUCAAAUGUUAGAAGUAUAUAGAUCAAAAAUUUCAGACUAGCUGGAAAAAGAACCAGCUAGCCAGAGAAACAACUGUACAGAACAGGCUUGUGGGAACAGGCUCCCAGCAAGCACAACCAGAAAAACUGAUCUAACCAGGCCUUCAAUUAUAACCAAAGGAAACACACCUUCAAUUAUAACCAAAGGAGACAGAAAACUAUUACAAGUGAAUUACAUAAAACAAACAGCACCGAGAGCAACAAAAGGAAGGCAGACUAGUGCCAAAACCCCAGCGGCGAGCCAGCCGAGCCGAAAUCAACCAAUCAUGCAGAGACACUUCCAGCUAGGAGGACAGCAACUCUACAGAAGAGACAAAGAGCCCGAUUGUGGAAGAAGACACCAAGCUCAAAAAGCCAGAAUCCAAGCCAAACCAUGGAGAACGAGCGUACCGACAGCCCUUCAAACUAAAAGCAGCUUCAGCCUAACACAUCCAAAAACCUGCAGCACCAUGUGUCCCCCAGCCAAAGAGACACCGACACGCCAACAGCUCAGGAGCCUGUCCAUGUAGGAGCGAGGAUGACAUUGGCCAAUAACAUAUGCCCAGGAGACAGCCAAAACCAAAUUGAAUACCCAAAAACAGAGUUGAUCAAUGCGGGGACGAGAAAUCAUGCAAAAUUCAUGCACAUCCAAGCAAGCAUCCAGUCAAGGCAGAACAACACAACACAAAGGAGACAGCCACAAUCAAUGUCAACUGUUCAUGUAGGCAGACAUUGCUCAACCAGGCAAAGGAAAAAACCAGCCAUACAUACCGAGCCACAAGACAAGCUUCUGACAACCCACAGCGUCAACAAUGGCGGCUAGCCAGCCAAGCCAAGACAGAGAGAACAGCCAAAGAAGGGCAGCUCUUCCAGCCAAGUAAGACAGAGGAGCCAGCCAAGAUUCAACAGCGUAUCAAUGCAAAACAAAGGAUCCAUGCAGACACAGCUCAGCCAUGAAGAGAUAACGCCAGCCAAUCAUGCAAUGACACCGAACUUCCCCCAUGCAGAGAGGAGGACAACCCCAGUAGCUUGAAUCCAGAAUGCAUGAGCCAUGCAGGCACAUAUUGACGAAUCUCAAGGAUAAACCAUGAGCACCAAACACAGGGAGAAUGCAAAAACCAAAGGGGUGGGCCCGACAAGAAGCUUCUUCACGUAAAUUUUCAUGCAUGGCAACAGUACUCCAUGCACGCCCAAACAAUAAACUUCAGCCUAAUGCAAGCCAAGCAAACAAAAGAGGUGGAACAGGCCAAGGAGGAGUGAACAGACAAGCAAAGAAGCUUCAGCACGCCAAUGAGGAACCAGUCAAGAGCAUCAGCCAGCGUGGAUUCCUUAAUGAAGAGAAGUGGACCCAGACCGCAUUGAACAAUCCCAAGCUGUCAGCCCACUUGCAGUAAAGAGUGAUCCCUCUCAUGAAAGUGGAAGAUGACAUAGAACAGGACUUGGAAUCUUCGGAAUACUAUAUUGACAUCUCUUGAAUUCCCAUCAAAUACUCUUCGGUUACGCUCCUCCCAAAUUAAGUAAACCACUAAGCCAAGAGAAACCCUGUUCAUGCGAGCUUGCAUACUCCUCUUGUGAGGGUAUAACCAACGAAGAGCACUAGACAAGGAGUGCAUAGUCCUGCUUAACCGCAACCAGGCUGUGACCAGCGACCACAGACGAUUUGGCCAUCCACAAAGAAAGAAUAAGUGACUGUGAGAUUCUUCCUCCUGUCGACAGAAUACACAGGUGGGGUCAAUGGGGAUGAAUCGUAAGCGAUCCCGAGUGCGGAGUUUUCCCAAAGUAGCCAACCAUAGAAUGAAACUGUAUUUUGGUAAGGACCAUUGCUCUCAAACAACUCGAUGCCAUGAAAUAGGUGCACCCACAGGUCUAAGGAAUUGGUAUGCAUGGGCAAGAAAAGGGCCUGCAUUUGUAUCCCAAGUGGUCAUCAACUGAAUGGUUUCCCUUGUACCGCCACAACGAAGGGAAAGAAGGUCCCUGACCGAAAGAAUGGACUUCCACAGAGGGGAAGAGUGUUGAUGGGGUUGAAUCGUCCAGACAUCUUCAUGGUUUAAAUAAUAGUGAUGGACCCAACGGAUCCACACCGAAUCCGUUUUGAGAUGAAGAUUCCAAAGCUGCUUGGUAAGGAAACUUCUGUUACGAGCUUUAAAGUCAAAGAGACCCAGACCUCCUUCAACUUUAGGCAGGCAGAGAAACUUCCAUGCAACCAGGGCUGAGCCAUUUCUCCCAAUGUUCCCCGUCCAUAAAAAAUUCCUGCAGAUACUGGUGAGGCGAUGAAGAACCACCUCAAAUAGCACUGAUCGAACAAGUUCAAGACGACCUGCAUAUGAGAGAUGUUUGCCAAUCCAGCCUUGAACUGUUAAUUCCAAGGCAUUCAGAAGAGGAGUAAACUGACUAGCCAAUAGCCGGUGAGGACUCAAGGGAACCCCUAAGUAAGUGAAAGGGAAAAUCCCUUCCUUGAAUCCUGAUUCAGUGAGGAUGGUAUGUUUGUGAGCAUCCCUGACUCCACCAAAGAAGAUAGAAGAUUUCUAUGGAUUGAUUACCAGCCCUGAAGUUUGUCCAAAGAGGUGAAGCUGCUGAAGAAGCCAUCUAACCGAAGUUGCAUCACCCCGUGAGAGAAGGAGGAUGUCAUCAGCAAAAGCAAGGUGAGUAAGCCGAUGAGACUGGCAUUUGGGAUGAAACCGAAAUCCAGGCUGUUGAGAGGCUAGUGUUAGCAUUCUGGAAAAGUAUUCCAUACAACAGAUGAAAAGAUAAGGGGAUAAAGGAUCUCCCUGUCUAACACCACUUUUACCCAUAAAGAAUCCAUGAAGAUCACCAUUCACAGCAACAGAAUAAGAGACUGUGGAGACACAUUGCAUGAGAAGAGAAACAAACCGGCCUGGAAACCCAAGCUGCAGGAGGAGCUGCUCUAGAAAAACCCAUUGAACAGAAUCAAAUGCUUUCCUGAAGUCCACUUUCAACAGGCAGCGCGAGGAGGAACGUUUUCUGCCAUAUUGUCUGAGAAGCUCCUGUACAAGAUUAAUGUUAUCACUCAUAAACCGUCCACCCAGGAAGGCAUUUUGUAAAGGGCUGAUAAUGGUUGGGAGUGUACAAGCCAGACGACCAGCCAAAAGUUUUGCAAUGACCUUAUAAAUGACAUUGCAGCAAGAGAUGGGCCUGAAAUCAGAUGGAGAUGUAACAUUAGCCGAUUUAGGGACCAAAGUGAUAAUGGAGUGAUUAGCCUGCCGAAGAAGUCGACCAGAAGUGAAGAAAUCUUGGACAGCAGCACAAAAGUCAUCCGCAACAAUGUGCCAAGCACGCUUAAAAAAAGAAGAAGAAUAGCCAUCUGGUCCAGGAGCUUUGUCAUCCCCUAUGCUGAAGACCACCUUGCGGAUAUCAUCUGGGGUGACCGGAGAAAGCAAGAAAGCAUGAGAGCUUGAGGGGAGACAAGGACCACUGUUAAUAACCUCACUAUCAAGAGGAAUGGUGGGGGUGGACGUUCCAAGCUGUUGCUGAAAGUAAUUGACAAAGACCCUGCCAACUUCCUCCAAGGAGAAGCUUGGACAACCUUGGUCAUUCAUAAUUGCUGGAAUGAAGUUCUUUCUGUGAGUAUGAUUCAGCAAGGCAUGAAAGAACUUGGUGCCUCUAUCACUUUCUUGAAGGAAUUUGCAUUUGAUCUUUUGGCUGAAAAAUUGUUUCUCUGCAAACUUCAGUUGAGAAAACUUAGAUCGGAGAAGCUUUUCCUGGUCCAGUAAGUUGUGAUUGUCUCUAUCCUGGUGGAGAGAUAAUUGAUGAGCUGCCAACUCAUUCUCAAGGCGAGAAACACGUUCUGAAAUGUGGCUGAAGUGGGCCCGAUUGAGCUCUUUUAGAGGCUUCUUAAGAAACUUUAGGCGACGACACAAGAGGUACAUGGGGUGCCAUACAGAUCCGAAAACCAAUGAGAAGAGACAACAUCAAGGAAUUGAUCAUGGGAAGCCCACAUGUUGAAGAAUUUGAAGCUCCGUCUGCCUGAGACAUGAUGAUCCAGACUAACUUUAGCCGGAGAGUGAUCAGUAAAAGCUCCAGGAGGAGCAAAGUGAACCUGCGUCAAGCGCUGUAGGGAAGCCCAAUAUGGAUUUGUCAUAACCCUAUCAAGUUUGCUCCACACCAAGCCAUUGGUCCAGCUGUAGUGACAACCAGUAUAAUUCACAUCCUGGAGGCCAAGGUCUAAACAACAUUGACGAAAAUUAGAGGAUUCAUAAGAGGAGACUGGUUCACCAUUGUGUUUGUCUGCCGAAGAAAGAACUGAGUUAAAAUCUCCAAGAAUCAUCCAGGGGUUUGAUGAGUGCCAGCUUCGUAAAUCCGCCCAUAGAGGUCGCCGAGCAGAAAUAGAGUGAAAGCCAUAGACAAAGGUUAUGUGGAAGCGGUAUUGAGAGAUAAGACUAUGCACAGAGAGAUGUAAAGCUUGAGCAGUAGAAGAGAUCAUAUCAACAGAAACUGUGGAAGGAUUCCAGAAAACAACAAUACGAGCAAUAGAAGCCGUAUCUGCAUUGGAAAUAUAUUUCCAAUCCCGAAGUCUCAACCGGUGAAGGCUGGCAACUCGAGAUAUAGUCAACUUAGUUUCAAGCAGGCCGCAAAUAUCCAUACGAUAUUUCUUCAUGAGGCCAACCACCUCAUGUUGUUUCAGGGGAUUAUUAAGACCCCUGACAUUCCAGCUGUAUAUAAUCAUGGAGAUGCAGGAGAAGGGAUGACCCUUCUACUACCAGGGGUGGUCCUCUUGCUAUGACGCUGCAUAGUGGUGUUAACUGAAGUCCCCAAUAGAGGACGUGCAAAAGGGCUAGGGGCUAGAAUACCAUCACCCAACUGGGGAGGCCGUAAUCUGGGAGAAGCAACUACCAAACCAACCUCUGCACCUACAGGAGAAACCACUUCUACACAGGCAGGUGGAAGAUGUGCUGUGCUGGUAUUGGCAUUAGCAAUGCCAAAAGACGGUGGAGGAACAAUAAAAUCUGUACAGGCAGGAAGUAAAGCAGGAGAAGGAGUAUUACCAGAAACUGCUUCCACGGCCGUCCCCUUAAGAGGAGAUUUGACACGGUUGUGGGACUUUCGUCUAGACUCCACCAUUGUCCAGCCCUCCUCCGAGGCAACACAGGGUUCAACUGGUUGAGGAUCCACUGCAGGGGAGUUCGAUGUAGCCAAAAGAGGAGCCGGAGCUGACGACCGACUCUGUUCUGGUAAAUCUGUGGUUGAGUCCUGCACCUGGUGAAUGUGGGGGCCCAGCCUACUAAAGACUCCCACUUUGCUGGCAUGGGGAUCCGAAGCAACUCCACCCUCUUUACUACUGGAAGCAGCUUUGGAACAGAGGAGACGAGUAUGGCCUAUAGAAUUACAGAAAUUGCAGAAUUUUGGUAAUGAUUCAUAAACUACUUUUUGGUGAAGCACCGGACCUGAUGGUAGAGGCACAGUUACAGAUGCAGGAAGGUCUUCACGAAGAUCAAGCUCAAUAAGCACUCUUGCAUAUGACAGACGAGAGAGUAGAAGUCAUAUGGUCACAUUGAAUGGGCUUGCCUAUAACACUUGCAAUUUUGGAGAGACACACAGGGGACCAGCAGCAAAGGGGGAGGUUGGGGAAUCUCACCCAUACAGGCACCCUCGUCAUCUCCUCAUUGGAGAAGUCAAAGAACUUCGUCAUCGGCUUCAAAAUGAGUGGUUUGCCAUACACGAGAUACGGUCCUCCCCGAAGAACAGAAAUCUUGUCUUCCUCCCGAGUAAAUCUAUAUAUCAGCCAUCCAGAGGCAUGGAUAGUGAGAGAAGCUUCACAUUUCCAAACAGAGGAAAUGAUGCCAUUCAAGGCCCUAUACCCAGGGCUUUUUCCUGAGACAUAACCCACAGCUCAUAAAUUCCAGACCUCAAACUGAGGUUGAAAAUCUUCCGGAGAAAUGGCACACGAUUUGGUAAGGUGAUUAAGGGGAAAAUUUCGUAGUUUUGUGCAGAGAGAGGGUGGUCGAUCUGAAGAAAAAAGGUCACACCAGUUGCGACCACUAGAGGCUGAGGGAGGGGGGGAUGUGCUGUGUCUGCCAAAGGAACAUUCACCUCCGCAGGAGCAACAGGAGGGGACGAGGCACGCACUGGGGAAGCAACAGGUUCUGGAAAGGGGCAUGCAGGGGAAGCAACAGGGGAAGCCCCAGGAUCUAUAAGAGAAGCAGCAGGGACGGAAGGGGCCUCAAAUACUGAGGAGGUGAAGAAUUGAGACCCCCCAGCACAGUCAUCUCCAGAAGAGGCAUAAUCCACUUCCUCGUCAUCAAGAGCAUCAUCGUCAGAAUCCACAAACACAUGGUUGAUAUUGGGGGAUGGAGCAACAUGGAACUGAGGUUGUAAACCGUGAGAAGCGGAGGGGACAUGGGGAUUAGGCCUGGGAAUCUCUGAAAUGAGGCCAGUAGGCGGGGAAGGAUUUGAAUUUGAAAUGGGGGGAACAAUGGCAUGAACAGUACGAGACGGGGCCUCUAAAGCAAGAACAGUGUGUUCAUUCAAAUCAGCCAAAUAUUGCUGUUGAAGCUUAGAUUUAUGGGACCCAACCUUCUUCUUUUUGUUCGCCAUAGACAGAAAAUCAACAGAACAAAGGAAGGACAAGAGCAAACAACAGCAGUAGAUCAAACCCAAGGGAAAAGCGUCAUACAGAAGGAGAGCAUCUCUCUCUAAAUUCUCUCUCAAGAUUUGACUUCUACUAUUACUACAUUAACUAGGAUUCUUCUUUUAGCUUGUCGCACGUCCCCCCUGGCGACGAUCAUGGCAAUUUUUCGUUUUCUUUUGCUUGAUUUAGGUUUUUGAGUCAUUAUCUAAUAUUUAAUUGAAAGUUACUAGGAAACCCGGAUUUACUGGUCUUUAUCAGAGAUUCGAAGGUAAGGAACUGGUUGUGACUAGGAAAGGUAUUAGCACCUCUAACAUACCCUACCUGAGGUAAGCUGCUUCAUGACUUUGAUGUGAUUUUAAAAAUAUUAGUCAAAUUCUUAAAGCUUUAAUAAAUCAGUUAUUAAAUCCACAAAUAUAUAUAGAAACAUGUUCUUAUAUUUUCAUGGAAAAUAUAACAUAAUUUUAUUUAUUCCUUAGAUAUUUAUCCAUAUACCAAUUAAAACAUUUGAUUCUUUUUUCUUUUCCUUUCGAUUUUAUAAUUAGAAAAUAUACAUAAAAAAAAAUACAAUCACACGCAUCUCCUUUACUAUUUUCUCACCCAUAAUUACAUGUUUACAAUGUGAACAGGAAUCAAAAUUACCCAAACAAAACCUUAACAAUUCCAAAAUUACAGAAUACACUCCCCAAAAAUAACAGUAACUGCAGGGAAGCCGUCUGGAAUUUGCAGGAACACUGCGGCGCGUGGACCUCACGCACCACCGCCCCUGGCGGCGCGUGGAUCCACUUGUCAUCGCCGGCUAAGACCAACAAACUAGUAAAUCGGGGUCGUCUCUUCUUCUCCUCCCGCUUGUACCGGCGGUGGAUCUCCCAGCCACCUGCAAGGCAACCCAACAAACACAAGCAGUUUCCGGUUCUCUCCUUUUUUAGAUCUGCUUCUCCACCAUUUUUUAGAUCUGUUCCACCGCAGAUCUUUCUUGGGGUUACGUCUUCGUCUCCUUCACUUCAGGUGGCCGGCGUAGGACCAGAGGGCUGCCGGUCUGCGGGCGCUGCCGGGUUGUUGUUGCUUUUGUCGCGGUGGGACUGAGAGAAGACUGGGAAGAGGACAGCGGGGGCUGCCGCUGUGUUCGGCCUGAGGAAGAAAGGAGCCGCUGUGGGGCUGUUGGGUGGAGGAGCUGGGUCUGCUGGGGGAAGACGGCGCUGCUGCACGGGGAGGGGUCGUCGCUGCUGAAAGAAGAAGAAACCAAAGGGCAAGGGGGGAGCGGCCGGUCUCUGUUUUUGACAGAGGGCAAGGGGGCCACGGCCGGCCGCUGGUUCUGAGAGCCGAGAGAGGGAGACCGUGGAGGCCGGUGUGCAGGGGUGUUUGAUGUGGGUGUGGCCUUGGGUCUGGUCUGUGUUUUGGCCAAAGAGAGAGCAGAGACCGGGAGGUGGUCUCCGGUUUUUCUUUUCAAAGGGAGGGUUUCUCUGGUUUGCUUUUUCGAAGACCAGGGGGGAAGGGGGGUGGCCACUGGCUUGGAGAAGAAAAAUUCAAGAGCCAACGGGGCUCUCUGAUUUGUCUCCCGUCCAAAAGGAGGGGGGGCCUCUUUUUUUUUGUUUCCAAGGGUGGCGGCUGCAGAGAAGAUAGAUUUUUAGGGGUUCUUUGGGUUUUAGGGUUUUUCUUUUACUGUUCCCCCAAAAUUUUCUCGGCCCCAUGCCUGUAAAUUUUUCUCCGCCUCUUCUUUUCUUUCUGUAUUUAAACUUUCUUUGUAUUCCUCCUCUUUUUUUUUUUUUUUUUUUAAUUUUAAUUUUUUUUAUUUUGUUUGUAUUGUUUAAAACGUGCAAUAUUAACAUGGACUUAAAAAUUAGUGAUUGUAAAAUUAACACGUUAAAAAUUGAAUGCAUUUAAAAUACCUUUAAAAAUUUAAAUUCUUCUGAGAUGACGUUAAAAAUACUAAAAAUGAUGCAAAUAUAUUAAAAUGCAUUCUUUUGAGGUUUUUAUUGUUUUUUGCUAUUUUUUUAUUUUUUCUGAAAAUUUAUUAAAAACAUGGGUCAAAAAUUGGAUAGCAACAUAACUAAUAUUAAAAACUCUUAUUAACUCUACAUUCUACUGGUCUAAUAUCUAGUUGAUAUUGAAUUUCAACAGCAUGCACAUAGUAGCUUAACAAAAUUAAGGUUCUACAAGGUAAAAAGAAUAUUUUCAAAAUACAUACGUUGUUCUUUGCCAUGGUAGUUUGAUUUGUGCAUGUUCCUAUUCCAUGGUGAUUGAUAUGUUGUUGCUUUGGCAACAGAAUUCUAUUCCCUCCACAUAAAUUGUGGAGGAAAAGAAGCAACUAUUGAAGGGAAUAUAUACGAAGAUGAUACAGAUCCAGCCGGACCAUCAAGAUUCUACCAGAGUAAACUAACUGGGGAGUUAGUACCACUGGUCACUUCAUGGACGAUGACCGUUCCUCAUAUUCCUACACUUGGACGAAUGCAACCAAACUCUUCGAAAAUACUUCAGCACUUUACAUGGAUGCACGUCUUUCUUCAAUCUCUCUGACUUAUUAUGGUUUCUGUAUGGGAAGUGGGAGCUACACAGUUACCCUUCACUUCGCAGAGAUAAUGUUUACUGAUGACAAGACACAUAGCAGCCUUGGCAGGUGAUUUUUUGAUAUCUAUAUUAAGGUGACUGAACAAAGUUUUAUUCUGUCAUUCAGUAUUAAGGAUUUGAAUGUACAAAAUUUCAUUCUUCUUUCGGUUUUAUUAAUAGCAAUCUGACAACAAAAAUGUAGGAAAAGCUUGUAAAAAGGGAUUUCAGUAUCCAGAAAGAAGCAGGCGGUGUUGGUAAGGCAAUUAUAAAAAAUUUUACUGCCAUUGUAACUGGAAAUGCAUUGGAGAUACGCUUUUAUUGGGCUGGAAAAGGGACAACUGGGCUGCCUGUUAGAGGAGUCUAUGGACCUCUCAUAUCGGCUAUUUCUGUGACACCUUGUAAGUUGAGGAGAUUUUAUGAACUUAAUCAUCAGGAUUCUGUUCGUACAGUACAAAACCAUCAAUGCAGCUUGGUCUUGUCCAAUUUGUGUACCCUCUCCAUCCAAAUGACCAAUAAAUCUGGGGGUGAUCGUACAAAUUUGCCGUUCUUAUUUAUUAUUGAGAUUUGGGAGAUGCAUUUAGCAAUUUUCAUGAGACCAAAUGGAAAGCUUUCGUACUAUACCUUUGCUUACUGAUUUAAUACAAAAAUAAAUUGCUUUAUCUCUAAAAACUGAUAAUGUUUCCUUUUACCGCUAUUUGAAGGUAGUCUGGAUGGUACAAUUUCUGCACUUAUAUACGAAUAAUGUAUUGUCCAACCAAUUUGACUUACAAUGUGAUGUUAUUUGUCUUUCUGUUAUAAACUCUUUGCUUCCUGCAGAUUUUGUACCUCCUUCAGAAAAUAGCAGUAGUAAUGGUAUAUCCGCUGGCACUGUGAUUGGCAUUGUGGCUGCAGUAGUGGUUGUCGUCUUCCUGAUUCUAGGAAUUCUCUGGUGGAAAGGUUGUUUAGGACAGAAGAUCAGUAUGCGUCAUGGUAUUUUCUAAAGAUUUAUCUUUAUUUUCCUAUUUCUGCAUAUGAUUUCUCCAUAUCAACUUUGUAGAACCAUAUAUAUAUAUAAUCAAACCUGUUAAGCUGAAACUGGAAAAAGAAGGCUGCUAUGGCGAAACUGAUUGACAAUGAGAAGUCAAAAGAGAGAGGGAGAGAGAAGUGAAAUUAAUUCCAAGAAACGAAUUCUUUUCUGAAACAAAUUCGCUUCUCCAACAGAUUUGAAGGGCCUAGAAUUAAAAACAGGUUCUUUUACAUUGAGGCAAAUUAAAGCUGCUACAAACAACUUCGAUCCUGCUAAUAAAAUUGGAGAAGGUGGUUUUGGUCCUGUUUACAAGGUAUUCAACAUGAACUUUACUUGGUUUCUUAAUGCAUGGCCUUUGUAACAUUUUUAAGAUUCUUAGCUUGAUGCAAUACUAGUCUUGCGAAAGUUUUUACAUUAUUUCCUUGAUGCAGGGUGUUCUAUCAGAUGGAAACGUAAUUGCUGUAAAGCAGCUUUCCUCCAAAUCAAAACAAGGAAACCGUGAGUUUGUGAAUGAGAUUGGCAUGAUUUCUGCUCUGCAACACCCUCAUCUUGUAAAGCUAACGGAUGAUGCAUUGAAGGCAAUCAAUUAUUGUUGGUGUACGAGUACAUGGAAAAUAACAGCCUUGCUCGUGCUUUGUUUGGUAAAUUCAAAGAAUAUAAUUUAAUUGAUUUCAAGCUCUUGGCUCUUAGAUGUUUCCAUACAUGUAAAGGUACGCAUGCUUGUAUGGGAAGAGACAAAAUACUCACCUUAUACUUAGCAUCACUGUUGAUCUUGUCUCAAAGGUCCUGAAGAAUACAGUUGAAUUUGGAUUGGGCAACAAGGCACAAGAUUUGUGUUGGUAUAGCAAAAGGUUUAGCUUAUCUUCAUGAAGAAUCAAGAUUGAAGAUCGUGCAUAGAGACAUCAAGGCCACCAAUGUGUUGCUUUGUUAGUUGAUUGUUUUUAGGACUGCAACGUGUCUAAGUAUCAGAAAGUAUCAGAAAUUGUUUUAUGCUUCCAUUCUGUUUUUUAGUUUGUCCUAGUUUUUAGGAAGUGGUUAGUUUGUUGAAACAUGUUGCUGUUCAUGGCACAUGUUGCUGUUCAUGGCUUAAUUCUCGGUUUCAGUUAUUUUUUCUGUUUCUAUAUAAUGUAAGCUUGUUGCAUAAUAAAAUUGUAUUCCCAGUUUGCAUUCCCUUACCUACUUUUCUAUCUUGCUUCUACAUAUCCAUAAACUUCUACCUCUGUUAUACUCCUUUUCUUUUUUUAAAACUUACAAAUUGGUAUCAGAGCUUUUUUCUUAAGGGAUUUGUGUGUGAGCUUGACAUAUCAUGGAAGUUGAAACAAGUUUCUCCUCAAUUGCUCUGCUGGUGUUCAAUGGAGACAACUACCAGAUUUGGGCAGUACGCAAGGAGACAUAUUUGGAAGCUUUGGAUCUUUGGGAAGCAGUGGAAGAAGACUAUGAUGUUCCUGUACUUCUAAAAAAUCCCACCAUGACACAGAUCAAAACUCACAAGGAGAUGAAGACGAAGAAGUCGAAAGCCAAAGCAUGCUUGUUUGUUGCGGUGUCAACAACAAUCUUCACAAGAAUAAUGUCCCAUAAGACAGCCAAGUCUAUAUGGGAUUACCUUAAGGAAGAAUAUGCAGUAGACGAAAGGAUAAGAGGAAUGCAGGUUUUAAAUUUGAUACGGGAUUUCGAGUUGCAAAAGAUGAAGGAAUCUGAAACAAUUAAAGAGUAUUCAGAUAGACUUCUUGGAAUUGCAAAUGAAAUCAGGCUACUCGGGUCUGAAUUCAGUGAUUCAAGGAUUGUGGAAAAAAUCCUUGUCACAGUACCUAAAAGGUAUGAAGCGACAGUUACCACCUUGGAAAAUACCAAGGAUCUGUUAAAAAUUUCCUUGGCAGAAUUACUUAAUUCCCUACAGGCGCAAGAGCAGAGACGACAUAUGAGGCAAGAGGUCAACACUGAAGGAGCCUUAUUUGUAAAACAUCAUGGAGCUUUCAAAAACAAAAGGAAAGAGAAGAAAGGCCAAGAGGGAAAUUCUUUUGCUCCUGUUUUGAAUAACAACAGAAGUAAAAAAAAAAGCUUCAAGGGUAAAUAUCCUCCUUGUCAUCACUGUAAAAAGGAAGGUCACCCUCCAUUCAAAUGUUGGAGGAGACCUGAUGCAAAAUGUUCAAAAUGCAAUCAAACGGGACAUGAAGCAGUAAUUUGCAAGGGAAAAGCUCAGCAGCAUGAAGUUGACGCCCAAGUUGCAGAACAAGAGGAUGAAGAUCAGCUUUUUGUAGCAUCCUGCUUUGUAAGUAGUAGUUUGACUACAAGUUGGUUAAUUGACAGUGGUUGUACCAACCACAUGACCAAUGACAAGAAGCUCUUCAGAAAUAUGAGGCCAACUGACAUUACUAAAGUCAAAAUUGGCAAUGGUGAUUACAUAUCUGUCAAAGGAAGAGGGACAAUCACCAUAACCAGCACUGCAAGCACAAAAACAAUUUCUGAUGUUCUCUACAUACCAGAAAUUAAUCAAAAUUUGUUGAGUGUAUGCCAAUUGAUUGAAAAAGGCUUUAAAGUGAUCUUUGAAGAUAGUUUCUGUCACAUACUGGAUGUCAACAGUGAGGAAAUUCUCAAAGUGAGAAUGAAAGGAAAAAGUUUUUCUUUUGAUCCUAUUAAAGAGGAACUUGCUGCAUUCUCCACGAAAGCUUGCAACACUGAGAUAUGGCACAAGCGACUCGGUCAUUGUCACUUACGAAGGAUGCAACUUAUGCAGGAAAGGGAACUCACAGUUGGCUUACCAACCUUUGAAGAUCACUUACCGAAUUGUCAUGCUUGUCAAUACGGUAAACAAAAUAGGAGACCAUUCCCAAAGUCAUCUUGGAGAGCCACUCACAAGUUGCAGCUAAUCCACACAGAUGUAUCGGGUCCUCAAAGAACUGAAUCAUUAGCAGGUAGUCGAUAUUACAUUGCUUUUAUUGAUGAUUUUUCAAGAAUGUGCUGGAUUUUUUUCUUAAAAUUCAAGUCAGAAGUAGCUGGAGUUUUCUAGAAGUUCAAGAAAAUGGUAGAAAAUCAAAGUGGCUGCAAAAUUCAAGUUGUAAGGUCAGAUAAUGGAAAGGAGUACACUUCAGCAGAAUUUAAUAUGUUUUGUGAAAAAGCUGGCAUUGAACACCAGCUUACUGCUCCUUACACUCCUCAGCAAAACGGAGUAAGUGAAAGGAGAAACAUGUACAUAAUGGAGAUGGCCAGAUGCAUGCUACAUGACAAGGAGUUGCCCAAAAAAUUUUGGGCUGAAGCGGCUAGUACUGCUGUUUUCUUGCAGAACAGAUUACCCACCAAGGCAUUGAAGGAUAAAACUCCAUUUGAGGCAUGGUAUGACUAUAAACCUUCACUCAAUUUUCUUAGAGUGUUUGGUAGCUUGUGUUUCUCUCACAUUCCACAGGCCAAGCGGGAUAAACUUGAUAAAAAGUCAGAACCAGGCAUCUUUGUUGGGUACAGCUCAUCCUCAAAGGCAUAUAAGGUUUAUCAACCUCAAACAGGGAAGAUAAUUGUCAGUAGAGAUGUGUUCUUCAAUGAAGAAGAGAAAUGGAAUUGGGAACAAACAAAAGAGACAACCACGAGUAUGCAAAAAUCAAAUCUUUCCUCCCAAACAAGAGAAGAGCAAGCAUCAGAACAGUGGCAAGAAGAAUUGGAGGAUGAUUUACCAACUCGUGGAACAAGACAACUUCAUGAUAUUUAUCAGAGAUGCAAUGUGGCCAUUUGUGAACCUGCUGGUUAUGAAGAAGCCAUCAAAGACCAAAAAUGGCAGAAGGCAAUGGAGGAGGAGUUGUCAAUGAUAAAAAAGAACAAAACUUGGGAGCUAGUUGACAGGCCAAAGGAUAGAAAAAUUAUUGGAGUAAAAUGGGUGUUUAGAACCAAGCUCAAUGCAGAUGGCUCCAUCAACAAACACAAAGCCAAGCUUGUUGUCAAGGGAUAUGCUCAAGUUUUUGGAGUUGAUUACUCGGAUACAUUUGCCCCUGUUGCUAGAUUAGAUACUAUUCGGCUUGUGCUAGCUAUAACAGCUCAAAAUGGGUGGAAGGUGUUUCAACUAGAUGUAAAAUCUGCGUUUUUGAAUGGUAUUUUACAGGAGGAAAUCUAUGUUGAACAGCCCGAGGGAUUCAUGAAACAAGGUGCAGAGGAGAAGGUCUACUUGCUCAAGAAGGCUCUAUAUGGCUUGAAACAAGCACCUAGAGCAUGGUAUAGCAAGAUAGAUGAGCAUCUGUCAAGCCUAGGAUUUCAGAAAAGCAUGUCAGAGGCUACUCUGUAUGUGAAAUGUAAAGGAGACGAUCUACUCAUAGUCUCUAUUUACGUUGAUGAUCUCUUAAUCACAGGUGGCAAUGCCAAGCUUGUUGAAGAGUUCAAAAGGGAAAUGAUGAAAAUUUUUGAAAUGACAGACCUUGGACUCAUGGCAUACUUUCUGGGAAUGGAGAUUAAACAGCUAGAAAAUGAAGUUUUCAUCUGUCAAAAGAAAUAUGCCAAGGAAAUUCUCAAGAAGUUUCAUAUGGAGGACUGUAAGGCAAUGGCUACUCCAAUGAAUCCAAAGGAGAGCUUAAGUAAGGAGGACGACACAGACAAAGUUGAAGAAGGCUAUUUCAGAAGCAUGAUUGGUUGCCUAAUGUACCUAACGGCAACCAUGCCAGAUAUUCUUUUUGCUGUAAGCAUUCUCUCACGUUAUAUGCAUUGUGCUAGUGUAAUGCAUCUUAAAGCUGCAAAAAGAGUCAUUAGAUACAUCAAAGGAACUAUUGACUUUGGUGUAAAAUUCAAGAACUGUCAAAACUUCAAGUUGCUGGGAUUUUCUAACAAUGAUUGGGGUGGAUCCGUGGAUGACAUGAAGAGUACAUCUGGGUACUGUUUUAGCCUGGGAUCAGGAGUUUUCUCAUGGAAUUCCAAGAAGCAAGAGACUGUAGCAUAAUCUACUGCAGAGGCCAAAUUUAUUGUUGCUACAGCAGCAGUGAAUCAAGCACUGUGGCUGAGGAAGUUGUUUUGUGAUUUACAUUUGAAGCAACAAAAUGAUACGAAGGUAUUUGUGGACAAUCAGGCAGCAAUUGCAAUCUCCCACAAUCCAGUUUUUCAUGGAAAAACCAAGCAUUUCAAAAUCAAAAUUUUCUUUUUAAGAGAAGUGCAGAAGGAAGGAGAAGUGAGCCUCAUUUAUUGCAGAUCUGAAGAUCAACUCGCAGACAUUUUUACAAAACCUUUGCCAGCAAACAAGUUUGAACUUCUUAGGCAAAGACUCAGAGUUUGCAGCUCUUAAAACAUGGAGGAGUGUUAGUUGAUUGUUUUUAGGACUGCAACGUGUCUAAGUAUCAGAAAGUAUCAGAAAUUGUUUUAUGCUUCCAUUCUGUUUUUUAGUUUGUCCUAGUCUUUAGGAAGUGGUUAGUUUGUUGAAACAUGUUGCUAUUCAUGGCACAUGUUGUUGUUCAUGGCUUAAUUCUCGGUUUCAGUUAUUUUUUCUGUUUCUAUAUAAUGUAAGCUUGUUGCAUAAUAAAAUUGUAUUCCCAGUUUGCAUUCCCUUACCUACUCUUCUAUCUUUCUUCUACAUAUCCAUAAACUUCUACCUCUGUUAUACUCAUUUUCUUUCUUUAAAAUUUACAUGCUUGAUAAGAAUCUAGACCCAAAGAUAUCUGACUUUGGGCUAGCCAAACUUGAUGAAGAGGAAAACACCCACAUAAGCACCCGAGUUGCCGGAACCCUGUGAGCCUGCUCUACUGUUGUAUCUUGUUAAUACUUUCUAGUUCUUAUAUUUUAAGUUGAAUACAAUGAAAGAAAGAAAAAAAAGAGAGUCCAUCCUACAGCUUCACACAGAUUUGGUCAGCAACCAAAACUUAUCCCACGUCCAAUAAUAUAAAAAAAUCUAAAAAUGAGCCAUCCACCAUAAGAUUUAAGUCUUUUGAAUAGAACUUAGUCUAAGCUGUUUGAUAUAUUGGUUAUUUUUGCAGUGGGUAUAUGGCACCUGAAUAUGCAAUGCGGGGUUAUUUGACUGACAAAGCAGAUGUCUACAAUUUUGGAAUCGUUGCCUUGGAAAUUGUCAGUGGGAAGAGCAAUACUAGUCAUCGAACAAAGGAGGACACUGUUUAUCUUCUUGAUUAGGUAGAAAGAUUUAUUUAUUUUUAUUAUUAUCAUUGUACUUAAUUAUAUAUAUCCAUCUUGUCUUCUAGGCAUUGGUUUUGAAGGAGUAUGAACUGGGCUCAUAUCAAAGCCCUCACACACCUUCCAUCUAAGGUGUCUUCGCCUUUCAUAAGCGCUCUGAAAUGGGGCUCCUAUCACGGCCCUCACACCUUCUCUCUAAGGUGUCUUCGCCUUUCAUAGGCGGUCGCAUCCUUCUACAGCUGAGAUGCUUCAAAGUGGCUUCAAAAGUUCUCUACCACCAUGUGGACUUAGGAGAGAUUACUGCCACUGAUUACAUAGAAAGAGAAAGUUGUGGUACACUCCUCGCAAUCCUCCACCUCGAUUUCUAUGUUUGGAGCUUCUGUGCCUUUCUAUUUGAUAGCUUCACCUACACCAACUCUCUUUGGUGUCUUCGCCUUUCAUCAUAGGCGGUCGUCUUUUAUCACAGGCAUUUGCACCCCCUCAAUUAGGUGCCUCUGCAACAGCUCUCUUUCCAUCCUUGCAUGCAUUGGAAAUGUCUUCGCAUGUUGUCUUCAUCAAGAGCAUAAGAGACUUCUUGUUGUACAAACUUUAACAGUCUCUGCUCUGAGCUUCAUCUGGGAACACUUCUUCUCCUUGCAUAUGUUGUCUCAUUACAAUACCUUGUUGGAUCCUACGGGUACUCCUGCACAAUCUUCGUGUGCUCUCAUGCAAUUUCUGCUCUCCAGAUUUCUCCUUAUUCCUUGCUUAUGUUUGACAGCAGCUCAUCCUGUCAUAACACCUGUCCAAGUCAAAAUAGGAUGCCAAUCUUUAUCCCCUUGUUGUAUUUCUCUUCCAUUAUCAGGGUCUUCAUCAAUUCUCCCCUUGAGAAAUCACAGUCACCGAAUCUAACUUCUUUGGAGAAAUCACCACUCCAUCAGAUCCUUGAACAUACGAAACCCAAUUGUUCCCUUGUGCCGUCAUCCUGCUAGUCUUCAACCGUUUCAUGACAAACUACUAUAUUUACGAAAAUAGUACCGUAUGGAUAAUCCUUCCCUAAGCAAGUUCCCAGGAAAGAUUGGAGGGGUCACACUGGUCCCACUUAAAACCCAAUCUCCUAGACAGAACUUCUUAGGCCAUAUCUAUCCAUCGUACUGUCUUUCCGUAUAUAUAACCAUUUGCUAGCUUUGUUGCGGCUUUCCUUUACAAGUGAUCUGAAAUAUACUGGUUUAAUACAUGAUUUCUCAACAUCUGGCGAGACUACCAGUGCUUAGAUUCAUCAAGAUUGGUCUUCGUCAAUUUCCACUCUACACCUCUAAUUGUCCACAUGAUCGGGUGUUCAGAGUGUCCCAAUUUUGCCUUCCCUCAAGGCAACUAAAAUUUUUUUCCAUUUAGCAAUUUAGCACAUGUAAUUGGGUAAACAUGUGCACCUUCUUCUUCUUCAUCUCCUUCGACCACCAUGAUGCCCUUCAGAUGUCUUUUAAUCGGGCAAUCUGUCUUAAUAAUUCACCACCACCACUUUCGGUCACAAAUCUCAAUGAUCGGACUGUACCAUUGCAUCCGGAACGAUCAAAUUAGCUGGAAACAAGUUUGAAAUCGUCCAAAUCGCAUUUCAGAUGGCUAAUAUUUGAUCAAAACAAUUCUGGCCUGAUGAACGGCCUAGAUUCAAUCUCAGAUCCGGUUGCACGUAGACUCCGCUGCAUAGAAUCUUAUCCCUCAGCUAGCGGUUCGGCUCCAACUCGGCUCGGCUCCACUCGACUCGGCUCACGUGAUGACGUGUCAGAUGACUGGCCGCUGACAUGGCAUGCUGAUGUCACAAUUACAUCAGGCUAACGUCAUCCUGGGCAUGCCUACUGUGCAUGCUGACAUCACAAUUAUGUCAUGCUGACGUCAUCUUUAUCCGGGUCAGUCACAUGGGUCGGGUCAACUGGUAUUAGGGUCGGGUCAACCCAUCCGGGUGAAGAAGAUGCGUGACGCGUGGCGCGCGUGGCCAGCCACCUCGCCGGCGCGUGAUGGCGAGUGAGGAUGAUUCCGACGUCCGAUUUCGAUGCCGUUUUCACCAGUGGCUUCGUCUCUUCCACCUCCACACAGUGGUAUGGUCAAAACAUAAUUUUGACAACUUUCAUUUUUGAACAAAAAAUCAAACACCACUUUAAACCAAAUGCUCUGAUACCAAUUGUUGGGGAUUCUAGCUCCCCAUGCGCGGACCGGUGGUGUACUGAUAGUUGCUCAAAGGAGGCUAACCACACUGGGACACAAUAUUUUACGUGGUUCGGCAAAUCGCCUACAUCAACGGGAGAGAGUCCAUAUUAUUUAGAGAUAUAGAGAAAGGUUUACAACACACAUGGAGGAGGAGGAUCACUUCUCUCAAACUCUACUCCCAUUGCUCUCACACACACUGCUACACAAGGCAGCAGGGCUGUUGCCCUUGGCAGCCCCUCUUUCUCUCUUGGUCUCGCUACUGCACUCACAAUUUCUCUGCUCUCUCUCUCUCUCGGUGCCUAUUUAUAGGCAAGAAUGGUGCCACCAGCUCCAACUCUUCUUCAACAAAGGUGGCUGCCAACUCCAUCUCUUCUUCAACAAUGGUGGCUGCCAAAGUCAAUGGUUGGUGCCGUCCAUUUGCUGCACAUUAAUGGCAACAAACCCAACAAAAGGGACUUUGCUGGUGCUUGUUGAUCCAAAACUAGGCCAAGACUACAACAAAGAAGAGGUGAUAAUAAUGAUUAAUGUGGCUCUCCUCUGCAGUAAUGUCUCUGCAGCAGUUAGGCCUGCGAUGUCUUCAGUAGUAAGCAUGCUCGAAGGAAAGGCUGUUGUUCAAGAUAUUGACAUUCCAGAUAAAAGCAUGUCAACGGAUGAGAAGAAGAUUGAAGAAAUGAGGAGGCAUUUUCAAGUUAUCAACGAACAGGAAAUAAGUGAGACUCGUACUCUGUCAAUGGAUGGACCGUCGACUGCUGCUUCUACAUCUGCUGGUGAUCUUUAUCCAGUCUCUUUGGAUUCUGACUAUUGGAAGGGUAGAGAGUAGAGAAGUUUGCUCCAAUGUGCUUCAUCAACUGUCCAUCUAUCAUCUUAUAAAUAUGGAAGUACAAAAAGGUGUUUGAGCAGUUCUACAAACUUUGCUGUGAUACCAUGUUGCAUAUCAAUGGUGUCUACAAACUGAAGUUUUCUAUAUUAUAUUCUUUUUCAUCUGGGAGGAAAUAUAUAAACAUGAUUACAAUUUAAAUAGACAAUAAUUUCAUUACAGGAAACUAUAUAUGUAUUUCUAUAUUAGCAUACAAGAUUUGAUCUGAUUGCUAUACUUGAUCAAUUCCUAUUACAAAAUCCACUUUCAUAUUUAUAAUGGAUAACUCAUGCUAACAAUUACUUUUGUUUUUAAGCAUUUUUUUUUUUUGCCUUGUUAUCAUCAUUUCUGUUCAUACUUGUUAACUUAUUUGAGGGCUAAUUACGUUAUAACUUUUUCAAAACUUCCAAUCAAAUUUUUCCUUCCACUUUCUAUAGGUUACUCCAUAAUUUGAUGACAUUUUUUGGUACACCAACUUAGGUUUUGUAUCGAUAGAGUUCAUACAUUUGAUUUAAAAAAAAAACCAAAUUAGUGCACCAACAUUUUUUUAUUAUGUUAAUCUAGUACUUAUAUUAAUAUAUCAUUUUUUAAUGUGGUUCUAUCUUGAUAAAAGUACCCUUUUAAAUAAUUCUAUAUUUAAUGGAUUAAAAUAUUUUAAAUUAUAAUAAAUAUUUUUAAAAAGAAAUUGAUAUCAAAAAAUUAAAAUAUGUACUUGAUUGAGAAAAGGUACAAAGUCGAUGUCCUAAUAAUGCAUUUAUUCCAUUUUUCUUCUAAUUUUUCAUGUUAUUUUAUUAUUUUUAGAACUAUUUCUGACCUAUUUUGUAUGUUGUCUAGGAUCCCAUCUUUGUUUCUCGAGUUGGUUGUUGGUUUCUGACCUGUUUCUAAUGCAUUGUUCUUCUUCUCGAAGAUGUAGUUCGUUUUUUUACCAUUCAUAACAUCGAUUUUUUUAUAUUUUUGCCCUAUCUUGCUACAUGUUAAGGAUUUCAAGCAUUCUUCCCCUAUGUUUUCCCUUAUUUUCUCAUGUGCUGCCACUCUUCUUCCCUAGAAUUUUAAUCCUUCUUGCCAAACCAACUAGCUUUGAUGUAAUGGCUUUCGAUGUUGUAAUAUUUUCCCUUUCUUUUCUUGUCCUGAACAUAGUUUGUGACCUCUUGCAACUGCCCUACGAACUUAAUUUGAUGUUUUUAUCCUACUUUUUCCUUAUUUUCCCUUUUCUUUGUUUCCUUUUAAUUCAUUGAAUAUUUUCCAUUUCUGUGCUUAAUUCAGUUAUGCUUUGAGUUCCAUUUCGUUUCAAGUUGCACUACGCUAGUCCUGCCUUGCCUUUACUACUUAUGUGUGUGUGUGUGUGGCUACGUCAGUCUUGCCACACAAUGUGCAAACGUGAGUUAACUAGCUAAGAAAAAUAUGUGUGUGUGGCAACGUGAGUCUUGCCAAGAUGGCUCCGUACUUUGUAGGUGCACAACCUUUUUCAUAGUAUUGUCUUGUGACAUAGCAUAUUGUAUGUAUAUACUUUCCAACUGCGUAUUAAAUACACAACGUGCAACUGUUUGUUCUGGUUCCUGUUUUUAUCGAUGUUUAAUCUACUACCUUGAACUAGUUUCUUUAUUAUUUGGGUGUUGUUUUCUCUUUAAACAUGCCUUACCUUCUCCCUCAAGUUCUUUUUUUCCCCCUUUAUUUGCCUUUACCUUUCCACCACCUGAACUAGUCCAAAAAAAAAAAGAAAAAAAAAACAAUUAAAUUACUACGAGAUGAAGGAAGAUAAGUAUGCUUUGAACCCUGAGGGGUGUAGCUCAAUUGGUUAGGUCCUGAGUUUGUUUUCUAGAGAUCACCAGUUUGAGUCUUACAAAUCUCAGGGUCACUGAAAGCUUACAUGGUCGUUAACUUCAAGACACGUGAGAUUAGUCGAGUUGCGAACAAACUGGUCUGGACUUUAUCUAAUUUCUACACAUGUCAUCAACAUUUGAACUAUGGUUUAUUGUAUUUGUUUUGAAUAUAGAAACCUUCAUAAUCUAAACUCUACCUUUUAAACAGGGGUUUAAAUUAUCAUAUAUUUUUUUUAUAUUCUAACAAAGCUUUUGUUUCAUCCACUUGAAAAUUGAUUUUUUUUUCAUUACAAAAAAUACUAAAAGAGAUUAAUUUUUUCGUGUAACCCCUCUCAUAAUUCACUAUAACUGUCAUUGGAAGAGAGAAAUACAAAGAUGGGCUUUAAUUAGGGGUAUUUUUAGACUUUUCCACGAGAUAACUUGGUAUUGUAGAAUUGGUGAGGGGUAUGUAUGUCUUUUCUCUUCUUGAAAUACUCUUGGAAGCAGAAUUUCAGUUUGCUUUGGGAGAUGGGCUUUUUCGGUUUUUUCCUUUCUUUAGCAUAACGAGGUUACCAAAAUAUACUUGAAUUUUAAAACAAAUGUUUUUCCUUUAGGGGUAUUUGCAUCGUUUGCACUCUAGGUUUUUUUGUAAAUUCAUGUGGGGUCAGGGUGUUUUUGUAUUUAUUAAAAAAUAAAGUUGUUGACGCAUGCUGAGCACGCGCUAGCAUGUGGAGGUUAUAUGUGCCAUUUUGAUGGCGUAUGACACCUCCUCCGGUCUCUGAAAAUACCUAACCGUCGUCUCAGGCAAAGUGUCUCGAUGCGACGCUUCUUCCUAACCGGCGUGUGUUGCUAACAUUUUCAUCGUUAGGCGACGGCUGAAUUCUUUUUGUCUCCCUAUCUUUUCUCUCUCCUCCACCCACCCAAAGUUUAAAAAUAUCCUAACCUUUUGUAUUAUUUCAAUUGUGGUCCUUAUUGUUUUUAUUGUUUUGUAUUUGCUUUAAAUUCUUUUAUGAUUUAUUUUUUUUCAAUUUCAUUCUUUAUUAUUUUAUUUUAUUUUAUUUUAUUUUUAUGUCAGAUUCAGUCAUCCUGAAAAUAUACAAAUGCAUAAUUAACAAAAAAAAAUUAAAAACAAAAAAAAUUAAAAAUUUUGGGAACGCAAGCCCUUUAUCAUUUAUUGUUUAUCACAGUUUGACCAUUAACUGAUCAUUAGUUGAAUCAAUAAUUUAAAUCACCUAAUAAUUUGAUUUGGUUUCUGUCUUAAUCCGGUUUAAUAAUACGUACGUUUGCUUAUAUGUUAAGAAGUUAAAAAUUAAAUGUGAAAAAUUACUGUAGAAGCAAUUAUAUAUAUAUAUAUAUAUAUAUAUAUAUUUGUGUUAUAAAGAGGAGGGUAUUCAUAUUCCACAUAAAAAUUACUCAAUCAAUUAUGUGUUUGGUAAUUCUUUUCAAUAAAAAAAAUGGUGUUUAGAUAGUAUGAUAACAAAUAUGUUGAAAAUAUUUAAUAUUUAAUACCCAUGUGUAUUGGAAGGAAUCUGAUCAUAUUUGAAGCAACACUUAUUAGUUUUAUAUGAUAGUUUGAUGUUUUUAGAUUGUUUUAAUAUGUUAAUAUUAAAAAUGAAUUUUGUAAAAUAAAAAAAAUAUUAUUUUAAUAUAUUUACAAUAAAAAAAUAUUUUAGAAAGUUACCUGCAUUAUUAUUACUGUUGCAAACACUAUUUAAUAAAUUUCUAAGUUUCUACAUGGAAAGGGAGAGAGGAAGACGAAGAUCACCAUGAAAAUAUCGUACAAGUAUAAAAGGAUAAAAGGAAAAAUAUAAAAUUUCCUCUUCAUCAUCAAUUAAUAACCACUUUGGUAUUAUCAUCAAUCUCAAAACAUUCAAGAUAAAAUUGGUGCCAUAGAUAUUAAUGACACUCUACUUAAUUAAUAGUGCCAUUAAUUACAUGCUUAAAUACAUUAUUAUUAAGUGUUCUAAUAAUGUGCAAUGGCAUUAUCAUCCCCCAAUCUCACCUUUCGAAAAUUUUCAUGUUAAUUUAAAUCCUUAAUAAAACAGUUGAAUCUAAUUAAUUAAGUGUCCAUUUAAAUAGUAACCUUUUUAUUUAUUUUAAAAAUAAAUUCCCAAAAUAUUUUAUAUAAUUUUUAGAAAUAGUCUUUUUCGACCUAAGGAUAGGAAAACUAUCCAUAACCUUUUUAUUCAUUGGUGGAUAAAAUGAGUAAAAUAUAUGAAUUCUAUCAAAUUCUUUUUAUUUUGUUUUUCAAUUACCCUCUCACAUUUCAUCCAUUAUUCAUAAGAUCCUUUUAUCCACAUGGGAUAAAAUGAAAAUAAUCAUCUUAGGGGUAAUUGAUAAAAAAUAAACUUAGAGUAAAUAGAAUCCAUAUAUUUCAAAGAGAUAAUUAAAUUUAUCUUUAAUUUGAGGGUGGAAAUUUUUGAAAUCUAAUCUCUCUCAGCUUCUUCGAGAGUAUUUGAGAAUGUGAUAACAGUUGCUUUUCAAAGUACUUUUUAUUCCAAAACGCAUUAAAAUAUUUUUUUUUAUUUUCAAAAAAUUAUUUUUGAUAUCAGCACAUCAAAAUAAUCUGAAAACAUCAAAAACAUAUUAAUUUAAAGCAAAAAAUAAAAAAUAAAGUUUUUUUAAUUUUUUCAAAAGCACUUUCCGAUCGCAGUGUCAAACACUACCCUUCUUCUUCUUCUUUUUCCUCCUCCUCCUCCUCUACUUCUUUUUCCUCCUCCUCCUUGAAUUUAAAACAAUUUUUAAAGAUAACCUAGGAACCAUCCCAACCUUUUUUUCCUCGAUUUUGGUUAGGAGUUUGAGAACAUCUCAUUUCCUCAACCUAAGGGUGGUGAAGAGAUCUAUUCUAUAUAAUAUAAAAUAGAGAAUUAUAUGAUUUUAUUUUACUCUCUUGAAUUAUAUGAAAACCAUUAAAGCAUCACUGAUCAACGGUUAUAUUUUAGGUUGAUUUUAUUUUACUCUCUUGAAUUUUAUGAAUUUUCAAUUUCUUUAAAAUGUUGGGGGUAAUUGAUAAAAAAAACAAGUUUUGAAGUAAAAAUUGAUUGUUAUUAUAUGCUUCAAGGAGGUAAAAUACAAUUAACCUAAAAUAUAACCGUUGAUCAGUGAUGCUUUAAUGGUUGUCAUUGUUCACGUUGACUUUCUUUCUUUAUCAACUUAUGAUGAUAAAACCAAUCAUUGAUUUUCAUAUUUAUAUAAAAUCUCAUAAUUAAUAAUGUUCAAGCAAGUGUAUUUGUUUAUUUUUAUUUAUAUAUUCCAUGGAAAUAACCAUCGUUUUUUACAACAUCCUCGCGCGUGCGCGCGUGUAUAUAUAAUUAAUUAUAUUCCACAUAAAAAUUAGUCAAUCAAUUACGUGGCAGGUAAUUAUUUUUAAUUAAAAAAAUAAGGUGUUCAGAUAGAAUAUGAUGACAAAUAAGUAGAAAAUAUUGAAUCUUUAAUAGUCGUGUGGAUCGGAAGGGAUCCCAUCAUAUUUAUAUUCGAACUGAAGUUUAGAAUAAUAUUUGAAGCAAAUGAAUAUACGUCAGCGUUUCACAAUUCCAAGAACCUAACAGACUAAUGAAUCUACUAGCUCGUUAUCACUUGGAUCAAUAAUCUAGGUGUGUUACAAUGCAAUAGUUUUUGCUUCGAAAAGUAUUUUUAAAAUUGUUAAAAGUCUCAUAUUAAUAUUUUUUUAGAUAUUUUUUUAAUAAUUUUAAUAUGAUAAUGUUAAAAAUAAGAUAAAUUAAUCAUCAUUUUAAUACAUUUUUAAUUGAAAAGGACUCUUUCUCACAUUAUCAAACAUAUUCUUUUAUAGCACUUUGUUUUAUUUUCAUCCUUGAUUUUUUUUAUUUCUCUUUUAUAGGAUCAAAUUAAUGGCUAAUUUAAGUAAAUUUAUUAUGAAAAAGUAAUAUUGAAAGAAAGAGAACCAAAGUGGAAAGAGCAUAGAAAAUCGAUGGUAUUUUUUAAAAAUAGUGUAAAAAGUUCACUUUUGUCCUUCUACUUUCAAAUUGAUAUAUUUUUUAUAUAAAAAUUAAUUUAUCUUAUUUUUAAUCACUGGUUUGAGAAAUGAGAGGGAAAGAGAGGGAAACUCGACAUAUUUUGUUUGAACAGAGAGAGUCUUGAUUGAAAUCAAUUUUGACCACGAAAAAUAUCAAUAUUAGUGUCAAUGUCAAUGGCUUUCAUUUGAUGGGGAAGUUUUAUUGAGGUGUUUUUCCCUCAAUAUUGAUUGAAAAGGGAGAUCAAGCUUGAUAUAAACAAACUUCAUUUUCAUGAUGUGUUCAUAAAAAUAAAAAUUAUUUGUUCUUGGUAUAAAAAAGUAACCUUAUGGUGUAAAUUAAAGGGAAAAGUGGGGUUAAAUAUCAUACUUUCUAUCUUUUACUUUUAUGGUAAUGAUUAUCUUUUUUAUUUUAGCAUUUGAUUAGCAUUAGUAGUUCUUUCUCAAUUUAUUGGUUCAUCUAGCAUAAACAAUAUCUUUACAUUUCUUAAUUAAAAAAAUCAUAAUAUAGUGAAACGUACCAUGCAUCAACAUUAUGCAUUUUUCUACCAUGUUAAAAAAUUAACUUGAGAUUCUACAGGUGGCAUUGUGUUAACAACUCUUUUUGGUUUUUAUUAACGCAUAUGAUUCUUGUUUUAUUUUAUUAUAUGUAUAAAUCGACUUGUCAAAAGAAAAUUUUAUCCAGCCUGCAGCGAAACACAGAUCAAAUAACUAGUAUAUAUAAUAAAUGGGUGAUUCAUUAUUCAUCCAUGCAUAAACUACUGUGGAUUUUCCUAUUCAUUUGAAUAAUGCAUUUUUUUAUUUUAGUUCUCAAACUUCUAGUUAUUGAAAUUUAAUCCUUUAUAGUUACAAUAUCAUGGUUUCUUUUAUAUGUGGUUCUUUCCGUUUGUGUUACAUCUAAUGUAGUGUCUUUAGUGACUUUUGGGAGAUGUUUGAAGAUAGAUUCGGUUUUGAUUUUACAAAAUUAUAAUUUAAUUUUAAUGUUUUAGAGAUUUAUGUUUUGAUAUCAAACUUCAUAGUACUCUUUACUUUUUAGUUUCUAGAUGUUGAGAGAUGAAAAAGAAAGUCAUUGAAAAAAAUUAAGAAGAGAGAAAAUGGUUAGUUAUCAACAUUUGGCCACUAAAAAGGCAAAUAUUUAUAUUAAUGGAUUCGUCUUUUCAAGAAAAGUUCAAUGAAUAUGGGUUUUUUAUGAAGAUGUAUGAAAAAAGAAGGUCGAGGUUCUUUUUUUUUUUUGGAAAAAUUAACCUUAACAUCCUUAUAAUUUGGUCCAUAUUGCGAUUACACGCUACAGUUUAAAAAAUUACAUUCUAUAUCUUGAACUUUAUAUGCACGCUAACACUUAACUUUUUUGCAAAGAAGUUAAUAAAAAAUUAUAUGAUUAUUUACAAAAUUACCGUCAAAAUAAUAUUACAACUUUGGUAAAAAAUAGAAAAGAAUAAACCAAGGUAUUCCAUCAACCACUUUGUCGACUAUACAAAAUCAACCCCAAUUCCAUAAUUUUCAUCAACACAAGUACCAAAAUGAAAACUAAUAAAGGAACAAAAUGCAUUUAAGCAAUAUACGUUGGCCAAGGCUUCUCAAGCUUUCCCUUCCUAUUGGCUCCUCGUAUGAACCAUCCUCCCUUUCAAACACAACUUUCUCUUUAUUGACAGCAAGAAGUCAACAAUCCUGCGGUAGUUUUUGAUGAAAAGAGCCUGCAUCUGUGGUUGUCUCGAGUCGAAAAAUAUGCCAAUCAUAAAUGUAUUCAAAAUCCACUCUCUGACUAUUUCCACAAGUUCCCGUAGUUUCAAAUGCCAACAUUCUACAAGACAUUUCCAUGAAACUACUGCACUCUUUAUGCCCACAUUGAAGACAACCAGCACUCCACAGAGUAGCAUAGCCCUUGUAAGCUUUCUUGUACCUUCAUGGACAGGUGCGUAAGGAAAUGCGUUGUAGAUCGCGUUUCUCUAGAAUUUAAAAUUUUUAUUUUUAUUUAAAAUUAAUUUUUUUUUAUAUUUUUCGAUUGCUUUAAUUUGCUAAUAUUAAAAAUAAUUUUUAAAAAAUAAAAAAAAUAUUAUUUUAAUACAUUUCUAACGCGAAAAACAUUUUAAACUGCAAUUGCUACCUUCAGACAAACCCGAAUAUCACAAUGGAAGCAGAAUAUGGUUUAAGGGUGCUCCACGUAGCUUUGGAUUUCCCUCAUAAGCACUGCUACCCAUCAAUCUAAACACAUUGUUGGAUGGAAUGGAACCAGAGAUAUCAUUAAAAGACAUGUUUGGAAGCACUAAGCUUGAAGAAGCACUAAACUUUGCUGGUAUGGAACCACUAAAGUCACUAUGUGACAAGUCUUGGAAGGCUUGAGAUAUCAUUCGAUUGGUUCAUUGCAACAUCAAUCUUCACCAAAUUAAUUCAACGUUUCAUCAACUCUUUGAGUUAUCUCCCCAGACAAUUUGUUAUCGAAGAGAUACAAAACAGUUAAAUUCUUCAAAAAAAAAACAAUCCAUUAGGAAUUUUACCUUCCAAAUCGUUUCCAGCUAAAUCUAAGUGCUCAAGGCUCGAAAGAUUUCUCAAACUCUUUGGGAUUUCACCGAUCAGAUUCACGAGUUUCAUCCACAAAAGCCUCAACUUCUUCAAAUGACCAGACUCCACAGGAAUUGAAGAAAUAAUUGAACAAAUAUUUAAAAAAAUUAAGGUUCUCCGUAAGAAUCAAUUUGGGUUAAAUUACUGAGAGAAAAGAAAAAACAUGUUUAGAGAAAGAAAAGUCAUGUUUGAAAAUAGAGAUUUUGUGUGAUUGAUGUGAAAAUGUGAUUAGAGAGAGAAAAGUCAUGUUUGAAAAUACAGAUUUUGUUUUGUGUGAUUGAUGUGAAAACGUGUUUGAAGAGAGAAAAGUCAUGUUUGAAAAGAGAGAUUUUGUUUUGUGUGAUUAAUGUGAAAAUGUGUUUGAAGAGAGAAAAAUCAUGUUUGAAAAGAGAGAUUUUGUGUGAUUGAUGUCAAUCAUAUCUCUUUUAUAUAUAUAUAUAUAUAUAUAUAUAUAUAUAUAUAUAUAAUUUUAUCAUUUCAUCAUAUUUAAAAUUUUUUAUUAUCUCAUAUAUAAAUUAUAAUUUUUCAAAUCACAGUGGAUAAUCACAAUAUGAAUCAAUAAUAAGAUGUCAAAAGUUUUUUUUUUUCAUUAAUGAAUUUUUUAUUUUUAAGUGAUUUUUAGAUGUUUUAGGAUUGAUAAUUGAUUUAUUGAGGUUCCUAAAAUUAAUCGCGGGUGAUAAGUCACUUGCUCUAACAAGCUAUUAGUCACAUGAUUAUUUAAAAUAAAAAAAAAAUCCAAGCAUGCCUCAAAUUUUUAAUUAGAGGCAUGACGAGUGGGCUUGGCUUAUUUAGCCAAUCAAUGCUUGGUUUUUUUUUGUUUGUUUUUUUUUAUUAGUAUUAACAAUUUUAUUUAUUUAUUUGUUUAUGUUUAUUAAUUUAUUUAAUAAAGCAUAAAAAAAUAUCCUUUUGUUUUUCAAUUAAAAAAUAUGAUACAUAAAAACAUAUUUAUAAUGUAGUUAUGUCCUUUUCUUUCAUUAACAUGAAAUCCCACUAGCAACGUGGCACAAAUACAAAUACAAAGCUAGUCAAUAUAUAUUCAUUCUUAUAAUAUCUAGGUCUUGAAAGUGUUUUUCUAGAAAGUAUUUUUUGACUUUUUUAUAUUUGACUACAUAUAAAUUGGUCAACAAGAUUCAUUUUCUAGUUAAAGAAAAAUAUAAGUUUUAGAUGAAGGAAAGUGUUUCCCAACUUGAAAAAGUGGAAAACACUUUCCAUGAAUGAUCCAAAAAUUAAAGUGAUAUAAUAUUUCAUUAUAUAUAUAUAAUACUUUAAAAUAUAAUAUUAUUAAAAAAAAUACUAAAUUACUAAUAUAUUUAUAUAGGAAAUAAUAUAUUAGGAUAUAUUAAUAUACAAUAUAAAAGUAUAUUAAUUUGAUAUAUUAAUGCAUAUAAUACUUUAAUUUAGAUAAUAUUACUAGAAAAUAUAUUUGAAUAUAAAACAUGUUAAAUUAUACAAUAAUUAUACAUCUUAAAUCAUAUAAAUUGUGUUAUAAAAUUAAAAUACCAUAGAAAAUAAAUUAAUUUUCAAUGUUCUCCAAGCACCAAAAAAUAUUUGAUAAAAAUAAAAAUUAUACUAUUUUUAAAAGUUAAUAACUCAAAAUAUAUUAUUUUCCAAAUUAUUUUCUUAGAUAUAUCCAAAGACCAUAAAAUGAUUUCUAACUCAUUUUCAUUAAACAUUGAAAAUUUAUUUAUUUUUUAAAAAAUUAUUUUUCAUGACACUAUUAAAUAUUGAAAAAUAUUUCACUCCCAUGAAAACAACUAUCUAAAAACAAAUUACUUUCCGUAAAUAAACAAAGCUAUAUACUCAAUAAGAAAGAAAUGUAUGUCACUCACUCUUGAGAGUACCUGUAAAGGUGUUGAGAUUUUGUUUUGUUAGUUAAUUAAUUGUGAAGUAUAAGAACGAAGUACGCAAGCAAAGAUUAGCGGCGAAAGUUUGACAUUUUUUAUUUGAUUUUUACAGGCUGCUGUUCUUGCAUUACACCACGGCUAAUUCAAAAUCUUGAUAUCUAAAAGGGCUUCUAAUUGGGCGAGAAGAAUAUAAUUUUUUGAUGUAAUUUCUUGUUUAGCUAGAUUAAACUCGGUAGGAGUUGUUUUUAUAUACUUAAUUAAUUUAUACAGUCCAAAAAAAAUUCUUUUAAUUGGUAAAAAAAAUUUGAGAAUAAAAUUUAUAUAAAAAAAAAUUAACAGAAAAAAUCACUCAACUUGACUAAUUGUUUAACUUAUGUUUAAAAUUGAACUAUGUAGAGUGACCUCGACUAGUCUAAAAUAAUAUGGUAAAAUUUUGAGAAUGAAAUUAAAAGAAAAAAAGGAGGAGAGAUCGAAAAGGAAGGGUUAAAAUAUAAAUAGUUAAGCUACCUCAGUUUUCCCAAGUUAUUGAGUAAUUGUAGGUAAUUAUGGGAAUUUCUUAUGCAAGGUCAAUUCUGGCUUAUAAAUGUUAGAAAUGUGACUGUUUUAAUAUGAAAACAACAACAUGAAGAGAUCAACACGCAAGAAAUGUCCUUCAUGUUGAUGUUUGUUUGCAACUUGUAAAGUCCUUUUUAAUAUGAAACCAAACCCAACGAAUUGUAGAGAUCAAUAAAUUAUAGAGUCGUUGCAUUUAAAGGUGUCAUUUAAAUCUAAUAGACAUAAAGGUAUAAAAAUAUCCACCUACGACUAAAAAAAUAAAGGAGUUAAGCAACUUCAUGGGUGAAGAAGAUAUUUGUCUUGUAUAGGUAUGAAUCAACACAUAUCUACGGUCUUCACAUAUUCCUACAGUCACAAUCGUCUUCGAUAGACAAAUAUCUACAAUUCGUUGUGAAGCUCAUCACAAAUAUCUCAACGUACACUCUUCAAAACUAGUAUCCAACACCCGGAAGCAUCCAUCUUAAAGGAUGAAGCUCAUCACGCAGUGACCAUGCUGUCAAAGAAUCAUCUCAACUCAAUAACUUAAACUUUUAAGUGAGGUUCCAGGAUAUGAUUUAUCUUAUUCUCUAACACACCCCCUCAAGUAAAAGUCCUUUGAGCUUGAAACUUGCACAGACCCACAUUACCUUGUGCUUAAUUUUUUAUCAAAUAAAUGGAGAUAAUGAGAUUUGAACUCGAGACCACUUGGUCAUAAGGCUCUGAUACCAUGUCAAAGAAUCAUCUCAACCCAAUAACUUAAACUUUUAGGUAAGGUCCCAGGAUAUAAUUUAUAUUAUUCUCUAACACACCCCCUCAAGUGAAAGCCCUUUGGGCUUGAAACUUGCACAUGCCCACAUUACCUUGUGCUUAAUUUUUUAUCAAAUAAAUGGGGAUGGUGAGAUUUGAACUCGAGAUCACUUGAUCAUAAGGCUCUGAUACUAUGUCAAAGAACCAUUUCAACCCAAUAGCUUAAACUUUUAGGUGAGGUCCCAAGAUAUGAUUUAUAUUAUUCUCUAACACACCCCCUCAAGUGAAAGCCCUUUGGGCUUGAAACUUGCACAUACUCACAUUAACUUGUGCUUAAUUUUUUAUCAAAUAAAUAGAGAUGGUGAACUCGAGACCACUUGAUCAUAAGACUCUGAUACCAUGUCAAAUAACCAUCUCAACCCAAUAACUUAAACUUUUAGGUGAGGUCCCAGGAUAUGAUUUAUAUUAUUCUCUAACGCAUGCAUCGUGAAGAAAAUGCUUUUGACCUUUGCACAGACAAACCCAAAAGAGACGACUACUCUAGCUAUUGUAUGAUCGAUAACAUCUUUUUUUUUUUGAAAAAAAAAAGAAGUAAGAAUAGAGAAAUGUAGUGUUGAUAAAUAUGUAAGAUGAAAAAACAAAAUGUUUAUCCUUUUCUUUUUGGUCUUUAUAUAUAUGGAAUGUUUUUUAGUCAAUUUGCAAGUUAACAAAUACCAAGAUUUUUCUUCGAAGAUUUUUAAAACGCAUCGCUUGUAUCAGGAUUUUAAAACGCGUCCACAGAAAAAUAUUUUUUUUUUUAAAUGCUGAUUUUAAAGUUUGGAUUAAAUAAAUAAAAAACAGAAAAUAAACAUCGCUGCUGAUCCUACCCGUUGAAGUUAAAAUAAUGUUUGCCUAAUAACUAAUCUCUUUAAUUAUCGCUUUUGAGUCAUCUUUGAUUUUUCUCCAGCUGCAACAGCGGCCUUUCCUAAGUCAUUUUCCUCAUGCAGCCCUCUCUCUCUCUAUCGCUGUAUAAAACACGUCUACGUUUCACUAACCAACGAACAGCAAUUUGCAAAGGAAGACCUUUCCCCAUGCAAAAUAAAGCAAGUUGCUGUCGAUCAUCUUUAAAAUCUCCUUCCUGGUGUUUUUCUUUCCCUCCAGCAACCCACCUCGCAUUACUGAGAAAAACACGCCGUUUCUGCUUGUGGUUUUUUGCUCUUUGAUCAUCGUUCUAAUUAGUUCCUCCCAGAUAAUAUAGCAAUUACCCAGAGAACGAGUUGUGCUUUGCGCAUGGCGUUCUGGCCAUCACUACUGUCGAAGACUUUCUCUGUUUUGGUUUUUGGAUUUGUGGUGUUGAAUUGCUUUGCUGUGGACAAGUUUGGAUCCCAUGCUCAAGGAGUACUCAGUACUCCACUCUUGCCAUUAGAUGAGGGUACGUACGUCCUCCUAACAAUUCAAUAAUCUCACUCUCUCUUUACCAUGAUUGAAGGUUCCCUUUUUCCUGGAAAAUAAUUUAUUUGCAGAGAUUAACGCUUCUUAUUUUUAUUUACUAUUCUUAAAUAAAAUCAGAAUCAUUUCAAUUUGUGAUGAUUAGUGAGAGAAAUUAGUAUAUCUACGUACUGAGAAAUAAAAUAAGAAAAAUGGAAAUUGUUAUCCACUUCGUUAAAUUGUGAAUUAUAUUUUUUAUUUUGGAUUAUCCUCUCUUUCAUAAUUAAGAAAACUUAUUAUAAGAUGUUGACUACUUUCCAUUCGAAUCAUUGAGCUUCUUUUAUAAUAUUUUAAAAUAAUAAAGGGGCUAUUCAUCCCUUAUUAUAUUAACAAUAUUCCCUUGCCUGCAAGGCUUAAUAAGAUAAGAAAAAUAUUUUUCAAAUAUUUUAAAAGGCUUUAUUUUUUCAGGACCUUCUUCACCUUAAGUCGACUCUAACUUCUUUUUGUUUGACUUGUUAUCCUCUGUAACUAGCCAUCUAAACCGUGGGGCUUUUUUUUUUUUUUAAUUUUAGCCAUCUAAACCGUGGGAUUAAUUACUACAUGUUAAUUUUUUCGUGUUUUACAUUUUAAUUUUAUAUCUUGUAAUUUUAUAUUUUGUUUACAUAAUUUCAAGCCUAACUUAUUACUAUAAAAGAUUUUGAUUAAAAGAAAAAAUAAAAACAAAAACAAAAAAUUAGUUUCUUUGCUAUUCAUAUAAAACCAACCCCAUCUCUUUUAAUUAUUUUGUUAACAAGCCAUAAUUAUAAGACUAAUCUGGUCAGCGAAUCAUUAUAUUGGAUAGACUAACCUAAUGACUUACCUACUUAGGUUCUAGUUAUGGUUUUUUUUUACUAAAAUGAUAUAUCAAAAAACAUAAUUUCAAAAAUUAAAAAAAUCUUGUUUAAUCCAUCCGUCCCACGAUCCAACCUUGAAUCAAAUCAAAUCAAAUCAAUAUUAGAGUCUAAAAGUCUUACAAUUAUAUAAUAAGCAAGAGAGCCCCAAUGGUAUACUGUUCUUGUCUCUUCGCAAUAACUAAUUGUCUCAGACUAUUAGUGCAUCGGCCAAUCUUGCACUUAAUACAAUAAUUAUUCAAUUACUUAGUUGAGUUGUCUGUGUUAGUUGCUAUAGUACAAAAUUUUAUAUUUUAAGUCUUUAAAAUAAUAUUGGAAUUACAUAUUUGAUGAUAAAUUAAUAAAUAUUAAACUCAAUCAUUAUUAUUAAAGAAAACCUUAUUCGCUUAAUUUUAGAAAUUUAUACCUUGUUGAGACUAAUUUUAAGUGAGCUAUUAUAUCCUAUAAUAAAAAAGAUUAAUAUUUUACUAUGGAUUUGCAUAGUGAAAUAUUGAUUUUACCUCUUGAUGGACAAAUUAAUUGGGCUUGAAUUUAGAGGCAUGAGAGUUUUUUUCACAAGCAUAUUAGUCAUUACUAGAAAAGAAAGGGUUAAAUUGUAUUUUUAUAUUUUCACUUAAUUGCCCAUAAAAGACAAAAAAAAAUAACUUGGGUCAAUGAGCUUUUUAAUCUUUUAUUUAAUUUUUAACAAGUAAGUUAUUUCAUUGCCUUGGAAAAUUAAAAAUAACUGUCUUUGACAUAGGACUUCUUUUGUCAUUUAGAUGUGGUGAUUUGAUAGUUAUUGAAUGUUAUUGGGAAAGUAGGGUAAUUUGAUAAAUAAAUAAAAAUUUUAAAAAAUUAGAAACGUGUAAAAAGUGUUUGCUGCUUUUGGACGGCGUGUGUGACACCAUUCGGCGGCCAAAACCGUGAUUCCAGAGCAGUGAUUGAAGUGUCUCGGUGUUCUCUAUACAAAUAAGUGGCGCGUGUAUCCCAAUGGUGGUCGGGGUGGCAAGAGUGACCUUUUGUUUUCUUUUUUUUUUUCUUCUCUCAUACUCGAUUUUCAUUCUGACCUUAAAAAAAAUCAAAUCAACCCCUAAAAUUUGUUGUACUUAAAAUUUUAUUUUUAUUCUCUUAAAAAAAAAAUCAAAUCAACACCUACUCUCAUGCUUUAAAAAAAAAAAACCUUCUCAAUCCUUGUGUUUCUCUCACCCUGAAAUGACUCACCUUUUCACCUAUUUAUAAUGGUCAAAACGUUGGUGAGCAAUGAAGAAAUAAACAUAGUAACCAAGCUUACAAAGCUUUGAGGUUAUUCCUCUCAUCCUUGGAAGCGACUCCACUCUUUCUUGAUCCCUCUGAUCCAUUACAAUAAAUAUUUUCUAACUUUUCCCACAUUCACAUUAUAGCUACCAAAUCUUCAUAUAUAUCGUUAUUGAGAAUGUACAUCCUUCUCUUUCAACGCUUUAGCCAAUACUUACUGAAUAAGAAUAUUGUCUUUCACCCUUUGUUGCCAAAGAGUAAAUUUUCUUCUUUUUUUUUAAUUUAUUUCAUGAUAAAUUUUAGCUUUUAAUCUUUUGUAGACAUUGAUAUAUCAUUAUCAAAAGCUGAAUAUCCCAAAAUCAAAUCAAAGCUGAGUCAGUACACAGUACCAUGAACAACACAAUCCAAAGAAAACAAAAAUAAUAAAGAUCGUGUACUCAUAAAAUUUAACAUGGUUCUACAAGAUCCUAUAUACAUUUGAGAGUAACCCUUUCUUACUAUAGGAGAAAUUAAUUUAAUACAAUAAUAUAAUUAUGAUUUUUAUGCCUGAAACCCAACCUUGUACACCCACUCUCACACUUAAAAAAAUCUUAACAUUUGUGUUUUUCAUACCCUAAAACCACUCAUCUUUUCACCUAUUUAAAGAAAAAGAAAACAUAAUGUAUGAAAAAGGAUCAUUUUUGCUGUACAGUUAGUAAUUGAAUCAUGUGAAUGCCUAAAUCCUUCCAUAAACCGGAGGAAUUUAAGCAUUAAAAAUCAUUAUCAUCAUCAUCAUUUUCUAGCUGUGUUUUAGCAAGGCCUUCAUACAUACAUUAUUUUAUAGAUAAAUAAUAUUAUUAUUGUUUUUAUGGAUGAUUGAAGUUCCUGAAUUGUAUGUAACAGUGCAAAUUCUUCAAAACAUAUCCAACAAGUUGAACAUCAGCAACUGGGCCACCAUCAAUCGAACUUCUUGCGGUAGUGCACAGUGGAACCAGAUCAACGACAACGAAAUUGAAAGCAAUGUUACAUGCGACUGUACAUUUGAGAAUGGCUCCGUCUGUCAUGUCACUCGCAUGUAUGUAUGUUUUCUUUAUAGGAAAUAUUCAAGAAUCGUAAUUCUUCCCCUUGCAAAAGCCAUGAUAUUUAUAUAUAUCAUCUUCAUAAUAAAUUUUAUGUUUUGUGAAAGAGUAGAAUACAGCUCUUGGAAUAUCCGAUAACUUUUUUUUUUUUUUUUAAUGAGGUCAUGUGGAUUUUUGGUGUUGUGUAGUUUUUAAGCAUGAUAUCAAUUCAUCUUGAAUUGAUAUCAUGGUUAAAAAUAAAUCUGAUUAAAAUAUUUAAAUUUAAUCAUGCAUCUUGUAUAUUUCUUUUGUGUAAAUAUUAAAAUAUAUUAAUCAGCAGAUUGGAAUUGAUAUAUUGCUGUUCGUCAAAAAAAAAAAAUUAAUGGCGAUACGUUCUCCAAGUCUUUGUAUGGUUACAUUUUCUUUUCUUUAUAUUUACUAACCAGUUCUUAUAUUUUGUUUCUGACAGAAGAGUGAAAAAAUUUAAUUUGAAUGGAGUUCUCCCAGAGGAACUAGGAGACCUUCCUCAUCUGCUUGAAAUGUAAGUGAUGAGUUAAUCAAGUUUGUUAAUAUCAUUAUUGAAUAGAGAUCAAUUGCUAUGUAUUUGGGUUUCUUUUCUUCACAUUUCCUGGCACUCCAUGUGCUUCACAGAGGAUUUUAAUUUAUUUAUCAGAACAAAUGAAAGUUUUUAUGAUGAUUCAAAUGGGAAAAGGUCUUUGUCUGUGUGGCUAAGAGAAACAGUGACUUGUAAACAAAAGGAAUUAUGCAAUGACUAAGAUGAAGCAUUUUUCAUUGGACAGUGAUCUGACUCGCAACUACAUUAGUGGAACAAUCCCUCCAAGACUUGCUCAGCUCCCUAAGCUUCAGAUUUUGUAAGUCUUUUUGUGCAUUCUGUUUAUGUGAAGGGGUUUUCAUAUCCCGAUAUGGAAAUUCAUGAACAUGUUAACCCCGUUUCCCAAUUCUCUUCCAUGUCUUAGGUCUCUCAUCGUUAACCGUCUCACCGGCCCAAUUCCCCCGGAUAUAGGCAACAUUACCACACUGGAGGAGCUGUAAGUCACAAAGCGAACUUCUUAAAUGAAACGCUAAGCUAGAACGUUAAAUCUUGAAUUGGAUCUUGCAGGGUCCUGGAAGAUAAUUUGCUAGGAGGGCCUCUUCCUCCAGACCUUGGAAAUUUGACAAGCUUAAGAAGACUGUAAGACAGAUGCCUUCAUCCUCUAUCUGAGUUUAUUUAUGUAUCUACUUCAUGAUAUUCAAUCUAAGUCUUUUUAUGUAUGGUACCAGUAUUUGAUGCUCACUUAGAAAAAAUUAUUUGUAACUUUGUAUUUUUUACCCCUGCAGUCUUCUUUCCGCAAACAAUUUUACAGGAACAAUACCAGACACAUUUGGCAAUUUAAAGAAUUUAAAUGAUUUGUAAGUGAUGAUGCGGGUCACAAUUGUUUUUUAUUUAUAGUAAUUACUAUGCUGAGCUUAAAUAUUCAUCUGUUUCAUAUGCUCCGGCAGUAGGAUAGAUGGAAGUGAACUGUCAGGGAAGAUACCUGACUUUAUUGGGAACUGGACCAACAUUACGACAUUGUGAGUAUUUACUUUGUCCCAUUUAUCUGCUAAUGUGUCCUCGAGCACAAGCUGAAUGGAAUUCCAUUUUCCUUUCCCUCUUGCAUUCCUAACAGUGGUAUAUUUCUUUUGCAGGGAUUUGCAUGGAACAUCCAUGGAGGGUCCUAUUCCCUCUGCCAUUUCACUGUUAAAAAAAUUAACAAUUUUGUGAGCUUAAAUUCCCUAUCUUGUAGAUUCAUAUUCAGUUCAAAGAAUUUUGCCUCGUUGUUUUUCGGUAAGAUGUUGUUUAGUUUUGUGGCUGCGGAUGAGGUUCACCCGCAGCCACACAUUUUGAUGUUUGGUAAAGGAAACAAACCUGAUUUUACUUGAUAGGGCCUAUUAAUUUUUGCUGCCCAGCUGCAGGAAUGGAGAAGCAGCAAAAAGUUUUUUUUUUUGGAAUAGUGGAGCAUGGCUCCACUGUUGCAAUGUUCAGUUUUUUUUUUUUUUUUUGAAAAAUCAAUGAAAAAAGUUUAGUUUUUUUUUUCCUGAACAACACCAGUGCAGUUAAUCGUGAACAAUAUUUUUUUUAUUUUUUUAAAAAAAUUAGUUUAAGGUAAAUCAAACUUACUCGUACUGUAAUGAAAUUGUAAAUUUUUUUAAAAAAAUUGUGUUGUACUCUAAAAAUUAGUAUUUAAUAUUAUUUAAUAACACUACAUAAAUUAGAAAGAUAUUGCAUGAUGACGUAACAUUUGUGGAAUUUGAUCGCAAUUCUAAUAAUAAAGAUAUCACAAUCUUUAUUAUUUAAUAACACUACACAAAUUAAAAAAUUCAGUUUUUGUUGUUGCGCGCUUAAGAAACCAUGAAAAAUAUAGUCAUUGUUGGAUAAAUUUUGUAUGUAAUGACAUUGCAUAUAGUUUAAUGGAAUAAUAAAAAAUAUUUGAUAUCAAUAUUAUUUAUUUCAUGAUAUAAUAACAAUAGUUAAAUCUACAAUAUUUAAGUUAAAAAUCAUUACUAUAUAUAUAUAUAUAUAACCUCAAUUUGAAAAGCAUUUUUUAAACCAAACACGUUAAAACUAUUUUUUCUUCAACCUCAAUUUCAACCACAGUUUUAACCAAACACCUAUUUUUUCAAACCAACCUUAACUAAAAGUACUUUUUAUAAAACAACUUUUUUCAAACCACAACCAUAACAGCUACCGCAAUACUAAACACACAAGUCUGUAUUUGAGAAAACUGAUUUUUUCUGUUGUCUUGAUUUUUCAGGAGAAUAUCGGAUUUGAAAGGAUCCAGUUCAACUUUCCCUGAUCUGAAAGAUAUGACAAAAAUGGAAAAACUGUGAGUUGAAUGAGACUGAUCAAAUAUAUUGUUACAGCAAUAUUACAUCAGUAAUUGAUUACAUAUUAUUUUUUACUCAGGAUUCUGAGAAAUUGCUCAUUGACUGGUUCAAUCCAAGAAUACCUUGGAAAUAUGGCAGACCUAGAUACUCUGUAAGUUUCUCUAACAGCUACCUUCAUGGCAACGCUUAAUUUCAUGGGCGUCAUAUUAUGUUACUCUGAUUCAAAAUGACAAGAUGUGUAAAGUGAUUGACAUCACUUUACUCUAUCGUUUGGUUUCAUUUAAAGUAAGAUAAAGCAAAGUGAAUCAGUAAAGGUAUAGCAAUAAGUUGAUUCCUUAUUUAUCCUGGUUGAACAAGGAUCUUUCCUAACCAUGAAGCUCCAGCCUUUUCCUCUUUUAAAACCGACAGUUUUGCAUUUCAUUUUUCCUUAUUUUAGAUUCUCAUUGAGUGAGGUCGGGAUGUUUUCAAACCAAUCUUGAUUUGUCAUAUGAGAUGCUAUUGGUGAUGUUCUACAUUAUAACAAUGUAAUAAGAUAUGUGGAAGACAUCUUAACAUAUGUUCUCUGUGAGCAUGAGCUAGACCUGCAUAUAGUCUGCAUGAUUCAAAAUCAUGAUGGUGGGGGCUCAUGUUUUUCAUAAAAGCCAUGCUGCAGAGGAUGUAAUAGGACCUUGAAUAUUACUAAUCUGACAACAUGGACUGGCCCGACAUUCCGUGAAUUAGAUUGCAGUGUGUUUAUAUUGCCCAGAGCUAAUUUUAUCUAGUGCUUUUUUCACGUGCUUUCAUUAAUUUUUACAUAUUUCAUUGCAGAGAUCUGAGCUUUAACAAGUUGACAGGCCAGAUUCCUGGCGCAUUAGAGAGUUUGAAAAAAAAUAAAAAGUUCAUGUAAGUCCAUAAACGCAUGCUUUCUGAAAGCACAGGAUCAUCGUUUCUAAUAUAUUUCUCAUGUUGACAGCUUGCUGGUUCAUUACCUGUUUAUUAAUGUGUAGGUUUCUGAAUAACAACUUACUAACUGGAGAAGUGCCUGCUUGGAUACUGGGAAGCAGGAAAGACUUGUGAGUCUAUUGUGAAGUUAUACAUAAUUCUUUAUACAUGAAAUACACCAAUCUUUGUUCUCCUCAAUCAACAACUAUAUUACCCCUGCCACGAAAUUUUAUUUCAGGGAUUUAUCUUACAACAAUUUUACUGGAUCAGCUGAGCAAAGUUGUCAACAGCUACCAGUGUAGGCAUUAUUUUUUCCCGUUACUUGUUUCUUCUCCUUUGUCUCAAGUUGAUUGCUAACUUCUAUUUUGAAAUUAUAUAGGAACUUAGUUGCUAGUCAUGUGUCAACUGGGAGCAACAAGUAAGUUCCUCCUUCACUAAGAUGCCUUUUAAGAUAUCUAUAAAUUUGACUUAUCGACAACCCUCAUUCUUCUCUACAGGAUUUCUUGGUGCUUGAACAAGGACCUUGUUUGCCCAAGAAAACCUCAAUGUAAGUGUGUAAAAACAGUACUCUGGUGUUUGAUGAAGGUGUAAUUACAUAAAUACAGUGCUUGUUGUCCUAGGGAAGGCAGCUUAUGAUAUUGAUCCUUCGUUCUACAGACCAUUCCUUGUUCAUAAACUGUGGAGGGAGCAGUGAGACUGUUGGUGAUAAUGUAUAUGAAGACGACACAACUCCAGGGGGGGCAGCUGAUUUUGCAUCUUUAUCAGAAAGAUGGGGUUAUAGCAGUACAGGGACUUAUAUUGGCACUGAAAACGGCGCUUACAAAGCAACAAAUUCUUAUGGUCUGAAUGUGACCGGUGAAGGUUUUUACCUAACUGCUCGCCUUGCCCCUCAAUCACUCAAGUACUAUGGCCUGUGCAUGCUGGCGGGCAGUUACAAAGUGCAGCUCCACUUUGCUGAAAUUAUGUAUUCCAAUAAUCAGACUUUUAGCAGCCUUGGGAGGCGGAUAUUUGAUAUAUCAAUUCAAGUGAGUAAAAUGAUUUUCAAAUUAGCGCAUUUACUUAGGAUUUUUCUUUUUAUCUAUGAUUGUAUUUCUAAAUAACCUCAUGAGACCUACCAUGUGUUAUGGAUCCUUUUCAAGUUUCCAUAGAAAAGGUUGGUAACACUCUUUAAAACCUGCAAAAGUCAUGCUCGGAACUUCUUCCUGCAGGGGAAGGUAGUUGAGGCAAAUUUCAAUAUUAUGGAGCAAGCUGGAGGUGUUGGUAUUGGCAUCACUAAGGUAUUUGAUGGUAUAAUUGUUAAUGGUAGCACACUGGAGAUACACUUAUACUGGUCAGGCAAAGGUACUACUGCUGUUCCUGAAAGGGGUGUCUAUGGACCUCUCAUAUCUGCCAUUACAGUGACUCCAAGUAAGUCUUGACGAAAUCAAGAGGAUUUUUUGUUUCCAUCAACGGUCUUUUUAUUUAAUUUAUUUCUCUCAUUGUAGACUUUAAGGUGGAUAAUGGUGGCGGAUUAUCAGUUGGAGCUAUUAUUGGCAUUGUAGCUGCUCCAUGUGUGCUUGCGGCAUUGGUUUUGCUGGUCCUCCGGAAGAAAGGUUACUUGGGAGGGAAGGACCUUGAAGAUAAAGGUAAGAUUAAUGGCACAAGAAGUAUGUGUCUUAUUUGAUUGUGUGCAUGCUGUAAACUUGUGAUUGUCCUUGUGAUGCUGAUUUUGAGAUCCUGCUCAUCACAGAACUCCGUGCUCUAGAUCUCCAAACUGGUUAUUUCAGCCUAAGGCAAAUUAAACAUGCGACCAAUAAUUUUGACCCUGCAAAUAAGAUAGGAGAAGGAGGAUUUGGUCCAGUUUACAAGGUAUUUAUGAAUUUCCAGUUUACUAUUUAGUUAGGUUAUGUGCUGACAAAGUGUUCUACUGUAUGGCGCCUUCUUGUAUAAAAUCUAUCACACAUGCAAAAGCCUGUGAUAAAAGGGAAGGAAUAUCUUUUAAAACAUUCUGAAAUCUCAGUCUAUUUUAUUUCAGGGUAUGUUGUCAGAUGGUUCUGUAAUUGCUGUAAAGCAGUUAUCGGCCAAAUCGAAACAAGGAAAUCGUGAAUUUGUGAAUGAGAUAGGCAUGAUAUCUGCCUUGCAGCAUCCCCAUCUCGUGAAGCUGUAUGGUUGUUGUAUUGAAGGAAAUCAGUUGUUGUUAGUAUAUGAAUACUUGGAAAACAAUAGCCUUGCUCGGGCUCUUUUUGGUAAAUGCUUGACCAACUCCUUGAUGUAUCAGCUUAUAUAUAGUCUAUACUCUAUAGAAUGAGAAAGAGAUUAAAUUGCUUUCCUGUUCCUCUGUCUCAUCUCUAUCAGGUCGUGAUGAACACCAGAUUAAACUGGACUGGCAAACAAGAAAGAAAAUAUUGUUGGGUAUUGCAAAGGGAUUAACUUAUCUUCAUGAAGAGUCAAGGCUGAAGAUUGUACACAGAGACAUAAAGGCAACUAAUGUGCUGCUUGAUAAGGAUCUAAAUGCCAAGAUAUCUGACUUUGGUUUAGCUAAGCUUGACGAAGAAGAAAACACUCAUAUUAGCACGCGGAUUGCUGGGACAAUGUGAGUUCUUUCUCCCCCUUCUUCUUUCAAUUUAAUUUCCUUGGUUGUGGUAAAGGGAUAAAUAAAUUUUUAUUUUUUUUGGUAAUGAUACUUUGAACAAUAUGGAUAUCAAAUGGAAAUAUUGUAAAACGCAGACAUAUUAUUUGAUGGCAUCUAAUAACAGCAGCACAAAUGAUUAUCGCCUUGGACAUGAGAACAUAUACAUUUAUUCCACAAGCUCAUGGCCAAUACUUACUCUUCUGGUUCUUUCUAAUUUCUCUUCAGAGGUUAUAUGGCUCCAGAAUAUGCUAUGAGGGGUUACUUGACAGAUAAAGCAGAUGUUUACAGCUUUGGGGUUGUUGUUUUAGAAAUUGUCAGUGGGAAGAGCAACACGAAUUACAGGCCGAAGGAGGAGUUUGUUUAUCUUCUUGAUUGGGUAACUUAUAUCAUUUCCUUUCAGAAUUCUGUCUACACAAUUUACAUUUACACUGACCACCAAUGAGCAUGAUUGUAGACUGAUGGAAAAUGCAUGUUACUGAUAAUUGUAGGCCUAUGUCCUGCAAGAGCAAGGAAACCUUCUAGAGCUUGUGGAUCCAAGCCUUGGUUCAAACUACUCAAAAAUAGAGGCAUUGCGGAUGCUUAACUUGGCUCUCUUGUGCACCAACCCAUCUCCCACUUUGAGGCCAUCAAUGUCUUCUGCAGUGAAGAUGCUUGAGGGACAAAUUCCAGUCCAAGCUCCGAUAGUCAAGCGCAGUACCAUGAACCAGGAUGCAAGGUUCAAAGCCUUUGAGCUUCUCUCACAUGAUAGCCAAACAAACGUCUCAAAUGGAUCUCAAAGCAGUCAGAUACAGAAGAGCAUAUCAAUGGAUGGACCGUGGACGGAUUCUGAAUUUUCUAUCGAAAGUAAGGAUGAGAUCAUAGAAUAUUCCUCAUCGACCAAGCUUCUUAAGGAUCUUUACCACGUCAACUUAGAUUGAUCAACGGAAAUUGAUGAAAUAGUCCCUCCUUUUCUAUUGGUCUGGUAGUAUUCUGAGUUUGCAAAUAAGAUUGCUGAGUAAUCAAGAAAUACAUUUUAAAUGAUUUGUUCUGGUCUAUGUUGAUUCUUUUGUUAAGAAAUAAAAAAUGUUGACAGUUGCCUCAUUUGCUGCUGAAGAAGAGGUCUUCGAUGCUGAGAAGACUGAGAAGUUUUAGUCAAGAUUAGCUUUCCAUUAUGUUAGCAUGUUUGUUACAAUAAAGCUGUUAUAGAACAGCUCUUUGUUUGUUAAGAUUUCGUCAUUAUUUUUCUGUAGUUUGUUAUCAAAACUCUUCUAUAAAAGAGUGAUUUCAUUAAUAAAGAAUUAUGCUUGCAGUCACAAUAACAACAAUUAUUAUAGCUGUCCUGUUUUCUUUGUCUCUUCUGUAUCUGUAUACUGUCUUACAACUUCAAAAAACAUUGGAGAGCUUGGUCUUUCGAAUUGGCAUUGUUAGCAGUGUAUGUCACCAUUUAUCCUAAUCUGCAGAUUGCUUUUUGUCUAGAAGCACUUUUUCAUGAUCCUAAAGAGCAUUUGAACAAAAACUUGUCUUCCAUUACAUAUUCAAAGGUAAGUUCUUAGAGUCCUUGAUGUUUAUGUGUUCUUACAAUUUAGUGCUCCAUGUUAUAGAACUCUUUUUGAUUUCUGGAAUUUAAUUAAUUGAUUACUUCGUAUCUUAUAUUUCUGAAGAUUUAAAUUUCGAUCUCUCAACUAAUAAAUGCAACCAAUUUUUUAUAACAUAUGGAGUAUUAUUCUAGAAUCAUGCCUCUAAAUUUGAUAAGGUCUGGAGCAAUGUUGGAGAGUGUGUCGCACUGAAAUUUAUCCUGACCCAUAAAUUCAUUUCUGCAGUUAAAAAUCCCAUAGUACACAACGAAAGCCUCUUUUGUUAUUUAACUCUUCUAAGUACCAUGUUGCUUCUCCCUAGUGCGCACCCAUUAGUCCAACUUCUCUCUUUGCAAAUUAAUUAUUGCAAUGGAUGAAUCAAAACUCUAAGAAAAUGAUCAUGAUGAUGUUCCAACUUCCAACCCAUGAUAGGAAUGAGUUUUUCAGAUUUGAUUACGUGGACUCACUGAGUCUUUGUGAUGCACUGAAAUGUUGCAUGCAAAAUUUGCCAUAAAUGGAGCUGACGACAAGGAUUUCUUAGAUCGAAAGUUCUCGAAAAAAAAAUUCGUUUGGCAAUGGGAUUGGGCAAUGUGUGUCGCCACGUGUUUUUUAUUGCACGUGUGCGGCGUCGCGGUAAUCAUCCACUCCUUUAAAAAAAAUUAUAAAGGUCUAUCUGGUAAAUAUGGGGAGACAAGAAGUUGUCUUUUAUCAGUGGAAAAUUUGAAUGGGAGUCGCCACCUGGUAUUCUGGUCACUAGAAACCCUAACUGGUCUCAGAGAUCAGGUACGGAGACUUGUUGCGUAAAGAGAAGGUAUUAGCAUCUCAACUACGCCCUACCUAAGGUAGGCUGAGAAACCCUAACUGGUCUCAGAGAUCAGGUACGGAGACUUGUUGCUUAAAGAGAAGGUAUUAGCAUCUCAACUACGCCCUACCUAAGGUAGGCUGCAUUGUUUUAAUGUCUGAUAAAAAAACUAUGGUCUUAUUUCGUUUUCUAAUUGUUGGUUUGUUUAAGGUUCAAGAAAAGCCCUCUUUAAUAAGGAGGUUCUUAUCUUAAUGGGGUAAAACCUAAACGUUCUAGCGUCCGAACCAAAAGAAUUUAAUAUCUGAAAUACAUAUUACGAGUAAUGUCGUACCCCAGAUACUAAAAGACAAACAAAAUAAAAUUUUUGUUGUUUUUGAAAUUUUUGCUAAUGUUCUCUUGACUUUAAUAAAUUAGUUAUUAAAACCAAAAUGCAUGCUAAAACAUUGUUUUUUAGUGUAUGAAAAACACAAUAUGAUUUUUUUAGCUUUGAGACACUUGGCCAUAUGCACAAAAAUAUUUUUUAAAAUCUUUUUUAAGUUGACGAAAACCAGGUAUUUUAAUACCGGAUUUGUAUUUUUAUGAGAUAACAUAUAGACCGAUAGUUAAACAAAAUAGCGUAAAACAAAAUGCUGGAAAUCACAAAAUGUUAAAAAUAUAUUAUUAUUUUUUUGCUUGGCCGGACCCGGCCCACCAUUGUUGGGUUGGACUGGACUCAGCCUAAGAUCAAUGAGCCCAGCCCACACCAGCUGGUUACUGUGCAUGAGCACAGUAACCAGCUUCACCUCGCCUGCAUAGACGUGCAUCGUGCACAUCCUGCAUGGCAAGGGAAGAAACAAAAGCAAGAGGGGUGGAAGGUUUACCUGGAGAAGCCUCGGUCGUCAAUGAUGGCCAGCGAUGGCGAUGGUUCCAUGUGGCGGCGGUGUUGGUGGCAGCUCAUCCUCUGUUUUUUUCUUCUUCCUUUUUCUCUGUUUUUUCUUCUCAUUUUUGUUUUCCUUCUCUCUUCCUUGCUCUGUUUUUUUUUUCUUUCCUUCUCUCCCCCUCUUUUCUCUCUUCUCUCUUCGUUUUCUCUCCUCUCUGCUCUCACUUCUGCUCUCUUCGUCUCCCCUGUAUAUAUAGGAAAAAACAGGGGAGACAUAUGGAUGGGGCGGCCACUGUGCAGCUGCCCCACGAUUGCCUGAGGAGGCACGUCUCCUCCAUUUCUCCAACACGUGGGAGGCCACGGGUCAGCUUAGCAAGUGGGUGUCCUUGGUCGGCGUCUUUUUGAGCUUUUUAGACGAAGAAAAGUCAGUGAAAACAGGGGGAACAAAACUUUCUUCUUCCCCUGUUUUUUGCUCGUCCAGGGGAAGAAGAAAGGCUACAUUGCCAUUCAAAACAGCACCGCUUUAAGCUCUCUUUUUUUAACAAUGUAUGAAACGGCACUGUUUUAGCCAAAACACGCCAUUUCAUUUAAAUGAAAACAGCGCCAAACUUAUGUCAAAGUCCAAAUCAGUCUUCAAUUUGUAAUUUGUUCAAUCAAGUCCUAAAUUGCAAUUAUGAUUUAAAAAUCAAUGCAAUUACAUCCCUGCUAAAAAUGAGACAGCGACCCUGAAGUUGGCCGCCUUUUUCACUAUGGUCCUUGGUCUUGAAUUUAUGCAAUUUGACCCUUAAUUUAUCAAUAAACUUCUAAUUUCUUCAAUUUGGCCCCUGAUUCGGUUUAACUAUAGCUCCUCUAUUUACGCACCUUUUCCAGUUUGGUCCUUGGUUUCGGAUUUCUUCAAUUAAGUCCUUAAUUGGCCAUCAAACUUCAAUAUUUAUACAAUUAAGCCACUGAUUUGACCAAAUUAACUUCAAAAAUUAUAAUUUAACCCCAGAACUUUAAUUUCUUCCAAUAAAAACCCAAAUUGACUUCAAAAUCAAUUUUUCUUGCAAUCAAACCCUCCAUAAAUUCAAUUAAACCUUCAAUAAAAUUUAAUUGAGUCCAUAAAUAUCUGAUUUUGGACUUUUCUUCCUCAAAUUGAAUUUUCUUUGUUAACAAGGCUCUCAUUAAUCAACAAAAUACUGUCAAAUUUUAAUCUUUGUAUUUUUUAACCUCCUCAACCAAUUUGUAACCAUUUUAUGAGUGUUCUAGCAUCCUCUUUUCACUGUUAUAUUUUUUUGAUAAUAUUUUUUUUGUUUUUUUUUGUUUUUUUUUUAAGAGAGAAAAAAUAUGAAUUGGGAAUAACCCAAAAAUGGGUUAUGAGAGUUGCCCCUCUCUUUACAAUGCUUACGACCGAAAUCUCACAAAAGGUUUUAGAUACUAAGCUUUGUAGAGAAGAAAAAGGAAAACGAUCACAUUAUCUUGGGCAACCUACCCCUUUUGAAGAAAAUUGGUCUGUUUUCACGGGCGACCUGCCUUUUUGAAGAAAAAUGGUUUAUUUUCAGGGGCAACCAGCCCACACACUUACACUUACCCUAGUCUAUUUUCAUGGGCGGCCUGCCCACACAUACUUAAAGUGGUCUACUUCAGGGGCGACCAACCCACACACUCACACUUACCCUGGUCUAUUUUCAUGGGCGACCUGCUCAAGUACUCAAAGUGGUCUAUUUUCAGGGGCGACCAGCCCACACACUUACACUUACCCUAGUCUAUUUUCAUGGACGACCUGCCUAAGUACUCAAAGUGGUCUAUUUUCAGGGGUGACUAGCCCACACACUCACGUUUACCCUGGUCUAUUUUCAUGGGCGGUCUGCCCAAACAUACUCAAAGUGAUCCAUUUUCAGGGGCAACCAGUCCACAUAUUCACGCUUACCCUGGUCUAUUUUCAUGGGCGACCUGCCCAAGUAGAAAAAUGAAGAGUGGUCUUAUUGUAAUAGGUGACCUACCCAGGUGAAGGAAUAGUCUCAUUGUAAUGGUUGACCUACCCAGAUAAAAACAUGAAGAAUUGGUCGAAUUGUAAUGGGUGACCUACCCAAAAAAAAUGAGAAAAAGGAAGAGUGGUCUUGUUGUAAUGGGUGACCUACCCAGUUAGAGGAAUGGUCUUAUUGUAAUAGGUGACCUACCCAUAUGGGAAAAAAAGAGUGGUCUCAUUGUAAUAGGUGACCUACCCAGGUGGAUGAAUGGUCUCAUUGUAAUGGGUGACCUACCCAGAUAAAAAAAACAUAGAGAAUGGUCUUAUUGUAGUGGGUGACCUACCCAAAUAGAAAAAGGAAAGAGUGGUCUCAUUGUAAUGGGUGACCUACCCAAAUGGAAAAAGAAAAGAGUGGUCUCGUUGUAAUGGGUGACCUAUCCAGGUGAAGGAAUGGUCUCAUUAUAAUGGGUGACCUAUCUAGAUAAAAAAAACAUGGAGAAUGGUCGCAUUGUAAUGGGUGACCUACCCAGGUGGAAAAAGGAAAGAGUGGUUUCAUUGUAAUGGGUGACCUACCCAGGUGGAGGAGUGAUCUUAUUGUAAUAAGUGACCUAUGCAGAAAAAGGAUGACGAGGGCUCAAAGGCACACUCGAAAAGAGGUAAGGUUAGAAAAUGCACUACCCAAGAGGUGAGGGCUCAAAGACGCACUAAAAAAGAAGGUGAGGGCUCAAAGGCGCACUCGGAAAAGAAAGUGGGGCCUCAAAGGUGCACUCAAAAAGAAGGUGAGGGCUCAAAGCCGCACUCAAAAUGAGGUAAGGUUAUAAAAUGCACUACCCAAGAGAUAAGGGCUCAAAGGCGCACUGAAAAUAAAGUGAGGGCUCAAAGGCGCACUCACAAUGAGGUAGGGUUAUAAAACACACUAUCCAAGAGAUGAGGGCUCAAAGGCGCACUUAAAAUGGAGGUAGGGUUAGAAAAUACAUUACCCAAGAGAUGAGGGCUCAAAGGCGUACUCAAAAUAAAGUGAGGGCUCAAAGGCGCACUCAAAAUGAGGUAGGGUUAGAAAACGCCCUACCUAAAAGGUGAUGGUGAAACACCAAUCUGACAAAUGCAUUAUGAUUUGAUAUGCAUGUAUACUUACCUGAGAAAUAUAGGUCCCCAUUUCUUCAUGGUGUCAUUCUUUUCUUAAAAGUAGGAGUAAACUUCGAUGGCCUUUUCACUCUUACUUACUCGAGUCAUAUCUUGUGAUUUUGACCCUUUAGGAAGGGUUUGAUGUCAUUAUACUUCUUUGUCCUCCAACCUUUAUCUCAAGGGUUGUCAAUUCUGCUCGAUAUUUUUCUUUAUAAAAGAAAUCAUAGAGUCAACCCUACCAUGUGUUUUUGAUUGCCCCCCAGCUUGAUCAUGCCUCCCAAGUGUUCAAUUCGGGUUUGGGAUGAGGCUAUGUGAAGGAAGGUUUGACAAGGAGUUGUUUUCAUGCAGAAAUUUUAGAAUUUCAAAGCUAUUCCAGAUACAUAAAUCAUUUUGAUAUUGAUUCAAAGCAAACUCGUUUCGAAGAAAUUCAAGGGAUUGCUAUAGAGAGGUUAAGUGAUGAAAAGUUUUUAUUUUGCUUUUGGUGAAAAAUAUGAAGUGACAUUUGGUUUGUCAAAAAGGGUUUAAAUUUCAAUUUGAGGGUUAUUGAGAACCAAAUCGGUUCAAAGAAUUUAUUUUAUUUGCAUGAAUAAUGAUUUAACCUGCACGAGAAAGCACUGCCCACCGAUCUAGAUUGCUUGCCUUUGAUCAGAAAGGGCUUGAUUAGGUACGUAAUGUAGGCUUUGGCUAUUGGUUAUGAAGAAAAGGAUACUUUGCAGGCUCAAAAGGUGUUUAAGGGAUUUCAAGACUAAGGAUCACUUGUGCUUGUUUCCUGACUUUUUUUUCUUUUGAAUUUCUUUCCAAAAAGGUUUGUGAUGCCCCCCCGAGUGUCGGGUUUGAGCUCUUUCUCUUUGUUUUCUUUAUUUUUGUUUGGUUAAACAUAAUCACCUCAGUUGUUUUUAUGAGAAGCUCAAAUUUUUUGGAUCUUUUGGAUUUUUUUUUUAUCAUGCCCCAGCUUUGCGUGAGCAGCUUUGAUCAUUGAGUUUUUUCGCACUUGCCCCCCCAAUGUGGGGUAUGAUCCUAGUCAAGGUUAUUUUCAAAAAUAUAAUAGGCUCAAAAUGGGAUUGCAAAGGAUAUAUUUCAGGCUUGUGAAAGGAUUAUCAAAGAUGGUCUUUCCUCAUCUCAAAUGCAUGCAUUUAGGAGCGGUAAGCCUUGCUUUCAUGCGAGUAUGCAAAGUGAUUAUUCAUUCAAAUAAAACUCAGCUUUGGAGUCACCUCAUGGUGUUUUUUUGUUUUUGUUUUUCAAGUUUUCUAGGUGUAAGGUUACCCUUCUAAGGAAUCACUUGAAUUUCUAGAACUCGUUUGUUUUGGACAAACACUAACAUGAUUUCUAUUUUUGUACUAACCUUUGAAUUCCAAAAAAAAAUCCUUGUGAACAUGUGCGAUCAUGCAUAGUUUUAGAAGAAAAGAGAAACACACCAAAAGAUUCUUGGCGCAAUGGUUUCAUGCAACAAGACUGAAACAGGUUGAAACAAAAAAUCAAGAAGCUUUGAAGGCAUGAUUAACCAGAGGUAGUUAUUUUUUGACAGAACAAGAACAAGCUCCAUUCUGCAACUGUGGUGCAAUUCCCUUUCGGUCAGCCUUCCCACAAAAGCUUUUGCAGAAAUGCUGGAUUGUGUUGAGGCUCUUGACCAUGUUUGCCCCUAUUUUCUUCGGGAUGAAUCAUUGUUGGAGUUCGAACAACGAUAAUAGGUCGGUUGGUAGGAACUUCACCGGAGUUAUUUCUUAGUAUUUGCUCAAGUAAGCUAGUGGUGAGUCACACUUGUCUUCAGAGACUCCAACUCUUCCUGCAAAUGGAUGUUACAGUGAGCACACUUUUCAUUUUCCGUGUUUCUCGCUCAAAGUCGGGUGUUGUAGACUUGUAGGGGACCUACUUUUCAUCCCGGUACAUGCAUGAUAAAUGUAUAAACAUGUAAUUUAUAUGAUGAACUCACCCUUUGAGGGGUGACAUAUGAUCGUAACUUUUGCAUGAUGAAACAAGAAUCUUUAUUCUUACCCAAACUCUACAAUGAAAAUUUUCUGAAUAACGGUCAUUGUGUCACCCACAAGUCUUGAGUUCAAGAUGCUUCAAGAAGGGUUUGCCCUGAUGUAAAUAAAGAUAGCACAUACAACCUAAGGAUAGGUUCUAUUCAUUAUAUGAACAUGGGAAGGUUUUCUACCUGGUCUCAAAAGAGUCUCAUAUCUGCCCAGUGACAAUCUUCAUAAAGACAGAAUAGGGUCGUUGCGAGAAAUGGUUAAAGCACGUAUACCCACCAUUACCAAGCAGGCACUCGGAUAUGAGUUGGGUGUUUCACACAUCUAAACCCUGACCAAUAGUCAUAGGGCAGAUCGCUAGUUCCCCACCUAACUUAAAAGCUUGUGUGUGCUUUCCAAAAAUUAAAGCAUGUUAUGCAUGAGGCAAUUUUAUACAAUGCAUGAACAAAUAUGUACAGAAAUUAAAACACGUAAGAAAUAAAAGGAAAUGCAUAUUAACAAUACACACAAAACUAAUCAUAAAAAUCAGACAAAAACAAUGCUUAGUCCACUAGGUCCCCAGCGGAGUUGUCAUUCUAUCGCACAUGUGCGGCAUCGCGGCGAUCGUCCACCCCUUCAAGAAAAAUUGUAAACGUCUAUCUGGCAAAUAUAGAGAGACUAGAAAUUUUUAUCUUUUAUUAGUAAAAAUUUUGAAUGGGAGUCACCACCUGGUAUUCUGGUCACUAGGAACCCUAACUGGUCUCAGAGAUCGGGUACGAAGACUGGUUGCGUAAAGAAAAGGUAUUAGCACCCAAACUACGCCCUACCUAAGUUAGGCUGCAUUGUUUUAAUGUCUGAUAAAAAAAACUAUGGUCUUAUUGCAUUUUCUAAUUGUUGGUCUGUCUAAGGUUCAAGAAAAACUCUCCUUAAUAUGGAGGUUCUUAUCUUAAUGGGGUAAAACCUAACCGUUCUAGCGUCCAAACAAAAAGAAUUUAAUAUCUGAAAUACGUAUUACGUGUAAUGUUGUACCCCAGAUACUAAAAGACAAACAAAAUAAAAUUUUUGUUGUUUUUGAAAUUUUGGUCAAUGUUCUCUUGACUAUAAUAAAUUGGUUAUUAAAGCCAAAAUGCAUGCUAAAACAUUGUUUUUUAGUAUAUGAAAAACACAAUAUGAUUUUUUUAGCUUUGAGACACUUGGCCGUAUACAAAAAAAAAUGAAGUUGAUGAAAACUGGGUAUUUUAAUACCAAAUUUGUAUUUUUACGAGAGAACAUACAGACCGAUAGUUAAACAAAAUAGCGUAAAACAAAAUACUGGAAAUCACAAAAUGUUAAAAAUAUAUUAUUAUUUUUUUGCUCGGCAGAACCCGGCUAACCAUUGUUGGGCUGGGCUGGACUCAGCCCAAGAUCAAUGAGCCCAGCCCACACCAGCUGGUUACUGUGAAUGAGCACAUCCUGCAUGGCGAGGGAAGAAACAAAAGCAAGAGGGUCGGAGGGUUUACCUGGAGAAGCCUUGGUCGUUAGUGAUAGCCAGCGGUGGUGGCGGUUCCAGGCGGCGGCGGUGUUGGUGGCAGCUCCUUCUUCUUUUUUUUCUUCUUCCUUUUUCUCUAUUUUUUCUUCUCAUUUUUGUUUUCCUUCUCUCUUUCUCUAUCUGUUUUUUUUUUCUUUCCUUCUCUCCCCCUCUUUUACUUCUGCUCUCUUCAUUUUCUCUCCUUUCUGCUCUUACUUCUGCUCUCUUCGUCUCCCCUGUAUUUAUAGGAAAAAAUAGGGGAGACAUAUGAAAGGGGCGGCCACUGUGCAGCCGCCACAUGACUGCUCGAGGAGGCACAUCUCCUCCAUUUCUCCAACACGUGGGAGGCCACGGGUCAGCUUAGAAAGUGGGUGUCCUUGGUCGGCAUCUUUUUGAGCUUUUUAGAGGAAGAAAAGCCAGUGAAAACAGGGGGAACAAAACUUUCUUCUUCCCCAAGGGAAGAAGAAAGGCUACAUUGCCGUUCAAAACAACACCGUUUUGAGCUUUUUUUUUAACAAUGUAUGACAUGGCGCCGUUUUAGCCAAAACACGUCAUUUCAUUUACAUGAAAACGGCGCUCAACUUAUGUCAAAGNNNNNNNNNNNNNNNNNNNNNNNNNNNNNNNNNNNNNNNNNNNNNNNNNNNNNNNNNNNNNNNNNNNNNNNNNNNNNNNNNNNNNNNNNNNNNNNNNNNNUGGUCCUUCUAUUUCUUCAUUUGGCCCCUGAUUUGGUUUAACUACAACCCCUCUAAAUACCUGCACAAAGUCCCCCGGGGGUGUUGAUGGGGGACCCUCCGAAGAUCAAGUUAGUACCAGGUAUUUUUUUAUGUAGCCAAAGAUAUUAAGGGAUAUGUAGCCAAAGAUAUUAAGGGAAGUAUUAAUGAGCUUUUAUGAAGAUAGAAAAGAGGAGAAGGAAGAAGAUGUAGAAUUAAGGAAGAGGAAGCAGAGAAUGUGUUUUGUCUAAGAGUAUAAGGUUUUCGAACCCCCUCCUGUAUAUUCAUCCUUCCUUUUAUAUUACCUGACUUGACUUACUUCAUACAACGUAGGAGGGGUAGAGAUGUAAUCUUGUAACAGUAAGAUAAUAUUAUCUUACUGAUUGUACCAUCACAUCUAGUUAAUGUAAGCAUGGACGGCUUGUUGUAUUUAAUGGGCAUCAUGAUUAUUAAUUCAGGCUCAGGGUAUGGGGGGCUCAGUGUAGAGUGACCCUUCAACUUCACACCCGAUCUGAGGAAUAUUGGGCUCAAUUCACACCCGAAGCCCAGGAAAAAACUAGGCACGGACGUAUCUGGUCCCAACAUGGGACUGGGCGUGGAUGCGUCCGCGCCCAAUAUAGAGUUAGGAGUGGUCGCGCCCGGGCCAAAUGUAGGACUGGGAGUGGACGUGUCCACACCCAACAUAGAGUUAGGCGUGGUCAUGCCUGGGCCCAAUCAUGGGACUGGGCGUGGAUGCGUCCACCCCAACUUAGAGUUGGGCAUGGUCGUGCCCGGGCCCAAUCAUCGAACUGGAUUAGGACACUUCCGCACCCAACAUAGAGUUGGGCAUGGUCAUGUCUGAGCCCAACACAGGAUUGAGCGUGGGUGUACCCUAACCCAACUUAGGGUUGGACACCCGAAAAGACAGCCCUAUUUUGGAUUAUGACUUUCGCGUGUUAUCUCUUAAAUGAGGUUGAUUUAAGAAACCAUGACCCAUCAGUAGCCCCCCAAGUGUGCUCAUUUUUAGAGAAAUGGGGAGACUUAAGACUAAAGAGAUUCCGGACCGAUCUUAGUUGAGUCGCGACCCUAGUCAGGCGUCUUUUAUACUCCCCUUAUCAGGGCCUUACUGGCGGGGAUGGUGUUCCCAAAGAGUUCAUUGUUUGACUCUUCAAGACGUGUUCCUAGUUCUUCCUCUAAGGAAUAUUGGACACUCACUACUGUCCUAGAGAAGUGGGUCCUAGACGCCACAAGGUUGUGUAACCCUGUUUGGACCAUUAGGAGGUGUUGAUGUAGGAGGGCUAGUUUCAGCACUUCUUGAUGUUAUAGAGGCUGGUACCCAUGCUAUCUUAGAGGGAUGUGGGUCCUCGACCGCACAUAGGGUGUGUAACCUGAGUUGGAUAGACGGUGUGAGCUUGAUAAAUGAGGUUGAUAUCUUAUGCUUUUAGGACCCACUUCUCUCGCGCGUUAUCUCUUAAAUGAGGUUGAUUUGAGAAACUGUGACCCAUCAGCUGUGAAUUCUUCUGGUCAAGCUAUGCCCUUCUUAUGCUUUUAGGAUUGCUAGCAUCAGGAUUUGUAUUUGGGGGUAUAGUGAUGAGAAACUUGGAUGAGAAGCCUGUUCAGACAACAGAAACUUUGAAUUUCGAUUUCACUAAGAUUACUCUAGUAGCUUUUGCGUCCCUAAUGCAUUUCUCUGGCAUAGGUGAUCUUUCUAGCCUGGUUGCUAAAGACAACAUAGAAGCUGGGAGGCAAGUUGGGGCUCGCAUUAUUCCUCAUGAUCACAAGCUACAACUCACAGUUUCCUUAGUGAUGCUCGAGUCUAUGUAAAAUCAAAAACUUGGCGUAUUUGAGGUAUUACUUCUUUAUCCUUUUUUUCAGCAUUUUGAAAGUUAUAAGUCUUGAAUAUUGCAAUACAUUCAUUGCCUUUCUUAUCAUUGAAUGUUAAACCUAAUAAAAGCUUCUUGAAAUUAAAAGAUAUUGUCUAUAUCAUUGGAAACUUUAAUAAGCCAUCAUUAUGUUUCUACAGAUUCUAGGUUCCUAGGUAGUUUAUUUUUCCAGAACCCAAUUGCAGUAGUAUUUUACACUUUGUUCUCCUUUAUUUCUUCGGGUGGGGGUUGAGCUCCUGUCAAAAAAGGGUAAAGUCAAUGCAAGUUGAAGUUAGCCAUGCAUAAUGCAGUUCAAAAGCCAGCCCAUGCGUGUGGUUGCCAAAAGAUAUAGUAUGAGUGGAGGUGAUUAGACUCGCAGUUAGGAUACUAUUCAAUCAACACCACAAGGUUCAUAUAGGAGGCCUUUGUGUCAGUCUUGUAGAUCUAGGCAUUAUGGCAUGGUUUGUUAUAGGCAGACAUAAGUCUGUUUAGUUACGAACAGACUAAUCACUUUAUUGAGGGAUUUUUCAAGCAGACAUUUGUCCACACUCGAUGCAUUUGCAUCGGUUGCAUCUCCUGUUUAGACUUAGUUAGCUAGCCAUUCUGUGUUUCAGGGUGGUCGUGACUAGCAGGGUCAUAGAGCAGGUGGUAGGUCAUGGAGCAAGUGGUAGAGGUUUUGUGCCAACGGGUUAGAGACAGAUGCGAAUUUUUGCCCUUACUCAGCAAGAUGCCUAGGCAUCCAACAUUGUUGUCUCAGGUACACUCUUUAUGAAAGAUUGAUUUGCUUAACUGUCUUUAUCUUCUUUGGAUCAACCUCUAUCCCAUUCUUGAACGCCACAUGUUCUAAAAUCCAACACUUUCUAACCCAAACUCACUCUUCGAGAACUUUCCUAUAAAACUGAUGAUCUUUCAGAGUUUGAGGCAUCAAUCUCAAAUUCUUUUCAUGUUUCUCUUCACUCCUCGAAUACACCAGGAUAUCAUUAAUGAACACUAUAACAAACCUAUCAAUAAAAAACCUACAAACCAUGUUCAUCAUGUCUAUAAAGGUCGUCGGUGCAUUCGUUUACCCAAAAGACAACACUAAGAACUCGUAGUGCCCAUAAUGAGUUCUGGAAGCAGUUUUAUGAAUAUCCACCUCUCCCACAGUGGUCACCUUCAGGAGUCAUCUGAUCUCUGACAUGUAUUCCACUACUUUAUGAUAAUAUGCUUAGUAUAUAUAUGUAUAUCAAGAUAAAUCGACUUGCAAACUAUUAAUAUCUAAAAUAUAUAUUAAAUGUUAUUCCCCCACUUAGUUUGUUGAACUCACCCCUCAUUUUUUAUAUUAUUUCAACUUCUUAAUUUAUGUUAGCAUGUGGACUUUGUUCAGUGUUCCUACUUCUUCAGUUCUAGUCGAUAUGUUUAGCAUGUUUCGCGAGACUUUCCUUUUAGUUUUGAUUUGAUAUAUUAAACGCUCUAUAAUUACUCUGUUUUAAUUAAGUUUGGAUUUUGACAAUAUAAUGAGUAUUAUGGAUUGUUGGUUUUAUUUUAAUUACUGAUGAAAAGUUUUGAACUAUUAUUUGGUUUCAUUAAUUUUGAAUAAUAUAAUAUUUUGAAAGAUUAUAAAAUAUUAUGUAUAUUUAAAUAAUUUGUUCUUUUAAUAUGUUCAUUCUGAGGUUUAGUAUAAGUGGGGUGUCUCGUUGGCACCUCUCCUGCAUUGCCAAUCAUGAAUCCGAGAUUCUGGUCGUGAUAAUAUUCUUUUUAAUAUACUAUCAAACUUAAAAGGGAAUUAGCUUAACUUAUCCUUGUGUUUUAAAUCUAGUUAGUUUAUAUAAAUCUAGUUGAUUUCAAUAUUAUAUCCUUAUAUUUUAGACCAUUCUUCAAUAUAUUCUUCUAGUUAAUAUUUCUGUGAAAAUUGAUAUCACUUACUUGAGAAUCAAACUUUCAUCUAAUUUAUUAAGAAAUAGUUUUGAAAAAGCAAAAACUAAAAUUCCAUAUUGGUUAAAAAAAUUUCCUUUUUCGUGGCUAUUUUUUUAGUAAAUUAGAUUAGGUUUGAGUUUUUCAUGUAGAGCAUUUUCAUUUAUAUGGAUGAAAAUAUCUAAAAUAAAAUUUGAUUAGGGAAUAACGUAGACCUGUAAGGAUAGAUUGAAAACUAGAAUAAAAUAUAAGAAUAAGAGCUGAUUUUCCCUAAUUUAAUGAGCAUAGAAACCAACCUAAUUUUAAUGAUUUGCAAAUAAAUCAUGUUUUUCAAUUUAUUAAUUUUAUAUAUAAAGUGUCUAUCUUUUUUUAUAGUCUUGCACUAAUUUUAUUAGGUUUCAUAACAAAAACUGCUCUAGAUAUUGCAAAAUAGAUUUUUUAAAAGAAAAAUGAUAUUGCUACUUAGUUAUAGUUCCAUCUUAAAAAAGUUUAUGAUAUUAUUUCUUGUAGUUAACACAAAUAAGAGUGAAAAUAAAAUUUAUGACGCAUCAAAAUAAUAAAAAUAUUUUUAUAUAAAAUUUCUAUCUUAUAUUUGUGUGUGUAUGUGUGUGUGUGUGUAUAUAUAUAUAUAUAUAUAUUCAAGGUAAGAUAAUAACUAAUUAAACAUUACUAGUUGGUCCGAAUACAUAGAAUUUCUCUUUUCAUCCUAAUUUAAUUGGUAAGAUAAUAAGUUAAGAAACUAUGGGCAGAGAAGCAAAAGGACCAAGAUGAACACUUCCAAAAGUCAUUUUGUCCACUUGGGUUUUGACUUUUGAGCAUACAAAGUCGAAAUGCUCAUGUGGCAAGACCUUAAUAAAUUACUGUUCAGUCCCUAUAUAUUUAAGAAACAAAUAAUUUUGUCCAUUUUGUUUGAAAAGUAAUUAAUUAAUCUUGACCAUAUUUUACUAUCAAGUCAGUAACAAAAAUUAAUGAAAAACUGGUUUUGGCUAUACAUAUCAUUAGCCAAAAUUAAUAGUUAAGAUUGUUUUUGUUUUUGCAUUUAAAAAAUAUUUUUGAAAAUUUUUUAAUUUAUUUUUGUUUUAAAUUAAUUUUUUUAUAUAAUUUUAGAUUAUAUUAUUGAUAUACUGAUGUCAAAAAUAAAUUUAAAAAAUAUUAUUUUAAUAUACUUUUAAGCAAAAAACACUUUGAAAAGCAACCACUAUUAUAAUGUCAUAAACAUAUAUGAAAGACAAGGAUUCCUAGACUAUAAUUUACUCCCUUUUUUUAUGCAUCUUGCAAUUUGUUUAUGUAUUAAGUUCAAAUUUUAGAACCAAUAUUCAAAAUAAAUUUAAAAAAUUCUCAAAAUAUACUAGAUGGAUAUUGUAAUUUUUGCUGGUUGAAAGAUUCAACUACAUGACCAAACUCUCAAAACACCCGAGGAAGAAAAUAUUUUUAAGCAAAACACAAUCUCUAAUCCUCCUUCCUUCCUUUGUUUCUGUAAGGUUAUCCUCAUGUUAACCAAUUCCGCAAAGACAUUGUUACAACAGCUUUUCAAAUGACUUGGUCUUGGGAUUGUAGUUUUGGCAUUUCUUAUUUUCUUUCCUGAAAAAAAAAAAAAAAAAAAAAAAAAAGAGUGAAAUAUUGACAACCACUGUCUUAACUUCCCAUCUCCUCCAUGACCUGCAUGUAGAGGAGUCUUGUUCAAUGCGUAAACAAACCACAAACUUAUUUCUGUUCUUGAUUUUCUAGCUUCUUCAUAUGUGCAUGAUUAGCAUUUUCCACCUUUUUUUUUCUUUAAUUUAAGGGUGUAAAACACACAGCAGGUGACACCAAAUCGCAUUGUAUUACGUUUUCUCUUCAAAUAUACCAUUGAAAGCUCCCACAAUGCAGCCCCUCCCGGCUCCUCAAGUUCUUGCUGGCUUCGGCUUGUGAACUACCUUUUCUCAACCUGAACUAUCUAGAUUGUUGGCACGAGAUGUGCUAACCAGGUCAUGAAAAAAAAUAUUCAAUCAUUGUUAAUGUUUUUUUAAUAAAAAAACCGUCAAAAAUAAUCCAAUAUAAAAAUCAACUCAAUAGAUUCAAAAAUAACCUAAACAACCAAUAAAAUUAUAAUUUAAAUAAAAAAUCUAAAAUGACAUUAUUUUUUUAAAUAUUGAGAUGACAAUAUAUUAAAUAAAUUCGGGCCAACCUUGUUAAACUUUCAAAUUCAAGACCUGAAAUCAUGAAACCAUGAAAACCAUAUAUAAAACAAAUCAAAACAAAUUAUAAAAUUCAAUUUCCAAUUAAUCUAAUUUUAAAGAAUACAAUUGAAAAAAAUCAAUUAAAUAUAGGAUAAAAAAAAACACAACCUAAGUUAAUCUGUCAAAUCUACGACUUAAAUCUUGUCUAAGUCUUAAGAAUAGAAUAACCUCAUAAAAAAUAAAUUAAAAUAAAUUAUUAAAAAAAUCAAUUAAAAAAAACACAAAAAAAUUAUCCAAAUCAAUUAGGAUUAAGUCGUCAUACCUAUAAUUUGAGUCACUAGACUGGACUAACCUCAUAAAAAACAAUUCAAAAAAAUAACAUGGAACAACCUUAGUUACCUUACCAAGUCACCACUCAGAUAAUAAGAUUAUAAUAACCUCAUAUAUCAAAACAAAUUAUAAAGUACAAUUCUCUUAUUGUUGAUAAAAAAAACAAUAUAAAAAAAAACACAAUAAAACAACUCGAGUUAACCCAGAUUAAUCCACAAAACUCAUGAUCCGGGUCAUAAAAUUAAAAUAACUUAAUAAAAAAUAAACCAACUGAAAUAAGAACAUAGAAAAUAAAUCAUAUAUAUAUAUAUAUAAACAAAAAAUAUUGUUAAAAUGAAUAGUGCCAUGCGCACACCACCUCUUUAAAAAAAAAAUUUAAUAAUUAGACAACUCCCACAGAUAAUUCAAUUCAGGGACACAUCAAGAGUUGGUAGAAAAAUUUCAGUAUAUUCCCUAGUUGUCGUCCUCGUCUUUUUCCUCUCUGGCUGACCAUCAUCAUCUGAACAGGUCUUCUUUUUUUUUUUUUUUGCGAAAUCAAAAUAUACAUUUAGUCCCCCGGUUAUUUAUUUAUUUAUUUUCAAAAAAACUACAAAUACACUAAACACAUGCAAGUACAAGAGGGAAGAAGGGAAAACUAUGAUUGAUGAAAAACAGUCAGAUAUACAGCGUGGUUUGAUAUGAUUAAAAGCGUAGUGACUAUUUACACUUCAACUAACAUGAAUGGGGGGCAAAACAAUCAAAACUCAAUACCACUAUUUAUCUGAACAGAAAAGGAAGGUUGGCCAACAUUGGAGAGAGGGGCAUCGAGUCUCAGAACAAAUCCUGAGCUCCCAACAUUACCAUUCCAUUUAGACCUUCCAAUCUGCAAAAGGGCCACAUAAAAGAAAUGGAUGUUAGACAAUGAUGAAUAAAUAACACCAACACUGCCCCUUAUCAUCAAUGUCUGAAUUUCAGAAAUGAUGAUUUGCCAUGUGAAUUUCAAAAUGAUGAUUUGAUAAGCUAGGGCUAUUCAUGAUUGCAAAAUGGGUUCAACUGUUGUCUUCACAAAGUAUCUGUAUACGAGAAAUUUUAGGAGGAUAGGUGAAGAUUCUUGACAUUAGUGGCCUCCUCAUGUAAACAAUAAUUUCCCAAAUAUUUCCUGAACUUUCUCACUCUCAUUUCAGUUUGUGACCCAAUUACCCAAUAUUUUCAAAAUAUUACAUGUAUCAGCCUGAAGUUUCACUUAGGAGUGGACUUCAUAUUGAUUGUCUUCUGAAGGUAGAAGUUUUGAGUAGCUUAGGGGAAAAUUCAAUGCAAAUAUCAACCAGAAUUUUCAUUAUGGUCACAAGUUGCACCCUGUUAUUUCAAAACAUGUGAUUUUCAUGCAUAUCAAGACUCUGGGCAAAGAAAUACAAUCCUAGGAGACCAUAUCGCAUAGAUGUGAAUGAUCAUGACACAAUGCAAUCCAACAAUAGAGGAUGUACGCAACUAUUCUGUCCCACAGAUGCACGCAUCUCCGCAACACAACAUAGCUCCACUAGGAAACAUUGUGAAUGAUGAUGAUAGGACAGACCAAAACUGGAUAACCCCAUCAUUAAGGAUUCCACUGGUUUGGCAUCCAUUGUCUACAUUUGUUUUCUCAAAUUAUUUUGGUGGACUUUUUGUGAUUUAGUUUUCUCAAACAGGAUGGUGAAUUGAUGGAUUGUCUUCCAAUUCAUUGUUCUCCCAGGAAGUUCCAGCAUUUAAACUUGUGCACACAUAUCAAUGAAAGUUGAACUAGCAAGUUGUACCUCUUCAUUUCAAAGUGGAUUAAUGGGUUGGAAAAGAAUUAGAAUAUUUCCUAUGGCAUGAAGGGUGCAUGCAAUUAAACCUGUGCAUCUUCAGAUUCUUUCAGUUACAAUGAAGAUAAUUUGACGUAUCUCUCUGUUUUACCUUUUGUUUUCAACAUUUUGAUAUUUUUUUAUCCUGCCAUUCACUUGAUUUUCAUGAAUAGGAACAGGUGCAAACUUCCUGUGUACCUGGGUCCCAUCCUGUUAGCUAACAAAGUAAAAGAUGGACCAAGAAACCAAAGAUCCUACCAAGCAGAGAUGUAUAGUCAAGAUAAGAAAAUAUAGACCAGUUACAACUUACUGAUAGCGAUGCAAAUGCGGAAGGGUGUGUCGUCGCAGCACAGCCACAUAUCAGAUUCAAAUGGUCAUUCACUGAAUGAAUCAGUUCUGCAUGCAACCCAGGAUUGCUUCCACCAAAAGUGGGGCACAAACUGACAAGAUGUCAUUAAGAGUAGAAAAGGUAAUUAUAUUUACUUACAGUACCAUAGAAGCUGAAACUUUUGCUUGAGUUUAAGUAUACACAACAAGAGUGAAGUGAAUACACCAAAGUAAAAAAGGCAAGGAAAAACAGGUUCUGCAAACAUAGGAGGACCACAUAUUCAAAUCAUAACUGGCAUGUAUAUUUUACCCUCAACAAGACCUACUUUGUUUCCACCAAUAUAAUUAUUCAUGCUUUUUCCAAAAGCAUGAGAUAAUUGAUAUCAGGAUACAAUCAGGCCCAAGAUGUAUCAAUAAGAUAAUUAAAGGCAGGCUGUCAUGGCCUAAUAAAACAAUCAUGUUCUCCAAUGGCCACCUAAUUGUCUAUAGUGGAGCACCACUGAUUAAAACAAGUAACUGAGAUUGACCACAGAAAAAAGCAGGUCCAGCCUUCACUUGGCAGCAUCAAGAAAUGCAGACUGACCCUGGUUUGUGAUGGGUUAACUAUGGACUCAAUGGACCAAAUUCUAAAGAAAUCUGUGGAUAACUAACGCCCAUUUUGUUGCUGGAAAGUAGUUUUCUGUUGGAAAGUGGUUUUCUUGGAAAGUGAAUUUCUGGAAAGUGAAUUAUUUUCCGAUGUUUGGUAGUGUCAUGAAAAAUAAGUUGGAAAACAUUUUCCAGUGUUUGGUUAUGUUAUGAAAAAUAGCUUAUUAAUGUUUUUUUUUUUCAAUUUUAUUAAAAUAAUGAGGAACAAAUCUUACAAAUUAAAAAGUUGAAUGAGAAUAAAAUUGAAAAAAAAUCUAAUUUCAUAAAUUAUCUCAAAUAAAAUAAAUAAUAAUGGAAAUAAUGGAAAUCAAAUCUAACAAAUAAAAAAAUUGAAAGAUGAUGAAAUUAAAAUAAUAAUAAUUACAAUUUCAUAAAUUAUUUCAAAUAAAAUAAGUAACAAUCAAAAGAAUGAGGAUUAAAUUUGAUAGAUAAAAAAUUUCAAUUAAAAAAAUGAUAAGAGAAAAGCAAAUAACAAUCAUAAAAAUAAGGACCAAAGUUAAUAUAAAAAUCAAAUUUUAUUAAAUUUUAAGGGAUGAAAUUAAAAAAAAAAGAUUCAAACAAAAUAUAUAUCAAUAAAAAGUUUGAGGACCAAAUUUGAUAUAAUCAACAAAUAAUAUGAUAUUUCUAAAAUUUUCACAACUUCCAGAUAGUGUUUUCCGCCCAAAUUUUCCAGGAAAACACUUUCCUGGAAACCAAGCCAAAUUUUCCUUUGACUUGAAAGUGUUUUCCAUUGACCAACUUUCCUAAUGGCAAACAAACACAAGAAAGUUUGGAAAGUGAUUUCCAGGAAACCACUUUCUGGGCAAACAAACGCCCCCUAAAAGGAGUACACAAGUAAUGUGUGGAUUGUUUCCUAUUAACCAUAGUCAUCUGAUGCCACUUUAUAAGAAGCUGGAAAAUGAUAGUUGCACUGUCAGUGUGUAAAGCAGUAUGUUAAGUAAAUGUAAUAGAACAAGCGCAUAAUUAGAGCACAAAUAUUUUUUGGAUGACAACCAGUAUUCAGUUAUCUUUGCUAUAUUCAUUUUCUCAAUGAAAUUUUCUCAGUUUUGAAGGAAAACUAGAGUGCAGUUUAAGUGUAACAUGGCAUCACAAUGAUCCCAAUGCAACAGAUAUGCUAACAUUCAGAAGUGAAGGCAUAAUUAGAGCACAAAUGGUAGUCUUAAACACAGAGUAUCCAAUUUUAUUUUUUUUAUUUUGUUCUUCACUGUUGCUUCUGCAGUCACCAAUGCAGGUAAUUCAGGAUUUACUAUUUCUGCUUUUCUUUUCCUUUAUUCCACCCUUUUUCCUUUUUUAAUGGCUAGUUCAUUGAGUUUCCUGGUUUUUGUAGAUUGUCCAGAAUUACAUAUAACCAGACCAAGGUACAAAAGGAACCACAGGAUAACUUAAAAUAACAUUUUACAAGGUACUUGGAGAGCUCUGCAAGCAGAAGUUAUUAAUAUAAAUUGAAGAAUCAGCCUGAGAAACCAUGUUCUUUUUCACAAAUUACUGAAGCACUUUCGAGUUCAAAGGCCAAAGUCAUUAAUAAGACAGCUACUUUGCUCAUCUCUUCCACAUGUAUGGAAAAACAAAGAGAGAUUGUAAUUUUAUUGAAAUUGAUAUGAAUGUAGAACUUUACCUGAACUGAGCAGUUGGCCUCACCAUAAGACCAGAUCUCUGCCAUGCCAAAGAUUGUGCAAAACCUAAUGUAAAGGAUUUGUCAGGCCACUGUACCAUCGGUGUGAUUCGUGUUCCCCACUUAUUCUGAUAAAUAUUCAGAACAACAGGCCUUAGUUCACACCAAAAUCAAUUCAGAGAAAUCCGCUAAUGUACCUUGAAAUCAUAAGUACUGGCUGACAAGUUCAAAACCGGACCUUACAAGAGAAGCUGAAUCUCAUUUCCCCAGGAUAUUGCCCUUGAGCUUGAAGAAGACCUCCGCAAAGAGGUGCAAAAGCACUGGUAGACAGCCCCUCACCAGAUACAUAAGUCAAUUGCCCAUUUGGAAACUGUAAAUCCACAAAUGACUGCAUGUUGAAAGAGAUCAAGGAAAGGAAAGUAAGUGAAAAAUUAGUUCAACAUAUUUUAAUACUACAAAAAGACACUAAUAACUGCAUCCAAAUCUUCAUGCUUUCAUUACAGAGGUUAUUGCUUCUGUACUCAAUAGGAUCACCAGGCAGCAGCAAAGGCAAGUAUACCUAUUUUGGAAGAGAUUGUGCUUGAGGACAGGAGGAAGGAUGGCAAGGCUGCUCUGAUAUUCUUACUUUUUCCCUUUUGAAAAUAAUUUCAACAAGCUCUCCUGCCCCAUCACUCAAACUAAAAUCUGAAUUUAGGAUUUCAGCCUAGUUAAAUAGAGUGUUAACUUCCAUCCAUAUCACUGCCUUGCACCACUUCCAAACCUAAGGAAUUUUUACUUGGUCUGACGAAGGGGAAAUGGCAUGACACUUGUUGAUUUUCAAGACAGUGAAACAACUACAAAAAAAGAAAAUUCAACUAUGAAACAUCAUGCACUGACAAAAAUGCACUUUUGGGGAAGGAUGAAAGAAGGAAAUUUGUUAGAAUGGGAAGGAUUUAUAGAAGAAAACCCCAAUAAAAAGAACCAAACACAAGAGAGCACUUUGAUUCUGUUGAAUACCAGCUAAACAAUCCUAAAGCAUUAUACCAUAAGGAAGUGUGGAACACAAUCCUAUCCCACAACAGUAACUCAAAGUCAAAGGAUCAUGCUUCCUGUAUCCACUUCUUCAUUGAUUCUACAAGAUGUAGAAUACAGCCUAUUGUUUUUGGCUACCCACACCUUUGAUUAAGCCUCUAAAAAAAAUGUGAUAAUUGAAACAUAAACUGAUUUUAAUGCCUUUCAUAUCUUAAAAGGAGCUCUAACUUACACAAGCUAUAGGAUUGAGACAUAGCAUUGACAUUAACAACCACCUUCGAUGCUUUGACCACACAGCUGGACACAGAGAAUGCAUUCCACUCUGACAAAGAAACAAGAAAAAUGGCACAUGAGAAGAACAAUUUCAUAAAGCAAUCAUUAAAAGACAUCCAAAUGCAGAUUCUAGUAUAGUACAAGGAAAAAAUUGAUUCUCAAUGAACUGUUCUGUAUUAAAAAACAAGAAGACAAAUCAAACAAAGGCAGGAAAACAUGAUCAACAACAGAAGAUCUUAAGAUAUGGAAGCUAAAAGGUAAAUAAUAGGUAUUGAUGGUGAAGUCUAUAUCAGCAUAUGCACCAAAAAACAACAAUUGUAAUGUCAAAAAUAAGUACAGAAGAAAGGUUGCCAUAAAGCUAACAACAUGCAACUAAUAGGAAUAGCAGGAGAUCAAUAAAACAAGUGGGAUUGAGCAAACAACUAAUGUUUAGCGAUACUUAAGCUCACGUCUUUAUAGUCCAUUACCAUUUCUUGUCAAGCUUCAGGCAAAAUCUGAAGCUUAAGAGCAAAUAAGUUUGUUGGAUAGAUGAGGUUUUUUCCUUGUUUGAUUGAAGGUUUAGAAAAGAAUAUCGAAAAGCUUGAGCAUCUUUUUCCACAGUUCUACAAUCGCAUCUAUUUUCACAUUUCAGCGAGGUAAACAGAAAAUUGGCCAUACCUUUCUAUCAUAGCCAUACCAAAGCAAGUGUUGCUUUGACAGAUGCACGGGCAGAAGAAAGGUUGAAUCACGCAAAAUCAGCACAGGUCCAAGCUGGACUAGGAACAGAGAUGAAUUAUCAUUUUCUGAUGUGGAACUUCCAUGUGAUGCCUCUACUCUCCAUAAAUCUCCCCUUGCAACCAAAGAACUCUCAAUGUUGUGAGUUCUGCUGUCAUAAGUUGAGGUAAUGUUUAUAGUCCCCUGCAUUCAGUGGAAAUGAAUCAUCAAAUAAACUGCACAAAUGGAAUACAAUUAAAGCCAAAUUGAUAGCCUUCAAUUAUGAUCACAAAAAGGGCAACAGGACAAGAACACUACAGCAGGGAAACUUUUGCUGUCCAUCUGUACUUAAAAUUCUUUUGGCCAUAAAAAAUUAAAGAGGAUAAAAAACUACAGACAAACAAAAUGAUUCAACUGAACCAAGCUCCAUGUUACUGCCCCCUUUACACUACUAUAUCAAACACAAUCAAGAUAAUUCAACUGAACUGACCUCCAGCCAAGAACAUAAGGUUACAUGUAAUCAUAACAUGUUAUUGCCCUUUUAUUAUUACCCCACCCAGUCUUUCAAGCAUUUCACUUAUGGUUGCAGAAUCUCCUAUUUGAAUAAAUAGCUACAAUGAAAGCAUGUAUAGAAAGAACAUUAUCAGACAACACAACCAAUUUUGAUACAUGCAACCAAUUCUUUUACCUUGUUGCCAAAAAGAACCAGACUGAAACAUACAGAGAUUGAAAAAAAAAAGAAAAAAAAAAGGAAAUUGAAAAUGAUACAUUGAGAAAUGCACAGGAAAAACAGUACAGGAAAAAAAUCGGGCAUGAACCACAUAAAGGUCUAAUUAGUGAGAUUAUGUCUACUUAAUCAAUGUGUUAAUGAUUAAAAGGAAUUAACUAAAAACAAAAAAAAUCACAAUAACGAAAAAAAAAACAAAACAGUGAGACUUAGUGGCUUCUGCAAGGGUUGCUUGAUGUUGUUCAGAUCAUGCAAAAUUUAAACAUCAAAGCAAAUUGUGCUUUGACACAUUCUGCAACAAGUGACAGGUUACACCAUAGAACCACUCCUUCAGUUGCAUAUAAUUUGACUAGAUUCCAUCAAAUGCGACCUUGCUACAAAACCAAAUCCAACAGGUAAUUCUAUAUGUAUGAUCAACCACAUUAUCCAAGGACAAGUUCUACUUAGAAACAAUGAAAACCACAAGGAUAUUAUACUCCUCUCAAAGCCUUUUAAGUUACUUGAAACUUUAAGUUAAACAUACAGCACAAAGCAAAAGUAGAUCAUUAAUGAGAACAUAACAAACACAACUGACCUUAAAAGGAAAGCAAGUCAGCAUUUGUUAGACAAACUGCUUCUAAAACAAAGCAUGUCUGCCAAAGGAGAAAGGAGGUAGGUGAUUCAUUUUUCUUUGUUUUAGACACAACCGUUAUCAAAUGGAAUGGCAUAAACUUCAAACGUUCAGUUGUUUCCAUAUAGGCACUACUAACUAGACUGGAUGCUGUACUAUUGUAAAAUUUGCACCAGCCAAUACUUCUAAAAAGACAUGGUCUUUCUCAAACAGGAAGUCCUAUGGCUUCCAAUGCAUAAUUGUUUCCAAAAAAGUCACUAUUAUCUAGACUGUGUAACAUACUAUUUCUGUGAACUUCCUUUCCAGACUUCAAAAGGUUGAAAAUCAAUCAAAUCACAUCCUCCAUAAAUCUGUGGAACCAAGAAAUUUUCCCAACCGAGUUUCAAAAGAUAAAAUAUCGCUUCCAAGCAAACAGUUAAACGGACAAUUUAAUUUAAAAAUCUAAUAGGCAAUCUAUUCCUUCAAUAGCAUUAGAAAAUACACAUAAAUUACCAUUGUUGUAUGAAAUAAGGACUUUCCACGCUAACAAAACAAACACAACCAAAUUCUUAAUCAAAAUGGCGUUUAAAAGUCAUUACCUGUGGUUUACCAAGAUAUCCCACACCCUUCAAAUUUAACCCUCCAAUCUCCUCUUCCAACAAGCCGUCCACUCCACCACCACCACCAUUAUCCUCCACAAACCCAAAAUCCCUCAACCUCUCACUAACCAAACCCAACUCUCCCUCCAAACCCAACCCCACCUCACUCCUUUUACCAUCCAUCCUCACCCCAACCCCCCCAGUCUCAUCCUGCUUAAACGGCACCGGCAAUCUCCUAAAAAACUGAUGCACCAUCCCAUUCAAAGCCGCACCAAAAUCAGCCCCAGCUUGUCCAAUCCUAUUUCCAACAUCCAAAAUCGCCGAAAACCCAUUUAUCCCAGAAUUAUCAGUCAAAACCCCAAAAUCCCCUUUACUAAAACCGUGUCCCGGAAACUCCACAUCGAAAAGCUUCGAUUUUGGAGGGUUUGGCCAAGAAAACGCAGGUGGGUAAGUUAUAUGUGACUGUAUAAGGCCUGUAAAGCCUUGAGCUAGCCGGUCUGCGAAGUCCUGGCCAUGCCUUUGGACCUCCUCCCAUGCUUCAAAUGAUCUUUCUACCGACAUUCGAUUGUGAAAUUCAAAUAUUCAUGUGAUUUUCACUAUUGGGCACUAGACAAAUUCGUUGAAAACACACAAUAUUGAAGGUUUUGGUGGCUUAUUAACAGAAAAAGUUUAAAGACUCUAAGGAUGAGCCUGGGUUAGGUGACAGUGGUAGUUGUAGAAAUGAUCGAAACUAAAAACAGCUUCAAUAUGACGAGAAAAAAAAAAUCCGCUUCAAAGAUAACAAAAACAAAGUUAAAAACAAAAAACUCUAACUUUGAAGUAGAAUCUGAGAAACCCUAAAGUCCAAAGCUAAUAAAUCAAACAAAAUUUCAAGCUUUGAUUUAUAAUUUGAGGCAAAAACAAAAAAAAAAAGACGUGAUUUUGAGAUCAGAAUUUUAUUUUUUUAUUUUUUUCGAUUUAAAAGGAAUGAAUUAUAGGGUUUGUUUUGCCUAAACAGAGGAAUCAAAGUGUGAAACUAGGGGUUUGAAGGAGAGAAUUGGGGCUUCGUGUUUUCUAAACAGAGAGUGGAGAUCGAUGAAGAAGCGAUUUUUUUAGUGUGAAAGGGGUAGAGCGUGAAAAUGUGCGCCGGGGGUGUAGUGCGCAUAUAGAUUGCUUUGCUGCCACGUUGAUGCUAAUACCUGUGUCUAGCUAAGGAUGGAGAUUUUAUUAUAGGGCGACCGGAAUGCCAAUCAAUGUUACGUGAUUGUCACCAUGUUGUUGUUUUUUUUUUUUUGGAAUGGUUGUUUUUAUUGUAAAAUUUUAAAAAAAAAAAAAAUUAAUUGUUUUUAUAUUUUUAAAUUAAUUUAAUAUGAUAUAUCAAAAAAAAAUUUAAAAAUAAAAAAAUAUAUAUUAUUUUAAUAUAUUUUUAAAAAAUAUAUAUUUUUAAAAAAACUGUUAUUAUCCUUCUUUUAAUUUUUAGUAUUUAUAUAGAGUUGGAAUUUGGAAUGAGAGUUUAUUUUUUUGUUCUUUUAGUAUAAUAAAAAAAAACGAGUAAAAUAUUAUAAUGGAGAAAAUAUUUAGAAAUAUAGUGAAUAGCGGAUGGGAUGUUCCAGCAGUGAGUCAGAGUGAUCUUAAGUUCAACAUAAUUGACAUCGUGAUAAGGCUUUAAGGUGGUAAUGAUUCCAAGGCUGCAACCUUGUCAGGGAAUAAUGGAGCUGGCUCGGUGAGCCGAUGGAUGGGAGGGUCUUCGUAUCAUUGUCUUGCCAAAUACAGAGAUGGUGAAAACUUUCUUUGUUGAUAAAUUCAUGUCUUAUAGUAUUCAACAGUGUAGUUGAGUAACAGACAUAUAUUGGUUUUUUAUAUAUAUAUUUUAAAAGUAUUUAUAAAAAAAAUUAGAAAUUUUUUUAAAUUUUUAUUUUAUUUUUUUCAUAUUAUUUUAAUAUACUUAUGUUAAAAUUAAUUUUUUAAAAAAAUAUAUUAUUUUAAUAUAUUUCUAAGUAAAAAACAUUUAAAAAAACAACUAAUAUCACACUUACAAAUAAACAUUGAGAUCUAAAGGGUCAAGACUUUUCAUGUUUUUUUAAUUAACGUGGAUGUUCGAGCCUACUUGUGCAUACCUCGACAAAUCUCACGGGCCUUGAAGUUAACGAUCAUGUAAGUUUCUAGUGACUCUGAGGUUUGUAAGACUCAAACUAAUGAUCUUUAAGAAACAAAUAUAGAAUCUAACUAGUUGUGUUAUACCCCUCAGAUUGUAAAUAGAUUGUGAUGCUUUUAUCAAGUUUUUGGCCUGGUUCAAUAAAUAUGUAUGUAUGCAUGUGUAGCAUAGAGAGACAAUUCCUUAACGAGAUUUAUUAAGCAAAAAUUGAUCCACGGUUACGUUAAGCUCAGAACAGUAAUAAACAUUGGAUCAUUGCCUUAGUUUUUGUUCAAGAAAAUUACAGAUUUUAUGGUCGGAUGCAUGCUACAUAGACUAACAUUUUUAGCCUUUGGCAUCUUUGUCAUCGUUAUCAUAGGAUAGAGGUAUACACUAACUAUCUGGUAUGCGCGUAGUUGUGGGCUGGCCUUUUUUUUAUUAUUAUUGGGCGCAGAAAAAAGAAUGUGCAAAAGUUUACAACGUGUAAUUUGGCUCCUAGCAAAAAUUAUAAUUGUAAACGCAUGUGUUUAUUUAAAUAGAUCAAGAAUUAUUUGUGAUAAUUAAUAAAAAAAUAUUAAUAAUAACUAAAAAUAAAUUAAAAUAUUAAAAAAUAAAUAUGUAUCAAGAUAUAUGAUAUCGUAAUAUAGAUAACGAACCCAAUUGUGUUGAAUAACUUUAUCUUUUAGAAUCAAUCUUUUAUUAACUCGGAUGAUAAGAAAAACACGCAAAAAAUGGUCAAAUUAAUCUCUCUUUUUUAAUGCAAAAAAAAAAUCCAAACAUAGUUAAUGUGUUUUUUAAGAGAGAAAAGGAAGUUAAUCAUGAAUUCAGAAUCUAAUGAAUAUUGAACAAUAUAUUUUUUUAAAAAAAGUACUGAGACAACAAUAUUUUAGAUCGAUAUGAGUAAACUGAGUUAAUUAACUAAGUCUGUGACCUUGGUCAUAAAACUGUAAUAAACCCAUAAAAAACAAACAGAAAUAAAUUAUGAUGGUUGGAAAAAAAAUCAAUUAAAAAAAUAAGAAAAAAAAACCCGCAUUAACCAAUGUUAACUUGUCAAACUCGCGAUUUAGUUCAUGUAUUCCAUUGGAUUUAAUAGCUUUUUAUUUUCAAAAUUAUUCUUUAUUUACUUAUAUGUCAACUAGAUGCAUGAGACUAUUUUUAUAUCAAAAAACAAGUUCAAAAACAAAAAAAUUAAAGCUGGUGUUUGGGACUAAAAUAACAACUUAAAAGGUUUCUUUUAAGUCAAAUAAAAACAAAAUACCUUUAAAAAAAAUGAUGAAAUAAUUUAUUUUUUAAAUUUUUAAGGGGUUAAAAACAUAUUAAAUUUAGAAAAUAAAAAAAUAAACCAGGCAUUUGGGCCUACCAACACUCCUGACCCAUAAAAAGGCCUGGCUUGCAUGUCUAGCCUAGGAGAAAGGCCUUCUGUCCCACUGUUAAAAGACGGACGAUGCGUCAUUUUCUCUAUUAUUAUUAUUUUAAUAUUCAAAGGAGGACGAUAUGGCACCCACCCUUUAAUAUAUAUUUUUUAAAAUGAUAUAGACAACUCGUUUGUUUGCAUACCUAGUUUCUAGUGACUAGGGGUUGUUGGAAAAUUAGGUGUUCAAUUUUUUUUCUCAAAAAAUCAAUUUUUAACCUAAAAAUCCUUCGAGAAAUCCAAAAUCAACUUAAAAAAACUUGAGAGAUCUUAGAAAAAACUUGGGGAAAAUAAGAAAAAUAAAAAGGAAAUCUUAUGAAAUUGUAAGAAAUAAACCUCUUAAACACUAAAUAAAGAGGAAUCAAGUGAGGAGAAGUAAAAGGAAGGGGAUUUGAGAGAGAGAUAGUCAUGGCAACAAGGGGAGAAAAAAUGGAAGAGAGGAAAAUGGAUAAAAAGGUUCCUCUUACAAAUUGUUUUUUUGAUUAAUUGUGAUUUGAAGUUGAGAAUUUUUUUUACUAAAAAUAAUGAUGUUUGUGAUGGGAUUAGAGGUGAUAGUUAGGUUUAUAAUUUUAAAAAAUUUAGCUUGACGAGUGGAUAUGAUGUUGAUAAAAAAUUUUAAUUUAAUUAGUGUUCUUUAGCAUGUAGAUUUAAUGGGUUUAGUGUUAAUUAAAAUAAAUUGAAGAAAAAAUAAAUGUUUUUUUAUACCUGGAAACUAUCGGCAAACACAUAAUGUUUAGGAGGGAAUUUUAAUGGGUUAAUUAAAGUAUUUAAUGCAUGGAAAUUAAAUGAAUUUGCAUCAUAAAGAAAAAUGGAAGGAAUGCGUGGAUUUUAUUUAUAAGGAGUUGGGUUAAUUAUAAAUAUUAUGAAUAGAUUUAAUAAAUUGUGUUAUUAAUUGUAUGUAGUUAUGUUGGAUUAAGGAAAUUGAGAAAAGAAAAGAUUGAAGAAAUAAUUAUAUAUAGUCAUGUAUUGAUUGGGAAUACCUUAAUAGUACUGUGACUUUCUAACAGCAGCAGAUAAGUGUUUAACACCUAUUUCAUAGUUUUUAUUAUUGGUAGAAUUAUUUUAAUUAUUAAAUGAAUUGUUAUUAAUCUAACUUGAUAUAUAUAUCAGUGGAAUAAGAAUAAGAAUUUAUAAUUUGAUUAAUUGUUCUAAUGAUGGAGGCUAGUGUGCCAAAGGCUUCUUGACAUCAACAUUAUUGAUUAGUCUUUUUUGAAUAAUAAAAAAAACUAAUGAUGUCAUUACAAGGGUAUUGAUAUAAGAAUUAUUAAUUAGUCGAUCUCAAAUGAAAAGGAAGACAAGGAUAUUAACAUUGAUAUUUAUUGAUUAGUCAUUCUUGAAAAAUUAAGAAAGACUAAUGAUAUUAACACAAGUAUAUUUUGAUAUCGACAUUUAUUGAUUAGCUGACUAGUGAAUUGAUGGGUAAUUAAUGAUACCAGGUGAUUUGAAUCGGUAUAUUUUUUUAUUAACCAUAUUGAGAUGAAAAUGGUUAAUGAUAUCAAUUCAAAAAUUGAUAUUAGUAUUAAGUUAAUGAUACAUAUAUUAUCAAGUAAAUAAUAUGUAGUAAUAAUGAAAAGAUAGAAGUGAAAAUAUUGUUUUAUUUCUUUGUUGUGGGAAUUAUUUUAUUUACUUGAUUUGUUUAUAUUAUUUGUUGUUUUAUUUUCAAGUUCCUACGUUAGUUUCAAGAGUAGAAUACUUCAUGUUUUAAUUCAUGUAAAUAUAAUAACAUUAGGUCUAUUUUGGACUUAUAAGACAUAUGUAUGAAUACUAUAUUAUGAAGAUGUAAUUAGUAUUGUUAAUUUUUUUAUUGUAAAUAUAUGUGAAUUAAAUGUUUAGGACAUUAAAGUUUUGUGUUAUAAUUGUAGGAUAGAUAUACAAUAACAUAUUUUCAAGUAUAUGAUGUGUGGUGUGUGUGUGUGUGUGUAUAAAAGAAAAAAAUUAUUUUAUUAUGUAAUGUUAACAUUUUAUGAAGUAAUGAACUUGUGGGAAAUGUAUUGAUGUGGAAAUGAUACAGGAGAUAUUGGAUCAAGAAAAUAGAAACAUUAGGUUGAGAAUUUUGUCUGUGAAACAUGGAAUUAUCGAUAACUUGGUAUAUUCUAUUUUAAGAAAAACUCUGUUGAAAUUUUGAUAAAUAUACAAUAAUAAAAAAAUCAGUUUACUAUUAAUUAAUAACUAAAUUGAUUGAAAAAUAUGUUUAAGAGUUGGGUUGUUACAAAAUACCUAGACUAAACUCUCUUAAUCGAAAGGAAUCAUUUAACACCAAAAUCAAUGUUUUUGUUGUUGUUGGAAUCAGUGUCAACCAAGAGUUCCUUUCUCAAACCAAAGAUUAAAAAAAAAAUAAUGUUUUGGACCAAUUAGGCCUUGAAUUUUCUCCAAAAUUACAGCUUGAUUUUUUUUCUAUUUUUGUAGUACUCCUUGAAUUGCUUUCUCCAUAUUACCAGCCUUUAUUUUAUUUUUUUUAUUUUUAUUUUGAAAAAAGGUGAUUUUUUAGGAAUAACCCAGAAUUGGGUUAUGACAGUUACAAAACACUUAGACUAAACUCUCUUAAUCGAAAGGAAUCAUUUAACACCAAAAUCAAUGUUUUGUUGUUGUUGGAAUCAGUGUCAACUAAGAGUUCCUCUCUCAAACCAAAGAUUAAAAAAAAAAUGUUUUGGACCAAAAUUAAAUUUACAAAAUAUUGAGGAACUAAGAAAUUAUAAGUUGAACAAUAGGAGAACCAAAGUAAACUUUCAAUCCAAUUUUGAAAUUGCCUCCCAAUUUCUCCUGCCUUUUCAUUUCAAUCUUUUUUCUUUCAUUCUUACUCUUCCUUUACAAAUUGAAAAAAAUUAUCUUCAUUGAGUCACGGAAGGAUGAAAUCGCCUAAAAACAAGUUUGAUGACCAUAAUUAAAAAAAAUAAAAAAUUUACACAAUGAAAUGAUUCUUGGUCCAUAGUGAAAAAUCCUACAGUUUUUUUGUCCUGCCUUUUGGAGUUUCUUAUAAUAUGAAACUCGAGUUUGAAUUGUUGUUUACUUUUAGAUACAACUAGCCUUGUACUCACUCUACGCUGCGGGUAGGAUUUCAAUCUAAUUCUUAAUGCAAUAGAAGGAAACGAUUAUGUUAUAGAUGGAUUUUCAUGUAUAAUAAAAAAAUUUAAUCAAUAAAUGAAAAUAUAUUUGUCAUGCUUUAUAAAAUGAAACAAAAAAAAUUAUGAACUGAAAAGUAAAUAAAAAUUGUUAACACUAGUUAAAAACUAAAGUAGAAACUGGUAAGCUAAUCUUCAUAGUUGAAGUAGAAGAUAGAUGCACAUAUAAAUAUUUUAUAUUGAUUUUGAUUUUAUGCAUUUUCAUUUAUUUCAUCUUGGAGGCUAAUUUUCAUUUAUUUUAUAAAAAUAUCAUAUAAAGACAAUUAAUUUAUAGUAAUAUAAAACAAGACAAAUUAUAGACAAAUUAAAUUAAUCUUUUUAGAACAUUAUGAAACUAAAAAAAAUGUAAAUGGAUCAAUCACUAUUUUAAAAAAAUAAAGUAAAACAAAGCAAUUUAAAAAAAUAAAAGAAAGGUUAGCCCUUAAUGAGCCUAAAAGGCUAGGUCUCUAAUAAAAAAUCCUGGGCAUGAAGUCUAGGAUUGCACUUGGAUUUGUUUUCCAAGGAGGGGACAACAUCCUCCAAAUUUUUUUUCAAUAAUCGAGUGACAAAUCGCUUGUUGGUAAAUUAUCUAAUUAUCUCUCAUAAGCAAAAAUUCAAGGUGUAAGCUUUUGAACCCAAAACCCAAUUUUUAGAUUGUUUUGACAUGAAAAAACCUCAAAAACACCAUAUAUAAACCUCAAAAAACCAAUUGCCAAUCCCAAAAAAACCCAAAAUCAUUAUAUAAAAAAUGAAAAUUGAACAAAUAAAAAAACUAAAUCAAACCCUAAUUUAGUUUUCUAGCAUGUUCAUAGAGAAACAUAACCCAUAUUGCACCACUUUCAAGAAAAAAACUUGUUGACACCAAUCUCGACCUUUUUUAUGGCUGGAAUAUUGCUAUUCAACCAUUUUCUCUCUCCUAAAAACUUUUCGAUGAUAACCACCAGAAAAUUGGUGAAUACAAACAGAAACACCGACAGAUGUUUUGUUGUUGAUAUUUUGCUGUUAUAUUUACUGAUCGAAUUUUUCCAUCACUAAACCCAUUAGUAAAUACCAAUGAAAAUAUGUCGUCGGUGUAUAUCGAGGGAAUCACAAUCGGAAUAGAAGGAAUAAAAAAAUUCAAACAAUGCGAUGACGUGUAAGUUUUUAUAGACAUAGUUAUCGACAGAAUUACAGUUGGAUUCAAAUAAGCAAACCAUAUAGUGACAUGGCAUUAAUACAGAUAGAAUGAUCAAUGGAGUCACUGUCGAUAAAUCUAUCGGUAAUAUUUAAUAUAUGACCUGCUGCUCGAACCUCCUCUCCCCCUCCCCCCAUUUCUACUUCUUCCUUGUAAAUUUUCUAUGCAACAAAACAACUCCCCUCAAUCUCAACACAACUCAACCUACCAUAACUUUUUGAGUCACAAUAACACUCUAUUUGUCAGCAUCCAUGUUUUGAUUAAAAUUUUAUUGAGGAUUCUCCACCUUAAGUAAGCAAAUCUAUCUUCUUCUUCUUUUUAAUUUGAAUAAAAUUUUAAAAUGUUAAUUAUUUUUUUUACAUAUUUUUAUAGUAUAUGUAUUUUUUUUUGGUGUUUACUUGUUUUAUUGUUUUUUCUCAAAUAAACCUGUUUUAUGAAUUUAUGAUUUGUACAUGUUAUGGUUUGUUUUAGAUUUUGUAAAAUUAUAUUUGUUUGUAAAUUGUUGAAACUUAUGUUGAAUUACCAACUUAGGUGUUUUAUAGUGAAAUAAAUAAUGGCUUGUUUAACUGGUUUGUUUUAGAUUUUGUUAAUUUUAUUUUCGAGUUGGAAUUUCUGUUAAUGUGUAUAAAUUUGUAUCUACGUAGAAAAUUGAUAAUGAAUUAAGAGAAUUAUUAAAAUAUGUUGAAUAAUCUUGAGUUAAACCAAUAUUUUUGCAAAUUUAUUUAGUUAAUGUAGUUUAAUUAAUAUAUGUUAUCAUCAUUAUUUGAUAUAGAUUCAAUAGAAUAUGUGUAAAAAUAUCUAAUUAGAGCAUUACGUGUCCAUGCAAAAUGUGUAAAAAUAAAAAGUUUAUCGAUCCAAAUAUUGUAACGAUGCAUCUUGUGCAAUAGAGGAAUAUCUGUGGUGGUAUGCACACGGAAAACCAUUUGUUUCUUACGAGAUCAUGGUAGAAAUGAUGGUUAGGUCAACUUCUAGUGCUGACAACGUGCAUGUAGUUGAAGAUGACAAUAGUAAUUCUUAUAGGACAAUGACUUUCCCUCUUAGCUUUCAACAUUUAUGGAUUGAAAAUUAAAAAAAAAAUACAGUUUGGUACUAAAAUGUGAAUCUCUAAAAUAAUAGGGACUAGAUGAUAGGAAAUCUGAAACUUUAGGGGUUGAACCGCACCAAAAUCUAAAUGGGGCAUGUAUUUUAUUCAAGAAGAAAAAUUAAUUGUGAAUACAAAGAACAAUAAAUAAAAAAAACUUGAGAUAAUCCAAUUGAAAAAAAAAUGAAGGACAAAACAAUGGAGGUAGAUAGCAAAUAAAAAAUUAAAUACUAAUUUUCAAUUAAAUAAAUUUCAAAGGAUAAAAAUGAAAAAACAUUAGCUUGAAAAAAUGAUAUAAAAAAAAAAACCAAAUCUAUCAUGGGUGAAUCUUCUAGAGCUGGAUUAAUUUUCCAAACUUGUAACCUGUAAAAUCCUAGACAUGGGCUUAACCAAGAAGUUCAAAUCCAAACUAAUUUAAUGUUGAAGGAUGAAAUUGAGUAAAAACAAAUACCAACCUAAAAAAUUUGGCAAAAAAAAAAUAACAAUCAAAAUAAUGAAGGAUAAAAUAUGACAGGAAAAAAAAUAAUAGAGGGUGAAAUCUAAAAGAAAUUCAAUUCUAAAAAUUAUCUCAGAUUAUAUAAAUAAUAAUUAAAAGAAUGAACACCAAAUUUGACACAUGAAAAAAUAUAAAUGAGGAUAAAAUUGAAACAAAAUACCAUUUGAAUAAAUUAUUUAAAAUAAAACAAAUAUUAGCCAAAAGACCAAGGACUAAAUAAAAAAGACUCGAAUUAUAUAAAUAGCAAUUAGAAGAAUAAAAACCAAAUUUGAUAAAUGAGAAAAUUGAAUACAGAUGAAAUUGAAAUAAAUUUAUUUUCAUAAAUUAUUUCAAAUAAUACAAAUAUUAACAAAAAAAACCAGGGACUAAAUCAAAAAGUAAGAGAAGUUAAAAGGAUUAUUUGAAAAAUUACAAGGCAGGUGUAAACAUCAAAGAAUAGAGAGAGAAAGAAGAAGAAGAAAAAGAAAUGGUCGCUAGAGCCAAACCGAAUAGUCGUUUGGUGUAUACGCGGUUAGUACAUGGAGGAAACACCGAGAAUAAUCAAACGUUGUCCCAGAACAGUGUUUUUUGCCACCAAAAUCAUCCACGCGCAUCGUUUAAAGAUGACAUAGCGGCUAACACGUGAACAAUUUUUUUUAAUGCUUUUAAUCUAUCAAAAGACCAAAAUGCCCCUAACUUUACCCAAUAACAAUGAAAAAACCAAAACUACAAUGACAGAAAUACCCUCACAACCAGACAUAAAAAAAUGAACUUCAAGAGUAAUUAAGUAUGGACUAUGCUUAUAAAAUGAAAAAGAUGAAAAACCCCUCAUUGUCAAUUAAUUGUGUUUUUUUUAUCUAUAAAGGCAAAUUGAUUAUUUUGUUGUGUACAUUUAAUAUAAAAGUACAAAUAUAACCCACUAUAGCAUCCAAGAAUUUCUAACCUUUAAAGGUAUUAAUGUUAUUUUAUUGUGUAUUUGAAAAGAAAAAUAUUUGUCUUGCCCUCAGCAAUUUGAAAAUGCUGAAAUUAUCUUAUUGCAUUCACAAUCAAAACCCUUAUCCAUUAGCAAAUGAGUGCAAUGUGGUAAAAACAUUAGUGGUAGGGUCAUAGUGUUUAAUUUAACUAUCCUUAUCAUUUUUUUUUUUUAAAAAAAGAAAAUUCUAAUUCUAAUGUUUCCUCAACUGCUUUGCCUCAGAUUGAAGGGUUUUCAGAUUGAUUGCAUCUGAAAUUCAAGAACACCUCGAGACUCUAUUUUAUACAUAUGAAUUAUGAGUCUGAAUUUUCACUGAAUAUUAGACCCAAAGUUUUCUCAAUUGGUUUGCAUUAGAUUGAGGGAUUUUGAGAUUGGAUGCACUUUGGAAUAUAUAUAUAUAUAUGUGUGUGUGUGUGUGUGUGUGUGUGUGUGUGUGUGUGUGUGUGUGUGUAGCUAUAGAAGAAGCAGCAGGAAUGGAAGCUGGAAUUCUUCCAUGUUAAGUUAAAGGUCUUGUUCGGUGGAAGGAUGAAGGAUAGAGAUGGAAAGAGUAAUCUGAAAUGCUGGAGGAGGAAGGAUGUAAAGCAAUCCUUCUUCUCUCUAGUUUUUUGGUUGGGGCAAGAAAGAGGAGGUCAAAGCGAAGACUUGAAGGUGAAAUAGAAAAAUCUUUUUCCUUCCCCUUAUAAUAAUCCCUCUUUAGAAUUGGAUAAUAUGAACCUAGAAGAAAGGGAUGUAUCCUUGUUUCCUGCUGAGUGCAUGUCCGCCCAUCUCCAUGGCUAAGAGUUCUGACUGUCAGAAGCAGCUUGUCCAUAAAGUGAGGAAUAGCUGAGAUGAGAAUCUAAUGAUGCACGUCUCGAGGGAAAAUGAGGGUAAAAGAAGCUGGUUUAGCAAUGUUAAGGUUAAGGAGAGGGGGCAUCAGUUGAGGACAAGGUAACAGAUUAUUGUCAAAGGUGGUCGUGUUCUAUGUGAGCUAUAAUGCGCCCUUGCAGGAUAAUAAUCAUAUCAAAUAAAUUAAAUGGGCCAAAUAAAGAGUGAUGUGAGUUGAAUUAGUGUGAACUAGUUACAUGUCCCUGCAAUGCCACGGGUCAAUUAUUUUUUACAUUUCAUAAAAAGUUAAGAUCUAAAAGUAUUAGGUUUUUUUGCAAAGUUAUACCAAGAGUCUUAGGUUUAGUUGUAACGCCUAAUCCAAGAGUAAUAUUUAUAAUAUUAAUAAUAACAUUAAACUUGCAUGGCCUAAAUUUAAGUGGGUUUGACUGCAAUACCAGACCCAAUAGCAUUGGAUGUGGGUCUAGCUGCAAGGUCGUGUCAUAAAUGUGUGAUAAUUAAAUAGAUUAGUUAAAAAGAAAAAAAACAAAGAAAAACAACCAACAGGAAAAUAAAAACUAAUGAAGAAAAGGAAAAAAAAUAUGAAUUAACUGGGUUAACCCGUCAUACCUUGAAUUCGCAUCGUGAAAGUUUGAUAAUUAAAAAGGAAAAAAAACAAACUAAUGGGUUAACCCUGAAUUAACUGGGUUAACUCGUCAAACCAAGUUAACCUGUCAAACUUGGAAUCCUUGUCAUGAAAGUUUGAUAACUAAAUAGAAAAAAAAUUAACAUUAACAAUUUAAAUUAAACAAAAUAAUUAAUUAAAAAGAAAAAAAAACAAAAGGAUGAGCCUUUUCACUGUGGACUGCAUUGUGCAGUCCACAGUCAAAUGCAUAAAAAGAACAAAAAAAUAAAAAGAAAAACUAAAGGCAUCAGCGGAGAACUACUUAGAAAAAACUUUAAUAUUAAUAAACUAAAUUAAUUAAAUAAAAUUAAUUAAAAAUAAAAAAUAAAAGAAAAAAAACCUCUAAGAAGAAAAAAAACUAAAUAGAAAGAAAUUUAACAUUAACAAACUAAACUAAACGAAAAAAAAAAAAUUCAGGUUAACUCGUCAAACCAGGUUAACCCGUUAAACCCGGGAUCCGUGUCAUGAAUGUCUGGUAACUAAAUAAAAAAAAUUGAACAUUAACAAACUAAACUAAACGAAAAAAAUUAAUAAAAAAAAUUAAAAAAAAUCCGGGUUAACUCGUCAAACCAUAUUAACCCGUUAAACCUAGGAUCUGUGUCAUGAAAGUCUGAUAACUAAAUAAAAAAAUUUAACAUUAACAAACUAAAUUAAUCAAAAAAAAUUAACGGGUCAACCCAGAAUUAACUGGGUUCACCCGUGAAACCAGGUUAACCCGUGAAACUCGAGAUAUGUGUCAUGAAAGUCUGAUAACUAAAUAGAAAAAAAUUUAACAUUAACAAACUAAACUAAAUGAAAAAAAUUAAUGAAAAAGAAAAAAAGCAAAAAAAAUAUAUUUCUGGGUUAACUUGUCAAAUCAGGUUAACCCGUUAAAUCCGGAAAACGUGUCAUGAAAGUCUGAUAACUAAAUAAAAAAAAUUUAACAUUAAUAAACCAAAUUAAACAAAAAACUUUUGUUAGAAGAAAAAAAAUAAAGAAAGAAGCCAAAAAAAUCCUGAAAGGCAUAAAAAACAGCUAAAAAAAUAAGACAACUUAAAAAAAAAAAAAAAAAACGGAUCAGUGUUUUACUAUGGACUGCACUAUGCAGUCCACAGUAAAACACUGAUCCAUUUUAGUAUAUGUUACAAUUAAUUAAAAAGAAAAAAAAAUUUGGUUAACUCGUCAAAUCAGGUUAACCCGUCAAACCCGGGAUCCGUGUUAUGAAAAUUUGAUAACUAAAUAAAAAAAUUAACAUUAACAAACUAAAUUAAACAAAAAAAAUUUCAUUAAAAGAAAAAUACACAAAGAAAAAAGCAAAAAAAAACCCAUAAAGGCAAUAGAAAACAAAAAAAAACAGAAAAAAAAUGGGGAAAAAAUAAAAAAGAAGAAGAAGAAGAAGAAAAAAUGGGAAAAAAAGAAAAAAAAACAGAAAAAAUGGGGAAAAAAAGAAGAAGAAGAAGAAGACAAAAAAAAAAGGGAAAAAAAACGAAAAAAAAAAGCUCAUCUUUUACUGUGGACUGCACUGUGCAAUCCACAGUAAAAGACUGAGCCCUUUUAGCUAUUGUUAUAAUUAAUAAACCAAAUUAAACAAAAAACUUUUGUUAGAAGAAAAAAAAUAAGGAAAGAAGCCAAAAAAAAUCCCGAAAGGCAUAAAAAACAACUAAAAAAAUAAGACAACUUAAAAAAAAAACAAAAAACGGAUCAGUGUUUUACUGUGGAUUGCACUAUGCAGUCCACAGUAAAACACUGAUCCGUUUUAGUAUAUGUUACAAUUAAUUAAAAAGAAAAGAAAAAAAAUUUGGGUUAACUCGUCAAAUCAGGUUAACCCGUCAAACCCGAGAUCUGUGUUAUGAAAAUUUGAUAACUAAAUAAAAAAAUUAACAUUAACAAACUAAAUUAAAUAAAAAAAUUUCAUUAAAAAAAUACACAAAGAAAAAAGCAAAAACAAAACCAUAAAGGCAAUAGAAAACUAAAAAAAUGGGGAAAAUGGGGAAAAAAAAAGAAGAAAAAAAUGGGAAAAAAAGGAAAAAAAAACAGAAAAAAAUGGGGGGGGGAAAAGAAGAAGAAGAAAACAAAAAGAAAGGAAAAAAAACAAAAAAAAAACUCAUUUUUUAUUGUGGACUGCACUCUACAGUUUACAAUAAAAAACUGAGCCCAUUUAGCUAUUGUUAUAAUAUAAUAGUUCUUGCCAUAAUUGUUUCUCCAAAAACAAAAAAACAGAAUGGAGUCAAAGGAACCAACCCCAAAUAGUACAGUAUGGAUUCUUGCUCCAUGUUUGUAAUUUGACUUUUGAGAAUUCACGUGAAUCUUUUUGCAGAUUAAAUGGCAAUAUAACCAUUAUUAUUAUUAUUAUUAAAAGAAACUAGAAAGGCUCUUGAUUAUACUGUUACUGUGUACUUUUUCAUAGAUCACUAUGAAUUGAAGUAGUUUUUUUAAUUUAAUUUGAUUUUUAAAUUUUUAUUUUGCAUAAUUAGUUCUUUUGAGAUCAAAUUAGCAUUUAGUUGCAUAUUUUUUUGGGAAAAAAAGUUGAAUUAAAAAAAAGCCUAAAAUGAAAAAGAAGGAUAAAAUAGACGGUAAUUUUGAAAUUUGUUUGAAAAACACGUUUUAGUCUCCCAUCUUUUUUUAUCUAUCACAUAACUGGUCCCUUUGAUUUUAAAAAAUUUAAUUUUGUUACCAAACAUUAUUUUCUUUAUUUUUCAAUCAUUUUUUCAUGGGAAUAGAGAAAAGGGCUUAUUAGAUUCCAGCUUAAAGAGAAAAAGUUGACGUAACGACGAUUCCAACCACCAAAACAAUUGAUUUUAUGCCAAAUAGUUCCAUGUGAUGAAAGAAGUUCAAAUAAGAUAUUUUUUUCUUUUUACCUUGAAAGAGCCUAAAAAUACAUAUUUGAGCUUAAGAAGAUUUUUUGUUCAGAUUGUUUGGUCUGACUUAACAGCUCCUAACCUCAUUCUUAUCUUUUUUUUUAAAAAAAAUUAAUAUUUUAUGUCUUUUUUAAAAUAAUUUUAAGUUUAUAUUUUCAUUAAUGCUCAAAAGAAAAAUCAGGAACCUUGUUUUUCAAUCACUGUGGAGAGCUCUAGAUAACGCAUUAUUUAUUUUUUUCAAAGUAAAUUGGGGCGAACAACAUGUCGUCCACUCCAUUAACUAUAAAAAAAUAAAGGUCCGCACACGAGCUUUUUUUUCAUAGGUGAAGUGUUUGGUCUGGCUUAACAGCUCCUAACCUCAUUCUUAUCUUUUUAAAAAAAAAUUAAUAUUUUAUGUCUUUUUUAAAAUAAUUUUAAGUUUAUAUUUUCAUUAAUUCUCAUUAUUUGUGAUUUUGUUUUUAAAAAUAAAAAUUAUUUUUUAAUUAUAUUGGAUGUGUUUAAUUUUUGAAGAGGUUAAUAUAAUUCAUCUAUGAUUUUUUUAUAUUUAUAUAUAUUUAUUUUUUACAAUAUUUUAAAUAUGUGCAGCAUUGCAUAUUUUUUUUCCUUUUAUUUUAUUCAAUAAAUUUUAUAUGCAUGUCAAUUUCUAUUACAAAUUAAUUUAAUAAACACAACUGGGUAAAUGACCCUUGUUGCGAUAUUAAAUAUCUUGAUCUAUAUUUUACUCUUAAUUUUUCCAAUUUUGUUUUUCUUUAUCGUUAAUGAUUUUUUUUAAUAUAUUUAUACAAUGGUUCUUAAUUUAUUUAAUUAGAUGCUUGUAUAAGGUUUUCAAUUACAUUUAGAAAAACAAAUUUAUGUAAAAAAACAUGUUAAAAAAUUUUAUAUAUUUAUUUUUUUUUAUUUACUAAUGUUUUCAAUUUGAUUCUUAUUCUUUUGAUUUUUAAUUUUUUUUCCUUAACUUUUUUAUAAAAGUUUUAUUGUUUAUAAUUUCACCCUUCAAACCAAGUUUAUAGUGUUUUUUGUUUCAUUUUGUCACUCAUUUUUUUUAAUUUUUUUGCUUUAUAUUUUUAAUCUUUUUAUUUUGGCUCUUAUUAUUUUGAAUUUUUUUUUUAAUUUUAUCAUUUAAUAUUUUAUUUUCUAGGAAUUAAUUUUUUUAAUUUUUUCAUAUAUAAUGCUGUAGUUUAAAAAGCUAAUAAGGGUUAAUAUUUUUUUAAUCUUAUUUUAUUUCCUAAUAUUACUAUUCGACGUUGUUUUUUUAGUCAUCUCCCAAACUUUUUUUUCAUGUUAAAAAUUUUUGGUACAGCAUGCAGCACUACCCUAGCCACCAAUCUAAUUACUGUUGCAGUAAAGGUAUUUCUAUGUUUUUUUUUUUUUUUUUGAUAAACCUCGUUUUACCCUGGAAUUCAUCGCGGUGCUACUUUCAAAUUAUAGCUGCAAUCUUCUUGAGUAAAACAACUUUUUUGGUCCAUGCAUAGCCUCUUGAUUGUUUUCAGGAAAUAAUCUAUUGACUACAGUCCUCAAGGAUGGGACUGUUGCGUUGUUCAUCAAGUAUGAGUGAUAUACUUAGCUUUCUUAGCACACGCUCUUCCCAUCUCAUAAAUUCUUAUCUUUUGUUCCUUCUGCUUAUGUCGAUCUUCAUGUUCUGUAAUUCUCUUUGCAGGUCUCCAGAUGGUAUUUGAUUUUUUUAAAAGGAGGCCGCGGCGGCGGCGGCGGCUGCUGCUUUAGAAGGAAAUCAAUAUUAAUGUUCUGAUCAACAACGCUGGUGCAUUUGUUGGAUGCUCACUUGAAAGGAGUAUACUUGCAACUGUACAAUUUCCACAUUAUAAUUCAUCGCUGAUGAACACAGCGUUUGCGAUUGUAGGUAAGAGGUCUCACUGUCUCUCUCACUAUCGCCCGCGCACACACAAACGCACUGAGCCAUUUUCCAUCACCAACAUGCUUAGGUGGAGCACAUCAAAACCUGAAUCAAUUCCAUAGUUUUUGGAGACAAGAACUGAUGGUCUAACCAACGUGAUAAGGCAAAGAAUGGACUAGUAAAAGACUUGAUUGAAAACUUUGAAAAAUUGUUAAAGCGAAGGGGCCAAGCCAAGCCCAUCUUUGUGGUUGUUGCACACUCCUUGUCAACGAAAACUCCUGGUCAGAUAUCAUACGUGACACCACACGAACAGGGCUGGUCAAAAGAUAUUCGAUACAUUCAAAAAGACAUUAACAUUUGGCCAUUCUAAUUUCUUGAUUUCAGGUGGCAAGCUAGUAAUGAUCUGGUCCGAGACAGUCAUCAUUUUCUAUAAAGUGGUUUCUUGAUGAUAGCUCACCCACUCUCUACUUGCAAUAAUAGGAUUGAAUUUACCCUUCUGUCAUCUAUUGAAAAGAAAUCUUUUCUUCAUGAAAGCGCAACAAGGGUAAUGAAGAAAAGCUAAAACGGAAGUGAAAAUGAUAAUAUGAACUAUACAUUUCAAUGCCAAAGAAUACACAAAAAGCAUUGAAUUACAAUUCCAUUCACUUGAGUCACUGAGCAUUACUCUUCAAUGGCAAACCAGAAACUGAAGGAAGAAGACCGGUUGAAGCAGUUCUUCCAAUAGAAUUUAGAGUGAAACUAACCAAGUGAAAGGGUGAAACCACGUCUCACUUUGAAGCACUAUCUAUGUGUUAUCCAGACAAAAGUUAAAGCAAACAGUGAAAAAUAAAUAAACAAGCAGAGAGCAGCAACGGCUAAUUACUCACCAAGAUCCCUUAUACAACUCAGUAGUAAAAACAUAGAAUGAAAGUUCAUGCAAGGAAGUUCACUCGGGAAUUUUCAUUUUUGCAAUUGUUUAUCUGCAUUUCAACAAGAUUCAAGUAAACAACAGUAGAAUUGAUCUAUUUAAUCAAAUAUCAUGCCAGCUCACCUGGUUCUUGAGUUCCCAAGCGUAAGCUCUAGAUCGUCUGAUCCACAUUCUUCAUGGAUCCUCUCUCCUUCCCAUGGCUUCACUAGACCAGUUGCAUUACAUCGAAAUGCAAACUCAUCUGAAAUCUCGGCCAUGGGAAUAUCAGCUGUAUGAUCAGAGCCAGCUGCAAUGGCAGGUGAACAUGUACCACUUUGACCUGGAGUCCACAUGCGGGAUCCACCAUUGGAUCCACCACCACCAAAAGCCUCUUCCUUGAAGCCAAAUGGGUUGGAGGCAACUAGGCUGAAUGUGGGAGACGUUGGACCGCCUUGUGGUAUUCGAAUCCCCCUAAACCAUUCUGGAUCGGGAACAAUUUGGCGGCCAGGACUCGGUGGAGUUGAAGAUGGCAAGAAGGAGUAGUGCUGCCCACCCCAGCCUGGGCGGAUAGAUUGGUCUUCCCAGUCAGCUUUUAUUCGAGCGGUUCGAGCUGUUGGAGAGCUCAAAGGAGGAGUAACAGGAGCACUUAUGGAGCCACCAUGGAUGUAGAGAUGAGGAAACUUAGAGGAGGAAGCUGAUGAAGAUGCUGAUGAGAGGUUUUUGAGCCAUGGUAUGAGGGAAUUGCAAUCCAUAUUGGCAUUAGCAGCGUAUGAGGAUGAAGCUGGACUGGGAAAGGAAGAGGAUCCAGGACUUGGGUUGUAGGAAGCACAAGGGCUAGGGUGGUACGAGGAGCAUGGACUUGUUGUUGCAGAAACACCAAGAAUGUCCAUGCGUUCUACAGGUUUGCAUCCCUAAAAAAAGAAAAAAACGAUGAAACCAGGGGCUUGGAAAAAACAUUAACGAAGUCAUAAAAAGUUCACCACAGAUCACUUGACGAAGUGAUACUGGUAAGGCUAUUGCAAAGAAUAUGCCAAACAAUAACAAAAACAAGUAACAUUAUUUUGAUGAAAAAAUAUAUUUUUCCAGCCUUACAAGCAUAUCCUCGGUGCGUGCCAGUAUCCAAUUUAAGAACAGCGCCUAAAGUUUCAACCAAACUAGUAACAGGGACGAGUCAGUUUCCAAUGGCAUUUGACAAAGCAGUGUCAGGAUGCAAAGAUAGGAGCUCUAACACGUGUCUACAACUGAAGAAGGCUUUAUAAAAUGACCAGAGCAGCUGGAAAAUAUGGCAUGGAAUUGGAAGUGAAUUUAGAGAAAUAAGCCAGCAAGUUUACGUAUAGAUAAACAAUUAAAACCUAACAGUGGAUGAAGGUUAAAUAUCCACAUUUUUAAAAAUUUAACAAAUUCACUUCCGCAGGUCAUUUCUUCACAAGAUACAGAUAUUACUCUCAACAAUCACCAUAAAUUUCCUCUAUAAUCCACUAUUGCAUUCUUCCCAAUGCUUCAUUCCUCUAGAUUAUAUCAUAUAGAUGGGGAGACAAUUUUGCCGUCUUUUUUCCUCUGGACUUACCCACCUACAUCUGGAUGAAUGAGUUUCAGCUCAGGAAAUACCAUUAUUCUUGUAUUUCUUGUUAAAGAACUAUAUAAAUUAUAUUUGAAGAUCUUAUCUAAUAGGUUUUCAUUUUAAAAGGAGAUCACCUGACAAUCUUUAACAUUCCUUAAAACGACCCGCAUACCCAACAAGACAAGUAUUUUGACAAUCUCCAAGCCCAACAGACAUUAUUUACUAGACUUACGUAAAUUUAUUCUCAACUUGAAGAACAGUAAUUGAACUCCAGUGGAACUCCACAAAAGAAGCAGCAACACUAUCACCAGCAGAAACACCUCCCAAAUGGGAAACUGAACAGAACUGAAAAAAGGGUCUGCAUUUCUACUGGCAAGGAACUAAAAGCAACUCAACCAAAUCUAUGAAAGAGAGCCCCAGACCCCUACAGUCAAGAUGACCCUUUACCACAUGCUACGGUUCUCAUGUUGUUUUCAAGGGCAUUUUGGUCUUCUUAGGAGGUCUGUGCUGCUGCUCCAUGUUCUCUCUAACAGACCAAAGUGAGUCUUAAAGUUGGUUGGCAAAAGAAGGAAAGAAGAAAGAAAAGAGAGAAUCUUGUGGUUCACGCGAGAAAGCAAAAACACUGACAUCACCCAGACUAAAAAAGGAAACAAGAUCGCUAAAGCAGUGCUGACCGGAUCUAACGUACGCCGGUGAACACCGCACUCAUAAAAAAAGCAGCCAAUAAAACACAAGGCUGACGAUCUAACGUGUGCUGGAGAUAAACCCCAGAAAGGCGAUACAAAAAAAUCAGCAAACGAAUCUAACCCCACUGAUCACACCAGCUUUAGAGAGAAGAAAAACACCUCAGUAACGCCACCGCUACGGCAACAGAAACCGGCGCACGUUAGCAUGCAAUGUCAAGCUUAUGUUAAUAUGCGCCACAACUAGCCCCACCCAGUUAACACCUAAAGUAACCACUGCCAAGCUAGCUUAAGCAAAAUUGAGCAAUAAUCAUGAAAUGCAGGAGCUGGGUUCAUAGUAUUUUUGUGAUUUCCAACGCUUAUUGUGAUAACAGAGUCAUGAAUGAUUCUAAAAUGCACAGAGAGGACAGUAAUGCGAUUAAAUAGACAAAACUAAUCAAACUAGAAGUAACCCAGAAUUCAUGUUCAAGUAAUAAGAAAAUUAAUCACUUCUCUUUUUUUGUUUCUUCAUUAAACGAAAUUAAAACACGAAAACUGUUACUUUUUUAAGUUUUGGCUACCUAAAAGCCUAAAACCAAAGUUAAGCAGAAAUGAAAUACAGAUGGUGAAUAAACGAGUAAAAAGAAAAGUACCUUACGGAAAGUAGUGCCAUCGGGCUCGACGGUCCAGCCAGCCUCAUUGCAGAGGGCUUUAAGGACUUCAUUAUUGUCACAAUGUUUUGGAAGCUUGUAGUUGCCAUACAUUCUUAGCCCAGAAAAUAUCUUUGCUGCAAUGGCUCUUCUUCUCCUUUCUCUUCUCUUGUUGUUCUCUCUUUCUUUCCAUGUUGGUAGUCUCGUACCUGAAGUCAUACUUCUAGUCUAUAACAAAAUUGAUCUACGAAGUGACUGGAUUAGCAAGAAAGGAGCAAGAUUCUAUAUGGGCGGUACUUGGAAGACUCAGUAAAACUGAGUUUAAAUUUUCGGACUAAAAUUUUGUUGUGGAAGUCUGGUUUUUUAUUAAAAAAAGUGUGUUCAUUGAGGACUGGAAUAAGUAGAUAAUGAUGAGAAAUCAAUGAAAGCUGCAAUUUUUUAGGGACCUAAAAACGAAAGAAACCUGUUAUGGCUUGAAUGAGAGCAAUUGGAAUUGGUAAAGGGUAACUGGUCAGAUCAGAUCCAUUUGAAUAUAGAUUUUAGAAGGUGGCCAUGAAACUGGAGGUCAUGUUUUUUUGGUUGAACCCGGGAAGAAGCAAAACCUGAAGAAAUCAUCAGGAGAACUGUCAGCUAAAUAUGUUGGAGCUGGGUGCUUUCCACUAUUAGUCCUUGUUGAUGUUUUAUCUACGAAUUUGCCACUGACAUUGGAUGGAAUUUUCUGAAUAGAUAUAGUUCUUCAAAUUGUAUAGCAAGACCAUAUAAAUAUUCUCUCAUGUCAAUAAAAUAAACUGAAAAAAAUAUAUAUCAAUAAAAAAUAUAAGUAUUAAGAUUCAAAAACCCCAACUAAUUUGUUAGGUUUCUUAAAACAAAUAUACAUAGCGAAAAUGAUAAAUUUAAAUUUUUUCAAGAGUUUUAAAAAUCUCGUUAGACAGAUUUAAAGUUGUUUAAAGUUUAUACAAAGAUUACCUGAAGAGCAACUGUUCUUUUCAACUUUAAAUAAUUUAUUCAAGGCUAGUUAUUACAAACCAUAAGUUGUCCAAAUGUCCGAUUGGGUUUCUCGAAACACAUUCACGUAGCAAGAAUAAUAAAAUUAAAUUUUUUUAGGAGUCCCAAGGAUCUCAUAAAACAGAUUUAAAGUUGUUCAAGGUUUAUAAAAAAAAUUACCUGAAGAGCAGUUCUUUUUGACUUUGAAUAACUUCUUCAAGGCUAGUUAUUGCAAAUCACAAGUUGUCCAAGUGUCUGGAAUUUAACGAUAAUCCACACGAACCACCGGUGAGAAAUCUUCUAAAAAAAAGAUUUCUAAACCUUAGAGUGACAACUCUCUUUUUUUAAGUGUUUUUGUAUUGUACUUUUCUUAUUUGCUUUUAGAAAAUAAGAAGCAUGACAUUCUAUUUAUAGAAAAAUCUAAAAAUAUUAUAAAUGGUAAAAAAUCAAUUUUUCCCUUAAAUAAUAUCAUACAUAUUAUUUUAGAAUAAUUUUACAAAAUUAUUCCUUACUUGAUUUUUUCUAUAUUUAGAUUGUAAUCCCCUGUAUUAAUUACAUUUCAGUUCUUAAUUUCUAAAAUUUAUUUACAAUCAAGUCAUACUUUAUUAACCAAUGUAUAAUUUAUUAGGUUUUCUAAUAAGUUAGCUCAAAUAUAAGUCAUAAGCCUAAGUAAAAUAAAAUUAAAUAAAUACAACAAAUUAAUUUAUUAUCAAUUCAAAAUUUGAUUGACUUAUAUUUAAAUAUCAAGUAUAAUGUUUAAUAACCUAUUAUGAUUCUCUAAAUAUUUAGAAAGUCAUAAGUGAUUUGACUUAACAUUUCAGUGAUUAGUUUCUUAGUGUAAUCAUUAUCCUUUUAUUAAUAUGUUUUGAUUUAGAUAUUAUAGUAUAGAAUGUGUUUGCUUUGUUAAAUCGUUCUAAUUCUUAACAUUAUAGUAAUUAAUUAUUUGAAUAAGAUUUUAAAACUCUUUUCAAAAUGUAUUUCAUCUUGACUAAAAAUUCACAAUCAAUACUAUUUAAGAAUAGAAUGAAUAUUUUUUUUAAUUCACCUAGAGGAUAAAUCAUCUCUCCAUUACUCAAAUAUCUUCAUAUAGUUUAUGUUAUACUCAAUAUAUGUCUGUUUGUUACCCUUGAUUAGAAUAACAUUUAGUCAGGAUCAAAGCAUAACACUUUCUAUAUAGAAUUCUUUUACGGGUUAAAUUAGUGUUUAUGUUAUAUGACAAGCACGUGCAUAUUAGUUUUAGGUAUCUCUCAUAUCUCAGUUUAUAAAAGCAUUUACUUCUUUUUAUAAAGGAAAGAACAUAAUAUGUAUUAAUCUUAACAGUUCUAAUUAAUGUUCAGUCUUAAUAGAACAUUGACAAAAAACAUUUAGGAACAAUACUUUACUGUAUGAAUUUUAUUUUUACUCUUGAUUUAUUAAUCAAACAUUAAAUUAAUUAAUUUAAUAUAAUUAAAUAUUAAAGAUAAAGAAAGAUUUUAUCGAUAAUAGAUAUAUUUUAUAUGAAUAAAAUCAAUAUUACGUGUAACCAACUAAUUAACUAUAAUGUAUAUUUUUCUAUAUGUAUCCUAUCCUGUAAUACUUUUUUGGAAAGAAUUAUAAGUUUUUUAUUAUUUCUUGUUAAUAAUUUUUAAUAAUUUAUUUCUUUUUUUUCUUAAAGACGUUUUGAAAAGUUCACAACACCCUAAAUUUUAAAAUUAUUUCUCUUUUAUAUCAUAUAUCAUUGAUAUAUGAUGCAUAAUUUAAUGUAAUUUUGUUAUGAAACUUUUAGAUGUGACUAUAGUAUUAAUAAAAUACAUUAAUGGCCAUGAGAAAUAAAUCCAACCUUAGAUUUUAUUUUCUUGAUAAAUCAGGUUAAAAAACCUCAUCUUUGGUUAUCUAUAAAGAAAAAUAAAAAACAUAAAUAAGAAAAGAAAAAGGUAACAUAAACCUUUUGUGAGGAAAAUAACUACCAAUUUAAAUAAUUAAGGAAAGCAACAUAAAUCUUUAAUGAGAAAAAUAAUUAAAUAAAAUAACAGUCUAAAUAAUUAAAGAAACCUUCAAUAAUUUGUUUUAAUUACAAACAUUUCAAGACCUUAUAACAUUAAACACCCACAUAUACCAGUGAUGUUUCGAAGGGGCAUAUUUGACAUUUAAGAAUGUCAACGGACCAAUCCAACACGCCAACGGUUACUUAGUCCACUCAAGCCUGACCAACAGCCAUGAUUAUCGCCACGUGGCGAUGUCAUCGUUGUUAUUCAGUAACCGUCUCUGUCUAAGCCAUCCAAUGAGAGGCUACACGGCUUUCGCACGUGUCAGCAAUCGGUGCACCUGUCAAGACCUCACCCCUUGUCCCUUGGUAGAGGAGGUUAAUCUUGGUGUGCAUGCGCCUACAUUAGCAGAUGAUGCGGAUGCGCACCUCGCUGUUCACGUGACAAGAUGAGCAAUGGCGUGAUCAAAGUGGGGCCCUAUUGUAUAAAAAUUGUUGAACGACGCGCAUAAAAAGAAGAAUGAAAAUGAGUUGCCAAUCACGUGUCUGCUGGGCUCUUCCUCAACAGUACAAAAAUGUCACCUUGGUAAUUAAUAGAUGGUGGUAAAUAAUUGCUUCAGCCAUCAGCACACCUUCAUUUAUAGUUAUCAUUUUCGGUCCUGGGUUGAUACGGCCAACUAAUCAGAUAAUUAACUCAUAUUACCUUGAAAAAAUUAAUUAGGUUUUGAAUCACAGAAUAAUUUAAAUUAACUUAAAAUAAUUAAUUUUAAAAAAAUUUUAAUAUGUUACAUAAAAAAAAGAGUUAAGAGACAAUACAUUUUAAAGUAAGCUAUAUCUAAAUAAUAAAGUUUAAAAAUAUAUUUUAUUCCAGGUUGAAAAUAUAGUAUUUAUUUUUUUAAGUUGAAGUAUAUAAAUUAAAAAUAUUUUUUAUUUCAUAUUAAAAAAUAAUAAUUUUUUUAUGAAUAUAUAUAUAUAUAUAUUAACAAGCUUUUAAUUUUACAUUAAAAAAUAAAAUUUUUUAAUAUUUAUAUAAUAAAUUUUGAUAUAAGAUAAUAAUUAAUAAAAAAAAAUAUAAUAGGCUCUCGUGUGUACAAGGUUGGAUCGACUAAGGAAAAAACCUUUAAUUACUCUCCAUACAUGCGAGACAAUACUUUUUUUUUCCUCCUUUAACUUGAAGCCAAUGCCCUUUUUGACACAUGAAUAUUUUCCUCUAAUGCUCUUGAUUUAAAUUCUCACUUUGCUAUGAAAAAUAGUGGCAUAAUUCCGCGUCGUCAUGUUCGUGGGCAUGCUGUAGAAAAAUAUUGCCUUGCUACGCCUUCAUUUAAAUUUUCUGUUUAUAAAGAAAAUGUUCCCUCUUUGUUCCUUACUCAGCCAAUAGAGAAAUGAUACCUUGCUAUGCCUUUAAUUCUUUUCUUCUUUGUAAGAAAAAGUUCAGUUUUUAUUUUUAAGAAAAAGGGUUUUUUGCGGGUUUUGUCAGGUCAUCUAGGUUAUGGGUUGAGCCGGCAGGUUAUACAGAUCUCACCAGGCUAAUUGCAAGCCUAAUUUUUACCUUUUAUGGUCCUGGCCAGGAUCCUAGAUGGCGGCGGGCAAUGGUGGAGCUAGGAUUUUUUAAAUUAGAGGGCAAAUUACAAAUAAAUAUUUGAUAUUAUAUGCUAUAUAGACAUAUGUUAUAAUAAGAAAUUAAUUUGAAAUAUAUGUACCAAUUCAAGUAAAGUAAAAUUAAUUUAAGAAUACUUUUAAAAUAAAAAAACUUACAUUAUAAUUGUUCUCUUCGAGAUUUUAUAUUUUAAAACUGUUUCAUAAUGAUUUUAUUUUUAAUCUCCUUAAAAAUAUCUUUCUUAAUAUAUACAACAAACUUUCAUUUAUCUAUUUUUAAAUCUUGUAAGGACUACGAAAAUUCUUGACAAUAAUUUUAUGCUGACAUAUGAUACAUAACAUCUAAAAUCAUAGCUUAAAAGAAUUGUCACAAAUUGAUGUUGUUAUUGCUAACUUGUUGUUUUGUACAAGUGGAUUAAACAUAAAUAUUAAAUGUUUUCUUUUUAAUUUAUCUAUUGUGUCUCUAAUUUUUUGAGUUGUCAUGUACUUUAUUUUUAAUCACUAGUAAAUUCAUCACCAUCAUUUUUCAUAUGAAAUUCAUAGCAAAAUAUUUAUCAAUUCAUCAAAACUCAUUUCAAUUAAUAUCCAUUAGCAUAUAAUAUUACCCAUACACAUAUUAAUUCAACAAACCCAUAAAUUAUUAUAAAUCUCAACAUUUUCAAUAACUAAUUAAAAAAAUAAAACUAAAAUUAGAUAAUGAAACAAAUAGAAAAGAUGAAUGAAACUUUUCUAAAACAUAAAGCAUAAGAGAUUAUUUGCUUAACUAAUUAAUAAAUUACGGCUUGAAGAGAAAUUUUAUAGAAAAGAGAGAGACAUGGACAAUAGUGAACAAAAAAAAGAACUUAGAUUAAUUAUUAGCUAACAAAGAAAAUUAACCCUGGAAAGUUAUUAUAUUAAUAUUUUAAUAUAAAAAAUACUUUAAAAAAAAUUAAGGAGCAUUUGCUCCCUCUUGCCCCAUUAUAACUCCACCACUACAUACCAAACCUUUUGAUGGAGGAGCAAAUAAAAGAAUUCAAAGCAGUUAAAAAUCAAUAUUGAUUUCAUAAAGGGGAACCAAGAUUAUUUCAUGCAAAAAUAAAUCAUAUCAAUCCUAGGUCUUAUCUGGGAUCAAGUGUUCUUUGUUUUAAGAAGAGACAUUUCCAUGUUUAAAGAUACUCUCGAUCUUCAAUUGUAAAAGUUGAUGCAUCGAUUGCAGUGGGCACAAAGUACAUGGAUACCAUUGAAAAUACUGUUAUCGCUUAUACAGCUUUUGCAAUACACGAUUCAAAUUUUGAAAAAUCCCUAUUAUAUUAAUAUUUUAAUAUAAAAAAAUACAUCGAAAAAGAAAAAAAAAGGGGAGCAAUUGCCUCCUCUUGCCUCAUUGUGGCUCCGCUACUGGCGGUAGAUCAACCCACUAGAAUGGAUCGAGUCUGAUAACUAUGUUUAUAUUAAUAUGGUGUUUGGAAGUGUGAUAAUAAUUGUGUUUUUAAAAUAUAUUUUGCUUUUAAAUGCAUUAAAAUAAUUUAUUUAAAAAGAAUUAUUUUUGACAUCAACAUAUUAAAAUAAUCUAGAAAUAUAUAAAAUUAUGUUUAAACAAAAAAAUUUAUUUUUUUUGAAAAAUACGGUUUCAACCGCUUUCCAAAAUGCAAUCUAAAUUUUGAGAUCCUAACAAGAAAUUUUUACAGCCAACAAGCCUAGAAUUAGAAAGUACAAUACCGUUUAGCCUAGAAUUAGAGAGUACAGCACCGUUUAAAAUUAUGGUAGUAAUUGCUUUUUAAAGUAUUUUUUACUUAGAAAUAUAUUAAAAUAUAUUUUUACAGUUUUAAAUUUUUUUUUUGACAUUAGCAUAUCAAAAAAAUUUAAAAUAAUAAUAAUAAUUUUUUUUUCAUAAAUAUUUUUUAAAAACAAACAAAAACAAUCUACAUGUUUCAUCAUUACAUUUCUCAUCAUGGUUUAUCUCAUUAUUAAAGCAAUAGAACUACUUACCAACAGAGAACCCAACCUGUAUAGAAUUCAAGAAUCUUUCACCUUCAAAAGUUGUCGAGAUAUAUAUAUAUAUAUAUAUAUAUAUAUAUAUAUAUAUAUAUAUAUAUAUAUAUAUAUAUAUAUAGAAUUAAAGUUGUUUACAAUCCGAUCUAGAGCUUUAUGAUAUUAUGAUGUUUGGGUAAUAAGUACGUUCCGAUCUUCCACUCCUCUUUCGCAUCAUAACAAGAUCCAUAUAUGAUUUAAAUGGUGGGUCCCACCAUCAUAUUAAUUAGAUAGAAACACACAAAAUCAUCAAAUAUACGUUGAUGAUUUUCAAAAUGGAUAAAUUACAAUAGCAUCUCCGUGGUAUCUUGAAAUUACAAAUACUACCCAAAAGUUUGAAGAAAUGUUUUUUUUUUCUUAAAAAAAAUAGGAGCAUAUAUAAUACAAAUAUUUCAUUUUGUAGAGGAAAUUAUGCAGUAUAUUCUUAUAUUAUGAGAUGAGUUUCCAAUCUGUGUUUAUAUUUCUAAUUGAGCUAGUAUUAUCCUUGUAAUUAAUUGAGUUUCUAGUUUAUCAUUUUAUGGGAAGUAGGUUUCGAAAAGGAAGAAAAAUAUUGUUUCGUGUGAUUGUUUUUAAGCAAUUAUUUUAUUUGUCAUGUCCCUUGCACGUGACUGACAUGUUCAUAAGGCUUAGGUUCAUUUUCAAUGCUAUGUCAAGUAAAGCUGAGUAAAAAAACUGACAAACUGAUUAAACCGAAAAAACCAGAUUAAAAUAACUGGAAAAACCGAAUUAUAAAAAAAAUUGAUUAAACCGAUUAGAAUAUUUUAAAAGAAUUUGGUUCGGUUCAGUUUUGAUUUCUUAAGCCUGAAAUUAAAAAACCAAACUGAAUCGGUUUAGUUAAGAAAAAACCAAAUCAAAUCAAACCAAAAAAACCAAAUCGAACCGAAUCCAUUAGAAAGUAAAAAAAAACCCGAAAAAAACAAUACAUUUUUCAGUUUUUAAUAUAAAAUAACAAAACUGAACCGAAACUGAAUCGAAUCGUAACCGGUUGGUUGGGUUUCGAUUUUUAACUUAAAAUAAUCGAACCAAAACCGGUUGGUUGGAACCGGUUUCAGUUUUUUUUUUUUGAAAAAUUUCAAUUUGGUUAUUUUCAUAGGUAAGAACCAAAUCGAACCGAAAAUAAUCACUUCUAAUAUCAAGCCAUGUGCACUAAAAAAUUUGUUUAUUUAGAUAGAAAAAUUCAAUAAAAGAAUAAAUUGCAAACUUGAUCGUUUUAUAAGAAUAAAAUAGGCUCAGUUAAGGAUACAAGUGUACAUUGAAACCUUACUAUAAUAUAAAGAUAGAAAAGGUCAUUUCUCCCAUUUUAUAUCCAUAAUGCAUCUACUAACAAAGUGAAGAAUAUUAGACCAAUGGGGGAUGCUAUUUUGGAAGGAAUUGUUAGGUAUACCACAAGUUGUACUCCCUCCUCUUGCAUAAAAUAGGAUCUACUAUGAAAAAUUAUUAAUGGAUACAUCUUUGAGCAUAUUGAAUAAUAUACAAAAUAGGUUCUUGACAUUUUAUUGUAUUCUCAUAUAUGAUGGAGGUUUUUGUUGAAUUUUUAAAUUUGAAGGUUAUUCUAAUUUACCAUUUCAAAGUAUUUAAGAAACUACCAUUUAUAAACUAAUUCAAUCAAAUGCCCAAUUCAUUGAGAUGAUUUGUGGGUUACUCGAUUUACCUUUAGAUUUUUUUUUUAAAAAAAAAGUUAUUUUUUUGACAUAAUUUAGUUUUAACUGUGCCAAUCAUAUUUAACCAAGUUAAUGGCAUAAAGAAUUUCAAUAAAAACUAACCCAACUUUAGCCUCAAAUAACGAGAUUCUCAAAUCAACAUAUUAUGUUAAAUUAGAUAUGACAUUAAUGCAUGUAAAUAAGCAUUAAUAAAACAAGCAUUAGUCAAUAUGUGCGAAAACUGGCCUGAACACUCAUGUUAAAUUAAAAAACAAUAAGCAUUAAUAAAACAAUUCACUAAUGAUACUAAGUCUACGUUAAAGGCAUAUAAUGUUGUAAUUAAAGACUUGAAUGAAUCUAUAUUGCUUGUUGUGAUUAAAGCUCUUGAACCAUGCAUCUUCUUCCCAGGAUGAUUUUAUUGGAGUAAAGUUCAUUUUAAAAUCUGAUUAUGUUGUUUUGGUUAACUGGAUGAAUAAGUCGUUCAAUAGAACAUGGAGAUUUCUUAAGCUCUUCAUCCAUGCAUCUAGACUUUCUUCACAUUUAGAUUGUAUUAAAAUGCCAAAAAAGAGAUGAAAAAAAAAGUGAACAUACAAAAUCUAAGAGUCAACAGAUAAUUUGAGCUAAAAAAAAAUUGUGUUACUAGGGAAAUCAAAGUCAGGCCAUAAAGUCACCACUCUUAGUCACAUUUUAGUUUGCAAAUAUCUAAACUUCGUAAUAGCUUCUCAAAGAACACAUUUGGUCUUUUUGUGUGCAUAUCUUGUGUCGUGAUGUGUGAUGUGUACUACGUUGAAUGACGGAUGUAUUUUCUGAGUAUGUUAAAAAUAUAUUUUGGUUAUAAUCAUAAAGAUAUAAUUAUGAAGUUCAAAACUCGCCACCUAGUAUUAUGGUUAUUAGAGAACCUAUGGUCUGUAAGAGUCUGGGUAAAAGACUAGUUGUGCAAGAGAAAGACACAUCAUCCCCAAUGCACCCUAUCUAAGGUAAGUUGCAUUGUUAUUUGAUUGUUUUCUAGGUUGUGUUUUUAUCUAUUGAUCUUUUUCUAAGGUCUAAAGUAAAUCUCUCUUUGUGAGUAAGUUUUUGCAUUAUCGAGUUAAACUCUAACCGUUAUAAAGUUUAAAUUUUAACAUCGUAUUUAUUUUACACUUUUUAUCUUUAAUGCUCGAGGGUAUACUUUACAAUGUAAUUUUAUACCCCAAAUAUUAAAAUCUAUAACUAAAUCCUAAUACUUAAGAUAUUAAUUAAACAAAAUAGUUAUUGAAGGAAUUUUAAUAAUUUGGUCAAAGCCUAAUGGAUAAUUAUAAACUAGUUAUGAUAUCCAUUUUGUAUUUUUAAAAUAUGAUAAAAAAUGAUUUUAACUCUUUUUUUAGAAAACAUGCAUGAAAAGUUUUUAAGAUUUCGCUGUAUGCACUAAGAUAAAAGGCAUAUUUUUGUUUUUGGAAAAAAGAAAUUAAUUUUUUUUUUGAAAAUUUUAGUUUCGGAGAGAACCAAGUAUUUUUAAUACCGACAUUCGUAUCUUAUAGUGUAAGUCUACGACCUAAUGUUAUGCAAAAUUAUUGGAAAAACAUGCGGGGGACCCAUAAUUUUUUUUUAAAAUGCCCUUUGAAUAUUUUUAUAUUAUUAAAUAUAUAUUGAGAUGGAUCCAACUCAACCAUUCGAUCUGAGCUAAAACAAGUCCAACCUAACUUAUGUGGGUUGGGCCGACUAGCGACCUAACAAUCUUUUUUUUAUGUUGGGCCGAAACGGCUCUAGCCUGGGCCCAUAUGGCGCUAACACAGCCCAACGACCAAGUUAGGUAUUUUGCAAAAUGUGAUUCAUCACAUUCUGCAUGUCGAGAGGCAGUUUGAGGAGAAAAAUAAAGAGAAUGCUUGCUUGGUCAGAGGAGAAAAGUUGUUAGCGGCGUUCCUAAUGGUGCUGGGAAAUCCGAUAUGUGGAUGAUGGUGGAAACGACAGUGGAGGGAGAAGGGAAAGGUUGAUGAAAAACAAAAAUGGGAAAGGGGCUGAUUUUUUUCCCAAUUUUGGCCUUAGAUUUCUUGACGCUCAAUGCUUGGAAUUCAUCCUUAUUUAUAGGGGGUGGAAGAGAGACACUUUGUUUUUUAUCUGGGACAUAUAUUGGCCCUUGAUUCAACUGAUAAGGAUCUCAACCGUUGGUUCAAAGGUGCAAUCAUGAUCUGUGAAAAUUGGUUGUUAAAGACUGGUCAGGUUAGCCACUUUAGGGCGGCGUUGCUGUGGCAGUUGGCCGACGAGACCUACUUUGGGGUGUAGUACAAUGUCAGGUCAUCAUGGUGGUGUAUGAUUUGUCCGGUUUAGUGGGGAGAAGAAGCAUUAAAUGUCUCUAAAAAGCAGCCACCUGAGCUGCUUAUUCGGGUGAAAAAAAAGAAAAAGAUGGAUGUGUUGUCUGGUGUGUGUGUGUGUGUGUGUGUGUCUAAAAGGCACAAUUUUGGAUUUAGGGUUUUAAUUUAGGGAUUUGGUCAAAUUUCAAUUUAGUACUUUAACUUUUAAAUUCUUUCAAUUGUAUCCUUAAUUGACCUCAAAAUUUUGAUUUAAUGCAAUUUUGCCCCUGCCGAAUUUCAACAUCAGCCCUGAAUUUUAGCGCCUUUCCAUUAUGGUCAUUGGCUUUGGAUUUAUGCAAUUUUACCCUUAAUUGACUAUAAAACUUUCAAUUUCACCCUUGUCCUCAACCAAAUUAAGUCCCUAAAGUUUGAUGUCUUUUUUAAAAAGGUCUUUAGCUUCAAAUUUCUUCAAUUUAGCUCCCAAUUGACCAUAAACUUUAAUUUUCUUGCAAUUUUACCUCUGAUUUCGAGCAAUUAACUUUAUAAAAAUUAAGUUUGGUCUUCUAAAAUUUCAAUCUUCUCAAUUAAGCUCAAAUUGGGUUUCCAAACUUAUUUUUUCACCAAUUAAGUCCCUAAUAAAAUUAAUUUGACCCAUUAAAAGUAUAAUUAAGUUCUUGCACAUAAUUAAAUCCUUUAAUUAGACCCAAAUUAAAUCUUAAAUAUAAUUAAACUUUAGUUUGAGUCAUGAUUAAAUCAAAUUGGCUAAUUAAAAAUCUAAUUAUGUUUAUGGACUUAAUUUUAAUGCAGAUUCUUUCAAUAAUCAUUUAAUUUGACCCUAAAUCUGCAUUGUUUCUCCAAUCUUGGGUACAACAGGGUUUGAUUAGGCACUACAUCAUUAUCUAGUUUUACCGAAGGACUAAUUCCGUCGGUGAAAGCAAUGAAAUCUGUCGGUGAAAUAAUUACCGACGGCCUCACCGACGGAAUCUACUUACUUAAUAAAAGAUCUCAGCUCAUCACAGUUAAAUAGGACAUAAUUGUGUGCUUGUCUGAACUCUAUUUCAGACAAAUAUCUUCCCCUCAUGGCAUUUUUAGGUGUGGGUCGUCCAGGAUUGGAGAAUAUUGACAAGUUCCCACUUGAAUGCACUUCACCACCAUCAUCAUGUCGUGGAACACGGUUUAUCCUCGUUCUCAAAUGAGGUUCGAAAUAGUAUGAGAUAAAUGUUAAGAUCUCCUCAACAAUAUACGCCUAACAUAUUGACGACUCAACAUGCGCCUUGUCCUUAACCUUUUUUUUAAGAUUGAACAAGUACCUGCAUAUAUAUAUAUAUAUAUAUAUAUAUAAAUUAUCAAUUAAAAACAUUAAAAUAAAAAUAAAAACAUUUAAUUAUAAAUGUCAUAACAACUGUAAUAUCUAACCUCUCGAAUGGAUACAUCCAUCUGUACUGGACCGGUCCUCCAACUUUUACCUCAAACGGUAAAUGUACGGGUAGAUGCUCCAUUGAGUCAAAAAAUGAUGGAGGGAAUAUCAUCUCAAGUUUGCAUAUUGUCUCGACGAUAUUCUUUUCAAGCCUUUCAAUGUGAUCAACAUUCAACUUGCUGGAGCAUAUGUCUUUGAAGAAAUGACUAAUCUUCGUUAGUGCAUCCCAUAUCCCCUUUGGCAACAAAUCACGAAAAGCUAAUGGGAUGAGUGUUUGCAUAAACACAUGGCAGUCAUGACUCUUCAUUCCAUAUAAUCUGCAUUCCUCUGUAUUAACCAGCCUUGAUAUGUUCGAGGCAUGUCCAUCGGGGAAACGCAGACUCUUAAGCCAUUUGUAGACUAGUAGUUGUCCAUUUUUCUCUAGCACGAAGCUUGCUCUUGGUUUUGCGACCCGUGACCCAUCACAAACCAACUCCAUAUUUUUACGGUUACAGAACAGCGCUAAUCCAAUCUAGCCUUGAUGUUGUCCUUUGUCUUCCCCUUCACAUCCAUGACGGUGUUGAAAAUGUUGUCAAACACGUUCUUUUCAAUGUGCAUGACGUCAAGGUUAUGGCGAAGAAAAUUGGUCUUCCAAUAAGGAAGCUCCCAAAACAUACUUCGCUUCACCCAAUUAUGGGUCAAACCAAAACCAGGAAACUUCUGCUUACCUGAUUGGAGACCAAACACAAUUUCACCGUACUCUGACACAACAUCAAACAAUUCUUCACCGGAAAGACGCGGGGGUGCAACAUCAUUUUCAACUCUGCCAACAAAGAAAUCCUUUCUGUUCUUUCUGUACCUAUGGUUAUGUGGCAAGAAACGACAGUGAUAGGUAAAAAAAGAAGCUUUACCCCCGUUUGUUAGCGUGAAUGCCUUGUUGUUCUCCAUACAGUAUGGACAUGCUAGCUUUCCAUGUGUGCUCCAACCAGAAACCAUUCCAUAAGCUGGGAAAUCAUUGAUAGUCCACAUCAAAGCCGCUCUCAUAACAAAAUUUUGUUUCCUCGAGAUGUUAUAAGUCAAAGCUCCAAAGGACCACAACUGCGUCAACUCAUCAAUCAACGGACGAAGACAAACAUCUAUAUUCCGCCCCGGACUGCUCGGACCUGGUAUGACCAUAGAUGAAAACAUGAACUCCGACCUCAUACACAUCCCCGAUGGCAAGUUAUAAACCGUCAGUAUGACCGGCCAACAAGAAUAAGGAGCAGCAAAUGACCCGAAUGGGUUGAAUCCGUCUGUACACAACCCAAGACGCACGUUCCUUGAUUCAGCUGAAAAGUGAGGAUUCAGCUGAAAAGUGAGGAUGCAUACUGUUAAAGUGUUUCCAGGCUUCACGGUCAGAAGGAUGAACCAUCACUCCAUCAACCGCAUGAUGUGAUUGGUGCCAUGUCAUGUGCUCAGCAAUCCUUGGUGAUAUGAAUAACCUCUGCAGUCUAGGUGUGAUUGGGAAGUAUUUAAGUUUUUUUAUAUGCCACGAGAGUCUUCCCUCUACCAGUUCUGGUUUUGUAACGAGAAUGCCUGCAUGUCAUGCACUCGGUCAUCUCAGCAUUUUCAAGGUAGUAUAACAUGCAGAAGUUAGGGCAUAUAUCAAUUUUCUGGUAUCCUAAAUCGAGGGGUUUCAUCAUGGACUUGGCAGUAUAGAAGUUCUCUUUCAGCCUGUUCCCUUCAGGUAAAAUGCUUCUCGCCCAUUCAAUAAUCUUGUCAUAACCGGCCUCACUCAACCCGUGAUCUGACUUGAUGGUGAAUACCUGUGCUACGGCUGAUAAUUUACUGUGGUUCGUGCAGCCAUCCCAUAAUGGUUCGUCAGAAUCUCUCAACAGAUCAAAAAACCUUGUUACAUCUGCAUUAGGUUCUUCUUCUACGAUUGGACAUUCCCUGACAUUACCUUCACUCAUUCUCAUUGCAUCCAUAACCAUAUUCCUGUAAGGAUUACUGUUCUCAUUUCCAACUUCAUACAUGUUGCUAGCACUAGAAGUUGACCCAACCACCUGUUCUUCCAUGCUCUCAUCAGGAACAAAUAGUUCUCCGUGAGCAUACCAACACAGGUAAUCUUCCAUGAACCAUUUGGUUAGAAGAUGCAUCGUUACAACAUCUUGAUGCAGAAACUUUAAAUUUUUACACUUCAUGCAUGGACACCUAAUACCGCCAUCAGUAAAAUUCCUCGGAAUAAAUGUUGCAAAAUUAAUAAAACCCUGGACACCGUUACAAUAAUCCAUCCUCCGCAAUCCUUGGGAUGAGUCCCGAUACAUCCAUGAACGAUCAUCCAUGACUUCUAUUGAACCUCUAUAAAACAUAACAAAAAUAUUGGUUUUCCCCGACAUUAUCCAACAAACUAAAACAACACUUAUGUUAAAUAUUCAUUAUCAAUUAUCAACUAUCAACGUUCAUACAUACAAAUUUAUACAUGUAUAAAUUUACAGAAAUCACAACUUCGAAAUAGAAUUGAUAACAAUUAAACAAGACUCGUUAAAUAAGCUAUUAAUUAUUUAUUUCAUCACAACGACACAUUUAAUUCGGUGUAAUUCAAACAAAAUUUCAACAAUUUACAAACAAAUAUAAUUUAAAAAAAUCUAAAACAAACUAUAACAACUACAAAAUUAUACAUUCAUACUACAAGUUUCUUUGACAAAUAACAAUUAAACAAGUACAAACGUUAACAAAAUACAUAAACUAAAACAAUAAAAUUCACAAUUAAAUAUUAAAACUAAAAAAGAUAGAUUUACUUACAAAAAAAUGAUAAAAUCUACAAGAAACGGAUAUUAUGACUAUAUACAAGAUAUAAGAAACUUGAGUGCUCGUGUUGAGAAUAGUGGAGAGUUUGGGAUGGGUGUUUGGCUGCAGUUUGGGAGGGGAGCUGCAGUUUGGGAGGGGAGAGGUGGGAUGGGAAAGAAGAAGAAGGAGAAACAGAGGAAGAGAGUGUCGGUCGAUUGGUGGGCAUAUAAUGGUUUUUUCCGACGGAAUCACCGACGGAAUGAAUCCGUCGGUGAUUCCGUCGGUGACAGUGCCACGUCACUAUACGGCUAUCUCAGUUUGAAUCCCUCGAUAAUGUCCGUCGGUAAAAUCGCUUGAUGUCACCACGCCGUUGCAUAUUUCCAGACAAAAUGUAUAUCCCGUCGGCGAAACCGUCGGUAUAUACCGACGGAGUUAUUCUGUCGGUAUAUACCGACAGAUUUUAAGACGGAAUUAUUUCCGUCGGUAUAUAUUACCGAUGGAAAAAUUCCGUCGGUAAUUCCAACGUCGGUAAUUCCGUUGGUUUUCUCUGGUUUUCUGGCAGUGAGGCUUCAAAUUUUGUCCAAAAAUUAUGUAGUUCGGGAAUGUUAUUAACUUUGGAGAUGGAUUUAUGGAGGUAUGAUUCCAUUCUUGGUAUAUUUAUUAUGCAUUUGAAUAUUUUUUUUCAGAAUCAGAAAUUGAACUUCUUACAUUAUCCUAUGGAUUUGAUAAUGGUUCGUGGCAUGUUUUUCGUUGCACUGUGAUGGUUAUUUAUUUGUGGUUAGUCUCUUUCCUUUCACAUUUGACGUGUGCCUUUGAGGGAUUUUCCUGUUGCUCUUGAGAGUGCUACUAUUUAUAAUUUUGCAACAACAGUAGCAUGUUAUUCUUACCCAUAUACAGAGGAAAUAAUUUAAGGGCAUAUUCACCUUCCACCAUGAUAGAGUAAGAAGUCAGGGAAAACGUAUUCAGGAAAAUGAUCUUCGAGCAAUGCAUACAUACUAGAAAUGUUCAUGUGAGCAAAUGUUUUGCUGGUAACUUAGAGAGAAAGCAUGCCCCAACACUCGGUUGUUGAAUUGUGAAGGGCGUAGUUCUUUUGAGAUCAAAAUAAGAGUUCUUAUUUCAAUGAGAAGAGUGUUAGAACUAUGAAAAAUAAUUUUUAUUUAAUCUAAAUAAUUGAAAUUAAAAUGAGCAAACAUGAUUUUAUCAUAUGUUUAUUUCAAUUAUGGCUAUUAUUUAUUUUAUUAAACACGUGUGUUAAAUUUUCAACUCAUAAUUAAAAAAAUUUAUGAUAGUAAAAAACAUGUUGACAAUGCCUUUUUUUCAUUGAAAAAAAAAAAACCCUUUAUCCCACAUUAUUGCACGGGGAACUUCACUAGUAUCUUCAUAUUUAAUGUCAUUCUCUAAUCUAUUUUUCUAAUAAAUAUUUAUAUUUAAAUGAAUAAAAAUAUCACCAAGUGAGAAACUAAAAACCCUCAUAAUUUAUAUAAAAAAAAUUGAAAAAGAAAUGAAUUAUUGUAUUUUGUUAAAUUCCAUUGUUUUCAUGGUUAUUUCUUUUUAUAAUUAGGUUUGGGUUGAGUUUCUUACCUGAGAAUAUUUGAUAUAAGGAUAUUAGAGAAUAAUCCUAUAUUUAAAUACAAAUUAAAUAUAAUUAGACCUGUAGGGAUUCAUUAGAAAUUGGGCAUAAAAUAUAAAAAUAAGUUAAGUUUUAAAAGUUGAACCUAAAAAUAUAAGCUAUUAGAUAAGAUUUUAUUAAUAAUUUUAUAUUAAUUCUUUAACACAUUUUCUCAACUAAAAAUUUUUUGGAUUUGAAAUUUAUACAAGUAUAUAUUAUCUUGCUUUGAAAUUAUAAUUUUUAUUAAUAAAAAUAAAAAUAAAAAUAUUCUAACCUGUAAUUAUUUAAUUAUAAAAAUAUAACAAAAAUUAUAAUAUUCUAAUUAUAAAAAAUAUAAUACCGUGUUAAAAAAUCAUGUAAACAAAAAAUUCUUUAAAAAUGCUAGAAAAACGAUCUCACAUCGUAUAAAUAAGCAAUAUAAUAAUAAUAUAUAAAAUUGUUAUCUUUGGAAUAAAAUCUAAUCUCAAUUAUGUAAUAUAAUAUGGUAUUAAAGGCUUAAAAAGGCCCAAUAGCCCAUAAAAAAACCCUGAAAUCUAAGUCACGUUUUCGAAUUCUAUUAUUUAUCGGAAUACUCUCUUAAAUGCAGAAGCUAGCAGUAGAAGCAACUGAUCUUGGAAUUAAAUUAUCAUUUGAAAGCUGUAAAUGCCUUCAGUUUGUGGGCUGAAAGAGCUUCUAUUAGCAUGGAUUGAUUGAGCUUGUCUUUUGAAUUCCAUAGUUUUUCUGCUUCACAUGUCAAAACAAAUGGAAAUAGAGCAGCUCAUAUAUACAUCAUGAGAAAAUUAGUUGAUCUUCGUACCCCUCAACGAAUCCAGGUGAAAUAUGUCUUUUGAAUUUCGUAGUCCCUCUAGUUUAACUUUUCGGUCAAAUUCGCCCUUCAACAAUGAAAUUAGAUGUGACAUGCCUUAAACCUCCCCUACCUUCAAAACUUGUGUAAAAUCUAACCAUCACAAGGAAACAAAACAAACAGAGAGUAGAAGAGAGGCUUGCAAACUUGUCUUAUCAACAAGAUAGAGUUGAAAUGAAAGGUUUACUUCAACAAUUAUAUUAAAUAUAAGCGACGAUCAAACAAGAUAAGAUUGAAAUAAAGGAUUUGUUACAGUGAUUGGAUUUUCUGAAUUUAAGUUUGCUUCCUUGAAGUGAUGCAAAUUAUAGGAAAACAAUUACCUUUACAUAUAUAUAUAUAUGGAUUUCUUGCCAAAUAAAUGAAACCAUUACCGUAUAUUACACUCACAUAUCUCCAUUACUUCUGAUGAAGUAGUAAAAAUUUCAAAUUAGAUCUGGAGUUUUUCAAGACUGCUUGAUGGGGUGAUUGGACACGACACCACUUAAUUGGGGUGGUGGGAUAACGAAUCUCCGAUAUUUAAAUUAGUAAAUAUAGCAGGAAAAAUAAUAUAAUAAAAAUAAAAGAAGAGUAAAGAAUGUAUGGUUGUUUUUAUGAAGUCAUGUUUUAUGUUAUGUGGUUGUCUUCGGUUUACCUGAUAACUCAAGAUAUUUUAUAAUGUUGGUCACGUCAAAUUAAUUAUCCUAUGAAGAAUUAAAUAAUGAUGAGGAAUAAUUUCCUUGUAAGUGUGUUGAUUGUUAUGUUUUGUUGUGUUAUUUGUAGAAAGGUCGGUACUCGCCUGUGAUUUACAAGAAAAAAUGAUAGGUAAAAUUUAUAUUUAAAAUUUAUACAAAAUACGGCGUUAUACUAACUUUGUUGAAAGAAGUAAUUCUUCUGCCGGUCAUUGAACUUCUUGAUAAUUUGCAAUGGAUUUAGAUUCAGNNNNNNNNNNNNNNNNNNNNNNNNNNNNNNNNNNNNNNNNNNNNNNNNNNNNNNNNNNNNNNNNNNNNNNNNNNNNNNNNNNNNNNNNNNNNNNNNNNNNGGCUGUAUCCCGCAACGCCUCCGUCGUUAGAGCGCUCGUGUACCCGUACACAAUACUUCUUUUCCUUUUUUCCCUUUCCUCCGUGUUAAUUUAAUUUCAGAGAAUGAACUAGAGAACUAUAUGAGAACUAGGGAUUGAAGUGGAGGGAAGGAAAAAUUGGUUGCCUCGUGUACUAUACGCGCUAACAUGGGAGCCUUGCCCAGCCAUCUUUAGACGGCGUCUGUGUCUCAUCCUCGAAUAUCUUUUAUUUUAUAGUCCUACACUCCUACUUGAUAAAAUAAUUGAUAACAAGCACAAACUCCAUCACAAAAAAACAUAAACUAAAACCAUGUCCGUAUCAAUUUAUAUUGUUGAUUUAAUUCCCAAAACUAAAUCAUAUAAUAUUUUUAGAAACACUUAAAAAUUAUUAUUUCAUGUUUAUUCAUAUAAUAAAAAUAGGUGUUAGUUGUAGCAUAAUAGAGGAUGAGAAAUGCUCCAAGUUAUUUUUAUAUCUUGGAAUACCAAGUUGAAUAUAAUAAAAUAAUUUUAAUAAAAAAAUCACAUAUAAGAGUGAAAAAUAUGGUCGUUUCUUUGAGAAUUUAAAAAAUAUAUAAUUCUCUAAAACACUUAUAAAUCUGAGAAUUGUUUUAGGUCUAAAAUAAACACAACCAUGAAAAUUAAAAGAAAUUUCUAGAUAGAAAACUAUGUAAGUAUUAUUAUUUUAGUGGACAUAAAAGGUUGAAUAGUUGAAGACAUUGUGUUUACUAUUUAACUGAGUAAAUACGAUAAUACUUUACUAAAAAAGGUUCAAAGCCAAAAGUUACAUACCCUGUGUAGUUAUCCACCAAAUCAUUAUCUUUCUACUAAUAUUCAAGUUUUUGUUUUAAAAAAAUGGUCAAAUAAUUUAUAUUCAUGUGAGGGAUUGUUAGAAAAUUUAUUUUUUAAAAAAGAAAUUCUUGAAGAUUUUGCUCUUCAUGAUAUAUAUUUUUUCUUUUAACUCUAGUCUGAAGCUUUACUUUUGCUAUUUUUUGUUGGAUGCUAUUACAACAAGAUUGAUGAAAAUAGAGAUUUGAUGGUGUGUCUAUGUUGAGAGAUUGAAACCAAAAGAAAAAGAAAAGAGAAUGGACACAUCAUGGUUGUUAAGAAAAUGAAAAUAAAUUUGGGGUAUAUAGUUGAAUAACUAGAUCAUUGAUUCAUACUAGACUAUGAGAUUGAUUUAACGUGACUUGAUUGACUUGACUAGUCUAAAAACAACUUGGAUAAUCGGUAAAAAAAUAGUUUGACUAAAAAAAACCAAGUCGACAUAUUUUUUUUAAUAUUAAAAUGACAACAUAUUGGAUUGAAUUGAGUUUAACUUGUCAGAUCCACAACUCCUGUCAUGAAACUAUGAUAACUCAUAGAAAACAAAUCAAAACAAAUUAUAAAGUCUAAUUCUUAAUCAACUCAAUGUUGAAUGUUGAAAUUAAAAAAAAAAACAAUUAAAAAAAGAUAUAAAAAAUACGACUCAACCCGGAUUAACCUACCAAACCGCAACCCAGGUGAUGAGGUUAAGAUAACCUUCUAUAAAGCAAACCAAAACAGAUUAUGAAACUUAAUUCUCAAUUAACUCAAUGUUGAAUGAAGAAAUUAAAAAAAAUCAAUUAAAAAAAGGACACAAAAAACAACUUGAGUCAACCUAUAUUAACCUUCCAUACCCAUGACACAAGUCUUGAACUAGGAUAAUCUCAUAGAAAACAAACCAAAAAAGCAACCAAAGUCAACUUAAGUUAACUUACCAAACUCGCGAUCUGGGUCAUGAGGUUAGAAUAACCUCAUAGAAAGCAAACCAAAAUAAAUUCAGAAACACAAUUCCCUAUCAAAUUAAUGUUAAAGCACGAAAUUGAAAUAAAAUCAAAUGAAAAAAAAUUACUAAAAACAUUAUGCGAGUCAACUUGUCAAACUCAUGUAUCGGGUCAUAAAACCAGGAUAGCCUUAUAGAAAGUAAACUAAAACAAAUUAAGAAGUUUAAUUACCAAUCAAUAAAAUUUUCAAGGAUAAAGUUGAAAAAAAAUCAAUUAAAAAAAACCUAGUAAACAAGGUUAACCCGUCAAACUUGUGACCUCCAUAAGACUCAGAUAAUCUCAUACAAAACAAAUUAAAGCAUAUCAUAAAGCCUAAUACCCCAAGUAAUCAAGUGUUGAAUUAUGAAAUUAAAAUUAAAAAAAUAAAUAGGAAAGACAAUAUAAAAAUAAAUUGUGAUUUUAUGAGAUGAUAUAUGGUAAAAACAUCAUUUUUUUUUGUAAUUUAUUGAUAAAUGGAUAAAAUUUAAGCUCUCAAUUGGGAGAUCAAACCCAAAAAAAAAUCCAAUCUAAAGCCGGGCCCUCCUAUCUUUUAAAAACCUGGCUGGAUUGAAUGGAUUAUACCGAAUCGGUUCAACGAGCAAUCCAAGUUGAAUAAAGUACAAAAUAAUAUUAAAAAGGAAAACAGAGAAAAGUGAUCACAUAACAUUAGCUUUACUAAAGUAAUUUAUCAGUGGCCUCUGACUAGAGCUGAAGCAUCAUCCUUUUUGCUGUCUUUAUUAUCUUCAACAGCAUUAAAGCCAAAAGGAUCAAUGUUUUCUUCUCUGACACUAACUUCAAUCCUCUUUGAAAUUCUAAGAACAUUAUGGAUUUUUGGCCCGUAUUCUCCUUUGCUCACGAUCCUCUCCCUUUUCGAGCUGCACAUCUUCUGCUCCAAUAAAACAUAAAAAUAGCUCACUCCAAGUAAAACUAAUCAUCUCUUAAUAGAAUAUAACCUCAGUUUAACAGGACAUGAGAAAAUUAUUUUGGAAUACAACAAGCCAGUGUUCGAUAGGCACUUGUUAAUUAAAGAACGAGCUAGUGCUCUAAAUUAGACGCUCAUUAGUCGAACUCGAAUCCAAGAAAUAUUCUUUUUCAUAAACUAAUUCGCAGUUCCCCGUACAACAGAAAGAUCAUCAACUUACAUGGUCACAGCCUUCUGAUGGUAGGAGAUGGAGCCAGGCAAGUGUAAGCAUGGUAUUUGGCAUGAAACCAGAACCCACUAGAGCAAUGAUCAGAGUUAAAUGAAGAACUUCUCACUGAUUUUCUUCACAGCUCUCUGAAUCCAGUUGCUUCUCUCUGUGAUCCUACUGAGUUUUGAUGCCAGAUUUUUAUAUGCAAUAGCUCCAACAAAAGGCUACUUCAAAUACUGUGGUAUAUAGCCUGUCUGAAUGAUCAACGAAAUAAAAUAAAUAAAUAAAAAUUUCUAGUUGCUAGAAGCCAGAAGCUUACGUUAAUUAUAGAUUUUAAACCUACAUGCGUCUGACUUGUUAAAACAUGGUACGAAAUAAAAUAUAAUUCUACAACUUCCGUGUCAAGAUGAGGACAAAAUUGGUACAAUUCAUAACUUAUCCAAAAAUGUAUCUCCACUCCAUGACGUGUUGACCCCGACUCAAGCAGUCAUACGCGUGCGUUCUUGGCUAGCCAUUGCCUUGAAAUUUUUUUCUUUCCUCCCCACCAUGAACAGGAUUUGACUCUACUCUAGAUGCUAUACCCGUAGAAUGCUGCGGGUUUGUGGCACGUUUUUGCAUUGUCGUGGAUUUGUGGAAAAAAAUUAUAUUGAGAAAAACUAUUGUAAUUCACAAUAUUUUUAAGAAAAAAAAUACAAAGCUAAAUUUUUAAUCAAUUUAAUAUUAAAAAAAUAAAAUCGACAAAUUUAAUUUUGAAAAAAUAAUUAAAAAAACAAAAGGAAAAAAAACCAAAUAGGAAACACUGUAACAAUCUAUAGUGUUUCAUGAGAAAAUCUAAAGUUAUAACUCUCAACCAGCUCAAUAUUAAAAAUAAUAAAAUCAGUAAAGAUAAUUUUGAAAAAAUCAUAAAAGAAAAAAUAUGUGGGGGAACACUGCAGCAAUCCACAGUGUUUAAAAAAAACUACGAAGCUAAAUUCUCAACCAGCUCAAUAUGAAAAAAAUAAAAUCGACAAAGACAAUUCUAGAAAAAAAAUCAUAACAAAAGCAAAAAAAAAAACUAUGUGGCGAAACACUGUAGCAAUCCACAGUGUUUUAAAGAAAAAAACUACAGCUACAUUCUCAAUCAACUCAAUAUUUAAAAAAUAAAAUCGAGAAAAACAAUUCUGAAAAAAAUAACACAAAAAAAUGAAAAAAAAGAAGAAGACAAUUUUGGGAAAAAAAGAAAAAAAAUAGGAAAAAAAACAUGUGGGGACAGUUAAAGCUAAAUUCUCAAUCAGCUCAAUAUUAAAAUCAUUUAGGAAAAUACUAUAGUAAUCUAUAGUGUUUUGUGAUGAAAUAUACAAUUAUAAUUCUCAACCAAUUCAAUAUUAAAAAAAAAUUAACAAAUAUAAUUUUGAAAAAUAUCACAAAAAAAAAACAAAAGGAAAAAACAAACCAUGCAGGGAAAUAAUGUAGCAAUCUAUAGUGUUUCAUGAGAAAAUCUACAGUUGUAAUUUUCAACCAACUCAAUAUUAAAAACAAUAAAUUCGAUAAAGAUAAUUUUGAAAAAAAUUACAACAAAACAAAAUCAUGUCAGGAAAUAUUAUAGCAAUCAACGGUGUUUUAAAGAAAAAAAACUACAAAACUAAAUUUUCAACCAGUUCAGUAUGAAAAAAAAUAAAUUCCAUAAAGACAAUUUUUAAAAAAAAUAGAUAAAAAAAGGCAUAUGAAGAAACAUUAUAGCAAGACAAAAAUCAUAUAGGGAAACACUAUAGCAAUCCACAGUAUUUUAAAGAACUACAAAUUUAAAUUCUUAAUCAGUUCAAUAUAAAAAAAAAUUGAUAAAGAUCAUUCUGAAAAAAACAAAAAAAUUCGUUAAAAAAAACCAUGUGAGGGAACACUGUAAUAAUCCAUAAUAUUUUUUUUAAAAAAAUUACAAAGCUAAAUUCUCAACCAGCCCAAUAUGAAAAAUAUAAAAUCGACAAAAACAAUUUUGAAAAAAACAAAAAAAAAGACAAUUUUGGGGAAAAAAUGGAACAAAAAUAAUGUGAGGAAAGCUAAAGCUAAAUUCUCAACCAACUCAAUAUUGAAAAAAUAAAUUUGACAAAGAUAAUUUUAGAAAACAAACAUGUGGGGAAACACUGCAGCAAAACAAAAACCGUAUGAAAGAAACACUAUAGCAAUCCACGGUGUUUUUUUUUAAAACUACAAAGCUAAAUUUUCAAUCAGUUCAAUAUUUUAAAAAAUUAGCAAAGAUAAUUUUUUAAAAAAUAUAAAACAAAAAAAUUAAAAAACAAAAAAAAGAAGAAGAAGUGAAUUUUGGAAAAAAAAAAGGAAAAAAAAAUGUAAGACAACAAUUUGAAUCAACUGGGUUAACCCACCAAAUCAGGUUAACCCAUCAAAACUGAGAUUCGUGUCAUGAAAGUGUGAUAGCUAAAUAAAAAAAGAUUUAAAUAAAAACAGGAAAAAAACAAAAAAAAAUUAAAAACAAAAAAAAAAGACAACUCAGCGUUUCACUGUGGAAUGCACUGUGCAGUGCAUAGUGAAACACUGAGCAGUUUUAAUAUAUGUUAUAAUAAUAAUAAUAAUUAUUAUUAUUAUUAUUAUAUAAGUAAAAAAAAUAUUAAUUAAAAAGGACAAAGCAAAGAGAAAAAAAACCUACAGGAAGAAAAAAACUAAUGAAGAAAAGAAAAAGAAAUCUGAAUCAACUGGGUUAACCCGUCAAACCUGAGAUCCAUGUCAUGAAAGUCUGAUAAUUAAAUAGAAAAAAAUUUAAUAUUAAAAAAAUAAAUUAAAAAAAUAAUUAAAAAAGAAAAGAAAGAAAAAAAGACAAAAAAACCUAAAGGCAUCAGUUUGAAUGUGCAGCUGCGCGGGUGUAUUCGGAGGGCACAGUAAUUNNNNNNNNNNNNNNNNNNNNNNNNNNNNNNNNNNNNNNNNNNNNNNNNNNNNNNNNNNNNNNNNNNNNNNNNNNNNNNNNNNNNNNNNNNNNNNNNNNNNAAGGAUAAGGAAAAAAAAAACAAAGGCAUACACCACGAGUUAUUUUUUUUCCUUGCAUAAAAAACAUCAAAAAAUACUAAGAUCUAAGAGUGUUAGAUCUUUCAACAAAGAUAUACCCAAGAGCCUUUGGUCUAGCUGCAACGCUUGAACCAAGAGUAAUAUUUAUAAUAUUAAUAAUAAUAUUAAACUUACAUGACUCAAGUUUAAGUGAGUCUGGUUGCAACACCGAACCCAAGAGCCUUGGAUGUGGGUCUGGCUACAAGGUCGUGUCAUAAAAGUGUAAUAAUUAAAUAGAUUAAUUAAAAAGAAAAAAACAAAGAAACAAAACCAACAGGAAGAAAAAGCUAAUGAAGAAAAAAAAUCUGAAUUAACUGGGUUAACCCUUCAAAUCAGGUUAACUCGUCAAACCUGAGAUUCAUGUCAUGAAAGUUUGAUAACUAAAUAGAAAAAAAAAAUUAACAGGUUAACCCAGAAUUAACUGGGUUAACCUGUCAAGCCUGGGAUACGUGUCAUGAAAGUUUGAUAAUUAAAUAGAAAGAAAUUUAACAUUAACAAACUAAACAAAAAAAAAAUUAAUUAAAAAGAAAAAAGCAAAAAAAAAAUAUUUCGUGUUAACUCGUCAAACCAGGUUAACCCGUCAAACUUGGGAUCCGUGUCAUGAAAGUCUGAUAACUAAAUAAAAAAAAUUAACAUUAACAAACUAAAUUAAAUAAAAAAAAUUCAUUAAAAGAAAAAACACAAAGAAAAAAACGAAACAAAAAAGAUGCCAUAAAGGCAUAAAAAACAGGAAAAAAUAAAAAAAUAAAAAAAAUGAGCAGUAUAUGUUAUAAUAAUAAUAAUAAUAAUAAUAAUUAUUAUUAUUAUUAUAUAUAAGUGCAAUGAAAAUAAAAGGCAUGGGAAAGCUACAGUACUUUCCUCACGCCUUUUAGAGUAUGUUACUAGUUACAUGACCCGCACAAUGCCGCGGGCCUUUUUUUUGCAUAAAAAAUAUAAAAAAAAACUAAGAUUUAAAAGUGUUAGGUCUUUCUGCAAAGCUAUACCCAAGAGUCUUGGGUUUGGCUGCAACGCCUGACCUAAGAGUAAUAUUUAUAAUAUUAAUAAUAACAUUAAACUUGAAUGACCAAAGUUUAAGUGGGUUUGACUGCAAUACCAAAUCCAAUAGCCUUGGAUGUAGGUCUGGCUGCAAGGUCGUGUCAUAAAAGUGUGAUAAUUAAAUAGAAAAAAACAAAAAAAAACCAACAUAAAGAAAAAAACUAAUGAAAAAAAAAACUUCUGAAUUAAUUGGGUUAACCCUUCAAAACAGGUUAACCGUCAAAUCUUGGAUUCGUGUCGUGAAAGUUUGAUAACUAAAUAGAAAAAAAAUUGACGGGUUACCCAGAAUUAAUUGGGCUAACCGGUCAAACCAGGUUCACCCGUCAAACCCGGAAUCUGUGUAAUGAAAGUUUGAUAACUGAAUAGAAAAAAAUUGAACAUUAACAAACUAAGUUAAACAAAAAAAAUUACUUAAAAGGAAAAAAAAACCAAGACAAACAAAAGGCAUCAGCCUUUUCACUGUGGACUGCGCUGUGCAAUCCACAAUCAAAGACAUAAAAACAAAAAAAAACAAAAAAAAAACUAAAGGCAUCAGCCUUUUCAUUGUGGACUGCAUACAAUAUUAAAAGAUGAAAUCGAAAGAAAAAAACUAAUGAGAAAAAAGAAAAAAAAUCUGAAUCAGCUGAGUUAACUCGUCAAAUCAGGGUAACCCGUCAAACCUAAGAUUCGUGUCAUGAAAGUGUGAUAACUAAAUAGAAAAAGAUUUAAUAUUAAUGAACUAAAUUUUUUUAAAAAAGAUUUAUUAAAAAAGAAAAAGCAAAGAGAAAAAAACAUACAUGAAGAAAAAAAACUAUUGAAGAAAAAGAAAAAAAAUCUAAAUCAACUGGGUUAAACCAUCAAACCUGGAAUCUGUGUCAUGAAAGCCUAAUAAUUAAACAGAAAAAAUUUAAUAUUAAGAAACUAUAGACAAAAAAAAAACUAAAUGCAUAAGCUUUUUCACUAUGGACUGCACCGUGCAGUUCAUAGUAAAAGGCUUAGAAAGGAAAAAAAAAGAAAAAAAAACAAAGUCAUGAGCCAUGGGUUAAUUUUUUUUUCUUGCAUAAAAAAUAUUAAAAAAGUUAAGAUCUAAGAGUAUUAGGUCUUUCUGCAAAGAUAUACCCAAAAGCCUUGGGUUUAUCUGCAAUGCUUGACCCAAGAAUAAUAUUUAUAAUAUUAAUAAUAAUAUUAAACUUAUAUGACUUAAGUUUAAAUGAGUCUGACUGCAACAUCGGACCCAAGAGCAUUGGAUGUGGGUUUGGCUAUAAGGUCGUGUCAUAAAAGUGUGAUAAUUAAAUAAAUUAAUUAAAAAGAAAAAAAACAUUAGGAAGAAAAAAAUCUAAAUUACCGGGGUUAACCCGUCCAACCCUGGGAUUUCGCGUCCAUGAAAAGUUGGAUAACUAAAAUAGAAAAAAAAAAUUGAACAGGUUCACCCAGAAUUAAUUGGGUUAACCCAUCAAACCAAAGUUUAACCCCGUCAAGCCUAGGAUACGUGUCAUGAAAGUCUGAUAAUUAAAUAGAAAGAAAUUUAACAUUAACAAACUAAACUAAACGAAAAAAAACUAAUUAAAAAGAAAAAAAUCUGGGUUAACUUGUCAAAUCAGGUUAAUCCAUCAAACUCGGGAUUCGUAUCAUGAAAGUCUAAUAACUAAAUUUAAAAAAAAUUAACAUUAACAAACUAAAUCAAAUAAAAUAAACAUCAAAAAAACAAAAAGAAAGAAGAAGAUAGUUCUAUAAUAUAAUAUAAUAUAAUAUAAUAAUAAUUAUUAUUAUAAUAUAAUAUAAUAUAUUAAUAAGGGGAAAGUGAAAGGCGUGGGGAAAAUGGGAAAAGGUACAGUAAUUUCCCCACGCUUUUAGAGUAUUCUAUAAUAAUAAUAUAAUAAUUAAGGCUUAAUUUUACAAGGAGAAGAUGAUUGGAAACCGCCCCAAGGCUCAAAAGACCUUAGACCAGCACCCAAACAAGAAGUUUAAAGGUGUUAUUAUAAUCCCCAUCGGAAAAUUAUAAAACAAUCAUGAACUUUCUCCUAUAAUUAAAAUAUUAAUAGAAUUGCCGACGGAAACUUAUUGUCGGCGAGUUUCUUGUCAAAGACUUGCAUUGACUUGCAUUCUAUUUGAUGUUUUCGUCAUCAGCUUUCUUUUUCAAUAGAAUAUUCAUAUCAAAAUAUCAUAUUUUAAUGUUCAUUUUCAAUCGAGAAGUCCAUCAGGGAAUUUUUUCUUUUUAACUGUGAUGUACACAUCAGAUUACAUGUAUUUCUUGAUUAAUCUUCCUCGAGAACUUAAAUUAAUAAGCAGAUAAUUUUUUAAUAGUUUUAAAAUUUAUAAUAUUAGAAUUAAUAAUUUUUAAAAAAUAAAUGAAAAAUCUAACUAGUUAAAUUACCACCCAAAUUAUCUUAAUCUCCUUAAAACUAGAGUGCUACUGCCCGAGACAUGUAAGUUUGAUCCGGCCAUCUUAGAAGAGCUGCUGUAAUAAACUCCUCAAAGACUCUGAAGCAUAUAUAUAUAUAUAUAUAUAUAUAUAUAUAUAUAUAUAUAUAUAUAUAUAUAUAUGAUCGUCAUUAUUCAUCAAAUAUGACUAAGGUCAAAACAACUGAAAACAAAUACUAAAAAAUAUCGAAGUUCCAUUUGAUAUGCUUUCUCGAUUAAUAAGUUUAGCAAAAUGCGAAAACCAAACAACCUCAAUUAUAGACCAAUAUAUACAUACUGAAUAAAAAUACAUGAACGAUGGUACGACUUCACUUUUGAGUCGACUUGUAGCCCUGUUUUACAUUGCAUAGUAAAUGGGAGUAGGGUAAAAUUUGAGAUUUUAUUUGUCUAAAAUUAAUUUUUUAUAUAUUUUUAAAUUGUUUUGAUAAUUUUAAAAAAAUAAAAAAAAUAUAAUUUUAAUAAAUUUCCAGCCACACGACAUUUUAGAAAAAAUACAUUCCUACAAUCACUCACAAAUACAUUAGAAAUAUAAUAGAGAGAAGUACAGCAGUGGAGAACCAAUUUUUGCUCUCCAUACAGAAGCAACUACGUACACCUUAAGUCCAAGCCAUAGAUACUACAUCCUGCAUAAACUUAACUUUUGCUACUAAAAUCCAAUCCAAACCUAUAUACAUAUCUUGUCAUUCUCAAGCAACACAGGAAAAAAAAAAAAAAAAACUCGACAUCCAGUACUACUUCACACAACUAGGCGACCUUAUUUUGCUUCUUAAUUAGCAGGCAGUUCAGAGCUGCCAGAACAGAAACACACCUGAUGGAGUCCCCCUACUAAUAAUAUCAAUCUUUCAGCACUGUUUACACGGCGAGCCCAGCUCACCGUACAGUCCUGCCCCUUUUAAUUGACCAUUAACUAGUGGCUUCAUUGUCCACUGUAGUGCCAUCGUCUACUUUCUCUUCGCUUUUCUUCUUCUUUUCUUUUUCACUGUUGAAGCCGCCAAGAGGGAGCUUCUCCUUUGCAACAUUAGCCGCAUCCUUGGGUUUGCGCCCUCCAUUGUUGGUUUGGCCACCGCCCCCGUGACUAACACCAGGUCCACGUCCAGCACUUCUGAUCACACACAAGAAGAAAAGGAUAGUGACAUGGACGUAAUUAGUGAGAUUUCAUAUCUAAAUCAAGUGACUGUCACUAACAAUAAUCAGUAAAGAAAGACCCUAAAUAAUUCCUAGUUAAAUUGGCUGUCAGUCAUUUGUUUUUAUAAACAAACCAAACUCUUUCAAAAUUACCUUUAUAAUCUAAAAACAUGUGUUUGUUCGGCAAACACGUGAAAAUGAUUUAUGAAUUAUCAGCUGAGUGGUUAAGAAACUAUUGAUAUAGCCCCGGCGAGAAGAGGAGGAAGAAGAAGAAGAAGAUUAAAUCUAGUCCAAGAAAACCCUCACGGCUCAACCCGACCAAAAAAAGAAGGAAAUAAAGAAGAAGAAAAAUGUCAAAUGCAUGUUCAUCACUUAUUUGACUGGACUGGAAUGAGAUCCAGAAACUCGUAAGCGAGAUGACAAGAAAAUUUCCAAAUAUAUAGCCACAUGCAUAGGAAACUUGACCUACAUGAUCAAAGUUUUACGCUGGUAGCAUAGCCUGGUAUUAAGCAUGCGGACCAAGGUCGACUUCGGCAUGAAGCCACUGGGCACCAGAGACAUGCAAGCCAUAAUGGAGAAGUUUUCUCUCUCUGAAAUGCUCUGGAACUCUAAAUCUAUCUACUAUACUCUAGCUUAUGAGCUCCUAGUGAGACUUGAGGCAUGGUUUUAUAAUGGAGAGCAUGGAUGACUUCAUUGACCUCAACAAGAAUAUACAUAUGUACUGUAUAUUAGAGAUUUUAGCUACUGUUCACCAAUUGGAGAUUUUAGCGUUAUCCAUAUGUACUUGAGGAAACCACAAAAUAUGUAUAUUUUUAAAAAGAUAAUUAAGAAUGACUAAUAUACAUACGAGGAGCCAGGAAUUUUCCCUGUCUAUUAAAUAAAUAUAUAAAUAUUUUUUAAGAUCAAUUAUUAACUCGUGUAUAUAAAUUUUUGAAGUCAACAGUAAAGUUUUAAUUCAAAUACACUACCCAAAAUAUAAAAAAAUAAAUUUAAAAAUAUAUAAAAUUGAAGUAAAAGUAAAAAUAAACUCAUUAUUAAAGUUAAAUCAUUCGAUGUUUUGUGAAAUAUAAUUCAUCUAUAAUCGAAUCUGAAUCGAUAAUAUAACAACCCCUCAACUGGGAUAAAAUAACAAUCUCAUGUCAACUGAAAAAUAAAGUAAUGAAAUUUUUUCCCUCUUUCAAUUUCUCCUUCCUUCACUUGAUUCUUUCUUAGAUUAAUGUUUUAUAAGUUGGACUUUGUAAGUUUACAAGGUUAUUCUCUCACUUUUCUUUUCUUUUUCCUUGCAUUUUUUUUCCCUUACUUUUCUCUAUUUCUCUCUCGCCUUUUCUUUUUUUUCUUUUUCUAUUCUGCUUCUGCCCAGUCAGAAACAUAUAAAAGGAAGGAAGAGCUGAUUUGUUUUAGUUUUUUAAUUGCAAAUAAUCAUUUUACUCUUAAUGAGUCGUUUUUCUUUUAUUUGACGAUACUUUUUUUUGUUAGCACUACCAAGCUCCGUUCAUCCUAAAAUUUUAACCAGAUUUUAUUCAAUAUAUUUUAAGAUCCCUUAUAAAAUUUCAGUUCAAUCUGAUGGUCGGAUUGAAAAUUAUAUCCAAUAACAUAAAACUAGUCAAAUUGUGAUUUUUUUAUCAAAUUUCUGAAUUUCUUCAAAAAAUCUGAAAUUUUAACCCAAGUUAAAGCAUUAAUUAGAAGGUUCCACCCAAAUUUCAGAAUUUUUUGAUAACUCAAUCAAGAAUUACAAAUUAUUUUUAUAUAAAACUAAUCAAAAAAUAUUGAUAAAAUCUUCAUCCAGUCUAUAACCCAAGCCUUUAACGUGCCUCUACCAUUUUAUAUAUAUAUAUAUAUAUAUAUAUGUGUGUGUGUGUGUGUGUGUGUGUGUGUGUGUGUCUGUGUGUGACUUGACUCCAUAAAGUGUGUGAGGUCCCUCACAAAUAAUGCAAAAGGCGACAUGUUCUUCUCGUGGGCUCGUUAAUGCUAGCAUGAUUGCCAACUUUAUUUUGUAUAUAAUGCAGGUGGAACUACCUUUCAAUCGUUCACCUUUUCUUCAGAUUAGGAUUUAAAGACAGUGAUCAGAUGAAGACAAAUCGUAAGAAACUUGAUGAAUAUGAAUGAUUGUGCGGAGACCACAUCCUCAAUAAUCUAUUAAUUAUUUGUGUGAUCUUUUUAUAUCUAUAUAGUCUCUGAAGAAAAUUUGAAAGUCAUUGGAGUGCCAAUAAAUUAUUCCCUCUUUUCUCCAUUUCAAUCCCUUUACUUCAAUCCAUUCUCCGAUUAAGUCUUCAAAAUUGAAUUAACAAGAGAAAAGAGAAAAUGAAAGAAGAAUGAAAAAAUAAAAUAAAUAAAACAUUAUUUACCUCUCACAACUUUAUCCUAUUGUCAUGAAGGAUUACUCUCCGGCUCAAGGGAAUGCUCUUUAACCCCCAAGAGAGUGCUCUGUAGCCCAAACGAUUGUUAUCCUACUUAAACACUUGUCCCUCAACCUCAUCCCAACCACUUUAGAACUAAUUCCUCAUGUGAAAAAUUUUAGGAAACCCAGCAAUUAGUACAUAUCACAAUGCAGAGUUACAACUCCAAACAAAGUCAAUACAACACCAUAUUGUCCUAUCCUAUGCUUACACAUAAAUUAUCAAUAUAAUGCUUAUCUUCGCCUACCUUUCUCGCCAAUAAAUAGUUAUCUCCUAUCAACAUGUCUCCUCAAAAGAAUCCUACUUCCUUGUUUUUGGCUUUCCCACUAACCUCUCUCCUUAAAGGGCGUCAAUCUCACACACCAAUUACCAUUUACACUACCAUAAUUUUUAGAUUUACGGAUAUAAUUUUCCGUUGGUAUUUAUACUAUUAUUCUGUUGGUAAUUAAUUUACCAACAAAAUCACCGACGAAAAUACUCCAUCGGUGAAUCUUGCGUCGGUAAUUUUUUGUCCGUUGGUAAGUCUAUUGGUAAUAAAAAAAUAUUAUUACCGAUGGAUUUUCUGAUGAAAAAAGCGAGCAAAAAAAAAUUACCCACUUCAUUCUGUCGGUAUUUCCCUCGGCAAAAUACCGUAUGUAAUUCCGUAGGUAAUUAUUUAAAAAUAUUUUUUUAAAAAAUCUAUUUUACAAAACUAUAAAAUAAUUAAAUUAAUAUAAAUCAACACUCUAUAAUACUCAAAAUGCUUGGAAAAAAGAAGAAGAAAAUCAACUCAAACAAAUUUGCAACAAAUAAAUUCAACUAAAAAAAUUCAUAUGAAAAAAAAAUUAAAAAUCCUAUAAACAAAUCAACUAAAAAUUGAUCUCAUAUGAAAAACAAAUCCUACAACAACAUUCAUACAAUUAUUAAUAACAAAAACAAUUAAAAAUAAAAUAAAAAAACAAAUAUAGUGAAAGAAAAAAAAAUCUUACCUUAAUGUAAUUGCAAUUGAAGCUAAGAAGAGAAAAAAAAUUCAUAACGUAUAUACUAAUUAAAAAAAAACUGAGAAGAAAAGGAAGAAAGGAGAAGAAGACAUACAUAAACAUAGAGGAGAAGAGAAGGAGUUUAGGAGAGAAGAAAAGAAAAAGAAAUGGAUAUUGAUGUUUUUUACAUAUGGGGAAGAAGAAGAAAGGAGACGGGUCUGUUGUGAAUUAAGGAUUCUAGACUUUUUAUUAGGGCGUUUUACCGACGGAUAAUUAAAUAUUAAUAUUUUUAAUCAUUCCGUCGGUGAUUCUGUGUAUAAUAUUUAAUUUAAAAUUUUAAUUUAAUAAAAAAAUUUCAGAAAUCGUCAAAUAUCACCAAUGACUUUUCAAUCCGUUGGUGAUUUCGUCUAUAAUAUUUGAUUUAAAUUUUUAAUUUAAUCUAAAUUUUUCAAAAAACCACCAAAUAACACUGACGACUUUUCAAUCCAUCGGUGAUUUUGUCUGUAAAGAAGAGUAAUUAACAGUGCAAUUAGAAAGUGAACAGUUCCAGAGCUCUCUGAAAAAUUCCAUCGGUAAUUCUCUCUGUAAUUGACAUGAUGAACAAUAUUCAUAGUUUAUCAAUGGUUUUAUCGAUGAAAUUUAUUCUGCGGGUAAUUUCAUUGGUAAAAUCAUCACGUAAAUGUUUUUUUUUGCUUUGUUUUAAUUAUUUUGUUUCCCACUUGUAAUUCCCUCGGAAGAUACCGAGGGAAUAUUGUCGUCGGUAAAAUCCAUCGGUAAAGUUUCAACGGAAAUAUUUCCUCGAUAUUUCUAUUUGUAUUUAUCAAUUUUUUAAUAGUGUGAGUGCUAACAUUUCCAUCAAUAGCAUAAAAUAACCAAUAACCAACUACUCAACUUUUCAAGUUACUUACCAAGAAAAUCAAUUAUUCUUAAUUAUUACUUCACUCUCCAUGAGAUAAGAUUAAGUGAUUGAAGGGUAUAAAUAUAUUGGUUUAUCAAGUAAACAAUGACAAUUCUACCAAGUCCAUUCAAGAAAUCAAGCAUAAAACAAGUUCAUCAUAAUAUUCAUUAUCUUAAGCUCAAGAUGCAGCUAUUUAAAUAUAUUGGUUCAUCAAGUAAACAACUUUCCUUCCCUUUUAUAAGUUAUUGACUUAAAUAUUAGAGGGUUCUAUUGUAAUAAAGACUUGUUUUUGUAAGGAAUAUCAAGUCUAGAGAUAAAGCCUAUACACAUUAAACUCAAGAUGCAGCUAUUUAAAAUUCAAAUCCAAUAUGAUGUUUUCAUGACUUUAUCACCCCUUAAUUGUUUAUGCGGUGAUAAAUGAAAUUAGAGGAUUAACAAUACCCAUACAGACACACACACGCACAUGCGCGCGCGCACACCAUUUGCAUUCUCUGAGAACGAAGAAACAACUUGGUUCACUACCAGAAAAUUAGCAAAUACAAACGUAAAUACCGAUGAAAUUUUUCUAUCGGUAUUUUAUGAUGACCUUUUCUAACAAAAUAAGAAAUGAAAAAAAAAAUUAAACAGUAUGAUGACGUGUAACUUUUAUAGACAAUAUUAUUGAGGGAAUGUAUCCGUCGGUAUAUUUUAGAGAUCAUGAGAACUGUUCUCUUUCUCUCUGGUGUUCAAGGUGUUCAUUAUAUACGGGUAUACCGACGGAAUGUGUUCGUCGAUAUAUCCUAAAAACUAUAGGAACUAUUCCCCUUCUCUCUGAUACUGUUCACAGUAUUUAUUACAUAUAAGUAUGCUAACGAAAUGUGUAUAUCAAUAUAUUUCAAAGACCAUGAGAAUUGUUUUACUUAUCAAUGUGCUGUUAAUUAUUGUUUUUUAUAAACAAAAUCAUCGAUAGAUUGAAAAGUUAUCGGUAAUAUUUGAGGGAUUUCUGAAAAAAAUUAUUAAACUAAAAUUUUAAAUUAAAUAUUAUAGAUUUGCUAUUAAUUAUUAUUCUUUUAAGUACGGAAUCACCAAAUGAUUUAAAAGAAGAGACUUCAAUUUUUUUAACCAAAUGUCAGCGCUCAUAAUUCUUUCAAAGCUGCAUUUCUUCGAACAUCCUUCCUGCCUGGCUAAAAUGCUAAUUAAAGUCUUUUGCGUCUACUUGAGAUUGGCCCAGUUGAUCAUAGUUUGAACACUUGCGAUAAAGGUGUAGACUGUGGAGUUUUACAGCGUUCUUCUGCUGAAUAAUGGUUAAAGUGGAUUUGUGAGCCUAUAGAGAUUGAAUAUUCAGUUAAUCCCAUGAAUGACAUUUUUAUUCCUCUCUCUCUCUCUCUCUCUCUCUCUCUCUCUCUCUCUCUCACACACACACACACACACACACACACACUUUAUUUCAUUGUCCCCUCCAUUUUUAUUUCAACCUAUUUUUUCCCUUCACAUUCUCUCUCUCUCUCUCUCUCUCAUUAAUUAAGUUUCUCAUAAAAAUGGAUUGUCUAACGAUUAAUUCAAAAGGUUUACUUCAUUAUUUCAAUAAUAUAUAGCUCGUAACAGUGUAAACUAAAAAAUAAAAUGAUGUUGGUGACAAUUAAUAUAAACUCAUAAAUUUAGGUGUAGCAAAAUCAUUAAAUUUUGUAAAAAAAAUAUGAGAAUUAGGUUUCUAGAGAUUGAAGACAACCUCCCCGUUCCAACUAUACCAUUUUAAAGUCUGGCAUGUCUACUUUAUAAUAGUAAUAAUUGUAGAACCUAGUUCUUUAUAGAAAAAUAGAUUAAAAAAAUUCACAAAGCAUGCUUAAUGAACACUGAUUUCGACAAAGAAGAAGAAGAAGAAUGGAAGCAUUCAUGGUAUAUUUUCUUCAAUUAUUUUAAAACUUAUUUUAAAUAGUUCAUCAUACAUGUUAAUUGACUAGAAAACAAGAAACUUAUGCAUCGCUAACAAUGUUUAUUUUGUGUCUGUGUUUGAGAGUGUAGUUGCGAUUGCUUUUCAAAGUGUUUUUUUUGUGCUGAAAUGCAUUAAAAUAAUAUUUUUUUUAAAAAAAAUUAUUUUUAAAACCACCACAUCGAAAUGAUCCAAAACAUAUAAAAAAAUUAUUUUUUGAUAAAAAAAAUAAAUUUUUAUGGAACGCGAUUUACACCGUGUUCCCAAACAGUUUAAUAUAUAAAAUUAAAACAUCUCUUUUAUCACUAGUCUAAGUAUAAUUAACAAUCUAAAUAUAUAUAUAAAUGGUAGUGUUUAAAGAGCUUGAAAGAGUCUUUGCCUUCCUUUCUCUUGUUGUAAGAACUUCCAUGUAAAGAUUUGUUUUCUUAUUUACUUUUCCUCACAAGUUAUCAUCUCCCGAUCUCACACAAUUUUGUACCCUUUAUUUGAAGAAAGAAGGCCUUUAUCAAAAAAGAAACUUGGCUAAAAAAACAAAGAAAGAAGAUCGGUUUGCAGUUUGCAUAUUCCCAUCUUUUAAAGCGAAGAAGAGCAUCUCUUGAUAUAUAUUGUGGAUAGGAUAUAGCAGCAAUAUACAAUUGUAGAAAACCGAAAAUAAUAUGGAAGAAAUACGUCAUUCUAGUGACAACAAACAACACCUAACAAAUUAAUUAUUAAUUAAUUAAUUUAUGGGAAAAAUAAAAUAGAUGAACACCCAGCACAUAUCAUUAUAUGCAUUCCUCGGGAAAAAAAACAUUAAAUAAAUUAUGAGAGGGUAAAUAAUUACGUUCUGAAUUUAUUUUUUAAAUAUUAUUAGUUUAAGUAUUAUAAAUUUUAAAAUUAUUAAAAUUUUAUAUAGUUAUUAAUUUUAAAAUUUAUAAAAUUAACUUAGAUGCAAAAAAGUUGUCCGGACACAUUCAAAAACAAAAUUAAAUAAUAAAAUCUGUCGCGAUAUGCUUUGCCUGGAAUCUUCCUAUAUAUUCUGUCCUUCAAAUUAAAUAAAAAAAGUAAUAAAAUAAAUGGACAUUCUUACCCCUUAAAUAUAAAGACGACGACAGCAUAUACACGUGGAAGCAGAUAACUGGUUUCUGAUUGUCCAAACACACUUGUCAUCCUUGCGUAAUCACUGCCUGACCUUUUCUUUUUGUCCAUUUUGCCGUGCUCACUUCGCCACUCUCACCGUCUCCUCGCAUCCCCGCCAGUACCGCCCCCCCUCCUCUCUUCAAUGUCAAAUACCCUCUCUCGCAUGCCUCCUCCUCUCAAAAACCCUGACUUCCUUUACUUCCUAUUUUCCCAAAAUGUCGUCCCACUUCCUCUCUAAUUCCCCUUCUACCCCUACCACCAAGGCCUCCGAUCGCCAAAACGACACCUCCGUUUCCCUCCCCUCAACCUCCACCUCAUCUUCUAUUUCCCCAGAUAUGUGGAAUUACCUUUGGAUCCCUUUCUUAAUCUCGCUCUCUAAAGAGCUAACCCUAGCUCGAUCAGCAACAGCUACAACUUCUCCUUCGAUUCUCCUCCCGAGUCAACUCGCCGAUGACUCGCCUUCAGCGCCUAGGUGUCCGGCCCCCGACACAAAUCUGAAUUACCGUCCGGUGAUUGGAAUUUUGAGUCAUCCGGGGGACGGUGCCUCCGGGAGGCUUAAUAACGCGACGAACGCUUCGUAUAUUGCGGCGUCGUACGUGAAGUUUGUUGAAUCAGCUGGUGCUAGGGUUAUUCCAUUGAUUUAUAACGAGCCAAGAGAGAUUCUUUUUGAGGUAUCUAGAUUCUUUAAGGAGAAGUGCAAAGAUUGAUUUUAGAGUGGGUUGGAUCAUAUGAUAUGAUUAGAUUGGAGAGGAAGUGAAGUGGAAACUGAAAAGGGAAUUAUUUUUAAACGAUUGUAAUUGAGAGAACUUUUAAGUAAUUCUGAAAUUAAGUAUUUGCUUAUUCGAGAUAAUGAUUUGGAGUUAGAAACUUUGUUGAUGAAAAAGAAAAUGAAAAUGAAAUUAAACAAAAAAAAAAUCUGAAUUUUUAAGUUUUUGUGCAUGAUCAUUUUAAGGAAUAGUCUGGCUUGAAUGCAAUGCUUGCACGGUGUAGGGGUAUGUUAUCAUUAUUUUAUAAUCUUAGUAAUUUAUAAAUGUUACUUAAGCUUGCUUGUUUGGUGUUGCAUUACAGAAGCUCAAUCUGGUAAAUGGAGUGCUCUUUACUGGAGGUUGGGCUAAAACUGGUUUGUACUUCGACACUGCGAAGGCAAUUUUCAAGGUAGGUAAUUUUUUCAAACAAACCUUCCAUACUAAAAUUGAUUUCAAUAAAAAAAUGAUUUCAAUAAAAAUUUUUUUUUUGCAAGACGAUGCAUCCCGCGUUUGCAAUAUGUUUAGAAUUCACCAAAAAGAAUAAAAGAAGACAUGGCAUUUUCUACUUUUAGUUCCCCCCCCCCCCCUAACUGUUGUCAGUACAAUCAUCUUGUACUUGCAGGAAGUUUUAGCAAGGAAUGAUGCAGGCUUCCAUUUCCCAGUGUAUGCCAUCUGCUUAGGCUUUGAAAUUCUGACAAUGAUCAUUAGUGAGGUAAUAUAUGGCCAAAACAUAUGUGUAUAUAUAGCCUGUAAUGAUCAGACAUUCCCAUUCCAAUUAUUCCCAUAUUUUCCAUUUUGUCAGACUGAUUCCGUGCGAGAAGAAGGAUUACCAAUUUAUUUGUUAUUUAAAAUAUAUAGUCCAUAGCGAUUAGGACUCUUCAGGACUUUUGGUGUGCCUGUAUAAGCGCACACAUUAUGUAUAUCUUUUGCCAUAGUGACAAUAAAUUGAGAGUUUCAGUUUCAAUUUACAGCGGUGGAUUUCCUUCAGUGUUUCACUGUGGAUUCCGCUUUCUCUCUUGGAUUCGAGGAAGCCCUGGUGGAUAUCUGGGAUUUAGCUUGGUGAUUCUAGGUUUUCUACCCCUUUUCUAUCUGUCGAGUCUGUUACCCUUUCUACAGCAAUUGGUAUUUGUUUUGCGUUGCCAAGCUACUUGUCUCAAACUUUAUUCCUAAUGUUAUUGUUCUUGUUCUAGGUGGUUAUUUCUGUUGUUUUCUAUUGCUGCUUAACCUGAUUGUAUGCAGAGAGGAGGUAAAACUUUAGGUUUUGUUUUUCUGUGAGAUGUAUAAUUAAAUUAAAUUUGGCCUUACAGUGCAAUGAUGAUGUUGGUGGUAAAGUUAUUGCCAGAAAAAUGUCUGAGUAAUUGUUUUGUUUACUUUAUCGUCCAUCAAUGUCAAAAUGCCUGAGUAGUUGUUUCAAAUAUUAGUGCACUCUUGUUAGUGGAAAUACUUACAAGUCCCACUUGAGAAAUGUUAUGAGUAUGACUUUUAUUUUUCCUUGAAAAUAGGACAAUCAAAUUCUGGAAACAUAUAAUGCAACUGAUCAGGCCUCUACUCUUCAAUUUAUGGAAAACAUAAGCAUCGAAGGAACUGUGUUUCAGAGGUAUACACGCUGUAAUCCCCCCCCGCCCCCCCCCCCAUCUCGUUAACUUUGGUAAAACUCAAGCUUUUCUCUUAUACCAGUUCGUAUAAACAUUCUCAAUUUUUUGCAUUUAUCAAACAUGAUGCACUUAAUUUUAUUUUCUUACCAAGUUUUUAGUUUCUUUAUAGAGCCACAAAAGGAUAUUAAUGAAUUUGUUAAACAGUGUAAAUACCAAUUAACUUUUCUGUCAAUAACUGAACGAAAGAGUUUUUCAAAUUCUCUUAUAUGUAAGAUAACUGUUCUGAAUCCCAAUUAAUAGUUCCUUGAUCGUCAUUAUUUGUUUUACUUCUUAAUUCUUAACAUGCUGUUAUCUCAAUUUCGUCUUUGACAUGCCAAAUGCUUACCCUUUAUUUUUGUGUGACUUGGUUACUGGCAUGGAGAAGAUGUCCUAACUUGAUUUAGUUACCUAAUAUCCAAUAUGGAUGUGUGCUGAAUAAGUGAAUACUUACAAGAUGAUGUAGUGUCAAAUUGUAUUAUCCAGUUUGCACACUGCGAAGCAUGAUAUGUGACAUUAUGCAAUCUGCAAGGGAUAAAUGGAGGUCUUUUGUUAUCAUGUCAGGAACUGUUUUGCCUAGCUACUUUGACAUUUAUUGUGAAUUGUUUUUCUUAUAGAAGUUCUAUGAUUAUUCAAUAUUGGCAAAAUGAUACUUUUAGUUGUACCAAGCAAAAAACUGCUAGUUAACAUCAAUAUUCCUUUGCAGAUUUCCUCCAGUUUUGCUUAAAAAGUUGAGUACAGAUUGCCUAGUCAUGCAAAACCAUCAUGUGAGUUCACAAAACUGGUAGUACCUUUGGACUUUGGUUGCAUGGUCAAAUAGAGACACAUGAUGCUCUGUUUCUUGUUUCUUUCUUUGUUUAGAUUUCUGUAAUAUAUGACAUUUUACACUUUAAAAAGGACUAUAUUUAAAAAAAAAAUUUAUUUUGGUGCAUCUGUCUUAUAAACCAGCAUUACCUAUCCAUUUCCUCGUGAUUGGAGAUCUAAGAAUAUCUUGAUAUUCAUUAAAUUUGAAGCCAAAAAGGAAAAUGUAAAUUAGACUUUCCUCUAUAUCUGGCCAUAUUUUAAUACUAUUAUACUGAAGAACCGUCCCUCAAAAGUAACUAAAAUAUACUGGCUGAUGAGUAUCACUCAAGUGGAAGACGGAACGAUGAUGCUGUCGUCAGGAGAGUAUGAUCUGGAGUUUCCACUUUCUUGGGAAAUAUUUAUGUUUUGCAUUUCCAUAGUUUAGACAGGAUUGGGGAGAUGAUACUUGAAUGUUUACAUCUCCCAAUUCUAAGUUUUUCCACCUGCCCUUGAACAUGAUUGUUGCAUCAAUGCCGUCUUAAUCUUUAAUAUUCUACUUUUAUUUUCAAAUUAGAAUACUAAUCCAAUGACCAGAAAGGCUGCUUUCCCCUUUUUAUCUAGCUUAUCUGAUCUUCCAAUGCAACAGUAUGGCAUCUCACCACAACGGUUUCAGGGAAAUGAACAUCUAUCUAGUUUCUUUGAGAUCCUGACUAAUAGUGCAGACGAAGAUAACCAGGUAAUGGAUGCAAUAAUUUUGUGAUGUAGUUUUCUAUACACUUGAAGAAUUCUAAUUCUUUCCCCAACAUCUAUUUUAGGUUUAUGUCUCCACUGUACAAGCACGCAACUAUCCUGUGACUGCCUUCCAAUGGCAUCCCGAGGUAUUGCUAUCAUGUGCUUUGCAUUAGAGCCAUUGUGUUUUUCUGUGGAGAUACAUCUUUGGUUGGUCAAAUUCCAUACUUGAAGUAUAAAAUAUGGAUUUAGAUAAUCAGGAAAUUCAGGAACGAUGACAAGUCCUGUAUACCCAAAAAAAAAUUACUGUGGGAUAAUGGGAUGCAGCUGUUUGUGCUUUGUAUUUAUAGGAUAAAUUUUUGUCAAUUUUCACUCCUUGUAUUACACUCCCUACUCUUCUAUAUGUAAAAUACAUGCAAACAUGGUCAUCAUAUAAGAAAGUCUUGCGUGUGUGUGUUUAAGCUGAGUCUGGUACUUUUACAUAGAUCAGUUUGGGUAUUUAGUUUAAAAAUAUUAAAGUGGCUUUAAUGUCUGAGUUCUUUUGUGAAGUUGAAAGAAAUGCCCAAACAACAUAGGCAAUUUUUUUAUUAGCAUUACCAUAGCAAAAGGAGCAGUGGGAGGUGGCAGGGGAUAAAAUAACAUCAUAAUAUUUUUAUAGCUCAGCUUAAUUUCUAAACAUAAUUGAGCAAUCGAUCCUCAUGGUAUGGUGCACAAGUGUCAAUUCUCCUUUGUUUUUCAAAUUUGUUUACCGUUAUUGUAAAUAUACAAUUGCUUAUGGUAGUAGGAUUGCUAGUGACUGAAAUCCAAAUGCAUUUCAGAAAAAUGCUUUUGAAUGGGGGUUAUCAAUGAUUCCACACUCAGAGGAUGCCAUUCAAGUGACCCAACAUGUUGCCAACUUCUUUGUUAGGUGAGGAUUUUGUUGUACUGAAAAGUUAUUAGCUUAUGCUGCCAACUUUUUUUAUGAGAUGUGCUGAGGAUGUAAUUUGAGCCUUGGACAUUCUGAACUGAGGUUUUGCAUAUUUUAAACAGGCUCCAAUAAAUCAUCUAUUCAUUCACAUGCGUGUUAAAACUAGUUUAAGAAGGCUGGUUAAUUCUUUCUGUUGUAAACUUAGUAUUCAUGGAAAUUUUGUAGCAGAAAAUAUGAAGGCAUAGUUCAUGUUCAGACCUUUCAAAACACAGAAAGUACCAGAAUGAUUAAACGAUACACGCAAGCUUAGAUAUAUUUGAAGUUGUUUACAGUGGUUGUAUCGAAUACAACCAGUAGCAUUUGAAAAUCAUAAGCACUGUAUUUUUAACAUUUUGACAUUUUAACUAAUAAUCUUUUGCUUAAAUUCAUUCUAUAUUACUCUUAUCAAUAUUGAUAUUGAAACUUUUGUGUUCUGCUGUGUUUAUUUUCUGAGAACCCUGUCAGAAGUCCAAACGAAGGAAAUUAAAGUCCUAUGGCCUGCUUCGUGAACCUUUUCAUUUAUCUAUGGUGCUUUGUUGUUCACAGCAGAGUAAUGAGAUGAAAAAAAAAAAAAACUGAUUUCAAUGUUUGUUUUGUGCUGCAGUGAAGCUAGAAAGUCCUUGAACAGGCCACCUGCUCGGAAGGUACUUGACAAUUUAAUUUACAAUUACAGUCCCACAUAUUGUGGGAAAGCUGGGUAAGUGAAUUGACUCCGAGAACCAAGUUUGGCACACAAAUUUAUUGUUACUAAGGUUGGCACUUGCAUUUACUGAUUUGCGUUUCAUCUUUUAUCCUACUGUAGGAAGGGAUAUGAUGAAGUUUACAUCUUCGCAGAACCAGAAACAUCAAACAAUACGAGGUGUGCAGUGCAUGGUAAUUGUCAUGGACGUGUGAAGUUAUAAAUAUUUAAGACGCAGCACUGAAGUCUGAACACAUAAAUUGUAUCAUUGUCAACAAUGUAAAGCUUAAGAUCGAACUGAACUAAGUGCAUUUGUUAAUAAUUCAAGACAUGAUGGUUUGUGUUCUCAAAUGCUUUCAGUAUUUACAUUACGCCACUGCCAAUUAAGAUGUAUUACGGCAUUCUAGUCAUAACUCAUAACUUCACUGGUGACCCUGUUUGACUAUGAUGUAAAGUACCUGCAUAUUACAUCAAAACACUAUGAUGUCUUGUUCAUCCAAUCUCACCCAUGCUUCAAUUCCAUUUCCCAUUCUUGUUUCCAUCAAACCAAUGUAAUUCAAAUACAUUGAAUCAUGUGUGUUGAAUGCCUUGGUGCCCAUCCAAAUAGCUCACCCCAGUCGAAAUCAGCUUCAUAUCAACACGUUUUAUUUAUACAAACUGCUAGUUGUGAUACAAUCACAAUUCUCAUCAGAAAACAUUUCUCUUUUCUUUCAGAUGCUGGAUAACCUUGAAAAAAAUCCCUUCAUCGCCAUGUAUUUCUGCCAUGAAUUGGCUAUCAAUUUUCCCCUCGGCUUCGCUUAGAUAGCUCACUAAGGCAUCCAAUUCUAUUUGGUCACCAGCUUUGCAUUUCACAGGUUCUUUCCAAAGAAGAUUUCCUGUUCUUGAAGCAACUAUGACACUUCUCCAGAUAAUUGCUAGAACCUCAAUUGAAGUUGGGGACUGGACAAACAGGGAUCUACUUGCUUCUGCCUUGAGCUGUCUUAUCGCCAAUGCAUCGAACACAAAUCUUCUCCAAGCACGCUUUCCUUUUCUGAACAUAGCGGGCUAAGUGAAAUGGAGCAAUAAAACGGGGAUAUGCUGCUUGUGAUGUAAAACAAGCAGUAGUUGACCGAGCUUUCAUAAAGGUGCAAAAUGAUGGCCCAUCAAAGACCUUGUGAGAAACACCAGCACAAAUAGCUAUAACGCCGCACAAAUGUGUUUACUUGAACCAGAAGAACAUAAUUACCUAAUUUUGAUGAAUCUGCUGGGUUUCAGGGAAAGAACUAGUGCAUAAAAUGGCUCUCCGUUUAUUUCAAGAAAUGUUGAUAGGUGAAAAGUUUUCACUUGGGCUUCGAUGAAAUAAACUCCCUCGUCACUGCAAUCAAUGUAAAGGCCAUGUUUGAUCUUUCCUGCAAACGGGUAAAAGUGAGAUGGCAGUUACAAGCAUGACUAGUUGUGGAAGAACUUGGCCAGAUCAUGAGAACAUGACGAGACAGACAAACAUGGAGCAUGGUUGAAAAUGCUUUUGAGGCAACUAAGUUCUGCAAACUGCCUGCUGCCUUGUUGGAAGAGAGAAUCACCAAGUUCAUGGAGGAACACAAGAGCAAACUGCUGAGGAGGGAGUAAUAGCUCAAUAAAUAGGCUGCAAGUAAGUUUUCUAUACAGUACACACGAAUUUAUAUAUAUUCCUUUAUUAGGAGUUAAUAAAAAGUUGGGAAAGAAUUCACUUGCUUUGUUUGUGUUAAUUCCAUUUACUUGCAACGGUGAGAAAAGACUGAAUCUAGUAAGACUAGACUACAGCUUGGGGGCUGGAAUUAUGAGCAAAAGAUUUAUCGCUACGCAUAGCAUCUUCAAUUAAAAAUACUAUAUUAAAAAUUUAAAUUGAUAAAAUAGCUUUUUAAAUAAUAUAAAUAUAGCUUUUUUAAUUAUAUAUAUUUUAAUGGUAAAAAACUAUUUAAAAAAGCUAAUUAUAUUUUAAUAUUUUUCUUGUUAAAUUAAUUUUAAUAUAAUGAUAUAACUAAUUUAGAUAUUUUAUAUAGAAUAUAAUUAUGAUGUUACUAAUUAUAUAAUUAAUAUGCGUAAUUUAUAAAAGUAAUAUAAAAUUAAUGAAGUAAUAUGAAAGUUAAAAGAUAUAAUUUAAAAUUAAAUUUAAAAUUUAUUUAUAUGAAUAUUUUUAAGUUUUAGUUUUAUAUGUUACUGUUAAAAUUUUAAUUUUUUUAAAGUACUUUCAAAUUCAAACUUUGAAAAAAACCGCCAACAUUUUAAAUUUUGAUUUUCAAAUUUUUUAUAAAAAAAUUCAAGCUUUGAAAAAAUAACCGCCAACAUUUUAAAUUUUAAAAUUUCAAAUUUUGAAAAAAUAACAGCCAACAUUCUAAGAUUUUAAAUUUUGAAAAAAUAAUUCAUCUAUAAAUAUUCUCAUAUACCUUAACAUUUUUUUCAUCAUUUUCUUCUCUCCAAUCUUUAAUCUUUAUUAUAUUUCAUUAAAAUUCAUCAUGAAUCAUUCUAAUUUUAAUUUGUAUGAUGCUUUUGAUUUUGAUGAUGACACUCUUGUGUUCGCUUUUCAAGUUGCUAUCGCUGUGGUUGUUGAAGAAGAAUCGAAUAAUCAAGGACGGAGAACAGGGUAUCGUGGCUCUAUUCUUGGUCAUAAUAUUGUCAAUCGUAUAGAAAGGAAGGUGAGUUAAUGCUAUAUAGUCAUUAUUUUGCUGAAAAUCCUAAAUUCACUGAAAGUCAAUUUCGAAAAAGAUUUAUGAUGAGUCGUCAUCUUUAUCUUCGAAUCGCAAAUGCAGUGGAAGCUCAUAAUCUAUAUUUCAAAAAAAAUGACAGAUGCUCUUGGUGUUCUUGGUUUAUCUUUUGCAGCUCACAGAGUACUUGCAUAUUGUAUUCCUGCAGAUCUUACUGAUGAAUAUCUUCGAAUUGGAGAAACCACUAUGAUAGAAAGUCUUAGAGCUUUUGUUAAAGCAAUCGUAGAAGUUUUCGGUGAUUGGUAUCUAAGGGCACCAAACGAGGCCGAUAUUUGUCGAUUAUUGUCAAUUGGAGAGCAGCGUAGAUUUCCAGGGAUGUUAGAGAGCAUUGACUGUAUGCAUUGGAAAUGGGAGAAAUGCCCAAUUGCAUGGCAUGGGAUGUAUACUGGUCAUUGUCGUGAACCAACUAUAAUUCUAGAGGUGGUGACUUAACAAGAUAUUUGGAUAUGACAUCUCUUUUUUGGAAUGCCUGGAUCAUUAAAUGAUAUUAAUGUUCUUGAUUGGUCACUUAUUUUCGCUGCACUUGCUGAAGGUCGUAUUGCUCUUGUCAAUUAUACAAUUAAUGGACAUGAAUAUACAAUGGGAUACUAUUUAGCAUAUGAGAUUUAUCCUAAUUAGUCAACCUUUGUUAAGACAAUCCCAAGGCCAUUAGGAGCAAAGAGAAAAUAUUUUGCAAGUAAACAAGAGUUUGCAAAAAAGGAUGUGGAGCGGGCAUUUAGGGUGCUCCAAUCUCGUUUUGCAAUUGUACGUGGACUUGUUCGAUACUGGGAUGAAGAAACGCUUGCAAAUAUUAUGAAAGCUUGCAUAAUAAUGCAUAAUAUGAUUAUUGAAGAUGAAGGAGCAAUGAACCUUGGAUUUGACCAUGAACGUGAAGUCAAUUCCUUUAUAUCAGUGUCACAUGGUGAAAUACCAGAACUACAUGAUUUUCUUUAAAAUCAUAAUCGAAUCAAGGAUAGAGCAAUUAGCUCUCAACUACAAGAAGAUUUGGUUGAACAUUUAUGGGAACAAUAUGACAACGAGUAGAACCAUUAGAUUUGAACUUUUUUAUGUCAUCAUAAGUUUCAAGUUUUUUAUGUUUUUUUUUUUAUUAUGGUUGUUAUCUUUUAAGUUAAUUAAUCCUAUUUAUUGUUGUUAAGUGUUAGAAGAACUUCAAAAAAGUAUUAUGAAUUGAUACCACUUUUAUAACAAUAUAUUUAAAAUAACCAAGAAAUUUCUACAUAUUUAAUUAAAAAUACAUUACAUUAAACAAUAAAUCAAUCUAGUUAAUUAAAAAUUAAAACUCUUCUUUUGCAUAAUUUCUAACUUUCUAUUUUGAAAAUCCGCUGCAGAAAUUGGAUCCAAAUUAGAAAUAUUCAUUUUCAUAAUUUGUUCUUCUUUCUCAAUCCUGUCCAAUUCUUGCUUCUCUUAACUUUAUUGAAUCAUCAUAGCUUGUUGCUCUAACAUAAUUUUUCUAUCUUGUUUCUUCUGAUUCUCAACUUCAACUAGAGUAUCCCUGAAUUGUUAUAAGAGAUUUGUUACAGUUACCUUCCCAACUUUAUCUUUUCCUUGUUUACGUUUAAGUCGUUCCUUUGCAGCCUUCUGACCAAUUGGUCUAUCUUGAUAAAUCAACGGUUCACUGUCUUCUCUUAAACUAACAGAAUCAGGAGUAGAUGGAGUUGAUGAUGCUGGACUUGCAUUGACAUGAAUUUUUUUUGUUUUUUAUUUGACCUUUGAUGUUGACUUGCACUCUCAAAUUGCCAUUAGGGUUAUUUUCUUAAGAUAACCCAACAAUGUUCUAGUUAAAAUCGUUUGCCAACGCAAGAAGUAUACAUUUAUCGAGCAUCAUUAAUCUGGUAAAAAAUUAGAGAAAUUAAAUAAUGUUAAAACAUGUGUUAAACAAUUUAACAUGAAAAUGAAUAUUAAAAUUACCCUUGAUUCUUCAGUCAUUCCACUUUGCUGAUGAUUUUCAAUUUGAGUAACAAAUCCAAUAAAUUUACCGACUUCUCUAUUUAUUUCUUACCAUCUACUUGAGAUGCUUAUUUGGGAACGAUUAUUCAAGUUUCCUCCCUUCUCUACAAAGUAAUCAUGUACUCGAGCCCAGAACUGUUUUGUUUGUUGUUCAACUCUUGUAAUUGGAUCCUUGCUUGUAUUUAGCCAUUCAGAGACAAGUAAACAAUCUUCCUCUGGUGAGAAGUUUUUACUUCUUUGUGAUUUUUUUUUAUUGUAUGGACAUUUAAAUUCGAGUAUGUUAAGUCAUCAAUUAAUUGAUUAGAAUCACUUGGUUGAGAGAGAAUAUCUUCUGACUCACUCAUAACACUCAUAAGAAAGUUGGUAAAAGAACUUAGAAAAUUUGAAUCCAUCUACAUUAUAAAAAAAAAAAAUACUCAAGUUAAAACCUUAUAAGAGAGUGUAAAAGAAGCUCACAUUCAAUGUCUAACAAUUUUGUAGUUUCCAUACAUGUGAAUUAGUAAUAAGCAUUGCCUCCUACUUGUUAUAACAUUAUAAUUUGACUAUUUUUUGGAACUAAAAGAGGAUUGAUAUACUGGUUUAAUUGUAUUUUCAACAAAAUAAAAUAUAAUUGACCUCAGAUUACAACAGACAAUAAAAAAUAAAUUUUAAAUAUGUCACUCUAUAUUUUUAUCAAUAUCAGCUACCAUUAUUACUUCCUCUCAAUUUUGUCAAAGAUAACAACAUAAAUAAAAAUUAUCUUCCUUAACCCGUAUCAAAAACAUAAAAUAACAAAGAAAUAAAAAUCAUCACAAAUAUCAAAUUAACAAAAAAAAUCUAAAAAAUCAAGAGAUAUAAAAGAGAAAAUAGAAAAAGCUUUUAAACAAACAUACCUUUUAAUUUUAGCUAAUUAACACAACCGAUAUUAUUAAUUAACUGGAGAAUGAUUAAUUCUUGUUUUUUUAAAUUUGAGAGAAGGGUGAGGCACAAUACAAGAUUUUAAAAUUUACAAGUUUCUUUCCUUCUGAUUUUAAAGAAAAAAAAUAAAUUGUUGGCCAAUGGCUAUAAAAAUAGUCGUUGGCCAACGAUCAUUUUCUUUUGUCAUUUCUACAGAGAAAUGUAGAAAUGGCUCUUCAAAGGAUGAAUAGCUAUUUUAGCUAUUCAUUUGUCUGAGCCGUUGGAGUGAAUAAAAAUAGAAACAAAAGCUAAAAGUAUAAUUUUUUAAAUUUGCUUCUUCAUUUAGCUCUCCCGUUAGAGAUGCUCUAAUAGUUGUCUUCUAGCUAUAACUCGGAAUACACUUACUCUUUGUUGCAAAUAAUUCUAUAAAAUCUAUUUUAGUGUUUCAUUUAAUUUAAAAAUUUGAGGGAAUAAAAUAAAAAUAAAUUCAAUAUUAAUUGUGAAAAUUUUUAAUUUAAUAUUUAUUUUAUAGUAUUUAACACUGUAUAUGUAUUUUAUAUUUAAGUUUAAAUAUAAUAUGUUUGAUCUUGAUUAAUAAAAAAUAAAAUGUACGGAAGUAAUUAUUUAUAUUUUAAAAUUCAAACUAAAAGAGUCAAUGAUAAUCAACAAAAAUGCUAGAAAGGUGUUUAAUUUUAGUUAAUGAUUUAUAGAAAUAUCAUACGAGAUCUAUUAAUUAUUGAAAAAAAUUAUUUUGAGAAAAUAAUAAAUACUUAAAAAUUAAAACAACAAAGAAAAGAAAAUAAAAAUGAAAACAAAGAAAAAAGGUAUAUGAUUUGGAUUGCGAGUUUGGUAAAUUAACUUAGGUUGAUUAAGAAUUAAGUUUCAUAAUUUAUUUAUAAUUAUUUUUUACGGGUUUAUUGCGGUCUUAAACAAACAUCACAACAUUAGGUCAGUGCUUGGUUGUGUGAGGAUCUAUUAUUUCAUCAUAUAAUUAAAUAAAAAUACUUUAAAAAAAUAUUAAACUCAUUAGAUAUCAUGAUUUGGGUCGUUGAUUUGGUAGGUUAACUUAAAUUGAUUGCAAACUAGAUUUCAUAAUUUAUUUUAAUUUAAUUUUUCUAGAGUUAUCGAGAUCUCAAACAAACGUUCUGACAUUAAGUUGAUGCUUAAUUUUAUGUAUGACUAUUUUUGUCAUCAUAUAACUAAAUAAAAAAAUAUUUUAAAUUAUUUUAAACUCAUUGCAUCUCAUGACCCAAUAAUAGGUUUGGUAGAUUAAGCUACGAAUCUCGGAUUGAAUCAAAAUGUCACCAUCACAAUAUUUUUAUUUUAAAUAUCAUUUUUAUUUUUUUCUUAAAGUUAAAUAAUUUUUUUUUCCGAUCAUUCAUAUUAUUUUUGAACCCAUCAAGUCAACUAUAUCACAUCAGAAAAACUUCUAAACAAUUUAAUUUAAAACUCAAGCAUUUUUAAAAAUCAAGUUUAAAAAUUUCAGAGAUUUACCCAUUGCCAACCAAAAAUUUCUUAUUAUUUAGACAUUUUUUUUUAUCUUUCUUAAAAAAUUGCUCCAAUAUACAACAUAACGGGAGCUAAUUAUCUAGUCUAAAACUAAGGACAACGAUCAUUUCCUUCCUAUGUAAUCAUGCAAUUUGCUCAACAAGAAAAUAAAAGAACAUCUCACAUGAAUUAGUUGUUUGGACUACGCUAUACAUGUGGGUCCUUUAUAUUUGUGUGUAUUUAUUUAUGUGGUGCACACGGAAGCAUAAAAAACAAAAAAAAGAUAGCAAGCACUUGAGGGUCUAGCUGCUGUGGUCAAUCGUGUGACUUGUUCCGCCCCCGUCCCGGGUUCGACCCUCUAUGUGCACGCCUGUCACCCCCGCGGUGCCUUACCUGCUCCUGGACUUGUAGGAUGUCCAGCGGGCCGUGGGGAAUAGUCGUGGUGCGCGUAAGCUGGCCCGGACACCCCACUUAAAUCAAAAAAAAAAAAAAAGAUAGCAACAUGAAAGAUCAAGCUUGACAAAAUAAGUUCGGCACACCAACAACCCUAAUUUCUAGUUUUAUUUUCUACAAUAAAAUUUGAUAUAUAUUUACUGAAAAAUAAGCUAAAUAAUUUUAUUUAUACUCAUUCAUUCUAGAUCUAUCUUAAAUUCUAGAUUUAUCUUAAAAACAACAAGAGUCUUAAUUAUAGACUUGUUUUAAGAAUUCCUAAACUAAAAAGAAAAAAUAAAAUUAUUAAUCUUAAUAUUGGAUUUACUAAAAUAAAUAGGAAAAAAAUAAAAAUCCCAUAAUAUUUUUAAACUAAAUAGAAAAUAGCAAAAGCUAAGAAAAAUGAUUUUUAAAAAAAAAUUCUUAUUUCAUUAGUCUUUAUAGGUUGAAGACAACUUAUCUUCAAGUUUUGAUUAUUUAUUAAAUAAAGAGCUAAAUAUCGAACAUUGAAAAUAUUGAUCAUCUUUGAAUCCCUGUUGAGUGAAUUACAUUAUUGUUAUUAAUGAUUAUUAGAGUCAUAAAAUUAAAAAAAAAAUUAUUUGUAGUUUCUUAAAAAUAAGUUAUUUCACGAUCACAUCAAGUAACCCUAGCCAUUGAAGCGUACCAUCAUUAAAAUUAUAUGAAUGUUUUUGCGAUCUAUUGACCUUGGCACAUCGGCAUGACUUUAGAUAAAGCUAGCUAAAAAUGAACUCCCAUAACACUUUCAAUAUUUAUAGAACUAUUACUAGUUAUCAAUGACUUAUUCCAAACUGAUGUCUUUUUACACCACUUUGAUUCUUCAUACUCUAAUUCUUUUUCUUCUUAACAAAUUAGGAUAAAAACAAUAUAUUUUUCUGGUUAUCACAAAAAUCCUCUUUUUAUUAAGCACUAAUAUUAUAAGCUUUUUCUUGAUUCUGAUGGUAUAUAUAUUACAUUGCCAAUUAUACAAGAUAUUCAAGUCAUAUUACUAUGAAAAAAUAUUUAUAAACAUCACAUUAAACACUAUUAAAAUAUCUCUUAUUUAUGAAAAAUAAAAUAAAAUAGCAUUUAUCCAUGAUUACUUUAGCAUCUCGAUUCAACUAUUUUUAUGUAGAGGGUCUUCAAUAUUUUUCUAUCUUGAGCUGUAAUUUUUUUAUAAUUUCUAUUAAUAUCAUACUCUUGUAAUUAUCAUCAUUAAUUAAUGAUCAAAUUAUAUACCUUUUUUUUAGUGGUACCAAAAAGAAUGGAGUAGAAUCAAUCCUCAUCUAAAUUAGUUUUAAGAGCAGACGAGUUUUUUUGGAUGACGAAGGCAGCAGAGUCAUCUCUUUUAUGUAAAAUAUCCAUCCAUAACGUUAUCCUUACCUCCUAAAGGUCUCUUUUAUCUCCACAUCCACCCCCUUAUCCACAUAUUCAAUAUUCUCUAGGAUAAUAAUCUUCCCUUUUAUUUCUAAGUUCAAGCACUAUAAUUUAAUCCAUUUUCUUCCUGUUAAAUUAUGGGCCUAGCUGAUGCACCCUUGGCCCAGAAUAUGGAUCCAUGGAAAACACAGGUGAUAUAUGUCACCUGCCUGCAUUGCUAUUCCACCCUUGAAAAAAAGAACGCAGAACCCCCAAAAACAACAUGGCGGGAAAACCAGUGUCUUUGUAGAGGGAAAAUCAAACACUCUCAUUUUGUCCUUGAUUGAUGGAGUGGGUAAUUUCUUUCUCUUCAUCCACCCGCACACCCACCCGCACAACCACCUGCACAAUUUCUUCCGUCUCUAAUUUCUCUUUGAGCCCAAAACCCAAAUAAAUUAUGUCCCAAAUGGAAACCCUAGGCAUUCUCGAUGAAAUUGAAGUUCUUGUCUCUGAUAAACUCCAAGUGGUACUUCUACUCCUCUUCAAUCCCCUUAGUUUUACUGGGUUUUGUUGUUGUAAUCUUGGGUCGGUUUUAGUAAAUCUAGAAAAUUAAUUAAUUAUUUAAUCACUUGGUUUCAGGUUUCAUACAAGUGGUUGAGUCGAAAUUUCAUGGUUUCAUCGAAUGCUGCAAAAAGGUAAUUUUCCUCUCUGAAAUUUGUGAUUUUUAUUUUUAUUUUCCUGGUUUGUGCAUUCAAUUAACAAAUGGUUGGUGUUGCUUCCUUAAGGUUGCUUCAAGAAUUUGUUAACACACGCAGAAGUGGAUUCGAAGUAGUAUACACUCUAUCCGGUUGGUUAAAGAACAACCCUUCAAGUUACCAUAUAAGGCUUGUUUCCGGUCCCAAACUUGAAGGUCAGGUCUUUGAAUGGUGCUAACAUCAUUGUAGUUAUUGUUGGUUAGAAACGAGAGAUACUUGAAAUCGCAAGGAUUUCCAUCUAUCCCAUUAUAAUAGAUGAGUUUUAGGGUGGCAUUGCUAGCUGCUGCUCUUAGAUUUGCAAUAAUGUGUCCUGGAAGAAUCAUUAGGUGACUUGUUAGUAUGCCAUAACCAUAGGUUUGUGCUUUCGCCUAAGCAAUUUAAGCAUUUUUCACUUAGCUUUUUUUUUUCCCCUGGCUCAUCUAUGAUCCCUCUUCCUGGAAGAGAGUUUAGCAGUUAGAAUUUCUUUCCUUCGAAUUGGCCAUGGAAAUGUAGUUGGAAUUCUUUGAAUUCUAUUGAUUAGAACAAAGAAUUAUAGAAGUGCAACAAGCAUAUUAUGCAUUCACAUGAAUAUGUGCGAUGAAAGUUGUUUUUGUCUAUUUCAAUACCUCGGCUACUUGAUUCUGGAUCGAUGCUGUUGCACCCGUUGCUGGUACAUAAAUUUCAUGCAUUCUUUCGUGGUUUGUUAGUAUCAUCCAUACUUGAGUGUUGUGCCUGAGACAAGGAUACAGGGAUAUGCUGAGAUUUCCUUUUUCGAUUUUUUUUCUUGCAGAAGCUAAACAAGAAUUCAAUGGCAAUUGCUCAGUUCAGGUAUAUAGUGUUCAAGCUUGCAUCCCAAAAGAUCCAGCUGCACUUUGGAAUGCUGAAUUUGUUCAGGCAGAAGAGCUCUUCAAGCAAUCCUUCACAGUUGAUAAUUGCUUAAGAGAUAACAGGUAUGAUGCACCUGUAGUCUGCAAUCAGUUCCAGUAUCUUACAAGAACUUGACUUUUGUAGAUCAUGGAAUUGCUAGAUAUGAUUAUUAUUUCAUUUAUGAAAUUCAUAUGCAGCCUUUACAAUAAUGCAGCUGCCGUAGUAACAGCUUAUUACUUUGCAAAUAUUCAGACAAUGAAAGCCUGAACCGAUGAUCCUCAAUAAUUUUCUGACUGCUGACCUGCCUCGUGCAACAAAACUAUUAGUACUAAACUGUUCUAGAAGAGAGUUGACUGGUUAUGUCAAGUUUGUUGAUGAUGCACUUUGAACUCAUUUUUUAAUGUAAUUAGCACACACAAAUGUGUUCUUAUUGGGGGUGGGAAUUGGUUGGGGGUAAUGAGAUGAGAUAUUUCAAGCCUUGGAUGGUUACAGAUUGAGGGUUUCCCUCUCUCUCCCUUCUCAUGAAUUGCAGCAGAAAUUAGCUUAUUUUCCUUGGUGCUUGAAUUUUUCUUCUGCAGAUUUUGUGGGAUUCUUAAUUCCUUUGUUAAGUACAAUUGUGAUGGACCUGCUGCAACCAAAAGUAUGGAAAUCCCAGUAAUUCAAGUGUGUCAAACUAUUACAGCUCCACCAUCUAAGCAAACCAAAGUUCAGCAAAGCCCAAAGGUUGGUCCUCCAUCUCCCAAUCUGGUGAACAGUGUCAAAAGUGAAAGGAAUGGAACAGGAGUUCAUGAUCUGGCUACCAAGCAGACUGUGGAUGNNNNNNNNNNNNNNNNNNNNNNNNNNNNNNNNNNNNNNNNNNNNNNNNNNNNNNNNNNNNNNNNNNNNNNNNNNNNNNNNNNNNNNNNNNNNNNNNNNNNNNNNNNNNNNNNNNNNNNNNNNNNNNNNNNNNNNNNNNNNNNNNNNNNNNNNNNNNNNNNNNNNNNNNNNNNNNNNNNNNNNNNNNNNNNNNNNNNNNNNNNNNNNNNNNNNNNNNNNNNNNNNNNNNNNNNNNNNNNNNNNNNNNNNNNNNNNNNNNNNNNNNNNNNNNNNNNNNNNNNNNNNNNNNNNNNNNNNNNNNNNNNNNNNNNNNNNNNNNNNNNNNNNNNNNNNNNNNNNNNNNNNNNNNNNNNNNNNNNNNNNNNNNNNNNNNNNNNNNNNNNNNNNNNNNNNNNNNNNNNNNNNNNNNNNNNNNNNNNNNNNNNNNNNNNNNNNNNNNNNNNNNNNNNNNNNNNNNNNNNNNNNNNNNNNNNNNNNNNNNNNNNNNNNNNNNNNNNNNNNNNNNNNNNNNNNNNNNNNNNNNNNNNNNNNNNNNNNNNNNNNNNNNNNNNNNNNNNNNNNNNNNNNNNNNNNNNNNNNNNNNNNNNNNNNNNNNNNNNNNNNNNNNNNNNNNNNNNNNNNNNNNNNNNNNNNNNNNNNNNNNNNNNNNNNNNNNNNNNNNNNNNNNNNNNNNNNNNNNNNNNNNNNNNNNNNNNNNNNNNNNNNNNNNNNNNNNNNNNNNNNNNNNNNNNNNNNNNNNNNNNNNNNNNNNNNNNNNNNNNNNNNNNNNNNNNNNNNNNNNNNNNNNNNNNNNNNNNNNNNNNNNNNNNNNNNNNNNNNNNNNNNNNNNNNNNNNNNNNNNNNNNNNNNNNNNNNNNNNNNNNNNNNNNNNNNNNNNNNNNNNNNNNNNNNNNNNNNNNNNNNNNNNNNNNNNNNNNNNNNNNNNNNNNNNNNNNNNNNNNNNNNNNNNNNNNNNNNNNNNNNNNNNNNNNNNNNNNNNNNNNNNNNNNNNNNNNNNNNNNNNNNNNNNNNNNNNNNNNNNNNNNNNNNNNNNNNNNNNNNNNNNNNNNNNNNNNNNNNNNNNNNNNNNNNNNNNNNNNNNNNNNNNNNNNNNNNNNNNNNNNNNNNNNNNNNNNNNNNNNNNNNNNNNNNNNNNNNNNNNNNNNNNNNNNNNNNNNNNNNNNNNNNNNNNNNNNNNNNNNNNNNNNNNNNNNNNNNNNNNNNNNNNNNNNNNNNNNNNNNNNNNNNNNNNNNNNNNNNNNNNNNNNNNNNNNNNNNNNNNNNNNNNNNNNNNNNNNNNNNNNNNNNNNNNNNNNNNNNNNNNNNNNNNNNNNNNNNNNNNNNNNNNNNNNNNNNNNNNNNNNNNNNNNNNNNNNNNNNNNNNNNNNNNNNNNNNNNNNNNNNNNNNNNNNNNNNNNNNNNNNNNNNNNNNNNNNNNNNNNNNNNNNNNNNNNNNNNNNNNNNNNNNNNNNNNNNNNNNNNNNNNNNNNNNNNNNNNNNNNNNNNNNNNNNNNNNNNNNNNNNNNNNNNNNNNNNNNNNNNNNNNNNNNNNNNNNNNNNNNNNNNNNNNNNNNNNNNNNNNNNNNNNNNNNNNNNNNNNNNNNNNNNNNNNNNNNNNNNNNNNNNNNNNNNNNNNNNNNNNNNNNNNNNNNNNNNNNNNNNNNNNNNNNNNNNNNNNNNNNNNNNNNNNNNNNNNNNNNNNNNNNNNNNNNNNNNNNNNNNNNNNNNNNNNNNNNNNNNNNNNNNNNNNNNNNNNNNNNNNNNNNNNNNNNNNNNNNNNNNNNNNNNNNNNNNNNNNNNNNNNNNNNNNNNNNNNNNNNNNNNNNNNNNNNNNNNNNNNNNNNNNNNNNNNNNNNNNNNNNNNNNNNNNNNNNNNNNNNNNNNNNNNNNNNNNNNNNNNNNNNNNNNNNNNNNNNNNNNNNNNNNNNNNNNNNNNNNNNNNNNNNNNNNNNNNNNNNNNNNNNNNNNNNNNNNNNNNNNNNNNNNNNNNNNNNNNNNNNNNNNNNNNNNNNNNNNNNNNNNNNNNNNNNNNNNNNNNNNNNNNNNNNNNNNNNNNNNNNNNNNNNNNNNNNNNNNNNNNNNNNNNNNNNNNNNNNNNNNNNNNNNNNNNNNNNNNNNNNNNNNNNNNNNNNNNNNNNNNNNNNNNNNNNNNNNNNNNNNNNNNNNNNNNNNNNNNNNNNNNNNNNNNNNNNNNNNNNNNNNNNNNNNNNNNNNNNNNNNNNNNNNNNNNNNNNNNNNNNNNNNNNNNNNNNNNNNNNNNNNNNNNNNNNNNNNNNNNNNNNNNNNNNNNNNNNNNNNNNNNNNNNNNNNNNNNNNNNNNNNNNNNNNNNNNNNNNNNNNNNNNNNNNNNNNNNNNNNNNNNNNNNNNNNNNNNNNNNNNNNNNNNNNNNNNNNNNNNNNNNNNNNNNNNNNNNNNNNNNNNNNNNNNNNNNNNNNNNNNNNNNNNNNNNNNNNNNNNNNNNNNNNNNNNNNNNNNNNNNNNNNNNNNNNNNNNNNNNNNNNNNNNNNNNNNNNNNNNNNNNNNNNNNNNNNNNNNNNNNNNNNNNNNNNNNNNNNNNNNNNNNNNNNNNNNNNNNNNNNNNNNNNNNNNNNNNNNNNNNNNNNNNNNNNNNNNNNNNNNNNNNNNNNNNNNNNNNNNNNNNNNNNNNNNNNNNNNNNNNNNNNNNNNNNNNNNNNNNNNNNNNNNNNNNNNNNNNNNNNNNNNNNNNNNNNNNNNNNNNNNNNNNNNNNNNNNNNNNNNNNNNNNNNNNNNNNNNNNNNNNNNNNNNNNNNNNNNNNNNNNNNNNNNNNNNNNNNNNNNNNNNNNNNNNNNNNNNNNNNNNNNNNNNNNNNNNNNNNNNNNNNNNNNNNNNNNNNNNNNNNNNNNNNNNNNNNNNNNNNNNNNNNNNNNNNNNNNNNNNNNNNNNNNNNNNNNNNNNNNNNNNNNNNNNNNNNNNNNNNNNNNNNNNNNNNNNNNNNNNNNNNNNNNNNNNNNNNNNNNNNNNNNNNNNNNNNNNNNNNNNNNNNNNNNNNNNNNNNNNNNNNNNNNNNNNNNNNNNNNNNNNNNNNNNNNNNNNNNNNNNNNNNNNNNNNNNNNNNNNNNNNNNNNNNNNNNNNNNNNNNNNNNNNNNNNNNNNNNNNNNNNNNNNNNNNNNNNNNNNNNNNNNNNNNNNNNNNNNNNNNNNNNNNNNNNNNNNNNNNNNNNNNNNNNNNNNNNNNNNNNNNNNNNNNNNNNNNNNNNNNNNNNNNNNNNNNNNNNNNNNNNNNNNNNNNNNNNNNNNNNNNNNNNNNNNNNNNNNNNNNNNNNNNNNNNNNNNNNNNNNNNNNNNNNNNNNNNNNNNNNNNNNNNNNNNNNNNNNNNNNNNNNNNNNNNNNNNNNNNNNNNNNNNNNNNNNNNNNNNNNNNNNNNNNNNNNNNNNNNNNNNNNNNNNNNNNNNNNNNNNNNNNNNNNNNNNNNNNNNNNNNNNNNNNNNNNNNNNNNNNNNNNNNNNNNNNNNNNNNNNNNNNNNNNNNNNNNNNNNNNNNNNNNNNNNNNNNNNNNNNNNNNNNNNNNNNNNNNNNNNNNNNNNNNNNNNNNNNNNNNNNNNNNNNNNNNNNNNNNNNNNNNNNNNNNNNNNNNNNNNNNNNNNNNNNNNNNNNNNNNNNNNNNNNNNNNNNNNNNNNNNNNNNNNNNNNNNNNNNNNNNNNNNNNNNNNNNNNNNNNNNNNNNNNNNNNNNNNNNNNNNNNNNNNNNNNNNNNNNNNNNNNNNNNNNNNNNNNNNNNNNNNNNNNNNNNNNNNNNNNNNNNNNNNNNNNNNNNNNNNNNNNNNNNNNNNNNNNNNNNNNNNNNNNNNNNNNNNNNNNNNNNNNNNNNNNNNNNNNNNNNNNNNNNNNNNNNNNNNNNNNNNNNNNNNNNNNNNNNNNNNNNNNNNNNNNNNNNNNNNNNNNNNNNNNNNNNNNNNNNNNNNNNNNNNNNNNNNNNNNNNNNNNNNNNNNNNNNNNNNNNNNNNNNNNNNNNNNNNNNNNNNNNNNNNNNNNNNNNNNNNNNNNNNNNNNNNNNNNNNNNNNNNNNNNNNNNNNNNNNNNNNNNNNNNNNNNNNNNNNNNNNNNNNNNNNNNNNNNNNNNNNNNNNNNNNNNNNNNNNNNNNNNNNNNNNNNNNNNNNNNNNNNNNNNNNNNNNNNNNNNNNNNNNNNNNNNNNNNNNNNNNNNNNNNNNNNNNNNNNNNNNNNNNNNNNNNNNNNNNNNNNNNNNNNNNNNNNNNNNNNNNNNNNNNNNNNNNNNNNNNNNNNNNNNNNNNNNNNNNNNNNNNNNNNNNNNNNNNNNNNNNNNNNNNNNNNNNNNNNNNNNNNNNNNNNNNNNNNNNNNNNNNNNNNNNNNNNNNNNNNNNNNNNNNNNNNNNNNNNNNNNNNNNNNNNNNNNNNNNNNNNNNNNNNNNNNNNNNNNNNNNNNNNNNNNNNNNNNNNNNNNNNNNNNNNNNNNNNNNNNNNNNNNNNNNNNNNNNNNNNNNNNNNNNNNNNNNNNNNNNNNNNNNNNNNNNNNNNNNNNNNNNNNNNNNNNNNNNNNNNNNNNNNNNNNNNNNNNNNNNNNNNNNNNNNNNNNNNNNNNNNNNNNNNNNNNNNNNNNNNNNNNNNNNNNNNNNNNNNNNNNNNNNNNNNNNNNNNNNNNNNNNNNNNNNNNNNNNNNNNNNNNNNNNNNNNNNNNNNNNNNNNNNNNNNNNNNNNNNNNNNNNNNNNNNNNNNNNNNNNNNNNNNNNNNNNNNNNNNNNNNNNNNNNNNNNNNNNNNNNNNNNNNNNNNNNNNNNNNNNNNNNNNNNNNNNNNNNNNNNNNNNNNNNNNNNNNNNNNNNNNNNNNNNNNNNNNNNNNNNNNNNNNNNNNNNNNNNNNNNNNNNNNNNNNNNNNNNNNNNNNNNNNNNNNNNNNNNNNNNNNNNNNNNNNNNNNNNNNNNNNNNNNNNNNNNNNNNNNNNNNNNNNNNNNNNNNNNNNNNNNNNNNNNNNNNNNNNNNNNNNNNNNNNNNNNNNNNNNNNNNNNNNNNNNNNNNNNNNNNNNNNNNNNNNNNNNNNNNNNNNNNNNNNNNNNNNNNNNNNNNNNNNNNNNNNNNNNNNNNNNNNNNNNNNNNNNNNNNNNNNNNNNNNNNNNNNNNNNNNNNNNNNNNNNNNNNNNNNNNNNNNNNNNNNNNNNNNNNNNNNNNNNNNNNNNNNNNNNNNNNNNNNNNNNNNNNNNNNNNNNNNNNNNNNNNNNNNNNNNNNNNNNNNNNNNNNNNNNNNNNNNNNNNNNNNNNNNNNNNNNNNNNNNNNNNNNNNNNNNNNNNNNNNNNNNNNNNNNNNNNNNNNNNNNNNNNNNNNNNNNNNNNNNNNNNNNNNNNNNNNNNNNNNNNNNNNNNNNNNNNNNNNNNNNNNNNNNNNNNNNNNNNNNNNNNNNNNNNNNNNNNNNNNNNNNNNNNNNNNNNNNNNNNNNNNNNNNNNNNNNNNNNNNNNNNNNNNNNNNNNNNNNNNNNNNNNNNNNNNNNNNNNNNNNNNNNNNNNNNNNNNNNNNNNNNNNNNNNNNNNNNNNNNNNNNNNNNNNNNNNNNNNNNNNNNNNNNNNNNNNNNNNNNNNNNNNNNNNNNNNNNNNNNNNNNNNNNNNNNNNNNNNNNNNNNNNNNNNNNNNNNNNNNNNNNNNNNNNNNNNNNNNNNNNNNNNNNNNNNNNNNNNNNNNNNNNNNNNNNNNNNNNNNNNNNNNNNNNNNNNNNNNNNNNNNNNNNNNNNNNNNNNNNNNNNNNNNNNNNNNNNNNNNNNNNNNNNNNNNNNNNNNNNNNNNNNNNNNNNNNNNNNNNNNNNNNNNNNNNNNNNNNNNNNNNNNNNNNNNNNNNNNNNNNNNNNNNNNNNNNNNNNNNNNNNNNNNNNNNNNNNNNNNNNNNNNNNNNNNNNNNNNNNNNNNNNNNNNNNNNNNNNNNNNNNNNNNNNNNNNNNNNNNNNNNNNNNNNNNNNNNNNNNNNNNNNNNNNNNNNNNNNNNNNNNNNNNNNNNNNNNNNNNNNNNNNNNNNNNNNNNNNNNNNNNNNNNNNNNNNNNNNNNNNNNNNNNNNNNNNNNNNNNNNNNNNNNNNNNNNNNNNNNNNNNNNNNNNNNNNNNNNNNNNNNNNNNNNNNNNNNNNNNNNNNNNNNNNNNNNNNNNNNNNNNNNNNNNNNNNNNNNNNNNNNNNNNNNNNNNNNNNNNNNNNNNNNNNNNNNNNNNNNNNNNNNNNNNNNNNNNNNNNNNNNNNNNNNNNNNNNNNNNNNNNNNNNNNNNNNNNNNNNNNNNNNNNNNNNNNNNNNNNNNNNNNNNNNNNNNNNNNNNNNNNNNNNNNNNNNNNNNNNNNNNNNNNNNNNNNNNNNNNNNNNNNNNNNNNNNNNNNNNNNNNNNNNNNNNNNNNNNNNNNNNNNNNNNNNNNNNNNNNNNNNNNNNNNNNNNNNNNNNNNNNNNNNNNNNNNNNNNNNNNNNNNNNNNNNNNNNNNNNNNNNNNNNNNNNNNNNNNNNNNNNNNNNNNNNNNNNNNNNNNNNNNNNNNNNNNNNNNNNNNNNNNNNNNNNNNNNNNNNNNNNNNNNNNNNNNNNNNNNNNNNNNNNNNNNNNNNNNNNNNNNNNNNNNNNNNNNNNNNNNNNNNNNNNNNNNNNNNNNNNNNNNNNNNNNNNNNNNNNNNNNNNNNNNNNNNNNNNNNNNNNNNNNNNNNNNNNNNNNNNNNNNNNNNNNNNNNNNNNNNNNNNNNNNNNNNNNNNNNNNNNNNNNNNNNNNNNNNNNNNNNNNNNNNNNNNNNNNNNNNNNNNNNNNNNNNNNNNNNNNNNNNNNNNNNNNNNNNNNNNNNNNNNNNNNNNNNNNNNNNNNNNNNNNNNNNNNNNNNNNNNNNNNNNNNNNNNNNNNNNNNNNNNNNNNNNNNNNNNNNNNNNNNNNNNNNNNNNNNNNNNNNNNNNNNNNNNNNNNNNNNNNNNNNNNNNNNNNNNNNNNNNNNNNNNNNNNNNNNNNNNNNNNNNNNNNNNNNNNNNNNNNNNNNNNNNNNNNNNNNNNNNNNNNNNNNNNNNNNNNNNNNNNNNNNNNNNNNNNNNNNNNNNNNNNNNNNNNNNNNNNNNNNNNNNNNNNNNNNNNNNNNNNNNNNNNNNNNNNNNNNNNNNNNNNNNNNNNNNNNNNNNNNNNNNNNNNNNNNNNNNNNNNNNNNNNNNNNNNNNNNNNNNNNNNNNNNNNNNNNNNNNNNNNNNNNNNNNNNNNNNNNNNNNNNNNNNNNNNNNNNNNNNNNNNNNNNNNNNNNNNNNNNNNNNNNNNNNNNNNNNNNNNNNNNNNNNNNNNNNNNNNNNNNNNNNNNNNNNNNNNNNNNNNNNNNNNNNNNNNNNNNNNNNNNNNNNNNNNNNNNNNNNNNNNNNNNNNNNNNNNNNNNNNNNNNNNNNNNNNNNNNNNNNNNNNNNNNNNNNNNNNNNNNNNNNNNNNNNNNNNNNNNNNNNNNNNNNNNNNNNNNNNNNNNNNNNNNNNNNNNNNNNNNNNNNNNNNNNNNNNNNNNNNNNNNNNNNNNNNNNNNNNNNNNNNNNNNNNNNNNNNNNNNNNNNNNNNNNNNNNNNNNNNNNNNNNNNNNNNNNNNNNNNNNNNNNNNNNNNNNNNNNNNNNNNNNNNNNNNNNNNNNNNNNNNNNNNNNNNNNNNNNNNNNNNNNNNNNNNNNNNNNNNNNNNNNNNNNNNNNNNNNNNNNNNNNNNNNNNNNNNNNNNNNNNNNNNNNNNNNNNNNNNNNNNNNNNNNNNNNNNNNNNNNNNNNNNNNNNNNNNNNNNNNNNNNNNNNNNNNNNNNNNNNNNNNNNNNNNNNNNNNNNNNNNNNNNNNNNNNNNNNNNNNNNNNNNNNNNNNNNNNNNNNNNNNNNNNNNNNNNNNNNNNNNNNNNNNNNNNNNNNNNNNNNNNNNNNNNNNNNNNNNNNNNNNNNNNNNNNNNNNNNNNNNNNNNNNNNNNNNNNNNNNNNNNNNNNNNNNNNNNNNNNNNNNNNNNNNNNNNNNNNNNNNNNNNNNNNNNNNNNNNNNNNNNNNNNNNNNNNNNNNNNNNNNNNNNNNNNNNNNNNNNNNNNNNNNNNNNNNNNNNNNNNNNNNNNNNNNNNNNNNNNNNNNNNNNNNNNNNNNNNNNNNNNNNNNNNNNNNNNNNNNNNNNNNNNNNNNNNNNNNNNNNNNNNNNNNNNNNNNNNNNNNNNNNNNNNNNNNNNNNNNNNNNNNNNNNNNNNNNNNNNNNNNNNNNNNNNNNNNNNNNNNNNNNNNNNNNNNNNNNNNNNNNNNNNNNNNNNNNNNNNNNNNNNNNNNNNNNNNNNNNNNNNNNNNNNNNNNNNNNNNNNNNNNNNNNNNNNNNNNNNNNNNNNNNNNNNNNNNNNNNNNNNNNNNNNNNNNNNNNNNNNNNNNNNNNNNNNNNNNNNNNNNNNNNNNNNNNNNNNNNNNNNNNNNNNNNNNNNNNNNNNNNNNNNNNNNNNNNNNNNNNNNNNNNNNNNNNNNNNNNNNNNNNNNNNNNNNNNNNNNNNNNNNNNNNNNNNNNNNNNNNNNNNNNNNNNNNNNNNNNNNNNNNNNNNNNNNNNNNNNNNNNNNNNNNNNNNNNNNNNNNNNNNNNNNNNNNNNNNNNNNNNNNNNNNNNNNNNNNNNNNNNNNNNNNNNNNNNNNNNNNNNNNNNNNNNNNNNNNNNNNNNNNNNNNNNNNNNNNNNNNNNNNNNNNNNNNNNNNNNNNNNNNNNNNNNNNNNNNNNNNNNNNNNNNNNNNNNNNNNNNNNNNNNNNNNNNNNNNNNNNNNNNNNNNNNNNNNNNNNNNNNNNNNNNNNNNNNNNNNNNNNNNNNNNNNNNNNNNNNNNNNNNNNNNNNNNNNNNNNNNNNNNNNNNNNNNNNNNNNNNNNNNNNNNNNNNNNNNNNNNNNNNNNNNNNNNNNNNNNNNNNNNNNNNNNNNNNNNNNNNNNNNNNNNNNNNNNNNNNNNNNNNNNNNNNNNNNNNNNNNNNNNNNNNNNNNNNNNNNNNNNNNNNNNNNNNNNNNNNNNNNNNNNNNNNNNNNNNNNNNNNNNNNNNNNNNNNNNNNNNNNNNNNNNNNNNNNNNNNNNNNNNNNNNNNNNNNNNNNNNNNNNNNNNNNNNNNNNNNNNNNNNNNNNNNNNNNNNNNNNNNNNNNNNNNNNNNNNNNNNNNNNNNNNNNNNNNNNNNNNNNNNNNNNNNNNNNNNNNNNNNNNNNNNNNNNNNNNNNNNNNNNNNNNNNNNNNNNNNNNNNNNNNNNNNNNNNNNNNNNNNNNNNNNNNNNNNNNNNNNNNNNNNNNNNNNNNNNNNNNNNNNNNNNNNNNNNNNNNNNNNNNNNNNNNNNNNNNNNNNNNNNNNNNNNNNNNNNNNNNNNNNNNNNNNNNNNNNNNNNNNNNNNNNNNNNNNNNNNNNNNNNNNNNNNNNNNNNNNNNNNNNNNNNNNNNNNNNNNNNNNNNNNNNNNNNNNNNNNNNNNNNNNNNNNNNNNNNNNNNNNNNNNNNNNNNNNNNNNNNNNNNNNNNNNNNNNNNNNNNNNNNNNNNNNNNNNNNNNNNNNNNNNNNNNNNNNNNNNNNNNNNNNNNNNNNNNNNNNNNNNNNNNNNNNNNNNNNNNNNNNNNNNNNNNNNNNNNNNNNNNNNNNNNNNNNNNNNNNNNNNNNNNNNNNNNNNNNNNNNNNNNNNNNNNNNNNNNNNNNNNNNNNNNNNNNNNNNNNNNNNNNNNNNNNNNNNNNNNNNNNNNNNNNNNNNNNNNNNNNNNNNNNNNNNNNNNNNNNNNNNNNNNNNNNNNNNNNNNNNNNNNNNNNNNNNNNNNNNNNNNNNNNNNNNNNNNNNNNNNNNNNNNNNNNNNNNNNNNNNNNNNNNNNNNNNNNNNNNNNNNNNNNNNNNNNNNNNNNNNNNNNNNNNNNNNNNNNNNNNNNNNNNNNNNNNNNNNNNNNNNNNNNNNNNNNNNNNNNNNNNNNNNNNNNNNNNNNNNNNNNNNNNNNNNNNNNNNNNNNNNNNNNNNNNNNNNNNNNNNNNNNNNNNNNNNNNNNNNNNNNNNNNNNNNNNNNNNNNNNNNNNNNNNNNNNNNNNNNNNNNNNNNNNNNNNNNNNNNNNNNNNNNNNNNNNNNNNUGUAUUCUUAUUCGGCUUUCUUUUUUGGUUCUUAAAAUAACCGAUCAAACGAAUGUUGAUUAUUUCUUUUCUUUUCUUAUUUUUAUUUCGAUCACAAUUCACAGUGAGUCAGAAAGAUGAACAUAUGAUGACAUGAUUCUGGCUUUUCUUUCUGUCUGUGGACCCACCAUUCACUUAUUAGAAAGAGGACCUUAACGCUUGCUUCCUUUUCACAGUUUUGUAGACUGCGGCACUAUAUAAAUCCUCUUGCAAGGGGCAAGUUGCCUCGUAAAUUGCUCAUCUACUUCUUCGAGAUAAGCGAUGGAAAAAAACUUCACGAAGAAACUCAACAAUACUGUAUAAGAGAUUUCCCGAGACGCCAAGUGUGGACAUUUAGUUGUAGAGUCCCACCAGGAGGGGGUUCGAAACCAGCCCUUUCUGGGGAUUGGUUUUCAUUUGUUCGUUCAAAGGACCUCAAGGCCGGCGACGCAAUAGAAAUUGCCUUGGAUAGAGAGAAGGAUCAAGCUGGUGGAUCACAAUUCACAGUCAAGGUCAAGAAAACAACUUCAACAACUCGGAACUAGUCCAUUCCAUUUGCAUGCAGAAUCUUGUGAGCCCUUGAAAGAAUGAAUUUUAAAUCAAUUGCACGUCUCUUGAAUAAUUAGGGUCAGUUAUAGUUGUGCGUUCGAGUCUUCAUCUUCAAAUUGAUUGCCUGGAAAAUAGAUGUUCUUGGCAGUUAACAGGUCCAGAUGGUAUUCAGUACUGCAUCAAAACAAUGGAAACCAAAAUGGUUUAAUUUCUUCUGAUAGUAAUGAUUGACCCCAUAACGGGAACAGUAUAUUAGUUAGUUCCACACCAUGACGAGUGGUCUUCGUUUUCAUUUUAGUUGCUGCGGAAACACACGUUGACAGAGAAGAUGCAAAUAAACACGUCUUCUUCAAAUUCAAACAUGCCCUAAUCUAUCUAUUGAAGAUGUGAUAUACUGAUAUCUAGAGAGAUAACUUAAUCUAUCUAUUGAAGUAAUGCAUUUAAAUGCGUAUACAAUGUUUUUGGAACAUUAAAUAUCUAUUUGAUUAGAAUCUGAUGGGGCAAUAGGUGAUGCAGGCAUAAACUAGAAAGUCGGCAAACAAACACAAAGAAAAUAGAUUUAUUGAGCAGGUUGCAAACUUAAACUCUAAAUUCGCAAUUUAUUAUUUUUAAAAAAAUUCUAAUGAUGUUUGCCUCUCAAAGAGGUUUCUAAAACAUUUAAAUAUACUAGAAAACCUAUCCCUAUUGGAAAACAAAAUCAGAAUUCAAAAGCAUAAACAAAACUAUAUAAAAUCUUAAAUAAAACAAUAAAUUCAAAAAAAUCAAGAAAAAAUAACAAAAUUAAAUCAAAUAGGAUCUUAUGAACCUAAUUUCAGGGGAUCCGAACAUCGGAUGAUUAACAAAAUAUGUUUUCAAUUGAGAUAGGUCUCGAGAAUCUUCAAUAAAAAUUUAAUAUGUAUCCAAUAGUUAAUUUUUUUUAUAGCCUCUUUUAGUCACUACUCUAGUGUAGCAUAUCCAAGUGGACCUUAACUUGUUAUAAUAAUUCAUAAAAAAAAAAAUCUACCUUCAGUAAUAAAUUCUCGUAUAAAUACUCUGUACAUUUAGUUUUCACAAGUGUAAUUGCAUCAAUAGGCCUCUAAAAGUGAUCAUGAAAGACUUUUUUCUUUGGAUCUUCUCAUGCCCAGCAAGCAUUAAAGAGUCUGAAGCUUAAGCUAUGAUUACACUUGAUAUUAGCUCUUCUAGUCAUCAUGCUAAUUAAAUGGAACUGAUUAUUGUAAGGUCUUAACAAGUUGGGCAUAAACCUGAUUUCGUUGAAUCUACUUUGGAUCGUGUAUAUUUUAUUUAUUUAUUUUUGGAUGGCUCUAGUGAGGCCCAUAGAGUUUUUUUACCUAAUAAAAGAAGCCCAUAAUUGGUCUUAUACGGUGGCCUUCUCUGAAGUCUAGUUUUAGCCCAUUAUAUAUAAGUUUAUUAGCUGGCUAUUUGCUUUUAAUGUGCCACGUAGCACCUAAACUAACUUCAUGAAGGAACAAGGUUUAUUUAACACACGAAUCCUAGAAAAAGAAAACAGCAAUAAACUAUAAGAAAAACUCAUAAGUCUGAAUGUUUUUGAAAAUUGAUUAUUGAGUUUCAAAUAACAAAAAGAACAAAGAAAAAGAGUUCAAUUAGUUUUUCAUAAUCAAUCACUAGCUGAGCAGAAAACAAUUAGUAUAAAACUCAAAAUUAAUAUUAAAAUAAAAGGAAAUGCUAGAUAUUAAAGCUAAAUCUUUAAAACAUGAGCAAUCUAGGAUGGUUCUAAAUAUCGUUGUUGAGUUGACAUUGCUCAUACAAUAAAUAAAUAAAUAAAAUAUGGUCUGUCAAAAAACCAUCUCAACCUAUAAACUUAAGCUUUUAGGUGAGAUCCCAAGAAAUAAUUUAUAUUAUUCUCUAACACACCCUCUCAAGUGAAAGCCUUUUGGGCUUGAAACUUGCACAGACCCACAUUACCUGUGCUUAAUUUUUAUCAAAUAAAUGAGGAUUGUGAGAUUCAAACUCGUGACUGCUUGAUCAUCAAGGCUCUGAUAUCAUGUCAAGGAACCAUCUCAACCUAAAAACUUAAGUUUUUAGGUGAGGUCUUAAGAAAUUAUUUAUAUUAUUCUCUAACAUAGACAUACUAUGUAUUUUUUAAUAAUUUAUUUUGGUCCUUGAAAUUUUAUUUUGUGCAAUUUAAUCCUAAUUAAAAGUCAAUUACAUCUUAAUUCUUAGUCAAUAGUGAAAUUGAAAGAAGGAAGAUCAAAAUGAAAAAGACACUAAACAUGGAUGGCGUGCCAGAGAUUACAUAAAAAAUACACUUAGAUCUUCGAUCUUUAAAAAUAAUGCAAUGUAUAAAAUUUAGAUCUUCUUAGAUUUUAAAAAAUAAUUUUUGGUAUAAAAGUUGAUUUUUUUUUAAUCCCUGGAUAGAGACACUACCAGAAAUUCGCUAAAUAGCAACGGAUUUACCGACGGAAUAUUUCUGUCGGUAAUUUGAGGUUGAAAUUACCGACGGAUAAUAUUCUGUCCGUAAUUCAGUCGGUAACUACCGACAGAAAGUUUCCUUCGGUAGUUACCGACUGAAUUACAGACGGAAAAGUUUCCGUCGUAAAAAAAAAGGCGGGUCGCUGACGUGGAGGUUUUGGCGGGUUAUUUUUUCAGACGGGAUCACCGACGGAUUUGAAAUGGCAGAUCCGUACGGUGAUGUGUCGAUUGUUCCAUCAGAAGCAUCGACGGUUUCACCGAUGAAAUGUCCGUCGGUAAAAGUUAAUUUAUGUCCAAUCUACCGACCCUCUCCUCCCCUAUUUCUCCUUUUUCUUCCUAAUCCCAACUCUCCCCAUCUGCAAACAACCAGCCCCCCCUCCCCCCCAAACAAAAAUCUCCCUCAUAUCAGCACAACAAGUUAUAUUUCUUGAAGUUUUGUGGUCACAGCAUCCGUGUUCUGAUUUACCGAUGGAUUUUAUCAAUUUUUGUAAGUAAUUCUAUCUUUUUAAAUUUUAACAUUUAAUUAAAUGUCAAUUUUAUUAUUUUUUUAGUAUAUGUAUUUUGUUAGUAGAUGUACAUGUUGUAUUAUUAUUUCUCAAACAAACUUGUAGUAUAUGAAUGUAUAAUUCUAUACCUGUUAUGGUUUGUUUUAGAUUUUGUAAGAUUGUAUUUGUUUGUAAAUUGUUAAAACUUUAUGGAACUACCGACGUACAUGUGUUGUUUUGAAAUAAUUAAUAGCUUGCUUAAUGGGUUCGUUUAAAGUUUUAUCAAUGGUAUUGUGGAGUGGUAAUUUCUGUAAAUUUAUAUAUUUUAAUUUGUAUGGACGUUGAUAAAUGAUAAUGAAUAUUUAAUAUUUAUGAGAAGUUGUGAUUGGUUUGUUGGAUAAUCUCGAGGUAAAGUAAUAUUUUUGCAAGUUUAUUUACCUAACUUAGUUAAUUAAUACAUGAUGUCAUCAUAAUUUUAUAGAGGUUCGAUAUAAAUCAUGGAAGAUCGUUCAUGGAUGUAUCGAGAUUCACCCCAAGGAUUGCGGAGGAUGGAUUAUUGUAAUGGGGUUCAGGGUUUUAUUAAUUUUGCAACAUCUAUUCCUAGAAAUUUUACUGGAGGCGGUAUUAGGUGUCCAUGCAGGAAGUGUCAAAAUAAAAAGUAUUUGCAUCCAGAUGUUGUAAUGAUGCAUCUUCUACACAAAGGGUUUAUGGAGAAUUACCAGUAUUGGUAUGCACAUGGAGAAGUAUAUGUUAGUGAGAGGAGAAUGGAAGAAACAGUGGUUGGGUCUACUUCUAGUGCUAGCAACGUGUAUGAAGCGGCAAAUGACAACACUAAUCCUUACAGAAAUAUGGUUAUGGAUGCAAUGAGAAUGAAUCAAGGUAAUGUCAGUCAAUGUCCAAUCGUAGAAGAAGAACCUAAUGUAGAUGCAGCUAGGUUUUUUGAUUUGUUGAAAGAUUCUGACGAACCAUUAUGGGAUGGCUGCACGAACCACAGUAAAUUAUCGGCCGUAGCACAGGUGUUCACCGUCAAGUCAGAUCACGGGUUGAGUGAGGCCGGGUAUGACAAGAUUAUUGGAUGGGCAAGAAGCAUUUUACCUGAAGAGAACAGGCUGAAAGAGAACUUCUAUGCUGCGAAGUCUAUGAUGAAACCCCUCGGUUUAGGAUACCAGAAAGUGUAGGUACAGGAGAUGCUACUAUGCCAUACUACCUUGAAAAUGCUGAGAUGACCAAGUGCAUGACAUGCGGGCAUUUCCGUUUACAACCUAAAACUGCAAGGGAAAGACUCUAGUGGCAUAUAAANNNNNNNNNNNNNNNNNNNNNNNNNNNNNNNNNNNNNNNNNNNNNNNNNNNNNNNNNNNNNNNNNNNNNNNNNNNNNNNNNNNNNNNNNNNNNNNNNNNNNNNNNNNNNNNNNNNNNNNNNNNNNNNNNNNNNNNNNNNNNNNNNNNNNNAGUGUUCAUCCUCACUUUUCAGCUGAAUCAAGGAAUGUGUGUCUUGGGUUGUGUACAGACGGAUUCAACCCAUAUGGGUCAUUUGCUGCUCAUUAUUCUUGUUGGCUGGUCAUACUCACAGUUUAUAACUUGCCACCGGGAAUGUGUAUGAGGCCGGAGUUCAUGUUUUUAUAUACUGUCAUACCCGGUCCAAGCAGCCCGGGGCGGAAUAUAGAUGUUUGUCUUUGACCGUUGAUUGAUGAGUUGGCGCAGUUGUGGUCCUCCGGAGCUCUGACUUAUGAUAUAUCAAGGAAACAAAAUUUCCUUAUAAGGGCGGCUUUGAUGUGGACUAUCAAUGAUUUUAUAGCUUAUGGAAUGCUUUCUAGUUGGAGCACGCAUGGGAAACUCGCAUGUCCAUACUGCAUGGAAAACAACAAGGCAUUCACGCUAGCAAAUGGAGGUAAAGCUUUUUUUUUUUACUGUCACCGUCGCUUCUUGCCACUUAAUCACAGGUACAGAAAGAACAGAAAAGAUUUCUUUGUUGAUAGAGUUGAAAAAGAUGUUGCAUCCCCGCAUCUUUCUAGUGAAGAAUUGCAUGAUAUUGUCUCAGAGUACGGUGACAUUGUGUUUGGCCUUCAAUCAGGUAAGCAAAAGUUUCCUGGUUUUGGUUUGACCCAUAAUUGGGUAAAGCGAAGUAUCUUUUGGGAGCUUCAUUAUUGGAAGACCAAUCUGCUUGGCCAUAACCUUGAUGUCAUGCACAUCGAAAAGAACAUGUUUGAGAACAUUUUCAACACCGUCAUGGAUGUGAAGGGGAAGACAAAGGACAACAUCAAGGCUAGAUUGGAUAUAGCUUUAUACUGUAACUAUAAAAAUAUUGAGUUGGUUUAUGAUGAGUCACGGGUCGCAAAACCAAGAGCAAGCUUCGUGUUAAAGAAAAACGCAUAACUGCUAGUCUACAAAUGGCUUAAGAGUCUGUGUUUUCCGGAUGGACAUGCAUCGAACAUAUCAAGGCUGGUUAAUAUAGAGGAGUGCAAAUUGUAUGGAAUGAAGAGUCAUGACUGCCACGUGUUUAUGCAAACAGUCAUCCCAUUAGCUUUUCGUGAUUUGUUGCCAAAGGGAAUAUGGGAAGCACUCACGGAGAUCAUUCAUUUCUUCAGAGAUAUAUGCUCCAGCAAGUUGAAUGUUGAUCACAUUGAGAGGCUUCAAACGAAUAUCGUCGAGACACUAUGCAAACUUGAGAUGAUAUUCCCUCAAUCAUUUUUUGACUUAAUGGAGCAUCUCCCUAUACAUCUACCGUUUGAGGCAAAAGCUGGAGGACCGGUCCAAUAUAGAUGGAUGUACCCAUUCGAACGGUUAGAUAUUACAGUUGCAAUGUAAUUCAUAUAUAAAAGUAUUUUAUAUGUUUUUUUUAAUUGAAAAUACUUGAUUAAUAUUUCAAUGCAGGUACUUGUUUAAUCUCAAGAAAAAGGUUAAGAACAAGGCGCAUGUUGAGGCUUCGAUAUGUGAGGCCUAUAUUGUUGAGGAGAUCUCAACAUUUGUCUCGUACUAUUUCGAACCUCAUCUGAGAACGAGAAUCAAUCACGUUCCACUGCAUGAUGAUGGCGAUGAAGUGCCUUCCAGUGGGAACUUGUCAAUAUUCUCCAAUAUUGGAUGACCCACACCUAAAAAUGCCGUAAGAGGAAGAUAUUUGUCGGAAAUAGAGUUCAAACAAGCACACAACUAUGUUCUAUUUAACUCUGAUGAGCUGAGACCUUUUAUUCAGUAAGUUUAUACUAAUUAAACUUUGUUAGUAAUAUACUAUUAAUUAUAUAUUGUAAUAUCAUACACUCAUCAUCACUUGUAGGCAACAUCGACAAUAUUUGCUCUCCAAUAACUCACAGCUGACCGAAUCCCAGAUCUUUCAAUUACAAGAUGAACAGUUUGCCACGUGGUUUAGAACACAUGUAAGCACUAUCACAAACUCAUUCUAGCUUGCAAAAUUACUGUACGUAUGCAUGUCAUUACGAGAUUCUCGUUCAUUUACUGUUUAUUGAUGUACAUUACAUACAAGGUUUAUCAAAUGGGAAGGAAUGCGCCUAAGUCAUUGUCUUCACUAAGCGUAGGGCCUGAAAGAAGAUGUAAGUGGUACAACAGGUAUUUUGUCAAUGGAUAUGUUUUCCAUACUGAAGAAUACGGGCAAGGAAGAAAGACAUACAACAACGGUGUUUGUGUUAAGGAAUCCACUAGUAGUGAGUUAGAAGUUGACUACUAUGGUAGAUUAGAAGAGGUCGUCGAACUGCAAUAUCAUAACGAACAGAAUAGAGUGUUUUUAUUCAAAUGCUAUUGGUAUGACACGACUGACAGAGGAAUCAGAGUUGAUCUGCACUAUGGUUUGGUCGAAAUCAACUCAAAAGCUAGACUCCGCAACAUAAACAAUGUCUUUGUUUUUGCAAAGCAAUGUCAACAAGUUUAUUACACAUACACCUCUUCAUUUAGAAAGGAUUGAUCAAGAGUUGAUUGGUUGUCCGUUUUAAAAAUGAAACCCCAGGGUCGUGUCGAGGUUGUUUAGGAUGAGAACGAAGACACAAGUGUGCAAGAUGAAGUCUUUCAAGUUAGUGAGCUGGUUGAACCAUAUCGAGUUGCUCCUUCGAUUGAAUUGGAAGAAAAUUCAAAUUUUCGUGUUUUCGAUGAUAGUCUUGUUGAUGUUGAUGCAGAGAAGUUGAAUGUUGUUUUGAGCUCUAGCGGACAAGCAAAUAUGGAUGAAGAAGACGAUAUCCAUAUUGAAGAUUGCGAUGAGGGUCAUGACAAUUCAAUUGAUGACGAAGAAGAAGAAAAUUCUGACUAACAAUCAAAUUUAAGCCCUGUGUAAAACCCUUUCUUUCAUGUAAUUUAGAUUAUGGAUGAUAUAUUUUGUAACACGAAAUAUUUAUUACUUGAAAUGCCACAAUCACGAAAUAAUUACUUGAAAUAAUUAUAGAUCAUGGAUGAUAUAUUUUGUAACACGAAAAUACCACAAUCACUGACGUCCGUACCGACGAAUAUAUGUUCGUCGGCAUUUCACAGAGAGUUCGAAAAUAAUUACUUGAAAUGCCACAAUCACCGACGUCUAUACCGACGGACUUAGUCCGUUGGCAUGUCACAGAGAGUUCGAAAAUAAUUACUUGAAAUGCCACACUCACUGACGACCAUACCGACGAAUAUAAGUACGUCAGCAAGUUGUCGGUGGGUCAAUUUUACCGACGACAUUACCGACGGACCGCGCGAAUUCCAAAGGGUUGUGCAUUGAAUGCAUCUUUGACUGCGUCAGAUCGUCGACGGAAUUACUGACGGACCACGAAAAAUAUGGAGGGUCAUUAAAAAUUUUGGUACAAAAUUUGAAAUGUACCGACGGAUUUUUGACAUUUCACCGACGGAAUAAAUUAAAGUAAUAAUUAAUUUUAUAUCCGUCGGUAAAACUGCCAUAUAAAUCCCCCCAACCGCCCCUUCAGUUCAUUGUUUCUUCUCCCCUCAGUUUUUCAUCGAUUUUCUCCUCAGUUUUUCACUGAUUCUUUUCCUCUCCGUUCUUCAAAGGUUUCACCUGCAAUCUCUAGCAAUUUUUCUCGUGAAUCUCCAUCAGUUUAAAUGGUAUGUAUGUUUUUUUGCUAUUUUUGCUUCUUUUUUUUGUAUGCUUUUUUGGUAUGUUUUUUUUUUGGUGUAUUUUUUGUAAUGUAGAUAAAGUCUAUAGUUUUUUUGCAUAAUUCAGUGCUAAAGUCUAUAGUUUUAUUUUUUUGAAUUUAUUGAAUAUUUUUUAUUGUUGUAUUGGCAUAAUUAUUAUUAGUUUAUUUGUUGAAUAUUUAUUGUUAAUGUUGAAUUUACCAUAGAAUUAGUAAUUGAAUAUGUUUGAAUAAUUAUUAAUUUUACUCUAUUAUUGCAUGAUUUGUGUUUAAUGUUUUGCAUUUAUUUUGAUUGUUAUUCUAGAGUUUUUUUUUUAAUUUAUUGUUUUGUUGUAUUGGUAUAAUUAUUGAAUAAUUUUUUGAAUUGUAAUUGUUAAUGUUGAAUUUACCUUAGUAUUAGUAAUUGAAUAUUUUGGAAUAAUUCUUAAUUUUACUCUAUUAUUGCAUGAUUUAUGUUUAACUUUUUUCAAUUAAUUUUAAUUGUUAGUCUACAGUUUUUUUUAUUUAUUGAAUAUAUUUUAUUGUUGUAUUGGCAUAAUUAUUGAAUAAUUUGUUGAAUUGUAAUUCUUAAUGUUGAAUUUACCUUAGGAUUAGUAAUUGAAUAUGUUGGAAUAAUUAGUAUAGAUUGGGUCAAUUGGUUGUGGCUUUUGUUAAUAUGUGCAGGUUUGUGGAUUUGGGUAGUAUCCGGUAUAAGGGAGGUGCUGUCGAAUUUUUUUUUAACUUUUGAAUUUAAUUAUAUAAUUAUUUGUAUAAAAUUGUGGAGAUGCGUAGAAUGAAAACCAGAGCUGGUCGCUCAAGUACGGUCGUAGCUAGUUCGUCUAGCAGCGAUGAUGAUAUUUCCUUAGGUGCCUCUCAAGAAGAGGCACCUACACCACCUGCGCCUUCAAUCGAUGCUGCCUCUUCCAGCGGUACUUCACAACGCAGAGGCGGCGUGCCUUUGCAGUGGAAUCAAUUUACCUGCAAGUACGAGGCACGGUGGAAGGACGACCUUUCAAUUUAAGUUUGUUAAGGUUUAAUUUUUUUAAAAAAAAAUUACAACAUAAUUUAUGAAGUAAUCACUAUUUAAUUUAUUUCAUUUAUUUUCAGGUUCACAAACAUUGAGGCCGCCCGAGUAAUAUCAUCGGCGUUUAAAUCGUCAAUGGAGAUUCUAUUGUUUCAAUGGAGUCAGCUAUCCAAGCAUCCUGAAUGGAUGCCUCAAAUCAAUGCAUGGUUUGACAUAUUUCAAGUUGGUGUUAAUUUAUAAUUUUCAGCUUAUUUCUACUAAAUUAUUAAUAUAAUUGUAAAUAAAUUAUUGUUUUUAUUUAAACUUGUUUAUUUAUACACAGCACAAAUUCUGCUGGGACAGUGAGCAUAACACUGUUGUGAGGAGGGUGUGGGAAAAUCACGCGGCAACUAGGUAAGAUCGAAAAAAAUACAAGAUUUUUUUAGACUAAAAUUUAUGUUUCGAAAUGUAAUUUUUGGUUGCGUGAUUUUUGGUAUGAAGCACAGAAAAGGGCAAAAAAAACCGCAAGGGAUAGGGGUUUCCAAGGCUGGAACGAUGUUGCGGUUUGGCGGGAUUUCAAACCGAUAUACAUCCCGGAAGAUAUAUGGCCGCACUAUCUUGAGCACGUGACGUAUGAGCGGUUCACACGACGCUCACAGUCCGGUGUUGGCAACCAGAAUCGGCCAAUUCAUGGCUCGGUGACAGCGCACACUGGCGGCUCCGUUCCGUUUGCUGCACAUGCGAAACGGAUGGUAAGAUUAAUUUAAAUGAAAUAUAUCGUUAAAUUAAGUUGUUGUUAAUAUAUCUUUUUUCAUUAUAGGCUGCGUCUCUUGGAUGUGAGCCGAGCCCGAUGGAGCUGUUUGUGGAGACUCAUGUGCGGAGUCAAGACCGCCAAAAGAGGGCGCAACGGUUCGUUGAUAACCGUGCUCAACAUUUCGUGGUAUGUUUGUUCGACCAUUUUAUUUUGUAAGUUAUUAUGUAAGUUAUUAUGUUUAUUGAAUUGAAUAUGAUGAUUACUUUUUUUUAUUUUCAGAAGACCUAUAAUAAUCGGUUGUGGGAGAGAUACGGGGACGAUAUUUUGACCCAUCCGGAAUUCGAUCCAGAUUUGUGGAUGGAGGUUGGCUCGUCAGGUGGACCCGAUAAAAAUCGGGUUUACGGGCUCUCCAACACUACGGCCGACAACUUGCGGUCGACCCGUAGUGUUUCAACCGUUGGGAGCUCCCAAUCAAUAUCGAGCUCCCAAUCUAAGGAGUUCAUGGUCUUGCAGCAACACACGGCUCAUCUCACCGAAAAAUACGACCACCUAUCAGCGGAGUACGCGCAACUUAAAGCGUCUCAUGCAGAACAAAGAGCGGAGUCUGCACAACAAAAAGUGGCUAAUGAACAGCUUCACGAAAUGGUCAUGAACAUGGCAACACAGAGUGGAACAUGUGCACCUAAUCCUUUUUGGCCGUAUAACCACCAACCUCCUCCUCCAGGAUCUCCUCCUCCUCCUCCAGCUCCACCCAUAUAUUAAUUUGUAAUAAACAUUAUUUACCUUUAAAACUUCAUUUAAUAUUUUUUUUGAAACAUAUUCAGUUUGUAAUGAAUAUUAUUUAACUUUGUUUUUUUUUAUGUUUAAUAUAAAUUUUAUUUGCAUAAUUGGUUUGUAUUACAAUUAAUUUAUAUAGUUUUAUAUUAUAUAUCCUAAAUAAUUUUUUAAAAACAAAUUUAGAAAAAAACUAUUACCAAUGAUUUUACCGACGGAUUUAUUCGGUCGGUAUUUUAAACGCUCACCGACAGACUUACCGACAUAAUUAAUCCGUCGGAAUUUAACAGUAGUUGCCACACUUACCGACGAAUUUACAGACAGAUAUAUUCAGUCGGUAUUUCAUACACUCACCGACAGCUUUACCGACGGUUAGUAGCCGUCGGUAAAUCACGAUAUCACUGACGGACUAAAAAUCCGUCAGUAUAUUUCAAGCGGGAAUCUUUUUUUUGGCGCGCAAAUUCCGUCUGUAAAACCAUCGGCAAAUGGUUUUUUUGUUUUGCCGACCGAUAUAGCGACCGAAUCACCGAUGAAAGGAAAGCCGACGGACGUAAUCCGUCGGUGAUGACGUCGGUAAAAAAAUCACCGACGAACUUCUAAUCACACACCGAUGGAAUGUUUCUGUCGGUAAAACUGUGAAAUCUUGUAGUGAGAUAAGGGUUGCUACAUUCUAGUUGUCGAUACACGACGUCGGGCGACGGCUCCCGCUUUUUGUUUAUUUAACAAAAACGGUUGUUUUCUCGAUUGGGGGAAAUAAAGAUUUUAUUGGAGUCGCCAUCUAGUAAUUUGAGAGAACUAGAAAUCCCAAAUUAGACACUGGUCCUAGAGAUUCAGGUACGAGGUUAGUUAUGAUUAAGGGAAGGUAGACACCAGAGAAAUCCCUUAAAACAUCCUUUCAAGAGAAAGGUUACCCUUACUUGUGUGUUUUUUAUUUGAUUCAAAUGCUAUUAUAUUUUUGGCUUAUUUGUAAUUUGUUUUUUUAAAUGGUUAACGUCGGUCCCUAAAAAUAGAAGACACGUUAAAAAUGAUACCAGUCCCUAAAAUUAGGAGACUUGUCUAAAAUAUGGACGUUUGUCCCUAAAAAGGAGAAUUACGUCUGGGUUACCAAAAGAAAUAAUGGACAUAAUCCAUAUUUGGUAUUUAAAUUUUUGACAUCGGUACAUUUCUAAAAAGAGACGUGUCGACAAACAAUAUUUAUUUAUAAAACAAAAUUAUUUUGAUAUUGUUGAGAAAUAGGUAUAACCAUACUUGAGAAUCGGGCUUUGGACCCACAAUUAAUGACAUGAUAAGAUGGGUGUUGAACCCUUGUCGUUAUUUCAUUUAUAUUUAUUUUUUGGUUUUUUUGUUGUUUUUAGCAUGCGAGAAAAUUUACAAGCAUUUAUAUAUACAAAAAUAUCAAAAAUACCAUCAGGAACCCCAAAAAAUUACCUGAGUGCCACUUUAUAGGCAAAAUACUGAAAUACCCUUGAAUUUCUCCGAAAUUUAUGAAAAUGCCACUGGCGGCGCGUGUGCCCACGCGCGGUUACUGUUGGAGCGGUGAAAUUUUCUGGCGAGAUUUCCGGCCAAAAAAUGGUUGAUUCUGGUAGAUAUGAGGGUGAGGAUUCUAAUGGAGGUGGUAUCGAUGGCCGUUGAUCGCUAACGAGGGAGAAUCGACGGUUUGAAGCUACGGUGGCCGACGAAAAUCGCGGCCCUUUUACGGCCAGAUGGGGAGGCAAAAACGCUGAAAACGGCCGGGGUUUUGCUUUAUAUGAGGAUAGAAACCUUUCUGUGGUGUUUCGAAAGCUUAAAACGGCCGGAAAUGGGAGAUCGGAGGAGAGAGAGGGAAUCGCCGGCAGAGAGGAGAGAGAGACUCUGAGAGGUGCUAUGGUGUACACGAGCACAUGGUGCACCGGUGCAGAAGAAUGCUGUGAACCGUUGGAUCGCCGUUGAACUGAUCCUGCGGCUGUGAUUGGCUGGAUCUGAAAGUUGAUCGGACGGUCCGGAUGGGCUGAGGUUUGAUCGCGUGUGGCGCGGUGAACCGAGUGCUUGGUACACCGGGUGUCGUGGCGCAAUCGGAUCUAAUUGAAAAUUGUUUCAAGGGCUAAGAUGGAUUUGGGGUUUAAUCUAGUGUGGUAAGCCCUAUUGUAUCUUAUUAAAUCAAUGGUCCAGAACUAAAUACUAUUAGAUUUAAUGGUUAAAAUAUUUUUGAUAUUUUCAAUUUGUUUUUAAUAAAAAUCAAUAUCUUACUCUCGGGAGGAAAACUGAAAAAAAACUUAAAUAGUACGGGAUCUACUCUCUCUUUUAUUUUCUUUUUUUCUUCUUUUUUUUUUCUUCCUUUUUUUCAGUCGAACUGUCACUGGCUAUUUAUAGCUAAUGACAUCAAAAUCUCCAUACAGUGUCACAAAUCUACUUUUAAAAAAAAUUGAUCACCGUUUGCUUUCGGCGCAACUGCCCGCCUAAUAUGACAAAUAUAUAUAAUAAAUAUUUAUAUAGGUAAAAUUAAAAACUCAAAUCAGUAUUAGAAAAAAAAUCGAUUCAACUGCUAAAAAUUCAUUUUAAUGAUCGAAAAUUAUGUUGAAACACUGGAAAUUUUUUUUUGAUGGGUAUCAACCCGGUGAACCAGGUUUUGACCAAAAAUAACAGUUUUGAUCCAAAAUGGCCUGAAACUCAUUUUUUACCCCGGUCGACAUGGCUGGACCCGUAUUGACUUGAUGGACUCGGUUUUGACCGAAAAUGACGGUUUUGACUCGAAACGGCCUGAAACUCAUGUUUUACCUUGGUCGACAUGGUUUGACCCAAUUGACUCGAUGGACUCGGUUUUGACCGAAAAUGACGGUUUUGACCCGAAACAGCCCGAAACUCAUUUUUUUAUCCUGGUCGACAUGGUUUGACCCGUAUUGACUCGGUGGACUCGUUUUUGACCGAAAAUGACGGUUUUGACCGAAAACUCAUUUCUUACCCUGGUCGACAUGGUUUGACCUGGAUUGACCCGGUGGAAUAAGUUCUUAUGAAAAGAUGCGGUUGACUCGAGAAAAAAAAAAUAUAUAUAUAUAUAUAUUUAAUUUUAAACUUUUCCUUAAUUUUUUUGGAUUUUUAUAAAUAAUAAUAGAAAUAAAAUAACAUUCAAAAAAAUCUUGGUGAAUCCAAAAUUGGGUUACAACACUAGUGAUGAGAGAGAAAGUCAUCAUUUACUCUAUUUUUGGCCACCAAAAUAGGUUUUAUUGGUGUCCAUGGAUUCCAUGAGAUGAGAAAGGCUUCAUAAUGGUUGUUUAGAGCCUUAAUGUUGCAUAAAAAACUAGAUAUGAACCGAGAGAGCCAAAAUUAAACUGAUUUGAUUUUGGAUUUUCUGACCAUUUUUUGGAUAUUUGGAGUUUGUGAGAUAGAAGUUGUUGGAUUCCAGUGUUGAGAGAAAGUCGUCGAUCAUUUCAUUUUCAGCCACCAAAAUAAGUUUUAUUGAUGUCCAUAGGUUCCAUGAGAUAAGAGAGGCUUCAUGGUGGUUGUUUAGAAUGUCCAUGUUACAUGAAAAACCAUACAUGAGAUUUGAGAGCUAAAACUAAACCGAUUUGUUUUGGAUUUUUGGACCAUUUUUUAGGUAUUUGGAGUUGAUGGAAUGAUUUGUGGGUGUUAUAAAGGUAUUUAUGAGGUUUUCUUGGGUUGAAAUAGUUGAAAUUAUAUUUUUAACUAUAUGAGAAAAAAAAAAGAUGAUAAAAAAGUCAAGUUUAAUUAAAAAAAAAGAGAUACCCUCACCAAACUUGUAAACCAGGGCAACUUAGGUUACCUUAGCAAACCCACAAACCAUGUUAACCUUAUAGAAAUGUAAAAUAAAAAUAAACAAAUUAUAAAGCUAAAUUCCUAAUUAUCUCAAUAUUAAAAAAUAAAAUCGACAAAAAUAAAUUUGAAAAACAAAUCAUAAUAAAAAUUCAAAAACAAAAAGAAAAAUGAAAGAAGUAAAAUACUAUAGAUUACUAUUGUCAUUCACAGUGCAAUGUGUGUAGGUGAACAAUGGACUAUAUAAGAAAAAAAUAGACUAUAAAAAAAAUCAAGUUCAGUUUUUUUUUAAAUACAACCCGCAAAACUAGUAAACCGAGGCAACUUAGAUUACUUUGGCAAACCCAUAAAUUAUACUAACCUCAUAUAAAGUAAAAUCAAAAGAAACAAAUUACGAAUCUCAAUUUUAAAAGAUAAAAUUGACAAAAAUAGAUUUGAAAAAAAAAUCAUAGCAAAAAUUCAAAAAGAAAAAAAAAAGCAAAAAUGGGUGUUAGGUGAACAAUGAUUUCCACCACAUCCUUUAAUUUUUGUUAUUUCAUAAAAUUUAAUAACAUAAUUUUUCUAUAAAACUGUUUUUUUUUAACAAUAUGAGAACAAAAAUAUACUAUAAAAAACCAAGUUCAAUUUAAAAAACUUUAUCAAAUCCAUAAAUUAAGGCAACUCGAGUUACCUCAAUAAACUCACAAACACAAAAAAAAAUAUAAAAUUAAAUUCUCAACCAUUUCAAUAUUAAAAAUAAAAUUGAAAAAAAUUAUAAAUACAAAAAAUAAAAAAAUAAAAAAGAAAAAAUCACGUGUUUAAGAAAAACAUAAUAAUGUAAGAAAAUAUUGUAGCAAUAGUGUUUUUGUGAGAAAAAUUGCAAGUAUCUGUUCCCUAAUAUGUGCAAGUGCUGCAAAAUAUUAAAUCUUGUAUUUAAAUGAAAGAAAAAGUGAAGGCAAAAGAUUGCCAUGAGGCAACCUCAAGUAGCAUACACCUCUGUUUUUGUCUUUUUCAUUUUUCACGUGUUUCUCACAAGAAGUGAACUUGAGGGAAUAAAAAGCGCUGGGAAGUAAUUUUUUGUUGCAUUUUCAUAAAUUAAAGGGAUUUCUCUUCUUUUCUUUGUCAAUUAAAGUGCAUGAUGUAUAAAAGUUUUCUUACUCAGAGUAAAUGCUAUUAUAAUGUUUUCACUUGUAUAUCUUGGAACAUAGCCAUAGCCAUAAAUGGAAGGUUCUUCCAGUUCAAGAAAAUUAACUGUCGCACGUCAAAAAAAAUCAGCGCGGCAUCGACUGGCGAUUUUUUAUUAUUUGUGGUUUUGCUUGGUUCUUUGGAGUCGCCACCUAGUAUUAUGGUCACUAGGAACCUAUGGUCUGCGAGAGUCUGAGUAAGGGACUGGUUGUGCAAGGGGAAGACGCAUCACCCCCAGUGCACCCUACCUAAGGUAAGCUGCAUUGUUUGUUUGAUUAUUCUUUCUAGGUCGAAGUUCUAUUGGUCUUUUCUAAGGUUCAAGGCAGAUCUCCCUUCAUGAGGGAGUCUCUACCUCAUUGGGUUAAAUCCUAACCAUUCUAAAGUCUGAAUUUUUAAAAUUGCUUUUAUUUACACCUUGUAUCUUUAAUACCCGAGAGUGUACUUUAUCGUGUAAUUUUACACUCCACAAAUAUUAAAGUCUAUAUCCGAAUCCUAGAAAAAAAAGUUGAAAUAAAAGUUUUUGACAUUUUGGCCAAACCCUAACAGAUGAUCAUAAACUAGUUAUGAUAUCCAUUUUUUGGAUUUUUAAAACGUGAGAAAGAUGCAAUUUUUUUAUUUUGAAAAGAAAACAUGCUUGGAAAAUUCUUUAGGACUUGGCCGUAUGCAAUAAAUUUUUUUUUGAAUAUUUUUGAGAAAACCGGGCAUUUUAAUACCGGACUUGUAUCUUAUCAUGUAAGUAUACAACCCAAUAUUAAGCAAACUUGGUAGGAAAAUAUUUAAGAAAAUCACAAAUUUUUUGAAAUGAUUUUUGAAAUUUUUUUGAAUUUUUUUUUGAAUUGUUUUGAUUUUUUUAAUACAUAAUAAUUAAUUAAAUUUAUUAAAUCUGUGGGCCGGUCCGGCCCAAACAGUUGGUCCGGUCCAGGACCCUUGGGUUGGGCCGGUCUCGGCCCAACAGGUCCUUCUCUCUUUUUUCCGGGCCGGGCCAGAACCGGCCCGACCCCUUGGACUGGGCCAGAACCGGCCCGGCCCAAGCAAAUGGCUAAUUAAUUAGCCGCUGCAUGCAGAAACGAAUUCUGCAUGCAGCCACGGUGAAAGGAAAAAGGAAGGCGUAGCAGGGGAGGGGCGAGUUACCUGGCGUGGAGAGAGUCGGCGGCCUAGCUGGUGGUGCACGGUGUAACUGAAGGUGGUGAGGCCGGCGGCUUGCACUGUUCACGGCUGGAAGAAGAAGGAGCAGUUUCCUGCAGAGGAGAAGGAAAGCUCACGGCCGGAGCUGUUGGUGUGACUGGGGAAGGAGAUGCUACUCUGGCUGCUGCUGGUAGGAGUGAAAGCUUCUGGGAAAGGUGGUGGCUGCUGGCUCUGCUGUCGCCGCUGCUGCUGGAGUCCCGGUGGCAGAGGAGGAGAUUUUACAGAGGAGAGAGAGAGAGAAGUGGUGCAACUGUCACGUGAGAUGGUUUUGUGGCUACUGGAGGUGGGGAUGAUGGCGAGAAGCUAGGUGAUGAAGGUGAUAGUGGCUGAAGGCCACGGUGGAGAGAGAAAGCAGAAAAAAUGAUUGUUUGCAGAAAAAUGGGUACAGAAGGCUGGUUUUCGGCCAACUUUGAGCUCGUUUUUCUCCUCUCUCUGAGCAUGAAAAUUGCUCCUAUUUAUAGGGCUGGAAAGAGGGCAAUCUUGUCUUCAAUGGGGGAAAACUAUCAGCCCUUGAUUCGACCUGAGCGAUCCAAACCGUUGGCUCAAAGUGGGCACCUCGAACUGCCAAAUUUGCAGACUGCCCGAGGUGCACACUUUGGGCCAAUAAACGAAGCCGUUGGCUCAAACCUUUUCGACCCGACCGGACCAUUCUCGAGGAUAAAGGUGUUUCAGUUGGACAUGUUGGUGCAUGCUUUGUCGAAUUUGGGGUACAAACGAGGCAGCAGACAAGGCUUGAAGUCGGCCACUCGGGCAGCUCAGUGGAGAAGAAGAUGAACAGUACUAGGCGACGCGUCGCCUGGUCCUGCCCCCUUUUUUUUUUUUUUUUAACGCAUGAAACGGCGUCGUUUUUCCCAAAACGCGCCGUUUCAUUUAAAUGAAAAACUGGCGCCAAAGUGCAAGAUUUCACAUCAAUCCUUCCUCUUGCGCGCGUUUUGUGUUUUGGUCCUUGGUCUCAGAUUGCUUCAAUUAAGUCCCUAAUUGGCCCCAAAACUUCAAUUUUCUUGCAAUUUGACCCCUGAUUUUGUCAAUUAACUUGGUAAAAAUUAAAUUUGGUCUCUUAAAAUUCCAAUCUUCUCCAUUAAGCCCAAAUUAGGCUCCCAAACUUAAGUUUUCACCAAUUAAGCCCCAAAUAAAAUUAAUUUGACCCAUUUAAAGUAUAAUUAAGUCCUUGCACUUAAUUAAAUCCUUCAUUUGGACCUAAAUUAAUUCUUAAACAUAAUUAAAAUUUAAUUUGGCCCAUGAUUAAAUCAAAUUGGCCUAUUAAAAAUUUAAUUAUGUUAUUGGACUUAAUUUUUAUGCAAAUUUGUCCAAUAAUCAUUUAAUUUGACCUUGAAUUUGCAUUUUUUUUCUCCGAUUUUGGGCACAAUGGGGCGCCGAAAGGCCUUGAAUUUCCUCCGAAAAUUGCAGAUUGAUUUUUUUCUAUUUUGCCUAUUUUUCUUGAUCAGCUUUCUCCACAUUGCCAGCUUUUAUUUUUAUUAUUAUUUUUUUGUUUUUAUUUAAAAAAAAUGAAUUUUGGGGAAUAACCCAGAAUUGGGUUAUGACAUUAACCAUGAACCUCUCGUAACUAGAAUUUAGAGUGACCAAGGUCUUUUUCAAGAACAAGGGAAGUGUGCAAAAUGCAAAUAACAAAUCAAUAAAUAAAUAAUUAAAUAAAAAGAGAGGACACAGAAGUAUAUCCUCAGACGAUGAAAAUACAGAAAGCCUAGCAUAUUAGAAAGAGCAUUUAUCGCUCUCCCCCCUUCUCUUGUAACUUGGACUGCUAAGAGAUAUAAUGUUUUGUUAUUGAUAUCUGAUUUCAGUAUGAUCAAGUCUCAAAAUACCAUACCCACUGGCAAUGGUAACAAACCCCUGGAUCGAGAUUUGACAAAUUAAUACAAUGCUGUAGCCAAAUUAAUACAAUCAUCAACGACCCAUCAAAAGGGAAAUGAUGUUUGCUAGAGUAAUGGAUGUCUGGUGCAGCAGCUGCUCCAGAUGGUCCUAGCAGUUUAUCGAGAUUGUUUUCAGGGACAUUUUUAAAGACAUUGGAAACGACAAUAUUGCAGCGAUUAAUGCCAAGUACGAACACGUCAAAUCUAAGCUAAGAAAUCAUGGUUUUGUUGAGCUUUGCUAUCAUCAGAGGCUUGAUGAUGGAAGGAUUAUUGUACUCUCUUACAAACAUAUAAUGCUGUGCUGAUGAGCCAGAGAAGUUCUCCAUAGACUUCCUAACUAAGAGGAAGUUGCCAUCUAUUUCUAACUCAACAAGGAAAAGAGUCUGGGGCAAGUGAAACAUGAAUUUUGACCAGUUAGGAAACCAAUGGCUGCCCAUGUUGUAGCUCAAAUCAAAACCGUGGGGGCUGGCAUGUUUUUGGGUGUUUUCUUUUUGGUUUUCUGAGAGCCAUAACUGGCAUUUUUGUUCUCUCAUCAAGAGCAGACGACACCAAAGGCAGAACACUCUGGUGUUCUUGACAAUUCGACACAUUGUUUUCUGAGGAUUAGGUGAAUAUGGUUCAUUCUAUGCCAUAAGUACGUCAAGCUACCAUUAAUUUUUUUUUUAUUCUUUUUUAAACAGUAACAAAACUCAUUAAUUUAGGAAAGGGCAAAGCCCAGAUAACAAAUAACAUCGACACUUGCAAGGAUUUAUUCUUCAGGGAUAUUGAUUUGUUUGUAUCCUAUCUCUUUGAAAAAAAAUGUGGAUUAAUUAAUCUAUGCUCAGUAUAGUAUUUCCAGGACUAUUCUUUCUUUAAUAUGUUGAUUAACACCUCGAGCCUGGCCUUUUUUUUUUUUUUUGUAGUUUGCUAAUGUGAUGUAGAAUUAUAUAUAAAUCAAUCUCAUCAGAUGAUGCAAAUAUGGGCAUAAAAGAUAUGGUGGGAACUUCAAUUUAGUCUCUGAAAUAUACAUAACUUCAUAAAAAUUGAAUUCUCAAAUGUUAAGAAAGAAAUACAAUACAAAAUAGAAGACGAUACAUUACAUUCAGGUAAGAAUUCACAUCCAUGCCCAUAUAUAUUAAAGCACUACUAUCUUUGUGCUAAGCUGCCAUCUGCAUUCAUUUUCUUUCUUCUGACAAAUAUACUUAUUAAGUUACAUUGCAUACAAGUAAGAAUUCAUAUCCAUUCCCAUAUUAAGCUCUAUUAUUUUUGUGAUAAGCUGCCAGCUUCGUCCAUUUUCUUGAUUUCUGACGAGUAUAUUUAUCUGCGAAAGACAACAGAAAACUGUGCAGGUCACACGUUUAUCCACAAUCCAGCAAGACAAUUACUAUUCUGCAGAAGCUUUAAGUGACCAAUCCAUGGCUUUCUUCAGUGCUGUUGGAGGUUCUACUGCAUGUAAAAUUGUUAAAAGAGCCAAUUUGUUAUUAGUCUUGGAAAGAAAAACAAUACUAAACUACAAAAUGCAGAAUGGAAUCGUUGAAAAUUAGUGCACAAAUCAAGUGUUCAGGGGUUCAAACAUGAGCCAUUGUGAGUUGGAGACUUGGAUUAUCGACAUUUAGUUUCCACCAUCCUUGAGUUAUUAUUAAAUGUAUACAAUAAAUUAUUAGGCGAUUUUUUCCCCAACAAUUAAAUUAAAAGUCUAAUAACAUUUUAAAUCUGGAUUUCAUGAUUAUAAUUUUUUAAUUUUAACAAAUUAUCAUUAAAUACGUAUUUAUACGAAAGCAAGUUUUAUUAAUUGGUUAAUCUUAAGAUUUAGUGAUUUGUUUUAAGUAUCAUAAUUGUAAAAGGUGCAUAUAAAGUUGAUGAUUUUAAAAUAAAUAAUAGUAAAUAGAUAAAGCAAAUAUUUGUAAUAUAUGGAAACAACCUUAAUAAAUAUAAGUUAAAUUAUUUUGUAAAAAAGAUAUUAGAAUGAUGAUUGAAAAGAUGUUGGAUGGCUAUUGAUUUUAUCAUUGAUAAGAAUAUAUUUUGAUACAUAGUAAAAGCUAAUUAAUAAUGUCAUGUGAUAGUGUCCGUACUAUAUAUUCCACGUAAUCAAAUUUAGGUUAUAAUAGAAAAAACAAAUAAGCAUCUCUUUUAUUACAAUAAUAAUCUCUUUUAAUUAUCAUAAUAUUAAAAUAUUUGAUUAAAUUAUUCUAUGCAUAGAAAAGUAAUUCAGUCAUGAAUAUAUAUAUAUAUAUAUUAUUAACGUGGAUGUCUAGGUCAACUUGCGCGCACCUCAACUAAUCCCACGAGUCCUGAAGUUAACGAUCAUGCAAGUCUCUAGUGGCUUUGAGGCUUGUGAGACUCGAAUUAUUAACUUCUAGAGAGCAAACCUAAAGUCUGACCAGCUGAGUUACGAUGUGAUAGUAUACUGAAUUGAAUUUAGGUUAAAAUAGAAAAAACAAAUAAUCAUUUAUUUUAUAAAAUGUUUUAAAUUAAAUGAAAUAAACCAUUUUAAAAGAAUGAAGUGUAACUGUUUUCAUUAAUUUGAAAACAUUAAUUGGCUCUCCUCCUCUGCAUACAAAGUAACAUAAAAAUUUAAUCCCAACUUACCUGUACACGUGUACCCUCUACGAUGAUUGAUGGGAUAUGAGAAAUCUUGGGCCACUCGGAGCCAUUCUCCUUUCUACAAUUUUCUGAUAGAAGUGGGCAUUCUGAAAUCCCCAAUUCCUUUAAUUUGGAGAGGCGUUGAAUGGCUGUUGAGCUUGGCAUAUACUUGAGAUUCUUGCAAUCCCAAAUCCAGAGAGAUCGAAGAGAAGAAAGGCUGGCCAACCAUUCUGGCAAUGCUUCCUCAAAUUCAUCUCCCCUGAAAUCACAUAUCCACAGUGACUCAAGGGCAGUGAGGUGUUGUAGUUCGUUUGGUACACUCUUCAGUUUAUCCCAUCCCCGUAUCCAUAGUCUUUCAAGGGACCCACUGAAGUUGAGGUGUUGGAUUGAGUUUAAAACUCCGGCAGGAAAAGCCUCCAGCUUCUCUGAGUAGCCACCGAUGCUCAAUUCCUUCAGUUGGGUGAAGCCGCCUAAGCAAUCCGCCUCUGGGAAAUGACUCAAACUCCGACACCCACUGAUUUCUAAAAGAACAAGAGAAGGUAAUUGUCGUAAACCAUGCCAAUCAAAACUGAUGAGCUUAUCACAACCUCUAAUCACUAAUCUUCGGAGCGACGACAAUUCUUGCAAAUCACUGAUAUGGAUGAGCUCUUUGCAAUACUCUAUCCACAAUUCCUCUAGAGAUGCGCAACAUUGGAGUCCGCUUGGAAGAGCUCCCAUUUUACAUCUAUAAAUAAACAAUUUCUUCAAAGAAUAUUUCAAUUGUCGGAAAUCACCAGGAAUUGAGAUCAACUCAGGGCAGUUCCAUAUGAUCAAUUCCACCAGAGCUGUGGAGUGUUGUACGCUUGGAAUGGAUGCCAGCUUCUCACAAUUAAUUAUCAUCAAAAUUCGAAGAGAUGUGAAGCCAUGAAAUUCACCACAUAAAUAUCUCAGUUCAUCACAUUUUCGAAUUACAAAGUGUACAAGAGAUGAAGGGUGACAUAUCGGAAUGCUUUUCAACUUGCCACACCCCUCAAUGCACAACUUUUCAAGACAAGGGAAUACUUGAUCACCUUCUCCACCUGGUACCAUCCAUUCUUCAAGACCAUCCAUACUGGAUAGAGUGAGUUCUUUCAGUGCUGGAAACAGUACUGCUGCACUGCCACUACUACUAUAGAACUCAUUGCCUAUACAUUUCACACUAGGCAUUCCAGUUAUGUGAAGAAUCUUAAGGCGAGGAAGACAUCCAAGUGUUGGGAGUUGUCUGCUCUUGCUGCAACCGUUCAACGUUAGGACCGUCAGAUUAUUGAGUUGCAAUGUAGACAUCCAUGAUGGGAAAUAUUCACCACAGUAACCCUUAAUUGUCAAGCUUCUUAUGUCUGGGUGAGGUUGCAGGCCUUCCAGCGCAUCCUCGCUGUUAACACUAUUGUUACCAUUAUCACUCCAUUCAAACACCAAUUUGUUCAUUCUUUUUUCACGCAGUUUUGCCUUCUCAGCUUCUUCUUUGUCUCUAACUUGCUCAAGCUUGCAUAUCUUCAAUGCUCCUCUUAGUUCAUUCAAACAUCCCAGCUCUUCUACCAUAUGAUUUGGACCCACAACAAAAAAAGGCAGAGUUUGAAUGCGUGUUAAGAGUCUCCCCUCAGCUGGCACUAACUUUGGAUCAUCAAAAUGAAGAUGUCUCGAGCUGACUAAAUUUCUCAUUUUCUUGGGAAGCUUUUCUAGUGACUUGCAAUCAGUGAAUCUUAAUGUUUCCAAAAGGUAGAUGUAAUGUUUUGAAUUAAUGAGUAGGAAAAUACAAUAAAGCCCUUGGAGGCUUAAAAGUUGGUAUAAUUAAAUGAAGGGUAUUGUAGUAAUUGUAUAAAGAGAUGAUAAGUAUAAAUAGAAAGAAAAAAAAAAGAAGAGAUCUGAAUAUUUGAGAGAGCAAACCGUGAGAGAGAAGGGAGAAAGAAGAAGAAGAGAAAAGAGGGGAAAAUAAGGGAAAAAGGAAAGGAGUUGGAGGAAAUAAGUAAAAAGGGGUAAGAUUAUGCUUUAGUGUGUAUAAUAUGUUUUCUUUAGCUUUAAUUUCGGUUUUGAUAAAUGUUAGGGUUAUGAAAUUUGUGUUUUGAGUUUAAUUGAUGAAUUAAAUUGAAUGUUAGGGGUUGAUUGUUGUGGUUAAUUGAUGAUUUAGUUGAUUAUGGAAGAUUGUGAUGAUUUUGAGUUAUAAUUUUGUUUGAAUGGUGAAUUUUGAGUUAAAAAUCAGGGGAGAACAGUAGGUUUCUGUUAAAAUUCUGGAUUGGAGGUUGAAGAUGACGAAAAUUCAAUUUGGUCCCUCAAUUUGCGAAAAUUACAGUUUAGUCCCUGAACUUUGGAAAAUUACAAAUUGGUCCCUGGAGCCUAUUCCGAGAAUCUGAACAGAAUAACAUAUGAAUUAUGGACAUAAUUAUUGUAUAGAUAAGAGAAUUUAACACUUUCAAUUUGGUCCUCCAAUUUGACAAAAAUUACAAUUUGACCCUAAAAAUUUGGUAAAAUUCCAGAAUGGUCCUUGGAGUAUAAUGAGAUGAUCUGGACAGAAAUGAGGACUAAUUAUGGUCAGAAUUUCAGUAUAUUCAUGGAUUUAUGAUAAAUUUCAGUUUGGUCCUCCAAUUAGACAAAAAUUACAAUUUGGCCCUAAAAAUAUUAUAAAUCCCAGAUUAGUCCCUAGCUGUAAUAUUAGCUUUUUCAGAUUAGUUUGAUGAAUAAUUAAGGGUUAUUUAGUGAAUUAUUAUCAAGUUUUAUUAUUUGCUUUAUUAUGGAUUAGAUUUCGAGAAAACCGUUAAUUUUGGGUUUUUGAGAAAAUAACUAGUUUAGUUUAAAAACAUUUAGGGUUAUGGAAUAUACCCUUAGAUAAGUGUAUUACAUAGGUUAUAUAUUCUUUCGAGUCGUUCUUAAAUAUGUCUCCUUUAUAUUCAGAUAAUCUUGAUAUUCUAACGGCGGGACGUCAGUAGGAUUUUCUUCGAUAUCAGCUUUGAGUUUUGUUGCUUUCGAGUCAGGUGAGUGGAUAAUUUUCCAUACGCAUGAGAAAUAUUAUAAAUAUUUGAUUUGUUAAUAUGAAUUGGAUCAUGCUUCUUGAUAAUAUAUAUGUUGAUUAUUAUCCUUGUUUUGAUAAAGCAUGAUCAAUUGUUGAAUCUGAAUUAUUGAUAUGAACCAGUAUAUAUAUUCUGAAUUGACUUCUGAAUUGAUAGCUCCUCAUUUGAUUGAUGUCAUGAGUUGAGCCUUGAGAUAUGAAUAUGUCUGUUUGAUUAUGAUUAUGAACCUAUGGAAUACCAGUCAGAAUACCCAUGCUAACAGGGUAGUGUUAGUCUUUGUGCACAUCGUAUCUGAACCCUAGUUGGUCGGGGGAGUCACCAACCUGUGUGGACUGAUCAUCCCACAGUACGGAGCCUCAUGCUCAUUGCAUUUUGAUUUUCUGACGAGUUUUACCAUAUGAUAUUCUUGUUAUGGCCUAUUUGAGAAACCUUUCUAUAAGAACCUAGAGUCAUACUUGUAUAUAUAUUUCUCAUUGUUUUAUUACCUCGUGUGUGUAUAUUGAACGUUAUCUACUCACUGAGUUGUUGAACUCACCAUCUCAUUAUCUACCCUUUUCAGGCUUAUAGCUUGAUAGCAGGUCAUUUUGUUGGACCUUCCAAACCUGCUUUUUGGUUGUAAUUUGUACCUUCCUUUUAUGUCAAGUUAGUGCUCCAAAACUAUGAAUUUAUAUAAACUCUUGUAUUAAGACAAUUCAAUUAUAUUAUGAAGUUGAUUUUGUUAUUAAUGCUGCGUUGAACUCUGAUUGAGUUCGGAUAAGUUUGUGUGUAAGUUUGGGUUCGCAUAGGUAUGGAACCUUGGAGAGGAACCUUGCCUAUGUGUCGGUCAUGGAUUCGGGAUUCGGGUCGUGACAGUAGAGCUUGGUGAUGGAUUCUGGCAAUAUUCUAAUAGCAGUAUCGGAGACAUCAAGAUAUCUCAAAUGUCUCAGCUUGCAAAUUGAAUCUGGUAACUCUGUGAUAUCAGACCGUCGCAAUUUGAGAGUUCUCAACCUGUUGAAUUUCCAAGACCCAUUUAAUACAUCAACCAUUGAGAAAACAGUACGCAAUUUUCUAGCAUCACCCACUGGAAAAACAGUAAGCAAUUUUCUAGCAUAACCCGCUUUUAAUGCUGACUCAACAUCCCCACAAGAAAUGAGAUUGAGAUGACGAAUAUGAGAUGCGCCAUCUACAGCCGAAUCCGCCUCCAGAUUUAACGUUUCUGAUUUUGAGACCUCCAAUGCAAGGUCAUGCACAAGAUCAUGCAUCUUGCAACUUGUUACGAUCUCAUACGCAUUCCUUUCAACAUCUUGGAAAAAGGAAUUUGCAAGCAAGUCAUUGAAACACUUGUUGCCUUCGUCUUCCAUCCUCCCAUUUGAUGGCCUUAGAAAACCUUCAGCCAUCCAAAGUUGAAUUAGCUCUUCCCUUUCAAUUUCAAAAUCUUUAGGAAAAAUGGAACAGUAUGCAAAACAUUUUUUCAAUGUUGGCGAUGACAAGUAAUCGAAACUUAAUCUCAAUACGUGGAAAGCUUUAUUUCCAUCAUGAGAAUUCCAAAUUCUACUGUUUAGAAUUGACUUCCACUCCAGUGUCUCCUUUUGCCGUAGCGUUCCUCCCAAAACAGUAGCAAGCAACGGAAGCCCUCCACAUUUCUUUGCAAUAUCUUUUCCAAUAGACUCCAAGUCUGAAGCUAUUGUUUCUCGUCCACCCCUGCUCACCUUUUGCUUGAUAAUGGACCAACAUUGAUCAGCUGAUAGUCUCCCUGGCUCAUGCUGAAUCCCAGGAGAAGUCUCCAUCAUGUCUGCUACUUUCUUACUGCGGGUUGUAACAACAACAGCAUUCCCAUUCUUGCUGUUAAUUUUUAACAGCUGCUCCUUCAAAUCAUCCCACUUAUCAUGGUCUUCAUUCCACACAUCAUCAAGAACAAGAAAAAAUGUCUUCUUUUCCAGCUUUUUCUUAAGGUUUUCCAUAAUUGCAUUUAGGUUGCUCAACCCACCCAUAGUUUUGUCAAUCAUUUGCAACAUUGCUCCUAAAAUCUUCACUUUAUUAAAAUCAUUAGAAACGCAAACCCAUAGAGUUACAUCAAAAUGUUUUCUCUCCCUCACUGCUUCACAAACCUUUUUUGCUACAGUAGUCUUUCCAAGGCCAACCAUCCCCACUAUAGGGACAACCGAAAGGACAUGGUGUUUGGUCAAGCUAGUCAGCAUAUCCAUAACUAUAGAGACAUCAUCCUUCCUUCCUACAAUUUCUGAGCUGUCAAGGAAGGAAUCUGUCUCUCGAUCUGGACCCCAACUAACUUCUUGAGCACUAUCUACAGGUAGAGAUGUCAAUCCAAGCCCAAAUCCGGAUGCAUCUUUCCGGAUUUCAUCCAGGGCUUCAUUGAUCUUCUUAACUUUUUGACCCAUAAUUAAACGGAAUGCAAUGUGAAGUGAAAAGCAGUCACGUACCUUUCCCUUCUUUUGUUCUUUGCGGAGAAUCUCAUACGCAAACUCGUCUAGAACAUCUUCAGCAUCAUAAGCUACAACCUGUAGGUUCUGCAGCCAACGCUUCACAGACUCCUCUGUUACUGCUCUUCUGGCUGCGUCUUGGAGCACAUCUUUGAUCAUGGUCAUGGACUGGUUGAGCUUUCGCAGCUGGCCCUCCAAUCCCCAAGCAAGUCUGAUCCCUUCAGCAGCAAUGGAACUCAGCCUUUUCAAAGUCUCCUCCAUGGCAAACGUAAGAAGAAGCUCUGCUGCCAUUUUUUAUUUUUUUUUGGGGAAUCAAAGAAGAUAUUUUGAGCACAAAAGAGAGAGAAGUAUGGUGUGAAAUAAUAAAAGAUGAAACGAAGAGUCUUUUGAAAUGAUGAGAUACAUUCAACUUUAGAGCAUAGUUGCAUGAGGGUCCCUUCCUCCCCAAUUGAUUGAUGGUUGCUGGCAGCAUCUUCCACGAACCACUACUGUCAAGUUGUCAUACCAAAUACCAUGCCGACAGGAGGAACCGAUUCAAAGCUAUUAAUCAUGAACAUGAGGAACCGAUUCAAAGCUGAAUACUUACGUUAUCAACAGGAGCAUAUGACUUCAUGCAGUGGGAGAACACCUCCUUCCUAGGAUCUCCCCAUUCCUGCAGUAAACAAAAAGUGAUAAGCAAGUACUAGCAUCUAGCCACCGACACCUAAUAUAGUUGCAGGCAAACCCAUUGAUAAGGGAAUUUUUAGCAUGUAUAUUUUUUGCUAUUCAUGCUUGAUUUUUAAAUAUUUUGGAUAUUUUGCACAAAACAAUUAGAAUUUUGAAUCUCUUUUUGAACUAUUGACCUCGUGGGAAAUUAAUGUGUUUUCAGAUCUUAGGUUACUGAACAGGCAGAGCCGGGCAGUGAAACUGAACAGUGAUUCAUUAUGUGCUGCAAAGAAGCUAUACAAUUUAGUUCCGGAUGUUUGUAACCAUUUUCAAAUAGCUGAGAUGAAGGUCUACAAAACAUAUGAGGGCAUAUAACUCAGUUUUGUUGUUUCGAAGCCCAAAAAGCGAGUUGAAAAACAAGGAUUGAACCAGCCCGAAAUUCCUGCACUGCACAGACUGUUUCGGUUUAUGCCCCUUAUCUCAACACUCAGAGGUCCAAAAAUUUCACGAUCAGUUUCAUUGGAAAGAAAAUUUGAUUCUCUACAAUUUCUCCAGAAAUAGAGAUCUUUGAAUUCGCACGUUUCCUACCUCAAAUCUGGCCCGCAAUGUCUGGGUAGGAGAAAGCAAUGCAGAAAAGGAAAUUUUCCUCAUUACUGCAGGGGUAGAAAAGCCACAAUAUAAAAGAAGAGUUACGGGGUCUGAAAAACAGAGGAGUGGAGACACUGAGAAACCCUGAACAUAGCAAAGAAAAACAGAGGAGGCGGCACCAACAGGAACAAAGAGAACAGAGGCAAAAAUAUUGAAGACCGGGGAGGACACCUAUCUCUUCCACUGAAAUUCUCUGCUUUUGAGUGAUGUUCAUCGUAUCAAGUUUGUUUCUCUUUAAUUUAACUAUGGAGUAGACUUUUAUUCUGGGAUUUUUGAUGUAACCUUACUAUGAAUAUGUGAACAAUUUCUUCGAUUGAAUUAUUACAUUAAGAUGUUGAGUAUUUCAUUCUAUGUGUAAUGCUUGCGUGUGUUUGGCCAACAUCUGCAUGAUUUAGAAUUCAAUUUGAAACUGAGAAGUGAUAAUUGUUUUAGCUAUUGUUUGAAAUACCUUAAGAAAUCUAUAGGAUAGAGAUAUCCUAGGAACUUUUGUAAUCGAUACAGGUUUUACAGUAUUUAAUUAAUUUCGACAAGUUCAGAACUUUCGUAGAGUAUAUGAAAUUUGGUUGUCGAAAUAAUUUAUUGAUGCUCGAGAGAUAUUAAUAUUUACAUUAGGAAAACCUGAUUAUCAACAUUAGGAGUAAUUAAUUUAAUCGAGAAAGUUCACAUAGGCAUAGUUACGGUAAGUCAGAAAUCCUAGAACCAGUACAAUUGAAUUCAUUAAUAUUUAAUCAUUUGGUUGUUUGUUUUUUUUAAUCAUUAAUUUUUGUUUCAUAAACUAUCUCAUUCGAUUCCUCAAAUAGAUCAUAAUUUAAAAGACUUUGGUAAUUAGUAGUAAUUUUUACAAAUUCUCGUGGGACGAUACUCUACUCAUCACUUUAUUACUUGUUACGAUUCGUGCACUUGCGAAAUUAACCAACACCCAUAAAUGUACCCCACAGUAAACAAAGAAGUGAAAAUCACGUUCCACUAAAAGCCAGAUUUAAAGGUGGAUACAGUUCAAAUUUCAUAUGCUUACAAGGGAAACAAGGCUUACCUCCCACUCUGAAGUUGUAAGCGCGAUGGUUGGAUCAAGCAUUGUAGUCAAAGCAUCUACAAAAGGUACUCCAGCAAAAGCAACUUUAAACAAAUCAGGCCUCAUAUUAAGGACGGAGCCGAUAAGCAACCCCCCUGCAUUCCUUCCUUCAAUGCACAGUUUUUCCUUUGGACAGAACCUCUGUUCUAUUCAAUACUCAGCACAAGCAAUAAUAUCUGUGAAAUUAUUCUUGUUCUUUAAGUACUUCCGAUUCUCGUACCACUGCCUUCCCAUUCCACCACCUCCACGAAUAUAAAACCACGAUCUAGUAAAGAUAACCUUGAUGCCUUGAACGAGGGAUCUAUGCAUACCUACUCCCGAUAAAAGAUUCGAUGAUAGCAUCAAGCAUUUCAAGUUUAACUUUAAAAUACAAGUGAGGAAUGAGAAAUACUUAAAUCUUUAGACUCCACAUUGUUAAUGACAUUACUGUUGAAGUCUGGUACCAAAGCUGUAACAGGAUUACUUAGUAGUAAUUUACUGCAUUGCUAUCUAUCUGUUAGCUAAUAGCAUUAUCUAGAUUAGGAUGUUUCUUUCAAUUCAUUUGUUUAAGUUUAUCUAGGAUUAGACUAGCUUGUUAUACAACUUCUUAGAUAAAGAAGAUCAUAGCUGGUACGUUUCUUCAAUUUUUCAUAAUUCUGUAAUGUUUGUUUCCUUCUAUAAAUAAAACAUUGGGGAUGGCAAUAACCUAUCAAGACAUUUUCUGCUCCUUGUUCUUUCAACUGAAAAGACUUUGUUCUUUGUUCUUUUUCUUAGUUCAUCAACAAUAAUCUAUUCUUUAUAUAUCAGUUUUACAACAAUUAAUAUCAGAGCUCCUCUUAUCUUUGAAGGGUUUGUGAGUGAAAACAAGAGAGAAUAUAGAGGAUAAAACAAAGCUUUCUGCUUUGAAAGUUGGUAAGUGAAAACACAAGAGAUUAAGUGAGAUUUUUUUUUAAAUGGAUUCUGCAAAUUUUCAAAUAAAAACACCAGUGUUCACAGGGCAGAACUAUGGUGUGUGGGCUGUGAAAAUGAAAACCUAUCUCAAAGCUUUUGAUUUAUGGAAGAUAAUGGAGAGUGAUAGGCAACCUACUCCCAUAGGAAACAAUCUUACAAUUGCACAAAUGAAAUUUUUCAAUGAAGAAAAAGCAAAGUGAUUCAAAGCUCUUUCUUGUCUUCAUAAUGCUGCUAGUGAAGACAUCUUCACAAGGAUCAUGGCGUGUAAAUUUACCAAAGAAACAUGUGAUAAAUUAAAAGCAGAAUUUCAUGGUGAUGAGAAGUCAAGGAAGAUGCAGAUUUUAAAUCUUAGAAGACAGUUUGAAGGUUUGAAGAUGAAAGAAACUGAAACCAUCAAAGACUUCUCUUUUCAAAUUUCAAAACUUGUGAAUCAAGUGAGAUUUUUUAGAGAAGAUUUUCCAGAUUCAAGAAUAGUAGAGAAAGUUAUGGUAAGUCUACCAGAAAAAUUUGAACAUAAAAUUUGUUCUUUAGAAGAUUCUAAAGAUUUCUCUGAAAUGAGCCUGCAAGAACUGGUAAAUGCAUUGCAAGCUGUGGAGCAAAGGCAAGCUUAUAGACAAGAAGGAUCAAGUGAAGGAGCUCUUGUUGCAAUUUACAAGGAGAAGAGUCGGGCUAAUAAUUUUUAUAGAAACAAUCAAGAAGGAGAAAGAGAAAAAGGGAGAGGCUGGCAAUCUAAUAAUUGGCAACAGAACAACAACAUCUUCACUAGAGGGAAAAAGAAGAAAGAACAUUUUCCUGCUUGCAAAUUCUGUUAGAAAACAAAUCAUCUUGAAGCCUGGUGUUGGCUCAAGAAUGCACAAUGCCGAAACUGCAAGCAAUUUGGUCACUUCCAAAGAUUUUGCAAAAACAAAGCAGAAACUAUAUAACAAGCUCAAGUAGCCGAGAAUUCAGAAGUGAAGGAAGAUCUUUUAUUCAUGGCACAAUACAGGAGAUGUGUAACACAGCCAAGGCAGAUGACUCAUCAUGGCUUAUUGAUAGUGGCUGCACUAAUCACAUGAGUGUAGAUAUGAGCUUAUUCAAAGAUUUGGAUAAAAGCUAUCUAUCUAGAGUCAGAAUUGGGAAUGGAGACUAAGUGAAGGUUGAAGGAAAAUGAGCAAUUAAAGUAGAAACAAUGUCAGGUACAAAAACUCUAAAAAAUGUGCUUUAUAUACCUAAGAUUAAUUAGAAUCUAGUUAGUGUGGGACAAUUAAUUGAAUCCGGUUAUUCAAUAUUCUUUAAUGAUGGAGUGUGUGACAUUAAAGAUAAAAAAGGAGUGUUAUUGCCCUCUGCUAAAAUGAUGAACAUAAGUUUUAAUGUUGAUUUGAAAGAAGUAUGUUUGAGUGCUAACACUUGUGAAGACAAUGAGUCUGUUCUUUGGCACAAACAGUUGGGACACUUCAAUUAUGCAACUUUAAAAAGGAUGGCUGACCUGCAUAUGACUUACGGUUUACAAGAUAUACAAGAACAAAAGAAUAUUUGUGAAGCUUGUCAAUUAGAAAAGCAUACUAGAGUUGUUUUUCCUGACAAUGCAUUCAGAGCAUUGUCAAAACUCCAGCUGAUACAUACAGAUGUGUGUGGGCCGAUGCAUAAUGAAUCUUUGAAUGGUUCAAAGUAUUUUCUUUUAUUUAUUGAUGAUUAUAGUAGGUUUUGCUGGGUUUACUUUCUAAAAUCAAAAACUGAUGGGAAAGCUUAUAGGAGUUUAGUUGGGAGUUUGUUGAAUUUAACUGCCACACGUCCAGAUAUUUUGUUUGUUGUCAACUACCUCUCCAGGUUCAUGCAAGAUCCAAGUCAAAUACAUUUUGUGAAGUCUAGCUCUGUCAAUCUUGUUUGUUUUUCUGACAACACUGGGGUGGAAGUGAUGAAGGAAUGAUGAGCACCUCAGGUUAUUGUUUUGCUUUAGGAAAGAGUAUGUUUUGUUGGAAUUCAAAGAAGCAGUCAGUGGUGGUACACUCCACGGUAGAGGCUGAAUACAUAGCUGCAUAUGUGGCAGCAAAACAAUUAAUUUGGCUAAGGAAGAUGUUAAGUGAUCUAGACUGCAAUCAACAAAAUCCCACAGAAUUGUUCUGUGACAAUACGUCAGCUAUAACUAUUUCAAAAAAUUAUGUCUUUCAUGACAAAACCAAGCACUUGAAGAUCAAAUUUCAUGCUAUUAGGCAAUUUCAGCAAGAAGGGGACUAGAGCUACAUUACUACACCUCUAAAGAACAACUAGCAGACUUGUUUACCAAGCCGUUAGCCAAAAACAGGUUUGAAGAUUUGAGGGGAAGAAUUGGAAUGUGUAGCUUUGGAACCAAGGAGAAGUGUUGAAGUCUGGUACCAAAGCUGGAACAGCAUUAUCUGUUAGCUAAUAGCAUUAUCUAGAUUAGGAUGUUUCUUUCAAUUCAUUUGUUUAAGUUUAUCUAGGAUUAGACUAGCUUGUUAUACAACUCCUUAGAUAAAGGAGAUCAUAGAUGGUACGUUUCUUCAGUUUUUCAUAAUUCUAUAAUAUUUAUUUCCUUCUAUAAAUAAAACAUUAGGGAUGACAGUAAUCUAUCGAGACAUUUUCUGCUCAUUUUUUCAACUGAAAAGACUUUGUUCUUUGUUCUUUUUCUUAGUUAAUCAACAAUAAUAUAUUCUUAUAUCAGUUUUACAACAAUUACAUCCUAGUUAAGAUGCUUGCAAACUUGAAAAUUCAAUGCUACUGGUGACUGACAAAUUUGAAAAGAAGAGUGCAUAUUGAGUUUAAAGUACAGCUGCUUCCCGCAAAAACUCUAAAGAUUAAGACUGUCUCAACAUCCUUUUCGAUCAGGACCUCAUCUUGGAAGAAUCAUAACAAGGUCAAAGUGUUUUCUGGAUGAACAGAAUAAAAGGAAAUGUUUGUCUAGUGACUCUAGGUAUAUAUUGCCAAUCUAUGACUAAAUAGCUAAUAAGCAAAUUAGAAUGUAAAAGAGCAAACUCUUCAUGAAAGACAUCCUGUGAGACUGAAGUGAAUAAACUAUUACUGUAGAGGCAUAGUCAACUUUUUUUAAAAAAGAUCAAGUUCAUUAAAAUGUAUGGAUUGGUAUAGUUUAGGACUUUUGUAGUAUGAUAAAUGUGUUUAAAUCAUAGCCAAGCUAUAGAAGUCAAAACCAAGAAUAAAAAAUAACUAAAUCAUAGCUAAGCUAGCUUUUUAAUAGUGUAAAAAUUAAAAUAAUAAAAAAAAGUAUAAUGGAGAAAGAUAAACAAAAUCAGAAAGCAGGGCAGGUUGGGGGAUUUAGAUAAGCACUUGGAAGCUUAGAAACAGAUAUAAAUGAAUAAAACUUAAUAAAUAUAUAUAUAAAAAAAAGGAAAGAGAGAUCUGAAAAUUGGGGGUGAGUGACUGCAGGAGAGAAGAAAAGGGAAAGAAGAAGAAGAGAAAAGAGGGAAAGAUAAAGGAAGGAGAAGAGAGUUAGAGAAAAUAAGUAUAAAGGUAAGAUUAAGCUUUGAUAUGAUAAAUGUGCUUUCUUUAAGCUUUAAAUUUAUGUUUUGUUCAAUAUUAGUGUUUUGAAGAUUUUGUUUUGGGUUGAUUGAUGAAUUGAUUUGAAUGUUAUGGGUAAUUAAUUAUAUAGUUGAUCUUGGAAGAUUUUAGGUAAAGAUGAUGAUUUUGAGUUAUGAUUUGUUUAAAUGGUGAAUUUGAGUUAGAAAUCUUGAUAUAACAGUAGGUGAUCUAUGAAAAUUCUGGGUUUGAGGUUGAAGAUGAAAAAAUUUCUGUUUGGUCCCUCAAUUUGUAAAAAUUACAGUUUAGUCCCCAAACUUUGAAAACAUUACAGAUUGGUCCCUGGAGCAUAGUCCGACAUUCUGGACAGAAUUGAAGAUGAAUUAUGGGCAGAAUUCCAGUAUAGUUAUGAAUUUAUGACAUUUUCAAUUUGGUCCUCCCGUUUGGCAAAAUUACAAUUUGACCCAAAAAAUUUGAUAAAAUCCCAGAAUGAUCCCUGAAGCAUAAUUAGAGAUUCUGGACAGAAUUGAGGAUGAAUUUCCAGUAUAGUCAUGAAUUUAUGAUAUUUUUAGUUUGGUCCUCUAAUUUGACAAAAUUGCAAUUUGACCCCUAAAAAUGAUAAAAUUCCAGAUUGGUCUCUAGCUGUAAUAUUAGUUUGUUCAGAUUGAUUUGAUGAAUAAUUGAGGGUUGUUUAGUGAAUUAUCAUCAAGUCUUAUUAUUUGUUUUCUUAUAAAUUAGAUUUCGGGAAAAUCAUUUAAUUUUUUGGUUUUUGGGAAAAAUUACUAGUUUAUUUCAAAAAUAUAUAGGGUUAUGGAAUAUACUUUUAGUUAAGUAUAUUAAAUAUGUUGUACAUUCUUUUAUUUUUAUAAAGAUCUAUAAUCUUUUUGAGCGGCAAUAAUAUUAAUAAAUUGGUAACCUCAAAAGGGAAGGAGCACAUUCACAUCAAGAUUGAUGAGAAUUUCUUCAGCUAAGUAAUUGGUAUAGCAACUUAUUCAACCUUGGUUUUUUACCUGGAUCAAUUUGAAUCUGAUAGAAGUACCAAAAUCUAGUGUUUCAGGUACUGUGUCAUCUUGCCUGUUCUUGUGGAGCUUUCUCAGUUGCCAUUAUUUUUUUUUAUCUUGUAAUAAAGUCUUGGGAAGCAUUUUUCAUGCUUAACUUUAUAUAUUUCCAUUUUCAGAUUGCUAUAGUUAAAGUUUUGUAUGAAAUUCGUUGAUAGAGUGGAAAGAGCUAUUGGAAGUAUGGAUGCAAAUGAAGAUGGUUUGUUAGAUCUUUGACUCUUGAUUUUGAAUCAAUCUAGAUUAAAAUUCUUCCUGUUGCCAUUAUAAUUUGCCAGGGAAAGAAAGAAUAUGCUCUUUCACUCGUCUGUGUCAGAUAAAUUCUACUUGUGAUGUAUGUUUCAUUAUGAGUCUACUUCUACAGAAAUAUGAUGAUAUUCUAUGACACUGACUCAGGGUUGAAGAAGAAAGCUAUGCAGACAUGCACUAUCUAGAGAGGUUAUGCUCAAUCAUUGUCGCAAUUAUUGCAUGGAGCCUGUAGAUCAUUUUAGGCCUACAGAAUCCCACAUGGUGCGGCGCUACACUGCCAUCAACAUGCUACCUCACGAUCCCCCAUCAUAGUACCUUUACUGCCACAGCCACUGUUACUGGUCUGUCACCUUCUAGAUUCCCCACCAUAACCAUUUCUUACAUACUGUUAUUUAUAUAUAUAUCAUGACAAAAGGCCUUUCGUUUGCUGUUCCUUAUGAUCCACAAUCCAUGUUUGUUAUUAUUAUUACAAUUAUUAUUAAGAAUUGAAGCUGCAAAGCGGGGGAAAGAGAAAGAAAGACUUACCUGGAGCUGCUACUUAAAGACGAAGACGAUGGUGAUGGAGGGCUGGCUAACCAAUGUUACUUUCUUCCCCUCUACUUCUGUUUUUCGUUCACUUCACCUCUGUUCUUGCUUUUCUCUGCUUGUUCUCUUUUUCUUUUUUGUUUCUCUUGUCCCCCCUGUCUCUCUCUGUUCUUGUUCCUCUUGAUCUCUCUCUGUAUUAUCUGUGUUCGUUCAUUUUUCGUCUGUGUUUUUUUGUAUUAUGUGUUUGUGGUUCUCCCCUCCUUUGUGGCUUUUGUCUGUUUGUCCUGAUUUCUCUGGGUAUGUAUUUGGUUGGUUGGAUCAACAACCUACGGUGAGGGGAAGUUGAAGUUCCCUUUUGCUGGAGGAUGGUCACAAGUCUCUCUGUCUUCUCUCUGUCUCUGUUUUUCUUCCCCCCUGCCUCUUCGUCUCUGUGUGUUGUGGUUUUUAUAGGGCAAGAGAAUGCCCCUUCAUCUCUCCCAGGAUAGUGUGGAGAUUAGCACGGUUCAGUCGUGCAUGAUAAAAAAAGGAUACCCAUUACUGGACUGUUAGUGUCAUAUCGUGGGGGAGAGAUACGUGACAAUGAUCUGCUGCCGUUUCCUUUGAAUCGGUGGGAUGAAGGAGAUGAAUAGCUUGUUUUGAGACGGCGCUGUUUUCACCUGAAAUGGCUAUUUUAAUUUUGCCUCUGCAUUAGCUUUCGGUGUCAUUUUCAAUUUAAUUAAUUUAGUUUUUAAUUGCUAUUCAACUUUUAAUUCUUUUAAAAUUAUUUUUGAAUUAUUAAUUCAUUCUCUUAGUAUUACAAUUUAUUCACUUUGAUUCUUGGAUUUUAAUUUCUUGCAAUGUUGACUUAAAUCAGCCCCAAACUUUAUUAUUUCUUCAAUUAAGCCCUAACUUUCAUUAAUUAAACUAAUUCAAAGCUUAUUUAAGUCCCCAAACUUAUCAAUUCUUCUAAUAUCUGACCAAAUUAACUUUUAAAUUUAUAAUCACAUCUUUAUUGGUCCUUAAAUUCCCAAUUUGUGUUAUCUUGAUCCAAUUCUCAAAUUAUUAUUAUUUUUUAUUUUUAUUUAUUUUAAAAAAAUAAAAAAUUAGGUUGUAACACAUGAUAUUUCGUUGGUUUAAAGGAACCGAUUGAUUUACACAUGUGGGAUUACAAAUAGAGAGGAAUCAUGGUUAUUUUAUAAAACUGCCAAAAACUUUCAAGACCAAAGUUAUUCCAUAGAUGUUGUAUUCAUGCGUGUUUGAAAUCUGAAUCACAGUGUUUAUUCUUACUGGGAUAUAAAGGCUUUCUACCUGUUCCGGAAAUUCUGUGAGCAAUCUUCCUUUACCAAUAUAUAUAUAUACUGGGAUAUAAAGGAUUGUCUAGCAAUGGAGCUGGCGAUUCAUUCUAAACGAAUGAUGUGAAGGGCUGUCCAAAUACUCGUUCUCGAUACUCUAGUACUUCAGUGAAAGCCUAUAAAACUGGAUGAGUAAUUGGACUGCAGUAUGCCUAACCUGGAGUAUAGUACUGAGCAGAUUUGUCUAUGAAUCNNNNNNNNNNNNNNNNNNNNNNNNNNNNNNNNNNNNNNNNNNNNNNNNNNNNNNNNNNNNNNNNNNNNNNNNNNNNNNNNNNNNNNNNNNNNNNNNNNNNNNNNNNNNNNNNNNNNNNNNNNNNNNNNNNNNNNNNNNNNNNNNNNNNNNNNNNNNNNNNNNNNNNNNNNNNNNNNNNNNNNNNNNNNNNNNNNNNNNNNNNNNNNNNNNNNNNNNNNNNNNNNNNNNNNNNNNNNNNNNNNNNNNNNNNNNNNNNNNNNNNNNNNNNNNNNNNNNNNNNNNNNNNNNNNNNNNNNNNNNNNNNNNNNNNNNNNNNNNNNNNNNNNNNNNNNNNNNNNNNNNNNNNNNNNNNNNNNNNAGAUAAAAAAUGAUAUUGCAUCCCGAAAAUAUAUAUUCACUACGGUAGGAAGUAUUUUUAUAUUUAUAAUAAAUAUUACAUGGGUUUCCCCCAUUUCAGAGCUUAAUUUUAUUGUUACCACACGGUGAGUUUUAUUAUGGUGUGUAUGAUCUCUAAAACUAAUACUAUUUUUAUGAUCGGAACACACAGUCUCGCGUGUGUUAGUUUCUGGGAAUUGUUUUCAUCCCACGUGGAUUAAUAAUUAUUAUGGAUAAUGAAUUAUAAUUUACUUCAGCAUGUUAAAUUUCCUUCAUGUUGAUUUAAUACAAUGAAAAUGCAAGAAAUUAUAAUACAAAGUAUAUUGUCACAUGAUACAGAAGUUAACUCUUAAACACAUAAAAACGAAUUAAAAAUGAUUACGUCAAAAGCACAUGAGUUUAUAUAUAUAUAUAUAUAUAUAUAUAUAUAUAUAUAUAUAUAUAUAUAUAUAUAUUAAAAUUAAAUUAAAAAAGCAAGCACAUGAGUUAAUAUAUAUAUAUAUAUAUUAAAUUUUUUUUUAAAAAAGGUAAAUCAUGUGCUUAAAUUCUUGUUUAUCAAGACUGACGUGGAUUAGAACAGUCCUUGAGGCAGCAGUGCUUUUUAUCUUCUUUUUCCUCUGCUCAACUUCUGCCAUGCUCAGGUAUCUCAAAUUUAACACGGGUGGGUUGGCUGUUGCAGCUGCUUGGCUGGCCUUUCAUCACUUUUUUUUUUUUUUUUUAGUUUAACGUGGGUGUCCGGGCUAGCUUGCGCACACCUUGACUAAUCCCACGGGCCCUGAAGUUAACGACCAUUUAAGCCUCCAGUGGCCAUCAUAUGAGCAACCACAAGGCUCGAACCUGAAACCACAGAGGGAGCAAACCUUUUGGUCCCAAGGUCUUACCACUGGGCCACCACCUAGAUGAUUUCACCUGUUUUUUUAGGUUUGAUGGGUUGUGGAGAGAGUUUUUGUUUGGCUGUGGCUCAACUUUUGUUGUCAACGCAGAAUCAAGCCCUUUUUCCCUGCUUUGUUUCUGCUAUGCUCAGCUCUGUCACGACUGAGUUGGCUGUUGCAGCUUUUUUGGGAUCCUUGGGCUGCAUUUCUGCUGGGUCUAUUGCAGGUUCUCGUGGCUUCUCUGCUGGUCUUUUUGUUCGCGUCAAGUCUGGCUUGGCUCAACUUCUUUAUAGAAAGAGUUGCUCUUUGGCUGUGGUUCAGCUUUUGAUGUCAAUGCAGAAUCAUUGUGUAUUAAAUGAGUGGGGCAGCAACAUCAUUACACACUUAUUUGCCCUCACCUUGGGUCUCUCUCCAGCAUUGGAAGAGCUGCUACUGUUUGCUUGGGGAUUAGCAUUUAGUUUGUUCGAGACACUCCUUUCCACUCCCAGCAUAUGUUUUUGCUUUUGUCAGACUAUGUUCUCCUUUUACUCCAACUAGAAUUCGGUUAUUUCCCUAUUCAGUUUUAGUUUGCAGGCAAGACUUCAUCUUCUGGUUUUCGGUUUUUCCUUUUUUAGUGAUGGCAUAUCAGUUCUUGAGAGUCUUCGUCGCAAGGACUUUUCUUGAGGCUGGGUCUUGAAUUUCCAAUUAGCUCUUCAUUUUUUGUUUUCUUUUGCUUUCAAGUCUGGGCAUCACUCUUUGGCCAUUUGUCGCUACGCCAUCAGUGUAGUCUUCUUUUUUUUUCCUCCAUUGCUUCUUCUCUUAUCCUUGGGUUAAUUUCCCAUGCUUUCACAUAUUUUUGUGGGUUGGAGUAGAUAGAUUCAUUUGCAUUUUGUCUUGGUUUUCUUUCAUGCCUCUCUCUUGGGUUUUUUUUGCUUUCUGUUCUGUUCAUAUGGUUUUCUACCAUUGGUGCUCAUUUUUCUAGAGCUCCUCUUCCUCUAUUUUGAUUAACUUGCUUUUGUUUUUUAUUUUUUUUUCUGUUGAUUUCAUUGAGUUUAUCUUCCUCAUUUCUUAGUUUCAUUUCUUUUAAUGUAGGUUUGUGUUGUGUGUUAAGAUCACUUAACAAAUCAAGAAGAAGAUGAGGCUAAGAAGCAGAAUAAUAUUAGCAGAGAAGAGUCAAGAAAAGAGAGAAAUGAUAUUAGCAGAGAAGAGUCAGAGAAGAGUCAAGAGAAGAGAGAAAUGAGAUCGAAAUUGAACUGCAAUCUAUUCAUAUCCAAUGUGAUCCAUACACUGCGCUUUUAUAGUGAUCAAUAUUAACUACUAACAGAUUAAUCCAACUAACUCUAACUAACUAACAGAAUUCUACAACUAAUAGCAGGUUGCGUGUCCUUGACGUUUGCCUUCCCACAGCAGCCAUCCUGAAUCGUAACAUUGUGUUAUCACUGUCUCUGCAGAAUCUUUUUUCGGUUGGUUUGCUGGAGCUUUUCAUUCCUAAGUGGAUGUUCUUCUUUCCCAGGUUCUUUCUCUUUUCAUUGCCUUUUGGUUUUUGUCGUAUUCAUUAUGUCAUUCUGCCAGUGGUUUUGAGUUUUAGUUGAAUGUUCAUUACAAAAAAAAGAGGUGUGAUAUUAUCAUUGUUCAUCCAUAUAUAUUUUACUUCAUGUGGAUUAGAACAGUUCUUCAUUCGUUUCUCAUUUUAGGUGUCGAUGGUCCACAUCUGGGCGUGGCUUACGUGGCUUCUUUGAUUUUUUUUGGCGUCGUUGUUGGUUUGUUUCUGUCUAAUUAGCGCGGGUUAUUGGCUGCUCUGUGGCUUGCCAACCAUGUGCUUGCUUUUGGGUCUGGAAGGAUGACUGAGCUUUGUGUGGAUUGGUCAAGCUGCUUUCUCCCUGGAUCAUUGUCGACUCUGGCGCUCGUGGGAGGUGGUUGUAAUUUCCAGCUUUUUGUGGAUUGCUAAGCUUUGGGGGAGAGGUGAUCCCUGGGUCUGACUCAGCUUCUUCUCUAAAUUGAGCUAAUGUGGUGGCUACUUCUUUCUAUGGCUGGGACAACAACAUCAUUAUGUAUUUAAUGCAUAAACCCACUUGGCCUCACCUUGGGUUUCUUCCCAACAUUGGGAGAGGUUAUUCUGCUGAGUUGAAGUUAACUCCUAUUUAGUUUAGGACUGUUGUUAUGUUUGGUUCUCCCUUGGUAUUUCUUCAUUAGGUUAUUUGCCUGACUGAAUGGAACAAGAUGAGUGUCUUUUCCUGUUGAUUUUUCAUUUGGUUUCAGGUCUUUUUUGGCAGUUAUGGAUAUUUUUACUUCAAUUGUCAACUCAUGUUGGGCUUUGUUGGCCUUUUGUGUUGGUUUUUGCAGCUUCUGUCCCUGUUUUCUCACCUUCUUUCUCAUCAGGAUUUGGAGGACUAUUUAAGAGGUCAUAUCUUUUGGUUCUCUCCUUAGAAUUGUCUUACAUUUUUUCUUGGUCUAAUCGUUGCUUCCUUCUCCCCCUGUUUUUAGCUUCCAUUAUUGCCCUCCAAGUUUAUUUUUUGUCCCCUGUAAGUUUGAUUGCACUUCUUUAUAUGUUCUUCACAUUGUUAUUUGCUUACCUUUUGAUCAUGCUAUUUUUUUUUUAUUUCUGUGUUAUUUUGGUCUUUGUUGCUUGGUUUUUGAUCAUGGUGCUUCUGUUGUUACCUUUUCUUUUCUUCCACUGUGCAUGAUUUAUUGGUCUUUCAUUGCCUUUGCCUAGAUUCAUUUUGGUAGGGGCUUCUCAGUCUCUCUUGUGGCCUGUGAGUUGAUUUCCACUGUGCAUUAUUUUGUUUUCUUUUUCUUAAAAAAGUUGGGAAAAGUUUAUUGGAAAUCCAAAGGAUGAGAGAAAUUGUUGUAGAUCAGAGUCCUUAUGGGGUCGAAGCACUUAGCAUGUGGCCAUUUUGUGUUCCAACUUCUGGUGUUGUGUUUGUUCAUUACUUUAAUGCUUUUUCUAUUUUGAUUUAGAAAACAAGAAAAAUAUUAAAAUUUGGGUCCACGUGAAUUUUCACCUUGGAUUUGUUGUUACUUGGAUAUAAUUGAUUCUUCUUUCUCUCUUGGUUGUUGAAUUUUGCAGCGGUGUCAGCACUUCAGGUCAUUCAGCAGUCUACUAGCUUGGAUCUCGGGCGGGAGGAUAACUCACCGAUAAUAUGGGAACCUAUUGAUUUUCUUAGAGCUUUCAGACAUUAAUUUGAGGUUAAUUAGUCCUCCUUUGGGUGACUUAUUGGAUCUUAAAACACUGUAAACUUAACUCUUGACUUUUCCUGUUGUUUUCAUUUGAUUUCACAUUUUUGUUUUACUUCAUUUCUCAUUCCAUUGCAAUUUGCUUUCGGGAUUUGCACAACACAUCACUUGCUGGAGAGAUACAGAACUUGGAAAGCCUUCAACAUCUCGAGAAACUGUAUGCACGCAUCACUUGCUGGCAUCAAUUUUCAACUGAAAACAAAGUCCUGAGUAGCUUAUGUUGUUCCCAGUAAUGAUAUAUAUAUUGGGAUAUAAAGGAUUGUCUAGCAAUGGAGCUGACGAUUCAUUCUAAACGAAUGAUGUGAAGGGCUGUCCAAAUACUCGUUCUCGAUACCCUACUUCAGUGAAAGCCUAUAAAACUGGAUGAGUAAUUGGACUGCAGUAUGCCUAACCUGGAGUAUAGUACUGAGCAGAUUUGUCUAUGAAUCUUUGAGUUUUAGACUUGCUGUUUUGAGCUUCUUCCACAAGCUUUGCCAUUUUAGCUACCACACAGUCUUCAGCUAAAGCAGUAGUUCUAACACUGACAUUACCUGAAACUGAUAAAUACCCCAUUGACUCUCAAGUUAAUAGUUCCAACCCACACUACGGAAUCCACUUGUUUGGCUACCGGAAAUGACUCUCCAAUUAAACCCUAGAUAUUUGUCACACAACAAGUAGGUCAUCUAUUCGCAAAUCUCGAGCAAGUCACCCGAAAGCAAACUUUUCAUGAAGAAUCCUAUAUAUUCUUCACACAACAGGUAGUCCCCGGCCUCAAUAACACUAUUUUUUAAAACAAAGAGAAUAACCGCCUCAUGAUUUAUUAAUAUCAAAACCUCGGAUUUCUCUUCUAACCUCGGAAGGCUUUCAUAUAUAUAUAUAUAUAUAUAUAUAUAUAUAUAAACUUACUUUCCAAAGUUCUUUAUAAAACUUCAUACAGUAAGUGUUGUAAAAAUAUGGUAAUUUUCAUAACUCAAUUUUAAUUCUCUUUUCAAAAUAUUUUUUUUAAAUCUAAAUAUAGUAAAAAAAAAAACAGCUAAAAACCCUAAAAAUAUAUUUUUGAUGCAUUCGUGUAAUUUUUAAUGUCUUUUCAAAAAAAUUCAAAAUUCAAAAAUUUGUUUUAAUGCUUUCAUCGAGUUAGCAUUUACAUUGCUAUUUUUUUAAAAUCAAAAUACAAAAAUAAAUAGGAAAACAAAAGGAAAAAUGAAAAAAAAAAAGAUCAAAGGCAUAAAGAAAGAAAAUAAAGAACUAAAGUGAAUUUAAAUUUCUUGAGAACCAAGCAAUUAAAAAAAAUAAAAAAAUUACCUAUAAAUAUUAAAAAAUUCUGGCAAAGAUAGGAGGCCAUAAAAAAAUAACCUAAAAAUAGGGGAGCCACUAAAAAUUACUAACCCAGCCGCCACUCACACAAAAGCACCUGACCCUUCGUCUCCUCCCAUUCCAAGCUAUCUUCAUUACCAUCAUAAACCUAUUUUUCACCAACAAAAAUCAUCCCUCAGUCCAUUAUUGUCAAAAACAUAAAACACACAAAUAAAAAUAUAUCUCUCUCACAGUCUUCUUCCCUAUCACUGUCGACACCAUGCCAGGAGCAAACCAAGCUUUUCCAUUUCUUCCUCCUGGCCAACAGCAAUACCAGUGGCAGCCAACACUCCUACAGAGGUAGUUUCUUUUAGACCCAAAUACACCAGCCACAGCAGCUCCACCAUAAACCGUUUCCCCUCAUUUUUUCAUUGUAAAUGACCAAAAGCCACAUAAAAACUUCAUCUUCCCUAAAUUUUCUUCUUUCCCACCGUGACUGCCACUGCCAUAGCGGUGGAAAAGAAACAGCAGUGCCACGUUGUCCUGCCACUUCCAGCCUCAUUCCCAAGGCUAGAUAAAAAUGAUAUUGCAUCCUGAAAUUUAAAUUCAUUACUAUAGGAGUAUUUUUAUAUUUAAAUAAAGAUUAAAUAUUACUUAAAAAACUUUGUUGAUGCAUAAACCCACGCUAGUAAGUGGAUGACUUACGUGCCUUUCAAGCGUUAUGUGCAAGCUUAUCUAGUUAAUAAACACUACCUUUCACGGAAACAUUUUAAUUGUCUUGGCAGCAUUUGAAUUGUCUUAUUAUUUUUUCUAUGUGCAAGGUUGUCUAGUUAAUUAAUAAACACUCUGGUUUGGUGUUGGUAUCCCUUUUUUUUUUUCCCUUCAUUUAUCCUUUUUGAUUUUCAAUUCUAUCUUAUAAAAUUUCAAAGCAACUCUUUGAUUUUAUUUCUUUAUAUUUUGUGCUUUUUUAUUUAUUUUAUUUAAAACAAUUCAUAAAUUUGGAAUUCUUUUUCAUUUUUAUCCUUUUUUAAUUUUUUUCAUCUUUCAAUUUUUGUCUUUAUUCUUUUGACUUUUAUUUAUUUUAUUUGAGAUAAUUUCUUAAAUUCUUUUUUUUUUACAAUUUCAUCCUUCUUAGGUUUUCUUUCCUAGAAAAUUUAAUCUUCAUUCUUUUAAUUGUUGUUUUUUUUUCACUUUGGCAAUUUUUUAAAUUGAUUUUUUCUCUGAUUUCAUCCUUCAACAUUAAAUUAGUUGGGAAUUAAAUUCUCAUUAUUUUGAUUUCUAUUUGUUUUAUUUUAGAUAAUAUUUUAAAUUGAUUUUUUUUAAUUUCAUCCUCAUUUUGUUUUCCUAUCAAAUUUGAUCAUCAUUCUUUUUAUUGUUACUUUUUCACUUGAUAGUUUUUCAAAAAAAAAAUUCAUCAUUCAACAUUAAAUUGAUUGGGAGUUAAACUUAUUGAUUGAACCCAUGUUUAUGAUUUCACGCUUACGAGUUUUAAAGAUUAACUCAAGGUUCAUCUAUGUUUGCUUGUUUUUAAAAAAAAAACUCGUAUUGUUUUCAAUUUCAUCCUUCAAUAUUUAUUCAAUUGGAUAUCGAGCUCCGUUAUUUUUAUUUAUUUUCUUUCUAUAUAAUUGUUUGCUAAUUUUAAAAAUAGUAUGGGUUAUCUUAAUUCUUUUUAUUUAUCUUUCUAUGUUGAAUUUAUUUUGGUAAAUUUUUUAAAUUAAUUUGUUUUUCCUAUUCCAUCUUUCAAUAUUAUACUUGUUGGUAAUUAAUUUUCUUUUUCAGUUACAUCCUUCAAGAAUUAAGAUUUUUUUAUAUUGGGCUUCAUUAUUUUCUUCUAUCCUUUAUAUUUCUUUACCCUGGUCUCAUCACAUAGACCAUGAGUUUGAUAGGUUAAUCUAAGUUGGCUUGAGUUUUUUUUACAAAAAAUUUUCAAUUUAAUAUUUAUUACAUUUUUUCCUUUAGCAUUAAGUUGUUUUAGAGUUAAGCUUCAUAAUCUUUUCUAAUUUGCAGAUUUUUUUUUUGUCCUUUUAUUUUUCAAUUUCAUCCCUCUAUGUUUGAUUUGUUUAGAAUCGGACUUUAGAUUUUUUUUAAUUUUUUUUAUUGGCUUCUCUCGGUCUCAUGACAUGGUUUGUAUAUUUGACAUGCUCAUUUAAGUUGACUCAAGUAAAUUUUUUACCCUUUUUUUUAUCUUUUUUUUUUAAAAAAUUUGAUUGGUUGGAAUCAUAGCUUCAUUGUCUUUUUUUUGUUUCGGUGACCUUUUUUUUCAGGUUCCUAUGAUUUAUUUUUUUAAAUUGUACCAUUAACUUUGGUUAUUUGUUCUUUUAUUAACUGAUUAGAUUACACGUUUUUUUUAUCAAUCAUAUCUAUAUUCCGAGUCAUUUUUUUUUAACUUCUUUAAAACAUACUUGCAUCACCCAUGAGUUUUUUGAACAAAUAAAAAGAACAUGACCUCUGUAGUAGCGCGAAACCAAAAAUCUAUUACUUAUACGCACGAGUGUGUUUGUUUUUGUGGUAGAUUUUGUGGUUAAAGUUUUAAAAAAGUUGGUUUUCAAAAAUCACUUUUUUAUUGUGGUGUGUUUGAUUUAAAUAAGUAUUUUGUUAAAACUGUGAUUGAAAAUACUUUUCAAAAAAUAAUAAGUUAUAGUGGCCGUUUGGGAGUGUGGCUGCGGGUGAGGUUCACCCGCAGCCACACAUGACAGCGUUUGGUUAAGGAAAAAAAAUGCGUCUUACUAGUAGGACCCACUAAAAUAAGAGAUUGGACCGCAGGUUUUGAGAAGCAGCAUUUUGCUGCUUCUCGUGGUGGGAAAGGAACUUCAACAAUGGAGCCAUGCUCCAUUGCGCACUGUUCACUAAGUGAACAAUUUUAUUUUAUUUUUUGAAAAACCAACACGCAAAGUAUUUGUUUUUCCGAAAAACUAGUGCAGUUAAUUAAUUGCACUCGCAUUGUUCACGUGAACGUGAACAAUAUAUUUUUUUUGUUUUUUUAAAAAAUUAGUUUAAGGUGAAUUAAAUUUACUUGUACUGUAAUCUCAAUUUUAUUCAUGAUAAUAUUUUACCUAAUUUUAUUGCACGCAGGAUAAAUCAUGGAAACUGUAGUUAUUGCCGAAUGAAUUUUGUACGUAAUGAAAUUGUUGAUUUUUUAAAAAAAAUUAUGUUUUACUCCAAAAACUAGCAUUUAAUAUUAUUUAACAACACUACAUAAAUUAGAAGGAUAUCGCAUGAUGACGUAUUAUUUGUGAAAUUUGAUCGCAAUUCCAAUUAUGUUCUUGCUGGGUCCGGCCCAGUUAAAAAAAAAAUCAGUUUUUAUUUUUAUUUUUAUUGUGUUCUAUUCAAAAAAUUAGAAGGAGAUCGCUUGAUGACGUAACAAAAAAUUCAGUUUUUGUUGUUGCGUGCUUAAGAAACCAUGAAAAAUAUAGUCAUUGUUGGAUAGAUUUCGUAUGUGAUGACAUUGCACAUAGUUUAAUGGAAUACUAAAAAAAUAUUUGAUAUCAAUAUUAUUUAUUUCAUGAUAUAAUAACAGUAGUUAAAUCUACAAUAUUUAAAUUAAAAAUCAUUAAUAUUAAUAUAUAUAUUUUUAAUUAUUUUAUAACAUUAAUUUGAAAAGCAUUUUUUUAACCAAACACAUUAAACUACUUUUUCUUCAACCUCAAUUUCAACCACUGUUUUAAUCAAACAUCUAUUUUUUCAAACCAACCUCAACUAAAAAUACUUUUUAGAAAACAACUUUUUUCAAACCACAACCACAACAGCUACCGCAAUACCAAACACACUCAUAAUUGUUUGUUUAAAAGUGUGGUUGAAGUUGAAGAUGCAUGUUAAAUUACUAUAAAGGACAACUAAUUUAUGUAUUAAUUUGCAUUGUAUUUAAACAUACAUUUAUAUAAGAUAAAUUAAAAAGAAGGAAACUUAUUUUUUAUUGUAUUUAAAUAUGUAUUAUCAUAAGAUAAACUAAAAAUUAAAUAUAUGAUUGAUUUACAAAGGUUGAGAUAUAUUUUGUAAUGUAAGAUAGAAAGUGUUAUGAUUCUUUAAAUUUUAAAAUGUUAUUUUCAAACUUUAGUUAAAUAGUUUUAAGAUUUGUUAAGUGGAGUAUAUGAUUGAUCCUCAUUCUUUUGAUUGUUAGUUAUUUUAUUUGAAAUAAUUUAUGAAAUAUUAAUUAUUAUUAUUUUAAUUUCUUUAUCUUUUAAUUUUUUAAUAUUUUUAGAUUUAAUCUCUAUUAUUUUAAUUAUUUAAGAUAAUUUAUGAAAUUAUAUUUUUUUCAAUUUAACUCUCAUUCAACUUUUUAAUUUGUAAGAUUUGUUUGUUAUUAUUUUAAUAAACUUGGAAAAAAUAAAACAUUAAUAAGUUAUUUUUUAACUCAUUUUCUAUGACAUAACCAAAUUCUGAAAAGUAUUUUUCAAUUUAUUUUCUAUUACACUACCAAACAUCGGAAAAUAAUUCACUUUCUUGAAAUUUAUUUUAUCAGAAUUUACUUUCAAAAAAAAAAAGUAUUUUCUAACCAACAAAGAAUAAAUUAGUUUGUUUGAGACAAUCCUUUCCACUCCCAGCGUGUGAUUUUGCUUUUUUCGGACUAUGUUCUCCUUUUAUUCCAACUAGAAUUCUGUUAUCUCCUUUUAUUCCAACUAGAAUUCUGUUAUUUCCCUAUUCAGUUUUAGUUUGCGGGCAAGACUUCAUCUUCUGGUUUGUAAUGUCGCUAUCUCAGUUCAUGUCGUGCCCUUUUGCUGGGGGUGUUUUUGGUUUUUCCUUUUUUGACAUAUCAGUUCUUGAGAGUCUUCGUCGCAAGGACUUUUCUUAAGGCUGGGUCUUGAAUUUCCAAUUAGCUCUUCAUUUCUUGUUUUCUUUUGCUUUCAAGUCUGGGCAUCACUCUUUGGCCAUUUGUUGCUACGCCAUCAGUGUAGUCUUCUUUUUUUCCCUCCAUUGCUUCUUCUCUUAUCCUUGGGUUAAUUUCCCAUGCUUUCACAUAUUUUUGUGGGUUGGAGUUGAUAGAUUCAUUUGCAUUUUGUCUUGGUUUUCUUUCAAGCCUCUCUCUUUGUUAUUUUUUUUUUGCUUUCUUUUCUGUUCAUAUGGUUUUCUACCAUUGGUGCUCAUUUUUCUAGAGUUCCUCUUCCUUUAUUUUGAUUAACUUGCUUUUGUUUUUUAUUUUUUUUCUGUUGAUUUCAUUGAGUUUAUCUUCCUGAUUUCUUAGUUUCUUUUCUUUUAAUGUAGGUUUGUGUUGUGUUAUCACUAUCUCUGCAGGAUCUUUUUUCGGUUGGUUUGCUGGAGCUUUUCAUUCCUUAGUGGAUGUUCUUCUUUCCCAGGUUCUUUCUCUUUUCAUUGCCUUUUGGUUUUCGUCGUAUUCAUUAUGUCAUUCUGCCAGAGGUUUUGAGUUUUAGUUGAAUGUUCAUUACAAAAAAAAGAGACGUGUGGAUUAGUGUUGUAUUAAACUCAAUCAAUCUAGAAGGUCAAGGAAGGCAACCACCGGCCAGCCAGCCACCAGCUGUGACCGACCAGCCGCCAGCCACCAGCCACCAGCCGCAGCCGCCAGCCGCCUUCACACCAUUGGCCGCCAACUGCCUUCACACUUGAAGGUUGAAUUAUCUUGUUUUGAAUUCGUGUAUAAAUAGCAAGCUAAGCUUAUGUUAUUCUGUGUGGAGAGAGUAGAGAGAAACACUAGAGAGAAAGAGAGAGGGCGUGUAUUAAGCUUUUUGUGUUUGUAAGCUUUUGUUCUUGAAAUAAAACAGUGUGUUUUAUCCCCUCUGAGUGUUUCAAAGCCACCACCAGUGGUUUCUCCCACCAACAAUUAGAACAGUUCUUCAUUAUGUUUUUAAUGCAUAAACCCACUUGGCCUCACCUUGGGUUUCUUCCCAACAUUGGGAGAGGUUAUUCUGUUAAAGUUGAGGCUGUUGAGCUAAUGUGGUGGCUACUUCUUUCUAUGAUUGGGACAACAACAUCAUUAUGUAUUUAAUGCAUAAACCCACUUGGAGGUUAUUCUGUUGAGUUGAAGUAAUGAACAAACACAACACCAGAAGUUUAUUGGAAAUCCAAAGGAUGAGAGAAAUUUUUGUAGAUCAGAGUCCUUAUGAGGUUGAAGCAAUUAGUACGUGGCCAUUUUGUGUUCCAACUUCUGGUGUUGUGUUUGUUCAUUACUUUAAUGCUUUUUCUAUUUUGAUUCAGAAAACACAAGAAAAAUAUUAAAAUUUGGGUCCACGUGAAUUUUCACCUCGGAUUUGUUGUUACUUGGAUAUAAUUGAUUCUUCUUUCUCUCUUGGUUGUUGAAUUUUGCAGCGGUGUCAGCACUUCAGGUCAUUCAGCAGUCUACUAGCUUGGAUCUCGGGUGGGAGGAUAGCUCACCGAUAAUAUGGGAACCUAUUGAUUUUCUUAGAGAGCUUUCAGACAUUAAUUUGAGGUUAAUUAGUGCUCCUUUGGGUGACUUAUUGGAUCUUAAAACACUGUAAACUUAACUCUGACUUUUCCUGUUGUUUUCAUUUGAUUUCACUUUUUCUUUUUUUUACUUCAUUUCUCAUUCCAUUGCAAUUUGCUUUAGGGAUUUGCACAACACAUCACUUGCUGGAGAGAUACAAAACUUGGAAAGCCUUCAACAUCUCGAGAAACUGUAUGCACGCAUCACUUGCUGGCAUCAAUUUUCAACUGAAGACAAAGUCCUGAGUAGCUUAUGUUGUUCCCAGUAAUUAAUGAUAUGGAAGAAAAGGAGGUCUAACUUCCAAAAUUUUGGUUAAUAUGCUGCCCUAUUAGAUGGUAGACUAACCAAUCCUGCUGGUGAACCUGUUAUUAAGAGUGUUAGGACUAAAGAAGAAGGGAGAAACAAUGGGGGGGCUCUUCUUUCUCCUCUAAAAAUUUUAGCUACUGUUUCCAGUGAAAAAGCCAGAGGUAGCAUCCAGCUUUCCUAUGCAAAAAUCUGUUGAUUCUUCAGCAUUCAUGAGAUGUCAUGUGAUGGCGACAAAUUCUGCAAGUCGCAGUGGAGCUGUAGGCUUGGUAUGUUUAUAUUUCAUAUAUUCUUGAGAAAUUCCUUGCUCCUAUAAGCUCUAGAUAUUACCUUGUUAAACAAGUCAAUCAUAUGUCAACGUUUAUCUCUGUAGAGUAAUUUGCAAUUCAAUUGGCUCAAUUUUUUAUAUAAAUUAUAAUUAGGUUUAUGUUUUUGAUGUUAGGUUUCCUGUUUGUUGUUCAAUGAUCUCUCAUGUUUUAGAUAUUGCUGAGGAAAAAAUGACUACAGUAAUGAUUGAUAUCUGCAACCUUUCCCUGCUUAUUGAAUCCCAGUUCCCAUGACCAACAACCUACAUUAUAGCAGUUGUUGCCUGAGGGUGCUAUCAUUCCAUGCUCAGAAUUGUUUUGAAAGUAACAAAACCAGAUAAAGAAUCAGCAGUACAAGAAUCGAUCUUACACUGUAAAAUAUCAGCACUAAAUACUAUUUUCUCUUUGACAAUAAAAAUCAUGCUAUAAAAAAAAACAUGAGUGGUAUUAAACUUAAAGUUUGUAUGGGAUAUCAUUAUCAAUUAACAUUAAUAACAUUAUUCAAAGAGGAUAGGUAAUUAAAUAAAAGAAAAUUUUAAACAAUGUCAAGAAGAUCAAAUAUUUUUAUGUGUAUUUAUCAUUACGCUAUUCUCUUUAAUUAGUAUUAACAAUUAUUUUGUUUUUUAUAAUUUUAAUAUUUUUUAACAGAUUUUUAUAGUAUAUUCUGAUAAAAUAUGAUUUAAUUUUUACUUAUUUUAUAGAAAAGAUCUUAUCAUUUUUUUAUGUUAGGAGAUAUUUUUUUAGACUUAUUUUAUUUUCAUUUUUAUUCAAUUGUUUUCCUAUCCAUGUUUUUUAUUAUCAUUUUAUUAAAUAAAACAUUUGUUCCAACAUACAAUGUUAUUAAAUAUAUGGUUUAUGUUUCGAGAUCAGAUAUUUACAGUUAUAUGUCAAUUUUUUUUUAGUCUUUCAUUAAAUAUCAUUUAUUUUUUACUUGAUUUUGACAUAAAAUUGUAAUUUUUUUUUAAUAAGUACAAACUUGUAUAAAUUUGUUUUUGCUUUGAUUUUAUUCAAUUAUUUUCAUGUGUUUAUUUUUAUUAUCGUUUAAUUAAAUAAAUAGUUUAUUCUUAAAAACAAAGUUAUUAGACACAACUUAGUAGAUGAUCAAUGUUUCGAGAUCAAAUUUCUUGCUUAGUACAUGAUUCAUGUUUCGAGAUCAAAUUUCUUGAUUUACAUCUAUAUCUUUAUUUUUCAAGUUUAGUCUAUGGUUUUUUACUAUGAAUUGUUUUCUGGUAAAAAAACAAUGUUAAAAAAACCUGUAUAUUUAUUUUUUUACUUAGAAAUAAAAUUAUUUGACCCACAUCAAAGCAUGGGUCAAAUGUGCAUGUGUGCCUGUGUAUAGUGUAUUUUAUUGUACUAGUUUUUUCAGCAACGUGUAUUAUUAAAAUUUUAUUUAAUAUUUUUUAAUUUUUUAUAUAAUUUGCUUCAAUAAUGAAUAAUUUAAAAAUAAGAAAUUAUGUAUGUGUUUGUGAAUUUAUUAUAUAGACUUCGAGAAAUAAGCUUUAAAAAUUUUGUUUAGUUUUCUUAUAAGUAUUGUUAAAAAUUAAAAUAAAAUUAUUUAUAUUAUAUUAUCAUAAUUUUUAUCUUUUUUUUUCAAAACUAAAAAGAAAAAGAGAGCGACAUUUUUUCUUGCCACAAACAUAAAUAAAUAUAUUUUUUUUCAAUUAGAAAAAUAUAUCUUGCCAUUUUAAAAAAAUAAAGUUAGUUUGAUAACAUGAUAAAAAUAAGAAAUCAUUGGAUUUUCUUUUAAUUACAUAUAAUUAUCAAUAUAUAAAAUUAAAAACUUUUGAAAAAAACUACAAAUAAAAAAAAAGGAAAAUUUGGAUUUUUUUAAUAUUAUAAAAUUAAAAUGUUUUCCCCAACAAAAAUAAUUAUUGUAUUAUAAAAUUUUUGAAUUAAUUUUGUUUAAAAGAUUUUUUUAAUUUAGAUAAAAUCUAUAAAUAACUCAAACACAUAAAGUGUAUCUGUGAAUAAAAUUUUAUUCAAAAGUUAUAUUUUUAUGAAUUAUUUUAUUUUAAAGAGUUCAUUUUUAUUAAAUGUGGGAAUAAUAUUAAAGAUAUAGGCAUGGAUAAAAAUUUUAUGUUAUCUGUCAAUUAAAAAGUCCUUUUAUAUAUUAGUAAAAUCCAUCAAAAAGUAUAAAUAUUUUUAUCUAAAGUAGUGAAGAUAAUGUACGAUAAGAACCAACGGCUACCUAUAUAUAUAAAAAAACAAUGAGGACUAAUUCAAUAAUUUUCUAAAAUUUGAAGUAUUUUUAUUAAUUUUAAUUUUAAUUAUAUGUGAAGUGAAUAGAAAUUAAGAAUAUAGGCAUGAAGAUAAAUUUUAUGAAUCAUUAUGUUUAAGGGGGCUUUUUAAUAUGAGUAACAACUAAAAAAAUAAAAAAAAUACUAUAAUUCAUAAUCUUUCUUUUUAAUUAUCAAUUUUGAUUAUUUAUAUUUAGCAAUUUCUAAAAUGGAAAAAUCUUUAAAAAAAUCCAAGGAAAUAGAAUUUGAUAUAGCAUUGGAUCUCAUAUAUUAAUAUUUAUAUUUUAUUAUUAAAAUAUCUUCUCCUACUACUAUAGCUAUUAUAUUAAAAUAUUUAUGAAUUACUUUAAAUCAAGUCUACAUAUAAUAAUAGAAAUACAUAGUUAUAUGAUGUGACUUUUAACAUACAUUGAAAAAGAACAUCUUACCUUUUGUUUUGUUUGUCGCAUUGUUAUCAAACUCUUUUGCAUUUUAUUGCAGCAUAUUGCUAUGUGUACGGCAUGCUUUAAUCAAAAAGUUGAGUAAUCGAUGAAUGUUAGGCAAGAAUAUUACAGAUUGUUUUUGUUUUCUGCCUCCUCUUUUUCUUUCCCCCACCCUGAAAAUUGUCAUAUUAUUUUUGUUUUCAGCCGCCUCUCCUUCCCCCAACCUUGAAAAUUGUCAGAGGACACUUUUAUGCUUGGAAUCAAAUCCAUCCUAAUUCUUUCGCUCAUAACUUUAUGUGUGAACUGCCGAUGUUUCAUUUGUCUUCCUUGUUCAGUGCCUUUUUUUUUCUUUGACAAGGUUUUCCUUUUUGCCUUUUAUCUUGAACAGCAUCCCAUAGUAUGCCCCCUCAAGUUCAGAAUCAUGGGCUAUUUCUCCCUAUCCUAUUGUCCACUGAUCAGUCUCAAGCACGCCAGCAGUUGUUAUCACAGAACAUGCAGAAAUGCAUGGCAUCUAAUGGAGUUCAAAGUUCUGCUGGUUUACAAGCGGCUCUGCCUCCUGUCUCCUUGUAACCCAGACUAUCCCCAACACUGUUGUCCAGAAUCCUAACAUGCAGAGUAUCCCCGGUGUUUCACAGAACUCAGUGGGGAAUUCAAUGGGACAAGGGAUUCCCUCCACUAUGUUUGCUAAUUCUCAGAGACAAAUGCUAGGUAAUGCUCUUUUUGGUAACUUUAUGUGCCACUACUGCCACUUAUGGCAUUAGUAGUGCCACUGCUAUUGAAACCAUUGCAAUCACACACGCAUUUGUUACCACAUCAUACCCUCCAGUGCAUUGCACCAGCUAUUCACCUCUCAUUCUGGAUUUAUAGGGUCCGUCCGUCUGUUUGAAUGGUUACAUAGCGUUUAGAUGGAGUUCCUAGUACUCCAAGUCCAAAAAGGACUUGUAUUCCUAUUCCAUUGAAUCAUGACCAUAUCCAGUAUUGUUGAAUUUUAUAGAAAAUGAGGUUGAAAUUCUGAAUGUCUCAAGUCAUAACUGCAUAUUUGAAUUUUAUAGAAAAUAAGUGGACCUAUUCCAUUUUUUUUGUGUGCUUAGGAGAGUAUUGAAACGGGAAUAAGAAUGGUCAUGCUUAGGAUCUAAGGCUAAGAAGCGUUGCUAAAGUUGUGACAUCCAUUGACUUGAGCUAGAACAGCAGAAAACAAUGAUGAGUAGUUUGCAGUGAGACAAAGUAACUGAACUUAAUCAACUCCUGAAUCUUGUCUAAAGGUGCAAUUACACAGUCCUUUGCAUCUUUCCAUUCCAUCAAUAUCGACAUCCUCUUGAGUUUCCAGCAUUAAUUCCACUCUGCUAUUUUUAUCUCAACUAAUUUAUGCUCCUCAUGCCGCCGCCCCUCCCUUUUUUUUUUUAUCAAUUCUCUUAAAGUUGUGAAGCUGUAGAGAAGGCAAUCACUCAAAUUAUGAUGGGUGAAGAAGCAGAGGGAAUGAGGAGUAGAGCAAAGAAGUUAGGAGAAACAGCCAGGAAGGCUGUUGAAGAAGGUUGAUCUUCUUGCUCCGAUUUCGAUGCUUUGAUUGAAUAACUGAGGUAACUGUUGAAGAUGAUCGCCCUUGAAACAAAUGUAGAUGUAAGCGUUGUCACAUAUGCAUAGAAUAUUUUGUUUCUGUUGUUGUUAUCCAUUUUUGUUCUAAAAAAAAAGAAAAAAUACAAAAUAUAUAUAUAUAUAUAUAUAUAUAUAUAUAUAUAUAUUCGGAAGAAAUAAAAAAUAAUAGAAGCAAGAAAAGGAUGUUGGAAUGCCGAAAAAAAACCAAAAUUGAUUGAGGAGGUUUAAAAAUACAAAAGGUUAAAAUUUAACAGUAUAUUUUUGACCGGUGAGAGCCCUGUUGACAAGAAAUAUUCAAUUUAAGGAAGAAAAGUUUAAAAUCAGAUGUUUAUGGACUCAAUUAAAUCUUAUCUAUGGUUUAAUUGAAUUUAUGUAGCGUUUGAUUGCAAGAAAAAAUUGAUUUUUGAGUCAAUUUCGGCUUUUAUUGGAUAAAAUUAAAGUUCUGGAGUUCAAUUAUAAUUUUGAAGAGUUAAUUUGGUCAAAUCAGGGGCUUAAUUGCAUAUUAAUUUAUUAAAGUUUGAUGGCCAAUUAGGGACUUAAUUGAAACAAACCGAAACCAAGGACCAAACCAGAAAAGGCUUUAAAAUCAAGGGAUCCAAUGACAAUUUAUCCAGGGGCUUGAUUACAAAAUUGCAAAAAACAUCCGAGGACCAAAUCCAAAAUAUUCAUUUGAAUGUUGAAACGGCGCCGUUGCACUAUUUAUUGUCUCCUUCAAGAAACCGUUUUCAGCAGUAAAAGGCAGUGCAGGCGUUAGCAGUGGAGCCGCUCCAAUCACGGGGCAUGUCUCACGCCACCAUGUACGCCGGCUGUUACUUUGUUGCCGGAAAACGUCUGCUUUCUCUGGCUAUAAAAGCUAGAGGAAGGAGGGAGAACAGGAGGGAGAGGGGGGAAACAGAGAGAGGACAGUGAAGAGAGGAAAGAAAACCGAGAGUGGGAGACGAACGAAAGACAGAAAAAAAAAGGCUGAAAGAAAAAGAAGAGAGCAGAACAGGAGAGAGGAGAGGAUAGGGAGGAGGAAGAACAGACAGUGAGGAGAAAACAGAGAGAGGACAGUGUAAGAGAGGAAAGAAAACCGAGAGAGGGAGAACGUAAGGAACAGAGGAGGAGGAGAGGAGAUAACACAGUGGGAAUACAGGAGAGUGAAACGCAAAGGAAGACUGCUCGAGGGGACGGAAACAGAAGAGCAAGGAGAAACCGAGCGGCGAAGCAAAGUUCACAGACAGCAGUGGACCACCGGUUUCCUUUCUCCAGGUAUGCUCAUUUCCUUUCUUCGUAAAAAUUGAUGCAUGCUUGUCUAGAGAAACAAAAGGAAAACAGAAGACGAAAGAAAAGCUUAAAGAUCGCCAUUUUUGCAACUCUGUAACCUGGGGUCUUCGUUUUUUGCUAUAUGCAAAAAACGAAGAAUGAAGAGUGCGACGGUAAUUUAAUUACCUUCGCACUCUUCCAUGCACGCGUAAAAUUUUACGCGUGCAUGGCUUGGGUGGGUCACUAGCUUGGGCCAGUGACCAGGUGGCUGGGUCCAGCCCUGCCAUAUGGGCCGAGUUAGACCUAGCCCGAAAAAAAAAUUCUUAAAAAAUUUCUUAUAAAAAAUUAUGUGAUUUUUCACAAAUAUUUAUUGCAUUUUGAAAUAUUGGUUUGUAUUUUUAUAAUGUAAAGAUACAAAUCCAAUAUUAAAAAUACCUGUUUUUUCGUAAAAAAAAUAAUAAAAAUAAAAGUAAAAUAAAAAUGUUUUGUUUUCAUGCAUACGGCCAAGUCUCUCUAAAAAAAAUAAAAAAAAUCAUAUCGCAUCUUGAUAAAAAAAAAAAGUUUUAGUAUGCAUUUUGGCUUUAAUAACCAGUUUAUUAAAGUCACGAGAACUGGCCAAUAUUUCAAAAAUUCUAAAAAAAUUAUUUUGUUUUAUUUUAAUAUAUGAGGUUACGACCUUAUAUGAAAGAUGUAUUCCGGAUGUUAAAUUAUUUUGUUAGCGUUAGAACGGUCAGGUUUUACCCGAUAAGACAAGGACCUCCUUACCAAGGAGGAUUUUUCUUAAACCAUAGACGGACCAACAACUAGAAAACAUGACAGGACCUUAUAUUUUAUCAGACAAUAAAACAAUGCAGCUUACCUUAGGUAUGACGUAUUUGGGGUGCUAAUACCUUCCCUUUACGCAACCAGUCUCCGUAACCGAUCUCUGAGACCAGUUAGGGUUCCUAGUGGCCAAAAUACUAGGUGGCGACUCCCAUUCCAUUUUUCCACUAAUAAAAGAUAAGAAUUCCUUGUCUCCACAUAUUUGUCACAUUAGAUAGAAUUUUGAGGAUGGAUGUUUUCGCCGCGACGCCGCACACGUGCAACAGUGGUUUUGACAAUUUAUUUUCAGUUGAGAGUUGAAAGAGCAAUCACAACCGAUUCAAUGACCAAUCCCAAUCAGUUCCCUUCCUAAUGGUUCUGGAAUGACAAGUCCAGCUUAUAUAUUUAGCCCAAAUAACUAAUCAAAUAGAAAGGCUGAGCUUAGAGACAGUACACUACAAAUGAAGCACCCAAUAGCUAGACAUACAAUCAUAACAAAUUCAUGUUCUGAAGUUGGAGAACUUGUGAAAACUAGCCACCCCAAAAUAGUAGCAAGUAUCUAUGCAGUCUUCGAUGAAGAACAACCACCUGCGUCGCCAAUAUGGAUUGAUGUAGAGAACCGCUGCAAUUGUCAUCACCACAACUGUGUAACAUACACCGAAACUGAUGUAGAAAAACUCCAUGUCUACGAAACCAUCAUCUCCUUGUUCAUCAUUAGGCACUGGUUGUGACGACACUGCUUCCUCACUACAAUUGUUUCGCAAUGGGGGUCCACACAAGAAAGGAUUUCCUUCGUAGCAGCUUUCAUCGAAGGUCCCAAACUGAUAUUUUCUCUCGGGUGUCUUACCUGACAAGUUAUUGUGUGCCACACUAAAAACUUCCAGUGUGGUAAUUUCAGUAAGUUGUGGAGGGAUGACACCAUUUAAGUUGUUGUAAGAAAGAUCCAAACUCUCAAUCUGCUUUAGGUUUGAGAAUGUUGCAGGUAUAGAUCCAGUGAGAUUGUUGUGUGAUAAGUUUAAUGACAGUAUCUCACUUAAGUUUCCAAAUUCUGGUGGGAUUGCUCCUACGAAGUUGUUGUUGGAGAGAUCAAUACCAGACAUGUAGUUGAGAACUUUCCCCUUGUAACCAUAAGACAUUUUUUUAGUUGUAAAUUCUAUCACUUCUUCUAUAAGGUUAAGCCCAAAACCCUUUCCUAAGUACACACUAUCCACUAGUGGUGGGCCCAUUGUUUCAUAAUAAGUUUUUUCUAUGGACCUUGAUAUAUCAAAAAUUACAAAAUCCAAUAUCGCUUUCUGGGAACUUUCCUUGAAAGUAAGAUUGCCUAAACAGGAGGGUAGUGGACCAGAGAGCUGGUUCUGUGAAACAUCCAAAAUGCUUAAUUGUUCUAACAAGCAUAACUGAACAGGGAGCUCACCAUCAAAGUGAUUAGCCCUUAGAAGAAGAACACUCAAUGAUGAAAGAUUGCCAAUCCAAUUUGGAAUGGAGUCGGUGAAGCUGUUAUCUUGAAGAUCCAUUGUAACCAGGGAAGAGCUAUUAUAAAAUCCAUAUGUUAAUGGACCGCUCAAUCUAUUUUUGGAUAGAUGCAAAUGGGUUAUUUGUGGUGGACUGAAACAAGAUGGUAUAUAUCCAGACAAGUUGUUCUCAGAAAGGUCCAAAUAUUCAAGAUGGUCAAACUUACAAAAAAAAUCUCUUGGGAUCGGACCCUUAAAAUGGUUUUUGGACAAAUCAAUUGCUUCAAGGACCGUAGAAUUGACGAACCACCUUGGAAGCAUACCUGAAAAUUGAUUGUUACUCAAGUCCAAUACAAACCACAUUUUCUGCUCAUAUAAUGAUAAAUAUAAUAUCUGACCACAAAAGUUGUUACCAUUUAGAUAGAGAAAUUCUAAGGUAGAAGAAUUGAACACCGAGAUCGGUAUUUGCCCACCCAAAUUGUUGUUUGAUAGCUUGAGAAACAUUAAUGUUGUUAGUAGUUCUAGUUUUACUGUGGACAGUUGAUUGUUGGAUAAAUCUAAAACACUCAAAGAGCUAAUAUUUCCUAAACAAGAAGGAAUACAACCUGUGAAUCCAUUCUUAACCAUCCUUAAGCUCUCCAGAUUUGGAAGGAUCAAACAAAUAUCUUUUGGAAUUUGACUGUUCAUGUUGUUGUUGGAUAUAUCUAAUUUGGUCAUAUUUGGAUAUGGGUGAUCUGGCAACUGCAAAGUACCAACAAAGGAGUUGUCACUCAGAUCUAGUUGCUCCAUUCGUGUAUUAUUCUUAAGCAACCACGAUGGAAACAUUCCGGUGAUGUUGUUGUGGGAGAGAUCAAGGACUCUUAAGUCGUAUUGGUAAUAGAGGAAGUCAGGAAUAUGUACAUUGAGUGCUUCCGUCGUUUUUAACAAGCUAAGAAAGACUAGUUGGAACUUUGGAAUCAAAUUAUCAAAGGCAGCAGGUUCUGUUACUAGUCUGUUGUUCUCACUAGAGAAGAACUUGAGGCUUGAGUGGUUCAUAAAAGGCUUCAUUGAAGUGGGAACUUCAAAGAGGUUAUUUGAUAGUGAGAGGAAUUCAAGGGAUACGAGGUUGGUAAGAGGACCGGAGACAAUAUUUCCAGUAAAUUGGUUUUCAGAAACAUCUAAUAGUUGUAGAGAUGACAAGUUCCCCAAACAAUCUGGGAGUGCACCUCCAAAAUUAUUUCUAGCGAGAUCUAACUGCUUCAGAUUCUUCAAUUCACACCAACCUGUACAAUUUAUCUCGAAACAGUCAAAACAAUGUUGAAAGAAUCUUUUAUUGAUGAUGUAAUUAUAGGCGGAUGGAGAGUUGUUAAUUUACCUUGAGCGGGUAGGGUGCCAUGGAGGUCACAUUCACCAACAGACAAAACUUUAAGAGCAGGUAAUGCUCUAGUGUUUUGGAGGAAGUUUAUUGGGAGAGAAGUAUUAUCUAGAUGCAAUUCUUCAAGGGUGCUAGAAUUGAAGAAAGUCCCUGUGAAAAAGAAAGAAGAAGAAAACAGAUACGAUGAAAAUAGUGGUGGUACAGGAUAGCCAUUCCAUUCAAUAUUAUUAAUUAAAAUUUUAAGAAACUAAACUAUUAUUAACCUUGACUUAAAUUAGUAUCCUUGAGAGAAAGGGUCUUCAGGGAACGCAAUGACUGCAGGAAGUCCAACUUCCUUAAACCUAUGAUGUGUAGAAUUGAAAACAGGCAAUCAAGUAAGUAGUGAAAUUAAGUGUUAUCUUGAUCAAGUUUUUAAACCUAUGAUACUUUUGUAGUGAGAUGAUUUUUGGAUAGAAACAAUAAAUUGCCAGAAAAAUCUAGAGAUUUCAAAAGGUAUUGUAAAUAACAGAACUUUACCAUUGACAGCCGUCGAUCCUGUCAACUCAUUAUAUGAUAAAUUUAAAGACUUGAGAUAAGAAAAUCCACGCAGAUAUGAUAAAAUGUUGUCGUUGAAUAUAUUAUGGCUCAGGUCCAGGUUUUCGAAUUUCCCCAAAUGUGAUGAUGAUCUCAAAACUUGCAAGAGAGUUAAUGUUUCUAAGAGUAAGUCAUAAUGAGCUGUUGUUCAAUUGAUAUAUGAUUCUCAAAUUAUACAUAAAAAGAAUGAAACAUGAAAAUUAUAAAAUAGGUUGUGUGCACUUCAAAGAUUAAGAAACAAUUUUUAAAUAUCAUUCUAAUUUUGAUCUUAAUGGAAAGAAAAAACAAUUUAUGGAUAUAAAAUCGAUAAAGAUGGAAGCUAAGUUAUGGAUAGACUUACAAAACAAGAUAAAGAAACUUAUAAUUAAGAUCUCAUCGGUAAUUAAAACAAGAAUAAUAAUCGAUCCUAGAUAGCAACAUAUUGCCUAAUUUUGCAAAACUAAUUAAUUAGUUAUGAUAGUUUUAAAAAGUUUUAGAAACUUUUUCACGUUUUAUUUCUUCUAUGUCCAAAUAUUUCACCAUUCACCACACGACCAUAAGGCAAUAUCCUCCACCACAGAAUAAUAUUUUGAUUAAAAAAAGGUCCAAAAUAAUAUAAAACCAUGAUUAAAAAGGAGAGGAAAUAAUAAAUGGCUACAAACAAGAAUUAAAUAUCAAAUAUGUGGGUUUUAUGUUGUUCUCUUUAUUGAUAAAACAGUCGAGAGUUUUUCUAAUAAAGAAAUUGGCUGUCGAGAGUGAUUUGUAUUGGAUAGUUUUUUUGAUAGUUUUUAUUAAAUAGAUAUAAAGUCGUCCUCAUUUUUGUUGAUAAAGAAACAAUAUAAUUAAGAGAAUGUCAUGUGAAGCAUUUAGGUAGGUAGAAACUGUGUAUUAUACCUGAUGCUGUCAGCUGAUUGCCUGAUAGAUCCAAAGACUUGAGGGAUGAAAAUCCAGUUAGAGCUGGAAAAAUGGUAUCGUUGCAUUGAUUCCCACUUAGAUCAAGGUUCUCCAGCUUUUUCAACCUUGAUGACAAGACUUUGAGACCUGCAUGAUGUUCCUCAAGAGCAUAUUGGAAGGAAAUAAUUAAAUGCGUAGAAAAAAAUGAUAUGAGAAGGAGAAAAGAAAAGGUUUCGAAGCUAAAUAAUUAAAAGGUUACCAUAGAAGCUACCUCCUGAUCCAGCUGUCAACCCAUUAUAUGAUAGUGUUAAAGUAAUUCAGAUGAAACAUAAAAGGAGGCUAGAAUUCUCAAUAAUAUGUUUAUUAUGAGUGCUUAAGUUAACCUAAAUACAAAGGAAUUAUAUAUAGGUUAAACUGAAAAUACUAUUCUACCCUUAAUAAAUAAAACUAGAUAAAUAUUACUUAACAUCUCCCCUCAAACUCACGAUGCGGCAUCUACAAGCAUCGAGAGUUUGCCAACUAGAAAAUGAAAACGAGAUAUGGAAUGCGUCUUGGUAAAGAAAUCUGCAAUCUGCAAGGAAGAAUGAACAAAAGGCAAAGUAAUGGUGUCAUGCUUGAGAUGAUGACGAGUAAGAUGGCAAUCGAUCUCAAUGUGCUUAGUUCGCUCAUAAAAACCGAGUUGUGAGCAAUCUGAAUAGAACUCUGGUUGUCACAAUUCAUAGGAGUAGGAUGAGAAAAGAAAACUCUCAUAUCAGCAAGUAACCAACGUAACCAAACAAUCUCUUUGGUAGUAGAUGCCAUGACAGAAGCUGGAGGAAAGUCGAAAUACCAGAUUUUGCAGAAGCGGAAGACAAAAUAUCACUCCAAAUUUUUUUGCAGAAACUUAACUCAAAUACCAAAUUGCAGAAACUGAAGAGAAGACGAAAUACCAAAACAAUUGCAGAGACAGAACAGAAAUACCAAAUUGCAGAAGCUGAAGAGAAGAUGAAAUACCAAAACAAUUGCAGAGACAGACUGAAAUACCAAAUUGUAGAAGCUGAAGGACAAUCGAAAUACCAGAUUUUGCAGAAGCGGAAGACAAAAUAUCACUCCAAAUUUUUUUGCAGAAACUUAACUCAAAUACCAAAUUGCAGAAACUGAAGAGAAGAUGAAAUACCAAAACAAUUGCAGAGACAGAACAGAAAUACCAAAUUGCAGAAGCUGAUACCAAAUUGCAGAAGCUGAAGAGAAGACGAAAUACCAAAACAAUUGCAGAAACAGAAUAGAAAUACCAAAUUGCAGAAGCUAAUACCAAAUUGCAGAAACUGAAGAGAAGAUGAAAUACCAAAACAAUUGCAGAGACAGAACAGAAAUACCAAAUUGCAGAAGCUGAUACCAAAUUGCAAAAGCUGAAGAGAAGACGAAAUACCAAAACAAUUGCAGAGACAGAACAGAAAUACCAAAUUGCAGAAGCUGAAGAGAAGACGAAAUACCAAAACAAUUGCAGAGACAGAAUAGAAAUACCAAAUUGCAGAAGCUGAUACCAAAUUGCAGAAACUGAAGAGAAGAUGAAAUACCAAAACAAUUGCAGAGACAGAACAGAAAUACCAAAUUGCAGAAGCUGAAGAGAAGACGAAAUACCAAAACAAUUGCAGAGACAGAAUAGAAAUACCAAAUUGCAGAAGCUGAUACCAAAUUGCAGAAACUGAAGAGAAGAUGAAAUACCAAAACAAUUGCAGAGACAGAACAGAAAUACCAAAUUGCAGAAGCUGAUACCAAAUUGCAGAAGCUGAAGAGAAGACGAAAUACCAAAACAAUUGCAGAGACAGAACAGAAAUACCAAAUUGCAGAAGCUGGAGAAUCUAAAAUAAUGUUUCAGAUAUUAAUUCUUCAGCCGCAAGAACAAAACUUGAUCUUCAUCCUCCAUCUUUUAAUAGGUCAAACAACUCAUGUCUGAUGUUUUGAAAAAUGAAUCUGAAGUUAAGCUUCAAAGGAAUGCAUUGAGCGUGUUGGAACAUCCUACAGGGAAUGAAGUGGAUGAUGAUAACGAUUUUGAUACAAGCAGUGACUCUAACAUUGGUGAACAUGAUUUCUACAAGGGCAACGAGUUCCAUAAAAUUAACAAGCCAAGGGUUCGAUCAACUAGGCUCUGAUACCAUGUUAAAGUAAUUCAGAUGAAACAUAAAAGGAGGCUAGAAUUCUCAAUAAUAUGUUUAUUAUGAGUGCUUAAGUUAACCUAAAUACAAAGGAAUUAUAUAUAGGUUAAACUGAAAAUACUAUUCUACCCUUAAUAAAUAAAACUAGAUAAAUAUUACUUAACAGAUAGAUCCAAAGACUCGAGAGUGGAAAGGUUACCAUUGAAACAUGACAAAAUGCUUUUAUCAUUAUUAAAUCGGUUAUCACUUAGGCCAAGUUCCCUCAGUUUUGAUGAUAGGACUUGGAAGCCUGGAAAGAGAAUCAUCAAAGCAAGAUAAUUGACAUUAAACACCAACCGACCUUCAUUUAUUUUAUUAUUAUAAUUAAGUGCAGAAACAUUGAACUUACCUUCAUUCUCCAAGCAACCAACCAAUCCAUUAUAUCCCAAAUCAAGACUUUGCAAUUCUUUGAAAGGCAGAAACAAAGAUGCGUUGAGAACCCAAUCGCCCAAGCGGAAAUCCCUUGCAUCGAAAAGAGAGAGUUGGAUCACUCGCCUUGUAGUGUUAUCACACUCGAUCCUAGGCCACUCACAACAAUUACUAUUGUUGUCCACCCAAUGAUCUGUCCAGAAAAAGCCAUCUGGGUCCAUCAAAGCUUUGAUCUCCAAGAGACCAACCCUCUCUUCCUCCAAACACCCAUAACAACUACCAGACCAUUCGCCAACCAAAGUCAACAAUAUUGCUAGCAACAUCCAAGCCCCCAUUCUUUUCAUCAUCAUCUUAGAUAAUUCUAUGAACUACUACGUAGAAUAUUGUUGUUUGUUAUGUGUCUUUGGGCAACCAUAGAGGUCCUAUUUAUACUACAAUUUUGGCCAUUUCCAUGAUUUUAUCUGCAUAUCUUAUGCAGGUUCUAUGUUUUGAGAUUUGAAUAUUAUUUUAUUUCUUUUUGGAAUAUUCUUGGAUUCGAAUAUUAUUUUAUUUUACUGUUUAGCAGUUAGUCUAUUUGCAUUUAAUUAUAUUUUGGUUACUAAUUAUCCAAUUUAAAAAAAAUAAAAAAUAAAAAUUGUUGCAGUACUUCAAUUUUUUUAUCGACAUUCAUGUGUGAUUUCACAUAAGAUCUUUUUUAAUUUAUAAUUAUAUUUCUCUCAUUAUAAUUUAGAAUCAUUUAGGACCCUACUUGCAUGAUGUCAUCACUAUUAUAUAUAUAAUUAAAUACAUAAAUUAUCAAUAAUACACGGAAUAAUUAUAAAUUUAAUCCUUGUGGAUUGUGUGGCUACAGUAUUAUAUACAAAAACUUCAAAUAUAUAAAUAAAAGAAUGCUAAAAGUGACAUUCUCUUGGGUGACCACCACAAGCCCAUCUAAAAAAAAAACAAGCCAUAUAAAAAUCACACGACAGCCAAUUACCUUAUCUUGUGAGAAAAAAAAGAUAAAAAAAAAAAGCAUUUUCUUGGGUGUGCAGUGACUGCCAAUCUUUCUCGUUGAAAAGUGAGCAAAAUACAAAACUGGUUGCAUGUAUCAAAAGGAACUGGAACCAAUUUCUCCACCACUGUAUGUCCCUUUUGUUCAGUCCAUGUUUGGUGCAAUCACCUAAAGCUAGAAACACAAACAGCGCCUACUCUACAGGUAGCUCAUCAAAAUAUAUGUUGUAAAUUGCAAACACGUGCUAACAAUAAAUUGUGGCCAGAGGAUUUGCUUCGAUCCCAGAGGCCAUUGAGGAUAUUCGUCAAGGAAAGGCUCACCCUCUUGAUUUAUUAUUUAAUUUUCUGGGUCUAGCUAGUUUGCUUAGGCCUUACAUCAUUACUUCAAAGGCUUUAUGUUACUAAUGUGUGAUGAUUCUUUGUAGUUAGUAAUUGUUGUUGAUGAUGAAGAAAUUAAGAGAAAAUGAGGGGGUCCCUUGUAAUGUCUGCGUCGAAGGCAACACCAGAUAAAACUCCCUAAACUACUCUAUGUCUCUAACAAGGAAAAUAUCACUAUAAAUGGUGGCAAUCACUAUAAAUGCAUUUAUGAGUUCGUGAGACCAUUUUCAUCUGCCAAUUGGUCCCUGAGACCGUUGCCAUCAUGCAUUUUUCCACGAGAUGGGUUCGUGGAAAAACUUUUGUUUAAUUGGGAAUGCUGUUAUUGGUUAGAAACUUUUUAAUUAAAAUAAAUUUGAUUAUUUGAUUGGAAAAAUCCUUAAAUGUUAUUAACACAUGAAAUCAAUUUAUUUUCUUAAGAAAAAAAUAUUGGAACCAUAUAGGUAAUUUAUUUAUUUAUUUAUUUUAUUGAAAUAUUAAAUAGUUUUAAAUCUUGUGGUAUAUUGCCGUCAUGCAUUUCUUUUCCUCAAGAUGGGUUCGACAGACAAUCACCAUCAUGCAUUUAUGAGUCCCGGAGACCAUUGUCAUCUGUAGCGUUGCCUUUCCUCGAGACCAUUUCCAUCAUGCAUUUAUGAGUUCGUGAGACCAUUUCCAUCUGCCCAUUGGUCCCUGAGACCGUUGCCAUCAUGCAUUUUUCCACAAGAUGGGUUCGUGGAAAUUUUUUUGUUUAAUUGGGAAUGCUGUUAUUGUAACCAUAUAAGUGAUUUAUUUAUUUAUUUUAAUGAAAUAUAAAAUAGUUUUUAAUCUUGUGGUAUAUUUCUUGUCUUUAAGAGCUAUGAACUUAUAUAUCAAAACUUGAAAACUAAUAUAUAUAUAUAUAUAUAUAUAUAUAUAUAUAUAUAUAUAUAUAUAUAUAAUGCUUUUCAAAACAAAAAGGAUUUUGAUGGAGAGGACAUUGCAACAAAUUAUCCACCACGAGAUGGGUCAGUGAUACCAUUGUCAUCAUGCAAUUUUUCCCACGAGAUGGGGCCGUGCGCUUGGGGCUCUAAAAAGCUAUGGUUUUUAAUUUCAUUAUGUCACGUCCAGAAUGGCAGGUAUAUUUUAUUUCAAUUUAAACAAUGGAAUAAAUUAGAAGAUAUUUCAUCUAGCUUAAAAUCUUAUCUUCUUAUAUGAAAUUCACCUAAAUUCUGGCCAGAAUGUUUAGGUUAUAUUCUAGCUAUUCUGUUAGGGCCAAAUGAUAUUUUGUUUUGCUUUUAUAAAAAAUUAAAAUAUAGUUUAGUUUUACAAUAUCAGUCAUGUCUCUCAAUCCGACAGUUGGAUUAAAGUAAAAUUUUAUGAGGAAUAUCCUGACAUAUAUUUAUAUCGCAAAUUAAAAUUUUAGGACAAUCAAAGUUUAGAAAGACUUUGUAAGAUUGCCGAUGACAUUUUCAUAGUUUUAUUCAAAUUCAUAAUUUUGUUUUGAAAUGUCAUUUUUUGUGUCUUUUUUUAGAUUGAUUUUUUUUUAAUUUUAUUAUUCAACAAUAGGUUUAUUGAAAAUUAAGAUUCAUAAUUUGUUUUGAUUUGUUUUAUUUGGGGUUAUUAUGGUCUCAUGACCCGAGUCACAGAUUUAAAGGUUAACCCAGAUUGACCCGGGUCGAUCGAUCCAAUAUGUUGUUGUUUCGAUACUUUUUUUAAAAAAUAUAUCAUCUUGAAUUUUUUUAAGUAAAACUAUAUUUUUACCAGUCGUCCAGACAAUCUUUGGGCCCAUCGAAUCGAUUGGGUUAUAUCGAUUCAACUCUUAUUUUUUUUACUUAUAUUUGAAAUUUAAAUUGUAUAAUUUCAAGUUAGCUUAUCUUGAAAUUUGAAUUGAAAUUAUGUUUGUUAAAAGGUUAAUGCUAGGCAGCUCAUUUUCUGCCCUAAUAAAGCUCAAGGCCUAUUUAGAAUUAGGCAUGUUUGGGAUUAUGGUAGCGGUUGCGGUUUAAAGUGUUUUUUGCUUAGAAAUGCAUCAAGAUGAUGUUUUCUUAUUUUUUAAAAUUAUUUUUGAUAUCUGCGCAUCAAAAUGAUCCAAAAAACAUUAAAAAAAUAUUAAUUUUAAGUAAAAAACAAAUUUCAAAAUGUUUGGGAACACGAGUUGGACCGUGUUCCCAAACAUACUCUAGUAUGUAGGCAUACACCCAAUCCAAGCACCGUCAAAUCAUUUUUUAUACAUAGGGAUGGGUUCGUUAGCUUGACAUGACAAAUAAAAAAAUUGAAAGAUGAUGAAAUUAAAAAAAAUUUAUAAUUUUAUAAAUUAUUUUAAAUAAAAUAAAUAUCAAUUAAAAGAAUCAGAAUCAAAUCUGAUAGAUAAAAAAUUUCAAUUAAAAAAAUAAAAUAAAAGUAAAUGAGGAUCAAAGUUGAUAUAAAAUUCAAAUUAUAAGAUAUAAAAUUCAAAACAAAUUCAAAACAAAAUAAAACCAAUUUUUUUCUAAAAGAUAUUCAGAUUAAAAGCAUUAUAAAAAGAAUCCCUCCUUGUUUCUUCCUUUUCAACAACUUGGAGUAUAUUGACAUGAGAAUUAAUCAUUUCGAUAACAGUAUUCUAUCAUUUGUAGAGGGAUUUUCAUCUCUUAAAUCACUAUAUUUAGAUUUGGAAGGGUUAAUAGAUUUAAAAGGUUAGUUUUUUUAUAUACUUAUUUUUUCUCUAUUAAAUUUAAUUUCAAAAGAACACAAUUUUUGUUUUGUAAUUAAUUAAUUAAUUAAUUAUAUUUUUAUAAAUAUUAAGAAUCUUUUAGCAGCUUGGAGGCCUUGAGUUUGAGCAGCAACAAUAUUAACAAAUUGGUAGCCUUAAUAGGUAAUUAGUAACACAUUCACAUUAUCUACAUUAUCUACCUGGUAGCGAAGAUAAUAUUUGAGCCCAUCCAUACAAUAUUAAUUAUUUUUGCUUUUGGAAUUAAUUAUUUUUGUUCUCUGGAUGAAAACUUCCUUCAAAGCUUUUGAGCACUGUCUUCUCUAAAACAACUGUCUUUGCAAAGACUCAGUGACACUGUAUUUUUUGGAGGUAAAUUAGCAAAUUUCUAGCUACAAUUAGAUGUGUCUGCAUAUAAUUUCUCUUUUAUGUUUUCACAACCUACUAAACAAGUUUUAGAGAAUUCUCAAAUCCAUUAAAAUUUAAAUUCAUAACAUCAAUUAAAUCUCAAAUUUAAAAAUCAACUCAAUUGAAAUCUUUAUUAUUCUAAUUAAAAGUCUACAAUCCAUUUAAUAUGAAUAAUAUUCCAAUUCAAUUUUGGCCCUCUCUCAACACCAUUAAUUCGGUGUAAUGUAAAUAGAAUGAUAAUAACCAUGAGGGGUGUAGCUCAACUGGUCAGGUCCUGAGAGUGCUUUCUAGAGAUCACUAGUUCGAAUGCCACAAACCUCAGGCCAUGAGAUUUGGAGAAAUGUUCAGAGUUAACAUUGCUUUUCUUAGUUAAAUGCAUAACAUGAGCUUCAGGUAAGGGCUCUACCCUUACCUUUUUGAUAUAUUUUUGUUAUUCUUGUAAAUGUUAUAAUGCGAAUUGUUUAUAUAUAUAUAUAUAUAUAAUUAAGGGCUCGUUAUUGGAAAUUCAAUAUUAAAUGAAAAAUGCAUUCAAAGGCAGAAAAAUUGAGAUCAAAUCAGGUUAGGAUGUUUAUAUCUAUAUGUCUUUGCGGUAGGAUUAUUAUAUGCCUUCGAGGAAAGAGAAAGAUAUGAUACAUAUUAUGCUUUCAAGGCAAGACUAUUACAUGUAUUAUACCUCCAGGAUAGUGAAGAAUAUAUCUUAAUUACAAGCUAUGCUUUCAGGGAGGGAGAAAAGUAUCAUAUAAAAUAUAUGCUUUUAGGGUGGAAAAGAUGAUAUGACAAUAUAUAAGCUUUAAUAGCAAAAUGUAGUGGUCAGGGUUUGAAAGUAAUAAUAAACAUAACAAAAUGUAAAAGACUAAAAGAAUGGUUUAGAACAUGGGAUAAAGGCAACUAUAAGAAAAUUUAUUAGUUAUGAUAAAACCAAUAAUUUUAUAAAAUUAUAUGUCUUGCAGGUUCCUCUUAUUUGUCACCGCCAUUUUGACACCGAACUCUAGCUUUCCUAGUUUCUUAUAAUAGGUUGUUAUUUUGUAAAACUUUAACUAUGUUUAUUUUAUGCACUUUAAUUAAAAAUAAAUUUUGGAUUGUAAGAGAGACAUUAUCUCUUUCUUUUUUUGGGAAUGUAAUUAAUUACGUGAUGCAAAACUUAAAUCUCACACUACAAGAUUUCACAGUUUUACCGACGGACAUAUUCCGUCGGUGUGUGAUUACCAGUUCGUCGGUGAUUUAUUUACCGACGUCUUCCCCGAUGGAAUACGUCCGUCGGCUUUCCUUUCGUCUGUGAUUCCACAUCCCGUCGCUAUAUCGGUCGGAAAAACAAAAAAACCAUUUACCGAUGGUUUUACAGACGGAAUUUGUGCGCCAAAAAAAAGUUUCCCGCUUGAAAUAUACUAACGGAUUUCUAUUCUGUCGGUGAUAUCGUGAUUUACCGACGGAUACUAACCGUCGGUGAAUUUGUCGGUGAGUGUUUGAAAUACCGAUCGAAUAUAUCCGUCUGUAAAUUCAUCGGUAAGUAUGGCAGCUACUGUGAAAUGCCGACAGAUUAAUUCCGUUGGUAAAGCUGUCGGUGAGUGUAUGAAAUACGGACCGAAUAUAUCUGUAUGUAAAUGCGUCGGUGAAUAUACUGUCAAAUGCCGACGGACUCAGUCCGUCAGUAAAACCCUUUGUAAUAGUUUUUUUAAAUUUUGUUUUUAAAAAAUUAUUUAGAAUACAUAAUUUUAUUAAUGGUAAUAAAAACCAAUUAUGCAAAUAAAAUUUAUAUUAAACAUCAAAAACAAAAAAUCAAAGUUAAAUAAUAUUCAUUACAAACUGAAUUUGUUUCAAAAAAAUUUUUUAAGGUAAAUAAUGUUUAUUACAAAUUAAUAUAAAGGUAGAGCUGGAGGAGGAGGUCCUGGAGAAGGCUGGUGGUUAUACGAUCAAAAAGGAUUAGGUGCACACGUUCCACUCUGUGUUGCCAUGUUCAUGACCAUUUCGCGAAGCUCUUCAUAAGCCGCUCUUUGUUGUUUAGACUCCGCUCUUUGUUCUGCAUGAGACGCUUUGAGUUGGGUGUACUCCGCUGAUAGGUGGUUGUAUUUUUUGGUGAGUUGAGUUGUGUGCUGCUGCAAGGCCACGAACGCCUUAGAUUGGGAGCUCGAUAUUGAUUGGGAGCUCCCAACGGUUGACACACUACGGGCCGACCGCAAGUUGUCGGUUGUGGUGUUGGAGAGCCUGUAAACCCGAUUUUUAUCGGGUCCACCUAACGAUCCAACCUCCAUUCAUAAAUCCGGAUCGAAUUCCGGAUGGAUCAAAGUAUCGUCCCCGUAUCUCUCCCUCAACCGAUUAUUAUAGGUCUCUUGAAAAUAAAAAAAAUAAUAUUCAAUUCAAUAAAUAUAAUAACUUACAAAAUAAAAUGGUUGAACAAACAUACCACGAAAUGUUGAGCACGGUUGUCAACGAACUGUUGCACCCCCUUUUGGCGGUCUUGACUCCGCACGUGCGUCUCCACAAACAGCUUCAUCGAGCUCUGCUCACGUCCAAGAGACGCAGCCUAUAAUGAAAAAAGAUUUAUUAACAACAACUUAAUUUAACGAUAUAUUUCAUUUAAAUUAAUAUUACCAUCCAUUUCGCAUGUGCAGCAAAUAGAACGGAGCCGCCAGUGUGCGUUGUCACCAAGUCAUGAAUUGGCCUAUUCCGGUUGCCAGCACCGGACUGUGAGCGUCGUGUGAACCGCUCAGACGUCACGUGCUCAAGAUAGUGUGGCCAUAUAUCUUCCGGGAUGUAUAUCGGUUUGAAAUCCCUCCAAACCGCAACAUCGUUCCAGCCUUGGAAACCCCCAUCUCUUGCAGUUUUUUUUGCCCUUUUUUGUGCUUCAUACCAAAAAUCACGCAACCUACUUCACGCAACCAAAAAUUACAUUUCGAGACAUAAAGUUUUGUCUAAAAAAUAUCUUGUAUUGUUUUUUAUGUUACCUAGUUGCCGCGUGAUUUUCCCACACCCUCCUCACAACAGUGUCAUGCUCACUGUCCCAACAAAAUUUGUGCUGUGUAUAAAUAAACAAGUUUAAAUAAAAAUAAUAAUUUAUUUACAAUUAUAUUAAUAAUUUAUUAGAAAUAAGCUGAAAAUUAUAAAUUAACACCAACCUCAAAUCUGUGAAACAAUGCAUUGAUUUGAGGCAUCCAUUCAGGAUGCUUGGAUAUCUGACUCCAUUGAAACAAUGGAAUCUCCAUCGACGAUUUAAACGCCGAUGAUAUUACUCGGGCGGCCUCAAUGUUUGUGAACUUGAAAAUAAAUGAAAUAAAUUCAAUAGUGAUUACUUCAUAAAUUAUGUUGUAUUUUUUUUUAAAAAAAAUAAAACCUUAACAAACUUACAUUGAAAGGUCGUCCUUCCACUGUGCCUCGUACUUGCGGGUAAAUUGAUUCCGCUGCAAAGGCACGCCUCUGCACUGUGAUGUAGCGUUGGAAGAGGCAGCAUCGGUUGACGGCGCAGGUGGUGUAGGUGCCUCUUCUUGAGAGGCACCUAAGGAAAUAUCAUCAUCGGUGCUAGACGAACUAUCUACGACCCUACGUGAGCGACCAGCUCUGGUUUUCAUUCUACGCAUCUACAUAAUUUUAUACAAAUAAUUAUAUAAUUACAUUCAAAUGUUAAAAAAAAAAUUCGACAACACCUCCCCUAAACUUGAUACUACCCAAAUCCACAAACCUGCACAUAUUAACAAUAGUCACAACCAAUUGACCUAAUCUAUACUAAUUAUUCCAACAUAUUCAAUUACUAAUCUUAAGGUAAAUUCAACAUUAAGAAUUACAAUUCAACAAAUUACUCAAUAAUUAUGCCAAUACAACAAUAAAAUAUAUUCAAUAAAUAAAUAAAAAACUCUAGACUAACAAUUAAAAUUAAUGGAAAAAAUUAAACAUAAAUAAUGUAACAAUAGAGUAAAAUUAACAAUUAUUCCAAAAUAUUCAAUUACUAAUACUAAGGUAAAUUCAACAUUAACAAUUACAAUUCAAAAAAUUAUUCAAUAAUUAUGCCAAUACAACAAAACAAUAAAUUGAAAAAAAACUCUAGAAUAACAAUCAAAAUAAAUGGAAAAAAUUAAACACAAAUCAUGCAAUAAUAGAGUUAAAUUAAUAAUUAUUCCAACAUAUUCAAUUACUAAUUCUAAGGUAAAUUCAACAUUAACAAUAAAUAUUCAACAAAUUAACUAAUAAUAAUUAUGCCAAUACAACAAUAAAAAAUAUUCAAUAAAUUCAAAAAAAAAACUAUAGACUUUAGGAAUGAAAUAUGCUUACUUUAUUAAUGUGUUGAAUUCAAUACUUUAUCUACAUUACAAAAAAUACACAAAAACAAAAAAACAUAACAAAAAAAAGCAAAAAAAAACCGUUAAAGUAAAAUGAAAUAGAAGAAACACAUACCUUUUAAAUUGAUGAAGAUUUACAAGAGAACUUGCUAGAGAUUGCAGGUGAAAGCUUUGAAGAACGAAGAGGAAAAGAAUCGAAAUUUCAGGUGAAAAACUGAGGAGAAGAAAAAAUAAACUGAAGGGGCGGUCGUUGGAACUUAUAUGGCAGUUUUACCGACGGAUUCACAGACGGACAUAAAAUUAAUUAUUAUUUUAAUUUAUUCCGUCGGUUAAUUGUCAAAAAUCCGUCAGUAUUUUUUGAAUUUCACACCAAAUUUUUAAUGACCCUCCAUAUUUUUCGUGGUCCGUCGGUAAUUCCGUCGGCAAUAUGACGCGGUCAGAGUUGCAUUUAAUGCACAACCCUUUGGAAUUCGCACGGUCCGUCGGUAAUUUUGUCGGUAAUAUUGAACAGCCGACAACUUACCGAUGUAAUUAUAUCUGUCGGUCUAGACGUCGGUGAUGGUGGCAUUUCAAGUAAUUAUUUCCUAACUCUCUGUGAAACGCCGAUGGAUAUAAGUCUGUUGGUAUAUACGUCGGUGAUUGUGGCAUUUCAAGUAAUUAUUUCCGAACUCUUUGUGAAACGCCGACGGACUUAUAUCCGUCGGUGAAGACGUCGGUGAUUGUGGCAUUUCAAGUAAUUAUUUCCGAAGUCUAUGUGAAACGUCGAUGGACUUGUAUCUGUCGGUAUGGACGUUGGUGAUUGUAGCAUUUCAAGGAAUAAUUUUGUGUUUCAAAAUAUAUCAUCCAUGAUCUAUAAUUAUUUCAAGUAAUUAUUUCGUGAUUGUGGCAUUUCAAGUAAUAAAUAUUUCGUGUUACAAAAUAUAUCAUCCAUAAUCUAAAUUAGUUAGAAUUUUCUUCUUCUUCGUCAUGAAUUGAAUUGUCAUCACCUUCAUCGCAAUAUUCAAUAUGGAUAUCAUCUUCUUCAUCGACAUUUGCUUGUCCGCUAGAGCUCAAAACAACAUUCAACUCCUCUGCGUCAACAUCAACAAGACUAUCAUCGAAAACACGAAAAUUUGAAUUUUCUUCCAAUUCAAUCGUAGAAGCAACUCGAUAUGGUUUAACCAACUCACUAACUUGAAAGACUUCAUCUCGCACACUUGUGUCUUCGUUCUCAUACUGAACAACCUCGACACGACCCCGGGGUUUUGUUUUUAAAACGAACAACCAAUCCACUCUUGAUUGAUCCUUUCUAAAUGAAGGGGUGUAUGUGUAAUAAACUUGUUGACAUUGCUUUGCAAAAACAAAGACAUCGUUUAUGUUGUGGAGUCUAGCUUUUGAGUUGAUUUCGACCAGACCAUAGUGUGGAUCAACUCUGAUUCCUCUGUUAGUCGUGUCAUACCAAUAGCAUUUGAAUAAAAACACUAUAUUCUGAUCGCUAUGAUAUUGCAGUUCGACGACCUCUUCUAAUCUACCAUAGUAGUCAACUUCUAACUCACUACUAGUGGAUCCCUUAACACAAACACCGCUGUUGUAUGUCUUUCUUCCUUGCUCGUAUUCUUCAGUAUGGAAAACAUAUCCAUUGAUAAAAUACCCGUUGUAGCACUUACAUUUUCUUUCAGGCCCCAGGCUUAGUGAAGACAAUGACUUAGGCGCACUCCUUCCCAUUUGAUAAACCUUGUAUGUAAUGUACAUCAAUAAACAGUAAAUGAACGAGAAUCUCGUAAAGACAUGCACACGUACAUUAAUUUUGUAAGUUAGAAUGAUUUUGUGAUAGUGCUUACAUGUGUUUUGAACCACGUGGCAAAUUAUUCAUCUUGUAAUUGAAAGAUCUGGGAUUCAGUUAGUUGUGAGUUAUUGGAGAGCAAAUAUUGUCGAUGUUGCCUGCAAGUGAUAGUGAGUGUAUGAUAUUACAAUAUAUAAUUAACAGUAUAUUACUAACAAAGUUUAAUUAGUAUUACACAUAUAUAAACUUACUGAAUAAAAGGUCUCAGCUAAUCACAGUUAAAUAGAACAUAGUUGUGUGCUUGUUUGAACUCUAUUUCCGACAAAUAUCUUCCUCUUAUGGCAUUUUUAGGUGUGGGUCGUCCAAUAUUGGAGAAUAUUGACAAGUUCCCACUGGAAGGCACUUCACCGCCAUCAUCGUGCCGUGGAACGCGAUUGAUUCUCGUUCUCAGAUGAGGUUCGAAAUAGUACGAGAUAAAUAUUGAGAUCUCCUCAACAAUAUAGGCCUCACAUAUCGAGGCCUCACAUAUCGAAGCCUCAACAUGCGCCUUUUUCUUAACCUUUUUCUUGAGAUUAAACAAGUACCUACAUUGAAUUAAUCAAGUAUUUUCAAUUAAGAAAAACAUAAAAAAUACUUUUAUAUAUGAAUUACAUUUCAACUGUAAUAUCUGACCGUUCGAAUGGGUACAUCCAUCUAUAUUGGACCGGUCCUCCAGCUUUUGUCUCGAACGGUAGAUGUAGAGGGAGAUGCUCUAUUGAGUCAAAAAAUGAUGGAGGGAAUAUCAUCUCAAGUUUGCAUAGUGUCUCGAUGAUAUUCGUUUGAAGCCUCUCAAUGUGCUCAACAUUCAACUUGCUGGAGCAUAUAUCUCUGAAGAAAUGACUGAUCUCUGUGAGUGCAUCCCAUAUUCCCUUUGGCAACAAAUCACGAAAAGCUAAUGGGAUGAGUGUUUGUAUAAACACGUGACAGUCAUGACUCUUCAUUUCAUAUAAUCUGCAGUCCUCUAUAUUAACCAGCCUUGAUAUGUUCGAUGCAUGUCCAUCCAGAAAACGCAGACUCUAAGCCAUUUGUAGACUAGCAGUUGUGCGUUUUUCUCUAACACGAAGCUUGCUCUUGGUUUGCGACCCGUGACUCAUCAUAAACCAACUCUAUAUUUUUACGGUUACAGUAUAAAGCUAUAUCCAAUCUAGCCUUGAUGUUGUCCUUUGUCUUCCCCUUCAAAUCCAUGACGGUGUUGAAAAUGUUCUCAAACAUGUUCUUUUGGAUAUGCAUGACGUCAAGGUUAUGGCGGAGUAGAUUGGUCUUCCAAUAAGGAAGCUCCCAAAAGAUACUUCGCUUUACCCAAUUAUGGGUCAAACCAAAACCAAGAAACUUUUGCUUACUUGUUUGAAGGCCAAACACAAUGUCAUCGUACUCUGAUACAACAUCAUGCAGUUCUUCACCAGAAAGACGCGGGGAUGCAACAUCUUUUUCAACUCUACCAACAAAGAAAUCUUUUCUGUUCUUUCUGUACUUGUGAUUAAGUGGCAAGAAGCGACGGUGACAGUAAAAAAAAGAAGCUUUACCUCCGUUUGCUAGCGUGAAUGCCUUAUUGUUUUCCAUGCAGUAUGGACAUGCGAGUUUCCCAUGCGUGCUCCAACUAGAAAGCAUUCCAUAAGCUGGAAAAUCAUUGAUAGUCCACAUCAAAGCCACCCUCAUAAGGAAAUUUUGUUUCCUCGAUAUAUCAUAAGUCAGAGCUUCGGAGGACCACAACUGCGCCAACUCAUCAAUCAAUGGUCGAAGACAAACAUCUAUAUUCCACCCCGGGCUGCUUGGACCGGUACCCGGUGUAUGAAAAUAGAUAAAAACAUGAACUCCGGCUAUAAAUUGUGAGUAUGACCGGCCAACAAGAAUAAGGAGCAGCAAAUGACCCAAAUGGGUUGAAUCCGUCUGUACAUAACCCAAGACGCACAUUCCUUGAUUCAGCUGAAAAGUGAGGAUGCACAUUGUUAAAGUGUUUCCAGGCUUCGCCGUCAGAAGGAUGCACCAUCACUCUAUCAACCGCAUCAUGUGCUUGGUGCGAUGUCAUGUGCUCAGCAGUUAUUGGUGACAUGAAUAACCUCUGCAGUCUAGGUAUGAUCGGGAAGUAUCUAAGUUUUUUAUAUGCCACUAGAGUCUUUCCUCUGCCAGUUCUAGGUUUGUAACGGGAAUGCCCGCAUGUCAUGCACUCGGUCAUCUCAGCAUUUUCAAGGUAGUAUACCAUGCAGAAGUUAGGGCACAUGUCAAUUUUCUGGUAUCCUAAACCGAGGGGUUUCAUCAUGGACUUCGCAGCAUAGAAGUUCUCUUUCAGCCUGUUCCCUUCAGGUAAAAUGCUUCUCGCCCAUUCAAUAAUCUUGUCAUACCCGGCCUCACUCAACCCGUGAUCUGACUUGAUGGUGAACACCUGUGCUACAGCCGAUAAUUUACUGUGUUUCGUGCAGUCAUCCCAUAAUGGUUCGUCAGAAUCUUUCAACAAAUCAAAAAAGCUAGCUCCAUCUGCAUUAGGUUCUUCUUCUACGAUUGGACAUUGACUGACUUUACCUUCAUUCAUUCUCAUUGCAUCCAUAACCAUAUUUCUGUAAGGAUUAGUGUUGUCAUUUUCCGCUUCAUGCAUGUUGCUAGCACUAAAAGUAGACUCAACCACCGUUUCUCCCAUUCUCCUCUUACUAACAAAUACUUCUCCAUGUGCAUACCAACAUUGGUAAUUCUCCAUAAACCCUUUGUGUAGAAGAUGCAUCAUUACAACAUCUGGAUGCAGAUAUUUUUUAUUUUGACACUUCCUGCAUGGACACCUAAUACCGCCUCCAAUAAAAUUUCUGGGAAUAGAUGUUGCAAAAUUAAUAAAACCCUGAACCCCGUUACAAUAAUCAAUCCUCCACAAUCAUUGGGGUGAAUCUCGAUACAUCCAUGAACGAUCAUCCAUGACUUAUAUCGAACCUCUAUAAAAUUAUGAUGACUUCAUGUAAGUAUUAAUUAACUAAGUUAGGUAAAUAAACUUGCAAAAAUAUUACUUUACCUCGAGAUUAUCCAACAAACUAAUCACAACUUCUCAUAAACAUUAAAUAUUCAUUAUCAUUUAUCAACGUCCAUACAAAUUAAUAUAUAUAAAUUUACAGAAAUUACCACUCCGCAAUACCAUUGAUAAAACUUUAAACGGACCCAUUAAGCAAGCUAUUAAUUAUUUCAAAAUAGAACAUGUAAUUCGGUAGUUCCAUAAAGUUUUAACAAUUUACAAACAAAUAUCAUCUUACAAAAUCUAAAACAAACCAUAACGUACAGGUAUAUAUAGAAUUAUACAUUCAUAAACUACAAGUUUGUUUGAGAAAUAACAAUAAAACAUGUACAUCUACUAACAAAAUACAUAUACUAAAAAAACAAUAAAAUUGACAUUUAAUUAAAUGUUAAUUAAAAUUUAAAAAGAUAGAAUUACUUACAAAAAUUGAUAAAAUCCGUUGGUAAAUCAGAACACGGAUGCUGUGACCACAAAACUUCAACAAAUAUAACUUCUUGUGCUGAUACGAGGGAGAUUUUUGUUUCGGGGGGAGGGGGGCUGGUUGUUUGCAGAUGGGGAGAGUUGGGAUUAGGAAGAAGAAGGAGAAAUAGGGGAGGAGAGGAGAGGAGAGGGAAAGUGGACAUAUAUUAACUUUUUCCAACGGUUUCACCGACGGAAAUUCCUUCGGUUAUUACGUCGGUGAUUCUGACGGAAAAAUCAACACGUCACUGUAUGGAUCUGCCAUUUCAAAUCCUUUGGUGAUUCCGUCGGCAUUUUAAACGGCAAACCGGUCACGUCACUGUACGAGCUAUCGUUUUGAAUCCAUCGGUGAUUCCAUAGGUAACAAAACCCAGCCAAAACCACCACAUCAGUGACCCGCCUUUUUUUAUAUUCGGAAAGUUUUUCGUUCGUAAUUUCGUCCGUAGUUACCGACUGAAUUACAAAUGGAAAACAUUCUGUCGGUAAUUUCAAGCUCAAAUUACCGACAGAAAUAUUCCGUCGGUAAAUCCGUUGCUAUUGAGCGAAUUUCUGGUAGUGUCAGGUAUAGUUGUAUGGACAUAUAUAUUUAUAUAUGUAUAUGAUGAUUAAAUAUGUUAUUGAUAAGAUUGAUGGAUAGUGAGUUUGAGGCCACAUUUAUGUGAGUAUUGGUUGCAUAAGAAAACAAAUCAUAAAACUUGAUAAUAAUUCACUAAAUAACUCUCAAUUAUUCAUCAAACCAAUCUGAAAAGGAUAAUAUUACAGCUACGGACCAAUCUGGAAUUUUUGCAUAUUUUUAAGGGUCAAAUUGUAAUUUUGUCAAAUUGGAGGACCAAAAUGAAAAUGUCCUAAAGUCAUAACUAUAUUGGAAUUUUGCCCAUAAUUCUUAUUUAAUUCUGUCCAGAAUCUUGGAUUAUGUUUCAGGGACCAAUCUGGAAUUUUAGCAGAUUUUUAGGGGUCAAAUCGGAGGACCAAAUGAAAAUAUUAUAAAUUCAUAACUAUACUGGAAUUUUGCUCAUAAUUCAUCUUUAAUUCUGUCAGUUGAAGCAUAAGCUAUAAUUGAUUGAAGGGCAUACAUAAUCUGUAGCCAUCUCUUCUAUAUAUAUAACUAGGGCAACAUACAAUAGUUACUGUGUACCGUACUACGCAGGAUAAAUAUAUACAAGAAUAUUCAAUAUUUCCUAUAUUACAACACAUUCCAUAAUACACCCCCUCAAGCUGAAGGUGGGGAAACCACAUGAAGCUUGGACCGUAAGGAAGCAAAAGCAGAGUGGGGAAGCGGUUUAGUAAGAACAUCAGCUAAUUGGUCUUUGGAAGGUAUGAAGUGAAUCUGUAUCUCCUUUUUAGCCACUCAAUCACGAACAAAGUGAUAAUCAACCUCAACAUGUUUUGUGCGUGCAUGGAAAACAGGAUUAACAGACAAAUAUGUAGCACCCAAAUUGUCACACCAAAUGGUGGUAGCAGAACUGGGAGAAAAACACAAAUUUGUUAGAAGGUAACGAAGCCAAAGAACCUCAGCAGUACCAUCAGCUAAUGCCUUAUAUUCUGCUUCUGUGGAAGAGCGAGCAACAGUGCGUUGCUUGCCAGAUUUUCAUGAAAUGGGAGUAGUGCCGAAAAAAACAAUGUAACCACCCGUAGACUUCCGAUCAUCGAUGCUUCCCGCUCAAUCAGCAUCAAUAAAACCAAGAAGGGAUAAUGAGGAAUCACGAGUAAGAUGAAGACCAAAGGAAGACGUACCCUUUACAUAUCGUAGUAUACGUUUGACAGCCGCCUAGUGACUCUCAGUUGGGGCAUGCAUAAACUAACAUACCUUAUUGACAGCAUAACAUAUGUCAAGUCUGGUAAAUGUGAGAUAUCUAAAGGCACCAACAAUUUGUCGAAAACGAGUGGAGUCCGAGAAUGGCUUACUAGGCAGGAGUCCAUUCUUAGAGGCAGAAACCGGUGUAUCAACAGGUUUACAGGUGGACAUACCAGCACGACUCAAAAUGUCAAGAGCAUAUUUGUGUUGAGUAAGCAUGAGACCCAUACUGGUGGGAGUAACCUCAAUCCCUAAGAAAUAGUGAGCAGAACCUAGAUCUCAGAGUUUGAUUUCUGAACUGAGCAGGGUAAUAAGGCUUUGAAGCAAACUGGAGUUACUACCAGUGAGCAGAAUGUCAUCCACAUAGACAAGCAAAUAACAGAUAUCAUGAUUCACUUUCAGAAUAAAUAAGGAAGUAUCAACCUUUGAAGCACGGAAGCCAACCGACAGAAGAAAGUCACUCAGUCGUUUGUACCAAGCCCGCGGGGCUUGUUUUAAACCAUACAGAGACUUAUAAAGGUGACACACAUGAGUUGGCAGAGCAGGGUUGACAAAUCUCGUGGGUUGCUGCAUAUAAACAACAUCUUUUCAUAGUCUUGUAUUAGAGCUCCCAAACCUUUUUUUUAUAGCCAUUUGAAAAACAAGGCUUUAUACAUGCACUAAUUAAUAAUAUGAACUAAAUAAAUUAUCAAUAUCUAACUAAUUAGUUAUUAUUGGUUUAACUCACACUUAUUCAUUUUAUUUCAAUAGUACUUUUAAAUUAAUUUUCUUCAAAAAAUCAAAUUCCUUUAAAUUUACUAAAAUUUUCAACUUAAUAAUAAAAUUAAUAAAAUGUGAAAUAUUUUCAUUAAAGCCGCUUUUAAACUAAGAAGUUCCUCCCACAAUACUCUUCUUCUUUCAUGGACCAGAUUUCCUGCAUAAACUCCUAUGAGUGCACAAUGAAAUCCUUUCUCAAUAGCGCUAUCCAUUGCCCACCAUAUUCAAUUGAACCUAGAAUUUACUAAAAUACCACCCGCAUUAUUUACCGAAUCAACUGUAAACCAGUUAACUGUUGGCGUAUUCCAUAAUGCACAAACAUAUCUAUCUGCAGUUGCAGCAGAACUGUAAGUUAUAAUAUAACGAAGAAUCCCUUUUCUGAUUCUAGAAUCCAGUGAACCUGGUGAUUCCACCUCACGUUCAUCCUCCACCCGCUGAAGACUGCCAUUGAAAGAGAAAAGCUCCACCUUGUGCUUCCUUCACCUAAGAACCAUUGGGUCUAAACUGGAUUGAUUGCAUCCCAUCUGAAUCACGUGGGCUUAAUUAAUGGAAGGAACGAACAAUUGUCAGUUUUAAAAGUUUGGUUCCAAUCAUUGUAAUUUCAAAUUUCCAUGCUCCUUCCAUUUAAGCAAGUAAUAACAACAAAGAAUAUGUUUAAAUCUCAGUGUUGUUUUAAAUUUUAUGUAAGAUAGUACAGUUUCAUUUAAAAAAUGAGAAAGAACAAUAAAAAUCCUCAAAUGCUACCACCUUCAAUUCUCAUUCAUCAACAACAGCAUACGUUCAAACAAGUGAUCAAUAGUGUUGAUGAAAAAUAAAUCAUUAGUGAUCAAGUGACGAGGAGUAGAGUAAGAUUGGCGCCAUUGUAAGCUUGACAAGCUUUGCCUACUCUAACUGCAACGAAAGAUUCAGUGCCUAAUCUCUGGACGGAGAAGGGGACGCCCUUGUUAUGUACACGGUUGCUCUGAAUGGUUCGAUGAUGCUCAUUUUAAACAUUUCAUGUCAAGGUUAUCAGUUUCAUUCUGGUUAGUGUUUCAUUUUUUUAAUUGAAACGGUAUGUUUUGGUUUUGGGAUUAUAUAUAUAUAUAUAUAUAUAUAUAUAUAUAUAUAUAUAUAUAUAUUAACUCAAUAAACAUAAUUUAAAUUUAAAUUUAAAUUUAAAGAUAAAUUAACUUGAAAUUAUGCAAUUUAAAUUUCAAACAGAAAUAAAAAAGUGAGAGUUAUACCGAUAUGACCCGAUCGACUAGACGGGUCCAAAGACAACCUAAACGACUGAUAAAAAUAUAGUUUGACUAAAAAAAGUGUAAGAUGAUAUUUUUAAAAAAAAUAUUAAGAUGACAACAUAUUGAAUCAACCCGGGUCAACUCGAUCGGGUUAACCUUCUAAAUUUGUAAUCCAGGUUAUACAAGAUUGGGGGAGGCUAGUGGGAUGGUCCAUGAGACCAUUGCCCCGUAAGCUUGGGAAUGGAUAAUAUGCUUUAAUUUCAAUUUAGUUUACAAAAAUAAAUAAAUUAAAAGCUUAAGCAUAAAAAACAAAUCUCAAGUGUAAGAAUGCAACCACCGAUUCAUUAAUGGACAAAGGACCUUAGAUUAAUAUAUGACGCUUCUUUCAAUGGAAAUGUAAAUUCUUUACUAGAAUAUCAUAUAUUUUUUUUGUAUUUGUUUUCUGGUUAUAUUUAAUUUUUCAUCAGUAUUCCUAACGUAAAUUGCUAUGUAUUUCGAAUCUUGAAUGAUUGAAAGAUAGAAAACAGAAAAGAAAGAGAGAUAAGGCAAUUCAAAAAAAGAAGACUUUUAUAAACAUAUAUGGCUUAACAAUAUUAAUCAACUCUUAAUAUCUUUCAUUUUAUAUUUAUUAAAAGUAAAUAUUAAAACCUAUUAUAUUAAUUUGUAAAGGUAUUUAUUUGGAUGGGAAAUAUAUUUCUAAUUUUUUAUUUAAAAAGUUCUAUAUACUACAACUAACUUAAGAAAGUCAUGUUCAUCAGGAUCAUAGACUAAAAAAAAGAAAAAAAUUGAAUUGCAUAAAAGUAUCACUAUAAAUGUUAUUCUUAGAAAAUAUCCCUAUAGCAACAGUACAUGAAAUAAUGUCAGAAUAAAUUUGUGUGACGUAAUAAUAUCUGUUUAUUUUUGUAUUUUUAAAAAGAUUUUUUUUAAAUAGAUAACUUUUGAAUCAUCAAGUAGUGAACACAAAAAGAGUGAAGAAAGUGAAGAAUAAUCAAAGUGGUGUGGAUCCACAUCAAUUUUUGUCCAUGUUUUUGGUAAUAUUAAUCUCUUUAUCCAUUUAUAGCCAUAGAAAAGAACAUCACCUACUGUGUUUCUUGUCUCUUCUUGUCUGGAAGAUAAGGUUUGUGAACCUUUGAGUGCCACUUAUUUUAGUACACAGACUGGAUAUUUGACUACAGCUUCACCGCCAGUUAAUUGUUUUUUCAAUUAAAAAAAUUUAUAUAUAGAUUUCUUCAACGUAUUUUUUAUUUCAAUUUUUUGAAGUAAAAAUCAAAAACUUUAUACACAAAUGUAGUCAAAUAAAUCGAGAAUUAUGUGUGUUGAUAAGUGAAAAAAAUCAUAAAUAAUGACUCAAAAUAAAAACUGGAAAAAUCAAAAGACAAGUAUAAAUCAAGAUAUUUUUUUUUUAUCAAAUGUAAAUCAAGAUAUUUAAUUUCACAAGACGUGAUAUUUACGUAGUUGUGUUUUCUAAAUUUUCUAAUUAAAAUAAUUUUUUUAUUCGAUCAAACGAUAAUAAAAACAGACAAACAAAUUAUAAAUUGAUUGAAUAAAAUAAAAAGAGAAAAAAUAAUAUAUAAGACCACAUAUUAGAAAUAUUAUUUGAAAAUAAAUUUCUUUUUAUUUUCAAAAAUAAAAUUCUUCUAUAAAAAAGAUUUUUAUAAGUAUAAAAAAGAAUUUUUUUAAUUUAUUCAGUUUUUUAAAUAAAGUUAAUCUAUCGCAAGAGUACACGAAAUAAGUAUUUUGCCGUCAUGCAUUUUUUUUCCUCAAGACCAUUUCCAUCAUGCACUGAUGAGUCCAGGAGACCAUUUCCAUCAUGCAUUUAUGAGUUCGUGAGACCAUUUCCAUCUGCACAUUGGUCCCUGAGACCGUUGCCAUCAUGCAUUUUUCCUCAAGGAGAGGCCGUGAGACGUCGUCUUCCAACCAUCAUGCAUUUUUUCCAAGAGAUGGGGCCGUACGCUCGGGGCUCUAAAAGCUAUGGUUUUUAAUUUUAUUAUGUCACGUCUACAAUGGCAAGUAUAUUUUAUUUCAAUUUAAAAAACUGAAUAAAUUUAAAGAUAUUUCAUCUAGUUUAAAAUCUUAUCUCUAAAUUUAAAGAUAUUUCAUCUAGUUUAUAUAACAAGUUAAAAUUUCAGAGCAAUCAGAGUUUAAAAAGAUUUUACGAGAAUAUUUUCAUAAUUUUAUUUAAAUUCUUUUUUUUUUUAUCAAUAUUCCUAACAUAAAUUGCUAUAUAUUUUGAAUCUUAACGAAUUAAAAGGUAGAAAAACGAUAAGAAUGAGAGACACAACAGUUCAAAAGAAAAAGAAAAAAGAACAAAAGUGAAAGAAAGAAAAGAGAACAAAAAUGGAGCAGUUUUUUAUUAACUAUAUAAAUUUUAUUGCAAAUAUGUAAACAUAUCAUGUGGGUUAAAAGAAAUGAUUUUUAUAAACAUAUAUGGCUUAACAAUAUUAAUCAACCCUUAAUAUCUUUCAUUUUAUAUAUAUAUUAAAAGUAAAUAUUAAAACCUAUUAUAUUAAUUUGUGAAGGUAUUUACUUGGAUGCGAAUUAUAUUUCUAAUUUUUUAUUAAAAAAGUUCUAUAUACUACACCUAGCUUAAGAAAGUCAUGUUCGUCAGGAUCAUAGAGUAAAAGAAAGAAAAAAUUGAAUUGCAUAAAAGUAUAGUGUUAUUCUCCGAAAAUAUCUUCGUUACUUGAUAAAACUCCCUAAACUACUAUAUGUUUCUAACAUAGUUAUUAAACCCGGCUCGGGGGUUGACCUGGCCAAAGGGCCGGGUCCCGGGUUUUAUUGGUCAACCCGGGUCAACUUGGGUCAACCUGGAUCAACCUGGAAAUUUUUAAAAAAAAAAUUAAAGUUUUAAUAUUUUAUAUGAAAAAAUUAAGAAAAAAUCCAUGUAAAUAUAGGCUAUACAUAUUGUAAAUAAUGAAGUUUAAAAGAAUAUUUUAAAAAGUUUUUUUUAUCUCACAUUAAAAAGAUAUUAUGUUAAGCUUUUAAGUUGAAGUAUUUAAAACAAAAAAGUUUUUUAUCCCACAUUGAAAAAACAUAACUUUUUUCUUGGGAACAUAGAGUAUAUAUACUAAUAGGGGUGUUUAAAAAAACUGACCAACCGAUUAAACCGAAAAAACCGAGAAACAAUUAACUGAAAAAACCGAACCGAUAUAAAAAACCGAAUAAAUCGAUUAAAAAAUAAAGAAAAACCACCCAGUUCGAUUCGAUUCCGGUUUAAAAAGGUUUAAACCGAUAGAACCGGACCAAACCGAACUAGUUUAAUUGAAUCUAAAAAAAGUAUAAAAGAAAACAUCCUAAACCUAAAUAGUAAAUACCCUAACUCUAUCUUUCCAGCCUCCCCACCUUUCCAGCCGCCCCCCUUCCCUUUCCCUUUCCCUUUUCCCCCUUCCCCUUUCCCUUUCCAGCCGCCCCACCCAUCCCUCCCUCCCUGCUCUCUCUCUCCCCCCCUUCCCCUUCCCCUUUCCAGUCGCCCCACCCUUCCCUCUCUCACGCUCCUUCUCCUGUAUGCUCUUUUCUCUCAUUUUCUCUCAUAUUGUUGCCUUUCUACUCUCUGCUUUAAUUUCUGGCAGAAAACUUGGAUAAAAUCCUUGUUUCUGGUUUUAUUAACAUGUAGUUGUGCUAGCGAAGUCCUGGUAGUUUGCAAGACGCUAUUAGAAUAUUUGUUAACAUGUAGUUGUGCUAACUUGGAUAAAUCUAGUAAUUGUGAUUCGGCUAAGGGAGAUCUUUCAGAUCUCAACCGAAGUGUAAAACCUCUGGGCGAAAAAUUAUAAAUUGACUAGUUUCAUGUAAAACAAAAGGAAAAAAAAUUUUUGUAACUCCCGAUCGGGUUAUCAAAAAAUUCUAAAUAUUUGCGUGGAGCAUUCUAAUAUGAUUCCUUAACUUGGGUUAAAAUUUCAGAAUUUUUAGAGAAAUUCAGAAAUUUGACGAAAAAUCACAAUUUGACUAGUUUUACCUUAUUGGAUGUAAUUUUAAAUCCGACCAUCAGAUUGAGCUGAAAUUUUAGGAGGAACCUUAAAAUACAUUGAAUAAAAUCUGGUUAAACUUUUAGGAUAAACGGAGCUCGGUAGUGCUAUCAAAUAAUAAGAAACGUCAAAUGGAAGCAAAAAGACUCAUUAAGGGUAAAAUAGUAAUUUGCCAUUAAAAAUAAAACAAGGCAGCCCCUUUUCUGUUAUGAACUGCCGACUGGGCAGUAGCAAAUGUGGAAAGAAAAAAAGAAAGAAAACAAGAGAAGAACAUGAGAAGUUAAGAGAAAAACAAGAAAAAGUGAGAGAGAGCUUUGAAACUUGUAAGAUUGAAAGGCUUAGAACAUUAAAUUAAGGAAGAAUCAAGUGAAGGAAGAUAUAAGAAAGGUGAGGAGGGCUGGCAACACUAGGAGGAGAAGAAAAGUUGGGAGAACUUAGAUUGGUAAGCAUGAAAAGUUUAGAUUCUUACUUGAAUGAAGUGUUUUUGGGUGUAUUUGAGUAAGUUAUCAAACAAUGACAAUUAAAUUUGAUUUAAUUUCUCAUAAUCUUGAUUUUUUUAAAAUUAGGGUUCUUAUGAGAAUUUGGGGAUUUUGAGAAAAAUAGUAAGCAUGAUGUAAUCGAGGUAGAAUAGUAUAGAAAUAGUGAAUGUAAGUAGUAAUUAAGAAGGAAAUUUAAUAAUGUUGAAGAAAAGAACUUGUAAUUAAGGAUGAGGAAAUAUAUGAAUGAGGUUUUGAUUGUUUUAUGUUUGAGAAUUGAUGUUCUUUAUCUUAUUUGAAGUAUUCAAAAUAUAAAUAAGUGAAGAAACAUCAUAAGAAUGUGAAAAGAAGGAAUAAAUAAAUGGUAGGAAAAGUUCAUGGGAGAAUUCUUUAAGUGAGUUAAAAGAAGAAAAUUUAUUAAAACUAUAUGUUGAAAACAAGGUGACAAAUGAAUGAAAAUUUUGGUGUAAACCCCAAUUAAAUAAAAGAUAUUACGUGCUUCAGAUUUAGGCACGUAUGAGAAAUGAUAAUGAAUUAAUAAUGUAGUGCAAUCUGAUUGAUUCAGGAGUUGUACCGGGAGCAGGGCAUCAAGCAAGAGGAGCUGGGCCAUCACGAGCAGACGGUAAGUGAUUUAUCACUUUCUUUUAAAAUUCAAAGUUUCAUUAUUAGUUAUGAGUUGUUUAUGACAUGUUGAUAUGAAAGAAGUAGAUGAAGAAAUUGUUGGUAUUAUAAUUGAAUUACCGGUUAAUAUGAAGUACCGGUUAGUUAACAUAGAAUUACCGGUUGGUUAGUAUAGAAGUACCGGUUGGUUAGUAUAAAAUUACCGGUUGGUAUGGAAUUACCGGUUGUAUUGGCUAUUGAUAGAGAAUAGCCGGAUGUUGGGUAAUUCGUAUGGAAUUACCUGGUAUAUUGGCUAUUGAUAGAGAAUAGCCGGAUGUUGGGUAAUUCGUAUGGAAUUACCGGUUGUAUUGGCUAUUGAUAGAGAAUAGCCGGAUGUUGGGUAAUUCGUAUGGAAUUACCGGUUGUAUUGGCUAUUGAUAGAGAAUAGCCGGAUGUUGGGUAAUUCGUAUGGAAUUACCGGUUGUAUUGGCUAUUGAUGGAGAAUAGCCGGAUGUUGGGUAAUUCGUAUGGAAUUAACGGUUUGAUAGUUGGCUAUUUAAGAGGGUUAGCCGGGUUUGAGGUAAAAUUAUGAAUUACCAAAUUAAAAAUUAAGCAAUGAGUGUUGGUCACAGAGGUCCUAUAAGUAUAAGAUUAAUAAAUUAUGAAUGGGUUAUGAAUGUUGAUAUAUAGUAAGUUGGUGAUGAAAGAUAAUUUGAUAUAAUUUUGAAGACUUGUGAACAUAAUAGCUUUAUCAUCUUUAAUGUGUUAUCUUCCUUAUUUCUUAUUAAUGUUAUGUAUACAGGUUUUUCACGAGGUUAUGCGGAGCUUUAAAUAUGGGCUUUGUGAUUUAAUCUGUUUAUUUUGUGGAAUGUAAUAUAUUUGCUUAAUAUGUAAUUUGUAUUCUAUGUAGUUGUAAUAUAUGUAUCCUGAAUAUGUUUUGCUUUUGGUACUUAUACUUUUAAAAUGUAUGAGUAAGGAACUAAUAUUAUUAAACUAUUCAAAAAGAAAAUUAGUAAUUAUAAUCUUGUAUGUGUAGAAGAUGAAUGCAUGUUAAUGUAAUAAUUAGUUCAAUAUGAAUCUUUUGAGUUUAUAAUUGUUUGUAGUUAAUGUGUUAUUUGUUGAUGAUGUAAGGUUGAGAAAAUACAAUGAAGUAUAGUUAUGUGAAAUAUUAUUUGAUGAGAUGGGAUAUGAUCCAGGAUGGUUGGAUCAAAGUGGAGGUUUUGAGUAUUGUGAUUGAAUGAAGUCUAGUCGAUAACUUGGUAACAUCAGAAAACAAAGGAAACUCUGCCGAAAUUUCAACAAAAAAAAAUCCCAUAAUCUUAGACAUACUAUUCAAUACUUGACAUUAGUAAAGAAAUGUUUGAGAUUUCAUGACAUUAUAAUUUGAGGGUGUUACAUUUGGUAUCAGAGCCUGGUUAAGGCUUAGGAGACCAUCAUUAACGUAAAAUAAUAUUGUUUCAGGAUGGUACGUACACGGCAAGAAGCCAGGGCUGACUCGUCACCAGCGAGGGACGAGCGUUUAGUUGAGACAGGAGAUAGAGGACUAGAGGGAGAUCCACUGGUAGAUACAGCAUCUUUUGUGCCAGCUGUGUCAGUGCAAUCUGGACAGGGAGAGUCAUCAAGACUUCGAGAUGAGCGGGGGGUAUUUGAUGGAGAUGGGCAGGGGACUCAGCCCCCACCAACAGUAGCGCCUGCAGUAGCACCAGCAGCACCCCUUGUGGCAGCACCUCCACUAUACCCAGAUCCAGCUUAUUUUGCGCAGUUGGUUCGUGCAGUGAUGAUAGAGAUGUCAGGACCAUUGAGUACUACCCCUAGGGAUACUGUGGUCAAUUUAGUUCGAUGGUAAAGAGUUUGAGGGAAUUAGGCUGUGAAGCAUUUAUGGGAGAGGAGGAUGCUGAGAUAGCUGGCCGAUGGUUACGAAAGAUAGAAAGGUCCAUGGAACAAAUAGCAGUACCAGCAGAGCUGUAGGUGGAUUGUGCGACUCAGCUGUUAUCGGACAGAGCUUAGACAUGGUGGGAUAUUGUUAAAGAGAGACGGGCUGCUGAGACGCUUAGAUGGAGGGAUUUCAGGACAGAGUUUGAGAACCAGUAUUAUUCCCGCCAACAUCAAAAGAUCAAGGAACAGGAGUUCUUGGCUCUUACACAAGGAGAUAUGACAGUAUUGGAAUAUGAGAGGCGGUUUCAGGACCUCUCUAUGUUUGCUUCUGUUUAUUUACCGACUGAGCAGCAUCGGAUCGAGAGACUCCGAGAUGGACUCCGACAGGAGCUGAAGAUGGGAUUGGCUGCUUUACAGUUUCCGACAGUGAGGGAUUUUAUAGUGGCCGCUCAGUCUCUAGAGGCCGUGGCAGCUGCAGGGCGGCGGGAAGGUGAUGGACAUGGUAUUAUGGGAGCAGAAAAGCGUAAAGAGCCUGCAUCGUUUAUAGGGAGACCUCCUUUUCCAAAAAAGGGAAAAGGAGGACAUUUUGGUCAGUUCAGAAAGAAAGGAGGAAAUUUUGGAUCAGGGGGUACAUCGAGUAGAUCUAUGCAGAGCUCACACGGAGGGCGGUCACACCCAUAAACUAGCUUACCAGGAGGAGUCGCAGAGGGCUCCAGGAUGACUACUUAUCCCCUGUGUGUGAGAUGUGAGCGUAGACAUCCUGGAGAUUGUUCGGCUACAUCUGGCAGAGGUUAUAUAUGCAGACAGGAACAUAGAUGGAGGGAUUGUCCCUAUCUAAAUGCAGCAUGUUAUCAUUGUGGAGAGCCUGGGCAUCGUAAGAGGGAGUGUCCUCAGAGGACUAUGGGGCAGGCGCAGAGACAAGGUUUUUCAGUACAGAGUCAGCAGUAGUCUGCGACCGUGCACAGGCUGAGUAGACCUACCCAGUCUGGGACUAGUGUCGUUCGAGGCCGACCUCGAGUACAAGGAGGUGGAGUUCAAGGGAGAGUUUUCCGUAUGACUCAAGAAGAUAUGCGAGCUGCCACUGAUGUUGUUGCAGGUACCUUACUGUUAGAAUCUCAGCCUGUAUAUACAUUGAUUGAUCCUGGUGCUACCCAUUCCUUUGUAGCUAGAAAAUGUGAAGAUAAAUUGAAAGUGCAGCCUAUGAGAGUGGGAAAAGGGGUAGUAAUUGGUACACCUUUAGGGGAAACUGUACUUAUCGAGUAUGUUUACAAGGGUUGUCGGGUAAGAAUAGGAGAUGUUGAAAUGAGGGUAGAUUUAUUACCACUAGACUUAUAUGAUUUUGAGAUGAUCUUGGGAAUGGAUUGGCUAGUAAUUUACAGAGCCCAAAUAGAUUGUUUUACUAAAACGGUAACUCUCCAGGAUGAGGGGGGUAGGAGGGUAGAGUUUAGAGGAGAGAGAAAUGUCAUACCAAAUAGUAUAAUUUCAGUUGUGACGGCUAGGAAACUAUUAAGAAAAGGAUGUACAACUUAUCUUGCCUAUGUAGUAGAUUUGGAAAAGAAAGAAAUAGAGUUGGAUAAAAUACCUGUAGUAAGGGAGUUUCCAAAUGUAUUUCCAAAGGAAUUACCCGGGUUACCACCUGAGAGAGAAGUAGAAGUUGCGAUAGAAACAUUGCCUGGAACUACACUAGUAGCUCAGGCACCGUAUCGAAUGGCGCCUAUAGAAUUGGUGGAAUUAAAAAUACAGUUGCAAGAAUUGCUGGAUAAAGGGUUUAUUCACCCUAGUGUUUCACCUUGGGGGGCUCCUGUGCUGUUUGUUAAAAAGAAAGAUGGAACAUUACGGCUCUGUAUAGAUUAUAGACAACUCAAUAAAAUGACUAUAAAAAAUAAGUACACCCUUCCACGAAUUGAUGAUUUGUUUGAUCAGUUAAAAGGGGCAUGUGUAUUUUCAAAAAUAGACUUGAGGUCAGGGUAUCAUCAGGUGAUGAUAAAGGAGAAAGAUUGCAGAAAACAGCUUUUAGAACUCGCUACGAGCAUUAUGAAUUUGUGGUGAUGCCUUUUGGAUUAACUAAUGCCCCAGCGAUAUUUAUGGAUUUGAUGAAUCGGGUUUUUCGAUCUUAUCUAGAUAAGUUUGGAGUGGUGUUUAUUGAUGAUAUACUAAUAUAUUCUUCGUCACAAAUGGAACAUGCAUAUCAUUUGAGAGAAGUGUUAGAGACCUUGAGGAGAAAUAAGUUGUAUGCGAAGCUGAGUAAGUGUGAAUUUUGGCUAAAUGAAGUGGUAUUUUUAGGUCAUGUGAUAUCGGAGAAGGGUAUCAGUGUGGACCCGAAAAAGAUAGAAGCAGUAUUAAAAUGGGAAAGACCUACGAAUGUGACUGAAAUUCAUAGUUUCCUGGGCUUAGCUGGAUAUUAUAGAAGAUUUAUAGAAGGAUUUUCCACAAUAGCCUCUCCAAUGACUCGACUAACUCGGAAGGAAGUUAAGUUUGAAUGGUCAAAAGAUUGUGAAGCAAGUUUCCAGGAGUUAAAAUCCAGGCUAACUUCAGCCCCAGUAUUGGCCUUACCAAAAGGACAAGAGGGAUUUGUUGUGUUUAAUGAUGCUUCCAGUAAGGGUUUGGGUUGUGUACUUAUGCAGCACGAAAGGGUAAUCGCUUAUGCAUCCAGACAGUUGAAAACACAUGAGGUGAACUAUCCAGUACAUGAUUUGGAGCUGGCAGCUGUGGUGUUUGCUUUGAGGAUAUGGAGACAUUAUUUGUAUGGGGUACAGGUACAGAUUUUUACAGAUCAUAAAAGUUUAAAAUAUUUGAUGUCAUAAAAAGAAUUGAAUAUGCGACAGAGGAGAUGGAUGGAGUUGAUCAAAGAUUAUGAUUGUAUUAUUGACUAUCACCCGGGAAAAGCAAAUGUGGUGGCAGAUGCUUUGAGUCGGAAGAAUAAAGCUUUUAUUGGUGGUUUACUAGUGCGAGGUGAUAGAGAACUUUUGGAACUAGGUGGACUAAACGUGCAUUUGGAUGUGACUUCAGGAGGAAUGUUACUAGCAACGUUAGUGCUACAAUCCGACAUGAGAGAAAAGAUUCGAAAAGCUCAAGGUGAAGAUCUCGAAGUGAUGAAAGAAAUGAAUAAUGUAAAAGUUGGCCAAGACUCUUUAUUUCGAGUGUCAAAUGAUGGGCUCGUAGUGAUGGGAAAAAUAAUAUAUUUACCUAAUGAUGACGUUUUAAAAGGUGAAGUCUUAAAAGAAGCUCAUGAGUCUAAAUUGGCAAUCCAUCCAGGGAGCACGAAAAUGUAUAGAGAUUUGAAGGAGAGUUAUUGGUGGCCAAAAAUGAAGAGGGAGAUAGCCGAAUAUGUGGCCAAGUGUGCCAUAUGUCAACAGGUGAAAGUGGAGCAUCAACGACCGGCUGGAGAAUUACAAUCUCUUCCGAUUCCAGAAUGGAAAUGGGAGAAUAUCACUAUGGAUUUUGUAUCUGGGUUACCGAAAAGCAGGAAAGGACAUGAUGCCAUAUGGGUGAUUGUGGAUAGGCUGACAAAGUCUUCUUUGUUUUUGCCUAUGAAGAUGGGGGAUUCGGUUGAAAAACUAGCUCAAUUAUAUAUUAAAGAGGUGGUGAGAUUGCAUGGUGUACCACUUUCUAUAGUAUCCGAUAGGGAUCCUCGGUUUACAUCAAGGUUAUGGCCGUGUAUACAACGGGCUUUGGGUACCAGAUUGAAUCUAAGCACAGCUUUUCAUCCACAGACUGAUGGGCAAUCUGAAAGGACAAUACAGAUUUUGGAAGAUUUGUUGCGGUCUUGUAUACUAGAGUUUGGAGGUCAAUGGGAGGAUCACUUGUCAUUAGUAGAAUUUACGUAUAACAAUAGUUAUCAAUCUACUAUUGGAAUGGCACCAUUUGAAGCAUUGUAUGGAAGGAGAUGUCGAACUGCAGUAUGUUGGGAUGAAGUUGGGGAAAGAAAAUUAUUGGGACCUGAACUGGUGCAGAUCACGGUUGAUAAGGUGAAGGUGAUAAAGGAAAGGAUGAAAGAAGCUCAAGACCGGCAAAAGAGCUAUGCAGAUAAUCGACGGAGACCACUAGAGUUUCAAAUAGGAGAUAUGAUAUUUUUAAAGGUUGCUCCAUGGAAGCAUGUCAUUCGGUUUGGAAUGAAGGGAAAAUUGGCACCUAGGUAUAUCGGGCCAUAUAAAAUUAUAGAAAGAAUUGGGACGGUUGCCUAUCGAAUACUGCUGCCACCACAUUUAGAUAGGAUACAUAAUGUGUUUCAUGUUUCGAUGUUGCGGAAAGCAGACCUGGAUCCUACACGAAUUUUGCCACAAAUUUCAAUGGAAGUGCGGGAAGAUUUAACUAUGGAGGUACAACCUGUUCAAAUUAUGGACCAAAGUAUAAAGGAAUUACGAAAUAAAAAGGUGCCGUUAGUAAAAGUAUUGUGGAGAAACUCUCAAAUAGAAGAAGAAACCUGGGAGAGAAAGUCUGAAAUGAUGAAGAAGUAUCCUGGAUUAUUUUCUUAUAGAGGUAUGAAUUUAAUUUCGAGGACGAAAUUUUUUUUAGGAGGGGAGAAUGUAAAAUCUCUGGGCGAAAAAUUAUAAAUUGACUAGUUUCAUGUAAAACAAAAGGAAAACAAAAUUUGUAACUCCCGAUCGGGUUAUCAGAAAAUUCUAAAUAUUUGUGUGGAGCCUUCUAAUAUGAUUCCUUAGCUUGGGUUAAAAUUUCAGAAUUUUUAGAGAAAUUCAGAAAUUUGAUGAAAAAUCACAAUUUGACUAGUUUUACGUUAUUGGAUGUAAUUUUAAAUCCGACCAUCAGAUUGAGCUGAAAUUUUAGGAGGAACCUUAAAAUACAUUGAAUAAAAUCUGGUUAAAAGUUUAGGAUAAACGGAGCUCGGUAGUGCUAUCAAAGAAUAAGAAACGUCAAAUGGAAGCAAAAAGACUCAUUAAGGGUAAAAUAGUAAUUUGCCAUUAAAAAUAAAACAAGGCAGCCCCUUUUCUGUUAUGAACUGCCGACUGGGCAGUAGCAAAUGUGGAAAGAAAAAAAGAAAGAAAACAAGAGAAGAACAUGAGAAGUUAAGAGAAAAACAAGAAAAAGUGAGAGAGAGCUUUGAAACUUGUAAGAUUGAAAGGCUUAGACCAUUAAAUUAAGGAAGAAUCAAGUGAAGGAAGAUAUAAGAAAGGUGAGGAGGGCUGGCCACACUAGGAGGAGAAGAAAAGUUGGGAGAACUUAGAUUGGUAAGCAUGAAAAGUUUAGAUUCUUACUUGAAUGAAGUGUUUUUGGGUGUAUUUGAGUAAGUUAUCAAACAAUGACAAUUAAAUUUGAUUUAAUUUCUCAUAAUCUUGAUUUUUUUAAAAUUAGGGUUCUUAUGAGAAUUUGGGGAUUUUGAGAAAAAUAGUAAGCAUGAUGUAAUUGAGGUAGAAUAGUAUAGAAAUAGUGAAUGUAAGUAGUAAUUAAGAAGGAAAUUGAAUAAUGUUGAAGAAAAGAACUUGUAAUUAAGGAUGAGGAAAUAUAUGAAUGAGGUUUUGAUUGUUUUAUGUUUGAGAAUUGAUGUUCUUUAUCUUAUUUGAAGUAUUCAAAAUAUAAAUAAGUGAAGAAACAUCAUAAGAAUGUGAAAAGAAGGAAUAAAUAAAUGGUAGGAAAAGUUCAUGGGAGAAUUCUUUAAGUGAGUUAAAAGAAGAAAAUUGAUUAAAACUAUAUGUUAAAAAUGAGGUGACAAAUGAAUGAAAAUUUUGGUGUAAACCCCAAUUAAAUAAAAGAUAUUACGUGCUUCAAAUUUAGGCACGUAUGAGAAAUGAUAAUGAAUUAAUAAUGUAGUGCAAUCUGAUUGAUUCAGGAGUUGUACCGGGAGCAGGGCAUCAGGCAAGAGGAGCUGGGCCAUCACGAGCAGACAGUAAGUGAUUUAUCACUUUCUUUUAAAAUUCAAAGUUUCAUUAUUAGUUAUGAGUUGUUUAUGACAUGUUGAUAUGAAAGAAGUAGAUGAAGAAAUUGUUGGUAUUAUAAUUGAAUUACCGGUUAGUUAACAUAGAAUUACCGGUUAGUUAACAUAGAAUUACCGGUUGGUUAGUAUAGAAGUACCGGUUGGUUAGUAUAAAAUUACCGGUUGUAUUGGCUAUUGAUAGAGAAUAGCCGGAUGUUGGGUAAUUCGUAUGGAAUUACCGGGUAUAUUGGCUAUUGAUAGAGAAUAGCCGGAUGUUGGGUAAUUCGUAUGGAAUUACCGGUUGUAUUGGCUAUUGAUCGAGAAUGGCCGGAUGUUGGGUAAUUCGUAUGGAAUUACCGGUUGUAUUGGCUAUUGAUGGAGAAUAGCCGGAUGUUGGGUAAUUCGUAUGGAAUUACCGGUUUGAUAGUUGGCUAUUUAAGAGGGUUAGCCGGGUUUGAGGUAAAAUUAUGAAUUACCAAAUUAAAAAUUAAGCAAUGAGUGUUGGUCACAGAGGUCCUAUAAGUAUAAGAUUAAUAAAUUAUGAAUGGGUUAUGAAUGUUGAUAUAUAGUAAGUUGGUGAUGAAAGAUAAUUUGAUAUAAUUUUGAAGACUUGUGAACAUAAUAGCUUUAUCAUCUUUAAUGUGUUAUCUUCCUUAUUUCUUAUUAAUGUUAUGUAUACAGGUUUUUCACGAGGUGAUGCGGAGCUUUAAAUAUGGGCUUUGUGAUUUAAUCUGUUUAUUUUGUGGAAUGUAAUAUAUUUGCUUAAUAUGUAAUUUGUAUUCUAUGUAGUUGUAAUAUAUGUAUCCUGAAUAUGUUUUGCUUUUGGUACUUAUACUUUUAAAAUGUAUGAGUAAGGAACUACUAUUAUUAAACUAUUCAAAAAGAAAAUUAGUAAUUAUAAUCUUGUAUGUGUAGAAGAUGAAUGCAUGUUAAUGUAAUAAUUAGUUCAAUAUGAAUCUUUUGAGUUUAUAAUUGUUUGUAGUUAAUGUGUUAUUUGUUGAUGAUGUAAGGUUAAGAAAAUACAAUGAAGUAUAGUUAUGUGAAAUAUUAUUUGAUGAGAUGGGAUAUGAUCCAGGAUGGUUGGAUCAAAGUGGAGGUUUUGAGUAUUGUGAUUGAAUGAAGUCUAGUCGAUAACUUGGUAACAUCAGAAAACAAAGGAAACUCUGCCGAAAUUUCAAAAAAAAAAAUCCCAUAAUCUUAGACAUACUAUUCAACACUUGACAUUAGUAAAGAAAUGUUUGAGAUUUCAUGACAUUAUAAUUUGAGGGUGUUACACGAAGGGCCCGAAUUCAAAGUUUUCAACAAGGAUUUUUCUGAAUGUGGUUCGGCCAAGUUUAUCCAGUGAUUGUGAUUCAGCCAAGUUUUCUUUAUUUAAUUGGUUUCGGUUUUUCUGGUUUUUCAGGCUAAAAAACCAACCUGAACUGAACAAAACCGGUUUGGUUUGAACCGAUUCUUGUUUCGGUCCGAGUUAUAUUAACAAGGAAUAGUAUUUUCCUGUUCGGUUCAAUUUUUAGGUUAAAACCGGAACGAACCGGACUGUGAACACCCCUAUAUACUAAUGAGUUUCAAAUCCCAUAUUGAAAAAAGAUAACUUUUUUCUUGGGAACAUAGAGUAUAUAUACUAAUGGGUUUCAAAUCCUACAUUGAGAAAACAUUGCUUUUUUUCUUGUGAACAUAUAGUAUAUAUACUAAUGGGUUUCAAAUCCCACAUUAAAAAGAUACUAUGUUAUCUUUUUAAGUUGAAGUAUUUAAACCAAAAAGUUUUUUAUCCCACAUUGAAAAAACAUAACUUUUUUCUUGGGAACAUGGAGUAUAUAUACUGAUGGGUUUCAAAUCCCACAUUUGAGAAAAAAAAAACAUCGGGUCACGGGUUAACCUGUCGGGUCAACCGGGUUUGGCCUAGUCAUUGCAUUGGCCAGUCUUUUGAUAAACCCGGACCGGUCCAGCUCCUGGGUCAACCGGGUCCCGGGUCGACCUACCAGACCGGUCCGGGUUUAAUAACUAUGGUCUCUAACAGUGAACACGAAAUAAGUAUUUUGCCAUCGUGCAUUUUUUUUUCCUCAAGAUGGGUUCGACAGACCAUUUCCAUCAUGCAUUUAUGAGUCCGUGAGACCAUUUCCAUCAUGCAUUUAUGAGUCCGUGAGACCAUUUCCAUGAGACCAUUUCCAUUUGCAUCAUGCAUUUAUGAGUCCGUGAGACCAUUUCCAUGAGACCAUUUCCAUUUCCAUCAUGCAUUUAUGAGUCUCACGUCAUGCAUUUAUGAGUCCUUUAUGAGUUCCUGAGACCAUUUCCAACAUGCAUUUAGGAGUCCGUUAGACCAUUGCCAUCUGCACAUUGGUCUAUGAGACUAUUGCCAUCAUGCAUUUUUCCUCGAGGAGAGGCCGUGAGACGUCAUCUUCCAACCAUCAUGCAUUUUUUCCACGAGAUGGGGCCGUACGCUUGGGGCUCUAAAAGCUAUGGUUUUUAAUUUCAUUAUGUUACGUCUAGAAUGGCAGGUAUAUUUUAUUUUAAUUUAAAAACUGAAUAAAUUAAAAGAUAUUUCAUUUCAUUUAGAAUCUUAUCUCCAUCCAUGAAUUUCACCUAAAUUCUAGUUGAAAUGUUUCGGCUCUAUUCCAGCCAUUCCAAAUAAUGUUAUGUUUUGUUUUUAUAAAAAAAAAUAUAGUCUAUUUUUACGAUAUCAAUUAUAUUUCUCAAUCUAAUUGUUGGAUUAAACUAAAGUUUUACGAGGAAUCUCCUGACAUAUAUUUAUAUCGCAAGUUAAAAUUUUAAAGCAAUCAGAAUUUAGAAAGACUUUGCGAGAUUAUCGAUGAUAUUUUCAUAAUGUUAUUCAAAUUCAUAAUUUUGUUUCAAAAGGUUAUUUUUUGUGUCUUUUUUUAGAUUGAUUUUUUUUUCAAUUUCAUAAUUCAACAAUAGGUUUAUUUAAAAUUAAGAUUCAUAAUUUGUUUUGAUUUGUUUUAUUUGGAGUUAAUAUGGUCUCAUGACCUGUGUCGCACGUAUGCGGCGUCGCGGCGAAUAUUCUACUUCAAUUUAAAUAUAUUUAUCUGGCAAAUAUGAGGAGACAAGAAAUUCUUGUCUUUUAUUAGUGGAAAAUGGAAUGGGAGUCGCCAUCUAGUAUUUUGGUCAUUAGGAACCCUAACUAGUCUCAGAGAUUGGGUACAGGGACUGAUUGCGUAAAGGAAAGGCAUUAGCACCCCAAAUACAUCUUACCUAAGGUAAGCUGUAUUGUUUGAUUGUCUGAUAAAAAGCUAAGGUGUUAUUAUAUUUCUAAUUGUUGGUCCGUCUAUGGUUCAAGAAAAGUCCUCCUCAAUAAUGAGGUCCUUUAUCUUAUCGGGUAAAAUCCUAACCGUUUUAACAUCUAUAUAAAAAACUAUAUUUUUAAUAUCAGGAAUACAUUUUACAUAUAAAUUCAUAAUCCCAGAUACUAAAAGAAGACAAAAAUAUUUUUUUGGAAUUUUUGAAAUAUUGGCCUAGUUCUCAUACCUCUAACAAGCUUGUUAUUAAAACCAAAGUGCAUGUUAAAAUCUUUUUUGAAUUUUUUUUGUAUAAAAAAAACAAUAUGAUUUUUUUAUUGUAUGAAAAUACGAUGCGAUGAUUUUUCUUACCUUUGAGAGACUUGGCCGUAUGCAUGAAAAAAAAUAUAUUUUUUAUUUUUUUUUGUUUUAAAUUUUUUUUUGCAAUGUUUUGACAAAAACCGGAUAUUUUAAUACUGGAUUUGUAUCUUUACGGUAUAAAUAUACAAACCAAUAUUAAACAAAUUUGAUAAAAAUAUACCGUAAAAACAACAAUUUUUUUAAGGAUUUUUCAGAAUUUUUAAUUUUUUUGUAUUUUCAUACAUAUAAUAUUAUAAUUAUGUGGGCUGGGCAGGCCCAGCUAACUGGGCCAGACGCAGCCCAAAAGGGUUGGGCCGAUCUCGGUCCAAUAGUUCUCUCUGCUUCAUCAGGGCUGGGCCGGACCCGGCUCAGACAUCAUGGCUGGGCCAGAACCGGCCUAGCCUAGAAAGUAAAAAUGGGGAGGGGAAUUAUUUCCCCCCUCCCAUCCUCCUGCAUGCAGAACGAUAUUCGUUCUGCAUGCAGGGGAAACUUAUACCGAAAAUGAAGUAAAAGUGGAGGGGAAGAAGAGUUACCUGGCGCGAAGGAGGCGGUGCCUUGCUUGUAAACCCCGGGAAAAAUAAUAAAUAAAUAAAAGUGAAGAAAUUCAUGCAUAUGAUUAAAUAAAAACAGAAAUUCAGAAACUUUUGAAUAUAAAUUUCCGGGCGAAAUAAUUCGAGACAUUAUAAUAAACCCAGUAUUGUUGAGGGUUGGAUUUAAUUGAAGGGAAUAAUACACUUAAAGGAAAAAGGGGGGUCUAAAUGCAAAUAAGGGAAAAUAUUGAGUAUAAAUACUCUCUCCUCACCAAGACAAUCUGUAGGAACCAUAAGGAGAGAAAAUAGAGAGUUUUAUACCCAUUCUCGAGAAAUCAAGAGAGAAACACUAAAAUUUUAAGAACCCAUCCAAGAUUAAGAGCUUAAAGAUGGGAUAAACACUUGAGAGCAAAGGAUUACCAAGAAAUUGAACAAGAAGAAAAGACAGGAGGGAAAUUGAACAAGAAGAAAAGAAAAGAGGGAGUUGAGAAUCUUCAACUGGUUGAAGAUCAAAAUCUUAAUUUGUACCGGGUAAGGUAUUCUAAACAUGAUCUUAAAAAAAUUCAUUUUUUAAAUUCGAUAAAGAAUUGAUGCCUUGAUAUUGAAUCAUAGGUUAGGGUUCUUAGACAUAAAUUGGGGAAAAAGUAUUUAUUAUUGAGAUUAAGUUAAUUCAUGUGUGUGGUAUGUAGUUAUGAAAGUAUUGUGUGAAGGAGAGGGGGAGACGAAUCUGGACAGACUUGUCUCCUAACUUUCGAUGAGAUUUCGGGUAGAAGGAUGAGGUGAUUAGGAUCGGGUUCCUCAUAGAAAUUAUAGAUUUGAAUGUUAGCUAACCAAGGAAACUGGUCUUGCUCAAUUUGGAAAUGUAGAACUCCAGUUAUGGGUUACCAACUGAGACUGAGUCGUGACUGAUUAUGUAGGGCAGUAGGACUAAUUAGUAAAUGAACAAUUUUUGACUAUCUUGGAGGCAAAACUGGGUUCUCCUCCCUUAGAGAACUAGUAGCCUCAUGUCUUAGCUUUCUAACGAGAUCAAUCUCAGUUAAAAUGGAGUUUUAGAACUUUAGGUAUAGUUAAAAAUAUGAUGAGUGUUCAGACAGUAACAGUUGGAAAUUGGACAGUAACAGUUCAAAGUCAAACAGUAACAGUUCAAAGUCAGACAGUAACGGUUGGAAAAGUCAGACAGUAACGGUUGGAAAAGUCAGACAGUAACAGUCGGAAAAGUCCGACAAUAACGGUGGGAAAAGUCAGACAGUAACGGUUGAAAAAGUCAGACAGUAAUGGUUGAAAAAGUCAAACAGUAACAAUUAGAAAAGUCAAACAGUAACAGUUGGAAAAGUCAGACAGUAACGGUUGGAAAAGUCAAACAGUAACAGUUGGAAAAGUCAAACAGUAACGUUUGAAAAGUCAGACAGUAAUAGUUGGAAAUUGGAUAGUAACAGUUCAAAGUUAGACAGUAACAGUUGGAAAGUGGACAGUAACAGUCCAAAAUUAGAUAAUAACAGUAGACUUUCAUGUGAAUACUAUAAAUAAGAAUAUAAAAGAAUUGAGUCAUACGAACACUUGUAUAUUGAGAUAUUAACUCGGAAAAUAUACAUGAUAUAUGUAUGUAUGUUAUUAUGAGGAAAUGAACAUGCAUAGAAAGUAAUAUAUGAGUAAUGGAUGAAUAUGAAUUCUCUAUAAUAUCGGCUUGAAAGAAUCAUAACAAAAAAAAAAAAACUUCUUUGUGAUUCAGGAGGAGCAACCAGGAUUGGAUCUUCUGUUAGGGGAGGUCGCGAGACAGGCGAAGCAGGUGCGUGAUUUUCCCUCAUAUUUACACUUAUACAAUUUAGAAUCUUCUGGUGAAUGCAAUUAUAAUAAAUAUCGUGUUCAAUGUAAAUAAAGCCUAGUGUAUUUACAAGAUUAGCUUCGGCUAAUGGCAUCCGUGAUAGGAUUGCCGGGAUAUGAUUUACACGAUUAGUUUCAGCUAAUGGCAUCCGUGAUAGGAUUGCCGGGAUAUGAUUUAGAUGAUUAGCUUCGGCUAAUGGCAUCCGUGAUAGGAUUGCCAGGAUAUGAUUUACAUGAUUAGCUUCGGUUAAUGACAUCCGUGAUAGGAUUGCCGGGAUAUACCUUGCAAGGUCACCCAGUUUAUGCAAGUAAAUAAGAUUAUUCAAUUAAGAAUAUACAAAUGAGUGUUAAUUGGGUUUAAAAGAUUUACAAGCAAAAUAUAAGUUUUUGUUAGAAUUCUCAUGGAGUCGAUAGAAAGCUAAUACUUCAUUCGUAUUCAUUACAUGAGCAUACAUAUAUUCUUUAUCAACAUAAUGGUAUGUUUAUUUAUGUAACAGGUCCAUCAAACAUCAAGGAAGAUCAUUAGUUUAGGACUCUACUUUGUGAAACUUAUGUAAAUAUUUAACUUAGAACAAAAGGGAAUUAACGUGUUUAUGUAGUAUACUUUUGUGCAAACCUUGAUGUAUUUAUAAAGGUUCAGCUUAGCAUGUAGUAUUUUAGUUAUCUUGUAAUUAAUCCUUUUGAAAUAUUUAAGAACACUUCUUAUUUUGUAAAUACUUUCUUUGCAUGUUAGUAUUCCUUUUCCUUUAAAUUUUAUGAUAUAAUGUGUUGGACUAUGUUCAUAUUGAACUUACUCGUAGGAUAUAUAUAUAUAUAUAUUGUGUGGAUGGUAUGAGGUGUGGAAUUAUGAGGUUUGAUAUAAGGUCCGGAAUUAAGGGACCUUGUGAUGAUGGGUUGUUUGAGUGAACUGAUAAUAGUCGAUAACUUGGGAUGUCCUAAAUGUAAACGAAACUCUGCCGAAUUUUCAGGAAAAAAAAAUUACCCUCAAAUAAAGAGGAUAUGUUGGAAUUCUUUUAACAUUGAUCGAGUCGUACAGUCGGACUAUUACAUUGCUGGUCUGGCUGCUUCGCUGGCGGUGCUACGGUGGAGGCCGAUGGCGGUGUCGUGGCUCACGAACGGCAGCUCUAAGCAGCGGUGUUGCUAUUUCAAGCGACAGAGAGAUAGGUUACUGCUCUUCCCCUCUCCUCUAGUGUUUCGUUUUUCUUUCUCUUCUUUCGUUGUCAAGUGGUUUCCCUCUUUGUACUCCCUACUCUCCUAUUUGUUUCUCUCUCAAACCCUCCCCUGUUUCGAACUUCCCCGUAUUCUUUCCUUCCUGUAUCUAUUUCAUUUCCUCUCUUUUCUAUUCUCUCCGUCCUCUCUUUUUUCCUAUCCCUUGUUCUGGUGUUAAAAGCAAUAUUUAUAGGUAAAACGGGAGCAGGGGCAUCCCUAUCGCCGCCCUAUUGCUGCGCAUGGGGAGCAGGGCUUUCCUGCCCUGCCACGGCGCCUGGUUAGUUGGCCAAUGGGCGUGGCUAGCAAAGCGUGGCUCUCUCAGUUUCUCAUCAUGAGGAGGCAUGGGGCUUUGGCAGAGCACGCGGCAGGAAGGAGUAAAGAAGAAAAAACAAAAGCUUCUAUCUUCCGUUGCUGCACGUUCAGGGGAAGAAGGAGGAGGAACAGUGUUGCUCAAAACAACACUGUUCUGUUCUAUUUUUUUUUUAACAUGAAACGGCGUCGUUUUGGACAAAACGCGCCAUUUCAUUUAAAUAUGGUGCCAGCGCGUUCACUUCCAAAUCAGUCCUUAAUUUAUCCUUUGUUCAUUUAAGUCCUCAAAUGUAAUUUUGAUUUUAAGAAUCAAUUUCAUUGCAUCCUUGCCAACUUCAAUCGCCGCCCCUAUAGUUGGCCGCCUUUUUCACUUUAGUCCUUGGUUUUGAAUUUGUGCAUUUUAACCCUCAAUUGAUUAAUAAACUUCAAAUUUCUUCAAUUUGGUCCCUGAUUCGAUCACUUUCAGUCCCUAUAUUUACGCGUCUUUUCCAGUUUGGUCCUUGGUUUUGGAUUUAUGCCAUGACGUCCCUAAUUGGCCACCAAACUUCAAUAUUUAUGCAAUUAAGCCCUUGAUUUGACCAAAUCAACUCUCAAAAAUUAUAAUUUGACCCUAGAACUUUAAUUUUUUCCAAUUAAAGCCCAAAUUGACUUAAAAACCAAAUUUUCUUGCAAUCAAACCCUCUAUAAAUUCAGUUAAACCUUCAACAAAAUCAAAUUGAGUCUAUAAACAUCCAAUUUUAGACUUUUCUCCUCAAAUUGAAUUUUCUUUUCUAACAGGACUCUCAUCAUUCAAGUAUAUACUGUCAAAAUUUCAAUCUUUGUAUUUUUUUAACCUCCUUAAUCAAUUGUUCUGAUCAUUUUCUAUGUGCUCCAACAUCCUACUGCUAUUAUUAUUUUUUCCAAUUUCUUUCGAAUAUAUUAUUAUUUUUUUAACCUCCUUAAUCAAUUGUUCUGAUCAUUUUCUGUGUGCUCCAACAUUCUACUGCUAUUAUUAUUUUUUUCAAUUUCUUCCGAAUAUAUAUUUAUAUAUAUUUUUUCUUUUUUUGUGCGGGGACCCAAAAAUAGGUUACAACAACCUGGGUCACGAAUUUCAAAGGUUAACCUAGAUUAACUCGAAUCGAUCCAAUAUGUUGUUGUCUCAAUACUUUUUUUAAAAAAAGUAUGUCAUCUUGAGCUUUUUUAAGUAAAUCUAUAUUUUUAACAGUCGUCCAAACAAUCUUUGGGCCCAUCGAAUCGAUCGGGUUAUAUCGAUUCAUCUCUUAUUUUUUCACUUAUAUUUGAAAUUUAAACUGUAUAAUUUCAAGUUAGUUUAUCUUUAAAUUUGAAUUGAAAUUAUAUUUGUUAAAUUAAUAUUUUAAAUUAUAUAUAUAUAUAUAUAUAGAACAACCCAAAAUGACACGUCAAAAUACUCAAAAACCAAAAUAUAUUGUUACAAUUAAAAAAAUAAAACAACAAUUGACAACCUUCUUGGUAGAAGCCUGAAACUCCUCGCUGCCAUUUGCAAGAGAUAGUUACUUAUACCAGUAGCAAUUUAGUAAUGAUUGAUCAACAUUUAUAUUAAGCUGGGCCUAUUAAUUCAAAUGUUGAUGGCGUUAGUAACAAUGAUUUUCUUGGAAGGAUGGCUGCCUCUCUUGGUUGCUUGAAAAUAUACGGUUUUUUUAGUUCAAAUCUAUUAAUAAAAAUAUAGUUUUAUUGAAUUUUUUUUAUAUACUUUAUUAGAGAAAUCAAUGUAAACAAAUUUAUGGACAAACACUAGAUUAUCAAGUACUUCAAUAGAAAAAUAAAAUCAAUUAGAGUACUGAAUAAAAAAAAUAUAAAUUAUAAGUAUUUUACAUACUUUAUUGUUCAUGAAUUAAAAAUAAAAUAAAAUAAAUCCUGACUAACCUAAAAGGAGUUAACUAUGACAUCAUCAUUUUGAUAAUAAAACUAAUGAAGAUAUUUUAUUGAUUAAAUUCCGUGAAUAUAAGUAUUUGAAUUGAAAAAAAAACAUUGAUACAAGCUUUUAAAUAAAUUUUUUUAUAAAAUACAUAUAAUUUGUACUUGUCAUUGUCUCUUUUGCAUUGCUAAUACUUAACUAAUUGAAUAUAUAAUUCUCAUGUGAAUAAUGUCAUAAUAAAUUUAGUUGCAUGAAUAAUACUUAUUUUUUUUUAUUUUAAAAAUAUUUUAAAAAAAUUAAAUUUUUUUAAAUAGAUAACUUUUGAAUCGUCAAGUAGUGAAACACAAUAAGAGUGAAGAAAGUGAAGAAUAAUCAAAGUGGUGUGGGUCCACGUCAAUUUGUGUCCAUGUUUUUGUUCACAUUUUUGGUAUGUGAACCUUUGAGUGCCCACUCAUUUUAGUACAUAUACUUAGAUAUUUGACCACAGCUUCACCACAAGUUAAAAAAAAAUUUCAAUUAAAAUAAAUAAAUAUAAAUAUAUAUAUAUAUAUAUAUAUAUAUAUAUAUAUAUUUCUUCAACAUAUUUUGUUAUUUAAAAAAAAAUUAAGUGAAAUUUAAAAAAUUUAUACACUAAUAUAGUCAAAUAAAUAGAGAAUUAUGUGUGUUAAUAAGUGAAAAAAAAACCUUAAAUGAUGACUCAAAAUAAAAACUUGAAACAUCAAGAUACAAAUAUAGAUCAAAAUAUUUAAUUUCAUUAGACGUGACAUUUACGCAGUUGUGUUUUCUAAAAUUUCUAAUUAAAAUAAUUUUUUUAUUCGAUCAAACAAUAAUAAAAACAGACACACAUUAUAAAUUGAUUAAAUAAAAAACUAAUAAUAUGCAAGGCUGCACAUAUUAGAAAUAUUAUUGAAAAUAAUUUUUUUUAUUUUCAAAAAUAAAUUUCAUCUAUACAAAAGACUUUUAAAAAAUAUCGAUUAAUUAGAAAAACCUCCUAAAAAAUAAAAAACAAUAAUCAUCAUUUCAAAUAGAUUUUCUAAAUAACAUAAAAGAGAGAAGCGAUAUAAAUAUAAAUAUAAAUAAGAUUAAGAUUAAUUUUUAAAAAUAGAAAAAAAACGAAAAUAUUUUUUCUUAAACAAAAAAAAGUGAACAGUGUCGUCACAGUAAAACUUGUGGGGUGAACCCGAACCAUGAACUCCACCUGGUUUAAUAUUGUCUCCAUAAAUUUAUAGCAAACCUAUAAAAAAGUAAACAAUGUCGUUCACGGUAAAACAUGAGAGGGUGAACAGUGCAAUUGCACAGUGUUCACCUCACGUAUUUUCUCUUAAAUUUAUAGCAAAACCUUAAAAAAAAAAAACAAUGACCAAUGUCGUUCAUAGUAAAACAUGAGGGGGUGAACAAUGCGUCUGCACAGUGUUCACCCCGUACGCUUUAGCUUAUUUACGGUGAACCUGAACCAUAAACUUAAUCGGGUUUAAUAUUUUCCCCCUUAAAUUUAUAGCAAACCUAAAAAAAGGUGAACAAUGUCGUCUACAAUAAAAACAUGAGGGGAUAAACAGUAUGGUUGCAUAGUGUUCACCUCACAUAUCUUCCCCUUAAAUUUAUAGCAAAACCUAAUAAAAAAAAACAGUAAACAGUGUGUCCACUGUAAAACGUGAGGGAGUGAACAGUGCGGCUACACAGUGUUCACCCCACGCGCUUUAGAUUAUAAGUAACUAGUUUUGUAUUGGCGCUCUGCGGUGGGGUGGUUAUUUUUUAAGUAAAAAAAACUAAUAAGCAAGCUCUUACAAUGCGCUUUUUAAUAUAAUUUUUUUUUCAAUCACAAAUCAAAAUGCCUAAACAUGUAUUUAGUAAUUAGAUCGAUAUUUGACAAAGAGAUAACUAAGAUUAAGAUAUUUGAUAUCGCGACAUGGGUCAUGUGCUUAGUUGUGUUUGUACAACCAUAUGGUCCGAUAAAAGGUAACAAAAAAGUCAUACCCAAUGAUGAAUGAAGAAACUGGAAAAAAAAACAAUGAAAAAAGAGACACAGGUCAAACUGUAUAAAUACGCUAACCCUGUGACCAUGAGAACAAGAUUGAGAUUGUAACAGCCUGGCCCAACCUGCCAUAUAUUGUCCGCUUUGGGCCUUACCGCCAUCACGAUUUUGUUCUUGAUGACACGAGCUCACUUUUGAGCCUAACGCCCCAAAACGCGUAUAAGAAGUUAGCACUAGCACUACUAAUAAGGCCAGCAACUAACUCCUCACCCGCCGAUGUGGGAUCUUACAGAGAUAAUCCUAUAAAAAGGAAAGUGAAAAAAAAAAGCACAAAUACCAAUUCUAAAAAAGAUUAAUGUUGAAGGAUGAAAUUGAAGAAAGCAUAAGGAUACAUGAUUUCGCAAAUCGAUUCAUGCACCAAGUUGUGUUUAAUAGCUUUGUUUUUUAGAAUAUAUUUUUUAUUUAAUCAAACAAUUAUCUAUGCAAAUAAAAGGUAAAAAAUCACAAAUAAAAGCAAACUGAAUCAAAUCAUGAAGCUCAAUUAUAAAAUAACCCAAAGUUGAAUGAUGAAACUUUUUAAAAAAUAAUUAAGAAAAACAAAAAAAAAUAUAGGCCAACCCGCGUUAACCCGAUAACCUUGCAAUUAUCGGCACAUGAUUGAGAUAACCCCAUAGAAAAGAAAGUGAAAGAAAAAAAUAUGAAGACCAACUUCCAGAAAAAUUAAAUGUUGAAGGAUGAAAUUAAUAUAUAUAUAUAUAUAUAUAUAUAUAUAUAUAUAUAUUAAAAAAAGACUUAAAAAACAUCAAAGUUAAUAUGUGUUAACAUUUGAAACUUAUGAUUGUGAUCAUAAGACCAAGACUACCAAGCAUAAUUCAAACCCCAAAAGCAAUGAAGCAGAUUUUUCAAUAAAAGAACAUCGAGGCAUGAAACUUUCAAUAAAAAAACAACAGGAAAAAAAUAUGAAUCAAUUAAGAUUAACUUGUUAACUCUACGACUAUGGAAACAUGAUUGGGAUAACCCUUUUAAAAGGAAAGUGAUAGAGAGAGAACAAAAGUGGAACAAUUUUUAUCAACUAAAUAAACUUUAUAACUAUUAAUAUUAAAUUCAAAAUAUGUACAUAUUGAAAAUAUUUAAACAUAUCAUGUGGUUUAAUAGAAAUGAUUUUCAUAAACAUGUAUGGCUUAACAAUAGUAAUCAACUCUUAAUAUCUUUCAUAUUAUAUAUAUUAAAAAUAAAUAUUAAAACCUAUAAUAUUAAUUUGUGAAUUUAUCAAUUCAGAUGUGAAUUAUAUUUCUAAAAUGUUAUAAGAAAUUUCUAUAUACUACAACUAGCUUAAGAAAGUCAUGUUCAUCGAAACUAUAGAGUACAGAAAAAAAAUGAAUUGCAUAAAAUUAAGUAAUUAACCGAAACUUAUAUUACUUCUUAAAACGUUGACCCCAAGUCAAUUUUAUUUAUUUAUUUAUUUAUUGGAAAAACAUGAAUAAAAGGUUAAUGCUAGGCAUAUGACGAUGAUAGAUAUAGAAGACUUGCUACUUUCUUUAUGGAAAUUACGUGUGGAAAAUUUAGGCCUUGAAAAAAAUUGAAAAUAAAAUACUAUUAAUCGUGUUAUUUGCAUUCUGACAAUAAAACUAAUAUAGAGACUUGAUUGAUAAAAAUUCAUAAUUAAGAGCAAGUAUUUAAAUUAAUUAAAAAACAAAAAUCAAUCAAUACAAGUUUUUAAUUAGAAUAAACAAGAUAUAAAAUGCUGUGUAAGUGUCACUAACUCUUUGUAUUUUCUAACUAUUAAAGAAUUGAAUAUAUAAUACACGUGUGUGAAACAACAAAAUAAAUCCAAUUGUAUAAUAUACUAAGAUUUUAAAAACUAACACUACAUAGAUAAAAAAAAAAAAAAAAGAAGAAGCUCAAGGCCUAUUUAGAAAACUAAGCACCGUCAAAUUAUUUUUUAUACGAAGGGAUGGUUUUAUACAAAGAGAUGGGUCCCUAAGCUGUACAUGACAUAUAAAAAAAUAAAAUUGAAAGAUAAUAAAAUUAAAAAAAAAUAAUUCUAAUCUUAUAAAUUAUUUUAAAUAAAAUAAAUAUUGAUCAAAAGAAUAAAAAUCAAAUUUGAUAGAUAAAAAUUUUAAUAAAAAAACAAAAAAAAAACUAAAUGAUGACCAAAAUUAAUAUAAAAAUCAAAUUACAAGAUAUAAAAUUAAAAAAAAAUCAAAACAAAAUAAAACCAUUUUUUUCCUAAAAGAUAUUCAGAUUAAAAGCAUUAUAAAAAGAAUUAUAUAUAUACUUGACCCGCUGGGUUGAUCCACGACCCGGCAACCUGGUUGAGACCCAAUUUUUUUUUCAAAUGUAUUUUUUUCUCCUAGUCAGAGAUCCCUCUUUCUUAUAUAUUUUUUAGUUGGUUAUUGACCCUUUUCAAAGUUCACUAUAUAAAUACUAGAAGAAUAUUUUAUUUUUUCAAUGUGGGAUUUGAAGCUCUUUAAUAUAUAUACUCUAUGUUCACAAGAAAAAAAUUAUUUUUUCAAUGUGGGAUUUGAAAAAAAUUAUUCCAUUAGACACUCAGAGUUUUAUUUUUUUUCUCUAAAUUAUAAUGUGAUCAGGCCUAUGUGACUUAAAUCAUCUCCAAAUACUAUAUAUGAGUGAUAAUGAUCUCAGUGGUUUCUUUUCUCUGUGUCUGGCAAAUUUGACUUCGCUUCAGCUACUAGAUCUCUCUUCCAAUCACUUGAAGAACCCUAUGUCAUUUAACCCAUUAUACAACCUUUCAAAACUCAAGUCUUUUUAUGGUUUAGGUAAUGAAAUAUACGUAGAAGAAGACGAAGACGAUCAUAAUUUGAACCCAAAGUUCCAGUUAGAGCUCCUUGAUUUAAGAGGUUGUGGACAAGGUGCGAGAGCAUUUUUAUGGGGAUCUUACAAACAUCCAAAUAAAGGGAGAGUUUUCAAAUUGGUUGAUUGAGAACAACACAUACCUAUAUUAUCUUUAUUUAGAAAACUGUUCUCUUUCAGGUCCAUUUUUAUUACCAAAGAAUUCUCAUGUGAAUUUGUCAAUAUUAAGUAUAUCCAUGAAUUACUUUCAAGGACAAAUCCUUUCAGAAAUCAAAGAUCAUUUGCAAGGGUUAGAAGUUCUAUAGAUGUCUGAUAAUGGUUUGAAUGGAAGUAUUCCUUCCUUAUUGGGUAACAUUACCUUGUUGCAAGUGUUAGACCUAUCCAACAAUAGCUUGCAAGGGCAGGUCCUUGGAUGGAUAGGGAAUAUGCCUUCUCUUUAAUUCUUAGACCUAUCAGGGAACAAUUUCUCUGGUCCUUUACCGCCUAGAUUCGACACUUCUUCAAAAUUAAGAUAUGUUUAUUUGUCUAUAAAUAAGUUGCAAGGACCGAUCGCAAUGAAAUUUUAUGACUCCUCUGAGAUAUUGGCCUUAGAUCUUUCUCAUAAUAAUUUAACGGGUAGAAUUUCAGAAUGGAUUGACAGGAUAUCUAACUUGAGAUAUAUAUGGUGUGACUAUGCCACCUUCACCAACGCCAACUUCAACGAAAAAUGAAGAUAAUGAUGGCUUCAUGGAUAUGGAGGUUUUCUAUAUGAGUUUUGGGGUUGCAUAUAUCAUGAUGUUGCAGGUGAUAGGUGUAGUUCUGUACAUAAAUCCAUAUUGGCAAUAAGCUUGGUUUCACUUUAUUAAGGUGAGCAUCAACAAUUGCUAUUAUUUUCUGGUGGACAAUCUUCCCAUUUUAUCUAAGUUUGGAUUUUCAUAGCCUUUUAUCUUGAUGGUUCUAAGCCUUGGCGCAUCGUUUUGGACUUUAGUUUCAAGAUUUAAAUAAGUUUAUAUUGAUUUUCAUUUGAGUUUUGUUUUUGUUUUUGUUUUUAGCUUAUGUGUGAUAUAUAAUAAUGAAGUUUCUUCACUAAUUGCUCUAUGAUUGGAUUUAUAAACUUAGGACUAGUAGUUUCUACGUGAAUUAAUAAGAGGAUGGCUUGGUAUUUUGGAUUGGGUUUGUCAGACUGCAUGUUUCAAUAAAAUAGAUUACUAAAGGGGAUCGAUUUUGAUUAUGAUUUGAUGUGGGAAAUUCUCUGCGUGCCUACAUAGAGCGUGGCUUCUUGAAACUCCAAAAAAUAUAUAUAGGUUAGUCCGAAAGAAUUUAUAUAAUCAACCCUAAUCAGAAUUUCCCAAGAAAGAAUUAACUAAAGACUUUAGUUAAUGCUGAUGAACACGAGAAAAUGAUUUGCUAAAGAAAAAACCAUGUAUUUAAGAACCAUUGCUAAGCUAAAGGUUCUGGAGCCAUAAACCACUAAUAUUUACUGGGGUUGAUCCCAAAUUCAGACAAAUCCAUUUGUCCAAUUCGGAGAACCUUCAAACAAAAAGAAGAAUUAAACCUCGUAAAAUUGGCUAUCAUCAAAAGGACAAGAACAUAACAAGAAGGAUAUGGUCAAUUUCACUAUUUGAGCAGAACACACCUCCAACACCAAUAUUACUCAGGAUUCUUUGCAAGUCUUCCAAUUUCACUUGUUUUGAUGAAGAGUUUACAUCACUCAUUACUUCUGCACCAAGGUCUGGGACAACUAUUCUAGGUAUGUGUUGUUCUCUAUCAACCAAUUUAGAAACUCUCUCUUUAUUUGGAUGUUUGUAAGAUUCAAAGAUUGUAGGUUCAACUGAUGGUAAAGAAACUUGGGAAAUGCUCCACCUUGUCCAUGGCACCUCAAACCAAGAGACUCUAACUGGAACUUUGGGCUUAAAUUAUGACCAUCUUCUUCUGCAUAUAUUUCAUCAUCCAAACCAUGAAAAGACUUGAGUUUUGAAAGGUUGCAUAAUGAGCCUGCCACAAUCAAUUAAACAAGAAAUAAUAUUCAUUAAAAAAAACUAUUUGGAUGUCUUUCUCUGUUUGUUUGUUUGUUUUCUUCCUCUUCUUCUUCUUCUUCUUCUUUUUGUCAAAGUUGUGGUAUGAAUUCAAAUACUAAUAGAUUUGAGAAUUCUCCAAGACUACUAUUUGGCAAUCUAUAAAAUAGACCCACGGAAUUAAUAUAUUUUAUAGAUAUAUUUUCGUAGUACCUCAUCGUAUCCAAGAGAAGACUAUCAAGGAACGAAUAUAUUUUCGGAGAAUAACAGAAAAUAGAUCAAACAAAAGCAUUUCCAAAAUUUGUCUUUACAGUGAACCAUCUUACUGGUGGGGCAAAAACUUGAUGGACAAAUUGUUCAAUAGGAAAAGAGGACAUUUAAAAGAGGAAAAGAGGAAUUCUUUACAGGGCACAGUCACAGAUAAGUAAUAUGGAGUUAAAAUUUGUUAAUUUACCUCGAGAAGAUACAGUGCCACCGACUUCAAAGUUGUUGAAAAGGAAGGCAUUUAAGUACCUUGUGCCAUCAAGAUAGAGUCCGGUGACUGCUGUCGCAGAUAAUACUUUCCCAGGAACUACAGUGGGCGUGGCCUUUUAAAGAUCCACGAGGGUAGGGAUGUGCCAUUGGGAUAGUUAAGAGAAUCUAUGAGGAGCAAGAGAGCGAUUCUCUCUUCCUCCAAGCAACCAAGAGGCAGCCAUCCUUGCAAGGAAACCAUUAUUACAAACACCAUCAACAUCUGAAGGAACAGCCCCAUCUUAAUCAAAUAUAAGAAUUUACGAGAUGAAAGCCUCUCCAUUAAUGAUAAAAUACUGUUAUUAAAGUGAUUUAAUUCCAAGUCAAGGUGUUCCAAAUGGUUAAUUUUGAUAGUUCAUAACCACCUAUAUAAAAAAAUAAUGCAGUGAGACAAAGAAACUGAACUCAACCCUUUGCAUCUUUCCAUUCCAUCAAUAUCGACAAAGUAACCUGAAUCUUGUCUGAAGGUGUACUUACACAUCCCUUUGCAUGUUUCCAUUCCAUCAAUAUCGACAUCCUCUUGAGUUUCCAGCAUUAAUUCCACUCUGCUAUUUUUAUCUCAACUAAUUUAUGCUGUCCUCUGCCCCAUUUUUUAUUUUUUUUAUCAAUUCUCCGAAGUUUGUUUGUGUUACUUUCUUUCUGACUGGCACCUGAAGAAAUCAAGCAUAUGACCGAUAAUGUUUUGCUGGUUAUUUGUACUUCCUAGAUCAAAGUCAUGAAGGAGACUUAUUUCCCUGAAAUAAAUGAAAUGUAUCAGAGAAUUGCUGCCAAGUUACAGCUGAAAUGUAUCAGAGAAUUGCUGCCAAGUUACAGCAGGUAAAUUGUCUCCGCAAUUUCUUCCAGAUUAUCUGUCCACGCAUGAUUAUCUGCAAUUUCCCCAGGUUGAGCUUUUGUAUUAAUUUGUUUUCCUCAUCAGCAUUGCCUGUCACUGUAUCAUCUGCGCUAAUCACCUACCCCUCCCCCCAUCCUCCCCCACAACCAUGUAUCGACACAGAAGAAUUGGAAUAGAAACAUUGUUUUUCACUGUAUCAUGCAAUUUUUAAUUCUCGUGUAUGUUAACUUUGCUUUCCAGCAUGACUCUCAUCCGCAACAACCGAAGUCAGAACAGCUUGAAAAGCUGGAGGUAUUCAAGGCCAUGUUGGAGCGCUUGAUAACAUUCUUACAGGUCUCUAAAAACAAAGUCACACCUAGUUUCAAGGAGAAAUUGGGUUCCUAUGAGAAGCAGAUUGUAAGUUUUCUAAACCCAAGCAGAUUCAAGAGGCCUAUUCCUAAUCUACAGCUCGGACAACUUCCCCAACCUCCAGUUUAUCAAUUACAGUCCCAUGAAAAUCAACUAAAUCCCCAGUUGCAAUCAUUGAAUGUUCAAGGUUCUAUACCAACGAUGCAGCAGAACAAUAUGUCAAGCUUGCAGCAUGGGUUUCGAUGUCACAACCAUACAUGAUGAUGCGGGACGAGAGGUUUUAAGAAAAGAAAAGGGGGGAAGAGAGAAUGAUGAGGAUAUUGUAGCAAAAAUUUCACAGGAUUUACUACAAAUCCAAGCCAAUUAUACUUGAUUUGUAUGUAUAUGAUAUGAUGAGAAAAUAAACAUGUAUGGAAAGUACAAUAUGUAUAAUGAAUGAAUAUAGAGUUAAUAUAACAUAAGGCUUGAAGGAAACCAAAGUUUUGAAACACGACCCGACUUGGUGGGUCGACUCGGGACCCGGGAUUGGAACCAGGUCGGGUUUUAGAAAAAAUAGUGGAAGUCACAACCCGGGGUGACCUGGCUAACCCGGCAAAACCCAGUAAAAAAUCUGGUAGUAACCUGUUAAUUAUUUUUUUACCAAAACGACACUGUUUUGAUUUAUAAAAAAAAAAGUUACGGUUGACCCGGUGACCCGGUCAAGACCGGGUGACCUGGGCAAAACAAGUGACCCAGGCUGGGUUUAAAAACAUUAAAGGAAACAUGACCAAAGAUUUUCUUAUGAUUUAGGAGGAGCGACCAGGAUUGGAUCUUUUGUUGGAGGAAGUCACGAGACAGGCAGAGCAGGUGCGUGGUUUUCCCUUCCCUUUACACUGUUGUAAUUUAAUUAUUUAGGAGGAAUGCAAUUUUAUAUAUAUAUAUAUAUAUAUAAUGCUCAAUGUAAAUAAAGUCUGGUAUAUUUAUGAGAAUAACUUUGGCUAACAGCAUUCGUGGUAGGAUUUGCCGGGAAAGUAAUUAUGAGAUUAGCUUCGGCUAAUGGCAUCCGUGAUAGGAUCGCUGAGAAGUGAAUUAUGAGAUUAAUUUUGGCUAAUGACAUUUGUGGUAGGAUUUGCUGGAAAAUGAAUUAUAAGAUUAGCCUUGGCUAAUGACAUUCGUGUUAGGACUGCCAGGAACGAUUAAUAAGAUUAGCUUCGGCUAAUGAUAUUUGCAUUAGGAUUGCCGGGAAAUGAUCAAUAAGAGUAACUACAGCUAAUGGUGUCCAUGUUGGGACACUCAGGAACGAUCAAUAAGACUCAAUUUGUAAAGUGUACUGGGUUUGGAUGACCUGGAGGAAAUUGAUAAGUACAAUUGCUCAAAAUUAUUCAGAUUGGACUAUGCAAAGUUGAAGACUUAGUGAAUCCAAUUAAACAAAGUUAUGAGUUCAUGUAAGAAGAUAAGAGUAUCCAAUAUAAGAUAUGUAAAUGGUGUUAAAUUGGGUUUUAAAUGAUUCCCAAUAAAUUUAUAAGUUAAUUACUAAGAUUCCCAUGUAACUAAUAGAAAACUUAUGCCUCAUUUGUAUUCGUUGCAUGAUCAUUUAUAUUUCUUAUACCAAUAUAAUUGCAUCCAUAUGAAGUUUUUGUAACAGGUCUAUCUAAUAUCUAGGGAGCUCAUUAGUUUUAGGACUCUAUUUUUGUUAAACUUAUGUACAAAUUAACCUUAAGCAUAUUAGUAUUAACUAGUACAUGUUAUAAGCUAUUUUGUGUAAUCUUCUAUGUGUAUAAAAACUCUUAGCUAAGACUUGAAGCAUAUUAUUUUGUGUAAACUUGAUGUGUAUAAAAACUCUCAGCUAGACUUGAAGCAUGUUAUUUUGUGUAAACACUAUUGCAUAUAUUUCCAUUUGAUUUACCUUUAAAACAUGAAUAGUUUCUUAUAACCAUCUACUAGUUGUUAAUUCAUGAAUGAUAUGAUUUAAUUAGACCUUUAUUCGCAUAAAAUGGAGUCCAUUUUAAUUCUUCGAGUAAAUGGCAAUCUUUGCGGGACCUAAAAAAACAUUACCCUAAAUUUAAGAGCAUAUAUUGGGAUCGUUUUACAUUGAUGGAACAAAAUAAUUGGGAUUGUUACAGACACUUAUACCUAUUCUUACAGUGUAAUUUUAUACCGCAAAGUAAUAAAGUCUAUAAGUAAUUCCUAUCAUUUAUUGCUAUUAAUUCCACUACCAGAAAUUCGCUUAAUACCAACGGAAUUGCCGACAGAAUACUUCUGUCGGUAAUUUGAGGUUGCCAUUACCGAUCGACUUUAUUCCAUCGGUAAACUCGUCGGUAUAUACCGACAACCACAUUCCAUCGGUAUCUACCAACGAGAUUACAGACGGAAUGUUAAGAAUAAAAAAAAAGGGCGGUUCGCUGACGUGGAGGUAUUUUUUACCGACGGAAUCACCGAGGGAUUAAAAACGUCAGCUCCGUAUGGUGACGUGUCCGCUUCACCGAUGAACAUGCCAACGAAAUCACCGAGGGAUUCAAACAUCAGCUCCGUAUAGUAACGUGCCCUGUGUUAUCGUCAGAAUCACCGACGGAAUCAUAGAUGGUAUGCGUCUGUCGAUGAAUCCGUCAGCAAAAGUUAAUAUAUCCCCACUCUGUCGACCCUCUCCUCCCCUAUUUCUCCUUCUUCUUCCCCAUCCCAACUCUCCCCAACUGCAAACAACCAGCCCCCCUAAAAAAAAAUCUCCCUCUUCUCACCACAACAAGUCAUAUUUCUUGAAGUCUUCUCGUCACAGCAUCCGUGUUCUGAUUUACCGACGACUUUUUAUCAGUUGUUGUAGGUAAUUCUAUCUUUUUAAAUUUUAACAUUUAAAUGUCAAUUUUAUUAUUUUUUAGUAUAUGUAUUUUUUUAGUAGAUGUACAUGUUUUAUUGUUAUUUCUCAAACAAACUUGUAGUAUAUGAAUGUAUAGUUUUAUACUAGUUGUGGUUUGUUUUAGAUUUUGUAAGAUUGUAUUUGUUUGUAAAUUGUUGAAACUUUAUUGAAUUACCGAAUUACAUGUGUUGUUUUGAAAUAAUUAAUAGCUUGUUUAAUGGGUCCGUUUUAAUUUUUAUCAAUGGUAUUGCGGAGUUGUAAUUUUUGUAAAUUUAUAUAUAUGUAUUAAUUUGUAUGGACGUUGAUAAUUGGUAAUGAAUAUUUAAUAUUUAUGAGAAGUUGUAAUUGGUUUGUUGGAUAAUCUCGAGGUAAACCAAUAUUUUUGCAAAUUUAUUUGCCUAACAUAGUUAAUUAGUACAUGUUGUCAUCAUAAUUUUAUAGAGGUUCGAUAGAAGUCAUGGAUGAUCGUUCAUGGAUGUAUCGAGAUUCACCCCAAGGAUUGCGGAGGAUGGAUUAUUGUAACGGGGUUCAGGGUUUUAUUAAUUUCGCAACAUCUAUUCCCAGAAAUUUUACUGGAGGCGGUAUUAGGUGUCCAUGCAGGAAGUGUCAAAAUAAAAAGUAUCUGCAUCCAGAUAUUGUAACGAUACAUCUUCUACACAAAGGGUUUAUGGAGAAUUACCAGUGUUGAUAUGCACACGGAGAAGUAUUUGUUAGUAAGAGGAGAAUGGGAGAAAGGGUGGUUAGGUUAACUUCUAGUGCUAGCAACGUGCAUGAAGCGGCAAAUGACAACACUAAUCCUUACAGGAAUAUGGUUAUGGAUGCAAUGAGAAUGAAUCAAGGUAAUGUCAGUCAAUGUCCAAUUAUAGAAAAAGAACUUAAUGCAGAUGCAGCUAGGUUUUUUGAUUUGUUGAAAGACUCUGACGAACCAUUAUGGGAUGGCUGCACGAACCACAGUAAAUUAUCGGUCGUAGCACAGGUGUUCCCUAUCAAGUCAGAUUAUGGGUUGAGUGAAGCCGGGUAUGACAAGAUUAUUGAAUGGGCGAGAAGCAUUUUACCUGAAGGGAACAGGCUGAAAGAGAACUUCUAUGCUGCGAAGUCCAUGAUGAAACCCCUCGGUUUAGGAUACCAGAAAAUUGACAUGUGCCCUAACUUCUGCAUGUUAUACUACAUUGCAAAUGCUGAGAUGACCGAGUGUAUGACAUGCGGGCAUUCCCGUUACAAACCUAGAACUAGCACAUGACAUGGCACCAAUCACAUGAUGCAGUUAAUGGAGUGAUGGUGCAUCCUUCUGACGGCGAAGCGCGGAAACACUUUAACAGUGUGCAUCCUCACUUUUCAGUUGAAUCAAGGAACGUGCAUCUUGGGUUGUGUACAGACGGAUUCAACCCAUUUGGGUCAUUUGCUGCUUCUUGUCGCACGUGAGCGACGUCGCGGCGAUCGUCCACCCACAAAAAAUAAAUGUAAAAGGGAUGGGGGAUAUAUAUAUCUGGUUAAUGUGGGGAGACAAGGAAUUCGUUGUCUCUUAGCAGUGAAAAAUGGUGUGGGAGUCGCCACCUAGUAUUUUGGUCACUAGGAACCCUAACUGGUCUCAGAGAUCGGGUACGGGGACUGGUUGCGUAAAGGGAAGGUAUUAGCACCCCAAAUACGCCCUACCUAAGGUAAGCUGCAUCGUUUUAUUGUCUGAUAAAAUUUAAGGUGUUUUCGUGUGUUUCCUAGUUGUUGGUCCAUCUACGGUUCAAGAAAAGUCCUCCUCAAUAAGGAGGUCCUUAUCUUAUCGGGUAAAGCCUAACCGUUCUAAUGUCUAAAAAACAUAUUUGUAAUAUCAAGAAUAUGUUUUACGUAUAAAUUAGUAAUCCCAAAGACAAAAAGAUUAUUUAGAAUUUUUGAAAUAUUGGCCUAGUUCUCAUGGCUUGAAUAAACUGGUUAUUAAAGCCAAAAUGCAUUCUAAUACAUAUAUUGUUUUGAAAUUUUCUUUGUUGUGUGAAAAUAUGAUGUUACAAUAUUUAUAUAUAUAUAUUGGAGAGACUAGGCCGUAUUUUAAAACAAAACAUUUUUUAAAAAUAUGUAUUUUUGUACGCUUUGACGCAAAUCGGGUAUUUUAAUACUGGGUUUGUAAAAAAUACAACCAAAUAUUAAUUCACUUUAAUAAAAUAAAUGCCUAAAAAUCAACAAUAUUUUCAAAGAUAUUUUUAGAAAAUUUUGAAAGCAAAAGACAUUUUUUGUUUUGAAAAUCUUUGAUGUUUUGAUGAAAACCGGGUAUUUUAAUACCGGAUUUUGUAUUUUUACAAUAUAAAAUACCAACCAAUAUUAAUCAAAAUAUAAUAAUAAAAUUACAACAAAAUCACAUAUAUUUUUCUAUAAUUUUUGCAAAUUUUUAUAAUUUUUUUCAUAUAUAUAUAUAUAUAAAUAAUACAAAAUAUAAUAUAUAUAUAUAUAUAUAUAUAAUAAUAUUAAAUCGGGCUGGGCCGGCCCAAACCACUGGGUCGGACUCAGCCCCAAAACCAUGAUGGGCCGAUAUCGGCCCAAAAAUGUACUGGGCCGAUCUCGGCCCAAAAAAUGUACUGGGCCGAUCUCGGCCCAAAAAAUGUACUGGGCCGAUCGCGGCCCAAAAGUGUACUGGGCCGAUCGCGGCCCAAAAGUGUACUGGGCCUAUCUCGGCCCACAAAAAAAUUCUCUUCUGGGCCAGACCCGACCCAGAAGACUGGGCUGGGCCAGGACCCGCCUGGCCCAGCAACAAAACGGGCGGGGGGAAUUAAUUUCCCCCCGCCCCUGCAUGCAGAACGCUAUUCGUUCUGCAUGCAGAGAAGGAAAUACAUAAACGCCAGAAUAGGGGGGGAGAAGGGUACCUGACGCGGAGGAGGCGGUGGCUGGCUGCGUUUCUGGCGGCGCUGUGGCGGAGGCUGGUGGCGCUGCGACUGUUUCCGGCGGUUUGGUUCGUUCUCCCCGUUGCUCCUUUUCUCUUUGUUUUUUUCGGUUUGCUUCUUUUCUUUUGUUUUCGGGUUGGUUCUUCCUCUCUUCCCGUUCCUCUUCUCUGUUUUUUUUCGUUCCUCUCUUUUCCUUCUCUCUCCUUCGUUCUACCUCCUCCUCUCUCUCUCCUCUGUUUUUUCGUUUUUUCUCCCCGUCUCCCCUCUGUUUUUUUUUUUUCUUUUCCCUCUCUUUUCUCUCUGUUUUUCCCUCUCUUUUCUCUCUGUUUUUCCCUCUUGCUCUCAGCGUUCUUGGCCUCUAUUUAUAGAGGCCAAGGACGCUGUUUUUUACAGCUCUCAUGGGGGAGCAGCCGGCUGGUCGGCCAUUGGGCGCGGCUGCCGAGGUUCGGUGGGUGGUGCGCGGUGGAUGGUCGGCCAUUGUGUCCGGUCGGUGGGCUCCAGGCGAGAGAGUGGCCGGCAAAAUUCAAAUUAAAGCUUCCCUUUCUCCUUCUUCCCCGCUGCGUGAUCGGGGGAAGAAGAUGAACAGUGUCGUUUCAAAACGACACCGUUCUGCUCUUUCUUUUUUUUUUUUUUUUUUUUUGAAUGUAUGAAACGGCGUCGUUUUGGAGAAAACGCGCCGUUUCAUUUAAAUGUGGCGCCAAAACGCGCCAAAUUUCAAAUCAGCCCUCAAUCAUCUUUUCUUUCUUCAAUUGCAUCCCUGCCAAUUUCGGUCUCCGUCCCUCUUGUUGGCCGCGUUUUUCACUUUAGUCCUUGGUGUCUGAUUUAUGCAAUUGAGCCCUUAAUUGAUCAAAAAACUUCUAAUUUCUUCAAUUAGGCCCCUGAAUCAAUUAAUUCCAGCCCCUCCAUUUACGCGCCUCUUCCAAUUUGGUCCCUGGUUUCGGAUUUUCUCAAUUAAGUCCCUAAUUGGCCCUUAAACUUCAAUAUUUAUGCAAUUAGGCCCCUGAUUUGACCUAAUAAAUUCCUAAAAAAUAUAUUUUGGCCCCAGAACUUAAAUUUCUUCUAAUUAAAGCCCAAAUUGACUUAAAAAUCAAUUUUUCUUGCAAUCAAAUCCUCUAUAAAUUCAUUUAAAAAUCAAAUUAAGUCCAUAAACAUCCAAAUUUGGGCUUUUCUCCUCAAAUUUCAAAUUUUCCUUCUCAACAGGGCUCUCCUCCUUCAAGAAUAUACUGUCAAAAAUCCAAUCUUUGUAUUUUUAACCUUAUUGAUCGAUUUUCCAACCAUUUUCUGAGCGCUUCUGCCUCCUGUUAUUAUUUUUUUUUUCUUUGGCUAUAUACAUAUUUAUAUAUAUAUUUUGUGGGGACCCAAAAAUGAGUUACAACAGAUGCCCCCUCUUUAUAAUGCUUACGGAGCAGAGGUUUUGCGCAGUAAGUUUUAUAAAGAUAAACCCUAAACGGAACUCCCAAAACUGAUCUGGUUGAAGCUUGAUUGACCUGAAACUUGUCUUUUACAGCAAUCCUCCUUAACUUCAAAAACUAUGAUCAAAAUUUAUCAUCUUGAGAUCCCUUCUGGCGAUCUCUCUAAACCAAAAUCUAUAAUUAUUGCUUACUCAACUUGGAAUCCCGUCUGGCAAUUCCCUUUUAACCAAUAUUGAAAUACGAGAUCCCUUCUAACGAUCUCCUUCAACAAAAAAUCUUAGAAUCCCAUCUGGCGAUUCCUUGUAACCAAUGUUGAAAUAUGAGGUCCCUUCUGACGACCUUCAAAUAACGAAAUACGAGAUCCCUUCUGGCGAUCUCCUUUAAUCGACCUGGAAUCCCAUCUGGCGAUUCCUUUUAUUCAAACGAAAUAUGAGGUCCCAUGUGGCGACCUCCAAAUAUCAAAACACGAGAUCCCUUCUGGCGAUCUCCUUUAGUCAACUUGGAAUCCCAUCUGGCGAUUCCUUUUAUCUCAACAGGUAAUAUGAGGCCCCAUCUGGCGACCUCCAAAUAGCAAAACACGAGAUCCCUUCUGGCGAUCUCCUUUAGUCAACUUGGAAUCCCAUCUGGCGAUUCCUUUUAUUCAAUGAAAAACGAGGUCCCAUCUGGCGACCUCCAAAUAAUGAAACACGAGAUCCCUUCUGGCGAUCUCCUUAAAUCAACUUGGAAUCCCUUCUGGCGAUUCCUUUUAUUCAUGAAAACCGAGGUCCCAUCUGGCGACCUCCAAAUAGUGAAACACGAGAUCCCUUCUGGCGAUCUCCUUUAAUCAACUUGGAAUCCCAUCUGGCGAUUCCUUUUAUUCCUGAAAAACGAGGUCCCAUCUGGCGACCUCCAAAUAAUGAAACACGAGAUCCCUUCUGGCGAUCUCCUUUAAUCAACUUGGAAUCCCAUCUGGCGAUUCCUUUUAUUCAUGAAAAACGAGGUCCCAUCUGGCGACCUCCAAAUAAUGAAACACGAGAUCCCUUCUGGCGAUCUCCUUUAAUCAACUUGGAAUCCCAUCUGGCGAUUCCUCUUUUUUUCAAACAGGUAAUACGAGGUCCCAUCUGGCGACCUUCAAAUAGCGAAACACGAGAUCCCUUCUGGCGAUCUCCUUUAACUUGGAAUCCCAUCUGGCGAUUCCUUUUAUUCAAAGCGAUACGCGAGGUCCCUUCUGGCGACCUUCUUUGACCAAUAUCGAAAUACAAGAUCCCCUCUUGCGAUCUAAGACAACUUGGAAUCCCAUCUGGCGAUUCCCUUUUAUUCGAAGCUGAAAUAAUGAGAUCCCUUCUGGCGAUCUCCUUUAAUCAAAAACCAAAAAAUCUAUCUUGUAAAUCGGUUAACCUGGAGUCCCCUCUGGCGAUUCCCUUUUACCGCUUGCUCGAUGUCGCUCUUCCUGAUGGCAGGGUUUGAACAUUAUUAUUUUCUCUUCUUGUUGUUUUAGAAUCAACUCAAUGAUUUUUUUCUUCGUCUUCAAUUUUGUUGGAAUGUAUUAAGGUCUCCUCCUGUAACGAUCCCAAAAAAAAAAAAAACAUAUAUGCAAUGAUUUAUGAUUAAAUGCCAUGCAUGCAUUCGUACCUGGUUUUGAAACAUAGGCCCCAUCAUCUUCUUCGAGUUCAUGAGAUUCCAUCUUAACAUGAGCUUGCUUUUGAAGUCGUAUGCUGGAUUCCUCUCUCGUGUUGCCUCCGAUCAUAUUCUUGGAGAAGAAAUCUCUGACUUUCUUCAAAUAGUCCUUUUUCCAAAAUGUAUGAUUUGUCAUUGCCUCUUUGUCAUGCUUUUGUCAAAUGUUUUAGCUUGGUUUUUAAAAUCUAUAGGCUUUCGUACAUGAAAAUAUCUCUUAUUGCCCCCAGUGUAGGGGUGUGAUUCUAGUCUAGGCUUUUAUAGAGAGAAGAAAUUCGUUCAGCCGACGCUACACUUUUUAAAUGAGAUAAAACAAGACAUGCACUGUUGGGAUUAAUGUAAAAAUGACUGUUGUGAGAUCAAUGCAAAAGAGAAAGAAGUCAAUGGCCAAACUUUGCUUUAUUGAUUUAGAAGCCUACAUCAAGCAUAAUAUCUUUUUACAGAGUCAGAAUUCACAGGUCGAGCUAGGUCUUCUCCAUCCAUUCUAGCCAACUUCAGUGCUCCUCCUGAGAAUGCCUUCUUUACUAUGUAAGGACCUUCAUAAUUCGGUGCCCAUUUGCUUUGAUCGUCUCCAGGUAGUGACAAUAUUUUCUUCAAUACUAGAUCCCCUUCUUGAAACAACCGCGGUCUAACCUUCUUAUCAUAUGCCUUGGCCAUUCGUUUCUGGUACAGUUGGUGAUGACAUAUUGCGGCCAUCCUCUUUUCACUGAUCAGGUUCAGUUGCUCAUAUCUCACUUUGGCCCACUCGGCCUCUUCUAAUUCGGAGUCCAUCAAUACUCUUAACGACGGGAUUUCUACUUCCAAAGGCAUCACUGCUUCCAUACCGUACACCAAAGAAUAUGGAGUAGUUCCUGUCGAGGUCCUAACUGUAGUGCGGUAUGCGUGAAGAGCGAAUGACAACAUCUCAUGCCAAUCUCUAUAUGUGACUACCAUUUUCUGAAUAAUCUUUUUGAUGUUCUUGUUGGCGGCUUCUACUGCGCCAUUCAUUUUUGGUCGGUAUGGUGAGGAAUUCGAAUGCUUGAUUUUCCAUUUAGUACACAGCUCCACUAUCAUUUUGCCAUUGAAAUUUUGUGCAUUAUCUGUCACUAUCUUUCCCGGAGGACCAUAUCGACAAAUCAAGUCCUUUUCUAUAAACCUCUUCACUACGUUCUGUGUUACAUGGGCAUACGAAUUAGCUUCCACCCAUUUGGUGAAGUAGUCAAUAGCCACAAGGAUGAAUCUAUGCCCAUUGCUAGCUUUUGGGUUAACCGGACCAAUUACAUCGAUUCCCCACAUUGCAAAUGGCCAAGGAGAUAUCAGAUUAAAUAGAGGAGCUGGUGGCAUAUUGACCUUGUCACUGUAAACUUGACACUUGUGACAUUUCCUGACAUAGUCGAUGCAGUCUUUCUCUAGUGUCAUCCAAAAAUAACCAGCCCUUUGGAUUUUCCUUGCUAUCAUAUGCCCGCUAGCAUGGGUUGAGCAAAUCCCCUCAUGGACCUCCCGUAAUGCCUUUCUAGCAUCUGCCUCAUUCAAACACCUUAGCAAGGUUCCAUCAAAUGAUCUUUUGUACAGAAUCUCUCCAUCUAAAUAAAAGUCUGUAGCCAACCUUCUCAAGGUUUUCUUAUCCGUUUUGGAGGCUCCCACUGGAUAUUCCUGAUUUUGCACAAGGUUCUUGAUAUCAUAAUACCAAGGCUGUCCGUCUAUCUCUCCUUCAACUAAGCAACAGUGAGCUGGGUCAUUUCUAAUGUCAAUGUGUACCGGUUGUACCUUGCACUUGAGAUCAAUGGUAGUCAUAGCAGCUAGCGUGGCCAAAGCAUCUGCAAAAUGGUUCCCUUCUCUUCCCAGGUGGGUGAAUCUAAUUUCUUCAAAUUCCUUCGCUAGCGUGGACAGGUAUUCCUGGUACGGCCUCAACUUUUCCUCUUUGGUCUGCCAUUCCCCCUUAACCUGACAGAUAAUCAACAUUGAAUCUCCGUACACAUCUAACUUCUUUAUCUUCAGCUCUAAUGCCGCUUCUAGACCAAGGAUACAAGCUUCAUACUCAGCUGUAUUGUUGGUGCACUCGAAAUGUAGUUUAACCGAAACUGGAUACUGUUUCUUAUCAGGAGAGAUUAUUACCGCACCGGCCCCGUUACCAUAUACGUUCACUGCACCAUCAAAAAACAUUGUCCACCAAUCUGUCUGCUCUUCUUCUUUCUCUAUUGACAAUAUAUCUUCAUCAGGGAAGUCAAAAUCCAAGGGUUCGUAAUCUUCAACAGCAUUAUCAGCCAGAUGGUCCGCGAUUGCACUUCCUUUUACGGCUUUCCUUGUCAUGUAUACUAUGUCAUAUUCUGCCAAUAGAACUUGCCACCUUGCAAUUCGACUUGAGAGAAAUGGCUUGUUACAAAUAUACCUCAGAGGAUCCACUUUUGAAAUCAACCAAGUGGUAUAGUAUAACAUAUAAUGCCGCAACCUCUUUGCUGCCCACACCAACGCACAACAAAGCCUUUCUAUCUCCGUGUAUCUAGACUCACCUUCAGUGAAUUUCUUACUUAAGUAAUAAAUAGCUCUUUCCUUCCUUCCGGUUUCAUCAUGCUGACCCAAUACACAUCCCAUAGCUGCUUCAGUCACUGUUAGAUACAAUACUAGAGGUUUUCCCGAUACCGGAGGGACUAGUAAAGGUGGAUUUUGCAAAUAAUGCUUGAUUUUAUUGAAUGCCUCCUCACACUCCUCAUUCCAGGUUCCAGGAUUCUUUUUCCUUAGUAGUCGGAAUAUUGGUUCACACGUCGUUGUUAACUGAGCUAUGAACCGAGCAAUGUAGUUUAUCCUUCCCAAGAAUCCUCUUACUUCCUUCUCCGUCUUAGGGGAUGACAUAGCUUGGAUGGCCCUUACUUUAUCUGGAUCCACCUCUAUACCUCUUACCACAAAUCCUAACAGCUUACCCGAUUUAACUCCAAAUGAACAUUUGGCAGGAUUGAGCCUUAAUUCAUACUUCCUCAAUCUCUCAAACAACUUCCUCAAAACUUCAACAUGAUCCUCUCCUCUUUUAGACUUGGCAAUCAUGUCGUCUACAUACACCUCAAUUUCCUUGUGCAUCAUGUCGUGGAACAAAGUCACCAUUGCUCUUUGAUAGGUUGCUCCUGCAUUCUUCAAUCCAAAUGGCAUGACCUUAUAGCAGAAUGUCCCCCACGGUGUGACAAAAGUUGUUUUCGUCUUAUCCUCCGGAGCCAUUUUUAUCUGGUUGUAUCCUGAAAAACCAUCCAUAAAGGAAUAUGUGGAACUCUGGGCAGCAUUGUCCACUAAAACAUCUAUGUGUGGUAGAGGAAAAUCAUCCUUGGGGCUAGCUUUAUUCAAAUUCCGAAAAUCCACGCAUACUCUAAUCUUCCCCUCCUUCUUAGGUACCACAACAAUGUUAGAUACCCAUUGUGGAUAUCUAACUACUUCUAGAAAGCCAGCAUCCCAUUGCUUCUCGAGUUCUGCCUUGACCUUGAUCCAGACAUCCGGGUGGGCCCUCCUCAGCUUCUGCUUGAUUGGCUUACAGCCUUCUUCCAACGGUAUCUUGUGUACUACAAUAUUUGUAUCCAAACCAGGCAUAUCUUCAUAAGACCAAGCAAAGACAUCUGCAUAUUCUUGUAACAGGGCGAUCAUUUUUGUCCUUUGUUCAGAAGUAACUAAGGUACCUAUUUUCAACUCUUUCUUGAGCUGAUCACUACCCACAUUGAUGGUUUCGAGUUCCUCGGCGAUAGGCUUCCAAGUCUGUUCCUGUUGUUCUACUAGCCUGGUGAAUUCACUAAUAUUGCUUUCAUCCCAUUCUUCUUCUUCCAUAGCUAUCACAUGCUCGUUCAAGUUUGGCCAUUUAUUCUUGAUGCUAAAUAUAUGUGAUGUUGUUGGAGAUCCGCUUUCAGGAUUCCUGAAAGCGGGAAGUGUUUGGUGUAAAUGCAUAAAAAAGAAAGCAAUUUGUGGAAAGUGCAUGAUCUCACAAUUUAUUUAAAGAAAAAGUGGGCUCCAUGACAAACAUAAAGUCUAACCGACAAUUGAGCCUUGAUUGUCGACUAGCGAAAAUAAAUGAAAACCAAACAAAGCAAUGACAAAAGCAUGUUAAGACAAACAAAAUUGGUUUACAUUUUGAAAACCACUGGAGCUUCUUGGGUCACCCAAUUCUGAAACUUCUCGUCUUGAGCCAACUUGCGCACAAAGGUCUUGGCGGAGACUUCUUCUAUGGUGUAGACCGUUAGUUGUGGGAGUGCUUCAUCUCCCUUUCUUGCUACUGUCUUCAUGUCAUCUCCUUCCAUCUUGUUUUCCCCCAAGGUAUUUAUGCUCAGGUUUGACAGCUCUUGAUCGAGGCUUUCGGCUUCUUUAUCAUGUUGCAUUAUGUAUGCAGCUUUUGAGAAUGACACGCUAAGGGGAGGGAUUUCUAGCUUUUCUUCAUCAGGCUCUCUUCCUUUAAUUCUAGCCAUCCUUCUUGCCCUUCUCCGACCAGCAGCCCACCGAUAAUCUUCUUGGUUAGGUUGGUAUCCUAACCCAAAUCUUUGAGCAACACUUUUCAUCCUUGCCAGAUUAACCCCUUCUGGUAUCCUGAUAAUAAAGUUAUACUGAAAUGGGAUCCCGCGGUUCAAAAGGCAUAGACUUGCCAUCCUUGCUGCUUCUGAGAUCCUUGGCCUUCUUAGCACUGUGUUCUCCGGCACCCAGUCAGUGUUCACAAUUUCAAAGGCAUGGAUAUUGUUAUCCUUGCAAUCAUUCGCUUCGAUAAAAGGCACAGCUACAUUCUUUAUCAUGGAUACUGUCUCCUCAGCCUUGACAGUUACCAACAUCCCAUUCAUGAUAUACUUCAGGCAUUGGUGCAAUGAUGAAGCUACUGCCCCCGCUGCAUGAAUCCAAGGUCUUCCUAACAACAUACUAUAGGAAGGAUGGAUAUCCAUAACUUGAAGUGUUACUAGGAACAUUUGUGGUCCCACAUAUAGCUCCACUUCUAGAGUCCCAAUUAUUGGCCUAGGUGAGCCAUCAUACGCUCUGGCCAUCAUAGUACUUGGCCUUAUAUGGGAUUCAUCGAUCGGCAUUUCUUCCAACAUGUGCUUUGGCAACACAUUAAGGGCCGAGCCGUUAUCAAUGAGUACUUUUCCUAUGAGGCAGUCCUUGCACCUAACCGUAAUGUAUAAAGGCUUGUUAUGUCCGGUACCUUCAGCAUCAAGCUCAUCAGCCGUGAAGUACAGGUAAUUAGUUGCAUGGAUCCUUCCCACUAGAUGCUCCAUGGUUUUAUGUUCAAUGUCUUGGGGUACAUAUGCCUCAUUCAAUACCUUCUGCAAGGCGUUUCGAUGCGGCUCAGAGCUGAGUAUCAGGGACAUAAGGGAGAUCCUAGCUGGAGUCUUCUUUAGUUGAUCUACUAUGCAAUAUUCACUAUGCUUGAUCAACUUCAGGAAUUCAUUCGACUCCUCUUCUGUUACUGGCUUAUUAACUUCUAGUGCCUUGUCAAGAUCUACCACUUCUUUACCCUUUUCCUUCCUCAACUCUUCGGAAGUAAAGCAACGACCACUCCUGGUCAACCCACUUAUCUCAGUCUGGAACAAAGGAAGAGGAGCUUGAACGUUGGAGGCAUAACCAUAAUUAUAAGGCAUGGCAUUGUGAUUCCCUUUUGUGUAGGACGGUUUAACCAAGAUUAGCCUUGGGGGACCAUUAGCUGUUUGUUGGACCCUGCAUACUCCUGUCAUCUCCAUUUGACCUUCCAUCAUACUCACCUCUCCGCUGCUCUUCACGGGUUCAAUCCUCAACUCCCCCAUUUUUAGCAUUUUUGCAAUCUUUUCGCAAAACUCGAUGCAAUCCUCAAUAUGAUGUCCUUCUCUUCCAUGGUAUUCACAGUAAUCAUCUCCCUCUAAAUGGCUCUCCACCUUUGUCUUUAGAAAUCCUGAUUGUACCAACAUGUCGUACAACCUCUUCAUGGACACCUUCAACACCUUGCAUUGAUUUCCCACUUCGAUCAUGCCUAUUCCACUACUACUUGAGGCAUGUUUAGGCAACGGGUUUGAAUUAACAUUGGGCUUGUCUUCAAAGGAUACCCAUCCUAUCUUAAUAAGCUCCAGCAAUCUUUUCUUGAAAGCGUAACAGGUUUCAAUCCCAUGCCCAGGAUUACCCGCAUGGUAUUCACAAGUUAACUCGGGCUUGUACCAAAUUGGGAAUGGUGGUUGUAAUGGUAGUGUAGGGCUAGGAGCUAUGUGCCCAAUGCUCAACAGUUUGGCAUACAUGUCCUUCAAAGGCAUGGGUAACGGUGGCAGUUGUUCUGAAGGGUAUCUCGUAUGGGGUCUUUGGUAGUGAUUUUGGUAAUUUGAUUGGUUAUUUGUUCGAUUAGGCAAAAAAGAUUGGUUAAAGUUUAUGCGUGAGAAUUGAGAGGUAGGUACUUGUGGAUUGUGGGAAUCUACUUUCUUGCCCUUAUACCCAUCCUCCAAAUUGUUAACAUCGCCUUCUCUCUUUCUUCCAAUAAAGCCCUUCUUUUCCACUGGCAUUGCUAUUCGCCCAGCUUUGAUCCCCUGUUCUAUCCUCUCAGCUAUGCGUACCGCAUCAUAGAAAUGUUGAGAGGAGCUACCCAUUAGGUGCUCAUAAUAAGGUGCUUUGAAGGUAUUGGCAAACAAACUCACCAUCUCCGUUUCUAUCAAAGGGGGUUGGACAUGCAUUGCCUCAUCCCUCCAUCUUUGCGCAUAAGCCCUUACUGACUCCUGGCUUCUUUUCUCCAUUGCCAUUAAACUUGUUUGAUCAGGAGCGAUUUCCAUGUUAAACUUGUACUGUUUGAGGAAAGCCUCCACCAAGUCUCUCCAGCUCUUGAUCCUGAUGCUGUCUAACCUCAUGUACCAGCUUAAAGCGGAUCCUGCUAGGCUAUCUUGAAAGAAAUAGAUUAGCAUUUUAUCAUCACGGAUUACUUCCGCCAUUUUGUUGCAGUAGGAUCGAAGGUGAGUGUUUGGGCAUUCCAAACCGGUAUACUUAAUGAACUCUGGUAUGCGAAAAUCUUUUGGUACCACGAUGUUUGGUACCAAACAUACUUCGGCUGCUCGCAUAGGGUCAAACCAGUCAUUACCCUCAACUGCCCUUAAUCUUUCUUCCAGAGCAAACAGCUUGUCUUGGUCUAUCAAACUGGGAGACCUAUUAUCCGGGACUCCCUCCGUUGUUAGGUCAACAGUGACUGGAGUAUGAGGUGGUAGGAUAGGAGUAAUAGGCACAAACUGUUGUUCAUUGGCCGAGUUUGCCCCCUGGUUUUGAGAUGCUUGAGGAAUGUGAACUGCUGGCGCUCCUUCAAGCUGUCGUGCUGAUGUUCCCUCCCCAUUCUUAGCCCUUAGAAGCUGCUCAAGUAAGUCGGUUAGCCGAGAAACUUCAUUCUUUACAGACUCCAACUCGGUCUGAUAAUGUGACUCUAAGUGAGCUCUUUCUUCGUUCUCCAUUCUCGCUCGAGACCGGGUGUUGUGGAUUUUGGAUGUGGGACCUAUGUUUCACGGUCUGGGAUGCAUGAAAAAAAUGUAAAUGAAUGUGUGAUAAAGAAACAAUGCAUGAAUACUCUUAGAAACUUGUUUUUAAAAAACGAUCGAUGGCCAACAUUCCUCUUGUGUAAUGGGCAUGGACUCUUUUUGUCACGAUCUUUAUCAGGAGUAGUUGUGCUCAAGCUGCUGCUUUGGUAGGCUUAUAUUUAUAAAAGAUGGGUCAAAGCCCUUUUCAUUAAUAUUGGCUAAUACAUCUCUUGAAGAGAGGGUAAUAAAUACAUCAAUCUUCCUCUUCAUCCAUAUCUCUAGCCACUGGUAGGAAAGCGAGGCCUCGAUUCUCAAUUUUCUCUAAAAAGGCAUCUGUCUCAGCCAAGCUUUGUCGAUAACGAAAGAUGUCCCUUCCCACCCUUCGAGCAUUGGCUCUAAUAAUUCGUGCGUGAAUGGCAGCUUCAUCCAUUUGCUCAUCUACCUUGGCCAUCUUCUCUAUAAGCACCAUGUUGUUCCGAUUCAAAGUAUUGUUGUUGGUGUCGAUCUGUUCUUUAUGUUUUUCUGAAACUUCCAACCUGUUGGUCAACUGUUUCACCUUUUCUCGUUCUUUGUCAAACUUCACCUUCAACAUUCUAAUUUCAAUUUUCUUAGCUGCCAAAUCUGCCUUCAAAACCUCCUCUUCAUUCCCCUUUCUUUCGAACUCUUGUAAUUCAGUUAGCCGACUUUCUAUCAUCAUAUAUUUCUUGUUUAACUCAUCAUACUUCUCAAUUCGGUCUAACAACUCUGCUUUAACAUGCAAGAAUUUGUCCUGAUUGUACUCAACAUUCUCUUGAUAGCCAUCGAAGUCGGCUUUCAAUGCUUCCAACUCAGAGCUGCUUUGCAUAAAAUCCAAAAUCAGUCUUCCUCUUUCUUUCUCAGACUCCUCUAUUACAGCCUUUCCUUUGCUCAAUUGCAGCUCCAACAUCCCUAUUUUCGCUUCUUUAGAUUCGAGCUGUUCAUUUAGAAACACUCUGCUUUUAUCUCCUUCCAUCAUCAUCCUUUCUAAUGCUGAUUUAUCUCCCUUACUCUUUCCCAAUUCUUUUUGUAGCCUUUCUAUUUGCUCCAUAAGGUCUUCCUCAUUACUGACCUUUUUUUCUUUUCAAUGACCCUUUUUCAAUUCGUGAAGGCCCAUCUUCAGAACAUGGCUUUUUCGGAGCGGCAAUCGGGGUCAAAUUCCUCCACUUUUCAUAUCCUUCGCUUGAGCUAGGGUCUCUCAAACUUUCUGACUCCUUCUGAAUUAGAGUUAAAUGGCUCCAAUCUUGUUUGAUCGUUUCAAGGACUUCUCGCGCGGAUUGAUCCUUGAAAAAUCCGGAAAACUCAGCAAGUCCCACAGUUCUCGGGAUGUGUUGUAUGCCACCUAAUUGUCUUAUCACCAGAGCCGGAGCAUAGCUGACAUAACCUGUGAUCCCAAUUAAAGGUACCCAGCAUUUUUGUCCACAACUUACUAUGACAUCAACUGAUUUAACCCAAGGGGCCUUCCAACUAAAGUUGCUACUAGGUAACUCUUGGAGUUUUUUCAUCCAACCCUGAUCACCUAGGAUUCCCCAUUCUUCUUCCUCUACUAUCUUCAAAGGUUUUUGGUUAAACCACCAAAAAUUAUUAAAGAUCGGCUUCUUGGUUUCAACAUGGCUUACCAUCCAGAUGUAUAAUAACUGAGUACAACAUCUUACUGCGCCUUUCCCUGCUUUUCUAAAAUGGUUGAGGGUCAGCAAGGUCUCAGCUAAUAUGGCAGUUGUAGGGUUGACAUGAGUAUUUUCAUAUUCCACGAAUGCAGCAGCAGCUUCUAGACUUAUAACCCCUUUUAAGCUUGGAAAUAACACGAGACCAUAGAUCCCCAGAGCGAUUAACCUGUCUCUUUCUAGCACUGAGCCGCACUGCUCCUUUUUCUUUUCUAGUUCAACCUCCAAAAAUUUCCACUUUAAACCGCUGCCAUUCUUCUCUAAAAAUCUGCUCAGAUGUGGAAUCUUCAAUAAUUUCGACAACUCAGGAACCACCUUGUCAUUUCUCAAAGGAAAAUAAACUUGGUGAAGGUGUUUGGGAAACUCCAUCAACAUUCCAUAUUCCUCUAUAGUGGGACACAAAUCCACAUUUCCAAAGGAAAAGCAUCUGUAAUCGGGAUCCCAAAAGUUAAUCAAGGCUUUAAUUGCUGGGUUCAAUACUCCUAUCUUUGCGAUUUCCAAUAACCGCCCAUACUUCCCGAAGAAUGCCGCCUCAUCAAUAUUCUGACUAUGGCCCAAUAUUCUCUUCAUCUCAUAUCCUACGCAAUUCAGGUCUUUGACUACUGGAAGCUUCCUUGCAUCAUAUCUAGAGCAAUCUCCCUCUGAUAGUUGUGACAAUUCAGAAUUCUACCCAUAUUCCACAGUAGUAAAUUUGGUAAUGAUGGACAUCUUAUCGUUUCAAAAGACCUGAAAACCAAAUGUUUUAUGGUUUAGGUUGUGUUAUGCAAAAAUGUAUUUUGUGGAGCAUAAACCCUAUAGCCGGUUCUAAAUCUUUUGUGUUUGACGAGGGUAGGUUGGCUAUUUAGUCUCUAAAAAGGGUCUCUUGCUGUCCCAGUGAUUACCCUCGUGGAGGCAAUAUGGGGGCUUGUAGGCAAUGAGAUGGUCACAUGUACCAACUAUUACCAGUCUAAGCACUCAGCGAAGAGUUGGGGUUUACACAAACUUAAACCUUGACUAACAGUCGUAAGGUAAGCUGCUAGUCCCCCACUUAACUUAAAGUUUGUGUGUGCUCUCAAUAAUCAAAGUAUGUGAUGCAUGUGACAGUUCUAUAAGAUGUAUGAGACAGUUCUAUGAAUGCAUGAACAAUAUGUGUAAAAAUAUUUAAAGCGUAUAAGCAGGUAACAAAAAGGAAAGGCAUAUUAACAAUAAACACACGAAAACCAAAAACAAGUCAGACAAAAACAAAGCUUAGUCCACAAGGUCCCCAGUGGAGUCGCCAUUCUGUCGCACGUGAGCGACGUCGCGGCGAUCGUCCACCCACAAAAAAUAAAUGUAAAAGGGAUGGGGGAUAUAUAUAUCUGGUUAAUGUGGGGAGACAAGGAAUUCGUUGUCUCUUAGCAGUGAAAAAUGGUGUGGGAGUCGCCACCUAGUAUUUUGGUCACUAGGAACCCUAACUGGUCUCAGAGAUCGGGUACGGGGACUGGUUGCGUAAAGGGAAGGUAUUAGCACCCCAAAUACGCCCUACCUAAGGUAAGCUGCAUCGUUUUAUUGUCUGAUAAAAUUUAAGGUGUUUUCGUGUGUUUCCUAGUUGUUGGUCCAUCUACGGUUCAAGAAAAGUCCUCCUCAAUAAGGAGGUCCUUAUCUUAUCGGGUAAAGCCUAACCGUUCUAAUGUCUAAAAAACAUAUUUGUAAUAUCAAGAAUAUGUUUUACGUAUAAAUUAGUAAUCCCAAAGACAAAAAGAUUAUUUAGAAUUUUUGAAAUAUUGGCCUAGUUCUCAUGGCUUGAAUAAACUGGUUAUUAAAGCCAAAAUGCAUUCUAAUACAUAUAUUGUUUUGAAAUUUUCUUUGUUGUGUGAAAAUAUGAUGUUACAAUAUUUAUAUAUAUAUAUUGGAGAGACUAGGCCGUAUUUUAAAACAAAACAUUUUUUAAAAAUAUGUAUUUUUGUACGCUUUGACGCAAAUCGGGUAUUUUAAUACUGGGUUUGUAAAAAAUACAACCAAAUAUUAAUUCACUUUAAUAAAAUAAAUGCCUAAAAAUCAACAAUAUUUUCAAAGAUAUUUUUAGAAAAUUUUGAAAGCAAAAGACAUUUUUUGUUUUGAAAAUCUUUGAUGUUUUGAUGAAAACCGGGUAUUUUAAUACCGGAUUUUGUAUUUUUACAAUAUAAAAUACCAACCAAUAUUAAUCAAAAUAUAAUAAUAAAAUUACAACAAAAUCACAUAUAUUUUUCUAUAAUUUUUGCAAAUUUUUAUAAUUUUUUUCAUAUAUAUAUAUAUAUAAAUAAUACAAAAUAUAAUAUAUAUAUAUAUAUAUAUAUAAUAAUAUUAAAUCGGGCUGGGCCGGCCCAAACCACUGGGCCGGACUCAGCCCCAAAACCAUGAUGGGCCGAGAUCGGCCCAAAAAUGUACUGGGCCGAUCUCGGCCCAAAAAAUGUACUGGGCCGAUCUCGGCCCAAAAGUGUACUGGGCCUAUCUCGGCCCACAAAAAAAAUUCUCUUCUGGGCCAGACCCGGCCCAGAAGACUGGGCUGGGCCAGGACCCGUCUGGCCCAGCAACAAAACGGGCGGGGGGAAUUAAUUUCCCCCCGCCCCUGCAUGCAGAACGCUAUUCGUUCUGCAUGCAGAGAAGGAAAUACAUAAACGCCAGAAUAGGGGGGGAGAAGGGUACCUGACGCGGAGGAGGCGGUGGCUGGCUGCGUUUCUGGCGGCGCUGUGGCGGAGGCUGGUGGCGCUGCGACUGUUUCCGGUGGUUUGGUUCGUUCUCCCCGUUGCUCCUUUUCUCUUUGUUUUUUUCGGUUUGCUCCUUUUCUUUUGUUUUCGGGUUGGUUCUUCCUCUCUUCCCGUUCCUCUUCUCUGUUUUUUUUCGUUCCUCUCUUUUCCUUCUCUCUCCUUCGUUCUACCUCCUCCUCUCUCUCUCCUCUGUUUUUUCGUUUUUUCUCCCCGUCUCCCCUCUGUUUUUUUUUUUUUCUUUUCCCUCUCUUUUCUCUCUGUUUUUCCCUCUUGCUCUCAGCGUCCUUGGCCUCUAUUUAUAGAGGCCAAGGACGCUGUUUUUUACAGCUCUCAUGGGGGAGCAGCCGGCUGGUCGGCCAUUGGGCGCGGCUGCCGAGGUUCGGUGGGUGGUGCGCGGUGGAUGGUCGGCCAUUGUGUCCGGUCGGUGGGCUCCAGGCGAGAGAGUGGCCGGCAAAAUUCAAAUUAAAGCUUCCCUUUCUCCUUCUUCCCCGCUGCGUGAUCGGGGGAAGAAGAUGAACAGUGUCGUUUCAAAACGACACCGUUCUGCUCUUUCUUUUUUUUUUUUUUGUUUUUGAAUGUAUGAAACGGCGUCGUUUUGGAGAAAACGCGCCGUUUCAUUUAAAUGUGGCGCCAAAACGCGCCAAAUUUCAAAUCAGCCCUCAAUCAUCUUUUCUUUCUUCAAUUGCAUCCCUGCCAAUUUCGGUCUCCGUCCCUCUUGUUGGCCGCGUUUUUCACUUUAGUCCUUGGUGUCUAAUUUAUGCAAUUGAGCCCUUAAUUGAUCAAAAAACUUCUAAUUUCUUCAAUUAGGCCCCUGAAUCAAUUAAUUACAGCCCCUCCAUUUACGCGCCUCUUCCAAUUUGGUCCCUGGUUUCGGAUUUUCUCAAUUAAGUCCCUAAUUGGCCCUUAAACUUCAAUAUUUAUGCAAUUAGGCCCCUGAUUUGACCUAAUAAAUUCCUAAAAAAUAUAUUUUGGCCCCAGAACUUAAAUUUCUUCUAAUUAAAGCCCAAAUUGACUUAAAAAUCAAUUUUUCUUGCAAUCAAAUCCUCUAUAAAUUCAUUUAAAAAUCAAAUUAAGUCCAUAAACAUCCAAAUUUGGGCUUUUCUCCUCAAAUUUCAAAUUUUCCUUCUCAACAGGGCUCUCCUCCUUCAAGAAUAUACUGUCAAAAAUCCAAUCUUUGUAUUUUUAACCUUAUUGAUCGAUUUUCCAACCAUUUUCUGAGCGCUUCUGCCUCCUGUUAUUUUUUUUUUUUUUUUUCUUUGGCUAUAUACAUAUUUAUAUAUAUAUUUUGUGGGGACCCAAAAAUGAGUUACAACACUUCUUAUUCUUGUUGGCCAGUCAUACUAACGGUUUAUAACUUGCCAUCGGGGAUGUGUAUGAGGUCGGAGUUCAUGUUUUUAUCUAUGGUCAUACCAGGUCCGAGCAGCCCAGACCGGAAUAUAGAUGUUUGUCUUCAACCGUUAAUUGAUGAGUUGGCGCAAUUGUGGUCCUCCGGAGCUUUGAUUUAUGAUAUAUCAAGGAAACAAAAUUUCCUUAUAAGGGCGGCUUUGAUGUGAACUAUCAAUGAUUUUCCAGCUUAUGGAAUGCUUUCUGGUUGGAGCACACAUGGGAAACUAGCAUGUCCAUACUGCAUGGAAAACAACAAGGCAUUCACGCUAACAAACGGAGGUAAAGCUUCUUUUUUUUACUGUAACCGUCGUUUCUUGCCACAUGAUCACAGGUACAAAAAGAACAGAAAAGAUUUAUUUGUUGGCAUAGUUGAAAAGGAUGUUGCACCCCCGCGUCUUUCUGGUGAAGAAUUGCAUGAUGUUGUAUCAGAGUACGGUGACAUUGUGUUUGGUCUCCAAUCAGGUAAGUAGAAGUUCCCUGGUUUUGGUUUGACUCAUAAUUGGGUAAAGCGAAGUAUCUUUUGGGAGCUUUCUUAUUGGAAGACCAAUCUUCUCCGCCAUAACAUUGACGUCAUGCACAUUGAAAAAAACAUGUUUGAGAACAUUUUCAACACCGUCAUGAAUGUCAAGGGAAGACAAAGGACAACAUCAAGGCUAGAUUGGAUGUAGCAUUGUUCUGUAACCGUAAAAAUAUAGAGUUGGUUUGUGAUGAGUCAUGGGUCGCAAAACCAAGAGCAAGCUUCGUGUUAGAGAAAAAUGCACAACUACUAGUCUACAAAUGGCUUAAGAGUCUGCGUUUUCUGGAUGGACAUGCCUCGAACAUAACAAGGCUGGUUGAUAUGGAGGAAUGCAGAUUGUAUGGAAUGAAGAGUCAUAACUGCCAUGUGUUUAUGCAAACACUCAUCCCAUUAGCUUUUCGUGAUUUGUUGCUAAAAGGGAUAUGGGAUGCACUCAUGGAGAUCAGUCAUUUCUUUAAAGAUUUAUGCUCCAACAAGUUGAAUGUUGAUCACAUUGAGAGGCUUGAAACGAAUAUCACCGAGACAUUAUACAAACUUGAGAUGAUAUUCCCUCCAUCAUUUUUUGACUUAAUGGAGCAUCUCCCCAUACAUCUACCGUUCAUGGCAAAAGUUGGAGGACCGGUCCAGUAUAGAUGGAUGUACCUAUUCGAACGGUUAGAUAUUACAGUUGCAAUGUAAUUCAUAUGUAAAAGUAUUUUCUUUGUUUUUCUUCAUUGAAAAUAUUUAAUUAAUUCAAUGUAGGUACUUGUUCAAUCUCAGAAAAAGGUUAAGAACAAGGCGCAUGUUGAGGCUUCCAUAUGUGAGGCCUAUAUUGUUGAGGAGAUCUAAACAUUUAUCUUGUACUAUUUCGAACCUCAUCUGAGAACAAGAAUCAAUCGCGUUCCACGGCAUGAUGGUGGCGGUGAAGUGUCUUCUAGUGGAAACUUGUCAAUAUUCUCUAAUCCUGGACGACCCACACCUAAAAAUGUUGUAAGAGGAAGAUAUUUGCCAGAAAUAGAGUUCAAACAAGCACACAAUUAUGUUCUAUUUAACUGUGAUGAGCUGAGACCUUUUAUUCAGUAAGUGUAUAUAUGUGUAAUACUAAUUAAAAUUUGUCGAUAAUAUAUUGUUAAUUAUAUAAUGUAAUAUAAUACACUCAUUACCACUUGCAGGGAACAUCGAAAAUAUUUGUUGUCCAAUAACUCACACCUGACCGAAUCUCAGAUCUUUCAAUUACAAGAUGAACAAUUUUCCACAUGGUUCAGUAAGUUUAGGUUGCGUGAUUUUUGGUAUGAAGCACAAAAAAGGGCAAAAAAAACCGAGAGAGAUAGGGGUUUCCAAGGCUGGAACGAUGUUGCGGUUUGGAGGGAUUUCAAACCGAUAUACAUCCUGGAAGAUAUAUGGUCGCACUAUCUUGAGUUCGUGACGUCUGAGUAGUUCAUACGACGCUCACAGUCCGGUGCUGGCAACCGGAAUCGACCAUUUCAUGGCUCGGUGACAACGCACACUGGCAGCUCCGUUUCGUUUGCUACACAAGCAAAAUGGAUGGUAAGAUUAAUUUAAAUGAAAUAUAUCGUUAAAUUAAGUUGUUGUUAAUAAAUCUUUUUUCAUUAUAGGCUAUGUCUCUUGGACGUGAGCCGAGCCCGAUGGAGCUGUUUGUGGAGACGCACGUGCGGAGUCAAGAUCGCCAAAAGGUGGCGCAACAGUUCGUUGACAACCGUGCUCAACAUUUCGUGGUAUGUUUGUUCAACCAUUUUAUUUUGUAAGUUAUUAUGUUUAUUGAAUUGAAUAUGAUGAUUACUUUUUUUAUUUUUAGGAGACCUAUAAUAAUCGGUUGAGGGAGAGAUACGGGGAUGAUAUUUUGACCCAUCCGAAAUUCGAUCUAGAUUUGUAGAUGGAGGUUGGAUCAUUAGGUGGACUCGAUAAAAAUCAAGUUUACGGGCUCUCCAACACUACGGCCAACAACUUGCGGUCGGCCCGUAGUGUUUCAACCGUUGGGAGCUCCCAAUCUAAGGAGUUCGUGGCCUCAACACACGUCUCAUCUCACCGAAAAAUACGACCACCUAUCAGUGGAGUAUGCACAACUCAAAGCGUCUCAUACACAACAAAGAGCAGAGUCUGAACAACAAAAAGCGGCUUAUGAACAGCUUCGUGAAAUGGUCAUGAACAUGGCAGCACAGAUUGGAACAUGUGCGCCUAAUCCUUUUUGGUCGUAUAACCACCAGCCUCCUUCUCCUCCAGCUCCACCUUUAUAUUAAUUUGUAAUAAACAUUAUUUACCUUUAAAUUUUCAUUUUAAAUUUUUUUUGAAACACAUUUAGUUUGUAAUGAAUAUUAUUUAACUUUGAUUUUUUGUUUUUGAUGUUUAAUAUAAAUUUUAUUUGCAUAAUUGGUUUUUAUUACCAUUAAUUUAUAUAAUUUUAUAUUAUGUAUUCUAAAUAAUUUUUUAAAAACAAAUUUAGAAAAAACUAUUACAAAGGGUUUUACCGAUGCAAUGAAUCCGUCGGCAUUUGACAGUAGCUGCCACAUUCACCGACGCAUUUACAGACGGAUAUAUUCGGUCGGUAUUUCAUACACUCACCGACAGCUUUACCGACGGAAUUAAUCCGUCGGCAUUUGAUAGUAGCUGCCAUAAUUACCGACGAAUUUAUAGAUGGAUAUAUUCGGUUGGUAUUUCAAACACUCACCGACAAAUUUACCGACGGUACGUAGCCGUCGGUAAAUCACGAUAUCACCGACGGAGUAAAAUCCGUUGGUAUAUUUCAAGCGGGAAACUUUUUUUUGGCACGCAAAUUAUGUCUGUAAAACCAUCAGCAAAUGGUUUUUUUGUGUUUUCGACCGAUAUAGCAACGGAAUGUGGAAUUACUGAUGAAAGGAAAGCCGGCGGAUUACACACCGACGGAAUAUCUCCAUUGGUAAAACUAUGAAAUCUUGUAGUGUAUACUUUGUUUUUUUGUGUUCAAUUUUAAUGUUAUCACAUUUAUAAUAGUUUUCAUCGUGAUUCCAUCGGGUAACGCAAUACAGGGCUCAGCUAUGCUAAAGGCAAGGACAUGUAGUUGUUCGCUACUUCUACCAUUGAAGGUGAUUACUAUCAAAUCAGCGGAUUCCAUACAUUUUUUUCAUAAUCUAAGAAAUUAAUUUUUUGUCUUUAUAUAUUUUUCUAACCUAGCUAUCAUGCCUUCUCCCAUUAUCAUUUAGCUUAUUUUCAAAUAAUUUUAAUCAAUUUACUUCCUUUUACUCCUAGGAAAACCAAACCUCGCUAGCACUGUUGCCUCCUUAUGGUAUUUCCACCCAGAAAUUCAUGAGGUUCUUCCAUAUAAGCAUCAGUAAGCUAGCUCUUUAUCUUCUCUUUUGUCUCGCUUAUGUUCUUAAAUUAUUUAUCUCACUUCUAAACAUUUUAUCAGGUUUAAAGUUGAUUGUAUUGUGACUAAUGGUAAUGAUGUUGCAACAUUUCUAAUAAUGGGAAAAACUACUGAAAACUUCUUUGGCUCCUCUGCCCACUGCUAUCUCUAUGAUAAGGGGGUUUAUUGAUUGCAUCCCACCUCCCAUGAUUGAAAAAUUAAACAAGGACAAGAUUUUCCAACUGAGAUUUGGAGUUUUUCGCUCAGUUGUCAACCAUUGUGACAUCAUUGUUAUUAAUAUCUUUGACGAUAUUGUAACUAAUGAAGCUCCACACCUGCCUACUGAACCAGAGCUGCAUGUUGUUGAUAUUUCUCUUAAUGAUCAAGCAGCUUUAUCAUCCUCUCAAGUUUCCUCUACAUUGGACCCAAUAACACCAUCACCUGUUCCACCGUCUAAAACUAAUGCUAAUUUCUCACAACAGCCACUAGUGUCCCCAAGGCAACCACAUAUAUGGUUGGUCCUUUGCCAUCACAAACCAAAAGACAGCUGCUGUUUGAAGAUUAAACGCCUAAUGAAAGGUGACAGGCUGCUUCUUCCUCUCAUUUAAAAGUUGUUGCUUUUCAAUUUCAGCAAUGUCAGUUGUUUCUUUUUGUUUGAUGAGUAGCAGAUACAUAACUUAUUAAUUUAUUUUGGAUUCAUAGCUCUACAAUAUAUAGCUGCUGCAGCUUAUCCUCGAGAUGGAUUUGCAUCACUUGACCGUGAUACAUCAGCCAUCACUGAGACAAAUGAUCCACCAAGCAAACGCCAAUGCCCUUAGCUUACACGCAGCAUUUAAAUAAACCACUGCAGCGCCAGUCUUGUUUUUCAUUUCUGUUAGUUGUUACUAUUGCGAAAGAUUCGUGUAACUAAGCUAACAAAUUCUCUAGAAUCUACUCCCUACUACUAUAUUUGUAACAACUUAUGGAACAGAUGGAGAAUAUAGAAUGCAAUACAAUUAUCGUGUUUUCUCCUCUGUUCCCUCUUCUCUUUCUCUCGUCUUCUUCCCACCAUCCCUCUGUUAUUCUACGUACUAUUUAUGUUAUUCUACGUACUCUGGAGGAAGUAAAAAUAGAUGUCUAUAUUUUGAUGUCGUAUAUUACUAGACCGACACUUGCUUAUGUCAUUAUUUGUUUUUACUUUUUGCUAAUGAUUCCACACAUUUCUCAUAUUGGUGUGGUUUGUGAGUUCAGGGUUCUUGCUCGCUGCUACUAACUUCUCUAUACUUUGCCUGGUCAUUAAAAAUGAAACGUAAAUGAUUUACAUGUGCAGAAUGGAGACAUUAAAGACACAUCUUUCGUUUUCUUUCAUAAAUCAGUUUAUAAAACAUUCUUCCAAAAAUUAUAUACCAUGCAUUAACAAAAAUUGCAUAUAAGCAAAUCAAUCUAAACAUAGCCAUUGCUUGAUCUUUUAUAUAUAUAUAUAAUGUAAUACAUUUAGUAGAUGAAAAAUGCAUAAUUCAGAAAAAUAUCUAUUCUAUUUAAAAAUAAUAGUGUAUGAAUAUUUACGUACUUUCUUUGCUUAAAUAGCCGAGGUCUGAAAUCAUAGCUCAAAAAACCUAUUCGCAAGCAUAUUAUGUUAAUUGCAUGCUACCUUGUAAACUAAUCGUAGCUCCUAGAACAUUCAGAAUUCUAUUAUGCUUUUUGGGUUGUAAACUAGUCUCAUUUACCUUUCAUCCAUAUAUAUAAUUUAGAUAGCAAUUCCUUUUAUAUAAUUUAUAAUAAUCCCCGAAAUCAUUCUUUACUAUUAUCAUCAUAGCUAUUUCUAUAAAAACUGGAUUAAUGCACCGUUUAUGGUAUUAAAAACCAAAGAGAACAAGCUUUUCCUAUGUAUAAAAUUUGGGUAAAAAACUGUAUCUAUUCAAAUCCUUUUUUGGAUCAAACAGUAGCCCCUGUAAAAUACUUAAACUAACAACUUCUAACUUUGCUUAACCUAAUACUUUUAUACCAUUAAACAACCACUAAGCAAUCAUAUUUUCAUGAUCUAUAUCACUAAGCAAUUAUAUUUUCAUAACAUAUUUAAUUAAUCUGAAACCUUUCUAAAUAUAAUGCUUUUUUUUUCUCAAAAUCAAGAAAACAUAAUGUUACAUCACUACACCAUUUAACAAUUUUAUCGAUGGAAUUUUUCCGUCGGCAUAAGAUUACCAUUCCGUCGGUGAAAAUUUUAUUGACUAAUUCACCGAUAGAAUACGUCCGUCAGAAUAACGUUCAUCGGUAAUUCGAUAUUUUGUUGCUAAUUAUUUCAGUAAAAAAAACAUAUAGUUUUACAGACGGAAAAUGCGCGCAAAAAAAAUCUUGCUGGAAAUAUGCCAACGGAAUAAUUCUGUCGGUAUAUUUCCAUCCGUGAUAGUGCAUAAGCAGUUAUUUUUUCCAAACUCUCUGGAAUAUACUGAUAGAAUGAUUUCGUCUGUAUUUCUAUCGGUAAAUCACAUAUGGAAUAACGAUGUCAGUGAUUGUGGCAUAUGCAGUAAAUAUUUUACAAUUCUCUAGAAAAUACCGAUGAUAUAAUGUCGUCUGUAAAUCGGUCGGUGAUAAUUUAAAAAUAUUUUUAAAAAUAAAAUUGCGUAGAAUAAAUAUUAUAAAAUUGUAUUGAAUAAUAGUAAAAAAACUAAUUAAGCAAAUAAAAUUGAAAAAUAUAAAAAUCAAAUUAAAUAAUAUAAAGUCCAAAUAUUCAUUAUACAAAAAAAAUUAAAAUAAAACAUUAUUAUAAUAUUAUAAUUAUGUGGGCUGGGCCGGCCCAGCGAACCGACCCGAACUCAGCCCAAAAGGGUUGGGCCGAUCUCAGCCUAAUAGUUCUCUCUGUUUUUUUGGUCUAAGCCGGACCCAGCCCAUACAUCAUGGCUGGGCCAGAACCAGCCUGGCCCAAAAAAGAAACAAAUCGGGGGGGGGGAUUAUUUUCCCCCCUCCUAUCCUCCUGCAUGCAGAAUGAAUAUCAUUCUACAUGCAAGAGAAACUUAUACCGAAAAUGAAGUAAAAGUGGAGGGGAAAGAAGAGUUUCCUGGCAUAGAAGAGGCGGUGCCUUGCUGGUCUGGCUGCUUCACUGGCGGUGUUGUGGUGGAGGCCGGUGGCGGUGUCGUGGCUCACGAACUGUAGCUCCAAGCAGCGGUGCUGCUGUUUCAAGCGGCGGAGAGAGAGGUUCUUGCUCUUCUGUUUAUUUCUCUCGCAAACCCUCCCCUAUUUCGAACUCGUCUUCUUUCCUCUCUCUCUCUCUCUCUCUCUCUCUCUAUCUCUCUCUCUCUCUCUCUCCCGUCUGCUUUCCUUUUCUUUUCCUCCCGUUUCCUUUUCGUUUCUCUGUGUGUGUUUUUUUUCAUUUCUCUGUUUUUUUCCUCCUCCUGUAACUGGUGUUAAGAGUAGUAUUUAUAGGGUAAAGGGGAGAGGGGGCAUCCCUAUCGCCGCCCUAUCGUUGCGCAUGGGGAGAGGGGCCUUCCUGCCCUGCCACGACGCUGAAUGAGGUGGCCAAUGGGUGUGGUUUGCAGGGACGGUGCCGGACGAGGUGGCCAAUGGGUGUGGUUUGCAGGGACGACUUCGUUGGCUUCUCAUUGUGAGGGGGAGUGUGCACGCGGGGAAGAAAUAAAUGAGAAACACAAAUUUCUAUCUUCCCCUGUUGCAUGUCCAAGGGAAGAAGAAGGAGGAACAGUGUCGCUCAAAACGACAUCGUUCUGUUCUUUUUUUAUCAUGAAACGACAUCGUUCUCAUCACAACACAUCUAAUUCUGUAAUUCAUACUACAAGUUUCAACAAUUUACAAACAAAUACAAUUUCACAAAAUCUAAAACAAACCAUAACAAGUACAAAAUUAUACAUUCAUACUACAAGUUUGUUUGAGAAAAAACAAUAAAAUAUAUACAUACCCUAACAAAUACAUAUACUAAAAAAAUUCAAUAAUAAUAAAAUUCACAUUUUAAUGUUAAAAUUAAAAAAGAUAAAUUUACUUACAAAAAUGACAAAAUCUACAAUAAAUAAGGACACAGAUGCUGUGACUACAAAAAAUAAAGAAGGAUGAUUUGUGUUGAGAAGUGAGGGAUGAUUUGGGGGGAUGGGUUAUUUGCAGUUUGGGAGGGGAGAGUUUGUUUAGAUGCAAGGAUGGGGGAAGAAGAAGGAGAAAUAGAGGAGAGGAGGGGAGGCGACGUGGUGAUAUAUUAACGUUUACUGAGGGAAUCAUCAACGGAAAUAUUCCGUCAGUGAUUGCAUCAACAAUUCUGCCGGUGAAGGGGACACAUCAUUGUACGAAGAUCUCGGUUUAAAUCCCUCUGCAAUUUCAUCAGUAAAAUUGCUCACAAAAACUUACACGUCAUUGCACUGCUUUGUUUUUCAAAAUUCUUUAUACUCCGUUUGGGAUUCUAUUGGUAUAUACCGAUAGAAUAAUUAUGUUAGUAUAUACCGAUGAUUUUAGCAACGGAUUUAAAUUGGUUGGUAAAUAUCACCGCAAUUUACCGACAUAAAAAUUCUGUUGGUUUUAGUCGAAAUGGUGAAUAAACUAUCCCAAAUAAAAAUUAGGAUAUUACAUUUGUUUUCAUCUACACGUCAACGGAAAGCCAACCAGUUCUCGGAGUGAUCAAAUCAUGCCAAACAGCUGAGAAUCUUUACAAGAACUCGAGAAAAUUACCAUACGGCUUGAGGAAAAGAUUUAUACUACCACCACCAAUCAAGUAUUUGCCUAAUGCAAGGUUUGAUAAUUACGAUAUUCUCUAGAGAUGAAUAUAGACAUGCAUUUAUACAUGUACAAAUGUGCCUAUACUUCCUCACCGUUCAUUCGAUUGCAAGGCUGAUUGGGAGUUCGCAUCUUUUUGUUAAUUCUCUUGACUAGCGUUUCAUUUAGAGUGACCAUGUUCAAGUACAAGGGAAGUGUGCAAAAAGAAAAUUGUGAAUCAAUACAUAAAUAAUUAAAUUAAAAGAGAGGAGAAAGAAGUAUAUCCUCACAGAAGAUGAAAUGAUAGAGCAUAUAUCAAUUUUCCCCCCUUCUCUUGUAACAUGGAUUGCUCUGAGAGCUAAUGUUUUGUUAUUGAUAUCUGAUUUCAAUCUGAUUAUCUACAUAAAAUAUGUCUAGAGAUUCUUUCGAUGGAGAUCAAGUCUCAAAACGCCAUGCCCACUGCCCCCAUGGAUCCAGUAGGUAAUAAUGCUGCCGAGCAUUGAAUUUCUAAAUAUCUUACCUUUUGUUUUUCUUCUCGAUUUGUUAUCAAACUCUUUUACAUUUUGUUGUUGCAUAUUGCUAUGUAUAUCGCCUUGCUGAAAAAAUCUUAUGAUCACCUCCACGAUGCUAAUUUUGUAAUGCAUGUGAAGUGUUUCAUCUUUAACUUGUUAAGGGACAAGGACUCUGAUGCAUGACUAUUUUAUAUUUUAUGACUGAGAUGGUAGAUUUUAAAGAUUUUCUUGACCGAGAGAAAGUAUUUGAUCCUUUUUUAAUAUAUAAUAGUGUUGUCGAGCAUUGAAUUCUAAACAUCUUACCUUUUGUUUUGUUUGUCGCAUUGUUAUCAAACUUUUUUACAUUUUAUUGUGGCAUAUUGCUAUGUGUAUGGCAUGCUUUAAGCAAAAAGUUGAGUAAUUGAUGAAUGUUUGGCAAGAAAAUUACAAAUUAUUUUUUUUUCUGUCUCCUCCUUUUCUUUCCCCCACCCCGAAAAUUGUCAUAUAUUUUUUUUCAGCCACCUUUUCUUCCCCCAACCCUGAAAAUUAUUAGAGGACACUUUUAUCCAUCCUAAUUCUGUUGCUCUUAACUUUAUAUGUGAACUGCCGAUGUUUCAUUUGUCUUCCUUGUUCAAUGCCUUCUUUUUUUCUUUGACAUGGUUUUCCUUUUUGCCUUUUAUCUUGAACAGCAUCCCAUAACAUGCCCCCUCAAGGUCAGAAUCAAGGGUUGUUUCUCCCUAUCCUAUUGUCCACUGAUCAGCCUCGAGCACGCCAGCAGUUGUUAUCACAGAACAUGCAAAAUUGCAUGGCAUUUAAUGGAGUUCAAAGUUCUGCCUCCUGUCUCCGGUGUAACCCAGACUAUCCCCAACAAUGUUGUCUAGAAUCCUAACAUGCAGAGUAUCCCUGGUGUUUCACAGAGAACUCAGUGGAAAAUUCAACAGGGAAUCCCUCCACUAUGUUUGCCCGGGUAUGAGCUUGUCAUGUUGAAUCAUCUCUUCUAGAAUUUUGUCGAACAUAACCUUCUAAUGACUACCACUUAUGUUUGUGCAAUAAAACAUCAACUUUGACAAUCGCUCUUUCUUGACGUGGUAAAUGGAGACAAUUUUCUCUUAACCUAGCCUGUCUGUAAGCAUGGUUGAUGGCUUGCUUUUUUACUGAUGGGUUCCGCAUAACUUCAAGAAAAACCACCCUUGAAGCAGCAAAAUAUUUAUUCCUUCGUAACAAGUCCUGGUUGAUACGAGCAGCACUUUUGUCUUGCUACUUGCGUUGUUAAAAUGCUUAAUGAAUGUUUAACUUUCAUCUACUUUAAGCUUUCUAUGAAUAUAUAAUUUAUUUUCUCUUUGGAUCCAACUAGAUUUUAACUCAAGCUACUUGAUUACUAUAAAGAUGAUGAUUCUGAUUAAAAGGUGUUAAAUUAAUUUGAAUGUAAUUUUUAUUCUGUAAUAAAAUUGAAAUUAUGUAAGAAAUUUGUUGGUGCUUUGUUAUAUAUUAUAUUUACAUUUUUUGGAUAAUGUUUUAUGUUUUUUAGAGAUUUAUUCAUUGUUUGAAUAAUUCCACAGAUGUUAUUUUUUUUAAUUCUGGUUGUGGAUUUAAUGUGAAUAAUUAUUGGCUUGAAGAUGCUUGGUAUUGUUAUUAUUAUUGUUGUUGUAUGUUAAGGUUGGAUUGAUUAUAAAAAAAUAACCAAAAGUAGUAAAAACACCAUUAGAAUCGCCAAAAGACAGCUCCAUUCUGUCAACAUUUUCAUUGGUAAUUUUGUACCCUUCUCAUUGAAAAGUUACAGAAGGUUUGGUAUUCAUGACGGAAUCAACAACUAAAAAUUAUGUCAAAAAUUAAUUUUCAAUGGACUUGCUCAUGCAAAAUGGUAAAUUUUCAUAGUUUUUUAAAACACUAUAUAACUUGACAAUCUCAUCAAAAUAGAGUUUGGAUUUUAAAAAAUCAAGAUGAUAAUUUUUUUUAAUAUUAAGAGAACAACAUAUUAGAUCAAUCAAAGCUUUGUGACUUAACUUGUCAAACCUGUGACUCAGAUCAUAAACUCUACUAGGUUUAAUAACUCUUUAAAAAAAACUAUUUUUAUUUAAUUAUAUUAUAAUAAAAAUAGACACUCACAAAAUUAAGUACUAAUCGAAUACCAGAAUGUUUGUUUGAAACUAAAAUAACCUUAUAAAAAUUAAACCAAAAUAAAUCAUGAAAGUUAAUUCAAAAUUAAUUAAUUAUUAAAGAAUAAAAUUUUUAAAAAUAUAGCAAAAAGGUGAUUUCCUAUCAAAUAUUUUAGUGUUUGAUUCUUUUAGUGAUGUUGGUAAAUUUUCUUGAAAAAAAAAAACUUUUUUCAUAUCAACUGUUUAGAUCUACUUAAAAUUGUAUUAAACUAGUAUUUUAGAUAUGGAUCGGCAAUGAUGGAAAGUUACUACAUCAUUGGUUUGAUGAUAAAAAAGGUAACACAAUUAUACUACUUUUCUAAAGGAACUAGCGUGUUUUUUUAUAUUGUUCAUAUUAGCAAUGAAGAAGGUUAAUGUACUUAUUUAAUUCACAUGAUAACAACUUUAUAACGUAGCUCAAUUGGUUGACAUACCAAUGUAAAACUAGGUGUUGUGGGUUCGAGAGAAUGAAGAGGCAAUUAAAAAAAUACAAUAUGUCGUCUAUGUUUUCCUUUUUUAAAAAAAAGGCUUAAUAAAAAAUAUAAAGUGAGCCUUGCUUUAUAAAUUUUUAUUUGAAUUUUAAAAAUUGUUUUCAAUUAUUAUAUAUGUGACAUAAAAUGUUUUUUUAACUUUUUUAUUCUUAGAAUUUUUAAAUAUAUUUUGAACAUGAUUUUAUCAUGAAAGUUCAAUCCAAAUCACAUUUUUAUUCUUAGAAUUUUUAAAUAUAUUUUGAACAUGAUUUUAUCAUAUUUAUAGUUUUUUAACCUUCAAAUCACACAUAAAAAUAUAAACAUACUAUUUUGAUAUUUUUUUUUAAUUUGUUGUGACAAUUAUAGAAUAUUUUUUUAACAGAAACAAUGAUUCUAGUUAAGAAAAAAAAAUUGCAUUCACUAAGAUAAAUAAAAAAUAUGUUAAUAAAAAAAAUUAUCUUGAUAGAGAACAAUUCAAAACAACUGUAUUUUCAGAUUUAAUAACAAUGUCAAAAAAUUUCCUUAGACUUUGAUAUUUUGUUUUGCGUUUAAAGUUUUUUGAUCUCCACAAUGUAGCACUAGCAUACAAACUUGUAUAUUUUUAAAGUAGUAUUUAGUUACUGUCCGAGACAAUAGGGACAAAGAUAGAGGAGACAAGACAUAAAACAAGAUGGAGAUAAAAUUGUGUUUAGUAAUGAUGUAUAAGACAAAGUGACUAUUUUUGUAUACUGUUUGAUUAUGGUGGACAAGAAAGAAUAAAAUAUAAAAAAAUAUUUUACAUUUAAUAUGUAUUGUUAUCAAACUUAUAUAUGUCUUAGGUGAGUUUUAAAGCUAUGACAAUAAUCAUUUUUACUUUUAUAUGUCUUAGUUGGACAAUUUGGAAUUGAGUGUUUUUUAUAAGGAUAUUUUAGGAAUAAAAAAUAUAAACUUUAGAGACAUGUCCUCUUUAUACCUCAUAUUUUAAAAAUAUAAAAAUUCACUUCAAAAUUAUUUCAAAAACAAAUUUAUUUUAUGUUUAUCUUUAUAUUUGUCUCUUUAACCAAACAUAUUUAUGCCUGUAUUGUCUCCAUCCUUUUAGGAUAAUGACCGAACACUAACUAAAAGAUCUACAACUGUCAAGGACAAACUUGGCUUUAUUAUCUUUGAUUUCUUCUCAGUGAUGUCUCACCUAUUUGUAGAGGCACUUGAUCAAAACUUAGUUGAUUCAAAUGUAGAUUUUGAGAGAAAAAAAUUCAUAGAGUAAUGUUUGAAUCUUGGUGUUUUUUAUUGGCUUAAAAAAAUUACCAACGCACCAAAACCUGCUAAUUUAGGAUUUUAGCUGAAUCAAGCUUUAAACUAGAUAUAAUACCUAUGAUUUUAUAAAAUUACUAUGAACUUCCCUUCUAUGUCUUCUUAUUUACUCAUUUGAUUUUAUGAUGUUAAGAUGUUCGCAUUUAUAUCAUGAUUAAACUCUAGGAUAUUAUUGAGUUAUUGUCUUGGGAUAAAAGGGAUGAAGACAAUAGAGAUAAAAUUGUGUUUGGUUGAAAAGAUAGAGAUAUAAAAAUAAUUUAUUCAUAGGACAAUUUUAGAGUAAAUUUAUGUAUUUUCAAAAUAGAAGGUACAAAUAAGAUAUAUCUUUAUAAGCAAUAUAUAUUAUUUUUUAUUUGUAAAAUAUUAUUGUAAAAAACUUUCAAUUUCAAAAUUAUCCGAUUAAGAGAUGUGAGAAUAAAAAAGUUAUUAUUGUAGUCUUAAAACCCAACGUGAGAGUUGGCUUGGAGUAAGAUAUGUGAUCCUUGUUGAUCUAAGUUAAGAUAAGAAUAAAGAUAGUUAUUAUCAUAGUUGUAAAAUCCAACUCAAAGAUUUUGGAUUGACUAUUGACUUGGAUGAAUAAAAUAAUAAAAAUGUUUUUGCCUUCUUUCAUUUGUAUUCAUAGUUUUCGUCUUUUUUUGUCCAUAACAGAAACGAAAUACCAUCUGGUUGAUAACAUAUAGAAACUUCAUGUUUCAUUUAUUUUAAAUAAAUUGAAACACAAUUGCGAGAAGAAAAGGAAGAAGAUGACAUGUGAUCCUGGUUCCAUGCAACAUUUUGACAUUAACAAUAUUUUGAUAUUUCCAUUAAUUUAUAAUAUACAAAUAUAUUUCCACGUUUCUUUUAUUUGGAUAUAACAUUUUUCCAAUCGAAUUUGUUUUUUUUUUUGAAAUUCUAUGUUCAUGAUAUUUUUUAACAAUAAAACUAGCAUUGAAUGAGUUUAUAGUUCAAUUAAAACUAAAAAUGUGUUAAGUACAAUGGAUUGUACAUGAUAAUAUAAAUACUAAACAAUGAGUAAUUAGACUGAAUUGAAGUUUUUUUAAUAUUUAAUAACUAACAAGUUUUUCGAUAUUCUAGGUAAAUAAUUCAUUUUGCUAUAAUAAUAAUAAUAAUCAUAAUAAUAAUAAUCACCUUAAAACAUUCUAAUUAAAAAAGAAUAUUUCAAGUUUAUUUUUAAUGAUUGCUUAUACAAUGAAUUUUUCAAUAUUUCAAGUUUUUCGUAUAAUAAUUUUUGUACAAAUUUUUUAUCCGGGGAAAACUUUGGACAAGUAAAACAUCAAUCCUUAUCAUGUCCAAAGUGUAUAUCAAACAUUUUACAACUUGCCAUGUGCAACAAAUAUAUCGCAACUUGUUUUUAUUGUAGAAAACAAAAAAAAAAGAAAAAAGAAAUAGGAAUCUGGAAAAGAAUAAAGUCAUCUACUGGAAAAGAAUAAAGUCAUCUACUUCACUUUAGUCCAGCAUUCCUCACCUCUCCCGGCCUUCCCUCCCUCCCUCCUUCCCUCCUCCGCCUCUCGGAAACCGCCGCCGCCAAUAAGGCUUCAGAUUUCUGCCAGGUGCUUCCUUUUCUAUCAUGUUUUUGUUUUUUAAAAUUUAUGGGUUUUUUCAUUUAUUUCAUUGUAAUUAAUAUUCAGAGACAGAAAUUCUAUUUUAAUAAUUAAAUUAAAAAAAAAAUCGAUCCGAUGAAAUCUCUGCUAGUGAACGCAAUUCGAUUUUAAUAAGUAAAUUAAAAAUAUAUAUAACCGGAUCGGAUGAAAUCGCUGCUCGUGAACGCAAUCAAAGAAACGCACAAUCAGCUGAUUCUAAUAUUUUCUUUUUCAACCCCCCCCCCCCCCCCAAAUAAUUUACAUGAUAUUAUCCGAUUUUUUCACAGUUAUUGUUGUAAUAAUCAAGCCCUGAAUUCUUGAACCCAAAUUUAUUUUAUUUUAUUUUUUAGUUUUAUUUUUAAGUUGAGAAUAGAAAUCAAUUCAAAUCUUUUAGGCUCGAUCGAUAAUUUGUUUAGUUUAUGCAGCAGCUGGAGUGGAAGGGAUAUUACUGCCGGAAUGGCCGAAAAAUGAGCUGUUUGGUUGAUUCUUCUUUUUUGGAAUUUACUGAAUUCUUCAAAAUUAUUGUGUUUUUAACAACAAAUCGAUAUCCUUGGGUUUUAUGCUCGCUCACACAUGGAAAAAAGAAAGAAAGAAAAGAACUUUAAAUUUUAUAAUUUGGUCAUGUUAACGUGAAAAAAAUAAAAAUAACAGGUCUGCCUUGAUAACCCUACAGGAUAUAUCUUUCUUUUUAGGACUGCUCAGCUGGUCUUGAGUAUGAGGUGAAAGCUUGAGAGCAUGUGGAAGUGUAAAACAAAUGACUUCGUUCACUUCACCCCAAAGGCGUAGCUGUGCAUCUAGUUAGGAAGAACAUUUUAUAACUUACCUCACGGUCGAGCAUGGUCAGGGUUAUUGUGUUGUUGAUUCCGAGAAAGAUGUGCCUGUAAAUUUAAUCUUAUUUCAACAAGAGUUGUUAAGUUGAUUCUUAUCAGUCUGCUCAUUAGAGUUGAUGAUAACAUGAAAUAUUCAUGGUUAAUGCUCGCCGUUUUCUUCUUCUUUUUCCUAGCUUAAAACGUCCUAGACAAUCUCUUUGGGAUGGGUUAUUGUUUGUGGCCUCUUCAUGUUCUAUUUGCUGGGGUAUUUAGACUGCUGAUAUUCAUCGGGGAUUGAAAAGCCUUGUUUUAUGACUUUGUUUUGUUUUCUUCUUCUUUCUUUAUUCUUUUGGGGAUGUGGUAUUCUCCUCGUUCUAUUUACACUAUUUGCUCCCUUCAACAUUUAUUCUUUCAGAAAAGUUAAUACAUGCAUAAAUAACAAGAACAGGAGGGGAGGGGGAGGGGGUUUGACUGUAUGUAAAUGCUUGCGAGUAAAAAUUGGUAAGCACUUGAAAAAGGUCCUGUGCUGAAUCUAAAUUGGUAAGAUGUGAUAUACCGAUAUCUAGAAAGAUAACUUAAUCUAUCUAUUGAAGUAAAGCAUUUAAAUGGGCAUACAAUGUUUUUGGAUCAUUAAAUAUCUGUUUGAUCAGAAUCUGUGAACCUAAAACCACAAUGAAUACAAAUGCAAGUUUGUCAUUGUAAACAUUGCAUCGAUGAUGCAUCACAAGUGUUGCUAGAAAACAUCAAGUUAAAAUUGAAGCACCAUGAGUUUCUCAAUGGCUUGGUUUACCAACACUCACCAUCUGUUGGUGCGGCAAGUUAUAAACUAGCUAGCUAGUUUUUUGCUUCCUGGGUUUUAGAAGCACCAUGUAGAUUCAGGCCCAAAUCUUGCUUAUAAUACCCGAAUACCCGAAUACCCAAGAUCCUAGCACCUUGCCCUGAAUGGUCGUGUAUAUUUGUUAUGGCUGUUCAGAUUUUAUGCAUCCAUAUUUGGUAGAAUUCUUUAAUAAAGUACAUGCUAUUAGAUGGAAGUUCUUUUUAAAUCUAUUCAAGUCUGAAUAAACUGAUAUUCCAAUUUUCAUGACUUUGAUGUGCUCUUACUCUUCUGCUGUUCCUGACUUUCUUUUUAGGGUCUAUUCUAACGUGCAAUAUAAUUAAUUUUUUUUGUGGUGAUAGAAGUGAUUUUUUUUGGUUGGCCAAAACCCCAUGGAUGCCAAUAAUCGGAGGCCCACUGCCCUAGGCGGAGAACCUGUGAUGGACACAGGAGAUUGGAGAACUCAAUUGCAGCCUGACUCACGGCAAAGAAUAGUCAACAAAAUGUAAGUAUCUGUUUGCUAAUAUGUGCAAGUGCUGCAAAAUAGUAUAUCUUGUAUUUAAAUGAAAGAAAAAGAGAAGGGCAAAAGGUUAAUUAAAAUCAGCAGGACUGCCAUGAGGCAACCUCAAGUAUCAUACACCUCUGUUUUUGUCUUUUUCAUUUUUCACUUGUUUCUCACAAGAAGUGAACUCGAGGGAAUAAAAAGUGCUGGGAAGUAAUUUUUGUUGGAACUUCUUGUGUAACAUCUUCUUUUGAUGAUGACCUCUUGGAUGGCUGCAUGAAGCUUGUUCCGCUUUAAAUUUCAAGGUUAAUCUAUUGCUAUGAGCAUUGGUGUUUCAAUUUCAACCUUGAGUUGCAACUGAACUUAAAUGAAUAGUGUUGGAUUUGGGCCUUCUAUUUGCUUUAACUUCUGCGGGAUUGAAAUGAUAGUGAUCUUAAAGUACAAAAGCAGCAGACAAAAAUCAAUUAGCCACAAUAUAUAGUGUAUGGUUUCCUAGUUUCUCAGUAUAAAGCUGAAUGUUUUGGUGAUAUCUCCACAUCCAAAAUCAUAUAGACAGCUACUACUGCUGGCACUUACAGUAGCCAAUGAGCACUGUAGAGUAUAUAUUGCAGCGUGAGAUAAGGUUAACUCAUUGCAUUUUCAUAAAUUAAAAGGAUUUCUCUUCUUUUCUUUGUCAAUUACAGUGCAUGUAUAAAAGUUUUCUUACUCAGAGUAAAUGCUAUUGUAAUGUUUUCACAGAGUUCCCCUGGUUUGCAACUAAUGCACUUAUUUAUCUUGGAGCAUAGCCAUAGCCAUAAAUGGAAGGUUCUUCUGGUUCAAGAAAAUUAACCAUGAAGCUCGUAACUAGAAUUUUAGACAGAAGGGUGGCCAAGUAAACUCCUACCUCUGGAAUAAUAAGGGGAAAGGAAGUAAAAAUAGAUGUUUGUAUUUUGAUGCCAUAUAUUACUUUACUAACACUCGGCUAUAUCAUUAUUUGUUUUUACUUUUUGCUAAUGAUUCUGUUGUAUACAUUUCUGAUAUUAGUGUGGUGUAUGAGUUCACAGUUCUUUCUCACUACUGCUAACUUCUCUAUACCUGCCUUGUCAUUAAAAAUUAAAUGCAAUGUUUUACAUGUGCAGAAUGGAGACAUUAAAGAGGCAUCUUCCGUUUUCUGGUCAGGAGGGAUUACAAGAACUCAAGAAAGUUGCCGUACGGUUUGAGGAAAAGAUUUAUACUGCCGCCACCAAUCAGGUAUUCGGCUAAUGCCAGGUUCAAUAAUUUUGAUAUUCUCUAGACAUGAAUAUACACAUGCAUAAGUUUGUGGAUUUAUGCAUGUACACAUGUGUGUGUAGUGUGUCCACACUUCCUCACUGGUCAUUCUGUAGAAGUUCUUAUCUUUCCGUUAAUUCUCUUGACAAGUGUUUUAUUUAGAGUGACCAAGGUUCUUUUCAAGUACAAGGGAAGUGUGCAAAAAGCAAAUAACGAAUCAAUACAUAAAUAAUUAAAUAAAAAAAGGAGACACAGAAGUAUAUCCUCACAGAAGAUGCAAAUACAGAAAGCCUAGCAUAUUAGAAAGAGCAUAUAUCUCUUUUCCCCCUUCUCUUGUAACAUGGACUGCUCAGAGAUCUAAUGUUUUGUUAUUGAUAUCUGAUUUCAGUCUGAUUAUCUGCGUAAAAUAUCUCUGAAGAUGCUUACAAUGGAGACCAAGUCUCAAAAUACCAUACCCACUGGCAAUGGUAACAAACCCCUGGAUCCAGGAGGUAAUAAUGCAGCCAAGCAUUGAAUUUCUAAACAUCCUUACCUUUUGUUUUAUAUUUUGCAUUGUUAUCAAACUCUUUUACAUUUUAUUGCUGCAUAUUGCUAUGCACAUACCAUGCUUUAAUAAAAAAAUUGAGUAAUUUAUGAAUGUUCAAAAAAAUUACAGAUCAUUUUUGCCCCCCCCCCCUCCCCCCCAGCCCCAAAAUUGUCAAAUGGCACUUUUAUGCUUUGAGUCAAAAUUUCCUUAAUUAUUUCCCUCGUAACUUUAUGUGUGAACUGUCAAUGUUUCAUUUGUUUUUCUUGUUCAAUGCCUUCUUUUUUUCCUUUGACAUGGUUAUCCUUUUUGCCUUUUAUCUUGAACAGCAUCUCAUAGUAUGCCGCCUCAAGUUCACAACCAAGGGCAGUCGCUCCCUAUCUCAUUGUCCACUAAUCAGCCUCAAGCAUGUCAGCAGUUAUCACAAAACAUGCAGAAUAGUAUGUCAUCUAAUGGAGUUCAAAGUUCUGCUGGUUUACAAUCAGCAAUGCCUUCUGUCUCCAGUUUAACCCAGACUAUCCCAAACACUGUUGGACAGAAUGCUAACAUGCAGAGUAUCUCUGGUGUUUCACAAAACCCAGUUGGGAAUUCAAUGGGACAAGGGAUUCCCUCCAAUAUGUUUGUCAAUUCUCAGAGACAAAUGCCAGGCAGGCAACAGGUUGUUCCUCCACAGCAACAGCAGCAGUCCCAAAAUCCUCAGCAGUAUCUUUAUCAGCAGCAGAUACAACAACAGCUUUUAAAGCAGAAGCUUCAACAGGGAAAUCAUCCACACUCACAUGUGCAAUCUCACAUCCACCAGCAGCAGCAGCAGCAAAACUUGUUACAGCCAAAUCAGUUGCAAUCUGGUUUGCAAACAUCAACUGUUAUGCAGCCUUCAAUGAUGCAAACCGUCUCUGGUCUUCAACAGAACCAACCAUCUUCUGUUCAACAGUCAACACAACCAAUGCUCCAGCAACAUCCACAAUCAGUCCUCAGGCAGCAGCAACAACCUCAACAAUCUGCUGGUAUUCAUCAGCAGCAAACACCAAUGAUGCAGCAGCCACUAUUGCCUCCACAACAGCAGCUAAUGGGGCAACAAUCAAAUACCACUAACAUGUCGCAAAAUCAGUUAACUGGACAGCAAAACAUUGUUGGGGACUUGCAGCAGCAGCUAGGGCAGCAGAAUAACCUUCAAAAUCUGCAGCAGCAGCAGUUAAUGGCUCAACAAAAUAACCUCUCAAGCAUGCAUCAGCAACAGUUGGGCCCUCAAAGUAAUGUCACUGGUUUACAGCAACAGCAGUUGCUUGGAGCUCAGCCUGGUAACUCAAGCAUGCAAUCUAAUCAGCACUCUCUACACAUGCUGCAACAGCCCAAGGUUACGCUGCAGCAGCAAGCACAACAAAGUGGAAGUGCUUUGUUGCCGAAUCAAGGGCAGCAGUCACACUCACAGCUGCCACAGCAGCAAUUGACGGCACAGAUUCAAUCACAGCCUGGACAGCUGCAACAGCAAUCAAAUCCAUUACAACAUGAUCUGCAGCAAAGGCUUCAAGCAUCAGGCUCCUUGCUUCAACAGUCAAAUGUGAUUGAUCAGCAAAAGCAGUUGUAUCAACCUCAAAGAGCCCUUCCAGAAACGUCCUCAAGUGAGUUUUUCUCAUCAUUGCAGCUUUCUAACCUUGCUCCAACUUUAAUUUUGCAGCUUUGUGCUUUCAUGUUAGAUUAUAACAUAUUUAUUUAAAUUUCUUGAAAAUACAAUAAUGGUUCAAGUCAGCAAUGCUCUUUCUGGUAGCUUUAUGAGCUACGGCUGCCACUUAUGGCAUCAGAAAUGCCACUGCUAUUGGAACCAUUGUAAUCACACAUACAUUUGUUAUGACAUCAUGCCAUCCAGAGCAUUGCACCAACUGUUCACCUCUCAUAAUGGUUCAAGUCAGCAAUGCUCUUUUGGUAGCUUUAUGUGCUACUGAUGCCAUUGCUAUUGAAACCAUUGCAAUCAUACUCAUUUGUUACCACAUCAUGCCCUCCAGCUCAUCGCACCAACUGUUCACCUCUCAUUUUGAAUUUAACGGACGUGAGUUUUAAAAAUAUAUGUAUAACUGGACAAUGCAUUUGACGCUAGGGUAACUAAUCAUCAGCCAAUUGAUUUUUAUGGGAAGAAAGAAACUAGCAAGUGGAUUAACUCUGAGGCACUUAAGGUUUGGUGUGCUGAUAAAUCAUCACCUUGCUGGAAAAAUCUCAUGAUCACCUCCUCGAUGCUAAUUCUGUAAGGCAUGUGAAGUGUUUCUCUGUCUGUUUGAAUGAUUACAUAACGUUAAGAUGGAGUUCCGAGUACUCCCAAGUCCAGAAAGGACUUGUAUUCCUAUGUAGGAAAAUACUAAUGGUCCUAUCUAGGAUAGAGAAAACCUAAUAAAGCUCCUUAUUCUUUAGGAACAAUCAAAUACUAAAUAGAAAUAAAACCAAGACCUACAGCAUUGCAUUCCAUAAUUUUCAGCAAGUGUGAAAAUUACAGAAAGACCCUUGUGUGCGGAAAUCAUUAAAAAAAUACAUGAAUUCUAAUCUUUUUUUUGCCUGCAUCAAAAUUUUUGUAGCAUCCCUAGAUUCUACAGCAGAGAGUGGACAUGCAAAUGGUGCUGAUUGGCAAGAGGAGAUCUACCAAAAGGUAAUUUCUGUGGUUUACUGUUCAUUAGAUGAAGUUCAUGCAUGUCAUAGUCUUGCAAGAUUUCAAUGGAAAAGGUCUCCUGGAAUUUUGUACAAGGGAGUUUUAUUCAGCUAUGGUUGCGAUUAGUUAGGAAGCAUUGUAAGUUCCAUGAUUGCAGCAACUAACAAACGAUAAAUUACUGAUAAGAUGAUUAAAGGUAAAAUAUUCAGAUUUCUAGGUCAAGAGGGUUUUUUUCUUGGUACUGACACAACAAUUUUUUCUAUUGCAAAUCUCUCCCUUUCGAUUUUUUCCCAGUAUUUCCAUACAUUUAUUGUGUGGUGAGUUAUUAUUUUAUUAUUUCCAACAAGUCCAAUUGACAAUACUUCUUACUGUAAUAGACAGACUUGAAAACAAGAGUGAACUGUUUCUGAAUAGUCAUCGUUAUAUUUGGUUAAGUGAACAGUUAUUUUCAGGAUUACAAGCAAAUCUGUUCUGAAACAUGUGACCAUGGAAGAAAGGAAAAUAAGUGGACCUAAUCCAUUGAAUCAUGACCAUGUCCAGUAUUGUUGAAUUUUUUAGAAAAUGAGGUUGAAAUUCUGAAUCGUUUAAUGGCUGUAGUUGCAAUUCAUAACUGCAUAUUUGAUGAAGUCAAUUUUUUUGUGCCUGGGAGGGUACUAAAACAGGAAUAGGAGUGGUUGUUGAUAAUUAGGAUUUAAGGGUUAUAAAUCCAAAGUUAUAAAGCUAAGAAGUGUUUACCAAAGUCGUGACAUCCAUUGACUUGAGUUAGAACAAUAGAAAACAAUGGUGAUUGUAGUUUGCCGUGAGACAAAGUAACUGAACUUGACCAACCCCUGAAUCUUGUCUGAAGUGGUAACUACACAAUCCUUUGCAUCUUUGCAUGCAAUCAAUAACGAUAUUCUCUUUUGAGUUUUCAGCAUUGAUUCCACUCUGCUAUUUUUAUCUCAAACAAUAUAUGCUGUCCUCUGCCAUUUUAUUUAUUUAUUUAUUAUCAAUUCUCUCAAGUUCGCUUAUGUUUCUUUCUGACUCUGGCACGUGAAGAAAUCAAGCAUAUGAUUGAUAAUGUCUUGCUGUUUAUAUGUACUUCCUAGAUCAAAGUUAUGAAGGAAACGUAUUUGCCUGAAAUAAAUGAAAUGUACCAGAGAAUUGCUACCAAGUUACAGCAGGUAAAUUGUCUCUGUAAUUUUUUCCGAUUUAUUUGCCCACGCAUGAUUCAUAAACCCCCACAGUUGAGCUUUUGUAUUAAUUUGUUUUCCCCAUCAGCAUUGCUUGUCACUGUAUCAUCUGCACUAAUUACCUCCCCCAACCCAACCACCCCACAACCAUGCAUUGACACAGAAGAAUUGGAAUAGAAACAUUUUUUUCACUAAUGUUUUACUAGUUUUGCUAGAAAGGGUCAAUGCAAUUUUUAAUUCUCGUGUAUGUUAACUUUGCUUUCCAGCAUGACCCUCUUCCACAACAACCAAAGUCAGAACAGCUUGAAAAGCUGAAGGUAUUGAAGGUCAUGUUGGAGCGCUUGAUAACAUUCUUACAGGUCUCUAAAAACAACAUCACGCCUAAUUUCAAGGAGAAAUUGGGUUUCUAUGAGAAGCAGAUUGUAGGUUUUCUAAACCCAAGCAGAUACAGGAAGCCUAUUCCUAAUCUACAGCAAGGACAACCUCCCCAACCUCGUAUUCAACCUAUGCAGCAACCCCAAUCUCAAGUUCCUCAAUUGCAGUCCCAUGAAAAUCAACUGAUUCCCCAGUUGCAAUCAAUGAAUACGCAAGGUUCUGUACCACAGAUGCAGCAGAACAAUAUGUCAAGCUUGCUGCAUAAUUCCCUUUCAACUUUAUCUGGGGAUUCGACGUCACAAUCAAACAUGAUGAAUCCAAUACAACCAGGCUCCAAUUUAGAUUCUGGACAAGGAAAUGCACUGAGCUCAUUGCAGCAGACACCUGUAGGAUCUGUACAAAAGAAUCUCGUGAGCAUUUCCCAACCAACCAAAGUUAACACAUUGUCAACACAAAGUGGGGCGAGUAUGCUGCAGCCAAAUAUUCCCCUUCAGUCGAAUUCCAAUAUGAUUCAACACCAGCAUCUAAAACAGCAGCAGCAGCAGCAUGAACAACAGAUGCUACAAACACAACAGCUUAAACGAUUGCAGCAACACCAGAAUUUAAUGCAGAAUCAACAGAUGCAGCAGCAGCAAUUACACCAGCAAGCUCCGUCUCCUAUGCCAGGAGAUUCUGACAAACCAGUUUCUGGUAUUUCCUCACUCUUAAAUACUGGAAAUAUUGUACACCAACCAUCUGUUGCACAAGCACCGGCUCCAUCCCUUGCAAUUGGCACUCCUGGGAUAUCUGCAUCACCUUUGCUUGCAGAGUUUACCAGUCCUGAUGGUGCUCAUGGCGGUGCUUUGACAACUGUUUCUGGCAAGUCAAAUGUUACAGAGCAAUCACUUGAGUGCUUGAUUAAAGCGGUUAGUGAUGCUCUCCUUUUGGUUUUACUCCACCCCACCCUUAUUUUGGAGGUUUCUGAAAAAGAAAGAAACUUCUUUGUGAAUGAGAUGGUGAUGCUGUAAUUUUUUUUCCCAGGUGAAAUCUCUGUCUCCCAAAGCACUUAGUGCAUCUGUCGGUGACAUUGGCUCCGUUGUCAGUAUGAUUGACAGAAUUGCUGGUUCUGCAGCUGGUAAUGGAUCUAGAGCUGCAGCUGGUGAGGAUUUGGUAGCAAUGACAGGAUGUCAUCUUCUUUCGUUUUUGUCUUUUUUAUUUUUCACGUGUUUCUCACAACAUGGGAACUCGAGGGAAUAAAAAGUGCUGGGAAGUAAUUUUUGUUGGAACGUCUUGUGUAACAUCUUCUUUCGAUGAUGACCUCUUGGAUGUUUUGGUGAUAUCUCUACAUCCAAAAUCAUAUAGACCGCUACUGCUGGCACUUGCAGUAGCCAAUGAGCACUGAUAUAUAUUGCAGAGUGAGAUAAGGUUAACUCGUUGCAUUUUCAUAAAUAAAAGGGAUUUCUCUUCUUUUCUUUGUCAAUUACAGUGCAUGUGUAAAAGUUUUCUUACUCAGAGUAAAUGCUAUUGUAAUGUUUUCACAGAGACUCCCCUGUUUUGCAACUAAUUCACUUCUGAAUAUAUCUGGGAAACAGAAAGGCAAUCAACAAAGAGUAAGGCAUCUUCUGAAGAAACAAAGAAAUUUAAUACCCUAAACUAAGCAGCAGGUAGAAGGCAAAAACUGAGCACAAAUUUUCAGGAAGGGACAAAAAAAAUAAAAAAGAAAGCAGAGAAAAAUACAGACUCAAAUUCAACAACACCCAUUUUCUUUCCAUUGGAACACUUUAAAUAGUUUAUUAAAUAAAGCAUAUAAAAAAAUCAACUUAAUGAUCAAUUCUCUAUAAUUUCGGCAUUACUAAAAACAUCCAAACUAAUAAACUAUUAGUUAUUAUAGUCAUUUUAAUAAACAUUUUAGUUAUGAAUUCACCAAACAUUUUGAACAAUUCAUAUUGAUGAAUUAACAUGUCAAUUUUAGAUUUUUUGACUUACUAGUUCCUUCAUGAAUUACUUCUAAAGCAUGCUAUAUAUCUCUAAGCAUUUUUAUAGAAUAUAAUUCUAUCAAAUUCACUUUUACCCAAUGUAUAAUAUAAAAUAUUCAUGGCUUUAACAUCCAUAAAAAAUAAUUUUUUAUCAUUUUAUGUAUAUUCACUUCUAGUUUUAGAAAUCUCAAUACCAUUUUCAAUUUUGAUAGGUUUAGGAGAUCUAUUUUGUACGGAUAGCCACAAAUUAAAAUCAAUAGAUUGACAAUAAACUAUCAUACAACAAUUUAUUACUUGCUCUUUGGUGAUAGGAAUGUGAUUGUAAUAUUAUUUUUCAAGCUUACUCAAUCUCUUAUUCUUGAUAGCAUAACCAAUAAUAAAUGGCGAGCCAAAAUUUAUAUGUUACUCUCUGUAAGAAUUUUGACUGCAUAAAUGUAAAAGAAAAUAGUUUUAAAAAGACUAAAAGUUUUCUUCAUUAUAAAAACCAUGUCAGAAUUGUCUCUUUUUAUAGGCAAUUCUGACACUUAAUUUUAAAAUAACUUUUAAGACAAAAGGUUACAAUUUUCUAGUUUAAAACUACACAAUUAUAUUUCAAGUAGAGUUUUAACAAACACAACUUUUCAUUCACACCUUAACAAUCCCUCCACAUGAUAAAAAUUGUUUGAUCAUAAUAAAAUACAAAGUAGACAUGAAAAUAAAGAGUAGGAGCGAAAAGUCAUUGCAUCGAGCAAGAUAACUUUUGGCCUUGAACCUUUCAUAGUUAAAACUAUUGGAUUCACUCGGCUAAUCAGCAAACAUGAUAUUUUGAGUUGUUUAGCCUUUUGUGAGAAACCAGAUAAUAUAGAUUACACAUUUCAUUUUCUUACAAUUUUGGUUCUCACGGUUGUGUUCAUUUUGGCCUCGAAUACGUCUUGAUUUCAAAGAGCUUUAAAGAAUUUGCAUUUUCAAUCCUGAUAGAAGUGGCCUUAUUUCACACUCACAUAUGUGAUUCUUAUUAAGAGUAUCAUGUAAUACCUCACUUGAAUUUCUCAAGCUAUAAAAGUCAUUAAAAGCUUAGCUUAUCCUAUUUUCAUUGCAGAUAGCACUUUAUAUCAUAUGAAUGGGUAAGAGGGCUAUUAUUAAAUGACAUGUGAUUUGGUUGCUUCUUUGAAUCUAGAUCCUGGGAUCUCCAGUAAACUAGGUUGGGUCGCUAUCAUGACAAUUCAUUGAACUGUGUCUUAAUCUCAUUCCCCUCGAUGAUUAUUGACUUGCUCUAUUGUUAAGCAUUUUAUUAGUAAAUUAAUGAUAUUAUCAUUUAACUUUACAUGGUUAAUAAAGAUAAUCUCAUUUUAGAUCAACUAUCUUACAAUAUUAACAAUUGUGUCAAUACUUUAUGUGUGUGUGUGUGUGUAAGCAUGGUUAUAUUUCAUAUCAGCAUCAUAAUAAUAGCAAAUGUGAAGUAUGUAUUCAAGCAAAGAUGACAAAGAAGCCUUUUCCUAAAGUAGAAAGGAAUUCUCAAUUACUUGAGUUGAUCCAUUCUGAUAUAUGUGAAAUAAAUGGUAUGUUAACAAGGGGUGGGAAAAGAUAUUUCAUAACUUUCAUUGAUGAUUAUUCUCGUUUUACCUGUGUUUCCUUAUUAAAAACUAAAGAUGAAGCCUUUGGAAAAUUCAAAGAAUUCAAGAAAAUGGUAGAAAAUCAAAAGGAAAGGCAAAUUAAAGUUCUUAGAAGUGAUAGAGGUGGAUAAUAUUUUUCUAAGGAGUUUUCUACAUUUUGUGAGGAAAACAAAAUAAUCCAUCAAAUGACAGCACCUUAUACACAACAUAAUGGACUUGCUGAAAGGAAAAAUAGGACCUUAAUGAAUAUGGUCAAUGCCAUGCUUUUGAAUGAUAAAUUACCAAAUAAUUUAUGGGGUGCAGUCUUACUUACUACAUGUCACAUUCAUAAUAGAGUACUAUUUAAAAAAUCAAAUGUUUCUCCCUAUGAAGCAUGGAACGGUAGAAAAUCAAAUCUGAAUGAUUUUAAUGUGUGGGGGUGUGUAGCUUUUUGUAAAAGUUCUGAUCCUCAAAGAACAAAAUUAGGACCCAGAGGUCUUAAGAGUGUUUUUGUUAGUUAUGCACAAAAUUCAAAGGCUUAUAGACUUUUGGAUUUAGAAACUAAUGUGAUUAUUGAAUCUAUACAUGUUGAAUUUAUCAAAAAUAAAUUCAUAAGUGAUUCAAAUGUGUAAGAACCAAAUCUAAAAGUAAUGACUCCUAGCUCAACAUUAAGUGAAAAAUAUAAAAACCUAGAAGUAAUAGGUUCAACUGAACCUAGAAGAAGUCAAAGAGUUAGAAAGGAAAAACACAUAUAUACAGAUUUUAUUUCUACUUAUUCAAUUGUAUUUUUAGUGGAAGGUGAUAGAAAUACAAUAUUAAAAAAGACACCUAUGAUCUUAAAUAUGGAAGAUGAUCCAAAGACAUUUGGUCAAGCUAUGUCUUCUAGGGAUGUUGCUUUUUGGAAAGAAGCGGUAAAUGAUGAAAUGGAUUCAAUAUUGUCUAACAAUACUUGGGUCCUAGUAGAUUUACCUCCAGGUUCUAAGCUAAUAGGAUGUAAGUGGGUGUUUAGAAGAAAAUACAAUACCGAUGGUUCUAUACAAACCUUCAAGGCAAGAUUGGUUGCCAAAGGUUUUACUCAAAAGGAGGGUGUUGAUUAUUUUGACACUUAUUCUCUGGUGGCAAGAAUUACAUCAAUUAGAGUUUUAUUUGCAUUAGCAUCAAUUUAUAAAUUGUAUGUUCAUCAAAUGGAUGUAAAGACGGCUUUCCUAAAUGGAGAUUUAAAGGAGGAAGUGUAUAUGGAGCAACCUGAGGGUUUUAUACUUCCUGGAAAUGAAGAAAAAGUCUGUAAAUUGAUAAAGUCUUUAUAUGGUUUAAAACAAGCUCCGAAACAAUGGCAUGAAAAGUUUGACAAAGCAAUUUUGUUGAAUGGUUUUCAUCACAAUGGUGCUGAUAAGUGUAUGUAUUCCAAAUUUACAAAAUAUUUUGGUGUGAUUAUUUAUCUCUAUGUAGAUGACAUGUUAAUAUUUAGCACCAAUAUGAUUGGAAUUGUUGGAACCAAAAAGUAUCUCACUUAUAUCUUUAAAAUGAAAGAUCUUGGUGAAGUAGAUACAAUUUUAGGUAUCAAAGUUAAGAAACAUGGUAGUGACUAUGCACUUAAUCAGUCAGAUUAUAUUCAGAAAAUGCUCGAUAAGUUUAAGCAUCUCAAUAUAAAGAAGGCUAAUACCCCAUUUGACUAUAGUAUGAAGUUAAAUGAUUAUUAUGAUAAAGCUGUAUCACAACUAGAAUAUGCUAGUGCCAUUAGAAGUCUUAUGUAUGAUAUUCAUUGUACAAGACCAUAUAUAGCUUUUGCUAUAUGCAAGUUAUCAAGAUAUAUAAGCAAGCCGAAUACAGAUCAUUAGAAGGCUAUUGCAAGAGUCUUUGGUUACCUAAAAAGAACAAUCAAUUGAGGUCUAUUUUAUUCUGAUUUUCCAGCUGUGAUGGAAGGAUAUAGUGAUGCAAGUUGGAUGACUAGUUCAAAUGAUAAUAAGUCCACAUCAUGAUGGAUUUUCUCACUUGGAGGAGGUGCAAUAUCUUGGGCAUCUAAGAAACAAACAUGCAUCUCUCAUUCUACCAUGGAAUCAUAAUUUAUUGUUAUGGCUGCUGCAAGUAAAGAAGUAGAAUGACUAAGAAAUAUGUUGUUUGAUAUUAAGUUGUGGCCACAACCUAUGUCAGCUAUUUCUUUAUACUGCGAUAGUGAAGCAACUAUGUCUCGAGCUUAUAGUAACAUUUACAAUGGUAAGUCAAGACAUAUAAGCAUUUGACAUGGAUAUAUUCGAGAGUUGAUUACAAAUGGUGUAAUCACCAUUGUCUAUGUGAAAUCUAUGAAUAAUUUAGCGGAUCCGCUCAUAAAAGGACUAUCUAAAGACAUGGUACGAAAAAUAACUAAUGGAAUGGGGUUGAAACCUGUUUUUAAAGAUACCAGUAAUAGGAACCCAACUUCGGAUCAACAAGAAGCUUAUCUCUUAGUUUAAUGGGUAAUAAUAAGUUACUGUUUUGUAUAUGUUAGACACUGAUAAUUAAUUUGAGUCCCUAUUCUGAUAGUAUUCAGUGUAUUCUAUUACAUAAAGGAGGAUGAGCAUAGGCUCUUCAUGGAAUUUGAAGUUCGUGUCUAAUGUAAUAGAGACAUGUAUAAUUCCACCUAUAUGAAUAUAAAAGUGAUGCCGCUUUUGACAAGAGUUAGGGUUUUUUCUUGUAAAUAUUCAUAAAAAAAAUUAAAAUUAAGAUUUUAGCACAUGACCAUAAUAGUGCUAAACAGUUGUAAACCUCUUUAAGAGUUUGGAUAGUAUUAUGUGUGUAGUAUCUUUUAUUCUACAACAAAAGUUUUGGUUUAAUCUGCGGACACCAAUAACUUUAGUAGGAUUCAAGUUCUAACACUAAUUGAAGUUUUAAAAUGCAAAAUACCUUCUUGUAAGCAUAAUUCUAUAAAGUGAAAAGACCUUCAUUACAAACUAGUGGGGGAUUGUUGGUGUAGUUUGUAAAUGAAUAAAGAAAAGAUGUUUAUCUCACAUUGGAAAGAAACACUCCCUCCUAAUGUUUCUAUGUGUGGGUUUCUAUUGUGUAGUAAAUUAAGCCAUGGUGGACAAACUCUCCUAUUUGGCUUUCUAAUGUUAUUAUAUGGAUAUUUAUAAUAUCAAAAAAUAGCAUUUGGAACUUGAAACUUGGAUCUUAAUAUGAACAGUCAUAUUGUUUCAUCAAUAGUCAUAUUGUUUGAUGAACAGUCAUAUUGUUUCAUCAAUAGUCAUAUUGUUUGAUGAACAAUCAUACUGUUUCAUCGUUAUGUUUUAAGUCUAUAAAAGCAUGUUACUAUACAGAAAAGAGGCACAACAAAAAACAUACAUUCUUUUCUUGGUCUUAUCUUCUCAUUCUUUUAGAGGUUUAGAGGGCUUAGUUGUAUCCUGGAGGUAUUGUCUCUAUGUGGGACAAAUAAACACCUUAAAAAUAGUGUUUUCACGCCUCUAAGCCAACUCCAUAUUUGUUUCCAUCCUAAACAUUCAUAUCAAGAAACAUUGCGCCACGCCUGCUAAACGUCCACGAAAGAGUCGCCGACCGUUAUUCCCGCAUUAAAGUCCAUGCAUGGUCGCCUCAUUAUCUGGAGACGACCGCAUGGCAUUCUCUGGCUAUAAAAACCAGAGAAAGGCCAUGACAAAGAGGAGGGGGGGACAAAACAAAAGACAGGAGAAAAGAGGCAGGAGAGAGAGAGAGAGAGACCGAGAGAGAGGGGGCCGAAAACACAAACCAGAGAAAAAAAACCGGAGGAGUAACCCAGGGAAGAACACAGAAAAAACCAGGGGAACACUGGAGAACAAAUGAGACAGAAAUAGAGAGAAAUUGCUAGCCAACGCAUGAGCACCAACUAGCCUCGUCUCCGGUUGCACCACCCCCUGAAUAGACGGACGCGAAGGAGAACAGGGGAGUAAACGAAGAGAGGACAUAACACCGGGAAACCGAAAACUGAUAGAAAACCAGAAGAAAAGGAAGAACCACAGAGAGACGAACAACACAGGAGCUGAGAACGAACGAAAAAAAGAGAGAGAGAAGACAGAGAGAAAAAGCAGAGGCGUAAGGUGAAACAGAGAAGAACGACCAGAAAUAAACCAAAAGAAAACAGAAGUGAAGGGGAAGUUUUGGCCAGCCACCACACCUUCUUCGUCAUCCAGACCAGGUAAGUUCUCUCUUCUUCGUAAUUAUAAUUACAUAGGUAUUGUACAUAUGCAAAUUUAAUUCACUACUAUAAUUCACCGGUUUGUGCAUGCACGCGUGAAUCAGUUCACACAUGCCUGUUGUCCAGCUGGGUCACUGGCUUGGGUCAGUGACCAGGCUGGGCUGCUGGGUUUAGCCCAGCCUGACCGAGCUGAGCUGGAUCUAGCCCCCAAAAAAAAUUUAAAAAGGAAAAUAUAAAAAAAAACUAGGCAUGGGCCUCGGGCCUAGGUGGCCUAAUCCCCUUUAUUUAAGUCCCUUUUAUUUUGAUAUUCAACCAAAAUGACCAACUUUUCCCUCAUAUUGUUUUUAGGGUAUUUCACUGUAUAUUUGAUCUGUAGAUUUUUACUGCGAAAUUCGGUGUACGAUACUUUUUUUUUAAAAAAAUAUGCAUGCAUAUAUUUAAAUUCAUUUUAUUGGUUUAUUCACCAACGCUAGAGUCAGGAAUACAAUUUAUUUUGUUUUUGCUACGUAAUAUUUAUCAAUGCCAGAGUUGGAAGUAUCUGUAGUCGAAUAUUCACUGACGCUAGAGUCAGGAAUAUUACAAGCAAACCAUCAUAGCAUAAAUCAACAAACUCUUAAUAAUUUAAGACAAAACCAACAAUGCAGCUUAUCUCAGGUAGGGUGUGCUAGGGGUGUUAAUAUCUUCCCUACCCAUAACCAGUCUUGUACCAUAAAAUCUCUAUUGACUAGUUAGGGUUUCUAAUGACCAUAAUACUAGGUGGCGUCUCCUUAAACCAAACCUUUUUCCCAUAAAAGAACAAGAUGCCAGAAAUCUGUUCUUUUCAAGAAUUUUUAAGGUCAUCGCGAUGUCGGGUGCGACAAUACCCAAAACAAUUGCCUUGCUAAUGGGGAUAAAGUUGUCUUUCUUAAGGGAUCUAAAAGUUAUUUGUAUAUUGAUUGGGGAUAAUUUAGUAGGUUCACUCCUUUUUUCAUAUUAAAACUACAUCAUUGCCCUUGCAAUAAAAAAACAAGUGGCCUUUUGUUUUGGGUCUAUUUUGUCUUUUCUAUUUUAUUUGCACAAUAAAAUGACAUCAAUACCCUCGAGAGUUCAAAAAUAUUGACACUUGACGAGAGGUAUUUUUUAGUCUUUUUCAUGUUUUGUGUACUGUAAAAUGACAAAGUUAACCUUAGAAUAAAAUAAAUCUAAAGCUAGUGUGGGAUAACAUUUUCAUCUUUGCAAUAUAGCUUUUUGUAAUAUUUAGAUGCUUUUAGGGGCUAUUUAGUAAUUUAAAGUAUUGAAAUAUUAAUAAAUCAAUAAAAAAGCUGACAUAUGCGUAGCACGUGUCAGCGCGUGAUAAUCCACCACGUCAUUCAGGAGACUAAUAAACUAACCUAAACUCGUUCUUGCCCAACAGCGAGCCACAAACAAUACUCUUUUGAAUAUUAGAAGCAUGAACCACAUUGUUCAUAAUCGACUCUUUCAUAAAUGUCAUCCUUAACAUCACCUUUUUCUGGCCUAGGAUUUUGCACACUAAGAGCCUAUUUGACGUUGCAGUUGAAUCGUUGUUUUUCCAUUUUGAAAAAAAUUAUUCUUGCUUCAAUUGUUUUUGCGUUCUUGGAUUGUUAUGAUGUGUUAAUGUUAAAAAUGAAUUAAAAAAUAUAUUUUGAUACAUUUCCAAGUAAAAAACACUUUACAACGCAACCGCUACCACACUUUUAAACAAUCACUAAGAAGUUAUCCAGGAAUAAUUGUUCUCCAUUUGCAGUUGUUGCAUACUCAAAAAAAUAUUAUGUCAAAACAUACAUGACAGGUGGCUCCAAUAUCAAUCCACCACUUUUUAAGAUUGUGCACCAGGUUUGCUUCUGACAUAACUACAACAAGCUUUGCAGCUUUCUCAUCAACAUUCUCAAUGAUUUUGUUUUGUGCAUUUUUUCCUUACAGAUAUGCCUUUGCUUUUUACAAACAAAACAAGUUUCUUUGAACUUCUUUUUGCCGACACUAUUACCAUUAGAACUCUUGAGAGAACUUGCUUCAUAUUUAAGUUCACCAGGUUAAGAAUGUUUAGGAAUCGGGUUUGCCAUCGAGACCGCAAAGAUUACCAGGUUAAAUUAUUUUGGUUUUUUCCCCGCAUGAUAGAAUGUUUAGGAAUCGGGUUUGCCAUCGAGACCGCAAAGAUUACCAGGUUAAGAAGUACAUUGAAAUUAUUAACAAUAGAUUUAUCCAUUUAUUAUCUCAAUAACAAGAUUAACUUUAUAAUUAUAUAUCACACUUAUAUAAUCUGAAAUAAUAUUAAUUAAAAUGAAUCCCAAAAAUUUAACACACUAAUUCUGCAAAAAACAAAUUUAAUAAACAAUUUAACUUUGCAACUAUGUAUUUAUUUAUUUGUUUUUCUAUGAGACUCAAUUUUUUUUUUAAUAAUCAUCAAGAGUAUAUUGAAAAGGCCAUAAAGCCAAUAGACAGUGAAAUUUUUAACAGAAACUCAAUGUAAUUUUCAACAAAAACUAUAACAAUACAAAUAAUUACAAAUAUUUUUCUUUCAACAUCAACAUAAGAAAACAAUAUGCACUCUUCUAAAGUUAUGAUAAAAAAAAUCUGAUUGAUACUUAUGUUGUUUUAUGAUUAAAGUAACAAUAGCAUCUAAAGAGAAUGAAUUAGGUGUUGCACUAAUUAUGUCAAAAUAAUGCAAGUAAACACACUAAACACAUAUAACACAAAAACCAACAAUAUAAUUCAAGUGCUUAAAGUAAAUAUAUAAGAAAAAAGAGAUUGCAAACUCGAUUUUUAACGUGAUUCGGUAAGCUUACAUCCACAUCUCAAGUACUAAUCAUACUUAAGUAUUGUACUUUUUUACUAAUCCAAGUGAAAGAUACAUUGCCCUUGAUGAAUUCACACCAAGAAAUUACACCACUUGAUGAAUUUUUCUCUUUAAGAUUUUUCUCCUAGAAUUCCGGUUAAAUAGAAUUGCACUUAAUAUAUAUUAUUUCACCAUAAUUAUUAUCCAGAUAUGCAACUUUUUUUCUUUCCGAUCAUCUGUUUUCUUUUUUUCAUAUCAAUACAACAACAAAGGAAAAUACCAUGCAAUAUAAAAUGUAUUUCCCUGUAGAAUCAAUGCAACAAGUUUACAGACAACAGACGACAAGGAAUUUAACAUAGUCAUGGAAUUUAACUGAAGAUAUAUACACUUUACUUUCUCUAUUAAAAUUAAACUAUUUUUUUUAAUCUAUGUCAAUAUAUAAUCAAUUUGGUCUUGAAGAUAUAUAAAUAUACACAGAACAAAUAUGUUAGAAAAUAAAUUGUUUAAGAUUGUUAGAGCACCUUAAAUAGUUCAUAAAAUUAUUCUUCCCUUUUACUAUAAUGAUGAAGUACAAGGGUUGUUGAUGAUGACCUCUUGGAUGGCUACAUGAAGCUUGUUCCGUUUUAAAUUUCAAGGUUAAUCUAUUGCUAUGAGCAUACGUGUCUCAAUUUAAAACUCGAGUUGCAACUGAACUUAAAUGAAUGGUGUUGGAUUUGGGCCUUCUAUUUGUUUUAACUUCUACAGGGUUGAAAUGAUAGUGAUCUUAAAGUAGAAAAGCAGCAGACAAAAAUCAAUUAACCACAAUGGUGCAUGGUUUCCUAGUUUCUCAGCAUAAAGUUGAAUGUUUUGUUGACCUUUCUACAUCAAAAAUCAUAUAGACAGCUACUGCUGGCACUUGCAGUGGCCAAUGCAUACUGUAGAGUAUAUAUUGCAGUGUGAGAUAAGGUUAACUCGUUGCAUUUUCAUAUAUUGAAAGGAUUUCUCUUCUUUUCUUUGUCAAUUACAGCACAUGCAUAGAAGUGUUCUUCCUCAGAGUAAAUGCUAUAGUAAUGUUUUCACGGACUCCCCUGGUUUGCAACUGAUUCACUUAUAUAUCUUGGAACAUAGCCAUAAAUGAAAGGUUCUUCUAGUUCAAGAAAAUUAACCAUGAAGCUCGUAACUAGAAUUUUUAGACAGAAGGGUGGCCAAGCGAACUCCUAUACUCCGUACGUCUGGAAUAAUACAGGGAAAGGGUGUUUAUGUAUUUUGAUGUCUUAUAUUACUUGACCAACUCUUGCUUAUCUCAUUAUUUGUUUUAAUUUUUUGCUAAUAAUUCCACACAUUUCUGAUAUGGUGUGGUUUUUGAGUUCAGGGUUCUUGCUCAUUGCUGCUAACUUCUCUAUACUUGCCUGGUCAUUAAAAAUGAAACGUAAUGAUUUGCAUAUGCUGAAUGGAGACAUUAAAGAGGCAUCUUCUGUUUUCUGGUCAGGAGGGAUUACAAGAACUCAAGAAAUUUUCCAUAUGUUUUGAGGAAAAGAUUUAUACUACCACUACCAAUCAGGUAUUUGCCUAAUGUGAGGUUUAAUAAUUACGAUAUUAUCUAGACAUUAAUAUACACACGCAUUUAUGCUUGUACAAAUGUGUGUGUAGUGUGCCUACACUUCCUCACCGUUCAUUCUGUAUGCAAGGCUGAUUGGGAGUUCACAUUAUUUUGUUAAUUCUCUUGACAAGUGUUUUAUUUAGAGUGACCAAGUUCAAGUACAAGGGAAGAGUGCAAAAAGCAAAUAGCGAAUCAAUACAUAAAUAAUUAAAUAAAAAGAGAGGAAACAAAAGUAUAUCAUAGAGAAGAUGAAAUGAUAGAGCAUAUAUCCAUUUUCCUCCUCUUGUAACAUGGAUUGCUCUGAGAUCUGAUGUUUUGUUAUUAAUAUCUGAUUUCAGUCUGAUUAUAUAUCUACGAAAAAUAUCUCUGGAGAUGCUUUCGAUGGAGAUCAGGUCUCAAAAUGCCAUGCCCACUGUCCCCAUGGAUCCAGCAGGUAAUAAUGCACCCGAGCAUUGAAUUUCUAAACAUCUUACCUUUUGUUUUUCUUCUCACAUUGUUAUCAAACUCUUUUACAUUUUAUUGCUGUAUAUUGCUAUGUAUAUCGCCUUGCUAGAAAAAUCUCAUGAUCACCUCCACGAUGCUAAUUCUAUAAUGCAUGUGAAGUGUUUCAUCCUUAACUUGUUAAGAACAAGGACUAUGAUGCAUUGCUAUUUUAUAUUUUAUGAUUGAGAUGGUAGAUUUUAAAGAUUUUCCUGUUUAGGAGAUAAAAGUAAGAUGUCACUUUUUUGCUUUUCUUCCGAGAGAGUAUUUGAUCCUUUUUUCGUAUAAAAUAAUGCUGGCAUGCAUUGAAUUUCCAAACAGCUUAGCUUUUGUUUUGUUUGUCGCAUUGUUAUCAAACUCUUUUACAUUUUAUUGCGGUAUAUUGCUAUGUGUAGGGCAUGCUUUAAUCAAAAAGUUGAGUAAUUGAUGAAUGCUAGGCAUGAAAAUGACAUAUUAUUUUUGUUUUCUGUCUCCUCCUUUUCUUUCCCCCACCUCAAAAAUUGUCAUGUUAUUUUUGUUUUCAGCCGCCUCUUCUUCCCCAAACCUUUAAAAUUGUUUAUAUUUGCUUUGGAAGCAUGACAAACUUCAUUGCCUCUCAGCUUAAGGAGAUUGCAGCAGGUCUCGAAGCUUCUGGGCAUUAGUUUAUCUGGGUAGUUAGAAGAAACAAAAAGAGUCAAGAAGACAAGGAAGAUUGUUUACCUAAAGGAUUUGAGGAAAGAAUGGAAGGCAAAGGGCUAUUAUCAGAGGAUGGACACUCCAAGUUUUGAUUCUUGGUCAUGAAGCAAUAGGUGCAUUUGUGACUCAUUGAGGAUGGAACUCAACUCUUGAAGGCAUAAGGCAAAUAUUUGCUGAGCAAUUCUAUAAUGAGAAGUUGGUGACUGAUGUUUUAAAAAAUGGAGUUAAGGAAUGGCUUAGAGUGCAGAGAUCAUGUUAAAAGUGAAGCUGUAGAGAAGGCAAUCACUCAAAUUAUGAUGGGUGAAGAAGCAGAGGAAAUGAGAGAGAAGAAAGCUGAACAAGGGAACGCAGUAGAUGAAGAAUAUGAGUUUACUGCAUUUACUGUCAAGAAUACAAACGUGAGCACUAAAAACUAAUUUGUACAGGAUACUCUUUAUAUAUAGAGUAGUAAUUAACUUCAUCACUUAUUUCUUUCUAUGAAUACAAUAUUCCUUAUUUAUAUAUAUUGAUUUGUUUCUUAUAUGAGGUAGCUGUAGUUUCCUUCUAUGAAAGAUCUGCCAUGGCUGUAGUUUCCUUCUUUGAGAAGUAGCCGUUGGUUGAGGUAGCUGUUGAUUCCUGUGAUUUCCAUGUAUGGUUAAUUACCAUUCUGAAUAGUAGCCGUUGGAGGUGUUAAUUCAGAAUGGUUGCUGACGAGAGUGAGGAUCCUGUGGUGGUGCUGCUGCUGUCUCCUGCUGCUGCUGCAGAGGUGUGUUGUUGCUGUUAAUACCCUCCCUCAAACGUUGCCGAGGUUGGAGGCAAAGUUUGCGCUGAAAACGAAGAAGAGUAGCUUUGGACACCGGCUUAGUAAACAGAUCAGCAAUCUGAUGUGUAGUGGGAAUAUGAUGUGUAAUAAGUUUCCCAAGAGCUACGCGUUCGCGUAUAAAAUGAUAAUCAAGUUCAAUAUGCUUGCUGCGAGCAUGGAAAAUAGGAUUGACCGUCAUAUGGAGCGCACUGAGAUUAUCACAAUAGAGCACUGGUGGAGAUAGCAAGGGAAUGUGUAAAUCAUGAAGGAUGUAGGUCAACCAGGUAAGUUCUGCAGCCGUGUUGGCCAUAGCACGAUAUUCAGCUUCAGUGCUAGAGCGUGAAAUAGUAUGUUGUUUCUUGGCACACCAGGAGAUGAGAUUACAGCCAAGGAAGACACAGUAGCCAGUGGUAGAACGUCGUGUAGUAAGACAGCCAGCCCAAUCAGCAUCUGAAAAAGCAGAGAAAUUAAGAUUAGUAUUAGAAGUGAAGUGCAGACCAUUAUUAAUAGUACCUUGACAUAUCGUAAGAUACGGCGGACCAUUUUUAAGUUGACAGUUGUAGGAGCAUGCAUGAAUUGAGAGACAUAAUUAACACUAAAAGAGAGAUCUGGUCGAGUAAGGGUGAGAUACUGGAGGGAGCCAACAAGCCCCCGGAAGAAACUGACAUCCGCUAAAGGAGGAGCAUUGGAGGAGGCUUUAGUUCGUGCUUCAAGUGGUGUAGUCAUGGGUUUACAGUCAACCAUUUCAGCACGUUCUAGAAUUGUAAAGGCAUAAUGUGAUUGUGAUAAAUGAAGUCCAUUUGGCGUGGGCGAAAUUUCGAUGCCAAGAAAAUGAUGAGUAGGGCCUAAGUCCUUCAUGGCAAAUUCUUGACUGAGUAGAGUAAUGAAAUCUGCAACAAGUGUAUCUAUAGUUCCUGUAAGAAGUAUAUCAUCAACAUAAAGUAGGAGAAUAAGAGAACCAUGAUCAGAAUGAAAAGUAAAUAGAGAAGGAUCUGCCAAGCUGCAUAGGAAACCGUAUUUGAGGAGAAAGGAACUAAAACGAUCAAACCAAGCACGAGGUGCUUGUUUAAGGCCAUAGAGGGCACGUUGGAGCUUGCAGACAUGCUGUGGACGUUGAGGAUCUGAGAGUCCUGGUGGCUGUUCCAUGUAGAGAUUUUCAGAAAUCAAACCAUGUAGAAACACAUUUUUCACAUCAAGCUGCCGUAGGGGCCAAUGAUGAACAAGAGCUAUAGUGAUAAUUAGCCGAAUGGUGCCAGGCUUUACAACGGGAGAGAAUGUUUCAGUGUAGUCUAGGCCAUCAAUCUGGUGGUAUCCUUUGGCAACAACACGGGCUUUGAGACGCUCCAAGCUGCCAUCAGAUUUGAGUUUGGUUUUAAACACCCAUUUGGAACCUAUGAUAUGCAUAUCGGUGGUACGAGGUACCAAUUUCCAUGUCUGAUUUUGGUGUAAGGAUGUAAGUUCAUCCUCCAUUGCUGCUUUCCAUCCUGGAUGAGCUAGUGCAGCUCACACAGAUCGCGGUUCAUGCGGUAUUCCAGCAGAGAUGACAGAUGUUAAUGCAUACUUGGGAUUUGGUUUUAUGAUGCCAUGCUGGGACCGAGUGGUCAUGGUGCGAAGAGCUGAAGUAGAGGAAUUGGGAACAAACUCAUCUGCGGAGGCAUCACUACAAGGAGGUUGUGCAGCUUGGUGUAGCGCACGUUGUGAACGAGUAACCAUAGAGUGAGGAGCUGAAUUUGGGUGGUCUUGCUGCUGCAGAGUAGUUAAGUUCUCAGAGAGUGGUUGCUGGGAAAUAUCAGGGCAGAGAUUGUGGGCAAUCUCCUGCUGAGUGGGAGCUGCCACCUGCUGAAUAUCAUUCUCCGAACUAUGGUGUUGUAGUGAGGAAGAGGGUUCUAUAGAUGGAUCAGUGGGAGAACCAGAAUUAGAGAGAUCUGAUACGUGCAUGAAGAUACAUGCAAACCGCAACAAACCAGAAGGUGGCAGUAGCGCACGUGGUACGUGGAAGACACUUGGACGUGGAUCAUGCUUGGUCGCCAGAUUGUUAGUGGGGUUUGUUAUGGAAUUAGUCAUUCUCCAGUUAUUUUUAGUAUUAACAGUUAAUAAGGAUUCCUCGGAGGAUCCCUUGUUUGUUUCCCAUUUUCUAGAUAGUUUCCCAAAUUCUAGCAUUGUUUGUUAUUCAAUUCAUGUAUAAAAGGGCCUGGUGGCAUCCAAUAAAGGUAUCGAAAAUUAUCCAAUACUGUCUCCUCUCUUACUUCUCUGCUUCUCUUCUCACUCCCUAAAUUCAACCUAUCAGUGGUAUCAGAGCCAGGUUACACAGUUGUCAUGGAUACUCGCGGAAAAAGUAAUGCUGAAUUCCGGACUGAGGUCAAUGACGCCUUAGCUAGGCAUGAGUCUAGCUUUGAUCAGGUGAAUGCUGCCCUUCAAGCAGUAUUAACCGAACUACAAGCCAUCCGCACCCAAAAACACCCAAACACUAACCCUCCCGAAAUCAAUCCCUUUGCAUCAGAAUCAUCAUCCCAGUUACAUAGUUCUCGCAACCCAAACACCACUGGUCAAACACACUCCCACCUCAAACUCUCAUUCCCUCGUUUUGAUGGCAGUGAGCCCACAGGUUGGGUGUACAAAGCCGAACAGUACUUCGAAUUUCAGGACAUUGACUCGGCCCAGCAGGUCCAAUUGGCCUCCUUCCAUCUAGAUGGAAUUGCUCUCCAAUGGCACCGAUGGCUGACCAAGUUUCGGGGACCCCUUCUGUGGAACGAGUUCGUGCAAGCCCUUUUGCAACGAUUCGGACCCACAGACUACGAAGACCCAUCGGAAUCGCUCACUCGUCUCAGACAAACUACCUCUGUAGCAGCUUACCAAGAGGCUUUUGAGAGGCUCUCCCAUCAAGUUGAUGGACUACCGGAAGGUUUUUUAAUAGGAUGUUUUGUUGCAGGGCUGCGAGAUGAAAUUCGUAUUGAUGUCAAGAUUAAACAUCCCCACACACUGGCAGAAGCAAUUGGAGUUGCCCGACUGAUUGAGGAGCGCAAUCUACUGCAAAGGAAGACCCAUCUUCCAAUUCGGUCUUCUUCCAUGAAUUUACCCUCCAGGGCACCAGCAAAUUCAGUAGCUGGAGUGUUGGGACCACCCCCAUCACAAAGACCAAACCUAUCACCAACAUCAUUCCGGAGGAUCACCACUCAAGAAGCUCGGGAACGAAGGGAAAAAGGGGCUGUGUUUCUAUUGCGAUGAGAAAUUCAAGCCAGGCCAUCGCUGUGAACAACCACAAUUGUUUAUGAUCGAAGACAGCUCCAACACCAGCCUUGAUGAAGAAAUAACAGAUACUGAGGACAUCAUCAAUUCAGAGGACAUGCCCGAAAUCUCAUUCCAUGCUAUCGCAGGUGCUGAACACCCUCAAACCUUACGGGUGUUGGGUCAAUUGGGCAACAAAAAGGUGACCGUGCUCAUUGACGGAGGCAGCACGCAUAACUUCAUUGAUCAGGUGGUGGUAACCAAAUUUGGGAUACCCAUUAAUCGCAGCCAGCGAUUUCAGGUAAUGGUGGCUAAUAGAGAGAAAAUCACUUGUACUGGGCAAUGUCAGAGCCUCACAUUAAUCAUUCAGGGCAUAGCCAUCACUGCCAAUUACUGUGUUCUACCGGUCAUGGCUUGUCAAGUGGUACUGGGUGUGCAGUGGCUUGAGACACUGGGUCCGAUUGAAAUGGAUUUCAAAAAGCUCACUAUGAGCUACAAAACGCAUGGAGAGAAACACACCUUUUACGGGUUGAAGCACACGGGUCAUGCUGCCUUCACAGAGAAGGAGUUUCAUGGGUUACAAGGGAAUGGAUUCUUCCUUCAAAUCAUUCCCUCACAUCCCAUCAUUGACAGUAGCAGCCAUCCACCGGAGCUUAAGGCCCUUCUAUCCGAAUUCUCGCAGGUGUUUGAGGAGCCCACGGGUCUGGCUCCCCAGAGAGCCAAAGACCACCACAUACCUCUACAACCCAAUUCUGGCCCAGUAAGUGUGAGACCCUACCGCUACCCGUAUUACCAGAAAACCGAGAUAGAAAAAAUGGUGCAAGACUUGUUGAAGUCUGAAUUGAUACGCCCCAGUAAUAGCCCAUUCUCCUCUCCUGUUUUGCUAGUCAAAAAGGCGGAUGGGGCUUGGCGUUUUUGUGUGGAUUAUCGCGCUUUGAAUGAAAUCACCAUCAAAGACAAAUAUCCAAUUCCCGUAAUUGAUGAGCUCCUAGAUGAGCUGCAUGGGUCUCGUUACUAUUCCAAAUUGGACCUACGAUCCGGCUAUCACCAAAUCCGGGUACGAGACGACGACAUACCUAAAACAGCAUUCAGAACUCAUGAAGGCCAUUACGAGUUCGUUGUCAUGCCAUUUGGUCUAACCAAUGCUCCUGCAACCUUCCAAAGUCUUAUGAAUGAUCUUUUUCGUCCCCACCUCAGGAAGUUUAUUUUGGUUUUUUUUGACGAUAUUCUGGUUUAUUCCAAAUCGUGGGAAGACCAUUUAACCCAUUUGCACACUGUUUUGAAGAUUCUAGCAGAUAAUACACUCUUUGCAAAGGAGUCCAAGUGCAGAUUCGGGGUUACAUAGGUUGACUACCUAGGCCAUGCUAUUUCAAACCAAGGAGUAUCGGUGGAUCCUACCAAAAUUCAAGCAGUGGUUGAGUGGCCUACCCCUACGACAGCCAAGGGGGUCCGCGGAUUCUUGGGCCUGGCCGGCUAUUACAGAAAGUUCAUCCGCCAUUUUGGAGGAAUAGCCGCACCACUUACCCGAUUGCUGACCAAGGAUGGGUUUCAGUGGAGUGCAGAAGCUGAUUUGGCUUUUCAACGUCUGAAGGAAGCCUUAACCCAGUCCCCGGUCUUACGCAUGCCAGAUUUCUCUCAACGAUUUGUGGUCGAGUGUGAUGCCAGUGGGAUCGGAAUUGGUGCAAUACUUUCCCAACAGAAUCAACCCGUGGCAUACUUUAGUGAAGCACUAAAAGGGUCUUCUUUGACACUAUCCACUUAUGAGAAAGAAAUGUUGGCCAUCGUCAAGGCAAUUCGUAAGUGGCGACCAUAUCUGCUUGGUAAACCAUUCACAGUUCGCACGGACCAGAGGAGUCUCAAAUAUCUCCUGGAGCAGAGGAUUACUACCCCAGCACAGACACGUUGGCUUCCUAAAAUUCUCGGCUAUGACUAUGUAAUCGAGUACAAGAAAGGGAGCGAGAACCAAGGGGCAGACUCACUGUCCAGAGUAGUGGAAUUUCAGUUUUUGUCCAUCUCGUUCCCAAAGGCAGAGUGGUGGCCAACUCUGCAACAGGAGGUGCAACAGGAUCCAUUUUAUGCCAACUUCAAAUCAACGGACCCCUUCAUGGUUCAAAGAGACGGAGUGUGGUUCAAGAAGGGUAAGGUGUUUUUAAGCCCGAAUUCUACUCUUAUCCCUCUACUUUUGGCAGACUGUCAUGCCACGCCGAUUGGUGGACACUUUGGGUUCCAUAAAACACUCGCACGCAUUAAGCAAGACUUUACCUGGCCCAGAGUUCACGUCACAGUGAAGGAAUUCUUGCAGCAAUGUACCACAUGUCAACGCUUCAAAAAAGAUUGCAUGAAGCCAGCUGGGCUGCUGCAACCCCUACCUGUGCCUUCCAAAGUUUGGACUGAUAUCUUCAUGGACUUCAUCAAAGGAUUGCCUUCCUCCCAAGGGUAUACUUGUGUAAUGGUGGUAGUGGAUCGCCUGUCCAAAUAUGCCCAUCUCAUUUCGUUGAAGCAUCCCUACACAGCAAUCACGGUGGCCAAAGCCUUCAUCUCCUGCGUCGUCCGCCUGCAUGGUAUUCCAGCCUCUAUUGUGAGCGAUCGUGACAAGGUGUUUAUUAGCUCCUUCUGGCGCACCCUCUUUCAGUCCCAAGGCACUCAGCUGUGCAUGAGCUCAGCUUACCAUCCUCAGUCGGAUGGUCAGACUGAAGUUGUCAACCGCAUCCUCGAACAGUAUUUGCGGUGCUUUGCAGGUGACCAGCCACGUAAAUGGUUCGACUGGAUUCCAUGGGCAGAGUUCAGCUACAAUACCUCGCUCCACUCUGCCACUAAGAUGACGCCAUUUGAGGUGGUUUAUGGUGUUCCCCCUCCUAGUUUACUCACCUAUGUUCCCGGUACCUCAAAUGUUCAAGCCGUGGAUGAGCAUCUGCGCGAUAGAGACUGUCUCCUUCGUGAGCUGAGGAGGAAUCUGUUGAUUGCCCAGAACAGGAUGAAGAGCCAAGCUGAUCAACAUCGCAGGGAUGUCUCCUUUGACGUUGGAGAUUAUGUGUAUUUAAAGCUCCAACCUUACCGUCAAUCCUCAGUGGCAUUUCGUAGCUCAAUGAAGUUAGCCCCACGGUUCUUUGGGCCUUACCAGGUCCUAGCUAAAGUCGGAACAGUUUCCUACAAAUUAGCACUGCCACAGGAUUCCCAAAUCCAUAACGUGUUUCAUGUUAGCUUGCUACGGAAAUACUUUGGGCCCCUCCCUCCUACAUCAACAGUGGUGAGCCUUCCUCCUAUUUCAGAAUCAGCCAAUAUUCUUCCACAACCUGAGGCUGUCCUGGACCGACGAGUAGUUAACAAUGGGAAAUAUCAUCCAAAACAUGAAAUUUUGGUCAAAUGGGAUGGUGCACCAGUGGAAGAUGCUACUUGGGAGAAUGAAAGGCGUUUUAUCAAGACCUAUCCCACCUUCAUCCUUGCGGACAAGGAUUCUUAAGGGGGAAGGAUUGAUACGUGCAUGAAGAUACAUGCAAACCGCAACAAACCAGAAGGUGGCAGUAGCGCACGUGGUACGUGGAAGACACUUGGACGUGGAUCAUGCUUGGUCGCCAGAUUGUUAGUGGGGUUUGUUAUGGAAUUAGUCAUUCUCCAGUUAUUUUUAGUAUUAACAGUUAAUAAGGAUUCCUCGGAGGAUCCCUUGUUUGUUUCCCAUUUUCUAGAUAGUUUCCCAAAUUCUAGCAUUGUUUGUUAUUCAAUUCAUGUAUAAAAGGGCCUGGUGGCAUCCAAUAAAGGUAUCGAAAAUUAUCCAAUACUGUCUCCUCUCUUACUUCUCUGCUUCUCUUCUCACUCCCUAAAUUCAACCUAUCAAGAUCAUGAAGGGAUUGUACAGCCGCAGAGUUAGUGAUAUCAGGUGAAGAAGUGUGCACUGUCUCCUGCUGGAAUGUCUCCGGCUGAGUAAUUGAAGUGUCAGACUGCUGCUGAAGCUGUUGGCGGGCUGGAGUACUGUCACCAUGGAGUUGCAGAGCAACAUCAGCGGGAGAAAUAUCUGUAAAGCACACUGUCUCCUGCUGGAAUGUCUCCGGCUGAGUAAUUGAAGUGUCAUACUGCUGCUGAAGCUGUUGGCGGGCUGGAGUACUGUCACCAUGGAGUUGCAGAGCAACAUCAGCUGGAGAAAUAUCUGUAAAGCACGCUGGUGUAUCUGAGGUCAUAGUAGGAAGCAGGGGUAUGGGCAGUGAGCUGCUGCAUGGUGGCGUUGCUGGUGUUUCAGAGAUAUCUGUAGGAGAGCGUGAAGCAAGGAUAGUUAGCCAAGAAUCAAAUAUGCUAAGGACAUGAUUAGAAUGAUCAAUAUUUGUGGUGAUAUUAUUUUGUUUAUACGGAAGGAUAGAUUCACUAAAAACCACAUGUCGUGAGACAAAAAAAUUUUUGCUUGUUGGAUGAAAGCAUUUAUAUCCCUUAUGUUGAUCACUAUAUCCUACAAAAAUACAUGGAACACUUUUUGGAUCAAAUUUAUUUCGUCUUGUAUCCCAAGUGUAAGGGAAACAUCGGGAGCCAAAAAUACGAAGAGAUGAAUAAAUAGGGUGGUUACCAUGUAAGCGGAAGUAUGGAGUGUCAUAGUUAAGAGCAGAAGAGGGCAGUCUAUUAAUGAGAUAAACAGCAGUUGUGAAGGCUUCAACCCAUAAAAAUAAAGGAGUACCACUAUGGAAUAACAUUGUCAUACCUAGUUCUCUUAUAAUUCUGUGUCGCCUUUCAACCAUACCUGUUUGUUCAGGAGUGUAAGGACAAGAUACCUGGUGAACAAUUCCUGUGGAGCGAAAAUGACUUGAUAAUUUUGAGUUAAUAAAUUCUCCUCCUCCAUCUGAGUGAAAGACUUUGAUCUGUUUAUUGAAUUGCCUACUAACAUACUUUUCAAAUGCUAUAAACACUGUUAGAAAAUCAAAUUUGUUAUGAAGAGGAAUUAUCCAUGUAUAUUUAGAGAAAUCAUCUACUAGGCAAGCAUAAUAUUUGAAUUUUCCAAUAGAUAAAACAGGGGCAGGUCCCCAUAAAUCACAAUGUAUUUUUUCAAAAACAUCAGUACUUGAAUGUUCAGAAUGCGAAAAAGGUAAGUUGCUAAGUUUUCCUAAUUGACAACUAUCACAAAGGUGCUCAGUCUUCAUAGCUCCUGUGACGUCAAUCAAUCCUGUAUUUUUUAAUAGCUGCACUGCAGAAGCUUGAGGAUGUCCUAGGCGUUGAUGCCAAACUGCUGCUGAUCCAGUUUUAAAACGAUAAGAAAAAUGUAAUUCUGGCGAGUUGUGCAAGACAUAAAGAUCACCCUUACGUCUACCUGUGAUCAGAGGUUGUCCUGUUUUCCGUUCCUUAACACAAAAAUCAACGUCAGAAAACUCACAGUUCACAGGAAAUUGUUUGGUAAGCUGACUUACUGAAAGUAAAUUUUUAGUUAAUUCAGGAACAAGAAGAACAUCAUUAAUAUGUAAUUUAGUAUUGUUUUGUUUAAUAAAUGAAUCUCCAAUACCAAUAAUCGGUAGAGACGAUCCAUUUCCAAUAACCACAGAAUCAGUUCCAAAAUACUUACGAACAUCAGUUAACAUACCUGGCUUACUUGUCAUGUGAUUCGAUGCACCAGUGUCUGAUGUCCAUUCCGUGUCAACCACGGUGCUUCCCAAAUAGCGGUUGCUCUUUUGCAAUAUUAGAAGCAUGAACCACAAACAAUACUCUUUUGAAUAUUAGAAGCAUGAACCACAUUGUUCAUAAUCGACUCUUUCAUAAAUGUCAUCCUUAACAUCACCUUUUUCUAGCCUAGGAUUUUGCACACUAAGAGCCUAUUUGACGUUGCAGUUGAAUCGUUGUUUUUCCAUUUUGAAAAAAAUUAUUCUUGCUUCAAUUGUUUUUGCGUUCUUGGAUUGUUAUGAUGUGUUAAUGUUAAAAAUGAAUUAAAAAAUAUAUUUUGAUAUAUUUCCAAGUGAAAAACACUUUACAACGCAACCGCUACCACACUUUUAAACAAUCACUAAGAAGUUAUCCAGGAAUAAUUGUUCUCCAUUUGCAGUUGUUGCAUACUCAAAAAAAUAUUAUGUCAAAACAUACAUGACAGGUGGCUCCAAUAUCAAUCCACCACUUUUUAAGAUUGUGCACCAGGUUUGCUUCUGACAUAACUACAACAAGCUUUGCAGCUUUCUCAUCAACAUUCUCAAUGAUUUUGUUUUGUGCAUUUUUUCCUUACAGAUAUGCCUUUGCUUUUUACAAACAAAACAAGUUUCUUUGAACUUCUUUUUGCCGACACUAUUACCAUUAGAACUCUUGAGAGAACUUGCUUCAUAUUUAAGUUCACCAGGUUAAGAAUGUUUAGGAAUCGGGUUUGCCAUCGAGACCGCAAAGAUUACCAGGUUAAAUUAUUUUGGUUUUUUCCCCGCAUGAUAGAAUGUUUAGGAAUCGGGUUUGCCAUCGAGACCGCAAAGAUUACCAGGUUAAGAAGUACAUUGAAAUUAUUAACAAUAGAUUUAUCCAUUUAUUAUCUCAAUAACAAGAUUAACUUUAUAAUUAUAUAUCACACUUAUAUAAUCUGAAAUAAUAUUAAUUAAAAUGAAUCCCAAAAAUUUAACACACUAAUUCUGCAAAAAACAAAUUUAAUAAACAAUUUAACUUUGCAACUAUGUAUUUAUUUAUUUGUUUUUCUAUGAGACUCAAUUUUUUUUUUAAUAAUCAUCAAGAGUAUAUUGAAAAGGCCAUAAAGCCAAUAGACAGUGAAAUUUUUAACAGAAACUCAAUGUAAUUUUCAACAAAAACUAUAACAAUACAAAUAAUUACAAAUAUUUUUCUUUCAACAUCAACAUAAGAAAACAAUAUGCACUCUUCUAAAGUUAUGAUAAAAAAAAUCUGAUUGAUACUUAUGUUGUUUUAUGAUUAAAGUAACAAUAGCAUCUAAAGAGAAUGAAUUAGGUGUUGCACUAAUUAUGUCAAAAUAAUGCAAGUAAACACACUAAACACAUAUAACACAAAAACCAACAAUAUAAUUCAAGUGCUUAAAGUAAAUAUAUAAGAAAAAAGAGAUUGCAAACUCGAUUUUUAACGUGAUUCGGUAAGCUUACAUCCACAUCUCAAGUACUAAUCAUACUUAAGUAUUGUACUUUUUUACUAAUCCAAGUGAAAGAUACAUUGCCCUUGAUGAAUUCACACCAAGAAAUUACACCACUUGAUGAAUUUUUCUCUUUAAGAUUUUUCUCCUAGAAUUCCGGUUAAAUAGAAUUGCACUUAAUAUAUAUUAUUUCACCAUAAUUAUUAUCCAGAUAUGCAACUUUUUUUCUUUCCGAUCAUCUGUUUUCUUUUUUUCAUAUCAAUACAACAACAAAGGAAAAUACCAUGCAAUAUAAAAUGUAUUUCCCUGUAGAAUCAAUGCAACAAGUUUACAGACAACAGACGACAAGGAAUUUAACAUAGUCAUGGAAUUUAACUGAAGAUAUAUACACUUUACUUUCUCUAUUAAAAUUAAACUAUUUUUUUUAAUCUAUGUCAAUAUAUAAUCAAUUUGGUCUUGAAGAUAUAUAAAUAUACACAGAACAAAUAUGUUAGAAAAUAAAUUGUUUAAGAUUGUUAGAGCACCUUAAAUAGUUCAUAAAAUUAUUCUUCCCUUUUACUAUAAUGAUGAAGUACAAGGGUUGUUGAUGAUGACCUCUUGGAUGGCUACAUGAAGCUUGUUCCGUUUUAAAUUUCAAGGUUAAUCUAUUGCUAUGAGCAUACGUGUCUCAAUUUAAAACUCGAGUUGCAACUGAACUUAAAUGAAUGGUGUUGGAUUUGGGCCUUCUAUUUGUUUUAACUUCUACAGGGUUGAAAUGAUAGUGAUCUUAAAGUAGAAAAGCAGCAGACAAAAAUCAAUUAACCAUAAUGGUGCAUGGUUUCCUAGUUUCUCAGCAUAAAGUUGAAUGUUUUGUUGACCUUUCUACAUCAAAAAUCAUAUAGACAGCUACUGCUGGCACUUGCAGUGGCCAAUGCAUACUGUAGAGUAUAUAUUGCAGUGUGAGAUAAGGUUAACUCGUUGCAUUUUCAUAUAUUGAAAGGAUUUCUCUUCUUUUCUUUGUCAAUUACAGCACAUGCAUAUAAGUGUUCUUCCUCAGAGUAAAUGCUAUAGUAAUGUUUUCACGGACUCCCCUGGUUUGCAACUGAUUCACUUAUAUAUCUUGGAACAUAGCCAUAAAUGAAAGGUUCUUCUAGUUCAAGAAAAUUAACCAUGAAGCUCGUAACUAGAAUUUUUAGACAGAAGGGUGGCCAAGCGAACUCCUAUACUCCGUACGUCUGGAAUAAUACAGGGAAAGGGUGUUUAUGUAUUUUGAUGUCUUAUAUUACUUGACCAACUCUUGCUUAUCUCAUUAUUUGUUUUAAUUUUUUGCUAAUAAUUCCACACAUUUCUGAUAUGGUGUGGUUUUUGAGUUCAGGGUUCUUGCUCAUUGCUGCUAACUUCUCUAUACUUGCCUGGUCAUUAAAAAUGAAACGUAAUGAUUUGCAUAUGCUGAAUGGAGACAUUAAAGAGGCAUCUUCUGUUUUCUGGUCAGGAGGGAUUACAAGAACUCAAGAAAUUUUCCAUAUGUUUUGAGGAAAAGAUUUAUACUACCACUACCAAUCAGGUAUUUGCCUAAUGUGAGGUUUAAUAAUUACGAUAUUAUCUAGACAUUAAUAUACACACGCAUUUAUGCUUGUACAAAUGUGUGUGUAGUGUAGUGUGCCUACACUUCCUCACCGUUCAUUCUGUAUGCAAGGCUGAUUGGGAGUUCACAUUAUUUUGUUAAUUCUCUUGACAAGUGUUUUAUUUAGAGUGACCAAGUUCAAGUACAAGGGAAGAGUGCAAAAAGCAAAUAGCGAAUCAAUACAUAAAUAAUUAAAUAAAAAGAGAGGAAACAAAAGUAUAUCAUAGAGAAGAUGAAAUGAUAGAGCAUAUAUCCAUUUUCCUCCUCUUGUAACAUGGAUUGCUCUGAGAUCUGAUGUUUUGUUAUUAAUAUCUGAUUUCAGUCUGAUUAUAUAUCUACGAAAAAUAUCUCUGGAGAUGCUUUCGAUGGAGAUCAGGUCUCAAAAUGCCAUGCCCACUGUCCCCAUGGAUCCAGCAGGUAAUAAUGCACCCGAGCAUUGAAUUUCUAAACAUCUUACCUUUUGUUUUUCUUCUCACAUUGUUAUCAAACUCUUUUACAUUUUAUUGCUGUAUAUUGCUAUGUAUAUCGCCUUGCUAGAAAAAUCUCAUGAUCACCUCCACGAUGCUAAUUCUAUAAUGCAUGUGAAGUGUUUCAUCCUUAACUUGUUAAGAACAAGGACUAUGAUGCAUUGCUAUUUUAUAUUUUAUGAUUGAGAUGGUAGAUUUUAAAGAUUUUCCUGUUUAGGAGAUAAAAGUAAGAUGUCACUUUUUUGCUUUUCUUCCGAGAGAGUAUUUGAUCCUUUUUUCGUAUAAAAUAAUGCUGGCAUGCAUUGAAUUUCCAAACAGCUUAGCUUUUGUUUUGUUUGUCGCAUUGUUAUCAAACUCUUUUACAUUUUAUUGCGGUAUAUUGCUAUGUGUAGGGCAUGCUUUAAUCAAAAAGUUGAGUAAUUGAUGAAUGCUAGGCAUGAAAAUGACAUAUUAUUUUUGUUUUCUGUCUCCUCCUUUUCUUUCCCCCACCUCAAAAAUUGUCAUGUUAUUUUUGUUUUCAGCCGCCUCUUCUUCCCCAAACCUUUAAAAUUGUUUAUAUUUGCUUUGGAAGCAUGACAAACUUCAUUGCCUCUCAGCUUAAGGAGAUUGCAGCAGGUCUCGAAGCUUCUGGGCAUUAGUUUAUCUGGGUAGUUAGAAGAAACAAAAAGAGUCAAGAAGACAAGGAAGAUUGUUUACCUAAAGGAUUUGAGGAAAGAAUGGAAGGCAAAGGGCUAUUAUCAGAGGAUGGACACUCCAAGUUUUGAUUCUUGGUCAUGAAGCAAUAGGUGCAUUUGUGACUCAUUGAGGAUGGAACUCAACUCUUGAAGGCAUAAGGCAAAUAUUUGCUGAGCAAUUCUAUAAUGAGAAGUUGGUGACUGAUGUUUUAAAAAAUGGAGUUAAGGAAUGGCUUAGAGUGCAGAGAUCAUGUUAAAAGUGAAGCUGUAGAGAAGGCAAUCACUCAAAUUAUGAUGGGUGAAGAAGCAGAGGAAAUGAGAGAGAAGAAAGCUGAACAAGGGAACGCAGUAGAUGAAGAAUAUGAGUUUACUGCAUUUACUGUCAAGAAUACAAACGUGAGCACUAAAAACUAAUUUGUACAGGAUACUCUUUAUAUAUAGAGUAGUAAUUAACUUCAUCACUUAUUUCUUUCUAUGAAUACAAUAUUCCUUAUUUAUAUAUAUUGAUUUGUUUCUUAUAUGAGGUAGCUGUAGUUUCCUUCUAUGAAAGAUCUGCCAUGGCUGUAGUUUCCUUCUUUGAGAAGUAGCCGUUGGUUGAGGUAGCUGUUGAUUCCUGUGAUUUCCAUGUAUGGUUAAUUACCAUUCUGAAUAGUAGCCGUUGGAGGUGUUAAUUCAGAAUGGUUGCUGACGAGAGUGAGGAUCCUGUGGUGGUGCUGCUGCUGUCUCCUGCUGCUGCUGCAGAGGUGUGUUGUUGCUGUUAAUAAUGAGGACUAGAGCAAAGAAGCUUUCAGUGCUUUGAUUUAAUAACUGCCAAGAAUGGAAGGCUGUUGAAGAUGGUGGAUCUUCUUGCUCCAAUUUCAAUGCUUUGAUUGAAUAACUGAGGUGGGGUAGCCCUUGAAACAGAGGCAUAGAACAUUUUGUUACUACUUAGUAGUGGUUUUGGCAAUUUAUUUUCAGAUAAGUCUUGAGAGUUGAAAGAGUAAUCACAGACGAGUCAAUGACCAAUCCAAAUCAGUUCCCUUCCUAAUGGUUCAGGAAUGACAAGUCCAGCUUAUUUAUUGAGCCCAAAUAACUUUUCAAAUAAAAAGGUUGAACUUAGAGACAGUACACUACAAAUUAAGCACCUAAUAGCUAGACAUACAAGACAAACAAUCAUCACAAACUAGGAACAAUCGUCUUCCCAGUAACAAAUUCACCUUCUCAAGUUGGAGAACUUGCGAAAACUAGCCACUACAAAAUAGUAGCAAGUAUCUAUGCAGUCUUCGAUGAAGUACGACCACCUGCGUCGCCAAUAUGGAUCGAUGUAAAGAACUACUACAAUUAUCAUCACCACAACUGUGUAACAUACACCGAAAUUGAUGUAGAAAAACUCCAUGUCUAUGAAACCAUCAUCUCCUUGUUCAUCAUAAGGCACUGGCUGUGAUGGCACUGGUUGUGAUGGCACUGGCUGUGAUGGCACUGCUUCCUCACUACAAUUGUUUCGCAAUGGAGGUCCACACAAAAAAGGAUUUCCUUCGUAACAACUUUCAUCAAAGGUCCCAAACUGAUAUUUUCUCUCGGGUGUGUUACCUGACAAGUUAUUAUGCGCCACACUAAAAACUUCCAGUGUGGUAAUAUCAGUAAGUUGUGGAGGGAUGACACCAUUCAAGUUGUUGUAAGAAAGAUCCAAACUCUCAAUCUGCUUUAGGUUUGAGAAUGUUGCAGGGAUAGAUCCAGUGAGAUUGUUGUGUGAUAAGUUUAAUGACAGUAUCUUACUUAAGUCUCCAAAUUCUGGUGGGAUUGCUCCUACGAAGUUGUUAUUGGAGAGAUCAAUACCAGACAUGUAGCUGAGAGUCUUCCCCUUGUAACGAUAAUACAUAUUUUUAGUUGUAAAUUCUAUCACUUCUUCUGUAAAGUUAAGCAGAAAACCCUUUCUCAAGUUGUACAUACUCUCCACUAGUGGUGGACCCAUUGUUUCAUAAUAAGCUUUUUCUAUGGACCUUGAUAGAACAUCAGCUCCGAGAUCUGCGAGCGUUUUCUGGGAACUUUCCUUGAAAGUAAGAUUGCCCAAACAGGAGGGUAGUGGACCAGAGAGUUGGUUUUGUGAAACAUCCAAAAUGCUUAAUUGUUCUAACAAGCAUAAUUGAACAGGGAGCUCACCAUCAAAGUGAUUAGCCCUCAGAAGAAGAACACUCAAUGAUGAAAGAUUGCCAAUCCAAUUUGGAAAGGAGCCGGUGAAGUUGUUAUCUCGAAGAUCCAUCGUAACCAGGGAAGAGUUGUUAUAAAAUCCAUAUGUUAAUGGACCGCUCAAUCUAUUUUCAGAUAGAUGCACAUGGGUUAUUUGUGGUGGACUGAAACAAGAUGGUAUAUAUCCAGACAAGUUGUUCUCAGAAAGGUCCAAAUAUUCAAGCUGGUUAAGCUUACAAAAGUCUCUUAGGAUCGGACCCUUAAAAUAGUUUUUGGACAAAUCAAUUGCGAUAAGGCCUGUAGAAUUGACUAACCACCUUGGAAGCAUGCCUGAAAAUUGAUUGUCACUCAAAUCCAAUGUUGACCACAUUUUCCACCCAUAUAAUAGAAAAUCUGAUAUCUGACCCCAAAAGUUGUUACCGUGUAGGUAGAGAUAUUCUAAGGUAGAAGAAUUGAAUACUGAGGUUGGUAAUUGCCCACCCAAAUUAUUGUUUGACAGCUUGAGAAACCAUAUUGUUGUUAGUUGUUCUAGUUUUACUAUAGACAAUUGAUUGUUGGAUAAAUCUAAAAUUUUCAAAGAGCUAAUAUUUCCUAAACAAGAAGGAAUACAACCUGUGAAUCCAUUAUUGGCCAUCCUUAAGCUCCACAUAUUUGGAAAGAUCAAACAAAUAUCUUUAGGAAUUUGACCGUUCAUGUUGUUGUUGGAAAUAUCUAAUUCGGUCAUAUUCAGAUAUGGGUGAUCUUGCAACUGUAAAGUACCGACAAAGGAGUUGUUGCUUAGAUAUAGUUGCUCCAAUCGUGUAUUGUUCUUAAGCAACCAUGAUGGAAACAUUGCGGUGAUGUUGUUGUGGGAGAGAUCAAGGACUCUUAUGUCGUAUUGGUAAUAAAGGAAGUCGGGAAUUUUUACAUUUAGUGCUUCUGUUGUUUUUGACAAUCGGAAAAAUACUAGUUGGAACUUUGGAAUCAAAUUAUCAAAGGCAGCAGGUUCUGUUACUAGCUUGUUGUUCUCACUGGAGAAGAACUUGAGGCUUGAGUGGUUCAUAAAAGGCUUCAUUGAAAUGGGAACUUCAAAGAGGUUAUUUGAUAGUGAGAGGAAUUCAAGGGAUGUGAGGUUGGUAAGAGGACCGGAGGCAAUAUUUCCAGUAAACUGGUUUUCAGAAACAUCUAAUAGUUGUAGAGAUGACAAGUUCCCCAAACAAUCUGGGAGUGAACCUCCUAAAUUAUUUCCAGAGAGAUCUAACUGCCUCAGAUUCUUUAAUUCACACCAACCUGUACAAUUUAUCUUGAAACAGUCAAAACAGUGUUGAAAGAAUCUUUUAUUGAUGAUAGUUGUUAAUUUACCUUGAGCGGGUAGGGUGCCAUGGAGGUCACAUUCAGCAACAGACAAAACUUUAAGAUCAGGCAAUGCUCCAAUGUUCUGGAGAAAGUUUAUUGGGAGAGAAGUACGAUCUAGAUACAAUUCUUCAAGGGUGCUAGAAUUGAAGAAAGUCCCUGUGAAAAAGAAAGAAGAAGAGAUAUGAUGAAAAUUGUGGUCGUACAGAAUAGCCAUUCCAUUUAAUAUUAUUAAUUAAGAUUUUAAGAAACUAAACUAUGAUUAACCUUGACUUAAAUUAGUAUCCUUGAGAGAAAGGGUCUUCCUUAAACCUAUGAUGUGUAGAAUUGAAAGCAGGCAAUCAAGUAAGUAGUGAAAUUAAGUGUUAUCUUGAUCGAGUUUUUAAACCUAUGAUAAAGAACUGAUAUUGAAUAGUGAGAUGAUUUUUGGAUAGAAACAACAAAUUGCCUGAAAAAUCCAGAGAUAUUGCCUGAUAAAUUUAAAUUUAAAGACUUUACCAUUGACGGUCGUCGAUCCUAGCAACAUAUUGCCUGAUAAAUUUAAAGACUUGAGAUAAGAAAGCCCACGCAGAUGUGAUAAAAUGCUGUCGUUGAAUAUAUUAUAGCUCAGGUCCAGGUUAUCGAGUUUCUCCAAAUGUGAUGAUAUGAUCUCAAAACCUGCAAGAGAGUUGUUUCUAUAAGCAAGUCAUAAUUACAUAAUAACUUUAAUCAAACAUGAUGAAAUACUAUCGUUGAUUAUUAAAUGAAUAUAAAGUCCUCAAUUUUCAUAGAAGGAGAUAUGAGAAGGAGAAAAGAAAAUGUUUCGAAGCUAAAUAAUUAAAAGGUUACCAUAGAAGCUACCUGAUCCUGUCAAUCCAUUGCCUGAUAGAUCCAAAGACUUGAGAGUGGAAAGCCCAGUCAUGCAUGACAAAAUGCUUUUAUCAUUAUUAAAUCGGUUAUCACUUAGGUCAAGAUUCCUCAGAUUUGAUGAUAGGACUUCGAAGCCUGGAAGAGAAUCAUCAAAGCAAGAUAAUUGACAUUAAACACCAAUCAACCUUGAUUUAUUUUAUGAUUAUAAGUGCAGAAACAUUGAACUAACCUUCAUUCUCCAAGCAACCAACCAAUCCAUUAAAUCGCAAUUCGAGACUUUGCAAUUCUUUAAAAGGCAGAAACAAAGAUGCGUUGAGAACCCAAUCGCCAAAGCUCUGAUCCCUUGCUCCACUAAGAGAGAGUUCGAUCACUCGCCUUGUAGUGUUAUCACACUCGAUCCCAUCCCACUCACAACAAUUACUACUGUCCACCCAAUGUCUCAAGGAAAAGCCAUCUGGGUCGAUCAAAGAUUGGAUCUCCAAGAGACCAAUUCUCUCUUCCUCCAAACAUCCAUAACAACGACCAUACCAUUCGCCAACCAAAGUCAAUAAUAUUGCUAGCAACAUCCAAGCCCCCAUUCUUUUCAUCAUCAUCUUAGAUAAUUCUAUGUGACAUCAAGAACGUAGAAUAUUGUUGUUUGUUAUGUGCCUUUGGGCAACCAUAGAGGUCCUAUUUAUACUACACUGUGGCCAUUUCCGUGACUUUGAGAUGUUUUCUUUAUUUAAUUUCCAUGACUUUAUCUGCAUAUCUUGUGCAGGUUCGGUGUUUUGAGAUUUGAAUAUUAUUUUAUUUCUUUUUGGAAUAUUCUUGGAUUUGAAUAUUAUUUUAUUUUAUUGUUUAGCACUUAGUCUAUUUGCAUUUAAUUAUAUUUUGGUUACUAAUUAUUCAAUUUAUAAAAAAAUAAAAUAAAAAAAUUGUUGCAGUACUUCAACAUAACAUAUAUUUGUUUUUAUGGUGGGAAAGGUAUUCUUGACUUGUUUUUAUUACAUUUCAAUAUUAAAUAUAUUUUUUUCAAUCGAGUCAAAGAUAUACAAUUUAUAUUAGAAUGAGAAGACUAAUCAAUUUCUCUAGUUUUCUCCCUAAUUAUAAAAUACAUCUAAGAUAAAAGGAAUUUAUUUCUUGAAAUUAAUGCAUUAAAAAAUAUAAAAAUAUUUUUUAAAAAUUAAAAUAGUAGUAAAAGAAAAUUUAGUUUUUGAUUGAAGUGUAAACUAGUGGUCAAUGAACAAAAAGAAACUUUAUUGAUUAUCUAAUGAGUUACUUCUCCAAAAAGAAUAUAUAUAUUAUUGAAUAUCUAAAGGAAACGAUUCAUGAAACUCCGCCUAAUAUAUAUAUAUAUAACAGAGAAAUUGUCGAUAAUAGCAAUCAUUUUCUUAUCUCUUGUAUCAUUCAUAUCUUCCACAAAUCUUAAGUAAUUGAUGAGAAAGAUCGUGAACGCGGAUGCUUGACUUGUUGUGUGGCAUUUUGAUUUUUAAACACAACCAUGCAGUGAUUUCCUGGUGAUUUCCUUAUGCAUACUGGUGGUCCUUCAGAAUCUUGGAGGACCACCACAAGCCAAUCUAAAAAAAUGCUAAAAGUAAUCUUGAGGGUUGUAACUUAACUGGUCAGGUCCUGAGUUUGUUCCCCGAAGAUCACCAGUUCGAGUCCCACAAACCUCAGAGCCACUUGAGGCUUACAUGAUCAUUAACUUCAGGGCUCGUGGGAUUAGUCGAGAUGCACGCAAGCUGACCCGAACACCCACGUUAAUAAAAAAAAAUGCUAAAAGUCAAAACACACAAGCCAUAUAAAAAUCACACGACAGCCAAUUGCCUUAUCUUGUGAAAAAAAGAUCAAAAAAAAAAAAAACAUUCUCUUAGGUAUGCAAUGACUGCCUAUCUUCUCAUGGGGAGCAAAAAUCAGUAGCCUCCCAUGGAAUCCUAAUAAACCUUUCUCUGUGCUCUUCUAAGAUAUUAAAAAUGUCAAACAUACAUCAAUAAUCAAGAUUUGGGUCCUAGAUCAGACAAGUUAGCUUAUGUUGACUGGUGUUAAUCUAAAAUUGUAUCAUUUUAAGAAGAAAAAAAACUGUGUAGUUAAAAAAAAAAAACUAGUUUUUGACUGAGUUGAUUAGGUUCUUGGUUGAUUUAUCUGGUCGAUGAGGCUUGAUUGGGUCAACUCUCACUUGGUUUUUUCUAAACCUGAAUCCGGUCAGAUUCCAGAUUAAAAUGGUAGGCUUGAAUUAAAUUUAAUAACGCUGAUUAAAACCACAUUGUAGAAAAAAAAAUUGAAUUGCAUAAAAGUAAUUAACCGAAAACUUAUAUUCCUUCUUAUUGUCAAAGAACCAUCUCAACCCUUAAGCUAUUAGGUGAGGUCCCAAGAUAUGAUUUAUAUUAUUCUUUAACACACUCCCUCAAGUGAAAGCCCUUUGGGCUUGAAACUUGCAAAUGUCUACAUUACCUUGUGCUUGAUUUUUAUCAAAUUAAUGGGGGGUGAGAUUCGAACUCGUGACCGCUUGGUCAUCAAAGCUCUGAUAUUAUAUCAAAUAAUCACCUCAACCCAAAUUAAAACUUAAACUAUUAGAUGAGAUCCCAAGUUAUGAUUUAUAUUAUUCUCUAAGAACCCAUAUCAGUUUUUUUUAAGGAAAAGUAUGAAUCAAAGGUUAACGCUAGGCAGCUCACUUUGCAUGACAAUGACGGAUAUAGAAGACUUGCUACUUUCUUUAUGGAAAUAACGUGUGGAAAAUCAUGCCUUAAUGUUGAUGGUGAUGGCAAAAACAACCAGUAUCGUUGAUAAAAUGAACCACAAAUGAUAUUAUUUCUAAAAUACUUUUUUUCAUUGUCAUGACAACAAGUCUUCUUCUUUUUCUUUCUAAAGAGUCUAUUUUUUGUAACACAACCAACAAGUAAAAUGGAUAGGAAUUUGCAGUGUGAGAUGGGUCUGUGAGACUUUUGCCAUCUGCAUUUUUUCCAUGAUAUAGGCCAGUGAGAUAGUCCAUGAAACCAUUGCCCUGUAAGCAUUUAUGAGUUCGUGAGACCAUUUCCAUCUGCACAUUGGUCCCUGAAACCGUUGCCAUCAUGCAUUUUUUCCACGAGAUGGGUUCGUGGAACAUACUUUGGUUUAAUUGGGAAUGCUGUUAUUGAUUGAAAACUUUCUAAUUAAAAUAAAUUUGAUUAUUUGAUUGGAAGAAAUCCUUAAAUGUUAUUAACACAAGAAAUCAAUUUAUUUUCUUAAGAAAAAAAUAUUGUAACCAUAUAAGUAAUUUAUUUAUUUAUUUUAAUGAAAUAUAAAAUAGUUUUAAAUAAUCUUGUGGUAUAUUUCUUGUCUUUAAGAGCUAUGAACUUAUAUCUCAAAACUUGAAAACUAAUAUAAAGAUAUUAAGUGAUCAUUGAGUGUGUGUGUAUGUAUAUAAUCCUUUUCAAAACAAAAAGGAUUUUGAUGGAGAUCAGGACAUUGCAACAAAUUAUCCACGAGAUGGGUCGGUGAUACCAUUGUCAUCAUGUAAUUUUUCCCACGAGAUGGGGUCGUACGCUUGGGGCUCUAAAAGCUAUGGUUUUUAAUUUCAUCAGGUAUAUUUUAUUUCAAUUCUAAAAAUGAAAUAAAUUAGAAGAUAUUUCAUCUUGUUUAGAAUAUUAUCUCCUUACAUGCAUGAAUUUCACCUAAAUUUUGACCAGAAUAUAUCGGUUCUAUUCCGGCCAUUCUAUUAUGUCCAAAUAAUGUUUUGUUUUGCUUUUAUAUAUAUAAAAAAUAUAAUUUAUUUUUAUGAUAUCAAUUAUACCUUUCAAUUUGACUAUUAGAUUAGACUGAAAUUUUAUAAUCUCUUAAUAUGUAUUUAUAUCACAAGUUAAAAUUUUAGAGCAAUCAGAGUUUAGAAAGACUUGUGAAAUUACUGUUGAUAUUUUCAUAAUUUUAUUUAAAUUCAUAAUUUUUUUUUGAAAUGUUAUUUUUUGUGUUUUUUUAGAUUGAUUUUUUUUAAUUUUAUAAUUUAAUAAUAAAUUUAUUAAAAAUUAAAAUUCAUAAUUUAUUUUUAUUUAUUUUAUUUAAAAUUAUUAUAUUCUCAUUACUCAUAUCACGAAAAAAACCUUUGCUUUAAUUGGGAAUGCUGUUACAAGUAAUUGGACUCCGUGGGAUGGGAGACCGUUGCCAUCAUGCAUUUUUUUUCCACAGCAUGGGUCCGUAAAGUCCUCUAUAAAAGCUUAAACCUCCUUACUAUCCUCUAUAUCAAUUGAUCAGCAUUUAUAAGAUGGGGCUGUUCCUUCUGAUGCUGAUGGUUUUAGUAAUGAUGGUUUCUUGCAAGGAUGGCUGCCUCUUGGAGUAUAUUGACUUGAGAAUUAAUUGUUUUGAUAACAGUAUUUUAUUAUUUGUGGAGUUAUUUCUAUUUUUUAAAUUAUUAUAUUUAGAUUAUAAUAGAGUGAAAGAGUUAAUAGGUUUAAGAGAUUAGGAAAAAGCUAAUAUUAAUUAUAGUUAGGGACCAAACUGGAAUUUUUGCAUAUUUUUAAGGGUCAAAUUGUAAUUUUAUUAAAUUGAUGAAGGACCAAAAUGAAAAUAUCAUAUUUAUAACUAUACUGGAAUUUUGCCCAUAUUUCUUCUUUAAUUUUGCCUAGAAUCUCGGAUUAUGCUCUAGGGACCAAUCUGUAAUUUUUUUCAAAGUUUGGGGAUUAAACUGAAAUUUUCACAAAUUGAGGUACCAAGCUGAAAUUUUUUCAUCUUCAACCUCAUACCCAGAUUUUUCACAAAUCACCUAUUGAUAUAUCAAGAUUUUUAACUAGAUGAGGGUUUAGGUCAUAGAUUGGCCUAAUACUCAGAUCAAGAUUUGGAUCAAGUUAGCUUAUUGACUAGUGUUAAUAAAAAAUUGUAUUAUUUUAAGAUUUAAUUUAAUCAAAUAGAUUCAACUCCCAUGCCAUUCCACAAUUAAUUUAUUUUAUUAUGAUUUAGUGUUAUGUUAACCAGGCAACAUUUAAUUACCAUGAUAUAAAAUACAAAAAUAGUGGGAACAUAAAAAACAUGCUUUUAUAUAUUUUUUAUUUUAAAAGUACAAAUUUUACUCUAAGACUAUUGUAAAAAGAUAUUUAUUUUAAAUUUAUUUAUAUUUUUAUAAUUCAAAAAUUAAAAAUAAAACAGAAUUAAUCCAUACUCAUCUAAAAACAAUUAACUCUAACAUCAUUAUUUUAUAACAAAACUAGCAAAGAUAAUUUAUUAAUCACUAAGUUUUCUGGUUAUAAAUACAUUAGUAAUUGUCUUCGUCUCUUUUGUAUUUCUAACUAUUAACGAAUUGAAUAUAUAUAAUAAAUACCGAGUGAAAGAAUAAAUUUAGUUGUAUAAUGUACUAAAUAUUAAAUAGGUGACUUUAGAAUCACCAAGCAGUGAAUCACACGGGAAGAUUGAAAGAAUAAUUAAAGUGAUUUUAGUAACCGACAAGUUGACCCCAAGUCAAAAGUCUUUUGUGGAAAAACAUGAAUAAAAGGUUGAGGGUAAGGUCAUUGCUAUCAAGCGUUUUUUUCUACGAGAUGGGUCCGUUACACCAUUUCCGCUCAAGCUUGAGAAGUGAUGAUAUAUGCUUUAUUUUCAACUUGUAUAAAAAAUAAAUUUUAAUGUAGUGUGUUAGUGUUAAAUAAUUAUCUUAAUCUAAUAGUUUAAGCUGUUAGAUAAGGUCUCAAGAUAUGAUUUAUAUUAUUCUCUAACACACCUCUCAAGUAAAAACCCUUUGGACUUGAAACUUGUUCAGGUUCACAUUACCUUGUGUUUAAUUUUUAUCAAAUAAAUGAAGAUGGUGAGAUUCAAACUCGUAACUGUUUGGUCAUCAAGGCUCUGGUACCAUGUUAAAGAAUCAUCCCAACCCAAUAGCUUAAGCUGUUAGGUAAGGUCCCAAGAUAUAAUUUAUAUUAUUCUCUAAUACACCUCCUACUUUGUGUUUAAUUUUUAUCAAAUAAAUAGGGAUAGUGAGAUUCGAACUCGUGACCGCUUGGUCAUCAAGGCUCUGAUACCAUGUCUAAAAACUAUCUCAACCUAAUAGCUUAAACUGUUAGGUGAGGUCUUAGGAUAUGAUUUAUAUUAUUCUCUAACAAUAUUUUCUUCACUUUCUAUAUAGUUUUACCUUACACUAAUAUUGUCAGAAAAUGAUAUAUAGUUCUUGUGUUAUCCUUCAAGAUUUCAAUUGAAAAGGAGGGUCGUAAAAAAUUUAAUUUUUAUAAACAUACCCUUAACUUAAUUUGGAUGUGGAUAAUUGUUUGCAAUAUAUUUACAUCCAAUAUAAACAAUUCAUCAAUGAUCAAGUCGGCAUUGGUUAGCUAAAAUAUUGAAAAUACUUACUCUUUUUUUUUUUUUGGCCAUGCAGUUCCUAUAUAUAUAUAUAUAUAUAUAUAUAUAUAUAUAUAUAUAUAUAUUAGUUGAAAUUUCAUGAUGUCCAUUAAUCCUUUUAAAUUAAAGUCAAGUUAUUAAUUAUAUCCUAUAAAUUUCUAGAAAAACUAAUUCUCUCAAAUUUCGUCGUCUUUUUUACUAACUAUAGAAGGCGAUUGCUACAAACUAAAAUUUCAAGAUGAAAUUGAGAAAUCUGAAGGAGCAAACUGAGAAUCUACCAAAAUCUGACCAAGUCGUUUCACUAGUGGUUUCAAUUAAAAAGCUGAGAGGCAGGCAAUUUCCCAGAAACCCUCUUGGACCCCAUAAAUGAAAUAAUGACACAUGCCGGGGAACAUAGAAAAAUGAGCCUAUAAUCGAAUGAUCAAUACCGGCGAAAGAAAUCAAAUGGAGUAUAAGGUGAAGAGUAAGCCAUCGACAGCACUUUGGAGGCUAUAAUCGAAUCAGCUGCUUCUAUAUAUGCAAUGGGUCGCAUCCCAACUUGCAGACCUGAUAUGAAAUUGUUAUGAUGUUCGUUCUGUAACUAUCAAAACUCACUUAAUUCUGUAGUUUCCAUCUCUUUUUUACUUAACAUGUGAUGUUUGAGAGUGAAGGUAACUAUUGCUUUUUAAAAUAAAAUAUAAUUUAUGUGGUAUCUGAAUACAUAGGAACAAUAUCUGUGUGCCUCAUGCAUGCUUUUCAAAAUCAAGUUUGGGGUUUUUUACACCCAAAAAUCUAUUUUUCAAUUAUGUUUUCACCAAAACAAAAGCAACUAAAAAUCACUUAAUUAAAAGAUCAAAGUGAAUCUAUUUACUUUCUCAUACAAAAAUCAGUCCAAAAAUAAAAAAUAACUUAAAACCUAAAUUUUCUGAUAUCAUAUCUACUUUUUCAUGUAAUUUUAAGGUGAACACUCGAAUAAAACUACUUUUAUCUAAUGGACUAUUGACACAAAGAUUGACUAUUUUGAGGGCCAAAAUUGAUUUUAACCGAGAUUUUAUCUUUUUACCACUAGAAUUUAGCUACUCUCUUUUCUCUUUGAAACUAAAAAAAUAAAAAUAAAAAAAUGACCUUUUGAGUCAAAAUUGAAUCUUACAAAAUUAUAGGGAUUGAAGAUCUAUCAAUUGGAAGUAAGAAAAUCCAAGCUAACUUUUCGCAUUAAUUUUGAAAAAGCCACCUAGUGCCUUUGUUUUUUUCACUUUGAUCCCUUAACUCUCAAUCAUGCCCUUCAUCAAUAAAUUGAAAGAAAUUUAUUGGCGAAAUAAAUUUAUUUCGAAGCCCUUCAUCCUUUGCAAAAUUUACAAGAACAUACCUGAAAGUCCUUGUUGAGAAUCUUGGAGAUAGAGCAAAAUAGAGUGGCAAACAUUGAUACAAUGAACUGAACUUGCAGGACAAGGUCAAAAGUCAUGGCCUUGCCAGCCUUCAAGAAAGUAAACUCCAAUGCAGGCAUUAGAAACCCAUGAAGAGCUGCACCACCAAUAUUCAUGAAGAAACCCAAAAUAUAUUUUCCUUUAGACUCCCACUUGGUCUAUCUCCGUUCAUGUGAAAUACAAGAAUAAUAGACCCAAGGGUCAUCAAAAUCACCGCGUUUAUUCAGUAAUGUGUGAAGCCACUGAGCUAAAGAAUAAAUAAUCCAAGAAAAUUCCACCAAUUACCAUUAAUGUAAGGAAUUCCUGCUUCUUUUUUAGAAGAUCUUCUGGUUGUAUUUGGUUAAUAUCUCAUGCAGAAGAGACACAAAUAUAUAAAAGACAAACAAGUUUAAUUAAAGAGAUAGAAACAUAAAAUAAAUAUGUUUAUAAGAUAAUUUUAGAGUAAAUUUCUAUAUAUAUUUUCAAAUAAAAAACACAAAGAGACAUGUUCAGUACUUGUAUCAUAAGUUUUAUUAUCAUCAAACGUUUGCCUUUCACUACUUUUGCAUGUCUAUAAAGGAAUUUGAUUUCAUUCAAAACACAAUCUAAUAAUUUUGUAGAGAUAAAGAAGACAAGCACGUCGCAAACUGAUCAAUGGCCAUUGAAGUAGACAAAACAGUACUGACUAGCACCACCAGCUUUUACUUGCAUUUGGCUUGAAAGACGAGUGGACUACAUCAAGCAAAUAACAAAAAAAAGCAUGUAAAGAACUAUGAUUAAUUUAAUAAAAAGUAUCUUGCAGUAUUAGAAGGUUUCAGUGAUAUGCCUAUUAAAACAUAUUUGUCAAGUGAUUCUUUAUCCUACAUUGGUUAUAUAUUUAUUCGACGUGGUGGUACUAUUUGUCGUGAAUCCACAAAUACUAUUCAUCAUCAUAGUGUUCAUCUACAUGCAGAUCACUAUGGAUUGAAGCAGUAAUAUUUUUAAAAAAAUUUCAAUUUGGUUCUUAAAAUUUUAUUUCACAUGAUUUUAGCUCUUUUAAACCCAAAUUAUCACUCAAUUGCAUAUUUUUUUGGGAGAGAUGGUUGAAUUAAAAAACAUAGGACUGAAGUGAAAAAACAGGUGAAAUAGAUGGUGACCUUGAAAUUUCUCUUAAAAGUUCAUUUUUAUCCCCCAUAUUUUUUUUAGCUCUUAGGUGACCGGUCCCUUUAAUUUUUAAAAAUUUAAUUUUAAUAUUAAACUUUAUUUUUUUUAUUUUUCAGACUUUUUUAUGGGAGGAGAGAGAAAGUUGUCGUUGGUGAUGAUUUCAGCCAUUGAAAUAAUCAAUUUUUGUCUCAAAUAAUUCCAUCUAAAGAGAAGAGUUUGAAUUAAGUGUUUUGUUUUACCUUGAAAAUACCUAAAAAAUAGAUCCGAGCUCAAGAAGAUUUUUGAAUUCAGGUUGAUAUCAGAUUUUAAGGUGUUUUUUUUGUGUUUUUUUUAGUCCAUUAAUUGUUUAACAAGAUUUCUAAGGUAUUUUUUAGGAGUUUUAAAUAACAAAUAGAUUAAAAAUAAGUUUUUAGAUAAAAAAAUAUAAACAUCAGUUUUCCCGCUACAACAAUGGAUGGAAUCUAGAAAUCUAGAUGACACAUUAUCUUUUUUAAAAAAAAAAAACAGUGUCUGACCCCUUAGCUUAGAAAAUAAAAGCCCUUUGAUUAGCAGGCUUGUCAAUGUCUAAUCUCAUUCUUUCUUUCUUUUUUAAUUAGUACCUUUUUUAUAUAAUUUUUUAUUUUAUGUUUUACUAAUACAUCAUCUAUUGUUUUGGCUUAUUUAGAAUUUUUUAAAAUGAAAAUAGUUUAUUUAAUUAUAUUGAUUGUAUUUAAUUUUUAAAAAGGUUGAUAUGAUUUAUCUGUAAUUUUUUAUAUAAAUAUUUAUAUAUGGAUUAAAUUUACCUUUAAAAAAUUAAUUAAUUAUUUAUUAUAAUAUUUUUAAUAUGUACAGCCUUGUAUAAUAUUUUUUUCUCUCUUAUUUUAUUUAAUAAAUCUUAUAUUCUGGACAUAUCAGUAUGGUUGGUUAGGUUUGGUUUUGGGGUGAAAAAAGAAAAAUCCAACCACAUCAAAUUAAAUGUUAUGGUUUGUUUUAAUUCAAUUCAUUUUUUUAUUAAGAAACCCAAUUUCAUUCUUGGGUUUUUUAGUUGAUUUUUGUAGAUAGACUCUGAUGUAAUAGGCAUGGUUGUUUUUGAGGUUUUUUUAGUUUUUUAUUUUAAAAAAGCAAUUGUUUGGUUUCAUUCAGUUUAAUUUUUUUUAAUCUCUUAAAUCUAAAGCCAAUUUAAGAUCUUUUAAAACUUUCUAAUCGGUUUUUUUUUUAAUUUUAUAUUGGUUUUUUUUUUCAAUUAAUUUUAUGAUAAGAAUCUCGUUAUAAGAAGUAAAAGGAAAAAAAAAAAAAAACAAUUACAUGUCGCAGCCAUGUUUUCACAUGGCCUCCGUAAAGUUCGAACAUUAACAUGGUCUCUAGACAAUAAGAACCUGUUUGUAAGUUUAGCAGAAUUAUUUUUUAAAAUAUUUUCUAGUUUAAAAUAUAUUAUAAUAAUAUCUAGUUAAUUAUUUUUAACAUCAAUAUAUUAAAACGGUCUAAAAAUACUAAAUAAUUAAUUAAGUUUUUUUAUAAAAAAAAACCGGUUCAACUACGGGGCUAAGGAUGUGUUUGGAAGUAUGGUAGUAGUAAUUUUUCAAAGUGAUUGUACUUGAAAAUGUAUCAAAAUAAUAUUUUUUAUUUUUUAAAAAUUAUUUUGACAUCAGCCCAUUAAAACAAUACUCACAAAAUUGAGCAUCAACCUAAAAAUAAACACUUAUUUGAGACAAUUAUCCCUCGAAAGCAAACAAAAAGUAAUAAUGCAGUUCAUUUCCUAACCAAUUCAAUGUUAAAUGAUAAAAUCAAAAUAUUAAAAAUAAUUAAAAGACAAAAAAAACAUAUUAUAAUGGUGGGUAAACUCGUCAAACUUGUGAAUCGGGUAAGUCGAGCUAAUAUGACAAACCUGUAAAUUGGAUCAUUGACUCCAUUGGAAUUAUAAUUUGUUUUUUAAAGCUAUUUUCUUAGUUAACUAUAUGAUAAUAAAAAUAGAUAAUUACAAAAUCAAACACCAACUUAAUACCAAAAUGUUUUUAGAUCAUGAUAACCUCAUAAAAUGUGAAACAAAACCAAUUAUGAAACUAAAUUCACAAUUAAUCCAGUAUCCAAGGAUGAAAAAAAAAACUGAUUUAAAAAAGUUAAUCUUGUCAACUAGCCAAAUAUAUCCAUGGAAUUUAUAAAGUUUAAUAACAUAAUUUUUUCUAAAAAUUAUUUUUUUAACUAUAUAAGGAAAAAAUAGACUAUAAAAAAGUCAAGUUUAAUUAUAAAAAAAAAACCCCACCAAACUUGUAAACUAGGGCAACUUAGAUUACCUAGCAAACUCACAAACCAUGUUAACCUUAUAGAAAUGUAAAAUAAAAGAAACAAAUUAUAAAGUUAAAUUCUCAACCAUCUCAAUAUUAAAAGAUAAAAUUGAUAAAAAAAAAAUUUGAGAAAAAAAUCAUAACAAAAAUUAAAAAAACAAAAACAAAAAUGAAAGAAAGCAAAACAUUAUGGAUUACUAUUGUCAUUCACAAUACAAUGUGUGUGGGUGAACAAUGAUUUUCUCACACCCUUUAAUUUUUGUUAUUUUAUAAAGUUUAAUAACAUGACUUUUCUCUAAAAGUUUUUUAAUUAUAUGAGAAAAAAAUAGACUAUUAAAAAAGUCAAGUUCGAUUUUAAAAAAAAAUACAACCCACCAAACUCGUAAACCAGGGAACCCUAGGGUACUUUGGCAAACUCAUAAACUACACUAAUCCCAUAUAAAGGAAAAAAAAACAAACAAAUUACGAAACUCAUUUCUCAACCAUCUCAAUUUUAAAAAAUAAUAUUGACAAAAAUAGAUUUUAAAAAAAAUCAUAAUAAAAUUUCAAAAAAAAAGAAAAAAAAAAGCAAGACACGGUGGAUUAUUAUUGUAAUACAUAGUGUAAUGUGUGCUGGGUAAACAAUGGUUUCCCCUACAUCCUUUAAUUUUUAUUACUUCAUAAAAUUUAAUAAUAUGGUUUUUCUCUAAAAUUAUACUAUAAAAAAGCCAAGUUCAAUUAAAAAAAAACCUCACCAAAUCCAUAAACUGGGGUACCCUGAGUUACCUCGACAAAAUCGCAAACCACAUAGAAAGAAAAAAUAAAAAGAAAAAAAAUUAAAUUUAAAUUCUCAACUAUCUCAAUAUUAAAAAUGAAAUCAAUAAAAAUAAUUUUUUUUAAAAAUCAUAUAUAAGAAAAACAAUGAAAAGGAAAACAUCAUGUGUUCAAGGGAAAAAAAAAACAAAUAAUAUGAGGAAAUAUUAUAGCAAUCUAUAAUGUUUUAUGAGAAUAAUUGCAGUGCUAUCCCCAUAUAUUUUAAUUUUUCUUAUGAUAAUAAUAAUUAUAGUCUCUCAUGUCUCACAACUUUAUUUGUUUUUCUUGAAUAAGUGCUAAUGUUCUUUGAGGGGUCCAAGCACCAUAUAUUGAAAGAAAGAACUAGUUCAAAUUGAAGCACUAUUAGUUUUAGAAGCACCAUGAAGAUUCAGGCGUGUAAAGAUAUCAAAGGCUCCUGCCACAUGUCAAAAGAUUAGAGAAUGAAAUUGUUAGAAUACUGUUAGUAACUGUUAGUAUUGUUUGUCAGUUAAGAGAAUUAGUUAGCAUUGUUUCAGUGAAAUAAAAAGAGAAUAGAUAACGUGCAUAACCUUUCUACUAUAGCAUAUAUAAACAUGUCAGAUAAGAGAACUGUAAUCAAUUAAUAAAAGAAUCAGUGCUAAAGUUCUUCUUCUUCUUCUUCUCUGUUUAACAGAAUCACUCUCUGCUUUUCUUCAUCUUUAUUCUCUGUUUUUCUUCAUCUCUAUUCCUUUUCUGUGUAAAUCUUACUGUCCUCACAAGGCCCACAUCUUGCUUAUAAUACCCAAGAUCCUAGCACCUUGUAUUUAUAAACGCUAGACACAGCUGCUGUUUCAAUGAAUAAUUCUCCACGCUAUUAUUGAUAAAUAUUGUGUGCUAUAUAUACAGCAGUGUGGAAAUUCAGUUUAGGAAAAAUAUAAAUGGUAAUGCUAAAACUAUGCUAUUACAAUAUACAGCUGCAGAAUUCAAGUUUGGAAUCGGCUCCAAAUAUAGCGUUAAUGGCAGAAUCUUUGCCAUGAUUUUCGGCUACACCUUCUCUGUUUUGAUUUGAGCAGAUUCUCUGCUAGUUUCCCUGAUAGUAUUUAAAUGAAAGAAAAAGAGAAGGGCAAAAGACUGCCAUGAGGCAACCUCAAGUAUCAUACACCUCUGUUUUUGUCCUUUUCAUUUUUCACGUGUUUCUCACAAGAAGCGAACAUAAAGUGCUGGAAGGAAUUUUUUGUUGCAGCGUGAGAUAAGUUUAACUCAUUGCAUUUUCAUAAAUUAAAGGGCUUUGUCUUCUUUUCUUUGUCAAUUACAGUGCAUGUAUAAAAGUUUUAUUGCUCAGAGUAAAUGCUAUUGUAAUGUUUUCGCAGAGACUCCCCUGCUUUGCAACCAAUUCACUUAUAUAUCUUGGAGCAUAGUCAUAGCCAUAAAUGGAAGGUUCUUCCGGUUCAAGAAAAUUAACCACGAAGCUCGUAACUAGAAUUUAGAGUGACCAAGGUCUUUUUCAAGAACAAGGGAAGUGUGCAAAAUGCAAAUAACGAAUCAAUACAUAAAUAAUUAAGUAAAAAGAGAGGACACAGAAGUAUAUCCUCAGACGAUGAAAAUACAGAAAGCCUAGCAUAUUAGAAAGAGCAUUUAUCCAUUUUCCCCCUUCUCUUGUAACAUGGACUGCUAAGAAAUCUAAUGUUUUGUUAUUGAUACGUGAGUUCAGUCUGAUUAUCUGUUGUGCAUACUGGACCGAAAGCAAACACAAAUAAAACACAAACAAGCAGAUUUACGUGGUUCCCCAAAACCGGGUACGUCCACGGAGGCAGCAGAUUGUAUAUUAUUGGAGGAAUGAUACAAACACUCAACUCAACCCAGUACAAUCCCACAAAACCCAGUGUUUCACUCUUACACUCGGUGUUUCUCUCAAAUCUGCACUCUUUCACUCUCACAGUUGCACUAUUUUCUUCUGCACACUUGCACUCACACUGCACUCUCUCGUUCCUCUCUUCUAUCUUCUAUCUUUCACACACAUUUACAGGAGAAAGGAAAGCAUAAAUAUAAUGGAUGAAAAGGAGAGGGUGGUUGAAAAGGAGAGAGUGGUUGAUGGUUGUUGAGAAAAAAUAUUGACAAUUAGCAAAUGUUGACAAUUUGCUACAAAUCUCCACCUUGGCAAGAUUUUUCCAUUCAAUCCUCGUGAACAAUCAAUGCUACCUCCAAUGCGUCAUAUGACGCUGCACCCUGAAGGUGCUCAACACCGAGAGAUGUUGACCAAGUCCAAACAAUGUUGGAACUUGAUCCCUGAGACACAUUUUGUGAGCAUGUCAGCUGGAUUAUAUGCGGUACCAAUCUUCUGUAGCAGAAUAUCCCCUUCAUCCACAAUUUCUCGAACAAAAUGAAAUCGAACAUCGAUGUGCUUGGUGCGGGAAUGAUGAACCUGAUUCUUUGCAAGACAAAUAGCACUUUGACUAUCACAAUGGACAUCCACGUGCUCUUGAACAAUUCCCAAAUCUUCAAUCAACCCAUGUAACCAAAUAGCUUCCUUGAAAGCUUCCGUUACUGCCAUGUACUCUGCCUCAGUUGUUGACAAAGCUACUGUUGAUUGUAACGUUGACCUCCAACUUACAGGCCCUUUAGCAAGUGUAAACACGUAGCCUGUUGUGGAACGACGUUUGUCUAAGUCACCAGCAUAGUCCGAGUCCACAUAACCAACUAAAUUUUGCCCAAGUCUAUCAUCCCUCUCAAACUUCAAACCAAUAUCAGUUGUGCCAUGAAUGUACCGUAGAAUCCACUUAACUGCCUGCCAGUGACCCUUUCCCGGAUCAUGCAUAUACCUGCUCACCAUACUGACAGCAUGUGAAAUAUCUGGUCUCGUACAAACCAUUGCAUACAUUAAUGCACCAACUGUAUUUGCAUAAGGAAUUUGAGCCAUAUGCUUGCGCUCUUCCUCUGUGCGUGGAGACAUUGAAGCACUUAGCUUAAAAUGAGGAGCUAAAGGUGUGCUUACAGGCUUGGUCUUACCAUCUACCCCAAAUCUCUGUAGAAUUUUCUUCAAGUAUUGGGUCUGUGUCAAACAGACUGUGCCUUUUCUUCUGUCUCUCUGAAUCUCCAUGCCAAGAAUCUUCUUAGCUUCUCCAAGGUCCUUCAUUUCAAACUCAGUGCUCAGUUGAGCUUUCAGUCUAUCAAUCUCCACCUUGCUCUUCGAUGCGAUCAACAUAUCAUCCACAUAUAAGAGCAAAUAGAUGAAAGAACCAUCAAGAAGUUUGCGAAAAUAUACACAGUGAUCAAACUGACUCCGUGUGUAUCCAUGUUCUGCCAUGAACUUAUCAAAUCGCUUAUACCACUGGCGAGGAGAUUGUUUCAAUCCGUAUAAUGACUUCUUCAGUUUACAAGCCCAAUUCUCUUUCCCAGUGACUUUGAAACCAUCUGGCUGAGACAUGUAAAUUUCCUCUUCCAAAUCUCCAUGUAGGAAGGCAGUUUUCACAUCAAGUUGGGCUAACUCCAAAUCAAACUGUGCAACCAAGGCUAACAGAAUACGGAUUGAUGAAUGCUUAACAACUGGAGAGAAUACCUCAUUAUAAUCUAUCCCCUCCUUCUGAGCAUAGCCUUUUGCUACCAAUCUCGCUUUGAAUCGGAUGUUGUCUUUUCCAGGAUUACCUUCCUUCUUGGCAUAUACCCACUUGCAACCAAUUGUCUUCUUUCCUUUAGGGAGUUGUACCAAAUCCCAAGUCUGAUUCUUAUGGAGAGAUUUCAUCUCUUCAUCCAUUGCCUCUUUCCAUUUUGCACUUUCUACACUCUGUACUGCUUCUUUGUAGGUGUAGGGGAUUCCAUCAUCAAUCACCGGAAGUGCAUAAGCCACCAUGUUACAAUACCGAGCAGGUUUCUUGAUAACCCUUUUUGGUUUACUCGUUGCAAUGGAUUCUUGUUGUGUGGUUGCUGGAGUUGUUGCAUCCUCUUCAUCUGAACUUUCAUCUGAAUCUCCUUCAGUAGAGAUUGUCUGAACAGUCUUUAUAGGGAUGACUGAAGUCUCCAACUCCACCUGUUGUGCAUCACCAGACUGUUUUUCCUUCUCCUGUGAUUUCUCUUGCUGUAACAUGCCAGACUCAUCAAAAGUGACAUCUCUACUCAAGAUCACUUUCUUUGAUUCAGAACACCAGAGUCUGUAGCCUUUUACUCCUCCACUAAAGCCCAAAAAUAUAGCUUUCUUGGCUCUAGGAUCUAGCUUGGACUCAGUAACAUGAUAAUAUGCUGAGCAACCAAAUAUACGCAUAGAGUCAUAAUCAUUUGCAGGAGAGCCUGACCAUACCUCUAAGGGGGUUCUUCCAUUUAAUGCUGCUGAAGGUAACCGGUUAACAAUAUGACGAGCAUAACUUAAUGCCUCGCCCCAGAACACUUUGCUUAGUCCCGAAUGUGAUAGCAUACAUCGGACUUUCUCCACCAAUGUGCGGUUCAUGCGUUCUGCUACUCCAUUCUGUUGUGGUGUUUUGCGAACAGUAAAAUGUCGCUUGAUCCCUUCAUUCUGACAAACUUCAAAGAAAGGAUCUGAAGUGUACUCACCACCAUUAUCUGACCGAAGAGUCUUAACCCUCCUUCCAGUUUGAGUCUCCACCAUUUUCUUCCAUUUCAGAAAGAUAUCAAGGACCUCAUCCUUGUGUUUCAUCAUGUACACCCAUACUCGUCUUGAGAAAUCAUCAAUAAAAGUAACAAACCAACGAUUACCUCCAAGAGAUUCAUUCUUUGAAGGUCCCCAUACAUCUGUGUGAACAUAAUCUAGGAUCCCUUUUGUGUUGUGUACUGCAGUGCCAAACUUGACCCUUGUCUGUUUUCCAAGAACACAAUGCUCACAGAACCCAUGCUUCCCAGUCUUGGCGCCUUUUAAUAGACCUUGCUUGACUAAUCCUUGCAAAGCCUUUUCACCAGCAUGCCCUAAGCGCAUGUGCCAAAGUCUGGAAUUAUCUGCUUCAUCAUCUUCUAUACUUUUGGAAACAGCUGCUGUACCAGUAACUGUAGAUCCAUCCAGGAAAUAUAAGUUUCUUAUCCUCGUGCCUCUUAAGACAACUAAUGCACCACGAAUUGCUUUCAGGACUCCACCAUGCAUGAUAAUCUUAUAACCACUGGAUUCUAGGACUCCAAGUGAGAAGAGAUUUUUCUUCAAGUCAGGUACAUACCGUACAUCUGUUAGUGUCUUGACUACCCCAUUAUGCAUCUUCAGAUGGAUAGUCCCAAUCCCUUUGAUCUCACAAACAUCAUCAUUACCCAUCAACACAACUCCUCCAUCGAACUCCUCGAGUCUCGAGAAUAAGUGCUUGUUAGGGCACAUGUGAUAGGAACAUGCAGAAUCAAGAAUCCAUUCACCAGAAUGGUUUUCUGGUGAUGAGACCAUGAAUGCAGAGUCUCGUUCAUCCUCAUCCCGUGCAACGUUCACAGUUGGUUCAUCUUUUUCCUUGUUGCCCUUGAUUGGACAAUCUUUCUUCCAGUGCCCUUUUUUGUGACAAAAGGCACACUCAUCUUUUGCAAGAUAUCGUCUGUUUGAUGAUUCUCCUCUGGAUUUUGAGCGAGAUCUCCCUCGCCCUCGAAAUCUUCUGGGGUUUGUUCUGCCUCUAACUGUCAAUGCUUCUGACGUUGACUCCUUGUGAACAAUCUGGUCCUUCUUUCGGUACUCAUUAUUCACCAAAGCAUUGGACACAUCAAUGAAUUUAAUCUUUUCUUUACCAUACAGUAAAGUGGUGACGAGAUGUUCAUAUGUGUCAGGCAGUGAAUUCAAUAAUAGCAGAGCUUUAUCUUCAUCAUCAAUUUCCACAUCUAAAUUCUUCAAAUCAGCUAUCAUUUUAUUGAAAUCAUUUAGAUGCUCAUUCAUAGAAGUACCUUUCUUGUGCUGAAAACGGAAGAUCCUUUUCUUCAGGUAGAGACGAUUCUCUAUACUCUUCUUCAUAAACUUGUCCUCCAGUGCUUGCCAUAAUUCCUUUGCAGAGUUUUGUUCUGAAAAGGCGUACUUCUGAUCCUUUACAAGACAAAGUCGGAUGGAACUGCAGGCCAACCGAUUUAUCCUUUCCCAGCUUUUAUCAUCCAAAUCCUCCGGUUGAUCUUCUAAAGUGAAAUCCAAAUUCAUUUGGACAAGCAUAUCCAUGACUUCACAUUUCCACAUGCCAAAAUUACCUUUCCCAUCAAACUUCUCCACCUCAAAUUUGGUAUUCGAUACCGGGAUGUAUUGUGGAGGUAUACUAGCAUUCCCCGCUGAUUUUUCUUCUGGAAUAUCAGCCAUUAGGACGUCUUUGGAUUACAAAUGGACUCCUGAAAUUGUUAAAACACGCACUUUUAUGCUCAAAAGAGCCAAAACAGUAACUUCGGUGUGCUGUUUCACAAAACGGACAUCACGGUUGCGUCCGGAAUGGUUGAAAAUGCUAGGAACCAACUUGACUCGGCCAAAAAACAGGUCAAAAAUCACUGAGUUGGCCAAAAAACCAAUCUGACCGAGUUGACUCAGGGAAGGAAUAUUCUGUCUCUGAUAAAGAAUAUUCUGUCACGGGAAUAUUCUGUUACUGGUAACGGAAUAUUCUUAUUCUGUCAAGAGAAUAUUCUGUCACUGUUAGAUGACAUGUCUGAUGACGUGGCUGAUGACAGGGCGAUGUGGACCCUCUGUUGAUGACGUGGAUGAUGACUCAGCGCCUACGUGUCGGAUGACGUGGCUGUCUUCUCAGGCGAGAAUUCCGGCAAUGACUGGUUUUUCCGGCAGAUUUCCGGCGAAACUUCGGCGAGCUCUACAGGGCUCGUUUCAACUCCGAUUUCGAUGAUCUUUAUAUCGCCGGACUCGUAUGGACGAGAGGAAUCUCCUCAGCUGGUCAAAAGCAAGAUCUGAGAACUUUGAAAAUUCUGCAACUUUGAACAGAGAGCUGAAAAACGUGUUUUUUCAGUGUUCUAGCUUCCCUAAUGCUCUGAUACCAAUUUGUUGUGCAUACUGGACCGAAAGCAAACACAAAUAAAACACAAACAAGCAGAUUUACGUGGUUCCCCAAAACCGGGUACGUCCACGGAGGCAGCAGAUUGUAUAUUAUUGGAGGAAUGAUACAAACACUCAACUCAACCCAGUACAAUCCCACAAAACCCAGUGUUUCACUCUUACACUCGGUGUUUCUCUCAAAUCUGCACUCUUUCACUCUCACAGUUGCACUAUUUUCUUCUGCACACUUGCACUCACACUGCACUCUCUCGUUCCUCUCUUCUAUCUUCUAUCUUUCACACACAUUUACAGGAGAAAGGAAAGCAUAAAUAUAAUGGAUGAAAAGGAGAGGGUGGUUGAAAAGGAGAGAGUGGUUGAUGGUUGUUGAGAAAAAAUAUUGACAAUUAGCAAAUGUUGACAAUUUGCUACAUUAUCUGCGUAAAAUAUCUCUGGAGAUGCUUUCGAUGGAGAUUAGGUCUCAAAACGCUAUGCCCACUGCCCCCAUGGAUCCAGAGCGUGAAAAUGAAGCCGAGCAUUGAAUUUCUAAACAUCAUUUCCUUUUGUUUUAUAUUUCGCAUUGUUACCAAACUCUUUUACAUUUUAUUGCUGCAUAUAUUGCUAUGUAUAUACCAUGCUUUAAUCAAAACCUAUAAUGCAGGAAUAUCUGCAGAUGGCCAUUCCCAAAGGGAAAACUAAUCUUCCCUAGAAUAUUACAAAGUGCCAUUUCUACAGUGAGAAUAGCGUUUCGUUUUGGUUGUUUUGUUGAUGAUAACUAGAUCUUAAAACUAAUCCCUGUACUUUUACAUGAUGCUAUAAACUGGUCCCUUUUAUUAGUAAAAUGUUGAGCCAGUCAAUUGAUUAUUUAAAAAUCUUGAGGGAUUAAUUUGUUUGUUUCACAAAAAAAGACACUGAUUAAAUAAAAAAAUUAUCAUCAUAUGCAUGAGUGUUUACUUGUCCAACAACAGUUUGCAAGGGGCAGAUCCUUGGAUGGAUAUUAGAGGUGAGCAAAAAAACCAAUAAACAGAUUAAACAAAGAAAACAAAAAACAAAUAACCGAAAAAACCGAACCGAAAAAAAACUGAAUUAACUGAUUAAAAAAUCACAAAAAAAUUCCGGUUCGGUUUGGUUUCGGUUUCUAAAGUCUGAAACAGAUUGAACCAAACCGGUUAAACCAUGCCAGCACUUAAAAAAAAAAAGUAUAAAUAUGAUGUUUUUUCUAACACUAAACCUAAAGUAACAUUCAGUCGCGACCCCCGCCCCCCCUUCCCUUUGCUCUCUACAUCUCUUCUCUUUGAUUUUUCUUCAUGCUCCACAAUUGUUACUUGUUAAGCUCCUGCUCCAUGCUCCUAAAGGUCCUAAACCAACGCCCCCCCCCCCCCUUCUCUGCCUCUCAUCAUCUUCUCACAACCCCUCCUUUUUUCUCCCUUUUUCUCUCUGCCUCUCAUCUCUCCCCGUAGCCCCCCCUCCUUUUCUCUCUAUCUCUCAUCUCUGCAUCUUAUCUUCUCCACUUCAAGUUUGUGGGCACUGGGCAGAUAAAAAAAAGAGAUGGCUUUUUGAUGAUUAAGAUUCUAACUCCACUUCAAGUCCAUCCCUGCAUCUUGUGGGUUUUUGCUUUUUUUUUAUUAUGCUAUAAUUUGCUUGUAGUUUGUGGGCAAAUAUGUUUUUCAAAUAUGUCUUGGUCAUGUAAAUUGGAAUAAGUUUCUGAAUAACAAAAAUGAGAUUUGCUUUUCGGUUUUAUCGGUUGUCAUAACCCAAUUUUUUACCCUUUUAUUUUAAUUUUAUGAUAAAAAGAAAAAAUGAUGAAAAAAUAUAUAUAUAUAAUAAUGAUGAAAAAAAUAAAAAUGAAAUAAAUGAAGAAUGAAUUAAAAUUUGGGUUAAUGGCAACAUGAUUGGACGCUUAAAGAUUUAAUUUUUGACUUGUCUAAUUAAUCAAAUCAAUUGUUUAAUUGGAGAAUUGAUAAGUUUUGGGACUUAAUUAAGCUUGAAAUUAAUUUAAUUAAUCCAAUCAAGGGUUUAAUUGGAGAAUUGAUAAGUUUUGAGACUUAAUUAAGCUUGAAAUUAAUUUAAUUCAUCCAAUCAAGGGUUUAAUUGGAGAAUUGAUAAGUUUUAAACUUAAUUGGACUUUGGAUUUAAUUAAAUUAAUGAAAUCAGGGACUUAAUUGAAGAAAUAGCAAAGUUUGGGGUUAAUUGGGAGUCCCAAUUGUGAAAUUAAAAUCCAAGGAUUACAUUGAAAAAGGCGCGCAAAUGCAGGGGGCCAAUUACAGUUUAAACCAGGGGUUUAAUUACAAGACUUUCAAAACUGCAUGGAUCAAAACGAAAAAUGGCCGAACGACGUCGUUUUGAAGAUGUUGUUCAUCUUCUUCUCCUUUAUGCCAGUGACCGUUUCCGCAGUAAUGGAGGGAGGAACAUUGCAGCAGUAAUCGUCGUCCGUUGGCUUCAGUUAUGAGCGCCUUAAUGGUGGCCGACUGUUAGCCUACCGCCCGUUAUCAACCCGCCAAGGCCUAUAUAAACCGAGCAGCACCGAAGAGGAGCGAGGUUAGAGGGAGAGAGAGAGAGAGAAAAGAAACCGAAAAGAAGAGAAACACAACCAAAGCACACAAUUUUUAGGUUCAUCUCCAGAACUCCCAUACCAGAACUAGGCUUCCCUCACCAGUUCUGACUUAAGAAAAACGAGAGAGAAAACCGGCCGAAAGAGAGAGAGACGGUGUUCUGAAAAACAGAGCAAAAGAAACGAAGAAAAAUAAACCAAAACAGAGACGCAGGAAAGGAAUACAACAUGAAAACCAGAAGGAGUAAGAAGAAAUUCGAAGGCAGAAGCGUCGUCCUCAGCAAUCACGAACAAAUUCCCUGCAAACGAACCAGGUAAGUCUUCUGCUCUGUUUCCCUCGCUUUGCCUUAUUUCAUUUUCGACGUCCGUGUUUAAUUCAAUAACAGGGCCAUGUACGCGUGAUUUAGAUCACGCGUGCCUAGUGUGGCCCAGCCAGGUCACUGGCUUGGGCCAGUGACCGGGCUGGGCUGGCUGGGUCUAGCCCAGCCCAUGUGGGCUGAGCUGGGCACAGCCCCAAAAACAUAAAAAAUAGAAAAAUAGAAAAAUAGAAAAAAAAUAAUAAUAAUAAAAAAAUAAAAAAGUAAAAAAGGUAGAAAAAAUAAAAAAUGUGUAUGCAUAAAUAAAAAUAAUAUGAAUUUAUUGGUGUAUUCAUUGACGCCAGAGUCAGGAAUAAAAAUACCGGUUUAAAUUUAUAUUAUUUUUAUUCAUUGUAUUUUAUUUUAUUUAGCUAGAAAAUAAAAAAAUAUGUGCAUGUGUAAAAAAUAAUUUUUUUUAUGUGAAUAUUCACUUGCGCCAGAGUCAGGAAUAUUAUAAGAAAAUUAUCAUAGCAUAAACUAAUAAAUAUUUAGCAAUUUAAGACAAAACUAGCAAUGCAGUCUGCCUCAGGCAGAACGUUUAAGGGGUGAUAAUAUCUUCCCUUUUACGUAAUCAAUCCCGAGCCAUAGAAUCUCUGAUGACCAGUUAGGGUUCCUAGUGACCGUAAUACUAGGUGGCGACUCCUUAUACAAGACCUUUUCCCCUAAAAGAACAAGAUGCCAGAAAUCUGUUCUUUUUUCACAAUCUAGAAUUAUUUGUGGGCCGCCGUGAUGUCGGGUGCGACAUCGGUUUUUGAACAACAAAAGUCGAACCGAACCGAACCGAAACCAAUAAAUUUGAACCGGUUUCGGUUCGGUUUUGAUUUUAAAUUUUAAAAUUAAUAAUGUCGGUUUGGUUAAUUUUUUCAUGUAAAAAUUGAACCGAACCGAACCGAAAAUGAUCACCCCUAGGGAAUAUGUCUUCUCUUGAAUUCUUGAACCUAUCAGGGGACAAUUUCUCUGGUCUUUUACUGCCUAGAUUCAGCAAUUCCUCAAAAUUGAGAUAUGUUUAUUUGUCUAGAAAUAAAUUGCAAGGACCAAGCGCAAUAAAAUUUUAUGAUUCCUUUGAGAUAUUAGCCUUAGAUCUUUCCCAUAAUGAUUUAACUAGUAGGAUUCCAGAAUGGAUUGACAGGUUAUCUAACUUGAGAUUUCUACUUUUGAUUUAUAACAAUCUUGAAGGUAAAAUCCCAAUUCAAUUAUGCAAGUUCGACCAAUUAACCUUGAUUGAUCUAUCUCACAAUUAUCUUUCUGGUAACAUCCUCUCUUGUAUGAUAUUUACUCAUCCUUUCCCUAUUCAAUACAAUUCUCGUGAUUUUGUGUCCUUAUCACAACAACCUUUCGAGUUUACAAUGAAGAAUGUAUCUCUUUUUAAUAGAGGCAACAUUAUCUGGAAUUUCACUGGAAUUGAUGUCUUAUGCAACAAUUUCACAGGAGAGAUUCCCCGUGAAAUUGGAAGCCUCAGCAUGAUCAAGGUAUUGAAUCAUUCCCACAACAUUCUAACUGGACCAAUUCUAUCAAUAUUUUCAAACUUAAAGGAAAUAAAGAGCUUGGAUCUUUCCUACAACAAAUUGGAUGGAAAAUCCCAUCUUGACUAUAGAAUUUUUCAGUGUGGCACACAAUAAUCUGUCUAGCAAGACUCUUGCAAGAGUUGCACAAUUUGCCAUGUUGAAGAGAAUUGCUACAAGGGCAACCCUUUUCUUUGUGGAGAACCGCUACCCAAAAUAUGUGGUGCAGCUAUGCCACCAUCACCAAUGCCAACUUCAACGAACAAUGAGGAUCAUGGUGGCUUCAAUAAUCUGUUUGAAGAGAGCUGCUACAAGGACAACCCUUUUGCAUGUGAGCUUUAAGGUUGCAUAGAUCAUGGUGUUGUUGGUGAUAGGUGCAAUUCUGUACAUAAAUUCAUAUUGGUGACAAGCUUGAUUUCACUUUAUUGAGGUGAGCAUCAAUAAUUACUAUUAUUUUCUUGUGGAGAAUCUUUCCAUUUUAUCUAAGUUUGGAUUUUCAUAGCCUUUUAUCUUGAUGGUACUAAGCCUUGGUGCAUUGUUUUGGAUUUUAGUUUCAAGAUUUAAAUAAGUUUAUAUUGAUUUUCAUAUGAGUUUUGUUUUUGUUUUUAGCUUCUAUGUGAUAUAUAAUAAUCAAGUUUUUUUUUUUUUUUAAAGGUUAUCUAAGUUUUUUUAGCUGUUUUUUUUAUGCUUUUUAGGAUUUUUUUUUUUGCUUUUUUCUUUAUUUUUUUUAAUUAAUUUUUUUCGUUUAGUUUAGUUUGUUAAUGUUAAAUUUCUUUCUAUUUAGUUAUUAGACUUUCAUGACACAUAUCUCGAGUUUCACGGGUUAACCUGGUUUCACGGGUGAACCCAGUUAAUUCCGGGUUGACCCGUCAAUUUUUUAUUAUUAUUAUUUUCAUAAAUAUUUUUUUUUAAUUUAGUUUGUUAAUGUUAAUUUUUUUUUAUUUAGUUAUCAGACUUUCAUGACACAAAUACUGGGUUUAACAGAUUAACAUGGUUUGACGAGUUAACCCGAAUUUUUUUUCUUUUUAAUUAAUUUUUUUUGUUUAGUUCAGUUUGUUAAUAUUCACUUUUUUUUAUUUAGUUACCAGACAUUCAUGACACAGAUCCCGGGUUUAACGGGUUAACUUGGUUUGACGAGUUAACAUGAAUUUUAUUUUAUUUUUUGCUUUUUUUUUCUUUUUAAUUAUUUUUUUUCGUUUUGUUUUGUUUAGUUUGUUAAUGUUAAAUUUCUUUCUAUUUAGUUUUUUUUCUUCUUAGAGGUUUUUUUUCUUUUAUUUGUUAUUUUUAAUUAAUUUUAUUUAAUUAAUUUAGUUUAUUAAUAUUAAAUUUUUUUCUAAGUAGUUCUCGACUGAUGCCUUUAGUUUUUUUUUUAUGCCUUUGACUGUGAACUGCACAGUGCAGUCCACUGUGAAAAGGCUGAUGCUUUUUUUUAAUUAAUUUUUUUUGUUUAAUUUAAAUUGUUAAUGUUAAAUUUUUUUCUAUUUAGUUAUCAAACUUUCAUUACACGGAUUCUGGGUUUGACAGGUUAACCUGGUUUGACGAGUUAGCCUAGUUAAUUCUGGGUUAACCCAUUAAUUUGUUUUUUUCUUUUUAACUAUCAAGCUUUCACGAUGCAAAUUCAAUGUAUGACGGGUUAACCUGGUUUGAAGGGUUAACCCAAUUAAUUCAUUUUUUUUUUCAUUAGUUUUUUUUUCCUGUUAGUUUUUUUUUAACUAAUUUAUUAAAUUAUCACACUUUUAUGACACAACCUUGCAGCCAGACCCAUGUCCAAUGUUAUUGGGUCUGGUAUUGCAAUCCAGACAUUUUUAUGCUAAGGGUUAACCCAAGUUUAAUGUUAUUAUUAAUAUUAUAAACAUUACUCUUAGAUCAGGCGUUGCAACCAAACCUGAGACUCUUGGGUAUAACUUUGUAAAAAAACCUAAUACUUUUAGAUCUUAACUAUUUUUAAAAUGCAAAAAAUAAUUGACCUGCGGCAUCGCGCGGGGCAUGUAACUAGUAGAUUACUAAAGGGGAUCGAUUUUGAUUAUGAUUUGGUGUGGGAAAUUCUCUGCGUGCCUACAUAGAGUGUGGCUUCUUGAAACUCCAAAAAAUAUAUAUAGGUGUUUGCCUAAACCAGUAUUGGGCAGAUAAAGAUAAGCCAGGAUUGCCGAGGAAGAGGCUGUUCAGGUAGUCCGAACAGGGAUCUAUAAUCAUUAGUUAUAUAAUCAACCCUAAUCAGAAUUUCCCAAGAAAGAAUUAACUAAAGACUUCAGUUAAUGCUGAUGAACACGAGUAAAGGAUUUGCUAAAGACAAAACCAUGUAUUUAAGAACCAUUGCUAAGCUACAGGUUCUGGAGCCACAAACCACUCACAUUUACUGGGGUUGAUCCCAAAUUGAGACAAAUCUAUUUGUCCGGUUCGGAGAACCUUCAAACAAAAAGAAGAGUUAAACCUUGUAAAAUUGACUAUAUAUCAUCAAAAGGACAAGAAACACACAGGAAACCUCAUAAUUACCUCAGAAUGCACCGACGUAAAACACACAGGAAAUCCCAACACAUCAUAAGACAACAAAAGAAAACAUAUAUUUAGCAGAAUAAAAAGGUUGUACAAUUCUUUCACAGCUUACAGUACGUAUAGAAUAAGCAUUAAUAAUUACCUUCAUCUGGAUCACCCGAACUACCUGCAACAUGUAUCAUCACAUCACGCGGGCCACCCUAAGUACAACAAACAAGGAUAUGGUCACUUGCACUAUCUAAGCAGAACACACCUCCAGCACCAAUAUUACUCAGGAUUCUUUGCAAGUCUUCCAAUUUCACUGGUUCUGAUGAAGAGUUUACAUCACUCAUUACUUCUGCACCAAGGUCUGGGACAACUGAGUUUCCAGUCCUGAGAGCGAUGAGCAAAAAUCUCAUCGGAAUAAAAGAAAAUGGCCACGUAAUAUAUACCUGGCCAUUUGUUUUUGGUAACAAAAGUGCUCCUUAACCUUUUUGAAGUUAUUUUAGAAUGAAUUACAAGCAUUAAACAUUUAUAUAUAUGGACAAACACCGAGUUUAUGCAAGUCUGUGCAAGGGCAAUAUGGGGUGAAGGAUUUGACAUGGGCUAAGGUGGGUGAGAUGUUUUUGUCAAGAAAUGAUUUUGGAAAAUUUCUUGAUAUUUCAUGAAUAAAUAAGAUAUGAGUCUUUAUCAAGGAAAGAACAUAGGCUCUCCAAGAUGAUUGACCAGAAGGAGAGAAGGGAGGCUCAUUCUGCUCCACUGACUCUUAGUCUCAAAGAACAAAAAAUUACAUAGCUCUAUAUCCUUACUCUUACUUGCUAUAUCAACUCUUAGAGUUGAAGUAUCAUCUUUGACUAUGCUUCUUUGUUAUAAUAAAUAUACCUUGAUGAGAUAUUAUCUUCAAGCAUGUCUUCAAAAACUUGGAAAGGAGUAGAAGCAUCAGGCUCUUCUUCAUCAACUACACCAAAUUGUUUGCAUUUAAGAGAUCGGGGGAGGGGGGCAGAAGAUUAGACUUUGCAUUUAAAUAUAAGCCAAGAUGAUUAGGAACAAAAUAAUGACGAGUAGCAUGGCUAACAAAGGACUCAAAACACAAAAUUGUUUACCAAAUGGACGAUUAAUAUAAUAGUUGAAAGAGCUACAUAAUUGUGAAUCAUCUUUAGCUUUUGGCUCCUGCAAACAUGUUACACAAUUUUCCAAAAUCAUGCAGCUAACAGCUGAGUCAAUGUUACACAUAAGAGAGUGAAAAACGCAGAAAGUGAACCUGACCUGCACCCAAAUGAAAAACUUUCGAUCAUCUGUAUUGAAUUUCAAGAUGUAAACUCUUCCCAAAGCUUGAUUAACCUGAAUAACCCAAGGAAUUAUGAAUCUAUGAUAUUACAAUCAAUUAUUAGAGUCAAAUAUCUUCCAUCUAAGAAAAAACUAGGAGAGAAAAGUGUACCUUCUCAAAAACAGCAUCUUCAGAAAAAAAUAAUAUGAUCCUGUCAAUCAACGCGUCAAGAAAAAGCUACCAAAGUUCUCACCUCAAAAGAAUAUUAACAAAACAAACAACAGAAAAAAAAAUAAAAACCAAAGUUGGAAGGGAGAAACAAAAUCCCCAGGCUCAAAAACAUAAUAAUAACUAGGAUACAUCUUCCACAGCAUUCAAAUUCCUAUCAAGCCACUGGAAAUGAAGCAAACCCUCAUCACCCUGGAACAAUUCAAAAAUUUCGACUUCAAACAGGAAACAAGAUGCUAGAAACACUCUAUCUAGUACUUAAGAUAAACCAAAACAAUAGAAUUAACUAAAAAUCUUUACACAGACACGAACUCUAUAUAACACAAAAAAAAAAAACCAAAAGACACCAGUUUACCCUUCCAAUGCGAACAAGUCCUUUUCGAGAAUCAGGAACAAACUUUUUUCCAACGAAAACCAUUUUACCAGCACGAAACUCCAACAUAAUUUCCUACCAACAAAACAACCACAACACCAUAACAUAACCCCACCAAGAAAAACAUACUUGUACAUCCAACAAAGCAAUUACAGGCUCUAAUUAAAAAGAAACAGAGAUUUUAAGCAAAACCCACAAUUUUAAAAGUGAUUUUAUUUACCUGCAUUGCUGAAAUAUCUACAGUUGAUGAAGAACCCAUUUUUCGCAUACUUCCUCUAAAGCUUCCUUUUUUUCAACACUGCAAAAAACAAAAAACAAAAAAAAGAAGGACAAAUCAAAUACCCAAAUCAGAAACAAUAACAGAAAAAAAAUAAAAGAAAAUCCAAAGCUGGAAGUUGUAAUCAGGAGGAGAACCAGACAAUUUCAGAUAGAAUGACAUUUUAUCAAGAAUUGAACUGGGCAUUCAGUUAAUUAAAUAGGUUGUAAUCAGGUGAGAGUAGUGUCAACAACAUGUUUAGUUUUCCUCUCGGAAGUGCCAUUCUGCACAAGUCAGUGUUUUAAAAAUAUUUUUAAAAAAAUUUUAAUUUGUUUUUUUAGUGGUUUUAAUUUAUUUUCAUGUAUUAAUAUUAAAAAUAAUUUUAAAAAAUAAAAAAUAUAUUAUUUCAAUUUAUUUUAAAAUAAAAAAAACUUAAAAAAUACUGUUAACACAGUAUUAAACAAACUCUAAUCCUAUAACCAGAUGAACAACGUUAAGAUAUUUGUUUUUUGUUUUUCUUUUUUUUGAUAAUGAGACUGUCGUAAACAAUCUUGCCUAAUGAUUGUUAAGAAAUGAAAGAGGCAAUGCAUGGCUAAACCAAUGGAAGCUAAAAAGCUAAUGUUAUCCCUAGUAAGCAAUUGUUGCCGCAAUGACAUAUGCCUCGUUAGAGAUAUAUUUGAAUUUACAUAUUAUUAUUAUCAUAUAUUUUGUAUUGUCGUUUAAAAAAUAAAUAUUUUCCUUAUAUAGAGUAGAAUGUUUUUAAUUUUAUCAUUUAAAAUUUAUAUAUUUUUUAAAAAAUUAAUACAAUAUACAGUUAAUUAAACAUCUAUAAAUUAAUAUCAUUGAGAACAUGAAAUUUAUUAAUUAAUUAAGAUGUUAUUUAGUAAAUAAAUUUAUACACUUAUACAUUAAUCAAUAAAAAAUUUUCUUUUUCAAAAACAUUGAACUCAAUACAUGCAUCGUGUAUAAUAUUAUCUAAUCAUCAAAUUAUGAAUUAUCAUAAUUCUAUAUAUUUAUUUAAAUAAAACAAGUUCAAGAAUUAAUGUAAUCAAUCUUAUUAAUUAAUAAAAUUCAUGUAUGUAUUAACAUACAAGCAAAAAAUCUAUAAAAAGAAUAUACAAGUGAGCCAAACAACAAUAUAUAUUAAAAACGAACAAGAGGUCGAAUUAAUAUCCAUUAACUAAUAGUAAAAUUAAGAAGAUGAUACCAAAGAGACACAAAAUCACAAAAAAGCAUUUAACAUUUCAGAGAAAGAAGCCUGCAACACCCAUUAAGGAAAAGAGAGAAGGGAAAGAAAUGUGGAUUAAUUCAUACAGAGGCUCACCUUGUUCCAGACCAGCGCGAGACUGUAGACGAACCAAGAGCAAAAAAUGCAGGAGAGAUAAUCAUGAGAGAAACAAAUUCAUAUAUCCACGAAUAUGUACAAUAUUUGAAACCUAUAAUGCAAGAAUAGCUGCAGAUGUACAUUAAUAUUUUUAAUUUAAAGAAUCAAUUAAUUAUUUAAAAAACUUGAGGGAUUAAUUUGUUUGUUUCACAAAAAAUAGACACUGGUUAUAUAAAAUUUUACUUAAAUUUUUAUCAUCAUAUUUUAAAAGAAACCAGUUUAUGUUUUGCGCAACACGAAAAAUCAUAUAUGCUUAAGUAACUAUUUGGCAUCUUAAACUCAAUUUAGUAAAUUAAUUUUAAUUUUUUUCUAUCCGGCUCUUUUCCUAUAUCAAAUUUAAAAUUAACCAACAUAAAAAUUAUCCUCAAAUGAUACAGUCAAUAUGAUAGGUUUACAAAAAUAUAUUAAAUUGAUUCUAAUUUCAUGGCUUAACUCUUCAAACCCACUACUCGAAUAAUAGACUCCAUCUAGUUGUAAUUAUUAUUUUGUUUUUUAAUUAUUUUUUAUUGAAUAAUAUGAUAACAAUAUCAAUUCAAAAUCAACUAAAUAUUAAAGGAUAAAAUAAAAAAAAUAAAAAAAAUUCAAUAGAAAAAAAAAGGAGAAGAAUGGUAGAGUUUAAAAACAAAUAAACAAUAUGACGUCAUUGUUAGAGCACCUGAAAUUACUGUUCCUUUUUACUAUAAUGAUGAAGUUUCCACAUAAUAUAAAACAUGCUUAUAAAUUAAUAACCGAAAUAAAAAUUAAAUUGAGACGACAAUCAAUUCUUUAACUUUAAAACGAUUUAUUAACAAUAGAAUUGAGAAGGCCCGCCACAGAUCAAGAGGACAGCUUCAAUGAAGCCAUCCCAGCCAAUGCAGGUGAUUACCCGUCGGUUGAAGUCUCAUCGCGCGCCUAGCACCAGCCAAACCGCCUCAAUCUGAACAUGCACCAGACAAAGUUCAUGAAAAGACGCCAGGGAGCCUCAGCAGCUGAGAAGAAAGUGCGGGAACACCCACCGCACGAGAAGAAACGUGAAAAGCAGAGAGGGAGCGCGGUAAAGAUUGUCAAGCCACGGGAUUCACACACAGUGCACCGAGUUUUAAUGAGCACUCUUAGUUUUUUUUUAUAUAUAUAUAUAUAAAAUUCUUUUAGUUUUAGUUUUAGUUUUAGUUUGUUAGUUAUGAACAGUGAAGCAGCACCAGAAUACAGUUCUUUUAGUUUGUUAGCGAAUCUGGAAAAGAAUAAAGUCAUCUGUCAAGCUCUGUUCACUUUGGUCCGACAUUCCUCACCUCUCCCCACCUGAGCUCUCUCUCUUUCCCUCCUCCGCUUUCAGAAACCGCCGCCGCCACCACCUCAACCAAUAAGGCUUCAAAUCUCACCCAGAUGCUUCCUUUUCUAUUAUGUUUUUGUUUUUUAAAAUUUACGUCUGCUUUUUCAUUUAUUUAAUUGAAAUUACUAUCCAGAGAGAGAAAUUCGAUUUUAAUAAGUAAAUUAAAAAGAUAUAUAAUCGAACCCGAUGAAAUCGCUGCUCGUGAACGCAACUCGAAGAAAGGCGCAAUCAGCCGACUAUACUAUGGGUGGAGCAUUUAAUAUGGUCAGGGUUAUUGUGUUGUCUAUUCAAAGAAAGAUGUGCCUGUAAAUUUGUUAAGUUGAUUCUUAUCAGUCUACUCUUUAGAGUUGAUGAUAACAUGAAAUACUCGUUGUUAAUGCUCGUUGUUUUCUUCUUCUUUUUUCCUAGAUUAAAACAUCCUAGACAAUCUCUUUGGGAUGGUUUAGUAUUUCUGGCCUCUUCAUCUUCUAUUUGUGCUAUGGUUUUUAGUCUGCUGAUAUUGUUGAUAUUCAUUGGGGAUUGAAAGGCCUCGUUUUAUGACUUUGUUUUGUCUUCUUCUUAUUUCUUUAUUCUUUUGGGGAUGCGGCAUUUUCCUCUUUCAGAGAAAUAAAUAUAUACAUAAAUAACAAGAACAGGACGGGAAGGAGAGGGGGUUUUGACAAUAAGUAUUUGCUUAGAAGGGAAUGCUUCUUUGGUUUAGAAGCACCAUGAAGAUUCAGGCCCAAAUCUUUGCUUAGAAUGCCCGAAAUAAAUAUAUCACACACUUCUUUUUUUGUUUUUUGUUUUUCAUCUUUUCAUGUGUUUCUCACAAGACGUCACUUUCUUGCUUUUCUUUCGAGAGAGUAUUUGAUCCUUUUUUUGUAUAAAAUAAUGCUGCCAUUCAUUGAAUUUCCAAACAUCUUACCUUUUGUUUUGUUUGUCGCAUUGUUAUCAAACUCUUUUCCAUUUUAUUGCGGCAUAUUGCUACGUGUAUGGCAUGCUUUAAUCAAAAAGUUGAGUAAUUGAUGAAUGUUAGGCAAGAAAAUUACAGAUUAUUUUUGUUUUCUGCCUCCUCCUUCUCUUUCCCCCACCCCGAAAAUUGUCAUAUUUUUUUUUCAGCCGCCUCUUCUUCCCCCAACCCUAAAAAUUGUUUAUAUUUGCUUUGGAAGCAUGGCAAACUUCACUGCCUCUCAGCUUAAGGAGAUUGCAGCAGGUCUCGAAGCUUCUGGGCAUCAAUUUAUCCGGGUAUUUAGAAGAAGAAAAAAAAGAGUCAAGAAGACAAGGAAGAUUGUUUACCUCAAGGAUUUGAGGAAAGAAUGGAAGGCAAAGGGCUAUUAUCAGAGGAUGGACACUCCAAGUUUUGAUUCUUGAUCAUGAAGCAAUAAGUGCAUUUGUGACUCAUUGAGGAUGGAACUCAACUCUUGAAGGCAUAAGGCCAAUAUGUGCUGAGCAAUUCUAUAAUGAAAAGUUGGUGACUGAUGUUUUAAAAAAUGGAGUUAAGGAAUGGCCUAGAGUGCAUGGAGAUCAUGUUAAAAGUGAAGCUGUAGAGAAGUCAAAUUAUGAUGGGUGAAGAAGCAGAGGAAAUGAGGAGUAGAGCAAAGAAGCUAGGAGAAACGGCCAGGAAGGCUGUUGAAGAAGGUGGAUCUUCUUGCUCUGAUUUCAAUGCUUUGAUCGAAUAACUGAGGUGGGGUCGCCAUUGAAACAAAGGCAGAAGUAAGUGUUGUCACUCGUGCAUAGAAUAUUUUGUUUCUACUUAGUAGUGGUUUUGGCAAUAUAGACAAGUCUUGAGAGUUGAAAGAGUAAUCACAGCCGAGUCAAUGACCAGUCCAAAUCAGUUCCCUUCCUACUAGUUCAGGAAUGACAAGUCCAGCUUAUAUAUUUAGCCCAAAUAACUAAUCAAAUAGAAAGGCUGAGCUUAGAGGCAGUACACUACAAAAUAAGUACCCAAUGUCUUAGAGACAAACAAUCAUCACAAACUAGGAAAGACCGUCUCCCCAGUAACAAAUUCACCUUCUGAAGUUGGAGAACUUGCGAAAACUAGCCACCACAAAAUAGUAGCAAGUAUCUAAAUUAUUUCCAGAGAGAUCUAACUGCUUCAAUUCACACCAACUUGUAUAAUUUAUCUCUAAACAGUCAAAAUAGUGUUAAAAGAAUCUUUUAUUGAUGAUGUGAUUAUAUUUGUUAAUUUACCUUGAGCGGGUAAAGUGACAUAGAGGUCACAUUCACCAAUAGACAAAACUUGAAGAGCAGGCAAUGCUCCAAUGUUAUGGAAAAAGUUUAUUAGGAGAGAAGUACGAUCUAGAUACAAUUCUUCAAGGGUGCUAGAAUUGAAGAAAGUCCCUGUAAAAAAGAAACAAAAAGAAAAAAGAUAUGAUGAAAAUGGUGGUGGUACAUAAUAGGCAUUCCAUUCAAUAUUAUUAAUUAAGAUUUUAAGAAACUAAACUAUGAUUAACCUUGAUUUAAAUUAGUAUCCUUGAGAGAAAGGGUCUUCAGGGAUGGCAAUGACUGCAGGAAGUCCGGCUUCCUUAAACCUAUGAUGUGUACAAUUGAAAACAGGCAAUCAAGAAAGUAGUGAAAUUAAGUGCUAUCUUGAUUGAGUUUUUAAACCUAUGAUAAAGAACUGAUGUUGAAUAGUGAGAUGAAUUUUGGAUAGAAACAACAAAUUGCCUGAAAAAUCCAGAGAUUUCACAACUUUACCAUAGACAGUCGUCGAUCCUAGCAACAUAUCGCCUGAUAAAUUUAAAGACUUGAGAUAAGAAAAUCCACGCAGAUGUGAUAAAAUGUUGUCGUUGAAUAUAUUAUAGCUCAGGUCUAGAUUCUCGAGUUUCCUCAAAUGAUAUAUGAUCUCAAAACCUGCAAGAGAAACUAAAGAUAAUUAGAAUUGAUGAGAUGCUGUUGUUCAAUUGAUAUAUGAUUCUCAAAUUAUACAUACAUAUACACACACACACACACACACACACACAUAUAUAUAUAUAUAUAUAUAUAUAUAUAUAUAUAUAUAUAUAUAUAUAUAUAUAUAUAUAUAAUUGAUAUUUAUAAAAGCAUUAACUGUAGAGGAAUAUUUGGUACUUUGUUUCCCAAUAAAAAAUAGAUUUUUCUGCAAAGUAGCACCAAAAAAAAAACUGUUCAAAACUUAUAUAAGAAAUUAUACAGUUAGCGAGUCACAGAUGAUGAAUCUUAAAAAAAAUUGGCAAUAAUAACAGUACUCUAUUGCUAUUAAUUAACUUAAAUAUUCAAAACUUAAAAAUAGUUUUUAAAUUUAUCCAUGCCAAUUUAUCUUAAGAGAGUCGCAAUCUGUGACUAGUUAAAUUAUAUUGUUUCUGUAAAUAAAUUUUGAAUUGUGUUAUUUUUUGUUCUAGGUGCUAUUUUGCAAAAAAAAAAAAAACCUCCAAAUAAAAUAAUAAGAUUAACGUUUAAGUUGUCUAUUGUUCUUGGAUUUGUAGGUAUAACAACAGAAGAUAGCAAUCAAAAGCGAUGGUGACAUGGUAGAGCUUUGAGUUAUUGCUGUGUUCUAAUGAUGAAGAUGUAGGAAAACGAUCUCCCUUCUGCUGUCUGGAGCUGGGCUUCCUCUCCCUGUAAGAACAAUCAACAUCUUAUCUGCGUUGUUGUUAGUGGCCACUUCAUCGACCCAUUAGUGGGUGGAUUUUAAGCUUAAAAAGGAUUUUUUUUAUAAAAAAAAAAAGGGAAGAGAGAGGGGGGGCGCAUCAUCACGUGAAAGCAAGGAGCUUGCCACCCAUUAUAGAGUGUGGGGCACUCUUGCAUCUAAGAAUAAAUGAUCCUGAGGUUGUUCUGGUGAUGGGUAUUGGCCAUUACAUAAAGCUUCGACAAGCCCUUUUAGCUGCCUGUUAUUAGAAUUUGUAUAAUGAGCAUUCAAACUUAAACUUCUUUAAAUGGGAUGAAAACGAGUGAAAAUCAAGAAGUUGGAGGUGUUCAUCUCUAAUGCAUAGCUAAAGAUCCUUUGUAAGAAAAUACAGCUAAAGACAGUGUGUGUGUGUGUACCAGAGAAAUUGUCGAUAAUAGCCAUCAUUUUCUUUGUCUCUUGUGUCAUAUCUUCCAAAAAUCUUAAAGUAAUUGAUGAAAAAGUGGAUACACCUCUUUGUCUUCUUUAUAGCACUGCUGGCCACUGUGAGUUAAAGCAUUAAAAGGUCGUGAACGCGGAUGCUUGACGAGCGAGUGUUUACUUGUUAAUUUUUUUAGAAGGAAUCUGGAAAAGAAUAAAGUCAUCUAUUUCACUUUGGGACAACAUUCCUCACCUCUCCCCGCCCUCCCUCCCUCCCUCUUCCGCCUCUCGGAAACCGCCGCAUCCAAUAAGGCUUCAGAUUUCUGCCAGGUGCUUCCUUUUCUAUCAUGCUUUUGUUUUUAAAAUUUAUGGGUGUUUUCAUUUAUUUUAUUGUAAUUAUUAUUCAGAGACAGAAAUCCAUUUUAAUAAGUAAAUUAAAAAAAACAAAUAAGCGAUCCGAUGAAAUCUCUGCUAGUGAACGCAAUUCGAUUUUAAUAUGUAAAUUAAAAAAGUAUAUAAUCGGAUCCGAUGAAAUCGCUGCUCGUGAACGCAAUUCAAAGAAACGCACAAUCAGCCGAUUCUAAUAUUUUCUUUUUCAACCCCACCCUAAUUUACAUGAUAUUAUCCGAUUUUUCUCACAGUUAUUGUUGUAAUAAUCAAGCCCUGAAUUCUUGAACCCAAAUUUAUUUUAUUUUAUUUUUUAGUUUUAUUUUUAAGUGGAGAAUAGAAAUCAAUUCAAAUCUUUUAGGCUCGAUCGAUAAUUUGUUAAUUAGUUUAUGCAGCAGCUGGAGUGGAAGAGAUAUUACUGCCGGAAUGGCCGAAAAAUGAGCUGUUUGGUUGAUUCUUCUUUUUUGGAAUUUACUGAAUUCUUCAAAAUUAUUGUGUUUUUAACAACAAUACGAUAUCCUUGGGUUUCAUGCUCGCUCACACAUGGAAAAAAGAAAGAAAGAACAGAACUUUAAAUUUUAUAAUUUGGUCAAGUUAAUGCUCGUCGUUUUCUUCAUUUUCCUAGCUUAAAACAUCCUAGACAAUCUCUUUGGGAUGGGUUAUUGUUUGUGGCCUCUUCAUGUUCUAUUUGCUGGGGUAUUUAGAGUACUGCUGAUUGAAAAGCCUUGUUUUAUUGCACGUUAGAAAAGUUAAUACAUACAUAAAUAACAAGAACAGGGGCCGGGGGGGGGGGUGUUGGGGUUUGACGGUAUGUAUUUGCUUGCGAGUAAAAAUUGGUAAGCACUUGAAAAAGGUCCUGUGCUGAAUCUAAAUUGGUAAGAUGUUAUAUACUGAUAUCUAGAAAGAUAACUUAAUCUAUCUAUUGAAGUAAAGCAUUUAAAUACGUAUACAAUGUUUUUGGAAUAUUAAAUAUCUAUUUGAUCAGAAUCUGUGAACCUCUAAAACCACAAUGAAUACAAAUGCAAGUUUGUCAUUGUAAACAUUGCAUCGAUGAUGUAUCACAAGUGUUGCUAGAAAACAUCAAGUUAAAAUUGAAGCACCAUGAGUUUCUCUAUGGCUUGGUUUACCAACACUCACCAUCUGUUGGUGCGGCAAGUUAUGAACUAGCUGGCUAGUUUUUUGCUUCCUUGGUUUUAGAAGCACCAUGAAGAUUCAGGUCCAAAUCUUGCUUAUAAUACCCGAAUACCCAAGAUCCUAGCACCUUGCCUUGAAUGGUCGUGUAUAUUUGUUAUGGCUGUUCAGAUUUUAUGCAUCCAUAUUUGGGAGAAUUCUUUAAUAAAGUACAUGCUAUUAGAUGGAAGUUCUCUUUAAAUCUAUUCAAGUCUGAAUAAACUGAUAUUCCAAUUUUCAUGACUUUGAUGUGCUCUUACUCUUCUGCUGUUCCUGACUUUCUUUUUAAGGUCUAUUCUAACGUGCAAUAUUAUUUAUUUAUUUAUUUAUUGUCAUGAUAGAAGUGAUUUUUUUUGGUUGGCCAAAACCCCUUGGAUGCCAAUAAUUGGAGGUCCACUGCCCCAGGCGGAGAACAUGUCAUUGACACGGGUGAUUGGAGAAUUCAAUUGCAGCCUGACUCACGGAAAAGAAUAGUCGACAAAAUGUAAGUACGUGUUUCCUAAUAUGUGCAAGUGCUGCAAAAUAGUAAAUUUUUUAUUUAUAUGAAAGAAAAGUAGAAGGGCAAAAGGUUAAUUAAAAUUAGCUGGACUGCCAUGAGGCAACCUCAAGUAUCACACACCUCUUUUUUUUGUUUUUCAUCUUUUCGCUUGUUUCUCACAAGAAGCAAACUUGAGGGAACGUAAAGUGCUGGGAAGUGAUUUUUGUUGGAACUUCUUGUGUAACAUCUUCUUUUGACGAUGACCUCUUGGAUGGCUGCAUGAAGCUUGUUCCGCUUUAAAUUUCAAGGUUAAUCUAUUGCUAUGAGCAUUGGUGUUUCAAUUUCAACCUUGAGUUGCAACUGAACUUAAAUGAAUAGUGUUGGAUUUGGGCCUUCUAUUUGCUUUAACUUCUACAGGAUUGAAAUGAUAGUGAUCUUAAAGUAGAAAAGCAGCAGACAAAAAUCAAUUAGCCACAAUAGUGUAUGGUUUCCUAGUUUCUCAGUAUAAAGUUGAAUGUUUUGGUGAUAUCUCCACAUCCAAAAUCAUAUAGACAGCUACUGUUGGCACUUGCAGUAGCCAAUGAGCACUGUAGAGUAUAUAUAUUGCAGCGUGAGAUAAGGUUAACUCAUUGCAUUUUCAUAAAUUAAAGGGAUUUCUCUUCUUUUCUUUGUCAAUUACAGUGCAUGUAUAAAAGUUUUCUACAGUGCACUGUAGAGUAAAUGCUAUUGUAAUGUUUUCACAGAGUUCCCCUGGUUUGCAACUAAUGCACUUAUAUAUCUUGGAGCAUAGCCAUAGCCAUAAAUGAAAGGUUCUUCUGGUUCAAGAAAAUUAACCAUGAAGCUCGUAACUAGAAUUUUAGACAGAAGGUUGGCCAAGUAAACUCUUACCUCUGGAAUAAUACGGGGAAACGAAGUAAAAAUAGAUGUCUGUAUUUUGAUGCCAUUUAUUACUUUACUAACACUCGGCUAUAUCAUUAUUUGUUUUUACUUUUUGCUAAUGAUUUUGUUGUAUACAUUUCUGAUAUUAGUGUGGUGUAUGAGUUCACAGUUUUUUCUCACUACUGCUAACUUCUCUAUACCUGCCUUGUCAUUAAAAAUUAAAUGCAAUGUUUUACAUGUGCAGAAUGGAGACAUUAAAGAGGCAUCUUCCGUUUUCUGGUCAGGAGGGAUUACAAGAACUCAAGAAAAUUGCCGUACGGUUUGAGGAAAAGAUUUAUACUGCCGCCACCAAUCAGGUAUUCGGCUAAUGCUAGGUUCAAUAAUUUUGAUAUUCUCUGGACAUGAAUAUACACAUGCAUAAGUUUGUGGAUUUAUGCAUGUACACGUGUGUGUAGUGUGUCCACACUUCCUCACUGGUCAUUCUGUAGAAGUUCUUAUCUUUCCGUUAAUUCUCUUGACAAGUGUUUUAUUUAGAGUGACCAAGGUCCUUUUCAAGUACAAGGGAAGUGUGCAAAAAGCAAAUAACGAAUCAAUACAUAAAUAAUUAAAUAAAAAGAGGAGACACAGAAGUAUAUCCUCACAGAAGAUGCAAAUACAGAAAGCCUAGCAUAUUAGAAAGAGCAUAUAUCUCUUUUCCCCCUUCUCUUGUAACAUGGACUGCUCAGAGAUCUAAUGUUUUGUUAUUGAUAUCUGAUUUCAGUCUGAUUAUCUGCGUAAAAUAUCUCUGAAGAUGCUUACAAUGGAGACCAAGUCUCAAAAUACCAUACCCACUGGCAAUGGUAACAAACCCCUGGAUCCAGGAGGUAAUAAUGCAGCCAAGCAUUGAAUUUCUAAACAUCCUUACCUUUUGUUUUAUAUUUUGCAUUAUUAUCAAACUCUUUUACAUUUUAUUGCUGCAUCCUUACUCUUUUACCAUUAGGGAAAUAAUUUCUAAAAAUUACAGAUUAUUUUUGCCCCCCCCCCCCCCCCCCCCCCCCCGCCAGCCCCAAAAUUGUCAAAUGGCACUUUUAUGCUUUGAGUCAAAACCACCUUAAUUAUUUCCCUCAUAACUUUAUGUGUGAACUGUCAUUGUUUCAUUUGUUUUUCUUGUUCAAUGCCUUCUUUUUUUCCUUUGACAUGGUUAUCCUUUUUGCCUUUUAUCUUGAACAGCAUCUCAUAGUAUGCCGCCUCAAGUUCACAACCAAGGGCAGUCGCUCCCUAUCUCAUUGUCCAGUAAUCAGCCUCAAGCACGUCAGCAGUUAUCACAAAACAUGCAGAAUAGUAUGUCAUCUAAUGGAGUUCAAAGUUCUGCUGGUUUACAAUCAGCAAUGCCUUCUGUCUCCAGUUUAACCCAGACUAUCGCAAACACUGUUGGACAGAAUGCUAACAUGCAGAGUAUCUCUGGUGUUUCACAGAACCCAGUUGGGAAUUUAAUGGGACAAGGGAUUCCCUCCAAUAUGUUUGUCAAUUCUCAGAGACAAAUGCCAGGCAGGCAACAGGUUGUUCCUCCACAGCAACAGCAGCAGUCCCAAAAUCCUCAGCAGUAUCUUUAUCAGCAGCAGAUACAACAACAGCUUUUAAAGCAGAAGCUUCAACAGGGAAAUCAUCCACACUCACUUGUGCAAUCUCACAUCCACCACCAGCAGCAGCAGCAAAACUUGUUACAGCCAAAUCAGUUGCAAUCUGGUUUGCAAACAUCAACUGUUAUGCAGCCUUCAAUGAUGCAAACCGUCUCUGGCCUUCAACAGAACCAACCAUCUUCUGUUCAACAGUCAACACAACCAAUGCACCAGCAACAUCCACAAUCAGUCCUUAGGCAGCAGCAGCAACAACCUCAACAGUCUGCUGGUAUUCAUCAGCAGCAAACACCAAUGAUGCAGCAGCCACUAUUGCCUCCACAACAGCAGCUAAUGGGGCAACAAUCAAAUACCACUAACAUGUCGCAAAAUCAGUUAAUUGGACAGCAAAACAUUGUUGGGGACUUGCAGCAGCAGCAGCAGAGAUUGCUAGGGCAGCAGAAUAACCUUCAAAAUCUGCAGCAGCAGCAGCAGCAGUUAAUGGCUCAACAAAAUAACCUCUCAAGUAUGCAUCAGCAACAGUUGGGCCCUCAAAGUAAUGUCACUGGUUUACAGCAACAGCAGUUGCUUGGAGCUCAGCCUGGUAACUCAAGCAUGCAAUCUAAUCAGCACUCUCUACACAUGCUGCAACAGCCCAAGGUUACGCUGCAGCAGCAAGCACAACAAAGUGGAAGUGCUUUGUUGCCGAAUCAAGGGCAGCAGUCACACUCACAGCUGCCACAGCAGCAAUUGAUGGCACAGAUUCAAUCACAGCCUGGACAGCUGCAACAGCAAUCAAAUCCAUUACAACGUGAUCUGCAGCAAAGGCUUCAAGCAUCAGGCUCCUUGCUUCAACAGCCGAAUGUGAUUGAUCAGCAAAAGCAGUUAUAUCAACCUCAAAGAGCCCUUCCAGAAACGUCCUCAAGUAAGUUUUUGUCAUCCUUGCAGCUUUCUAGCCUUGCUCCAACUUUAAUUUUGCAGCUUUGUGCUUUCAUGUUAGAUUAUAACAUAUUUAUUUAAAUUUCUUGAAAAUACAAUAAUGGUUCAAGUCAGUAAUGCUCUUUUUGGUAGCUUUAUGAGCUACGGCUGCCACUUAUGGCAUCAGAAAUGCCACUGCUAUUGGAGCCAUUGUAAUCACACAUACAUUUGUUACGACAUCAUGCCAUCCAGUGCAUUGCACCAACUAUUCACCUCUCAUAAUGGUUCAAGUCAGCAAUGCUCUUUUGGUAGCUUUAUGUUCUACUGAUGCCACUGCUAUUGAAACCAUUGCAAUCACACUCGUUUGUUACCACAUCAUGCCCUCCAGCUCAUCGCACCAAUUGUUCACCUCUCAUUUUGAAUUUAACAGACAUGAAUUUUAAAAAUAUAUGUAUAACUGGACAAUGCAUUUGACACUAGGGUAACUAAUCAUCAGCCAAUUGAUUUUUAUGGGAAGAAAGAAAUUAGCAAGUGGACUAACUCUGAGGCACUUAAGGUUUGGUGUGCUGAUAAAUCAUUGAGCCUUUUUUUUUAAUAUAUAAUGAUCACUUGUUGGGGGGGGGGGGGGGGGGGAAGCAUUUUAAAGGGUCUCUCUGUCUAUUUGAAUGAUUACAUAACGUUGAGAUGGAGUUCCUAGUACUCCAAGUCCAAAAAGGACUUGUAUUCCUAUGUAAGAAAAUACCAAUGGUCCUAUCUGGGAUAGGGAAAACCUAUUAAAGCUCCUUAUUCUUUAGGAACAAUAAAAUACUAAAUAGAAAUAAAACCAAGACCUACAAUAUUCCAUAAUUUUCAGCAAGUGUGAAAAUUACAGAAAUACCCUUGUGUGCAGAAAACAUUCAUAAAAUACAUGAAUUCUAAUCUUUUGUUGGCUGUAUCAAAAUUUUUGUAGCAUCCCUAGAUUCUACAGCAGAGAUUGGACAUGCAAAUGGUGCUGAUUGGCAAGAGGAGAUCUACCAAAAGGUAAUUUCUGUAGUUUACUGUUCAUUAGAUGAAGUUCAUGUAUGUCAUUGUCUUGCAAGAUUUCAAUGGAAAAGGUCUCCUGGAAUUUGGUACAAGGGAGUUUUAUUCAGCUAUGGUUGUGAUUAGUUAGGAAGCAUUGUAAGUUCCAUGAUUGCAGCAACUAAGAAACGAUAAAUUACUGAUAAGAUGAUUAAAGGUAAAUAAUCAGAUUUCUAGGUCAAGAGGGUUAUUUUCUUGGUACUGACACGACAAUUUUUUCUAUUGCAAAUCUCUCCCUUUCAAUUUUUUCCCUGUAUUUCCAUACAUUUAUUGUGUGGUGAAUUAUUAUUUUAUUAUUUCCAAUAAGUCCAAUUGACAAUACUUCUUACUGUAAUAGACAGACUUGAAAACAAGAGUGAACUGUUUCUGAAUAGUCAUCGUUAUAUUUGGUUAAGUGAACAGUUAUUUUCAGGAUUACAAUCAAAUUUGUUCUGAAACAUGUGACAAUGGAAGAAAGGAAAAUAAGUGGACCUAAUCCAUUGAAUCAUGACCAUGUCCAGUAUUGUUGAAUUUUAUAGAAAACGAGGUUGAAAUUCUGAAUCGUUUAAUGGCUGUAGUUGCAAUUCAUAACUGCAUAUUUGAUGAGGUCAAUUUUUUUGUGCCUGGGAGGGUACUAAAACGGGAAUAGGAGUGGUUGUUGAUAAUUAGGAUAUAAGGGUUAUAAAUCUAAAGUUAUAAGGCUAAGAAGUGUUUACCAAAGUCGUGACAUCCAUUGACUUGAGUUAGAACAAUAGAAAACAAUGGUGAGUAGUUUGCCGUGAGACAAAGUAACUGAACUUGACCAACCCCUGAAUCUUGUCUGAAGGGGUAACUACACAAUCCUUUGCAUGCAAUCAAUAACGAUAUUCUCUUUUGAGUUUUCGGCAUUGAUUCCACUUUGCUAUUUUUAUCUCAAACAAUAUAUGCUGUCCUCUGCCAUUUUAUUUAUUUAUUUAUUUAUCAAUUCUCUCAAGUUUGCUUAUGUUUCUUUCUGACUCUGGCACGUGAAGAAAUCAAGCAUAUGAUUGAUAAUGUCUUGCUGGUUAUAUGUACUUCCUAGAUCAAAGUUAUGAAGGAAACGUAUUUGCCUGAAAUAAAUGAAAUGUACCAGAGAAUUGCUACCAAGUUACAGCAGGUAAAUUGUCUUUGUAAUUUUUUCCGAUUUAUUUGCCCACACAUAUUCAUAAACCCCCACAGUUGAGCUUUUGUAUUAAUUUGUUUUCCCCAUCAGCAUUGCUUGUCACUGUAUCAUCUGCACUAAUUACCUCCCCCACCCCCAACCACCCCACAACCAUGCAUUGACACAGAAGAAUUGGAAUAGAAACAUUUUUUUCACUUAUGUUUUACUAGUUUUGCUAGAAAGGAUCAAUGCAAUUUUUAAUUCUCGUGUAUGUUAACUUUGCUUUCCAGCAUGACCCUCUUCCGCAACAACCGAAGUCAGAACAGCUUGAAAAGCUGAAGGUAUUCAAGGUCAUGUUGGAGCGCUUGAUAACAUUCUUACAGGUCUCUAAAAACAACAUCACACCUAAUUUCAAGGAGAAAUUGGGUUUCUAUGAGAAGCAGAUUGUAGGUUUUCUAAACCCAAGCAGAUACAGGAAGCCUAUUCCUAAUCUACAGCAAGGACAACCUCCCCAACCUCGUAUUCAACCUAUGCAGCAACCCCAAUCUCAAGUUCCUCAAUUGCAGUCCCAUGAAAAUCAACUGAUUCCCCAGUUGCAAUCAAUGAAUACGCAAGGUUCUGUACCACAGAUGCAGCAGAACAAUAUGUCAAGCUUGCUGCAUAAUUCCCUUUCAACUUUAUCUGGGGAUUCGACGUCACAAUCAAACAUGAUGAAUCCAAUACAACCAGGCUCCAAUUUAGAUUCUGGACAAGGAAAUGCACUGAGCUCAUUGCAGCAGACACCUGUAGGAUCUGUACAACAGAAUCUCGUGAGCAUUUCCCAACCAACCAAAGUUAACACAUUGUCAACACAAAGUGGGGGGAGUAUGCUGCAGCCAAAUAUUCCCCUUCAGUCGAAUUCCAAUAUGAUUCAACACCAGCAUCUAAAACAGCAGCAGCAGCAGCAGCAUGAACAACAGAUGCUACAAACACAACAGCUUAAACGAUUCCAGCAACACCAGAAUUUAAUGCAGAAUCAACAGAUGCAGCAGCAGCAAUUACACCAGCAAGCUCCGUCUCCUAUGCCAGGAGAUUCUGACAAACCAGUUUCUGGUAUUUCCUCACUCUUAGAUACUGGAAAUAUUGUACACCAACCAUCUGUUGCACAAGCACUGGCUCCAUCCCUUGCAAUUGGCACUCCUGGGAUAUCUGCAUCACCUUUGCUUGCAGAGUUUACCAGUCCUGAUGGUGCUCAUGGCGGUGCUUUGACAACUGUUUCUGGCAAGUCAAAUGUUACAGAGCAAUCACUUGAGUGCUUGAUUAAAGCGGUUAGUGAUGCUCUCCUUUUGGUUUUACUCCACCCCACCCUUAUUUUGGAGGUUUCUGAAAAAGAAAGAAACUUCUUUGUGAAUGAGAUGGUGAUGCUGCAAUUUUUUUUCCCAG
rnacentral:lncRNA from 1 species